rnacentral:lncRNA from 1 species
UCCUCAUCCUCAUCAAUGAUUUGCUCUAAUUCCAAGCAAUUCGAAACAGAUAACACCUCCAAUUGCAACAGAUUUCGAGCAAGUGUUGAUGAGAAGAGACGUCUCAGCAUAGUGCACCCGUCCACUCUUAAAUAGGUAAGACUUUGCAGGCUAAAAUUAUGGGUGGGACCUUCAUGAUAUAAUAAUACUUGCAGUUCUGGAAGAUCUUCCAAUUGCAACGACUUCAAACAUGGGAAAAGUUUGUUUUCUUGUCCAUCAGCGAUAAUAGCUUCCAACUGAAAUACCACCUGUACUCCAAUUUCCCUAAUAUGCAAUUCUUCCAAAUUUUUUAAUCCGUGCUUCAACAGUGCUGGAAUCGUGUCACUCAAAUGGGAACAAUUGUCCACAUCUAGAGUAUUUAAGUUCUGAGACAAAUAAAUAAAUAACUUGAUGCAAUUAAAAUCUAUUAGCAGCUAGGAUUAUCACAUGAUAAGUGAUGAACACCGCAAAAAACAAAAACAGAAAACAAAAUCCAUACAAAAAUAUCAUAAUACAUAUGUAAACUAAUAAAAUAAUUAAAAAGUAAUGGAUUUAAAAAAAAAUGAAAUUAGUUAAAAGAGAUCAUGUGAAGUGAUAUAAAUGUGACAUUAGAUUGUUUUAGAAAAAUUAUUAUUCUAUUAAUUUAUAUGGCUUGAUCAACUAUUUUAUUGAAUUUGAAUAAUAUUAUAUACACUUCAGAAGUAUUUGCAUCAAUUCUUUCUAAACCAAAAUGAGAUAUGACUUUCAUUUGAAGAAUGAUUUUAGGCCCUAUAAUAAAGAAAUUUCUCUAAAAUAUCUUAGCAUUAUUAUUAUCACCAUCACAUCCACCACCAUCAUCAUCUCCAUAGGAUCAAAAAAUUAAUGGCUGAUCAUAAAAUUUAUUGCUAAACUAUCAUUUUGAGUAAAAUUGAAUGAAAAGAAAAAACAUGAACCCAAACAAACAUACCUCUUUGAGAUACUGUAAAUUGGCUUCAAGUUCAUUACUGUUGAUGGUCAAGUUGGGACAAUUAUGAAGGUCUAAAUUUUCCAAUGCUGUCCAAAUUGAACAAUAAUUCUCUGAACAGAACUUGGUGAGUUCUGGGAGAUCUUUAAGUUUUAAUUUUCUCAACAAAGGGAGGGCGAGCAUCGUAUUGCCAUCUCCGAAACUUAUUCCCCCUUCAUUGUGAUCAAACUUUGCUUCGACAAUAUAUUCCAGUCUCUUGCAAUAAGUCACAAUGAGACUUUUAAGCUGCUCCAAACUUCUAGCUUGUGACGACGUGAAGAUGUAUGUCAACUUGUUGCACCUAUGCACAUUCAAUUCUGUAAGAGUUUGGAGACUGAUCACAUGUUGGGCGGGCCCCUUCCAUGUCCACUUCAGUUCUGGUAAGUCCCACAUAGAUAACUCUGCUAAUCUUGAGAGACUCUUUCCAUGCGGCGACUUAGAGGCUUCCAUUAUGCAUUCUAAAUCUUCGCAAUCGCGGACAUCAAGACAAGUCAACUCAUUUAAGCCCCUUUCAUCUAUGCUUGGCACAAUAUUGUAACAACCUAUAAUCCCACUUAAAUAAAGAAUUUCCAGUUCUUGAUACAAUGCCGAAAAAAUACCGAGCGAGGUCGCUUCAGGAGGGUGGUUACCAAUCAUUAAGAUCCUUGCCUUAUCAUCAUGUUCCCUUUCAUCAUAAACUCCUUCAACUUUAUAGAUGACGUACCUUUGCAAUUUCGGGAAUGUAAAGUCUUUUGGAAGACAUACAACAGAUCUGUCGGCUUGGGAGUUCAACUCAGCAAGCCUAGCAUUACUUUCUUCUGAACUCAUCCCUUCAACCUCCCAAUCUUUUAUCCGACCAUAAAAUUCUUCCAAUUGAGGAAAUUUUUUUAUCGUAAUGGGAGAAACAGAACCAGUAUCAAUAUAUAGAAGUUUCAAUCUACCAAGUUCAUCCGACAAUUCUUCAGGAAUUUCAAUGGGAGAUGACUGGAGAUAAAGAAGUUCAAGUCUCUUCAACUUUCCAAGAAAAAACGUGUCACUCACAUCACACCGAAUCAACUGCAGAACCUGGAGGUUGGUGAGGCUCUGAAGCGAUUUAAGUGAAAGAACUCCACCUAUUAUAGUGACAACUUUCAAUGCUGGCAUCCCUUUAAAAAAAUGUUCUGGAACUUGCAAUCGGUGGUCGUAUUCAGGAUUCUCCAAUCGCAAAAUAUGAAGGUUAGGGCAUACCAAACCACUAGAAAGCUCUUAUUUUUUAUUUCCCACCAAAGAGAUUCCUCUGUAUUGUUCCAGGCCUUCUUUCAUUGCCCGUUCUGCCAAUCCAAUGCCAAAUUUACUAAAAAAUUUCUUCUCCUCUAGAACUAUUGAGCCUAUCCAUAUGGCUACAUCACGAACCAUGUCAUGCAUUUUCACAGAUCUGUCAUUACCAGUGUCUAACAGCAGUGACGCAGCUUUGAGCGCGUUAAUCGUUCCAUGCAGUCGGCUUCUGGCGUUUUCUAUUGACGGAGCACAUUGAUACCAAAUAACCCCCACUGCGUAUCCAACCAAAUCCUCCAAAUAAAUCUCAUAAUCUUCUGGAAACAGAGAACACAACAAGAAGCAUAACUUGGACUCCUCACUAUUUAAAUUGUCGUAACUGAAUUUAAGACAACCGUAAACGUCUUGGUCAUCCUUGUCAAUACCUUCUAUUGCAUAGAGUUUUGCUUCCUUUAGGUUAUUUAGUGCUAGUUUCCAUUCAUCAGAUCCUUUUUCUCUUAGUGCACUUCCAACAGCUUCAAUAGCUAAAGGCAGCCCCUUAAUUACAUUCGUCGGCAACUUGUUUUGAAACACCAUCCAAGGAGGAGUCGUUUACAUUAAUACCGGCAUUCAUUUUUAGUAGAGUCAAUCCUUCUUCUGGUGUUAUUGUACCAAGUUCAAUCUGUGGGUAACAACCGAAAGAACCACAAAUUGACUUUUUGCGAGUGGUUAGAAGGAUUUUGCAACAAUUGUCUCUAUCACCAAUGGGAAUACCUAAUUUUUUCUCCAAGUCGAGUUGUUUCCAAACAUCACCAAGGAUUAUGAGGAUUUUGCUGCUUUUACUCUCAGAAAACAUCAACCGCAAUCGAUCUGCUCUCUCUUUUUCAUCUGUCUCAUUUAACGCCCAGCCUAACGACUUUACCAGCUCACUUUGAACCUUUAUUAUAUCUGGAUCCUGAGACACAGUGACUAUCCCAACUUCAUCGAAAAUCUUUUGUUGCCGAAGUUGAUUGCCCACAAAAUUUGCCAAGGUCGUCUUCCCUACACCACCGAGACCGUGCAAUCCCACCAUCUUUGUGCUCUCUUUUUUCAGUGCUUCAGUGAUUUGAAUGCAAGCCAAAUCUGUAGCCUUGAAAGGAGAAAAAGAUCUCGGUAUAGGCAAUUCUUUGUCUGAUGGUAGAGGUUUAGGACGGGCAACUGUGCUGAAUUUGCUGCGGUCUUGUAGCAGAUCGGACAACUUGCUAGUCUUCUUUGAUGCUUUUGUACCCAGCCAGUAUCGGCAACCCCAAUUAGGACACCAUCCAUUAAGACAACUCUUCUUUUCAUCUAUCUUUGCUUUUAAAUUUCGAACGUCGGCCAUUUCUUUAUCUACAUCCUCAAGCCAUGUCUCGACAUCUUUCUCGACUACUAUAGCACGGUGUAUUUGUCGUUCUUGUUCUACUCUUUCAUUGAUGCCAUCUUUUUCCUUCUUCAAAUUGGUUUCUUUAACCUUAAGUUCUUUAUCUAUGCUGUUGAAACACAGCAGAUAACGAGCUUGGUUUAUGGUUGCAUCCACCAACAAUUCUCCAAGCCUUGAUGCAACACCUGACAAAAGUUCCAUGCUAUUUAUCUGCAAUUAAUAAAGUUGAUCUCAGUAAGCUAUAAGCAAAACAAUGAGGCUUGAUCACAAGAUCGAACGAGAAAGUUUAAUUACCUUUUUCUAUUCUGUGAAUGCACGUUUAUUGACACUAGCUUUGACCAGUAAGAGCAAAAUGCAAACGCCGAGCUUUAAGUGGCCUUUAGCUGCAAAACAAAAGAGAGGAAAUAAGGUAAUUUAUUAUUAUUAUUAUUUUUAAGGACGGAUAAAGGUUAGCUAGCUUGCAGACAAAUUUACUAAAAUCAAGACAAACCUAAGAGUUUUCCUAAUUUGUUCAAACAUGGAAUAAGCGUUUCACAACAGUAUAUCCAUAAAGGCCCCAGCGAACGUAAUAUGUGCUGGACUAUAUUGAAAUUAGAUUAUUUUAGAAAAUUUUAAAUAAAAAAUAUCAAACAACAAAGAAAUCUAAUAGAAUCUGGAUAAACAGCAUGGGAGAAUAUGGUAAAAUUGAUAAACUUGGUUCAAAAAUUACAAUUCUUUUUGAGAUUUGAACCAACGAUUUUGACUAAGGUCUCCUAAGCCACAAAGCAUAACUCUUACUACUAAAUUACGCGCAUUUUGUUACAUUUAAAUGUGGUCAUAUUCUUUUUAUUAUCUUUUUUUAGAAGGGACUCAUGGUAUACUUAAAAGAAAUAAUAAUGAUUUAGAUAGGGCUGAAGCCCACUCAUGAAAAAAUUCAAAGGUUUUCAAGAUAAUUACCGAUUUUUUUCCACCCAAUAUUCUAAUAGAAUGGUGCCAGAAUUCUCAAAUAAUAUCUUAAUAUUAUUUAACUGGUUGGCACCCACCUAUUGGAUGAUUAAUUUAAUAAUUUGUUACAUUAUUUAAUACUCCAUCUCACUAUCUAGUGAUGUAAAUGGUGGAGAAGGAUCGUCUCCUAGACUUUUUUCUCUCACUAAUCUCUUAGUGAAAUAAGUGGCCGAAAUUGAAUUUUAAUUUUUGAUAUUGACAAUUAAAUUGGCUUGUUUCACAUUAUUAACAAUUAAGCCAAUUUUUUUUUUCUCCUUUUUUCAAUUAGAUUUGGAAGGCUAUAAGAGAGUAGGAGAGAAAAAACACUAGAAGGAGAUCUUAAUCCAUAAAUAGUACCUUAUUUGGGAUGGUAAAGAUUGAGAUAAAUUUCCUCUUAGUCUCUAAAAUUUUGGCCUAUGCGCAGCCAUAAUUUUAGUAUUUUUAAAAAGAAUGGGAUUAUUUACAUUCUAAAAUCUAUUUUGAAUACUCUUUUACUCAACACACUCAUUCAAUAAAUAAAUUUUAAAAAAUAAUUUUUACUUUACACACUAUUUCGAGAGUCAAAACUAUCCUUCAUUAGGACCAUUUCAUUAACUAAUUAUUUUCUAUUGACACCCAUAAAAUAUUCAUCAUUCUUGAACCAUGUGGCGUUAAUUAAUGAUUCCGAAGCAUUAUCAAGAUUCAAGAUUUAUGUUGAAAUUCUUUCAUCUGACAUUUGAACCCAGCCACUAGCUAUAUACAUAUAUACUUUCAAAUGCAGCUCCGGGAAUAUUUUGUGACUGAUUUUAUAAAGUGUUUUAGUUACAUUAAUGCAGUGAAACAAUAAAGAGUACGUGGCUUGCUGAUUUCCAAAUCAAGUUGGGGGAAAAAACAGAGCAUUUUUCUUUUAUAAUGGAUUAGAUUAGACGAUGAAGGAAAAAUUAUUAGCGAUUAUUAGUACUUUUGUGUGUGUUAAGAGUAAUAAUAUUAUUUUAAAUUAUAUUAAUGCCUUUGGUACUGAAUUCAAUUAGGGUUAUUUUAGUAAUAUAAAUUUUCAUUAAAAUUAAAGUGUCCAAAUUAUAAUUUAGAUUUUUCAAAUGUAAAAUAAUAUUUAUUUAUUUGAUAUAAAUUAAAAUUCAAACAAAUGUAUCAUGCAACAAAUGAAAAGUAAAGAAUAUUAAUUAGGUUUUAAUAGAAACAAAUAUAAAUAGAUGUUUUGAGUAGUUAAUUUUUGUUAUUUUAUGCUAUUGGUAGUUUGUGGAUUAAAUAAUUUGUAUAAGGAUAAAUGGGGGUUUGUAUAAUUUAUACGAAGAUAAUCUCCAAAAUAAGCUUAUAUGUCGAAUUUAAAAGUGUUAUAUAAGUAGUAAUCGUAUAUGCAUCAAAAUUUUUAAUAAAAUUUAUUUAGAAAUUGGCCAAUUGAGUUUUAUGAAGAAAAUAGACGGGCAAGUAAUUUGUAGGUUGUGGUACUUCUCCAUACUUCAAAUCACUUUUAUCUAAUCAAUUGAUAAAUAUUUUUGGGCUCCAACAAAAUGAAAAGAAAAAGUUAAAAAUAAUUCUGAAAUUAAAAACGUUAGGUACUGCCUAUAAGCUAUACAAUUUUACCUUUCCUUCUAUCACAAUUAGUAUUAGAAAUAAAAAUAGUUUCGAAAUAAAUGUAAUUAGGAGGUAAUAUUAUCUCAACAAUACCUUAUAGGGAAAAAAACAUCUAUAUCCUAAAGUUUGGAGAAAUGGUCGUAAAGACCCCAGGUUUUCAGAAAGGGAUAUCAAGACCCUUUUUUGACCGUAAUACCCUUUAAAUCUAGUAAUUAAAAAAUUGACUUUAAGAUUUUUUAAUUGACAAAUUUAAUAUAAAUAAUAUAAUCUAUCUAGUAGAUUAAUAAUAUUAACAAUAAAAAUAAUAUUAAAAUUUAAAUUCUUAUAUUUAUUCUAAUAAUAUUUUUUUAUUUAUUAUAAAGAUUUUAAAUAAAUCCUUGGGUUAAAUAGGUUUUCCAGUUAACAAAAUAUACCCCUAUUAAAAAUAUUGAAAUUACUUUCUACAUAAUAUUUAAAAUAAUUACAAUUUAUUUAUUUUAAUAUUAUGUUUCUAUUUAUUAUUAAAAAUUACUUUAUUAGAGCAAAUUUUUAUUAAUUAAAGCUUUAAAAUUAAUUUUCUAAUUACUAAAUUAAAAGGGUAUUAUGGUCAAAAUGGGUCUUUCAUUUUUGAAAACUUAGGGUUUUUGCGACCAUCUCCCCAAACUUUGGAGUAUAGGUGUCCUUUUCCCGACUUCAUAUAAAGAUAUUCCAGAAGGUCUUAUAAUAACUUAUGUUAUAUGAAUUUAAUUAAAAUAUCAUUAAUACUUAAAUAAUAAUAAUUAUAGAAGACAUUGUAAUAAAUUAUUUGAUAUAUAUUAUUAAUGAUACUAUAUAUAUGUGUAUAUAACUACAUGAUGGCUUGGAUAUAUAUUGUUUAGUGGUAAUAAAUUUUUUUAAAAAAAUUUAAACUAAUGAUUUCAUGCGAUUCAAUGUUGGAUGAUUUAAAAUCAUAAAAUAUUGUUUUGACUUUCAAUAUCAACCGUUAGACUGUGAGAAAUUAAUUGCUCAAUAUUUUGUGUUAAAAUUUUAAAUUAAAAUAUCCCAAACCAUUUGUUUUACUUAAAAUACAAAAAAUAUAUAAAGAAAUUUUCUCAUUAAUUUUCAUAUUUUUAUUAGAGGUAAUAUUUUAUGUAUCGUCACCAUUAAUUGCCGUCAUUAAAGUAGUGACUCUUACUAAUAUAAAAUUUUAUAAUUAGUUAAUUGCAAUCAAAUGAUAUCAAUAAAAUAAUAUUUCAUGAUUCAUAAAUUAAAUCUAAUUAAGAAUAUAUGUUAGUUUUAACUUUUAUGAAAUCAACUAAGUGAUAUUACAAAAUAAAAUGAAAAUAAACUAGUGAAAUGAUGUGCUCAUAAUUUAUCUAUUAUUUUAAUGCUUCCAUAACUUAAUUUUAUGUUAAAUUAUAUUUUAUUAUAUUAAUUUUUAUCUUAAUUUUUAUAUUUUGUCAUUGUAGGAAUAAUGGGAAUAUUCAUGAGAAAAGAAGCUUAAAGAGGAAACAAAUUAGAGUAUAAUGAAAAUAAUGUGGAAGCAAAAGGGAAAGAAAUAAAAAGCCAAAUCAAGGCUGAUUGAAUUUAAUCAUCAUGCAUGCAACACGUGGGGGGAGCAUUAAAGAAUUAAUUUGCAAAUUGGCCAAUUAAACUUUACAAGUCACGUGGAUGGGCUUAAAAGGUGGCUAGAAUUGUUUUGUUUUAAAAAUCCCUUUCAUUUAAGGAUUCGUGGGCUGGAUUUGCAAUCCUUUUCCUUUAAGGAUUUGGAAGAAACCACAACAUUAUAAAAGAGAAGAAAGGCAGCCGCACAAGAGGGAUGGAAGCCAAGAGAAAAGAAAUAAUUGAGCAGCAACCGGAAGUCUUGAACGAAAACCGAAGAGCAGCAGCAAUAAUUUAGAGCAGAAGGAAGACACGUUAAUUCUUGAGUUUUUCUCUCUCUCUUCUCUAUUAUCUUGCUUGAAUGUUUCCAAUUAAAUUAAUGAAUUCUCUUUAUAUUCCCAUGAACUAAUUUAUUUACUAGGGCUACGAUGUAGCCUAAUUAUGAAGAUUUAAUUCCAUAAAUCUAUGUUAUUUUUUAAUUAAUUAUUCCAUGAUUGAGUGUUCAUUAUUGUGCUUAAUGCUUUUAAAUAUCUGGCCAAUAUUUGAAUGAUUCGAGGAUACAUAAUGAGACCGAGAUGAGAUUUAUGUAUUUUUGCUCUGUGUAAUGGAUGCCAUGAAUUGAACGAAAGACAUAGAUGUGCCAACGUGAUUCAUGCAGUUUUAUCUAAGAAUUUCCAUAGAACUUAAUGAAUCUUUGCAUAUUUAAAUUCACAUAGAGAUAUAGUGGGUUGAUAUGUGGAGAUAUUUUUGAUAUUACUCGAGAGAGGAUAUUGAAUAAAUUAGGGAAAUUCACUGUCAACAUGGGUAAUAAACUUUAAUAGCAUAGAUAGAGGAUUAAAUUGGAUUGGUUAUGGUGAAAUCGGAUGUCCUAGUGUUUUAAUCUCUUGGUGAUUUCUAUUACUGCCUGCGUCUUCAUUUAAUUUUUAAUUAUUUUAUUUUAUUUAACUUUAAUCUAAAUUCGCCUAAUCGAUUGUUCAAAUAAAGCAGGGUUAGAAUAAUUUCGGUAACUAAUAGGAUAUACAAUCUCUGUGGGACGAUACUCUACUCUUCAUUAUAUUACUUGUGCCGACUAGUACACUUGCUAAUUUACGCAACAAGUUUUUGAUAUAAAAUUUACACUUGCUAAAGUAGUGACUCUUACUGAUAUAAAAUUUUAUAAUUAGUUAAUUGCAAUCAAAUGAUAUCAAUAAAAUAAUAUUUCAUGAUUCAUAAAUUAAAUCUAAUUAAGAAUAUAUGUUAGUUUUAACUUUUAUGAAAUCAACUAAGUGAUAUUAGAAAAUAAAAUGAAAAUAAACUAGUGAAACUUAAAUUUUAUAAGGUUUGAAUAAUUUUCUACCACGUAAGAAUAUUAAUUGUGACAUAAACCAUAGUUUCAUGGUAUAUGUAUGCCAAAUGGGGUAACAAAUAAUAUAUACUUCAUGAUCAUGAUAGUAUAUAAAGUAGUGGAUAUUUUAAUAAAUAACAUAAAAUUCUUUAAGACAUAGGUGGUCAAUUAUAUAUUUUUUAGGAUAUAGACAAUCUCAAUCAAGAGUUUAUUGAUGUGAAUAGAUGGCAUUCACUUAAAUGUAUAUACUUAAUUGUGUUGUUUAUUGGUAUUACAUGUAACAAAAUUUUAUAUUAAAUUUUGAAGUUUUAUACUGUUGUUUCUAUUGAAUUUAUAAAUACAAUAAAAUUAUGGCCAUCAACAAUCACAACCAACUGCCACCAACAAUUACAUUCUCAUAUCUGUUGACGACAAUUUUUUAUACUAUUGGAACUCCAAUCUUUGAUGCUACACAAUAGUUAAAGUACCGACAUCAAUAGAACUUCCGUUCAUUGUAGAUCUAUAGUCAAAGUUUCGAAUCUUAAAAAAUUGACAGCAGAUUUAUGUCAAAUGAAAGCUUGUUACCAGUGAUUCUUAUACAAUUAUGUUGUUAUAGUAAUAAAGAUUCUAAUGGUACUAAAAUGCACUCCAUUAGACAUAAAGAUCCGACGACUAGUGGCGACAAUAACUAUCAUUAGUGACUUGGAGGUAAUUGCCGUUAAUAAAUUAUUUUUAACUUAAUAAUUAAUACAAACAAAUAAAAAAGUAAUUUAAGGAAAAUUAAUGUAAUAAAUAAUUGAAUUAAAAAAAUUAAAACCUAAAUUCUCGACCAUUUAUCCGUAUCUUUGGAAUCCAACGUUCAAAAUUGGAAUAAAACAUAGUAUAGCCAUUGGAAGUAAAACAAACAUUAAAGAGACUAGGAAAAAAUAUCUCAUACCUUCUAUAAUGAUACAUCCUCAAUCACUGCAGAAAGCUCCAAUUAAAAAGUCGCACAAGUUCGGAGAAAAUUACCAACUGUACCUAACAACACAAAUAAACAUCAAAUCAAAGCAACAUAGGAUCCAGCUAAUUAACAUCAUAAGUAAGUCCUUGUUCUCAGUCAAAUCUUUCGUUCUUAGGAAAAAAAAAAAAAUUGAAAGAAUAACGGUAACUGGAAAGUUUGACGACAUAAAGAUCUAGCUAAAUUUUAAGAAGCAAAAGUAAAUAAUGAAAGCUCAAUAAAAGAUCAUCAGCAUUAACAUACCGAAAUGAGAGCAGCUCACAGAACUGGUAAUUUCCAAGAACAGGAAAAAUAAGUGAGCUGAUAUUGAGGACAACUAAAGUAGUCAUGGAGUAAUUUGCUAUUGAGGACACCUAAAAUAAGAAAAUUAAUUAACAUUGCUCUAUACACCAUUUCAAUAAUUUGACUAUUAAAAAAAAAAUCUAUCUAGAUCACGAUUUCUCAAAAUGAUACUUUUUCUAAUUAAAUAAAUCAAAAUGCUUGCUUCUUUCUUUUUCAGAAAAGAAAAAGUGGCAAUGGCAUCAAUUUUUUUGCUAGAUUAUUAUCACCAAAAGCACAAGCAAGGAAUAAGAAUACUCUCUGAAACCAACCAUGUAAAGAGUAGAAGUAAGUGGUCAAUUGUAAAUUAGUCUUUCUUUUUUCUUUGUUAUUUUUUUCAUUUUUUGAAUGUGAACUAAAUAAAUUUAAGGGUGAAGCUAUUACACCUUGAAAACUAUAACUGAACACCCAUUUUUUUAAUUAAAUUUUUAUUACUAAAAUAACCAUGGAGUAAUUUGCUACUAAGGAAAACUAGAAUAAUAAAAUGAAUAAUGAUUGCUCUAUACACCCUUUUCUAAGUCUAUCUUCUUCUUAAUUUCAUAAUUUGGCUGUCAAAAAGUAAUCUAUCUAGAUCACGAUUUCUCAAAUGAUGCUUUUUCUAUCUAAAUAAAUGAAAAUGCUUGUUUCUUUCUUUCUCGAAAAGAAAAAGUGGCAAUGGCAUCAAUUUUUGCUUGCAAGCACAGCGAGGAAUCAGUAUACUCUCGGAAACUAACCAUAUUAAGAGUAGAAAUAUUUAUUUGGUUAUCACGAAGUAAGUUAGAAAUCAAUUAUAAAUGGUCUUUUUUUAUUUUUUAAUGUGAACUAUAUAAAUUUAAGGUGAGGUUAUUUACACUUUGAAAAACAUUCUGAAAACCAUUAUUUCAUUAAAUUUUUUAUUAUUAAAGGUCCGUUUGGGGCAGCUACGUUGAAGCAGCGCAGCUGCCCCAAACGCUCUCUAAAAUAGCCAUGGAGUAAUUUCUUACUGAGGAAAACUAGAAUAAUAAAAUCAAUUAUCAUUCUUCCAUGAACCCGUUUCUAGAUGUAUCUUCUUCUUGAUUUGGUAACUUGGCUGUCAAAAAGAAAUCUAUCUAGAUCACGAUUCCUCAAAAUGAUGCUUUUUCGGAUGAAAUAAAUGAAAUUGAACCUACAAUCUGUCACAAACACGUUAUAAUGAGCCUAAUGAAAAGCAGUAUGAGAAAUUUUGCUUCCAUGUUGUUUCUUCCAUAUGUAAAGGUAGUAAAAAGAAAUUUAAGUCCUAGAAACAAAUGGAUGAAGAAUUAUCAAUAAUUAAAAUUAAAAAAAGAAACAGAGUUAUAAAAGAAUCACAGUUCCACCAAAAAUUAAGAGUUAUUUUAUUUGGUGGUUUCCUAUCCCGAAAGCAUUACUUGUAAAUAUGUGCUAACAAGUAAUAAUUAAGAAAGUUAAGGCCAAUCAUUUAGAAGGGAGAAAAAUGGAAACAUCCGGAAUAUUGUUAUGUGUUUUCAGUGCGUAUCUACCAAUCAAUAAUGAAAAAUUAAAUACGCAUGUGACGAAAAUUUAAUAAAGAGAACUGGAGGUGACAAAAUUUUUAUUAUUCUAUCUUUCUCUCCUCUGAAACUUCCUUAAUUUGGUUGGGAAGUGCUUUGUCUUAGGCAGUGGAUCUGUUAUAAAUACCCUAUGCUAAAGUUAAUAUUUUGAUUGAAGAAAAAAAUAGAGGAGAAAAAUUUUAUUAAAGUAUAACAUAAUUUGAUAAAUUUAGAAUUGAGGAGAGAAAAUGAGUCUAAAUUCGAAAAUUUUGGCACUAUUUACAUAUAAUUAUUUGGGCAAAAAUUCAUUUCUCUGCUUUCAUAUGAUUUGGUCUUUCAUUGUUACGGUGCCAAUUUUUUAUUUAAAGAUGUAAGAUAGUGGUACUAUAGCUUAGAUUUUCCGUAAAUACUACAUGGUAAGUACAAAAUAAAAUACUAGUUUAAAAUAUAAAAAUGAAAAACUAUUUUUAUAACCAAUAUUCAAUUAAAUACACUUGAAACUCUAUUUUUUCUUAAUAAAAAAAUUCUAAUUUAUUUUCUCAAUUUAUCUAAACAACUUUACCUAAUCAAGCUAAAUCUACAUAUUACCCUAAACCUUAAUUCAUAAACACCCAAUCAAUCCAAUUGUUAAAUCCGAUUUCAUAAUUAAAAAAGCUAAAUUCUAUUUUAUUAUUUAUGGUGCAAAGUAAAAAAUGCCCUUGAAGUUAAGGGUAAAAUUGAUAUUUUAUUUAAAUUUUGUUAAUAUUCUAAUAAUGUUAAUGUCUUAGUGGUUAAUAAAAUCACAAAGUCAAACUUUUGUAGUAUUUUUUAUAAUAAGUUAAAGAUAUAUGUUUGAUAAUUUUCCUACGUCUUUUUACGUUAAAUUGAGUCUCAAGAGAAAAAUGAUUAAUUUGCUACAAUUCUGUCAGUUUUCUGAUGGAAGAUAAUGAUACAAUGAAUAAAUAAUACAAAUUAUUAAAUUAAUGUUGAUGAAUGAUACAACUUGAAAAUAUUGUAGUAUUCUUAAUAGUAGAGAAAUGUAAAGGUGGAUGGUUGAUAAUUUAAUGAAGUAACUACAGAAUUUUCCUUUCAAAUAUUUUUUUAAAAUAUAUAAUGAGUAAAAAUCAUUUUACAGAAUGAUCAUACGCAUUUUGUAUCACAAACGAAAACAUGAACCAACUAUGUAUAGAGUCAAUUAACUAAAGUUCUCAAGAGUUGACCUGUGCUCCUGAAUUCUUGGAAUCAUAUAUCUCCUUCUGAAUUUCCACGAAGCCUGGGACAAUUAUUAACAUAUACAAACUUGGCAGAUGGAAAUGGGAUCUGAUAACCCGUAGGCCAAAAGUUGGUGAGGUUUGGUAAAUCUGACAGUAUCAACUCCCCAAGUUCAUUCAUAACAAUUUCAUUGUACUCCGUGACGUCUGCUCCAUCUUUAUGCCAGAAUACUUCUUCUAAUUCAUCAUUACCUAUUAUCCAUAUGUACUUCAGUUUUUGAAGACUUGGAGCUACGCUGAUAUGAAAUAGAUGCUUUAGUUUGGGGCAAUAACCGACAGAGAUCCUUUUGAGUUUUGGGAAACAUACAGGUUGGAGAUGAUCCUCAUCCUCAUCCUCAUCAAUGAUUUGCUCUAAUUCGAAGCAAUUCCAAACAUAUAACGCCUCCAAUUGUAACAGAUUUCGAGCAAAUGUUGAUGAGAAGAGACGUCUCAGCAUAGUGCACCCGUCCACUGUUAAAUAGGUAAGACUUUGCAGGCCAAAAUUAUGCGUGGGACCUACGUGAUAUAAUACUUGCAGUUCUCGAAGGCUUUCCAACUGCACCUCCUUCAAACAUGGGAAUAGUUUGUUUUCUUGUCCCUCAGCGAUAAUAGCUUCCAAUUGAAAUACCACAUGUACUCCCAGUCGUCUAAUACCCAAUUCUUCCAAAUUUUUUAAGCCGUGCUUCAACAGUGCUGGAAUCGUGUCACUCAAAUGGGAACAAUUGUCCACAUAUAGAAUUUUUAAGUUCUGAGACAAAUAAAUAAAUAACUUGAUGCAAUUAAAAUUUAUUAGCAGCUAGGAUUAUCACAUGAUAAGUGAUGAACACCGCAAAAAACAAAAACAGAAAACAAAAUCCAUACAAAAAUAUCAUAAUACAUAUGUAAACUAAUAAAAUAAUUAAAAACUAAUGGAUUUAAAUAAAAAAUGAAAUUAGGUAAAAGAGAUCAUGUGAAUUGAUAUAAACGUGACAUUAGAUUGUUUUAGAAAAAUUAUUAUUCUAUUAAUUUAUAUGGCUUGAUCAACUAUUUAAUUGAAUUUGAAUAAUAUUAUAUACACUUCAGAAGUAUUUGCAUCAAUUCUUUCUAAACCAAAAUGAGAUGUGAUUUUCAUUUGAAGAAUGAUUUUAGGUCUUAUAAUAAAGAAAUUUCUCCAAAAUAUCUGAGCAUUAUUAUUAUCACCACCACAUCCACCACCAUCAUCAUCUCCAUAGGAUCAAAAGUUUAAUGGCUGAUCAUAAAAUUUAUUGCUAAACUAUCAUUUUGAGUAAAAUUGAAUGAAAAGAAAAAACAUGAACCCAAACAAACAUACCUCUUUGAGAUACUGCAAAUUGGCUUCAAGUUCAUUACUGUUGAUGGUCAAGUUGGGACAGUUAUGAAGGUCUAAAUUUUCCAAUGCUGUCCAAAUUGAACAAUAAUUCUCUGAACAGAACUUGGUGAGUUCUGGGAGAUCUUUAAGUUUUAAUUUUCUCAACAAAGGGAGGGCGAGCAUCGUAUUUCCAUCUCCGACACUUAUUCCCCCUUCAUUGUGAUCAAACUUUGCUUCGACAAUAUAUUCCAGUCUCUCGCAAUAAGUCACAAUGAGACUUUUAAGCUGCUCCAAACUUCUAGCUUGUGACAACGUGAAGAUGUAUGUCAACUUGUUGCACAUAUGCACAUUCAAUUCUGUAAGAGUUUGGAGACUGAUCGCAUGUUGGGCGGGCGCCUUCCAUAUCCACUUCAGUUCUGGUAAUUGCAACAUAAAUAACUCUGCUAAUCUUGCGAGACUCUUCCCAUGCGGCGACUUAGAGGCAUCCAUUAUGCAUUCUAAAUCUUUGCAAUCGCGGACAUCAAGACAAGUCAACUCAUUUAAGCCCCUUUCAUCUAUGCUUGGCACAAUAUUGUAACAACCUAUAAUCCCACUCAAAUAAAGAAUUUCCAGUUCUUGAUACAAUGCCGAAAAAAUAACGAGCGAGGUCGCUUCAGGAGGGUAAUUAUUAAUUAUUAAGCUCUUUCUCUGACUAACAUAUUUCAUUUUAUCAACAACUCCUUCAACUUUAUAGAUGAUGUACCUUUGCAAUUUCGGGAAUGUAAAGUCUUUUGGAAGACAUACAACAGAUCCGUCGGCUUGGGAGUUCAACUCAGCAAGCCUAGCAUUACUUUCUUCUGAACUCAUCCCUUCAACCUCCCAAUUUUUUAUCCAACCAUAAAAUUCUUCCAAUUGAGGAAAUUUUUUUAUCGUAAUGGGAGAAACAGAACCGGUAUCAAUAAAUAGAAGUUUCAAUCUACGAAGUUCAUCCGACAAUUCUUCAGGAAUUUCAAUGGGAGAAUCCUCGGGAUAAAGAAGUUCAAGUCUCUUCAACUUUCCAAGAAAAGAUGCGUCACUCACAUCACAUCCAAUCAGCUGCAGAACUCGGAGGCUGCUGGCGAGGAAUCGAAGCGAUUUUAGUGAAAGGACUCCAUCUUUUAUAGUAACAACUUUCAAUGCUGGCAUCCCUUCAAAAAAAUGUUCUGGAACUUGAAAUUUGUAGUCACAUAGAGUAUUGUCCAAUCGCAAAAUAUGAAGGUUAGGGCAUACCAAACCACUAGGAAGCUCUUCUUCUUUAUUUCCCAUUACAAAGAUUCCUCUGUAUUGUUCCAGGCCUUCUUCCAUUGCCCAUUCUGCCAAUCCAAUGCCAACUUUACCAAAAAAUUUCUUCUCCACUAGUACUUCUGACCCUAUCCAUAUGGCUACAUCACGAACUAUGUCAUGCAUUUUCACAGAUCUGUCACUACCAGUGUCUAACAGCAGUGAAGCAGCUUUGAGUCCUUCAAUUGUUCCACGCAGUAGGCUUCUGGCGUGCUCUAUUGAUUCAGCUUGAUACCAGGUCAACCCCACUACAUAUCGAACCAAAACCUCCAAAUUAAUCUCAUAAUCUUCUGGAAACAGUGAACACAACAAGAAGCAUAACUUGGAAUUGUCAUCAUUCAAAUUGUCGUAACUAAAUUUGAGACAACCGUAAACGUCUAGGUUCUCCUCAUCAAUACCUUCUAUUGCAUAGAGUUUUGCAGCCUUUAGGUUAUGUAGAGCCAGGUUCCAUUCAUUAAAUCUUUUUCCUCUUAGUGCACUUCCAACAGCUUCAAUAGCUAAAGGCAGCCCCUUACAUUCUCCAGCAACUUCUUUGGAAACAUCAUUCAACGUGGAGUCAUUUACAUCAAUGCCGGCAUUUUGUCGCAGUAAAGCCAAUCCUUCUUCUGGCGUUAGUGUACUAAGUGGAAUCUGUGUGUCACAACCCAAAGAAUCAAAAACUGACUUUUUGCGAGUGGUUAGAAGGAUUUUGCAACAAUUAUCUCUACCACCGACGGGAAUACCUAAUUUUUUCUCCGAGUCGAGUUGUUUCCAAAUAUCAUCAAGGAUUACGAGGAUUUUGCUGCUUUUACUCUCAGAAAACAUCAAGCGCAAUCGGUCUGCUCUCUCUUUUUCAUCUUUCUCAUUUAGUGCCCAGCCUAACGACUUUGCCAGCUCACCUUGAACCUUUAUUAUAUCUGGAUCCUGAGACACAGUGGCUAUCCCCACCUUAUCGAAAAUCUUUUGUUGCCGAAGUUGAUUGCCCACAGAUUUUGCCAAGGUCGUCUUUCCUACACCGCCGAGACCAUGCAAUCCCACCAUCUUUGUGCUGUCUUUUUUCAGUGCUUCAGUGAUCUGAUUACAAGCCGAUUCUGUAGUCUCGAAAGAAGAAAAAAAUCUUGGAAUAGGCAUUUCUGUGUCUGAUGGUAGAGGUUUAGGAAGGGCAACUGUGCUGAAUUUGCCGCGGUCUUGUAGAUCGGACGACUUGAGAGUCUCCUUUGAUGCUUUUCUACCCAUCCAAUAUCGGAAACCCCAAUUAGGACACCAUCCAUUAAAACAACUCUUCUUUUCAUCUAUCUCUGCUUUCAAAUUUCGGACAUCGGCCAUUUCUUCGACUACAUCCGCCAGCCACUUCUCUACAUCUUUCUCAACUACUACAGCGCAAUGUUUUUGUCGUUCUUCUUCUACUUUUUUGUUGAUGCCAUCUUGUGCCUCCUUCAAAUUAGUUUCUUUAUCCUCAAGUUCUUUAACAAUGCUGUUGAAACAGAACAGAUAGCGAGCUUGUUUUACGGUAGCAUCCACCAAUAAUUCUACAAGCUUUGAUCCAAUACCUGAUAAAAUUUCCAUGCUAUUUAUCUGCAAUUGACAAAGUUGAUCUCAGUACACUAUAAGCAAAACAACAAGGCUUGAUCACAAGAUCGAACGAUAAUGUUUAAUUACUUUUUUAUUGAAUGUUUAAUUACUUUCUUUUAUUCUAUGAAUGCACGUUUAUUAACGCCAGCUUUGAUCAAUAAGAGCAAAAUGCAAACGCCAGGCUUCAAGUAGCCUUUAGCUGCAAACAAAAGAGAAGAAAUAAGGCAAACGUGAUAGAUGGUGGAUUAUAUUGAAAUUAGAUUACUUUAGAAAUUUUUAAAUAAAAAUAUCAAACAACAAAUUUAAUAAUAGAAUCUAGAUAAAUCGAAGAGUUUGUUAUGCAUUGCGAGUGAAGACAGGCAGUUACAUGGGGGAAUCUUGUAAGAGUGAUGAAAAUUAAAAAGCCAUCCAUAAUUGAAGUUAAAAAGAGUAUUAGAGAUUAGAGGGGUUCAACAUCUUAUGCAAGCUCACUCAUGAUAAAAUUUGAAGAUAAUUAUCCCAUUUUUACUUCAAUCAAUAUUCUAAUACAAUAAUUCCAUAAAUCUCAAAUAGUAUCUUAAGAUUUUUUUUUUUCCUCAAAAUUACCAUUAAAAGUAAAACAAACAUGAAGCUAAGAGCCUAUGAAACAAUAAUAUCUCAUACCUUCUUUCUCAUAGAUCCUCAAUUACCCCUGAAAGCUCCGGUUAGAGAGUCGCACAAGCUCGGAGAAAAUUAAAAGCUGCAUCCAGCAAUAUAAAUAAACAUCAGAUCAAAACAACAAAGCAUAUAUCUAGCUAACUAAACAUCAUCUAUAACUCCUCGUUCUCAGUCAAAUCUUUCAUUCUUAGGAGAUAAAAAAAAGAUUGAAAUAAUAACUGUAACUGAUAUAGGAAGCAAAAGUAACAUACCAAAACGAGAGCGGCUAGCUCACAGAUCUGGUGACUUCCAAGAGCAUGAAAAAUGAUUGAGGUUUAAUAGCAAGUUCACAGAUGACAGAUGUGGUGACUUCAAGAGCAUGAAAAAUGAUAAAACUUUGGUAGAAAGGUCUGAGCCGUGUUUCACAAGUUGCUAUUGACUUCGUGGCUUCGCUUUUAUUUAUUAUUAUUAUUAUUUUUUUAAAUUCUAUAUCAGUGAGAAUUGAAAUGUGGAAAGUGAAAUGAUACACAUGCCUUAUCAUCUAUCAUGAGGGGUGAUUUGGUAAAACCGAUUUAAAAUAAAAAAAAGUUUAAAAAGAUGCUUUGUGUCUGACUGCUUGUAUUUGGGGUAUUUUUCGGGUUGUUGAGAGUGAGUUUAAUUAAAUAUAAGAUUUUCAUUUUUCUUAUUCUAUUUUUCUCUUUAGAAUGAAUUUAAAUCUCAUUCUUAUUAAAUCCAUUUUUUUAAAUGAAAGUAGAUUUCUCUCCACACAUUUGAGAUAUAUUUUAAAAUUAAUGUUCAGUAUAUCUCUAAAUUAUAUUAUAAAUAUUUUUAUUUAAAAUCUCAACAGAUUUCAUAACGUACAAAGAGAAAUACAUAUAUAUGUUGUAAUGUUUUAAUGAUGGAUCUCCAAAGUUAUCAAGUUAAAAAAUAAAUUAAAAAAUAAAAAAUACACACUUCAACUUAUUAUAUGAUAAAAUAUAAUAAAUUAAAGUGAGUAUUAUAUUUAUUUUUUAUUUUAUCUCUUAACUUAAUAACCUAAAAUAUAUUUAUUUAAUAAUGAUUAUAUAUAUAUCUAUAUAAUUUUUUUAAAAAAUAAACAAUUUAAGUGAAGCAAAGGACAUUUUAGAGGCAUUGCGAGACUACCAAUUUACCAUUUUGGGUUGCAAUAAAGUGAAAACUGUAGACUACCAAUCUACCAUUUUAUUGAAUCGGGUCCCGCUGACUUGGAGCUUAUGUAAAGUUACAUUCAUAACAAAUUGAUACUUGUCUUUAUUAUAAAUUAUUCUUUUAUUCAAAUAUACGUUCAUUUCUUCAAUCAAGUCCUCAUAUUUGUUCAAUUUAUGAUAAGAUCCUUGUAUGGGAGCAUAUCUGCAAAUGUAAUAAUUAUUCUUCUAUUUCAGAUAGUUUUUGUGAAAAAAUACUUUUAUCAAUUAUUUAUGUUUACUAAUUCUUAUGUCUUUUUUUAUUACUUUCCAUAGCUCUAUACAAAUGUUUGCUAUAGAAUUUGUGUUAUUUCGCUAUAAUAUAAUUUAUAUUGUAAACCUCUGUUCAUCUGUAAAUAAAAUGACAAUUUUUUUGUUUACUCCUAAAAAAUAUGAAAAUAUUAAUUUACUCUCAUAUUUAUUUAGAAGACAAUGGCAAAUAAGGUCGCAUUGAUAAUUUUUUUUAUUUACUUAUUAAUUAAUUAGAGUAAAUUAAUAUUUUCAUAAUGAGAGAUACAUUGAAGAUUGUCAUUCUUAGUAGAGGGUAAAUUAAAGUUUAUCUAAUUAAUUUAAAAUAUCAUUAAAAUUUAACAUUCUAAUCUGGAUUAGAUUUCUGGGGGGGAGGGAGGGGAACGUCCUUAUUCGGAUUAGACUCAGCUGGAAGAGGCACAUCCUUAGCUGGAUCAAUUUGUUCAAGAUUGGAUGCAUCCAUCGGUUUCAAAUUUGUCUCUUGUAAGCAUCAUCGGAUUUCUUUACUAAAAUUUAGAUUAUCAAUCACAUCUAAAACUUAUUGAAUGAUACAUUUCAUUUCUAUAAAAUUGAGUUACUAUUACCACCUCACAUCUUAUAAAUUCUAGAAAAUAAUCAAGGCUUGACAUACUUUUAUUUAUGCAAAAGCAUAAGAAAAUAAUUCAAAGUACUAAUUAGUGCAGUAUUACUCAAAAUUCUAGAAUAGAUUUGCUAGUUCUCUUUAGCCAUAGAUUGGUCCAUGAUUGGCACCGCAAUAGCUCAGAAUCACCUCAACGAUUGUUCCACACAGCCCAACAUGACACACUGUAAACUAGUCUAACAUGAACUUUCUGAGUGGCUUUCUAACAAUAGUCUUAGAGAAAGUGUUUAGUAGUAUGAAGUCUUCUUUUUUUAACAUAAAUGUUGGCAUGAUAUUCUUAAUAUAUUUCUAAAAUCAAAAUAAGAUGCAUAGAGGACGAUGAUAAUUUUAUUUCAUAAUUGAAUUUUUUGCAAAGAAAGUUUGAACAUGAGAGUGAUGAGAGAUGAGAAUAUUGAUGAUGGUGUGUACUUUAGAUGUAAAAAUAGAUUGGAAAUAUAUAUAGACAUAUUAAAAGAAAAAAAUUUGGUCUAUUUCAUAAGAGAAACAAAAAAUUAUAAACGCGGGUGUUAAAAUAUAUUCAGAAUUUAUAAAUUUUUAUAAAUAUGAUAAUCAUUAGACCCUUAUAAAAGUAUAGCAAAAAGUUUAAAUUUUUUUAAUAAAUAUCGAAGAGAUGGACGAAGAAACCAUCCACCAGUUCAGAAUUAAUAAUCAAAGAUAUGAUGACUUGAUUGAAGAAAUGGUGAAAAAUAAAAGGACAGUAGGACACUGGGUUGGUUGGCAGGACCCUAAUAUUAAUGGUUAAAAAUAAAAGGACACUGGGUUGGUAUCAAUUUCUACCGUGUAGGUUCAUAGCCGGGGAAGUAAUUGGGCACAAAUAUCUCGGAUGAGAAAUAACCAUUUUAUCCCGCAACCAUAUGUUUAUGGCCUCUAAAAAUUUUCACCUCUUUCACUUCUGGAACCCGUGGUUUCUGGCACAUGCACAAUACUUGGUUGCUACUUAUAGAGCGUUUUUAGAAUUGCAAUAUAAUCUACAGCUGGUUGUUGACAUUACACUGCGGGUGUGUAAUUAUUACAUAUGCAGAUAUUCUCCCAUGCGAGGAUCUUAUCAUAAAUUUAAAGGAUACGAGGACUUGAUUGAAGAAAUGAACGAAUAUUUGAAUAAAAAAAAAUUUUAAAAUAAAGACAAGUAUUAAUUUACUAUGAAUGCAACUUACAUAAGUUAGCGGGACAAUAUUGAAUCACACGCAAAAAACAAUCUGUCUUCUUCUUGAUUUCGUAAUUUAGCUGUCAAAAUAUAAUCUAUAAAGAUUACGAUACCUCGAUUCAAAAAAUGAUGUAUCUGAUGAAAUAAAUGAAAAUUGAACGUACAAUCUACCACGAACACUAUUCAAUUAACCGUUUAUUUCCCCUUAAAUUUUUAAUUUCAAUGAAACAUAGAUCUAAUGGGAACUACAUAUAUAUAAAAAUACUAUAGAUUGAAGAAGUUGAAUUUUUCUUGUGUGUUAAGUAUUUUUAGUUAAUACAAAAGGAUUCUAGCAAGUUAAUACAAAAGUAUCAUAAAUUCAUAGUAGUACAAGAGAUUUUUUUUUUUCUUUGAUGUUAAGAGUUUUGGAGAUAAAAAAAAAUAUAUAUAGGUGAAAGAAGAAGAUGAGAGAAGAGAAAAUAUUAAGAAUAGUUUUGGAAUUUUGAUGCGUUUUAUAGAGUAAAAUCUAUAUUUUAUAGUAUAAAAUGAUAUACCCAAAAUUUAAUGAUAAAAUUUUAAGAAAAAAUUGCACUCGUCAAAAAAAAAAAAAGCUCAGCUUAGCCCAAAAUUUUUUUAUUAAUCAUCUAGUCACUAAUGUAAUCUCUUUUUUAUGAGAUUCUUGAGCAUUUUAAUUUAGUCCAUUGUUAGCUAUCCUAAUAGCUUUUAUGUGCAUCUAUUUUUAUUUGAAAUAUGUUUCAAGCUUGAAUAAAAUCUGCGGGACAACUGGUAAGUAAUAAAGCUCAUUAAUUUUUUAUUUUGAAAAUAAAGGGAAUCACUUACACUUAGCAUGAUAUUAUUUUUGAUAAGUCAUUUUUUUGGUAGAUUAUUUUUUCUGACACGCUCUUAGAUUUAGUGAAAAUAAAUUGUAUACUUUAAACGAAGAAAAGUAAAGAUCAACCAAAUAUUUUGUUCUUUCCGACAACUUUUGCGUUCUCAAGUGCGCCUGAUACCCUUUUUUUUUUAACAUGAGCCCACGUGCCAUUGUUUCCAUUUCAAGUUCAUAAUUUAACAGUAGAAAUGGGUUCCACAGAUACUUUAUUUUAUAAUUUUUUAAAAAAUUACCAAAAUAUAAUAAAUAAGGUAAUAAUAAUUAAUAAAAAAGUAGAUUUUAAGAUGGAAAAAUCUUUUUGUGUGCUUAAUAAAAAGAUGAUAAGAAUGGGAUGCUUUUAGUUAAUUGGUUUACAUUCUCAUGGUUAUUUAUACUGAAAAAUUACAUCAAAAUUUAAUUAAUAAAUCAGUGAACUGCAGACUUAUUAAAUUUAAGCUAUUUUAAUAAGUCAUAAAUAUACUAAGUUAAAAUAGUAGUAAACCCAUUGUUACACAAUACUCUCCAUUGAGUGUUCACCAUUUUAAGAUAAUCAUAAAAUGACACCGGAAGUGCUAUUAUAGCUGUCUCAUGGAAAGCCUUCACCAAUAAAAAGGAGGAUAGAGCACAUACAUCCAGUUUUUAUACCCUUUGAUGCUCAGUCGACACGUGCCAAUGCUAUAGACUAUCGGAUAAUCUACUAAGGUGACGCAUGCCAAUGCUAUAGACUAGCUUUUCAAAGGUUGAACUGGGAAUACUUUUAGUAAAAAGACCUGCAAAAUCAUAGUGUACCUAUUUGACAUCAACUUUUUUUAUCUGCUGGAGCUUAUGAUUAUAGAAGAUCUUCGGUAAGAUGUGUUUGAUAUUAGAAAAUCUCCUUUUAUAUAUCCUCUUCUAACUUGUGUAAUAGUAGUAAACCCCUGCCCCUCUUUAUUUCGUUUAGUAUUUUCUAAAUGGCCGAAGGAAAAUUGGUAAAAACUCAUUUAAAAAUUAAAAAAUCAAAGAAACUCAAGAAGAAGCUUUUGUAUCUGCCAUUUGUAUUUGGGGUAUUUUUUUGGUUGUUAAGUGAAUAAGCUUAAAUCUAAAACAUUUAUUUAUAUAUUUCUUGUUGGAAAGAAUUUAAAUUUUAUUCUUAUUAGACUUAUUCUCUCUAAACAAAGGUAGAUUUUUCUCUAUGUGUUUAACGUGUAUUUUAAAAUUAAUGUUCAACAUAUCUUUAGAUUCUAUUAUAAAUAUUCAUAUCUAAAAUCUCAACAGAUUUCAUAAUAUAUAAAUAUAUAUAAAGAGAGAGAAUAACGUUUAUAAUAAGAAAUUUAUUAAGUUAAAGAAUAAUUCAAAAGAUAAAAUAACACACUCUAAUAUAUUAUAUAAUAAAAUAUACUAUAUUAAAAUAUAUAUUUUGUUUACUUUUUUUAAUAUAUCUCUUAAUAACUUAAGAAAUCCUUUGUUUAACACACACUCUCUCUCUCUAUAUAUAUAUAUAGAGAGAGAGAAAUGUUCGCGGAAAACCUUUAAAACCACAUGAUUUUAAAUAUUUAAACUUUAAGAACCGAUGAACAAUUUUUGACAAAGACGUUGCGACCUAAGUAGGGAUAGCAACUAAAUUCGGAUCCAACUCCGCAUGUAAGGAUCCGAAAGAUCCAGAUCCAGAAAAUUUUUAUCUGAAUAUUAAAAAAUGUUGAUCCGAAUAUAGAAAUUUGGGAUCUGCACGGAUUGGGAUGGAAGUACAUUCGGAAAAUUGGAUAUCGAGAUCUGGAUAAAUUUUGUUUCAAAUUAAAAAUUAAAUUAAAAAUUAAAUGAAAAAUUAAAAAAGUAAAUUUUAUUUGUGGAUUUAUGAUGUUGUUGUAUAUUAUUCAUGUUGAAUUAUUAAUUGUUGGAUUAUGAUUGAAUUUUGUUUGAAAUUAUUGGGUAAAUUUUUUAAUUUUAUUUUAAAUUAAAAAUAUUUAUUAAAAUUAAAUAAAAAUAAAACAUUAAAUUUUAUUUGUAAAUUUAUGAGAUUAUUGUAUGUUAUUCAUUUUGAAUUAUGAUUAAAUUUUAUUUGAUAUUAUUAGGUAAAUUAUUAAACUUUCAAAUUAUAUAUUAAAUUAUUUAAUUUUAAUUUUUUGCGGAUCCGAAUAUCUAGAAUAUCUGUCCGCAUCCGGAUCUACAUAUUUUUUUAUGAAUCCAGAUAUAAGAAUAUGAAUGCGGAUCCAAAUUCGGAUUUUGCCAACCCUAGACCUAAAAUGUUGUGACUUGUCUGUUCUACUUCAAUAUUAAGCACAAAUUCUCUGUCAACAUGUCUGUUCUACUUCAAUAUUAAGCACAUUCAUAGCGGUAUCAAAAUGUUGUGACUUGUGACUACCCAAAAUCCCCAGAAAGAGUGAGAGAUUUCACUGAAGCUAAGUUGUGACUUGUGACUACCCAAAUGUUCUAUAACACGAUAUGAUUAUUCUAGUAACACAAAUCCAAUAGCAUGCAACAUAAUCUACUCUCUAACAUUGUGCAUUAGUAAAAUAAAACAGAGUAAAAAGAGAAACCAUGCCUGUGAAUCUCUUCUUUUCCCCCUGCCACCCCUUUUUUCGGUGAAGUCCAUCAAAUGAAAAUGCAGCAUGACCACGUUGGCCACUGCCACUGCCAUUGCUUCUUCAACUGUGCCUUUUGUUGCAUGAAAUAUUCAAUUGAAAGAUGGUUUAUAUAAUUCAAGAUUCCAAUAGACCUGAGCUGCAAAGGUUGCCUUCCACUAGCCUAUCAGAGAAUAUGCUUUCUAUUUUCCUAGUUUUUUAAUCAAAAUUUUGCAAGAUUUAUUUAUGGAAUACUUGAACAAAAUUUUAUGUAAGAUACCAUAAAGCCAAAUGCAAUCUUUUUAAUCCUCAGCAGCAACAUUUAAAGUAAAAAAAUGGAAGCCAUAUAAAUAUAACUAUGUUUGGUACAAGCAACAAUUAUUUCAAGCUUUCAGAAAUGCUAGCAAGAGAUUGUAAGAGAACUUUACCUAGUCACAGAAUAUGUCAAACAUACUACCACCAACUGUCUUCAGCACGAUUGUUAUGAAGUCGCUUUUGAAUCGGAAGAUUCCAGCUUCCACCAGGCACCAUUAUUUUCAUUCUUGAUACUAUCUGCAUCACUGGCAUUAGUUAUAUCAUCAACUUUUGCAUCCUCACUCUCAUCAUCCCAAUCAAGGCUUCUUCUCCAGCUCUGGAUUAUAAGUCCACUCCGACAUCUUCAAACAUCUCGGUCCUUCCAUUUGCCAACAACCGAUAUGGCUUCCUUCCUUGCCUUCCCCAUUAAUAUAUCACUCGAAGGAAAAAUAGCCCCCACAAAAAGGGUCUUCAGACACCGCAACUUUGCCUUCUGCAAAACCUCCACAAAAUCUGAAUUAUCCAACACAACAGCCAGACACUCAAUCCUUCUUUUGUCCAUCUUAUCCACCGUAUGAUUCCUCAACAAAAUAUCUACAGCUUGUGGCUUAUCUAACACUGUCUUGAUCCAAAACCCCGCUCUUUUCAACUCAUCUGCCAAACCAUAACCCACUUUUGGAGUCAAAAUUGUCCUUGCAGCCCUUUUAUAUUUUUCCAUCUCCAUCGAAUACUUGCCACUCAAAUGGAAUUACCAGACAGGAAUCCCAGUAACAAGUCCACUCAACUUCUUCUCAUCUGAUCCCUCUUUCACUCUGGCGGAAACAUUAAUAACCAUUCACCAGCCACAAAUUACCCAAGUAAGUACUCGUGUCGUCAACACUUACCCUUCACUUCAUCGACGCAAACAAGAAUUCAAAUUGCUUAUUAGCUAGUGCUCGAGCGAAAGCCAAAAUAAAUUAAAUAUGUGUGUGUGUGUGUGUUAAAAGAGAAACGGUAGCGAAGUUAUUAUACAAUCAAGCAAACAAAAAUAAAUUCUACCCUCAUGUGGGUGUUUCGCUCGCAAAAUCUGGACAAGAAAAAAUAAUAUUGAUACAAUCUCCAAAUAAAGAGCAUUCCUCUUGGUAAAAUAGACAAAUCCUAUAAAUUUUGAUUAAUGGUGCCAAAUGAAAGAGUUGUAAUUUCAUGUACAUUUUGUUAACAUGAAUAAGGGUACAAAAUAGAUAACAAAGUGACAAAAACAAGGCUAAUCACAAUGGAUGAUAAGGUUUAGAGUAAACAUAAAGUUAUAAUCUUGAACAUAAGUGGCGCUCAAAGCCAUGAAUUUGAUAUCAUCAACAAGGGGAGUUCAAACAACGGCAUGUAAGAAGCAACAACUGUUGAGAAAAAAAAAAUUCAUAGUAACACGAGAAUAAAUUGUAAAGAAAUCCCAGUUUGUAUAAAAGAAAGAAAACAAAAUUAAGGAAAACAUAAACACAACAAAAUUUGACUGAUUAUUAAAAAUGAGAAAUGAGUUAUAAUGAGAAUUUUGGCUUUGUGGUGAAAUAAAUUGGGAAGUAUCCAAAAUUCGCAUGUAAAUAAUAUAAAUGAUAAGAAGACGAAGGGAACAAAAUGAUAAUAAGCAAGCCAAAUAUUAAAAUGUAUUACACCUCCUAAAGUCAUGUUAAGAUAGUUAGUGAGCUGAUAAAGUUUGUUGCACGUUUGAGUUGGUUUUUUUUCUUUUUAAAAGAAAGUAACCAACCCUUUCAUUAAUCACAAGAACUUGAGUACAUCGUAUAAUUCAGUUAGAAUAUUUUCCAGCCACAUAAAGGGAGAGUUUUUCUCCAAAACUAUCUUAUUUAAGUAAUGGGCACAUGCAUUACAAUGUCUUAGAAUGUGAUUGACAACAACUUUUUGGAAGUUUUUCAUCUGGUUUUGGAUUGCCAGAAUUGUCCAAAAAAAUUUUGAUCUGUUGCCCUUGGUGUUGUUCACUAGCUGGACCACCUCUAAGCAAUCUGACUCAAUGAUCAAAGAGGUUACAUCCGCACUUCUUGCCAGCUGAAGGCCCCAAAGCACAGCCUCUACUUCAGCCAAGCUUACUGACCCCUUUAGGAGGUUCUGAUUAAUCCCAGCUGCAACUAUCUUACCAUUAGAGUCUCUAAUCACAGCUCACACUCCUUCACUCAGAUUCUUUGAAUUAAUAGCAGCAUCCACGUUAACUUUGAAAACAUUCUCAGGGAGGAGCCACUCCUGAUGCUUCUCUUUUCUGUGGAGAGAGAUAUGAGCUUGCUCGGGCUUCUUAACUCUCUGAAAUGCUAUCAACACAGAUUCCACUUUAGCAGCUGAGAUAAUAGGAUUAAUCUCCCUGCCAUCGAAAAUACAUUUGUUCCUAGCCUACCAAGCAGACCAACACAGAGCUACCAUUAAUUCCAAAUCUGUUUUCCUCAGCUCCUUAGCCAUUCUUUGAAGAGUGCUGAAGAUGUCCUAAGAAUUAGCUUCUAAGUUAUGGGCUGUAAAAGGGGACUGGAGCCAAAUCUUUCUCGCAACCUUGCACUCCAAGAGGGCAUGGCUGAUAGUCUCUACACUUAUUUUGCAUCGCUUACAAGUUGGCUCCUCCACUAACUUCCUUUUCCACAAAUUUUCCACCGAUGGAAGCAGAUUAUUUGAGACCCUCCACAUGAAGAUUUUAAGCUUCUCAGGUAGCUCCAGUGACCAAAGGGCACUCCAGUACUGGUUGGAAGCCUCUGAGCAGCUGGUAGAAUCUGAAAAUUUCGUUCUCAAUGCUAGUUGGUACCCACUCUUGACAGAGUGGUUCCCUCUUUUGCCGUAAUGCCAAAGCACUUCAUCUUCCGUUUGCUCAGCUGGGAGGGAAAUCUUGAGGAUCUCUGCUGUGUCUGCAUCCAUGAAGUGCUGUCGUGGCUUGAUUUCAUCCUAUUGGUUGUUAGCCUUAAUUAAGUCUACAACAACUGAGUUUACAGGCAAUGAUGGAAAAUAGAUCUGAAGGUCUCUGGUCUUGGCAGCCAAUUGUACGAGAAAAUUGCUAUCUUCUUGCCAUUACCUAUAUGCCACUCAGGCCCUUCUUAAUCACUUGCCUACCUCAAAGGAUGCUUCUCCAAAUAUACGAGGCAUUGGCUCCUGCUUCUGCACAUAAAAAGCUGGAUUUCCUGUAAUAUCUUGCUUGAAGGACUCUUGAGACUAGGGAAUUUAGGUACUGCAAUAACCUCCAUGCUUGCUUAGCUACCAAUGCUUGAUUGAAACAAGUAAACUCUCGAAAUCCCAGCCCCCUCUAAUCUUUGCUUGGCUAAGCUUCUCCCAUUUCCGCCAAUGGAUUCCGCGCUUAUCCCCUUUCGAGCCCCACUAGAACUUCACUAUAGCUCAUUGAAUAUCAUCACAAAGGCCUUUUGGGAGCUUGAAAACACUCAUUGCAUACACUGGAAUUGCUUGGGCUGCCGCUUUGAUCAGAAUUUCCUUCCCCCCACUAGACAACAUUUUAUGCUGCCAUCCUGCAAUCUUGUUCAACACUUUCAGUUUGAUGUCAUUAAAGAACCCCAUCUUCUUCCUCCCAAUCAUUGAUAGAAGACCGAGGUAUUUCUUGUGCUUUGAGACCACAUUUAGAUUAAAGAUACCCCUUAUAGCAGCCCUUUGAUGCUCUAGAAUUUUGCCACUGAAGAACAAUGAGGAUUUCUGAAAAUUAAAGAUCUGUCUUGAUGUUGCAGCGUAUUUAUCAAAAAUCUCUUUUAAAUGAAUGCAUUCAGCCACUGAUGCACGAGAGAAGACCAAGCUGUCGUCCGCAAACAACAAGUGAGUAAUUGAAACUUCCCGUACAAAUUUGAGGCCUCGGAUUAGCUGGUUUUGUUAUGCCAAUAUCAACAAAUUGGAGAGAGCCUCUGCACAAAGAAUAACAAGGUACGGGGAUAGUGGGCAGGCCUAUCGCAAGCCUCUUUCCAGCUGGAUCAUUCCUUUUGGCACACCAUUAAUAAGCACCGAGAAUGAAACGGAAGUAACACAUCUCAUUAUCAAAGCUACCCAAUUACUAGGAAACCCCAACUUUAUCAUAGUUUGUUCUAAAAAGGGCCACUCAACUCUAUCAUAAGCCUUACUUAUGUCCAAUUUUAAAGCCAUAAGUUCGUUCUUCUUCCCUUUGCUAUGUCUUAUUUUAUGAAUGCAUUCAUAACCAAUAAUGACAUUAUCGGUAAUGAGCCUAUUAGGGAUGAAUGCACUUUACAUUGGGGAGAUGAUUUGGGAAAGGAUCGGCUUCAUUCUAUUUGCAAUGGCCUUAGCUACAACUAUAUAAAUAACAUUACAAAUGCUGAUAUGUCUAUAAUCACUCACUUUCCUAGGAUUUGCAAUUUUUGGAAUCAAAGCAAUAAAAGUGUGAUUGAGGAUAGAUGGGUUACCUUGCUCAUUAAGGACAUUAAGACACGUUGAGAUCACUCAUUUACGGACGGAUUUCUAAUGCUUCUGAAAGAAGACAGCUGGAAGACCAUCAGGCCUUAGGGCCUUUGUGGGGCACAUGUUGGCAAGGGCUUCCUCUACGUCUUCAGCGAUGAACGGCUUUUCCAGCUGAACAUUCAUCUCCAGAGUUACUUUUGCAGUCAUUCCUUGAAGGGUUGCUUGGAUUUGGCUUGGAGUCGGGCUGGAAGUAGUGAAUAGCUCUUGGAAAUGGCUGCAAAACUCCUCCUCUAUUUCAUCCAUGUCCUUCACCCAAGUGCCUUAGUCGUUUUCAAUCCCCCACACCUUGUUCUUCCUUUUGCAGGCAGAAGCUUUGGCGUGAAAAUACUUCGUGUUCUUAUCCCCUUCUCUAAGCCAGUUGGCCCUCGAACGCUGUUUCCAGUAAAUCUCCUCGUCAACUAGCAUAGAGUUAAUCUGACUUUCCAACCUCUUAAUUUCCUUGCCAUCAUCCAGCUUUGAAUUCCAUCUCAUAGCAUCUUGAAGGCUCUGCAUCAACUUUUCUUGCUUUCUUUGCCUACCAUUAAAUUCGGUUUUGCUCCAAAGUUUUAGCUGGGCCAAUGAAGCUUUGGCCCUUCUCUAAAAUUGUUGAACAGGGGAUUCCCAAGCUCUAGUCCCAUGUCGACUCCACUCUUCCUGGACUCUACUCUUGCAGCCUUCGUGAGAACUCCACAUAUCCUCAUAAUGAUCUCGGGGGAAUGAUUUGCCCACAUUUCUCGAAUUCUUGCUUCGCUCAUUGAAUUCUAGAAUGAUUGGGCAAUGGUCCAAAGUCCAGUUCACUAGAUUUGUGGCUAUAGAUUCUUGGAAUUUAAUCCCCCAAUCCUUACUACACAGAAAUCGGUAUAAUCUCUCCUCAAUGAAAUGAUCUCCGUAUCUUUUAUUUGACCACGUAUAGAGAUAUCCCUUACUACCCAUAUCCUGCAAAUUGCAGUUUUGCACAACUUCCCUAAACUCGGCAACCAUAUUCAGAUUUCUCUCAUUGCCCCCAUUUUUCUCAUGCAUAUGCAUUAUCUCAUUGAAAUCCCCAAAACAGCACCAAGGAUAGGAGAAUAGACUGGCAACCCUUUUCAUGAGAGUCCAAGUAUUAUGCUUCUGGCUGAACUCGGGAUGGCUGUAGAUCCCUAUGCAUCUCCACCUCAAUCCACUUUCAUUACUCACUAUUGCAUCUAUAUGAUGUGGGCUGUACGAGGUAAUGCUAACAUUAACAUCUGCACUCCAAAGCAAGGCUAGACCUCCCCCCAUGCCCGUUCUAUCUACUGCAAAACAAUUCUCGAGAUUAAAGUCUCUACAAAUAGAUUCAACUUGCCUAGCCAACAUCUUGGUUUCACAAUAGAAAAGAAUUUGAGGCUGGUGUAGGUGGAGAAUUUUUUUGAGAGCUAGGCGCGUUCGAGGUUUCCCCAGACCUCAAACGUUCCAACUUAGGAGUUUCAUGGUUGUCGACGGGCCUGAAAUUCAGCACCCGCCGAUACUUCUUCUUCCAUAGCUGCCACAUUUUCCCCUUCAUCUGAUAUCUCUUCUGUUAUCUUUAGCUGCCGAGCUGUUCUGUUGGAGCUAAUGUGGUUGCAGUAGUCUGAGUUUAUUGCUAAACUUAUGUGGUUUCCCACGUGUGGUUGUUUUGGUGGACUGAGCACUCUUUUUUUUUGUGGGCUGAGCUGAUUGUCAUCACUACUAGGUCUUUUUGCUCCUAUUAACCCAUGAUCCUUCGCUCCUUUUGCUAUGGGAAUUCUUGCCUUAAGUUUCCAUUUUCUUGCUUUGGGCUUCACGUUAGUCUUGCUUGGCCCACUAUCCAUUUCUUCCAUAUCUGAUCUGGCACUCUCUUCAGCCUGCUUCCUUUUAUCUUUUAUUAUUUUCAAUCUUGCUUUAUCCAUAGGAUUUUCGUUUUCCUUCAAAAUCUUUUCUCCCACCUUUGUACUUUCAUAGCUAUAAUGGCUAUCAUUACUUGCCACCCUAUUCUGCACCUCGUCGAUGUCACAGCCCAUACUUUGACUCCCCACUUGCUGAUUUUUCGUCUAUGAAGAGGUCAACAUUAAAUGUGCUUUGUCAUAUUUCAGCAUGUUUCUUGUAUCCUCUAGUUCUGCUCCAUCUUUUAUUUCCUGAUUCGAUUUGUUCAAUUUUGACCUGUCUCGAUCAAUCGGGUUGUUUGAGCUUGGGCUGGUUGUUGCUUGCACAUUUGCUUUGAGAUUGGAUUGCUCUCGAUUGCCUUUCUCUCUACUUCGAUUUUGCUUUAUCCUGUCAGCUUGUGUAACAGUUCUCAUCCAUCCACCAUAAGGCAAGUCCUCCUUUUGUUGCCCUUUGUAUCUCAGGCAUUCCCUGUACUGGUGACCGAUAUGCGCACAACAAAAGCAAAAAUCAAGAAGUUUUUCAUACAAAAUUGGCAUUGGAGUUUUGCCAUCCGCUUGUUGUAGGAACACAAUCUUUUUUAGAGGCUGUGAAAUGUCAAUGGAUAUCCUGACUCUCGCAAACUGCCCAAUACAUUCCCCAGCUUCGUCUGUCUCCACUUCCUUGACUGUACCAAUUUUUUCUCCCAGCUUUUGGAUGACCUCCUUGUUCAUACACAUUAUUGGUAUGUUAUGGAUCUGAACCCAGAAUGUGGUAUGUGUAAAAGAUUGAUUUUUGAUAUCUCCAGUCAAGACUAUCAAUACUUUGUCGAAAUGCCACGACCCUCCCAUGAGCACCCUUUUCUUUUCUUCUUCAUAGGCGAACUUGAACAUGAAAAUGUUAUCCCCCAUGCUUUCUAUUUUAACCUCUUUGACGGAUCUCCAAGCCAUUUGCAUUGCAGCUUUCAAGCCCUCCUUGUUUAUACUUCUUGAUGUUAGCACUUUGCCCACUAAACAAUUCGCAGCUACUUCCUCUCCCUUUAUCUUCAUCCGCCCCAUGAAUGUUACGUUUAAUAUUAUAACGCUGUCAAUGGCAAAGUACGUGAGUGAUACAAAUUAAAAACAAACAAAUCAAACCCUGUGCACUGUCAUCCCUAAUUAUAUUUACCACUUCAUACUCACAGUGAUAAUAACUGUGUAUCACAGUUGACUUUCCAGACGGCUAAAAGUUCCAAGUCCGGAUGCUUGGUUAUUGAAACUUGAUGAAAAGGGCAUGAAAGAAAAUAAGAAAUUAAAUAAUACAGGAGGUAUUAAUCAUAACAUCUCUAGUUAAUGAAAAUUGAUGAACGGUAAUCCAAUAUUUCUGCAGACAUGAGCCGUAAUUAUGAUACCAUUAAGAAUGAAGCAGAAGAGUUUCCCCAAAAAAGUUAAAACGCGGCACUUGGAUUUAAAGAAUUAUCAUAUCACAGUACCGGGACAAAAAAAGGUUAAUGCAACAACAUACAUCAAGUUAAUUCCAUAAUCUAUCGCCAAAGAAAGACAAACACAAGCUUAUAAGAUUAAAACUUUGGAAAACAUUAGAGUCGGACAAAAUUGUGCAAUCUUCAGAGUUUGGAGCCUAGUUCAUCCAGGAAAGCAAAAGAAAUAAUAAUAAUAAUAAUAAUAAUAGUGGUUUGAUCUCAAAAGGUGACAUCAAGGUGGUAACUUUGAGGUAUUGGAAGCUAAAACGUCUUCAACUUUGUCCUGAUUUUGAAGUCCCUUAACCCAUCCGCCAUCAAUGGAUUGAAUGCUUCCAUUCAACCCAUCAUCCACAAAAUCACCAACCCGUUUCACCUUCAUCUCCUUCGGCUUAACAGGGUACUUCCCAUAGAAGCAAGCAUAACAAAAAUUCUGAGAAUCAUCGCCUGACAACUUGUUCAGGCUGUCAAUUGGCAGAAAAGCAAGCGAGUCACACCCAAUAAACUCCCUGAUUUCCUCGACGCUCAUCCUGUUGGAAAUCAACUCCUCACUACUUGGGGUGUCCACUCCAUAGUAACAACUUAACAAGAAGCUAUGAUUGGUGGGCUUGCAAUUCUCAUGUGAACCUCUUUAGCUCCAGCCUCCUUAAGCAACCGAACAAUUUUCGAUGAAGUUGUUCCUCUCACUAUUGAAUCAUCCACAACCACAACUCUCUUUCCCUCCAACACUCCCCUUACAGGAGAGAGCUUAAGCUUGACACCAAAGUCCCUAAUUUUCUGGGACGGCUCAAUGAAAGUUCUCCCAACAUAGUGUGACCUUAUCAACCCUUGUUGAAAUGGUACCCCGGCUUUCGCAGCGUACCCAAGUGCAGCCACCACUCCAGAAUCUGGUACUGCAAUCACAGCAUCACACUCAACAGGAGCCUCGGUAGCAAGUACUUCCCCAAAAUGAUACCUCAACUCAUAAACAGACCUACCAAAUACAACAGAAUUGGGCAAAGCAAAAUAAAUAUGCUCAAAGAUGCACUGGUUAGGUUCAGGGUGAGGCAUCAAACAAAGUGAUUGAACCCCAUCUUUAUCCACCAUCAAAACUUGGAUAUACCUCUCUCUCGUAUGUGGCCUCAAUCAAAUAGUGCACAAGUCUCUGUCGCAAAAACCAGAGCACCAUUACUCCUCCUACCCAUCACCAACGGCACAAACCCAUACGGGUCACGAACCGCAACAAGCUUAUCCUCAGUAACAAACACCAUUGAAUAAUUAUAUUAUUAUUAUUAUUGUUUUUAAAAAUAUCAUUUAUUUAUUUUUUAAAAUUUUUUUAAAGGUAAAGAAGUGGGUAAAGAUCAAAUUCAAUUUUUAUUCCUUACCCCCUAAGAUUUGAACUUAAGUGACCAAAUGUAUAAUAUUAAGCAUCUCAAAUUUCAUUUCUAAUGAUAUACAAUUUAUUAAGUGAUUGUUAAUCUUUACAAGAUUCGAGUGAAUUAAUUAUAUUAUUUCACUAUUAAUAAUAUGAGUAUCAUAUUAUUUGGAAUAACUUUUGAAUAAAAACAUUGUGAUGGAUGAAAUAUUCUUUUGAGAAUUUAUUGACUUAUCUCAUUUAUGAUUUAUUGUUGCAUUUAAGUGAUAUUGCAAAUAAUCUCAGAUAAUUUCAAGCCAUAUGUCAUUAUUGGGAUAAAAAUAAAGUAAAAUGGUUAAAACUAUUUUUAUGUAAUUUAUAAAAAUUAAUGAAGCAACUACAAAAUUUUUUAAACGAAAAACAAUUGAAAUGUGUGUGGAAAAAGAAGAAAAAAAAUAAGGCAUUUAAAUAUCUUCUUAAAAAAUACGAUUGAGUAAAAUCAUUUUAACAGAAUGCUCUUCCAAAUACAAUUCCACAUUUUUUUUAUUGCAGUGGGAUAUUCCAAAAUUGGCACAACUCAUUAAGAAUUCGGCAACUCAAAUUUUAUUUAUCACUCUAUGCAUUUGACAAAUUAAAAAGAAAAAAAAAAUUCAUAUAUCUUCUGUUCAAAAGAAACCUUGGUAAAUAUUGUAAAACAAAUUACCAUUUUUUUUAAUUUAUGCCAUUAUAUCGUCGCUAUUUUCUCGCCCACUUUCUUAAAAUAGAAUCAAUAUUCAUUGAUGGGUUGGGUUCCAGAGUAAGCACCAAUUCUGCAAAAUGGUUUUAUAGUAGAAAAAGCACUUGUAAGACAUUCAGAACACAUUUUUCAAUUUUGUCUUUUGAAAAUGAGUCUUGAGUUCCACAAGCCAAGAAGAAUGGCUAAAAAAUGUAUGGUAUCAAAGAAAGAGAAACACCCACACACACAGAGAUUAAUGGGGAGAUAUAUGAUUGUGUAAUUUGCAUAUAUAUCCCCAUUAAUUGUUGAUAGUCCAAUGGGUCUAUGCAAAAGGAAAAAAUUGGCUGUCCUUAAAGACAAAAUUGACUGUCACAUGAAAAUAAAAAAAUUUGUUACCACGCAACGAAAAUAAAGAUUUCAAGAACAACUUUAUGGUCCCCUUUCUGUCCAAACAUAUGCGAUAGCAAUUAGUGUAAACGACACUUGAAAUAUAUAUAGUAGAUCCUCACGCAAUUGAUAAAUAUUUAUAGUAGGAUGGAGUGAUAAAUAGUUUCACAAAAUUAUUGGAAUUAACUAUUGAAUACAUGAGAUCUAUCUCAUUAAGGAUAAAAGAUUUGAGUGCUACUUCAAAAGCAUGACGUUGCUGGCAACAAAUUUAACACAAAAGUUUAAUUAAUUAUCUUAGUUGAGACGAUAAAAUCUUGGAUUAAGAACAAAAGGUUUGAGGUUCGAACCUUCUCAUUCAAGAAAAUCAAAAUAUUACAUCUUCCAGCACAUAUCAAACAUUUUUUCAAAGGCAGACUGACAAUUCAGGGUAAAAAAAACAAAAAAACAAAAGGAAUAUAUGCUAUUGAAGACAAGUAUACCUUGGACAUGAAGUCUGAGUCCAGAACAAGAAGCAAUUAGCUGAUCUUUCAAUUUCCAAAACCCAACAAAAUCUUUGUCAAAAUAUACGAUCUAGUCCCAUAUUAAGCACAUUCAUAGCCGUAUCACCAGGUUCAAAAUAUUUUCCCCAAAAAGAGAUAGAGAUUCCAUUGAAGUUGAGUUGUGACUGUCCCAACGUUUGUAAUUAUAUGUUUCAGGAUACCAUGCCUAUGAAUCAUUUUUUUUUUCCAUGUUUCGAAGUCUAUCAAAUGAAAAUGUAAUUAUAUGGUUCAGGAUACCAAUAUGCCAGAGCUGCAAAGGUUGACUUCUACUAUCCUAUCAAUGUCUAUACUUUCUAUUGAAUUUCCUUGUUUGUUUUUUUAAAUUGCGAGAUUUAUUUUUAGAAAUCUUUGACACAUUUUAUGAAAGAUACCAUAAAACCAAAUACAACCAUUUUGAUUCAGCAACAACUUUUUUUUUUCCUUUUAAAAAAAGGAAGCCAUAUAAAUGAUGCUUUAAACAUUAUUUGCAGCAAGGAACAAUUAUUUCAUGCUUUCAGGUAUUAGAAACUUCCCAAAAAUGCUAGCAAGAAAAUGAAAUGGAACUUUACCUAGUCACAGAAUAUGUAUUGCUGUUAGCCCAAUUGUUAUGAAGUGGCUUCUGCAUCAGAAGAUUCCAGCUCCCACCAAGCAUUGUUAUCUCUCUUCUGAAUACAAUCUGCAUCCCUGGGCAUGAGUUAUAUCAUUAAUGUCUGCAUCCUCACUUACAUCAUCCCAAUCAAGUGUUUUUUCUCCAUAUCUGGAUUAUAAGUCCACUCUAAUCUCUUCAAAACAUCCUAGUCCUUCCAUCAUACGACUUCCUUCCUAAUUACUUUCCCAUUAAUAAAUCGCUCCAAGAAAAAAAAAGCAUUAACAAUUCUCUUCAACGCCCCAUCACUCAUAUCCCCUACAACAAACAUCUUUAGACACCUCAAUGUUGCCUCUUGAAAGACCUCCACAAAAUCCGAAUCAUCUGACACAACCAUCAAACACCUAAACCUUCUUUAGUCCACCAUAUCCACCAUAUAAUUCCUUAACUAAACAUCGGCAUCUUGUGGCUUAUCUAACACCUUCCUGACCCAAAACCAUGCUCUUUUCAACUAAUCUGCAAAACCAUAACCCACUUUUGGAGUCAAAAUUGCGCUUGCAGCCAUUUUAUAUUUUUCCAUCUUUAUUGAAUAGUUGCCAACCAAAAGCACUCUCACCUUCCCUCUAGUUGAUUCUAUUUGAUUCGACCUUUUCUUUUGUUCACCCUCAUGAAUUUGCCUAAAAUGAUUAAUAAGUUUGUCAUUAUUAUAAAAUCUCCUUCCACAAUCACCAAUACAUACGGCUUAGCAGGCCUAAUUACACCCUUGAUUUAUAAUUGGAUAAACAAUUCUUUUUCUUUCUUUGCUCUCUUACAACUUGAGGCACAUAACUAAACGUGUGGCUAUUAGCAUUUGCCACCAUGUAUUUAACAACCCCAAAUGAAGAUAUUAAUUUUUUUAGUUUAAUUGCUGCUUCAAAAUGGGGUACUGCAUUUGGAUUUUGUUAUUCAAAUUCCAAAAUGUUCCCACAUUGUGUUGGACAGUUUUUGGUUCUAAAGUUUAUGACUGGUUUUGCCAAUCAGGCUUCAAAUGAGAACUUCUAAACAAUAAGACAAAUAGGUUUUGAGUUUCUAAUCUUAUAAACUUUGUUCUAUUGUAUAAGUUAUGAAAUCGCUGAAACAUCACUACAGCUACAGGUCUUUAUGUGUCAAUGAACUGCAGAAGCUGAUGAUCUACUUGUAGUAGACUCCUAUUGCCCCUGCCAUUCUAGGAAGACAAACAAGUUCAGGAACUACAUCUGGACCAAACUCGUAAUAUUGCCACUGCUUUGUGCCAAUCUGAGACGGAAAGAAGAUUGAAGUUCCUAAAUAAGGCACAUCAUGAUUUAAUAGAAGUACCAUUAUAAGGAAAAAAUGAUUUCAGGAAAGCACUAAAAUAUGACAUAAUCUCCCCCUAAUGGUCUAAAGUAGUCAAGAAAUUAUAUCAACCAAGCAAAAACACAUAAACUAGUUGAGAUACAAAGUUAUCAUAAAAGUCAAUUUUGAUCACAAAUCCAUUAAAAUUAAAAGACAUCAGAAAGUUAUAGAACAUUAUAAUUUAGGACUUAGCUAAGUUGCAAAUUCUGUAAUUAACAGCUGAGUCCACAUUGGCCUUGCAUCAGCUGAGUUUGGGUUGCUUUUCCUCUCUCCUGCAACGCGUGAAAGCGUCCCAUUUGCUGUGUUAUAUACAGAGUCGGUACCGUAGCAAGCUCCUAUAAUUUAAGUUUGAUUACUGUAGACAAUAGUCUGCCUCUGUUCAAAAGCUAUGCUGCAAGAUAUAACGUCUUUGCAAUGUUGUACUUUCUAAAAGUAAUAAGAAAUGAAACCAAGGGGUAAACCGAACACCAAAAGAAAUUUAGUCGGCCAACCAUAUUAUGUUCCCACACAGUCCACUAAUUAAGUUAAUAAUUAAAGGGAAUUAAAAUCUAAGAAAUCUCAUCUUCAAGCAGAAUACAAACACACCAGGAUUGAAAAUCACAAAAUCAUAAAAAGAAGCUGACUUGAAAAGCUCAAAUAUACGUUCAUCAGCCUCUCAACUUAUAUCUAAGAACAAAUGCCUGCAGCCUGUGAAGACAUAGAUAAUUGAAGCUGAUGAGGCAUAUUUAACAGAUGAUAAUCAAAACUCAUGUGAUUAAAAUUAUAAUUCAAUAAUGGAUCACAUAAAACAACAAGUAACUAGUUGUAUAUAUACCAAACAACUUUCUGAAGUUAAGGCGUAAAACAAAAACGUAGAACAAAUUAAUUAAAUAUACUAGCACCAAUACUCUUAUUAUUAUCCACGUAGAAAAUAACAAUGUAUCAAACAAGGAAAAUGAAAUAUUGUUAAUAACUCAAAAACCACUAGUGUCAAGAACUAGACUAAUAAGUGAAACCCAUAAUCAGACACAACCACAUCAAAAUCUCUGAAAAUUGAGGUCUAAACAUUGAAAACAAUUAGACAUAUAUAACAGUCAAUCGAAACAAAGCCUCAAAAUAAUAAUAAACUACAAUAAGACAGAACCUAAAUUGUAAACACACGCAUACCCAGUAACAGUAAUCAAGUAACAAGUCAAAACCAGAAUCAAACGUAGAAUUUUGAAAUCCAUACGAACUCUAACGUAUUAGAAUGAAAGAAUAAGGAUGAUCAAUAAACUAGACUCAAACAAAAACAUGCCCAGUUAAAAAAUGAAGGUAAAUAAAUAAAAAUGGUAUAAAACUGCGAAAAAAAUUAAUGAAAUGAAGAGAAAAUCACAGGAAUCCUAUGAAGAGGAAGGUAAAGAAACCUUCCAGAGCCGAGAAGAUGCCUUUUUGGUUGACGUUUGUGCCUAUACAUAUAUAUAUAUAUUUUUUAAUUUUGAAGAAAGCAUUGGUUAACAGAAAGGGAUGGCAACGUGGCAGAUAUAUAUUAGAUUUAUUCUACUCCAGAUUCGUAUCCAUAAUAAAAAUUAAAAUUCGUAUAUGCUCUAUAUUUGUCAUAAAUUUAUAUUUUUCGUUCCAUAUUCAGAUCUAAAAAAUAAAUAAAUAUCUAUAACUGCUCUAAAUCUGGAAAAAAAAAUUAAAAUCCAAAUAUACUUUAAAUUCAUCAUGAAUUCUAAAACUUAGUAAUAAAAAAGUAAUAAUUUUUUAGAAUGAAAAUUGAAGACUAAAAUGUAUUGAUAACAAUAAAUUAUAUAUUUUUUCUCAAAAAUAUAAUAAAUAUUGUAGCUUAUACUUUUACACUAAAACAACAAAUAAGAAAGAUAAUAAAAUAUUUUUCAAAAGUAAUUGCAGGAGUAAGAUCAAUAUAAUAUUAUACUGUCUCUUUUAUCAUUUUAAUAUCCAUGACACACCUACCCUUAUUUCUACAACAUUAGAUAAUGACAUAUAAAUUAAAUAUGAUUUAUAUUCAGUGCUUUUUAUUUUUAUUAUGACCAUAUUUAACUAAAUAUAUGAAUAAUUAUAUUCAUUAAAAAUUAUUUGGCCAAUAUAAUGAAAUAAAUUGUCAGGUUGUAUUACUUGGCUUGCAAUUUGAAUAUUGCAUGUACAUGCUUUGGGGCUGGCUGAUCUUUAAAUUUACAAAACUAAUCUUUAAGUUUUAAGAGUUUAAAUACAUGGUAAAUAUUACUAAUAUACUAUGAAUAAAAUUUAUUAUCAUUAUAAUUCCACAAUUUUUAAGAAACUUUUAAAAUAAAAUAAAAUUAAAAGAUUGGUGGAUAUGGAUAUGGAUUUAGAUAUUAUGAUAGAUCCAGACCUGCUCCAGAUCUGUCUUAGAUCCGCACAUCAAUAUCCAAAUAUGAUCUAAAUUCAUUUUAAGCUGACCCAAAUCCGAUCCGAUUGGAUUUAGAUCACGUGGAUCUUGAGUCAGAUCCAAUCAUUGCCAUUAGGGAUGGCAAUUUGCGGGCCUGGGCCGGGCUUUUUAAAGCUCAGGCCCAAGCCCACAUCAGUUAAACGAUGUCCAGGCCCUUCAAAAGCCCGCCCAACCGAACUCGGGUCAGGCCUAAGCGGGCCUAGGCUAGGCUCGGGCUUUUAAAAUUAAUUAUAAAAUAUUUUUUAAAUUAAGAAAAUUAUUUAAAUUAAAGAUAAUAAUAUAAUAUAUAAAUAGAAUAAUAGUCAAAUACAUUAAAUAUUAGCAAUACAACCUAAUAAAAUAACAAAUACUAAUAUAAAAAAUUAAAGUAAUUUAAUAUUUUGAUUUUUUUCUUUUUUAUUUAAAUUAAAUUUAUUUUUUAUUCAUAAAUUUAGAAAGCCCUUGCUUUUUUGCUAAGCCCUUGUCUAGGCCCAACAUAUGUGGGCUUUGUAAUUUUUAGGCUCAUAUCCAAGCCCACCCCCUUGCGGGCCGGGUGUUAGGCCCGCGGGCCUGGGCUGGGCUUGACCGGGCCUGGGCCGGCCCGGGCUUUUUUGCCAAAUAUGAUCUAAAUUCAUUUUAAGCUGACCCAAAUAUGAUCCGAUUGGAUUUAGAUCACGUGGAUCUUGAGUCAGAUCCAAUCCAUUGCCAUCCCUAUUAACAGAACGAAAUAUUAAUAAUAGAUGUUGGCAAUUUCAACAAGGACAAUCUUGGAUUCAAAUGUACCCCUAUGAUAAAGAAAAAGCCAGCUUGGCUAAAUUUUGAGCACCACAUUACAAGAUCUAGGUGUAUGCUUAACUAUGCAAAAUGAAACAUCUAUUAAUUGUAAGUCCCUUGACCUCUGUAACCAGCCAACCGGUCUCUUUCCUACUAGACAACCUUCCAUCGACCAGAUUAAUAAUAUUUACUAAAUCAUGUUCUAUAGUUAAUGAAGUUGGACCAAGGCAAUUGUUAGCUUAAUGUCACAGGCCGCUCAAAUUUGCCGUAAUUGGAGGAUAAUUAUGUGCACAUGAGUUUGCUUAGCAAAAGUCCGCCUCGACGUGGAGUGCGCUUAAAAGCGGGAUGCACUUAGAAGUGGGAUGCGCUUAGCAAAUCAUCCAAGCCCAACCCAAGAUCUAGAACUCUCUGCAAAUUAUAAAUAAGUUAAAAGUUUUUAUAUUUCUCCACGUAGGUCCCUAGGAUAUUUAUGGAAGUUGCUAGGAAGUUUCCUCCCCUAAAAUGUUAACAUUUUGGUGGACGGUUAAUAUAAGUUACAAACUUAAAAUAGAAAAUCAAAUAAAUUCAAAUUUUCAAACUAUUUAUGGCAAAUUUAGGACAUAUGGUUAAUAAUUUUCCCAUGUCUUUUUACAUUGGUUGGUAUAAGUUACAAACUUAAAAUAGAAAAUCAAAUAAAUUUAUAUUUUCAAACUAUUUAGGGCAAACUUAGGGUAUAUGGUUAAUAAUUUUCCUUUAUUUUUUUUUACGUUAAAUUGAGUUUCAAAGGUAAAAUGGUCAAUUUAUUAUAAAUCUGUUAAUUUUUUAGUGGAAGCAAAUGAUAUAAUGGACGAAUGAUAUAAAUUGUAAAAUUAAGUUGCAUGAAUGAUACAACUUUAAAGUAUUGUAGUAAUCUUAAUAAUAGAACAAUUUAAGGGUGGAUUGGCAAUAAUUUAAACUUUAAUGAAGCAACUAAAAAAAAUUUUUAACAAAAGAAAAAUAAUUGAAAUGCUUUAAGAAAAAUAAAGGAAAUUAAAUAUCUUUAUAAAAACAUAAUUGAGUAAAAUCAUUUUACAAAAUGCUCUUUCAAAUGCACAUUCCACAAGUCAGGGAGAACGGGUGGCUAACAAAAAUCUCACUUUUUAUGAGUUUAUAAAAUCUCACUUUUGCAGAAUUCAAAAAUAACAAAUACUAAUCACACAAAAAAUAAAAAUUAUUGCUGUCACGACAUUACGCACUUUCUUCGUUGUCUAGAAAGGUAGAACAUUUCGAUGUUCCUCAAUACAAAAUGCGUGCUACUACUAAAUUGGCCCAAUUAAUGCCCAUCGAAAAGGCCAUGAAUUUAGCCAACAAUUUUGUCAAAAUUUCAGCAAUUGAAGAAAUAAUGAUCACAAACAGAACAGUUGAAUUUUGAAGUUUGAAAAAAUCUCCAGAUACGUACAACAAAGUCUUGAAGCUCUGGUCUUUACAAUUUGAGCACAGAAUAAAUAUUAACUACCUGCCAUUUAUAAUUUGUAUUAACUCUGUACCAAAACGUUAAUCGUCAUUCAUAAUUAAUGACGUGACAAUGAUAAUUUAAACAUUUGAUAUGCUUAAUAAAAAAUAAAAUAAUAACUUUAAAUAUAAAAAUUAAAAGAUAUUUUUAUAAUCAAUUCAAUUAAAUACACUUAAAAACUCACAUUAAUCCACAAAAUGCAUACAAAUGUACAGUACCAGAGAAUGAGAAACACACAUUUAUAGGCAAUCCAUUUGAGUUUAUGAAAUCUCAGUUCCCAAAAUCCAAAAAUAUUCAAUACACUCACAAACUUAAAAAAUAAAAAUGAUUGCUGUCAAGACACUUUUUAGCUGUCUAAAAAGCUAAACAUUUGAAGUUGUUUGAUACAAAAUGCAUGCUAAAUUGGCACAAUAAAUCCCCAUCGAAAGGUUAACAAUUGAAGGACAAUGAACACAAACGUAAUCUUUAGAUACAUACAACCAAUCCUUCAAACUUUAGUCUUCACAAUUUGAGCACGCCAUAACCACCCGCAAACAAGUUUUGGUAGCUUCUUGCGCGAACUGAACCCGCUGAAAUGUUUCUCUUAUUUUGUUAUUUUUUUUCUUUUUUUUUCUUUUUAGUCAUUUAUGUUCGCUGGCAUCUUCGUUGGCGUCUCUAUCUUCGCUGGCAUCUGCCUCGCCUGUAGUUUCAGUGCUAAUAUCCAACCAAUAAAAUGGGCAUUAAAUAUGAAUGAUGAAUAAAAUAAAAUAAAACAGAGAAAAUAAUGACAAGAAGAAAAACAAACUUUAAAAAAAAUUAUUAAAAGGGAAAUUUUGAGUUUAGCAUAGAUCAAACAGGCAUCACAAACUAAAACAAGAACCAACUAUAAAUAGAGUCAAUUAAUUGAAGUUCUCAAGAGCUUACCUCUGCUCCGGAAUUCUCGGAAUCAUCCACAUAUCUCCUUUUGAAUUUGCACCAAGCUUGGGACAAUUAUAAACGUAUGCAGAUGGAAAUCGAUUUUGAAAAGAGCUGUGGAAAAAGGGAUGGCGAAUGUUGCGAUAUGGAAAAUUUAGCAGUUCAAACUCCCGAAGUUGCUUCAUAACAAUUUGAUUGCAAUCCACGACGUCUGCUCCAUUUUUAUGCCAGAAUAUUGCUUCUAAUUCAUCAUUUCGUUCUAUCCGUAAGAAAUAUAGUUUUUGAAGACUUGGAGCUACGCCGAUAUGAAAUAGAUGCUUUAGUUUGGGGCAACCACAGACAGUGAUGCUUGUGAGUUUUGGGAAACAUACAGGUUGGAGAUGAUCCUCAUCCUCAUCCUCAUCAAUGAUUUGCUCUAAUUCGAAGCAGUUAUCAAUAACCAGCCCCUGCAAUUGCAACAGAUUUCGAGCAAAUGUUGAUGUGAAGAGACGCCUGAGCAUAGUGCACCCGUCCACUCUUAAAUGGGUAAGAUUUUGGAGGCUAAAAUUAUGCGUGGGACCUUCAUGAUAUAAUAAUACUUGCAGUUCUCGAAGGUUUUCCAACUGCACCUCCUUCAAACAUGGGAAUAAUUUGUUUUCUUGUCCCUUAGCGAUAAUAGCUUCCAAUUGAAAUACCACAUGUACUCCAAGUUGGCUAAUACCCAAUUCUUCCAAAUUUUUUAAGCCGUGCUUCAACAGUGCUGGAAUCGUGUCACUCAAAUGGGAACAAUUGUCCACAUAUAGAAUUUUUAAGUUCUGAGACAAAUAAAUAAAUAACUUGAUGCAAUUAAAAUCUAUUAGCAAGCUAGGAUUAUCACAUGAUAAGUGAUGAACACUGCAAAAAACAAAAACAGAAAACAAAAUCCAAACAAAAAUAUCAUAAUACAUAUGUAAACUAAUAAAAUAAUUAAAAAGUAAUGGAUUUAAAAAAAAAUUAGUUAAAAGAGAUCAUGUGAAGUGAUAUAAAUGUGACAUUAGAUUGUUUUAGAAAAAAUAUUAUUCUAUUAAUUUAUAUGGUUUGAUCAACUAUUUAAUUGAAUUUGAUUAAUAUUAUAUACACUUCAGAAGUAUUUGAAGAAUGGUUUUAGCCUUAUAAUAAAGAAAAUUCCCUAAGAUAUCUGAGCAUUAUUAUUAUCAUUACCACAUUCACGACCACCAUCAUCAUCUCCAUAGGAUCAAAAAAUUAAUGGCUGAUCAUAAAAUUUAUUGUUAAAAUAUCCUUUUGAGUAAAAUUGAAUGAAAAGAAAAAAUAUGAACCCAAACAGACAUACCUCUUUGAGAUACUGCAAAUUGGCUUCAAGUUCAUUACUGUUGAUGGUCAAGUUGGGACAGCAAUCAAGCUGUAACUCUUCCAAUGCUGCCCAAAUUGAACAAUAAUUCUCUGAACAGAACUUGGUGAGUUCUGGGAGAUCUUCAAGUUCUAAUUUUCUCAACAAAGGGAGGGCGAGCAUCGUAUUUCCAUCUCCGACACUUAUUUCCCCUUCAUUAUGAUCAAACUUUGCUUCGACAAUACAUUCCAGUCUCUCGCAUUCCCUUACAUGGAGACUUUUAAGCUGCUCCAAACUUCGAGCUUGUGACAACGUGAAGAUAUAUGUCAACUUGUUGCACCUAACCACAUUCAAUUCUGUAAGAGUUUGGAGACUGAUCACAUGUUGGGCGGGCGCCUUCCAUAUCCACUUCAGUUCUGGUAAGUUCCACAUAGAUAACUCUGCUAAUCUUGAGAGACUCUUUCCAUGCGGCGACUUAGAGGCUUCCAUUAUGCAUUCUAAAUCUUCGCAAUCGCCGACAUCAAGACAAGUCAACUCAUUUAAGCCCCUUUCAUCUAUGCUUGGCACAAUAUUGUAACAACCUAUAAUCCAUCUUAUAUAAAGAAUUUCCAGUUCUUGAUACAAAGCCGAAAAAAUACCGAGCGAGGUCACUUCAGGAGGGUCAUUCUCAAUGAUUAAGCUCUUUCUCUGACUACCAUAUUCCAUUUUAUAAAAAACUUCUUCACCUUUACAGAUGACGUACCUUUGCAAUUUCGGGAAUGUAAAGUCUUUUGGAAGAUAUACAACAGAUCCGUCGGCUUGGGAGUUCAACUCAGCAAGCCUAGCAUUACUUUCUUCUGAACUCAUCCCUUCAACCUCCCAAUUUUUUAUCCGACCAUAAAAUUCUUCUAAUUUUUUUAUCGUAAUGGGAGAAACAGAACUAGUAUCAAUAUGUAGAAGUUUCAAUCUACCAAGUUCAUCCGACAAUUCUUCAGGAAUUUCAAUGGGAGACGACCGGAGAUAAAGAAGUUCAAGUCUCUUCAACUUUCCAAGAAAAAACGCGUCACUCAAAUCACACAAAAUCAACUGCAGAACUCGGAGGUUAUUGGCUAGGAAUCGAAGUGAUUUUAGUGAAAGGACUCCAUUUAUUAUAGUAACAACUUUCAAUGCUGGCAUCCCUUCAAAAAAAUUUUCUGGAACUUGCAAUUUGUAGUCACAUAGAGUGUUGUCCAGUCGCAAAAUAUGAAGGUUAGGGCAUACCAAACGACUAGGAAGCUCUUCUUCUUUAUUUCCCAUUACAGAGAUUCCUCUAUAUUGCUCCGGGCCUUCUUCCAUUACCCGUUCUGCCAAUCCAAUGCCAACUUUACUAAAAAAUUUCUUCUCCACUAGUACUUCUGAGCCUAUCCAUAUGGCUACAUCACGAACUAUGUCAUGCAUUUUCACAGAUCUGUCAUUACCAGUGUCUAACAGUAGUGAAGCAGCUUUGAGUCCGUCAAUUGUUCCAAGCAGUAGGCUUCUGGUGUUCUCUAUUGACUCAGCUUGAUACCAAGUCAACCCUACUGCAUAUCCAACCAAAUCCUCCAAAUUAAUCUCAUAAUCUUCUGGAAAUAGCGAACACAACAAGAAGCAUAACUUGGAAUUGUCAUCAUUCAAUUCGUCGUAACUAAAUUUGAGACAACCGUAAACGUCUAAGUUCUCCUCAUCAAUACCUUCUAUUGCAUAGAGUUUUGCAGCCUUUAGGUUAUGUAGAGCUAGGUUCCAUUCAUUAAAUCUUUUUCCUCUUAGUGCACUUCCAACAGCUUCAAUAGCUAAAGGCAGCCCCUUACAUUCUCCAGCAACUUCUUUGGAAACAUCAUUCAAGGUGGAGUCAUUUACAUUAAUUUUGGCAUUUUUUCGCAGUAAAGCCAAUCCUUCUUCUGGCGUUAGUGUACUAAGUGGAAUCUGUGUGUCACAACCCAAAGAAUCACAAACUGACUUUUUGCGAGUGGUUAGAAGGAUUUUGCAACAAUUAUCUCUACCACCGACGGUAAUACCUAAUUUUUUCUCCGAGUCGAGUGGUUUCCAAACAUCAUCAAGGAUUACGAGGAUUUUGCUGCUUUUACUCUCAGAAAACAUCAAGCGCAAUCGGUCUGCUCUCUCUUUUUCAUCUUUCUCAUUUAGUGCCCAGCCUAACGACUUUGCCAACUCACCUUGAACCUUUAUUAUAUCUAGAUCCUGAGACAUAGUGGCUAUCCCCACCUUAUCGAAAAGCUUUUGUUGCCGAAGUUGAUUGCCCACAUAUUUUGCCAGGGUUGUCUUUCCUACACCACCGAGACCAUGCAAUCCCACCAUCUUUGUGCUCUCUUUUUUCAGUGCGUCAAUGAUCUGAUUGCAAGCGGAUUCUGUGGUCUUGAAAAUAGAAGUAAAAUGCCUUGGCAAACUUAAUUCUCUUUCUAAUGGUAGAGGUUUAGGAGAGGCAACUGUGUUGAAUUGGCUGCAGCCUUGUAGCAGAUCGGACAACUUGCUAGUCUUCUCUGAUGCUUUUCUGCCCAGACGAUAUCGGCAACACCAAUUAGGACACAAUCCAUGAAGACUACUAUCCUUUUCAUCUAUCUCUGCUUUCAACUUCCAAACAUCGUCCAAUUCUUCGACUCCAUUAUUCAGCCACUCCAUUACAUUUUCAUCGACUACUAUGUCGGGGCAUUUUCGCAGUUCAUCGUCUAUUCUUGUUUUGAUGCCAUCUCGUGCCUUCUUCAACUUAGUUUCUUUAUCCUCAAGUUCUUUAACAAUGCUGUUGAAACAGAACAUAUAGCGAGCUUGGUCAAUGGCUGCAUUCACCAAUAAUUCUUCAACCUUUGAUUUUAAAGCUUCCAUGCUAUUUAUCUGCAAAUAACGAAGUUGAUCUCAGCACACUAUUAGCGAAACAACAAGGCUUGAUCACCAGACAAAAUGAGAACGUUUAAUUACCUCUUUCUGCACUGUGAAUGCACGUCUAUUAACACCAGCUUUGACCAAUAAGAGCAAAAUGCAGAGGUGGGGCCUUAAGAGUUUCGGUGGCCUUUAGCUGCAAAACGGCAGAUGACAAAUAAGGUGAACGUUCCUAGCAAACGUGAUUUACGGUGAAUUAUAUUCAAAUUAGAUUAUUUUAAAAGUUGGUAAAUUAUUUAUCACUCUAUCUUAAUGAUACCUUAUUUGGGAUGAUAAAGAUUGGGGUAAAUUCCCUUUUAUUCUCACAUGUUUAUAGUAUUUAUAUUUUUAUAAAUUACCUAAAACAUCCAUGUAACUUACUUUUAUAGCUAUUGAACAUAUCAUUUCAAAUAUAAAAUACUAUUUCUGUCUAAUAUAAAUUAAAAAUCAAACAAAUCUAUCAUGCAAUAAAUGAAAAGUAAAGAAUAUUAAUUAGGUUUUAAUGGAAACAAAUAUAAAACAUAGAGGUUUUGAGUAACUUUUGUAUUUUUUUUAAUGUUCAAUUUAGAAUUGAAUAAUUUGCAUAAUGAAAUUUUGAGGUUUCUAUAAUUUAUAUGAAGAUAAACUGCGAAAUAAGUUUAUAUGCCGAAAUUAAAAUAGUUAUAUAUUAGCAAUCAUAUAAUAAUAAAAAAUUUUAAUAAAAUUUAUUUAAAAAUUGGCCAAUUGUGUUUCAUGAGUAAAACAGAGAGCAUAAUGGACUUAUGUUGGGUCUUGGGAUUGAAAGACUAAGGGUAAGGGGCCGGGAGGUAGGACGGUAGGAAAAUUAAUUUUUGUUAUUUUUAAAGUAUGGUCAACAUUAGUGACUUGGAGGUGAUUGCCGUUAAUCAAUUACCUUUAACUUAAGAAUUAAUACAAAUAAAUGGCAAAAAUAAUUUAAUGAAAAUUAAUUUAAUAAAAAAUUGCACUAAAAACUUAGAACUCAAAUUCUCGAUCAUUUUAUCCGUACGUUUUAAUCCGACGCUCAGAAUUGGCAUAAAACAAACUAAUAUAGCCAUUGGAAAUAAAACAAACAUCAAAUCAAGAGCCUAUGAAACAAUAUUAUCUCGUACCUUCUUCCUUAUAGAUCCUCAAUUGCUGUUGAAAGCUGCAUAUGACAAUAUAAAUAAACAUGAGAUCAAAACAUCAUAGGAUAUAUCUAGCCAAUUAACAUCAUAUAUAACUCCUUGUUCUCAGUCAAAUCUUUCAUUCUUAGAUUAAAAAAAAAAUGAAAUAAUAACUGUUAAGUGAUAUAGGAAGCAAAAGUAACACACCGAAAUGAAAGCAGCUAGUUCACAGAUGACAGAUGCGGUGACUUCAAGAGCAUGAAAAAUGAUUAAACUUUGGUAGAAGGGUCUGAGCCGUGUUUCACAAGUUGCUAUUGACUUCGUGGCUUCGCUUUUAUUUAUUAUUAUUAUUUUUUUAAAUUCUAUAUCAGUGAGAAUUGAAAUGUGGAAAGUGAAAUGAUACACAUGCCUUAUCAUCUAUCAUGAGGGGUGAUUUGGUAAAACCGAUUUAAAAUAAAAAAAGUUUAAAAAAAUUUAAAAAGAUGCUUUGUGUCUGACUGCUUGUAUUUGGGGUAUUUUUCGGGUUGUUGAGACUUGAGAGUGAGUUUAAUUAAAUAUAAGAUUUUCAUUUUUCUUAUUAUAUUUUUCUCUUUAGAAUGAAUUUAAAUCUCAUUCUUAUUAAAUUCAUUUUUUUAAAUGAAAAUAGAUUUCUCUCCACACAUUUGAGAUAUAUUUUAAAAUUAAUGUUAAGCAUAUCUCUAAAUUAUAUUAUAAAUAUUUUUAUUUAAAAUCUCAACAGAUUUCAUAACACACAGAGAGAAAUACAUAUAUAUGUUGUAAUGUUUUAAUGAUGGAUCUCUAAAGUUAUCAAGUUAAAAAAUAAAUAAAUAAAUAAAAAAUACACACUUCAACUUAUUAUAUGAUAAAAUAUAGUAUAUUAAAGUGAGUAUUUUUUGUGUGAAAUAAAAUUAAAGUGAGUACUAUUACCACCUCACAUCUUAUAAAUUCUAGAAAAUAAUCAAGGCUUGACAUACUUUUAUUUAUGCAAAAGCAUAAGAAAAUAAUUCAAAGUACUAAUUAGUGUACUAUUCCUCAAAAUUCUAGAAUAGAUUUGUUAGUUCUCUUUAGCCAUAGAUUGGUCCGUGAUUGGCACCGCAAUAGCUCAUAAUCACCUCAACAAUUGUUCCACACGGCCCAACAUGACACAUUGUAAACUAGUCUACAAGAAUUUUUUGAGUGGCUUUCUAGCAAUAUUCUUAGAGAAAGUGUUUAGUAGUUUCAAAUCUUCUUUUUUUAACACAAAUGUUGGCAUGAUAUUCUUAAUAUAUUUCUAAAAUCAAAAUAAGAUGCAUAGAGGACGAUAAUUUUAUUUCAUAAUUGAAUUUUUUGCAAAGAAAGUUUGAACAUGAGAGUGAUGAGAGAUGAGAAUAUUGAUGAUGGUGUGUACUUUGAAUGGAAAAAUAGAUUGGAAAUAUAUAUAGACAUAUUAAAAGAAAAAAAUUUGGUCUAUUUCAUAAGAGAAAUAAAAAAUUAUAAACGCGGGUGUUAAAAUGUAUUCAGAAUUUAUAAAUUUUUAUAAAUAUGAUAAUCAUCAGACCCUUAUAAAAGUAUAACAAAAAAGUUUAAAAUUUUUUAAUAAAUGUAGAAGAGAUGAACGAAGAAAUCAUCCACCAGUUCAGAAUUAACAAUCAAAGAUAUGAGGACUUGAUUGAAGAAAUGAUGAAAAAUAAAAGGAAACUGGGUUGGUUAGCGGGACCCUAAUAUUAAUGGUGAAAAAUAAAAGGACACUGGGUUGGUUGGCAGGACCCUAAUAUUAAUGGCAAAAAAUAAAAGGACACUGGGUUGCUAUCAAUUUCGAUCGUGUAGGUUCAUAGCCGGGGAAGUAAUUGGGCACAAAUAUCUCGGAUGAGAAAUAACCAUUUUAUCCCGCAACCAUAUGUUUAUGGCCUCUAAAAAUUUUCACCUCUUUCACUUUCUGGAACCCGUGCUUUCUGGCACAUGCACAAAUACUUGGUUGCUACUUAUAGAGCGUUUUUGGAAUUGCAACAACAUGGUGCUCUUUGAUAAUUCAAAAAUCCAAUAUAAUUUAUAGAGAAUUACAGAAUUGUGGUACGUGAUAAUUUGCUGAUGCAAUGAGGCGCCGAAAUUCUUAUACAUGUGAUUUAAGUUAUAUAUGUAUAAUUAAGUAAUUAGAAUAUACUAGUUGGGGGUAUUUGUGUCCAUGAAAAUUUACAGCUGGUUGUUGACAUUACACUGCGGGUGUGUAAGUGUAAUCAUGGAUCUGACCAUUCAAAUUUAAAAAAUGGGGGUCCCGCUAGCUUACGGAGUUAGUAAUUAUUAGAUAUGCAUAUAUGCUCCCAUACGAUAAUCUUAUCAUAAAUUUGAAGGAUACGAGGACUUGAUUGAAGAAAUGAACGAAUAUUUGAAUUAAAAAAAAUUUUAGAAUAAAGACAAGUAUUAAUUUACUAUGAAUGCAACUUACAUAAGCUGUAAGUUAGCGGGACACUAUUAAAUCACAAGCAAAAAGCAAUCUGACUUCUUCUUGAUUCCGUAAUUUGGCUGUCAAAAUGUAAUCUAUAAAAAUUACGAUACCUCGAUUCAAAAAAAUGUUGUUUCUGAUGAAAUAAAUGAAAAUUGAACGUACAAUCUGCCACGAACACUGUUUAAUUAACCGUUUAUUUCCCCUUAAAUUUUUAAUCUCAAUGAAACAUAGAUCUAAUGGGAACUACAUAUAUAUAAAAAUACUAUAGAUUGAAGAAGUUGAAUUUUUCUUGUGUGUUAAGUAUUUUUAGUUAAUACGAAAGGAUUCUAGCAAGUUAAUACAAAAGUAUCAUAAAUUCAUAGUAGUACAAGAGAUUUUUUUUUUCUUUUGAUAUUAAGAGUUUUCGAGAUAAAAAAAAAAAAAAUAGGUGAAAGAAGAAGAUGAGAGAAGAAAAAAUAUUAAGAAUAGUUUUGGCAUUUUGAUGCGUUUUAUAGUGUAAAAUCUAUAUUUUAUAGUAUAAAAAGGUACACCCAUAAUUUAAUGAUAAAAUUUUAGGAAAAAAUUGCACUCGUCAAAAAAAAAAAGAAAAGGCUCAGCUUAGCCCAAAAAUUUUUUAUUAAUCGUCUAGUCGCUAAUGUAAUCUCUUUUUUAUGAGAUUCUUUGGCGUUUUAGUUUAGUCCAUUGUUAGCAAUCCUAAUAGCUUUUAUGUGCAUCUAUUUUUAUUUGGAAUAUGUUUCAAGCUUGAAUAAAAUCUGCGGGACAACUGGUAAGUAAUAAAGCUCAUCAUUUUUUUAUUUUGAAAAUAAAGGGAAUCACUUACACUUAGCAUGAUAUUAUUUUUGAUAAGUCAUUUUUUUGGUAGAUUAUUUUUUCUAACACGCUCUUAGAUUUAGUGAAAAUAAAUUGUAUACUUUUAAUGAAGAAAAGUAAAGAUCAACAAAAUAUUUUGUUCUUUGCGACAACUUUUGCGUUCUCAAGUGCGCCUGAUACCCUUUUUUUUUUAACAUGGGCCCACGUGCCAUGUUUCCAUUUCAAGUUUCAUAAGUUAACAGUAGAAAUGGGUUCCACAGAUAAUUUAUUUUAUAAUUUUUUUUAAAAAUUACUAAAAUAUAAUAAAUAAGGUAAUAAUAAUUAAUAAAAAAGUAGAUUUUAAGAUGGAAAAAUCUUUUUGUGUACUUAAUAAAAAGAUGAUAAGAAUGGGAUGCUUUUAGUUUACAUUCUCAUAGCUAUUUAUACUGAAAAAUUACAUCAAAAUUUAAUUAAUAAAUCAGUGAACUGCAGACUUAUUAAAUUUAAGCUAUUUUAAUAAGUCAUAAAUAUACUAAAUUAAAAUAGUAAUAAACCCAUUGUUACACAAUACUCUCCAUUGAGUGUUCACCAUUUUAAGAUAAUCAUAAAAUGACACCGGAAGUGCUAUUAUAGCUGUCUCAUGGAAAGCCUUCACCAAUAAAAAGGAGGAUAGAGCACAUACAUCCAGUUUUUAUACCCUUUGAUGCUCAGUCGACACGUGCCAAUGCUAUAGACUAGCUUUUCGAAGGUUGAAGUGGGUAUGCUAUUAGUAAAAAGACCUGCAAAAUUAUAGUGUACCUAUUUGACAUCAACUUUUUUUAUCUGCUGGAGCUUAUGAUUAUAGAAGAUCUUCGGUAAGAUGUGUUUGAUUUUAUCUUCUUUUAUAUAUCCUCCUCUAACUUGUGUAAUAGUAGUAAACCCCUGCCCGUUUUUAUUUCGUUUAGUAUUUUCUAAAUGGCCGAAGGAAAAUUGGUAAAAACUCAUUUAAAAAUAAAAAAAAAUCAAAGAAAUUCAAGAAGAAGCUUUGUAUCUGUCAUUUGUAUUUGGGGUAUUUUUUUGGUUGUUAAGUGAAUGAGCUUAAAUCUAAAACAUUUAUUUAUAUAUUUCUUGUUGGAAAGAAUUUAAAUUUUAUUCUUAUUAGACUUAUUCUCUUUAAACAAAGGUAGAUUUUUCUCUAUGUGUUUAACGUGUAUUUUAAAAUUAAUGUUCAACAUAUCUUUAGAUUCUAUUAUAAAUAUUCAUAUCUAAAAUCUCAACAGAUUUCAUAAUAUAUAAAUGUAUAUAAAGAGAGAGAAUAACGUUUCUAAUAAGAAAUUUAUUAAGUUAAAGAAUAAUUCAAAAGAUAAAUUUGUAUUCAACCCAUUUAUAUGAUUAAUUAAGGUUUUAAACAAAUUUUGGACUUGUUCUAUUGUAGAGCUUAAAUUCAAAAUGGAAGAGUGAAGAAGGGAAAAAGAAGACGAAUAAAGAAGAAAAGAGGAGAACAACUUAUACAAAAGAGGGAGAACGAAAAAGUGAAGGGCAGAAAAAGAAAAAGAAUAAAGAAGAAAUUAAUCAUCGCUGAUAUGAAAAUAAUUCCUUCUUCUUUAUUGUUCUUAGUGGUUCUACUUUUUUUUAUUGGAUUCUAAAUUUUUGUCGUAGAUGGAUUAUAAGAACUAGAAAAUUAUAAAGAUAAUUUUUUAAUUAUUCGAUUAAUUAAUUCCAGCAGAAGACAAGAAAUUGAUUCUGCUUCGUUAGAAAGCCAUCACAUUCUAUACGCAAUUGCAAAAAGUAUAUAUUUUUGUCUGUUUUAGACAAGAAUAAAAGGGAUACCUGGUAUUGCAAAUCUAGACACGUUUUAGUGCUUUAUGUCCGAAUGAAUUCUUUCUUGCAACAAUAAACUUGGCCGAUCAGGAUUUGCCGUUUACAUAUGUAGGUCCUGUUGGUUCUGUAGUAGGACUCAUAAAUUUUUAUUUUUAAUUUACUGAAUCCAUAAAUUUAAAAUAACGGUGCAACUCCUGAGGAUGACAAUGGGGCGGGUGAGGUCUUGGAGUCCUGAAAAAAUUUAUAUCUGCAUAUUAAAAAAUGUGGAUCCGAAUAAGAAAAUCCGCAUGAAUCCGAAUGCAAGUGCAUUUGGAAAAUCGGAUAUCGAGAUCUGGAUAAAAAUUUAUUUCAAAUUAAAAAUUAAAUUAAAUAUAUAUUAAAAAGUAAAUGAAAAAUUAAGAAAGUAAAUUUUAUUUGUAGAUUUAUGAUGUCAUUGUAUAUUAUUCAUGUUGAAUUAUUAAUUGUUGGAUUAUGAUUGAAUUUUAUUUGAUAUUAUUGGGUAAAUUAUUGAAUUUCAUUUUAAAUUAAAAAUAUUUAUUAAAAAUUAAAUUUUAUUUGUAGAUUUAUGAGAUUAUUGUAUGUUAUUCAUUUAAAAUUUUUAAUUAUUGAAUUAUGAUUGAAUUUUAUUUGAUAUUAUUAGGUAAAUUAUUAAACUUUUAAAUUUUAUAUUAAAUUAUAAGCAGUAGGAAAUUAUGGUAUUCAGAACAUGUAUACCUUCGCACAUGAAGCUUGAGUCCAGAACAAGAUGCAGCUAGCCAAUCCUUCAACUUCCAAAACCCCACAAAACCUCUGUCAACAUAUCUGCUCUACUUCAAUAUUAAGCACAUUCAUAGCGGUAUCAACAGCUUACAGCUCCAAAAAUAGUUUGAGAUUUCAUUGAAGCUAAGUUGUGACUUGUGACUGUCCAAAUGUUCUGUCACACGAAAUGAUUAUUCUUGUAACACAAAUCCAAUAGCAUGCAAUAUAAUCUACUCUCUAACACUGUGCAUUAGUAAAAUAAAACAGAGUAAAGCAUUAGUAAAAUAAAACAGAGUAAAAAGAGAAACCAUGCCUGUGAAUCUCUUCUCCUCCCCCCACCACCCCUUUUUUUGGUAAAGUCUAUCAAAUGAAAAUGCAGCAUGACCACAUUGGCCACUACCACUGCCAUUACUCCUUCAACUGUGCCCUUUGUUGCAAGAAAUCUUCAAGUGAAAGAUGGAUUAUAUAAUUAAAGAUUCCAAUAGAAGCAGCAAAGGUUGCCUUCCACUAGCCUAUCAGAGAAUAUGCUUUCUAUUUUCCUAGUUUUAAUCAAAAUUUUGCAAGAUUUAUUUAUGGAAAACUUGGACAAAAUUUUAUGUAAGAUACCAUAAAGCCAAACACAAUCUUUUUAAUUCUCAGCAGCAACAUUUAAAGUAAAAAGAUGGAAGCCAUAUAAAUAUAACUAUAUUUGGUACGAGGAACAAUUAUUUCAAGCUUUCAGAAAUGCUAGCAAGAAAUUGUAAGAGAACUUUACCUAGUCACAGAAUAUGUCAAGCAUACUACCACCAACUGUCUUUAGCACAAUUGUUAUGAAGUAGCCUCUGAAUCGGAAGAUUCAAGCUUCCACCAGGCACAAUUAUUUUCAUUCUCCAUACAAUCUGCAGCAGUGGCAUGAGUUAUAUCAUCAACAUUUGCAUCCUCACUCUCAUCACCCCAAUCAAGGCUUCUUCUCCACCUCUGGAUUAUAAGUCCUCUUCGACAUCUUCAAACAUCUCGGUCCUUCCAUUUGCAAACAACCGAUAUGGCUUCUUUCCUUGCCUUCCUCAUCGUUUAUAUCCCCCAAAAAAGGGUCUUUAGACACCUCAACUUUGCCUUCUGCAAAACCUCCACAAAAUCUGAAUUAUCCAACACAACAGCUAGACGCUUGAUCCUUCUUUUGUCCAUCAUAUCCACCGCAUGAUUCCUCAACAAACAUCUGCAGCUUGUGGCUUAUCUAACACUGUCCUGACCCAAAACCCCACUCUUUUCAACUCAUCUGCCAAACCAUAACCCACUUUUGGAGUCAAAAUUGUCCUUGCAGCCCUUUUAUAUUUUUCCAACUCCAUUGAAUACUUGCCACUCAAAUGCACUCUCCUACCUCUAGCUGAUUCUACUUGAUUCAACCUCUUCUUUUGUUUACACUCAUGAAUUUGGAUAAAAUAAUUAACAAGUUUGUCAUUAUUAUAAAAUCUCCUUUCACAAACACCACAUAAAUAUGGCUCAGCAGGCUUAAUUACACCCUUGCUUUCCAAUUGGUUAAACAAUUUUUCUCUUCUCUUUGCUCUCUUACAACUUGAGGCACAUAACUAAAUGCAUGGCUAUUGGCAUAUGCCACCAUGUAUUUAACAACCCAAGUGAAGAUAUUGAUUUGGGGGUUUGUUGUCCAAAUCCCUAAAAAUUCACACAUUGCGUUGGACAGUUUUUAGUUCUACAAUUAAUGAUACGUUAUGUGAAUUAAGCUCCAAAUGAGAACAUCUAAACAAUGAGACAAAUGGGCUCUAGGUUUCUAAUCAGUAAACAUCGUUCAGUCGCAUAAUUUAUGAAAUUUUUGAAACAUCACUACAGCUACAGGUCUUUAUGUGUCAAUGAACUGCAGAAACUAAUGAUCUACUAGUAGUAGACGUUUGUUGUCCCCACCGUUCCAGGAAGAAAAAUAAGUAGAAGAACUACUUUUAGACCAAAAUUAAAAAAUUGAAACUAUCUUGAAAGACUUUCCCUUCAACUAAGUAAAAAAGAAAAGAAAAAAAAAAGGUAUUAGACAAGCAUUUUCAAAGGAAAAAGAUCAUCCAUUUAUUGUAUGUACUCAGGAAAAAUAAAUGUACUAAUAGGUAGAAACACAGCAAUAAAACUCAAAAACUAACAUCUAUAAAGCUCAAUAACAAUUAUGAAUUAGAUAUUUUGGUCCCUUCAUAAUUCCUCCUCUUGACUUCACAUUUCCCCUCAGCCCGUGAUAAUUUUACCUAUUGAAUUCACAUUUCCCCUCAUCCAUUGAACUUUCCCAAUAACAAGAUGAGUCUAAAUCAUCAAUCUCAUUAAACACUCACAUCUACUAAAUAAUAUCGCAUGCAGUAACUUUAAGUAAGGAUCUAAAACUUACAAGAAAAAGAAAACUACUGUUUAUUAAUUUCAAAAUUUACACAAAAUUACAAAUGAUUUUAUAAACUGUACCAAAACAUGUUCUCUAAAAGAGAUUCAUUAUCCUGCAUUUUCAAAAACAAUAUAAACUAACACUAGAAUAGCCAUUUGAUAAUGAUGUGAAUUUGGGCAGCACCAAGAAGCAGUGAGCCCCAUUUGGUGAAAGCAAAAAGAAAAAAAAUUAAAAUAAAGCACUAUAAAUUCUAAUCAAAUUAUUAACAUUAGCUACACAUCAAGAAACCAGAAUAAAAUCGUUAUCUAAACCACAUACUGAAAAAGAAAAAACAAUGCAGUUAAAAUUCUAUCAUUUUCACUUACAAACAAAUAAAGAAAAAAUUAAGAACAAAGGUUGAAGCAAAGAAUGAUUGUACCUUGAGGUACUUGAGGUUAAUGUUUCCAUAAACGAGACCGAGCGAAAAAGCCGAAACCAGAGCAACCUAUUCUUACUACUCAAAAACACGCCCAGAUCAGAAAAUAAAUGAUCAUUCAAUAACAAUUCAUAGGAAAAUGAUGUUUGCCCCGGGUCAAACCCCGGGUCAAACCCCGAAAAUAACUUAAACGGCGUCGUUUUGAUUAUUUUUUUUCUUUUGGAAUACUCCAAAACGACGACGUUUCUGAUGAUAUUUUGAGAAGAAUAAAAUCUAUCUUCCUCUUCGUUUUCGUUUCUUCGUUUCACCUGUGAAAGAACAGAGCAACAGAGCAACAGAGAUCCCAACUUGGUCUUGUUCCGUUUGACCGUAAAUCUCUUCAUUUCUUCGUUUCUUCGUUUCUUCAAAUAACGGCAAUAUCACCCAAAACAAAGUUUCAUGCAAUGUUGUAAAAAAUAAAUUAUGAUUUGAGAACUGAAAAAAUAAUAUGAGAACUAAAAAAAUGAGACAAAUCAAGAAUAUGAGAACUGAAAAAAUUAAUUCAAUGUUACAAUGUUACAAUGUUCUAAAAACGAAGGCCAACUUCCUAAAAUAAAAUUAAAAAACAAAAUGCUACAAUGUUAAUCUUCGAAAAUUAAACUGAAAAAAUGAGACAGUACCGAAAAAAACAAAUCUUCGAAAAUUCAAGCUUGGCACAAUGUUAAUCUUUCGUCCAAACUCAGCUUUCAACCGUCCAAAUUCAGCUUGUCCAAACUCAGCUUUCAACCGUCCAAACUCAGCUUGUCCAAACUCAUCUUUCAACCGUCCAAACUCAGCUUUCAAGGACACAUUUCGCAGCCGAAACUCAGCCGAAACUCAGCUGCUGUUGGUCUUGUUCUUCAAUGGGUACCAAACGAAAAAGAAACGAAAAAGAAACUCAGACGCUUUCAACUCAGCUUCCAAGGACAAAUUUCGCAGCCGAAACUCAGUCGAAACUCAGUUGCUGUUGGUCUUGUUCUUCAAUGGGUGCGAAACGAAAAACAAACUCAGAUGAAGAGGAUGGAGCUUUAAUUAGUAGAUCCCGUUCUGCUGUCGAUGAGUGCUCCGGCUGUGGAUCUCGGUCGAGGAUGGAAGAAACGAAAAAGAAACGAACAAACGAAAAAGAAAAUAAAAGAAAACGACGCAAAUCAUUCAAUAAACAAACGAAAAAGAAAAAAAAAAAAGAAACGACGCAAACGACGCCGUUUAAGUUAUUUUCGGGGUUUGACCCGGGGCAAACAUCAGCACUCUUUCCUUUAUGAAUUGGGAAAAUGCUACUUUCCCCGGGUCAAACCCCGAAUUAUUUCAAAACGGUGUCGUUUUGUUUUUUUUUUUUUCUUUUUACUUGCAUGAAACGUGGUCGUUUGAGCUAGUAAAAACAAAACAAACUAAAGCAGAAAAAACUCAAGUGCUUAUCUUCUCUGCCCCUUUCUUAAUUUCCUUUUGACAAACCACGGAAUCACACCCACAAACAACAAUCACCCACAGUCACGCGAACAGCCGGCACAGACGAAGGAUGAGCCCACAGACGACGGACCACCGCAUUGAAAUCUCUGUCCACAUCACCGGCACCAUCAUCGUAGGUCUGUAACAAACUGUCGUAAGUUAAACCCUUCUCACCGUCGAUGAACUCGACGUAAGUACGGAAUACUUCGUCGAGAAUUGCGUUGAUUUGUUCGUCGCUGAAUUUGACUCGAGGGUUUACGGCCACCACUAAAGCCGCCAUUUCUUCUCUAUUACGGCCACCGUCGCGGUUCGUGUCAAAUUGUUGAAAAAUUCUCUUCACUUUCUCUGAUCUGCUUCCUCUCGUAGCCAUUUUUUUUUUCUGUUUUUCUGGGGGUCAGUUUGGUUUCUCAGUGUUUGUUUGAGAAAGCGGAAUUAGUAGAUAAGGGAAUAUAAGGAAAAGUUGAUAAAAAGGCAAAGGGUGGUUACUUUAAUUGUUGGUGAGAAUAAUGAUGAUGAUGGCUUAAUUCUGGGUUUUGUUGGAUCUGAAUGAAUUCUUAACGGCAAAAGUUAAAGAGUAGAAGAAGAGCAAGAGGACGGACUCUCAUUCUUUCCCUUUUUUCUUUUAAUUUUAAAUAUAUCAAAAACGGCAGCGUUUUGGAGAAACAAAAAAGAAAAAAAAAUUAAAACAAAACGACGCCGUUUUUGUUUUCGGGGUUUGACCCGGGGCAAACAUCAGCACUCAUUCAUAAAAACUCCAUCCCAUCGCAUUUAAAACAAAACAAAGAAAAUAUUGAUUAGAAAAAAAAUUACACGCAUGGAAUAAAAGAAUAUAAAAAUGGAAUUACCAGAGGGAGCUAGUGCCGGAGUAGGAACCAGAAGGCAGCGCCAUAUGAUGCUCUUGUUAUGGUUUUCCUUCUUGUGGGUCUGCGCUGAAGUCGAAGAUGAAGAAACAAGAAAGAGCCAGCAAAUUGAGAAAUCGACUACCAUCUUCGAUUCCGACUCGCAUGGCCAUUUUUCUUUGAUGAAUGAAAUAUUGUUUUACUCCCUAAUUCUUAACCAAAUUACAAGUUUUGACUUCUGUUUGUAUGUUCUUUCAUACGGGUUCUUGUUCACAGGAAUAACAAAUGGGCCGGACGUGUGGCUAAGCCCGGGCCUGGUGUCGAUAGCCAGGCCUGGGCUUUUACGAGCCCAGGCAUUUUAUUCUGAGUAUGAUCCUUAUAUCACUUCACUUUUGUAAUCGUAAUUUUAUUGUACUGAAAAUUAUAUGAACGAUUAAUAUGAAUUUAAUUAAACAAACAUGUCUUUACAACUCAUGCAACCUUACUAUUUUCUAAUCCUAAUAUGUGAUAUAAUUAAUUUUACUGAUAAAAUCAAAAUAAUUUUUAAACAAUGAAGAAAUAAAUUAUAAUAACAGUAAAUUUAUUACGAAAAAGUAUGUUUACAAAAUUUAUUUUAAAUGAUAUGAAAUCUAAUUAAAAUUCUAUUCUAAUUUUAUGCCCUUUUUUACAAUUUUAUUAAAAAGUGGGAUCUCUUAAGAUUUUAGGAGUGUUGGAAUUCUAUUUUUCCAGAUUUGAAUUUUAGUGACCUUUACUUCAUUUAAAUUUUUUGUUAUAAACUUGCAAGCAAGUGCAUUUAGGAUAUCUUUGGUGAACUGGAUUGUAACAAUAAUUUUAUUUAUUAAAAUUAUUAAAAGUAUUUAAUUAAUAAAACUUCACGUAUCCUCGGGUCUAACCAAUCAAAUUCUUUCUCUCAAAAGUACACAAAAGUGAGAUUGGCUCUUGCCUAUUAGUUAACAUAUGCAUAUUAAUUAACACUGACAGAUAUAUAGAUAUACAGCACAGCUAGCAGCACAUUCGACUUACAGAUAUACAGAACUUGAACAUAAUUCACAUAUCUGAAGGGAGAGGGAUAUCGAUGUUGCGGCCUGCAAUUCAUAACAUAUCAUCGGUCAUUUAAUCUAGAAUUGAGGAGAGAAAAUGAGUCUAAAUUCGAAAACUUUGGCACUAUUUACAUAUCAUUAUUUGGGUGAAAAUUCAUUUCUCUGCUUUGAUAUGAUUUGGUCUUUCAUUGUUACGGUGCCAAUUUUUUAUUUAAAGAUGUAAGGUAGUGGUACUAUAGCUUAUAUUUUCCGUAAUUACUAUCCGGUAAGUACAAAAAUAAAAUACUAGUUUAAAAUAUAAAAAUGAAAAAUUAUUUUUAUAACCAAUAUUCAAUUAAAUACAUUUAAAACUCUAUUUUUUCUUAAUAAAAAAAAUUCUAAUUUAUUUUCUCAAUUUAUCUAAACAACUUUACCUAAUCAAGCUAAAUCUACAUAUUACCCUAAACCUUAAUUCAUAAACACCCAAUCAAUCUAAUUGUUAAAUCUUAUUUCAUAAUAAAAAAAAAUUAAUUUCUUUUUUAUUAUUUAUGGUGCAAAGGAAAAAAUGAAUUUAAAGGUAAAAUUGAUAUUUUAUUUAAAUUUUGUUAAUAUUCUAAUAAUAUUAAUGUCUUGGUGGUUAAUAAAAGCAUAAAGUUAAACUUUUGUAGUAUUUUUAAUAAUAUGGUAAAGAUAUAUGUUUGAUAAUUUUCUUAUGUCUUUUUACGUUAAAUUGAGUCUCAAGUAUAAUGAAUAAAUAAUACAUAUUAUAAAAUUAGUGUAGAUAAAUAAUACAACUUGAAAAUAUUAUAGUAUUCUUAAUAAUAGAGAAAUUUAAAGGUGGAUAGUUGAUUGUUUAAUGAAACAACUACAGAAUUUUCCUUUCAAAUAUCUUUUUGAAAAAACAUGAUUGAGUAAAAAUUAUUUUACAGAAUGACCUUUCAAAUGCCCAUUCGACAAGCCAAGAAGAAAGGGUAGCUAACAAAUUUACAAGUACCAGAGAUCCAGAAACACAUUUAUAGCCAAUCCAUUUAUGAGUUACAUUCAACACUCUCACAAACUGAAAAAAUAAAAAUUAUUACGGUCAAGACGCACACUUUUUGACAUCCAAAAAGCUAAACAUUUGAAGUUCUUCAAUACAAAAUGCAUACUAAAUUGGCACAAUUAAUGCCCAUGGAAGGGUCAUCAAUUUAAGCCAACAAAUUUGCCAAAGUUUUAACAGUGAACACAAAAGGAACAUGUAAAAUUUGAAGUUGAACAAAUCUUCACAUGCAUACAACAAGCCUUAAAACUUUAGUCUUCACAAUUUGAGCACGCAAUAAAUAUUAAGUGACCACCCGCAGAACAAGUCUAGAAUAAACUUGUUAGGUUCUUGCGCGAACUGAACCCCUCUGAAACACUAAAAGAGAAAGUACAAAAUAAAGAAGACCAUAUUACGUGGCUAACUAACAGCCAUUCCCAAAGAAAUGAGAGUGAUGAUAACGUCUUUUUUUUUUUUUUUUCCUUUCAAUCAUAUUUCUCGUCAUCUUCUUCUUCACGGGCAUCUACACUGACGUCUCCCUCUUGGCUGGCAUCUUCCUCGUUUGUAGUCGGUCGCUAUCCAACCAACAAAUUGGGCAUUAAAGAACAAACAGAGAAAAUUAUAACAAUAAGAACUAUAAACAUGAAAAGAAAAAAAAAAAAAAGAUAUUUGAAGGGAAAUUUUGGUAGAACUCUAUGGCUCAUCCGUGAAAUUAAUGUUAAUAUAUAUGUUUAUGUAAUGACGGUCUAUUGAUUUUAGGAUAGAUCAAUAAGCUAUUACAAACGAAAACAUGAACCAACUAUAUGUAGAGUUAAUUAAUUUAAAGUUCUCAAGAGCUUACCUCUGCUCCAGAAUUCUCGGAAUCAGCGCGAAACUUGGGACAACGACAAACGCGUGCAAGUGGAACUGGGAUCUGAUAACCCGUAGGCCAAAAGUUGGUGAGGUUUGGUAAAUCUUUCAGACUCACGUACGGAAGUUCGUCCAUAACAAUUUCAUCGUAAUCCAUGACGUGUGCUCCAUCUUUAUCCCAGAAUACUUCUUCUAAUUCAUCAUUACUAAAUAUCUCUAGUUUCAUUAGUUUUUGAAGACUUGGAGCUACGCUGAUAUGAAAUAGAUACUUUAGUUUGGGGCAAUGACCGACAAAGAUCCAUGUGAGUUUUGGGAAACAUAUAGGUUGGAGAUGAUCCUCAUCCUCAUCCUCAUCAAUGAUUUGCUCUAAUUCCCAGCAUUUCCAAAUAUAUAACUUCUCCAAUUGCAACAGAUUUCGAGCAAGUGUUGAUGAGAGGAGACGUCUCAGCUUAAUGCACCCCCUUACGGUUAAAUCAGUAAGAUUUUGCAGGCUAAAAUUAUGGGUGGGACCUUCAUGAUAUAAUAAUACUUGCAGUUCUCGAAGAUCUUCCAAUUGCAACGACUCCAAACAUGGGAAUAGUUUGUUUUCUUGUCCCUCAGCGAUAAUAGCUUCCACUUGAAAUACCACCUGUACUCCAAUUUCCACAAUAUUCAAUUCUUCCAAAUUUUUUAAUCCAUGCUUCAACAGUGCGGGAAUUGUGUCACACAAAUGGGAGCAAUCUUCCACAUCUAGAGUAUUUAAGUUCUGAGACAAAUAAAUAAAUAACUUGAUACAAUUAACAUCUAUUAGCAGCUACGAUUAUCACAUGAUAAGCAAUAAACUAACACCAAAAAAAAAAAAUCUAAAUCCGUACAAAAUAGUUAUACUUUAUGAAAGUAAUGGAUUUAUUAAAAAAAUGAAAUUAGUUAAAAGAGAUCGUGUGAAGUGAUAUAAUGGUGAAAUCGGUUUGUUUAUGAAAAUUUUGUAUUCUAUUUCUAUGGCUUGAUUAACGAAUUAAUUGAAUUUGCUUAAUAUUAUAUGUACUCCACCAGUGUUUGCAUCCAUUUUUUUUUCCUUCAAAAGCGAAGCGAGAUUUGACUUUCAUUUGAAGAAUGAAUUUUAGGCCCUAAAAUAAGGAAGUUUCCCUAACAUAUUGGAUUUUAUUAUUAUCAUCACCAUUAGCACUACGAUCAUCAUCAUCAUCUCUCUCUACAAAGCCAAAUGCAAGGUGGUAUGAAUGGCGGAUCAUAAAAAUUAUUGAUAAACUAUCAAUUUGAAUAAAAUUGAAGAAAAAUAAAGAAAAAAACAUAAACACAAACGAACAUACCUCUCCAAGAUACUGCAAAUUGGCUUCAAGUUCAGUAUUGUGGACAGUCAAGUUUGGACAGCUGGUUACAUCUAACUUUUCCAACGCUGGCCAAGUUGAAUAAUAAUUUUCUGAACAAAAGCUAAUGAGUUGGGAGACCUUCAAGGCUUAAAUUUCUCAACAAAGAGAGCUCGAGUAUUCUAUUUUCAUCUGCUACACUUAUUUCCCCUUCAUUAUGAUCAAACUUUACUUUGACGAUGCAUUCCAGUCUCUCGCAUCCACUCACUUCGAGACUUUUAAGCUGCACCAAACUUCGAGCUUGUGACAACGAGAAGAUAUAUGUCAAGUUGUUGCAUCCGUACACACUCAGUGCUGUAAGAGUUUGGAGGCUCACAUGUUGGGCGGGCGCCUUCCAUAUCUGCUUCAGUUCUGGUAACUCCUGCAUAUAUAACCUUGCUAAUCUUGAGAGCAUCAUAGGAUUCCCACUCUCUCCUUGCGGCGACUGAGAGGCAUCCAUUAUGCAUUCUAAAUCUUCACAAUUGUUGACAAAAAGAAAAGUCAACUUAUUUAAGCCCCUUGGAUCUAUGCUUGGCACAAUAUUAUGACAACUUAUUAUGUCAAACAAAGGUUUCAAUGCAGAAAAUAAUUCUUUCGUAUAUUCUUCUCCAAAUCAGAGGCAAUAUAUGAAGCUAAUUACAUCCUAAAAAAGGAAGAAAUAAAUUGUUUCUAUAUUUAAAUACAAGAUUGAUCAACUAAAAAGAUUCCCGGACGUAAUAACAAAAUCAAUUCUAUAAUUGACAGCACAUGCCGACAGCUCAUGCUAGCUCAUGCCGACACUCCCCCUCAAGUUGGAGCAUAGAUAUCUAUCAUGCCCAACUUGUCAAUUAUAUCAUGAAACACCCUUCCUGAUACUGUUUUUGUGAGUAUGUCAGCCAACUGAUCUCCAGAUUGAACAAAUGGGAACUGUAUAGUUUUCUCGUCAAGCUUCUCCUUGAUGAAAUAACGAUCUACUUCAACAUGUUUUGUGCGAUCAUGUUGUACAUGAUUCUGGGCAAUCUCUAUGGCUACUUUAUUAUCACAUUUAAGAUUCAUGGGUUUUGCAUAAUCAAUCCCCAAAUCUUUCAGUAUGUUCUUGAUCCAUAACAUCUCACAUACACCUUGUGCCAUUCCACGAAAUUCCGCUUCAGCGCUUGAUCUUGCCACAACCUUCUGCUUCUUGCUUCUCCAAGUGACGAGAUUGCCUUCAACAAAUGUAAAAUAACCUGAGGUAUAUCUUCUUGUUGUCUGGUCACCUGCCCAAUCAGAGUCCGUAUAUCCUUCAAUGUUUGAGACAGUAUUUUUUGAGAACAAUAAACCUUUUCCAGGAGCACACUUCAAAUAUCUCAGAAUUCGAUAGACUGCAUCCAUAUGUUCUUCACUUGGUGAAUGCAUGAAUUGGCUUACUAUACUUACGGCAUACGCUAUGUCUGGCCUUGUGUGGGAUAAAUAGAUUAACCUCCCAACUAGCCGUUGAUAACGACCCUUAUCAUUUGGUAAAAUCCCAAGCUUGUGAUUCAUCUCUAUAGGCGUUUCAACUAGUUUACAAUCAAGCAUACCAGUUUCAGUGAGGAGAUCUAACACGUAUUUUUGUUGUGAAAGAAAAAUUCCACUUUUCGAUCUUGCUACCUCAAUCCCCAAGAAGUAUUUAAGCUGCCCAAGAUCUUUCAUUUCGAAUUCAGUAGCCAAAUGUUCUUGUAGUGCUUUCAUUUCAGAUAAAUCAUCCCCUGUUAACACCAUAUCAUCAACAUACACUAUUAACACCGUCACUUUUCCGCCUUUGUGUUUUAUAAACAAAGUAUGGUCUGAAUUACUUUGUUUAUAACCAGCAGCUUUCAUUGUCGCUGAAAACCUCCCAAACCAUGCCCUAGGUGACUGUUUUAGUCCGUACAAGGACUUCUUCAGCUUACAUACUUCAUUCCUAUGCAUAGAACUAUGUUUGACACCAGGAGGUAGCUCCAUGUAAACUUCUUCUUCUAAAUCUCCAUUGAGAAAAGCAUUUUUGACAUCGAACUAUUUUAAGGGCCAAUCUCGAUUUGCUGCUAUAGAAAUAAUAAUACGAAUGGUAUUUAUCUUGGCUACUGGUGCGAAAGUGUCUUGGUAAUCUAAUCCAUACCUUUGUGUAUAUCCCUUUGCCACUAGUCUCGCUUUAUACCUAUCAAUGAUUCCAUCCGCUCUGAGUUUUACCGUGAAUACCAUCUACAUCCAAUUGUUUUCCUUUCCUUAAGUAGUGAAACCAGUUCCCAAGUGGCAUUUUUUUGUAGAGCUUCCAUCUCUUCAUUCAUCGCCUUAGUCCAUUUUGGAUCCUCCAAAGCAUCCUGUACACUACUAGGAAUAGAUAUAGUGGAUAAUUGAUUAAUAGUAAGUGCAUAUGAUUCACACAACCUAUGAGAUGACAUGUAGUUACUGAUUGGGUAUUUUAUUUUGGAUUUGGGAUCAGGUUCAUAUUGUUUAUUUGGAAUUCCUCUAUUUGACCUUUGUGGAUAUUUAGGAUUCAUGUCUUCUACAGAAAAAAAUGGUUCAUUAGACUCAUUAGACAAUGGAUUUGAAAUUACAUGAGGAGGAACACUUUCGGUUAAUUCUUCAGUUAAUGGUGUAGACAUGGGUAGCUCUAGUGGCCUUGAUUGUGCUUCAGACAUGUCCAGAAAAUUGGAGGGAUCACAUUCGGUUUCAGUCAUGUUAUCACACCCUUGUUGAACCUCAUUUCCAUCACUGUUUUGAAGUUUUUCGACCAUGUCUUCUAAUUCUACAAAAUCACCUCCUCCUUCAUUUUCCCUUUGACCAUUCUCUUCACACAAACUCUCCCCCUGGAGGGAAUGGUAAGAGACUCCCCCUGAGUAAUAAGGUUCUAAUUCAUGAAAAGAGACAUCCAAAGUUACAUGCAAUUUUUUUGUGUGUGGAUCAUAGCACCUAUAACCUUUUUGAAGAUCAGAAUAGCCAAUAAAAACACAGCGUUUGGCACAUGGAUCAAGUUUAGUUCGUAAACUUUUUGGAAUGUAAGCAUAAACAAUACAACCAAAUAUUCGGGGUUCAAGAUUAGGAAGAUGAGGAAUUGAGAGUAAGGAUUGCAUUUUUUGUUGGGGAGUUUGAAAAUCUAGCACUCGUGAAGGGGUUCGAUUAAUGAGAUAAGCUGUCCCCAAUAAAACCGAGGCAUGUUCAUGCCAAAAAGAGAAGCACGAACCACCUCUAAAAUCUGUCUAUUUUUCCUCUCAGCCAGCCCGUUUUGUUGUGGGGUGUAAGUGCAUGAGGUCUGAUGACGAAUUCCAUGAAUGUUUAAAAACUUGCCAAGAGAGGCAUCCAUAUACUCAGUACCAUUGUCAGAUUGAAGUACACGAAUCUGCUUUUGAUAUUGAGUACUUACCAUUUUGUGAAAUUCUUGAAAGGCUAGACAUACAUCGCUUUUUUUUAUAAGUAAAGACACCUAAAUCAUUCUAGUACAUUCAUCAAUAAAUGUCACAAAAAAACGAGCUUUAGAAAGAGAAGCAACUUUUGCAGGACCCCAAACAUCGGAAUGAAUCACCACAAAAAGGUUCUAGACUUUUAUUUAAACUUGGUAAAUAAGAAGUGCGAUGGCUUUUAGCCAUCUCACAAAUGUCACAAUGAAAAUUCAAAUCAUUUAGAGUUGAAAAAAGAUGAGGCUGUAAUUUUUUGAGAUAACCAAAAGAAAGGUGUCCUAAUCUACGAUGCCAUAACCAAACAUUUGCCCGAGUUCUAUCUUUAUUAGAAGCUUGAUUUGCCUGACUGAUAUUUGGUCCCUCAUUUUCUGUCAAUUCCAAGUAAUAGAGUUUACCCCGUCUAACACCAUAAUCAAGAAUCUUCCGAGUUAGGAUGUCCUGAAAAACACAAAAAGCGGGCCAAAACGUUACAGUGCAAGCAAGUGUGGAGGUAAUUUGGCUAACCGACAAAAGAUUAUAUUCAAGAGAUGGGACAACAAGAACUGUAUCUAAUGUAAGAGUAUUACUCAAGGUAAUAGACCCUUCCCCAAUAAUAGGAGAAGUACUACCGUUUGCAGUGGAGAUAACAGAUUGAGAAGAGGGAAGAACAGAUUUUAAUUGGCUAGAAUCUCUGGUCAUAUGCUCAGAUGCACCUGUAUCAAUAAUCCAUAUUCUAUUCUUAGAAGUUACAGAACAUACAGAUGUCUUACCAAUAAUACCUGGGUGGGCAACAUUUGCUGAAGGGGAUGGUUGUUCUUCAUCCUUUGCUGCUGUCACAUUAGCCUUCCCAGAUAUUUUCUUACGGGGCUUCUUUGAGAAAUCCCACCAAUCUGGAUAGCCAAUGAUUUCAUAGCAGCGUUGUUGUGAAUGACCUUUUUCUCCGCAGUGAGUGCACACAAGGUUGUUAACUUUGCUGGAUGAUUGAUUGCCUCGAUUUUUUGAAGAUCCAUUUCGGUUUUGACUGGCCAGCAUGGCAAGGUUCUCCGAAAUUAAAUUAGAGCCUCUCAUUGUUUGUCUCUGUUGGUAAUCCCUUCUAACAUAAGCAUAUGUGCUUUCUAAAUCAAGUUUUGGGUAUUUUCGCAAUAUUUCUCCACGAACCUGUUCAAACUCUGAGUCGAGGCCACUUAGAAAAAUAUGAACUCGAAGCCUAGCCAUUGCAGAAUGCAGCUGUAAUAGCCCUUCGACUGUGCCUUCUUUAGUGGUAGUCCUAUGAUCGAUUUCCUGAAAAAUGGCAACCAGUUCAUUGUAAUACGUUGGCAAUGGUCGCCCAUCCUGUUUGGUAGAGAAAGAUCUCUGGUUCAGCUCAAAAAUACAGGUUUCAUCGGUUCCAUCAUAGAAGGUUUUCGAUACAGCCUCCCAUAUAUCUUUGGCUGUAGGGAGACGAAUAAAUCGUUGCAUCAACGAUGGACUCAUUGAGUCAAUCAACCAGCUCUUGACUCUUUGAUUUUCAGUAAUCCAUGAUCCAAGAUUAGGAUCUCCUGGUGCUGGUUUCUUCGUUUCUCCAGUAAGAUAACCAGCUUUGUUGCGAGCACUAAUCCGCAUCUCUAUGAGUUGAGACCAUAAUGAGUAGUUGGUCUCAUCCAGAGUGAUUCCAGUUGGAAAUGCCGAGUUGUCUUGAUGAACAACAACUUGUGGUGCUGGUGGUGGGAUAAUAUCCAUUGAUACGCCUGUGAUAUCAGUCAUAGAGAUCACAACAACGGUGAAUAUUCAGAAUACGAAUACAAAUUUCGAGAGAAAAAAAGAAAAAAGAAAAUAUUCGGUUGUCAACACAAAUUCUCUUGAUGAGGAACCUGCUCUGAUACCAUGUCAAACAAAGGUUUCAAUGCAGAAAAUAAUUCUUUCGUAUAUUCUUCUCCAAAUCAGAGGCAAUAUAUGAAGCUAAUUACAUCCUAAAAAAGGAAGAAAUAAAUUGUUUCUAUAUUUAAAUACAAGAUUGAUCAACUAAAAAGAUUCCCGGACGUAAUAACAAAAUCAAUUCUAUAAUUGACAGCACAUGCCGACAGCUCAUGCUAGCUCAUGCCGACAUAUUAUCCUGCUCAAAUCAAGAAAUUCCAGAUUUUGAUACAAUGCUGAAAAAAUAUUGAGCGAGGUCGCUUCAAAAGGGUAAUCAAUGAUUAAGCUCCUUGUCUUAUCAGCAUCUUCCAUUUUAUAGUCAACUCCUUCACCUUUAAUCGUGUACCUUUGCAAUUUUGGGAAUGUAAAAUCUUUUGAAAGAUAUACAACAGAUCUGCCAACUUGGAAGUUAAACUCAGCAAGCCUAGCAUUACUUUCUUCUGAACUCAUCACUUCAACCUCCCAAUCUUUUAUCCGACCAUAAAAUUCUUCUAAUUGAGGAAAUUUUUUUAUCGUAACGGGAGAAACAGAACCAGUAUCAAUAUAUAGAAGUUUCAAUCUACGAAGUUCAUCCGACAAAUCUUCAGGAAUUUCAAUGGGAGAAUUCUCGAGAUAAAGAAGUUCAAGUCUUUUCAACUUUCCAAGAAAAGACGCGUCACUCACAUGACGUCCAAUCAACUGCAGAACUCUGAGGCUAUUGGCAAGGAAUCGAAGCGAUUUUAGUGAAAGGACUCCAUUGAUUAUAGUAACAACUUUCAAUGCUGGCAUCCCUUCAAAAAAAUUUUCUGGAACUUGCAAUUUGUAGCGAUAUAGAUUAUUGUGCAGUCGCAAAAUAUGAAGGUUAGGGCAUACCAAACGACUAGGAAGCUCUUCUUGUUUAUUUCCCAUUACAGAGAUUCCUCUAUAUUGCUCCAGGCCUUCUUCCAUUGCCCGUUCUACCAAUCCAAUGCCAACUUUACUAAAAAAUUUCUUCUCCACUAGUGCUUCUGAGCCUAUCCAUAUGGCUACAUCACGAACUAUGUCAUGCAUUUUCACAGAUCUGUCAUUACCAGUGUCUAACAGCAGUGAAGCAGCUUUGAGUCCCUCAAUUAUUCCACGCAGUAGGCUUCUGGCGUUCUCUAUCGACUCAGCUGGAUGCCAAAUCAACCCCACACCGUAUCCAACCAAAACCUCCAAAUAAAUGUCAUAAUCUUCUGGAAACAUCGAACACAACAAGAAGCAUAACUUGGAAUCCUCACCAUUCAAAUUGUCGUAACUAAAUUUAAGACAACCACAAACGUUUCGCUCAUCCUUAUCAAUCCCUUCGAUUGCAUAGAGUUUUGCUUCCCUUAGGUUAUGUAGAGCUAGAUUCCAUUCAUCAAAUCCUUUUCCUCUUAGUGCACUUCCAACAGCUUCAAUAGCUAAAGGCAGCCCCUUACAUUCUCCAGCAACAUCUUUGGAAACAUCAUUGAAGGUGGAGUCAUUCACAUCAAUGCCGGCAUUUUUUUGCAGUAAAGCCAAUCCUUCUUCUGGCGUUAGUGUACCCAGUGGAAUCUGCGAGUCACAACGCAUGCGUUCACAAACUGACUGCAGGCGAGUAGUUAGAAGGAUUUUGCAGCGAUUGUCUCUAUCACCAAUGGGUAUACCUAAUUUUUCCUUCAAGUUUAGUUCGUUCCAGACAUCAUCGAGGAUUAUGAGGAUUUUGGUGCUUUCGCUCGCAGAAAACAUCGAGCGCAGUUGGUCUGCUCCAUCUUUUUCAUCUUUCUGCUUUAAUUCCCAACCUAAUGAAUUUACCAGCUCAUUUUGAACAUUUAUUAUGUUUGGAUGCUGAGAUACAGUGGCUAGCCCCACUUUAUCGAAAAUCUUUUGUUGCCGAAGUUGACUGCCCACAAAUUUUGCCAAGGUCGUCUUUCCUACACCACCGAGGCCAUGCAAUCCCACCUUCUUUGUGCUCUCUUUUUUCAGCGCGUCAAUGAUCAGAUUGUAAGCUGAUUCUGUGGUCUUGUAAGUAGAAGAAAAAUAACUUGGUAAACUUAAUUCUCUCUCUAAUGGUGGAGGUUUAGCAAGGGCAGCUGUGUUGAAUUGGCUGUAGUGUUGUAGCAGAUCAAACAACUUCCUAGUCUUCUCUGAUGCUUUUCCGCCCAGACUAUAUCGGCAACCCCAUUCAGGACACAAUCCAUGAAGACUACUAUCCUUUUUAUCUAUCUCUGCUUUCAACUUUUGAAUAUCGCCCAAUUCCCCGUCUACAUCCUUCAGCCACUCCGUUACAUUUUGAUCGACUACUAUGUCGGGGCGUUUUUGUCGUUGAUCUUCUAUUCUCUUAUUGAUGACAUCUAGUGCCUUCUUCAACUUAGUUUGUUCAACCUCAAGUUUUUUCACAAUGCGGUCGAAACAGAAUAGAUAGGAAGUUCUUUGAUUUCAUUCACCAAAUAUUUUCCAAUCGAUUCUAAAAGUGGUUUAAAAAUUUCUUUUAAACAAUCUUUUAAAAUUUCCAUGCUAUUUAUCUGCAAAUAAAAAAGUUGAUCUCAAUACGCUAUAAGCAAAAGAACGAGGCUUGAUCACAAGAUCGAAUGAAGACGUUUAAUUACCUUUUUUUGUUAUGUGAAUGCACGUUUAUUAACACCAGCUUUUUUUUUUUUGGUCUAAUCCAUCCGGUAUCCGGUGACCACAUUGGGCCCCGACUACUCCGGAUUCGGAGAGAGGGCGUAAUUCUCCUCCCAACGUAGGCGACUCCACCAAGACUCGAACUGGGGAGCAAACCCAGUCGAGCCCCUGAGGGGUUCAGCCCGCUGCCAACUGAACCAACCAGUCGUUGGUUUAUUAACACCAGCUUUGAUCAAUAAGAGCAAAAUGCAAACGCCGGGCUUCAAGAGUUCUAAGUGGCCUUUAGCUGCAGAAUAGAAGAUGACAAAUAAGGUAAAACGUUCCCAGCAAACGUGAUAUGUGGUGGACUUAAAAUGAUACCUUAUUUGGGAUGAUAAAGAUUGGGGUAAAUUCUCUUUUGUUCUCAAAAUUUUGAACCUAUUAUCAGUUGUAGUAUUUGUAUUUUUAAAAAUUACCUAAAACAUGCAUGUCACUACUUUCAUAGCUAUUGAACAUUUCAUUUCAAAUAUAAAAUACUAUAAAUUAAAAAUCAAACAAAUCUAUCAUGCAACAAACGAAAAGUAAAUACUAAUAAUUAGGUUUUAAUGGAAACUAAUAUAAAACAUAGAGGUUUUAAUUAAUUUUUGUGAUUUCUUUUAAUGUUCGAUUUAGAAUUGAAUAAUUUGUAUAAGGAAAAUAAACUGCAAAAUAAGUUUAUAUGCCGAACUUAAAAUAGUUUCAUAUUAGUAAUCAUAUAAUUAUCAAAUUUUUUAAUAAAAUUUAUUUAAAAAUUGACCAAUUGCGUUUCAUGAGGAAAACAGAGAGCAUAAUGGACUUAUGUUGCGACUUGGGAUUGAAAGGCCAGAAGGUAGUGUUAGCCUAUAUGGCUAUAAAAUAUUGAUUUUGAUGAUAACAAACCACAUGUAUUGACUAAGCAAAGAUUUAUAAAUUAUGCUUUUAUAAUAAGAAAAUAAUGUUAUGGAAUUAAAGUAUUUUGGACUAAAAUGAAAGUAUUUUAAAAUCUUUGAUAGUGUUUUUAAAUUUCGGAUUUGGACCUAUUUAAAACUAUUUAAAUGUUUUUGGGUCAUUCUAUAAGUAUGGGUCAGUUGAAAUUUAAUGGAAAAGUUUACGACAUAGUCAAAGUUCGAGAGCUAUUUUCAAUUUGAGGAUAAAACAAUGUUGCAAUUGUUGGCUUGUUGCAACAUUCCAUAACUUUUGUGUAUUUGUGGCUUAAGUAUAUGGCAGUCCUUGAUAUUGUAUAUUACAUAUAUCCUGCCUUCAACUCACUGAGAGUAAGAGUGCCACUGUUGUCAGUGUCCAUCUCUCUAAAUUUUUCCGUUAGCUUUUGCUUUUCUCCUGUUGGAAGAUUUUCCACAAUGACCUGAAAAUCCACUCAGUUUUAUCAGUAGAGGAAGCACAAUUAAAUGCAUAAAUUUAAUGGCUUGCACAUAUAUAGCUAACUGAAUAUAAUAACAAGUACUUCGCAAUAAAACAUUGUUGGUGAGGAAGUGCAGAUGCAGAAAUUCGAUCAAGCAUUUAACUAAUGAUUGUCGCUGUUGUAUCCAAUUCUCAUACUUAGCCCUAAUCUGAGCUAGCUCCUAAAUGGGAAGAAUCUUUUUAAUUACAUGCGUAUGUAUAUAAUUAUUAGUUAGCUAGUUGUGGUCAAUGUGACCUGUAUUUUAUCAAUGGAAUUUUAAUCAGGUGUGCGCGACAUCACACAUUGUGCACUAGAUCAAUCCUCUUAUCAAUUAAUAUAUAUUAUAUAUAGAUAUAGACACGUAUGUGAGUGGAGGAAGAAAAAAAAAUUAAGAAUAAUUUUGGCAUUUUGAUGGGUUUUAUAGAGUAAAAUCUAUAUUUUCAAAUAUGAUAAUUCUUUAAUUUAAUUUGGUGUUAUGAAAAAAGGGCAUUUUAAAUAUGUUUUAAGUUAUAAAUAACUCCAUCCAAAAUUUAAAAAUGAAAUCUGGGGGGGGGGGGGGGGGGAGGAGGGGGGGAAUUUCACCCGAACUAACAAAGGCCCAGAGUAGCCGCGGCUUUUUUCACCAAUUCUCUAAUUCCCAAUGUGGUCUAAUUAUUUACAAGGAAUAUGAGAUUCUCUACCACUCCAAUUUAUCCCAUUGUUAGUAAUCUUAUUAGCUGUUUUAUAUCCUAUUUUUAUUAUGCUCCCCAAACAAAUAUGUUUCACCUAAAGGUGCCCAACGGGCUGCACCGUCCGUCUGAAUGAACGCAUGAGAGGCUCCACAUGACCCGGCAAUCUUUUUCUUUUUAAUGAGGGCGUGACUGAUAUGCUUUUUCAAGUCUAACGCUCUUUUUUUUAAAAUCCAUAUAUUUUUUUAAGCUCAUGUCAAAUUCGGUAGUAAGAGAAUGCAAUGCUAGUUAAUAAGUUAAAGUGCAUCCGUGCCACUUUUUUCUUGUUGUUUUAUUUGUAUGAUAAUUAUCAUGGACCCACGUAACUUUCUUUUCCAUUUAAAAUUUUAUAAUAUAUUAAAUUAGACAAAAGAAAUGAAUCCCACAAAUAAUUUAUUUUAUAAUUUUUUAAAUAAUACUAUUUUAAAAUAAAUUAUUAAAACAAAUUUUAUAUUCACUAAAAUUAAUCAUAUUCAUAUUAUAAAAUAUAAAAACAACAUUUGAAAAAUAAUAUCAAAUACACCCUUAAAUUUUAUAUCGGCACUAGAACCGAUGAACAAUUUUUGACAAAGAUGUUGCGACCUAAGUAGGGAUAGCAACUAAAUUCGGAUCCAACUCGGAUAUGUAAGGAUCCGAAAGAUCCAGAUCCAGAAAAUUUUUUAUCUGAAUAUUAAAAAAUGUUGAUCCGGAUAUAGAAAUUUGGGAUCUGCACGGAUUGGGAUGGAAGUACAUUCGGAAAAUUGGAUGUCGAGAUCCGGAUAAAUUUUGUUUCAAAUUAAAAAUAUAUAUUAAAAAUUAAAUAAAAAUUAAAAAAGUAAAUUUUAUUUGUGGAUUUAUGAUGUUGUUGUAUAUUAUUCAUGUUGAAUUAUUAAUUGUUGGAUUAUGAUUGAAUUUUGUUUGAAAUUAUUGGGUAAAUUUUUGAAUUUUAUUUUAAAUUAAAAAUAUUUAUUAAAAAUUAAAUAAAAAUAAACAUUAAAUUUUAUUUGUAAAUUUAUGAGAUUAUUGUAUGUUAUUCAUUUUGAAUUAUUAAUUGUUGAAUUAUAAUUAAAUUUUAUUUGGUAUUAAUAGGUAAAUUAUUAAACUUUCAAAUUAUAUAUUAAAUUAUUUAAUUUUAAAUUUUGCAGAUCCGAAUAUCUAGAAUAUUUGUCCGCAUAUUUUUUUACGAAUCCAGAUAUAGAAAUAUGAAUAUGGAUCCAAAUUCGGAUUUUGACAACCCUAGACCAAAGCAUGAAUGUGCCUAAAGUUUUUACUAAGAACAUGGAUCAUUCAAUGACCCGACAUGUUUUGCAGCUCUCAUUAGUAUAAUUGAAUAAUUAAUUCAUCUCUAUAUUCAGCUUACACCGUCUCAAAUUGCAUGCAAAUACGAAAGUACACAUCUGAAUCGUUCACUUGAGGAAAAUUAAUUUUAACGCAAUAAGUCCUAAUUCUCCACGUAGAAUUUUAAUUCAAAGCAUAGCAAAUUAGACAUAAUUCUAAUUUAUAUGGGAAAUAUAAUUAGCGAAGACACUCUUUAUAUAAACAUUAUUGUCAUAGGAUGCCAAACCUAAUAAGAUUCAAGAUCUUAACAUACUUCAUAUGAAAUUUGAUCUUGGCGCGUACCGACACGCUUAACAUCAAGACUCUACUUCAUAUAAUGUAACUUCAUGGAUUUUUUGCUCUCUUGUGAAAUUGACAAUUAUUGGCGCUGUGUGGCAGUGGUACAUAAUAAAAUAAACGUUUAUUUUUAGAAUAUUAUUAUUUAUCUCAAUUUUUUAUUUAAUAGUUAAUUUUAAUAAAUUCUUAAACUGUCAUAAUCAAUUAAUUUUUUACAUUAUGGCAUCUUAAAUAAAUUUUGGAUCUAUAAUAAAUAAAAACUGGUAACGUUUGUUCUAUUAAAACAUAAAACAACCGUAACAUUGGUUUUUACAUUUUGAAUUUUUCUUGCAUCACUAUUUAGAAAAAUGAUGUUAAAUCAACUCACAAAAUAUAUCAAGCCAUCUAAAAUCCAAAUAUUAUUACAUUUGUAUUUGCAUUGUUAAAUUGUUGGAACGACGGCAAAGCAAUUGAAAAGAGAUUAACAAAAAAGUAAAGAUUGGCCAAGGAUUAUUCAUGUUUAGGAAAUGCCUUAACUUUUGAUAUAAUCAUUGUUAUAAUUAUAUUGUAGAAAUAAUCAAUUACCUAAUGUUUGUGGUGGUAAAUAUUAUUAACUUGUUUUACUAUACCCAUGUUUAUGUUGGUCUCCUUUUUGUCCAUUUCUGUACAACGAAAUAUUUGCAUGUUUCGAUAGAAAUUGGUUUAAAUGACAUUUAAAAUAGUAUAUCCCCAGACAAUUAACGAAAAAUUUGGAUGGUAGGAUGAAGUAAUAAGUAGUUUUACAAAUUACCGUAUUAGAGGUAAAAAAAAAUCAAGAGGUUACUUGACAAUUAUGACAUUACUAACUACAAAUUUAACACAAAAAGUUUAAUUAACUUUUCUUUUUGAGAUGACAAAAUCUCUGGUGUUGAAAACAAUGAGGUUUGAGGUUCAAGCUUGAAUAUCAAGUUACAAUUAGUAGAUGGUCUUAGGACAUAUCAAAGAUUUCUUUAAAGACAAAAUAAUAAUUACAAGCAAUAGGAAUUUAUGGUAUUCAGAACAUGUAUAUCUUCGCACAUGAAGCUUGAGUCCAGCAAAAGAUGCAGCUAGCCAAUCCUUCAACUUCCAAAACCCCACAAAAUCUCUGUCAACAUUGUUAGAGUUAUAAAUAUAAAGAAUAUUUUUGUAAUGAUUCUGCUGAUGUGGCAGCUGAGUAAGCAAGGCUAUUAUUGUUAGUUUGUAAGUUUGUUAUGGAGCUAAGAAGUUAGUUAAUCACAGCUCACUCUCAACACGUGUGUGAGCAAAUGCAUAAGGUUCUGGAUCUUAGUAUAUAAGGUCAACAUAUGUAUUCAUAAUUCAUUGAAUAAGAUUCGAUCUAUUUUUUCUUAUAGUUUCUCUUAUUGCUCAUUAAAUUUUCCUUCAUUUUCUCUGCAACCAAACAAGCAUAAAUAGCUUGGUUAAACUUCAAUUUGGUAUCAGAGCCACAUCUAGUCUAAUCUCAUGGCAUUAUCAAGCUUGAACACAAACAUCUCUUCUUCAGCAACAACCUGUACUUUCACAACUCCAAUAAAACUUGAUCGAUCAAAUUACUUAAUCUGGAAAUCUCAAAUUCUAUCCUCAGUUCGAGCAAAUGAGCUUAAGAGUUUGCUUGAUGGAUCCAGAAUCUGUCCAGAUCAAUUUCUCUCAAGCACUCAAGGAAAUUCAGAUGCUAUGUUCAAUGCUUCUGCAAGUUCAACUAUUGCUUCACGAGAGAAUCCUGAGUUUAAUGUGUGGAGAAAGCAAGAUCAGAUGCUACUGAGCUGGCUGCUAUCCUCUAUCAGCAUUGAAAUCCUCAGCUUGUGGUAAACUCUAAAACCUCUUAUGAACUGUGGUCUAGUUUAGAGCAACAAUUUGGAUCUGAAACUGAUGUUAAGAAAGUUCAUCUCAAAAUGAUGUUGAAUAAUCUGAAGAAAGGAUCUAUAACUAUGACAGAAUAUUUUAGUAAGUUGAAGUCAGUUACAGAUGAGCUUGCUAUUGCUGGAAGUCCUGUUAGUUCUUUGGAUUUUAUAACUCAUCUCAUCUCUGGAUUAGGUCAGCCUUAUUAUCCAGUAGUUGUGUAUAUUGAAGCAAAUGUUCUAAAAAUGAGUAUUAAUGAGGCUUAUUCAAUGUUGUUGACACAUGAGGCACGUUUAGAAAGCAAUCAAUCUAAUUCUUUCAAGGAAGUGAAACAGAACUAUGCUGCUAACUUAGCUCAGGCUGGAAAUAAUCAAAAGAAAGUUAACAAUCAGGGAGGCUGGAAUAAUAAUAGUCAAGGAGGCUGGAAUGGAAACACUGGAAACAAACCUGGAUUUCAUAACUGGAAUGGAAACUUUACAAACAGAGGAGGUUUCAAUUCAGGAAGGGGACAAAAUUCAGGUAGAGGACAAUGGAAUAAUAACUGGAAUAACUGGAAUGGAAAUCAAGGUAGAGGCAAUUUUGCUGGUGCUGCUGGAAAUUUUUCUGGUAGAUUUCCUGGUGGCUAUAAUGGAUUUGGAAGAGGAGGAGGCAGAGGAAAUAUUGUUUGUCAGAUUUGUUUCAAACACAAUCAUACUACAGUUGAUUGCAAAGAUAGAUUUAACAGAAAUUUUGUUCCUAAUUUUUCUGUGCAAGGAAAUUUUCCAGAUCAGAAUCAAACUUCUAGAUCUGCUUUCAUGGCUACAUCAGAAGGAGUUGCUGACCAAGGAUGGUAUCUGGAUAGUGGAGCAACACAUCAUCUCACAAACAAUGUGGUGAACCUAGCUGAAGGUAAACCUUAUCUUGGAUCUCAGUUGCUGUUAGUUGGUAAUGGACAAGGUCUUAGAAUCACUUCCAUAGGCAAUAUCUGUCUCUUUACAUCCUUUGGCAAUCAAUUAAACCUUUCCAAUGUUCUGUGUGUUCCCAAAAUUACCAAGAAUCUUAUUAACUUAUCUAAACUUCUCUCUGACAAUCAUAUAAUCAUUGAAUUUGUUUCUAAUCUUUGUUUCAUUAAGGACAAGAUGGUCUCUUUAAGCUACUGACUCAAGAUACACCUCUUUCUGAUUCUAAAGCCUUGGGUCUCAAACCUAGUUCAAUGUUGUCUGUUUUUUCAAAUAAAGAGAAUGUACACUCUUUGAAAGAGUUGAAUAACCAAAUAAAUGUCUGUUCAAAUUUGAUCAAUUCCAAUAAUGAGAAUUCUGUCAGUUUUUUAGCUUCCAGUAGUGAGUCUAUGUAGUUGCUACACAAUAGGUUUGGUCAUCCAACCAAACAUGUCUUGCAAACAAUAAUGAAAAGUCUUCCCAUGCAUUCAACCCAUUCUCAAUCUCUUAAUUUUUGUGAUGCUUGUCAAUAUGGCAAAUUACAUUAAUUCCAUUUUCCAGUCACUGAUAUAAAAUCAAAAUUCCCUCUCCAACUCUUAUAUGCUGACUUAUGGGGUCCAGCUUCUGUGUUGUUUAUGGACGGAUACAAGUACUAUAUUUCUUUUGUUGAUGAUUUCACAAGAUAUUGUUGGAUAUUUCCACUCACACUCAAAUCUGAGGCAUUUGACACCUUCAAAUAUUUCAAGUCUCUUGUCGAAAAACAGUUUUCUUUAUCCAUCCAAACACUACAAACUGAUAUGGGGGGUGAGUUUAUAGCUUUCAGAUCAUUUCUCCAACAAGAGGGUAUUCAAUUUAGAUAUAGUUGCCCCCACACUCACCAUCAAAAUGGUGUGGUGGAAAGGAAGCAUAUGCAUGUUGUUGAAACUGGACUCACACUCUUAGCUCAAGCUCACUUACCUCUCUCUUUUUGGUGGGAAGCUUUUCAUACAGCCACUUACUUAGUGAAUAGAAUGCCAACACCUGUUCUAAACAAUUUAUCUCCUUUUCAGAAACUAUACAAUCAGCUUCCAUAUCACAAGUUUGCUAAAGUGUUUGGAUGUUCUUGUUUUCCUUUUCUUCGAAAUAAGUGAAAAUUAAACCUACAAUUCAAAAUAGAGGACUGUAAAUGCGUAUAAAUUGAAGAAGGUAAAUUUUGUGUGUGCGUAAAUAUUUUAGUUAACAACAAAAAAUUCUAACAAGUUAAUAUAAGAGUAUCAUAGCAGUACAAGAGAAUUUUUUUUUUUUUUUAAUGUUAAGAGUUAUCGUGAUACCCAAUAUAUAUGUGUGUGUGAGAGAGUGGAGGAAGAAAAAAAUAUUAAGAAUAGUUUUGGCAUUUUGAUGGGUUUUAUAGAGUAAAAUCUAUAUUUUCAAAUAUGAUAAUUCUUUAAUUUAAUUUGGUGUUAUGAAAAAAAAAGGGUAUUUUAAAUAUGUUUUAAGUUAUAAAUAACUCCAUCCAAGAUUUAAAAAUGAAAUCUUAGGGGGGAAAAAAUUUCACCCGAACUAAGGCCCAAAGUAGCCGCGGCAUUUUUCACCAAUUCUCCAAUUCCCAAUGUGGUCUAAUUAUUUACAAGGAAUAUGAGUAGGUGUGGGCACGGUUCGGUCCGGUUCGGUUUGGAUCGAAAUUAAGCAGAACCAAUUUAAAUCGGUUAUUUUAGAAAAAGAACUAAAUAAGAACCGAACUCAAUAAAAACCGAAGAUAAACGAAUCUUUUCGGAUUGGUUCGGUUCGGUUCGGUUUUUUCGGUUUUGGGCCUAUUGGGCCUAUUUUCAAUUUUUAAAUUGUUAGCCCAUUAGGCCUCAUAAAUGUAAUAAUUUUAUUCAACAAUUAAUUUAUCCUAAUUUCAUUACAAAUAUUAACAAUAAAUACAAAGUAUUCAAAACACAUUUUAUCAUUAAUAUCUUACUAACUACUAAUAAGGUACUUACAAAAUAUGAAAUAUUAAGAUUUCAAAAUACAUAAUCAAACUCCAAUACUCCAUCUACAUAAACAUAAUGUUGUAAAGAAAAAUAAAAAUAACAACAAUUAAAACUUACAACACAAAAUAAAAAGAAAAUUUGGAAACAAACACCAACAACAAUUUUUAAAUAUAUAUAUAUACCAGUAAUUGUGUGUGUUCAUGCCUAUUUUAGUUAUCUCACGCAACCAAUUAAAAUUUAACACGUGUCUAUUUAAAUAAAAUUUCAAGAAUAACUCGGUUUUUCGGUUCGGUUUUUUGGUUCAGCUGAGUGAACCGAAUAUCGAACCUGUAUUUCGAUUUUUUUUACAAACCAUAUAUUUCAGUUAUUUUUUAAAAUUAAAACUAGUCCGAACGGAACGGAAUGGUUCGAAUCAAUUUUCUCUAGUGCACGAUUUUUUUGCCCACCCCUAAAUAUGAGAUUCUCUACCACUCCAAUUUAUCCCAUUGUUAGCAAUCCUAUUAGCUGUUUUAUAUCCUAUUUUUAUUAUGCUCCCCAAACAAAUAUGUUUCACCUAAAGGUGCCCAACGGGCUGCACCGUCCGUCUCAAUGAGCGCACGAGAUGCUCCACAUGACACGGCAAUCUUUUUCUUUUUAAUGAGGGCGUGUCUGAUAUGCUCUUUCAAGUCUACAUACCUAACGUUCUUUUUUUAAGUGCAUAUAUUUUUUUUAAAGCUCAUGUGAAAUUCAGUAGUAAGAGAAUGCAAUACUAGUUAAUAAGUUAGAGCCUACAAAAUAAUAAUAAUAAUAAUAAAAUUUUCUUUAAGGGUUAACAUUUUAUUGUUAAUUUGAAUUUACAUACAGUUAUAGAUUAUAGUCUAUAAUAAUAUUAAUACUUACAAGUUUCAAAUUAAAAUUUAAUAAUUAACGUUUCAUUAACACAACUAUAUUAUCUAAUUUUGCAAUAACCAAUUAUAAUACAACAAUACAUAAUUCUAAUUUCAUAGACCAUGGUAAUAAAAUCUAUACGUUAAUGAAAAAUUUUAUUUUGAUAUACGUCGGUCUGCUUGUUAUUGAUGGCCGAUGGUCGUAUGCUAGCCUGCUAAUGAAGUGUGUUUAUUAUUGGUUUUUUCACGUGUCUUGCUUUACCACAUCUCUAGUCAAAUUGUGUUCUUAAAAUCCACAGCCUAACCUAGCCUCUGUGUGUGUCCUGUUGUGCCAUACUAUACAAACACGUAUCCAGUACAAUGCCACAUACCGGUCGGCCCUUAGCCAUCUCUAGUUUCACCCCUAAAUGAAAUCUAAACGGCUACUGGCAAGUAAGAAAACUUGUUAUUCUUUAUUUUGAAAAUAAAGGGAAUUGCUUAGUUUGAUAUUGUUUUUGGUAAGUCAUUUUUUUGUUUUGAAACAUUUUUCUGAGAUGUUGUUGUAUUUGGUGAAAAAUAAAUUAUUUUAUUUUAUACUUUUAAUGAAGAAAAGUAGAGAAAAACAUUUUGUUGUUUUCGACAACAUUUGCCUUAUAAGUGCACCCGUGCCAUUUUUUUCUUGUUUUAUUUGUAUGAUAAUUAUCAUGGACCCACGUAACUUUCUUUUGCAUUUAAAAUUUCAUAAUAAAUUAAAUUAGACAAAAGAAAUGAGUCCCACAAAUAAUUUAUUUUAUAAUUUUUUAAAUAAUACUAUUUUAAAAUAAAUUAUCAAAACAAAUUUCAUGUUCACUAAAAUUAAUCAUAUUCAUAUUAUAAAAUAAAUAUAAAAACAAUAUCUGAAAAGUAAUGCUAAAUACACUCUUAAAUUUUCUGUACAGCAUUAGAAUUGAUGAACAAUCUGACAAAGAUGCUGCGACUUAAGUAGGGAUGACAAUUAAAGCCGAAUUUGGAAAAAUUCAUGUCUGCAAAUUAAAAAAUGUGGAUUCGGAUAUAGAAAUUCGGAAUUCAUACGGAUCCAAAUAAAUUUUAUUUUAAAUUAAAAAUAUAUAUUAAAAAUUAAAUGAAAAAUUAAAAAAUAAAUUUUAUUUGUGGUUUUAUGAUGUUGUUGUAUAUUAUUCAUGUUGAAUUAUUAAUGGUUGGAUUAUGAUUGAAUUUUAUUUAAAAUUAAAAAUAUAUAUUAAAAAUUAAAUUAAAAAAAAUUAAAUUUUAUUUGUAGAUUUAUGAGAUUAUUGUAUGUUAUUCAUGUUGAAUUAUUAAUUGUUGAGUUAUGAUUGAAUUUUAUUUGAUAUUAUUAGGUAAAUUAUUGAAAUUUUAAAUUAUAUAUUAAAUUAUUUAAUCUUAAUUUUUACAAAUAUGAAUAUCUAGAAUAUCUGCCUGCAUCCGUUGCAGAUAUUAUCUGCUUCCAGAUCCACAUCUUUUUACGAAUCUAAAUAUAGAAAUAUGAAUGCGGCUCCGAAUCUAGAUUUUACCAACCCUGAACCUAAGCAUGAAUGGGCCUAAAGUUUUCACAACAAACAUGAAUCAUUAAAUGACACGAGAUGUUUUACAGCUCUCAUUAGUAUAAUUGAAUAAUUAAUUCAGCUCUAUAUUCAGUUUACACCGUCUCAAAUUGCAUGCAAAUAGGAAAAUGCACUUCUGAAUUGUUCACUUGAGGAAAAUUAAUUUUAACUCAAUAAGUCCUAAUUGUCCACGUAGAAUUUUAACUCAAACCAUAGCAAAUUAGACAUAAUUCUAAUUUAUAUGGGAAAUAUAAUUAGCAAAGACACUCUUUAUAUAAACAUUAUUGUCAAAGGAUGCCAAACCUAAUAAGAUUCAAGGUCUUAACAUACUUCAUAUCAAAUUUGAUCUUGGCGCGUACCGACACGCAUAACAUCAAGACUCUACUUCAUAUAUAAUAAUGUAACUUCAUGGAUUUUUCGCUCUCUUGUGAAAUUGACAAUUAUAGGCGAUGUGCCAGUGAGGCAGUGGUACAUAAAAUAAAGGAUAAAAGUUCAUUUAGUCCUUAUAUUUUAAUAUUAAUGUCUAUUUAGUCCCUGUAUUUGUUAAAAUACCUCGAAACAUUCCUGCCGUUAAAGUAUUGAUGCCCUUACUGUUACUUUUUAUUUUUUUAGCUUACUUUUACAAUAUUACCCUUUUAUAAUAAAUUUUUUGUUUGGACAUUAAUCAAAAUAAAAUAAUUAAUUAUCAAUUUAACCCUAAAAAAAUUAUAUUAAUUUUUAAUUGUCAAAAAUUAAAUUGUCAAAUAUCAAGUGUGCAAAUGGUGCUUGCAAAAAAAUUAAUAUAAUUUUUUUUAGGGUUAAAUUUGGUAAUUUAAUUAUUUUAUUUUUAUUAAUGUCCAAACAAAAAAAUUAUUAUAAAAGGGCAAUAUUGUAAAAGUAAGCCAAAAGAAAUAAAAAGUAAUGGUAGGGGUAUCAAUACUUUAACGGCAUGGAUGUUUCGAGGUAUUUUUAAAAAUACGGGGACUAAAUGGACACUAAUCUCAAAAUACAGGGACUAAAUAGACUUUUACCCUAAAAUAAAUGUUUAUUUUUAGAAUAUUAUUAUUUAUCUCAAUUUUUAUUUAAUAGUUAAUUUUAAUCCAUUCUUAAACUGUCAUAAUCAAUUAAUUUUUUACAUUAUCACAUCUUAAAUAAAUUUUGGAUCUGUAAUAAAUAAAAACUGGUAACGUUUGUUCUUUUAAAACAUAAAACAACCGUAACAUUGGUUUUUACAUUUUGAAUUUUUCUUGCAUCACUAUUUAUAAAAAUGAUGUUAAAUCAACUCACAAAAUAUAUCAAGCCAUCUAAAAUCCAAAUAUUAUUACAUUUGUAUUUGCAUUGUUAAAUUGUUGGAACGACGGCAAAGCAAUUGAAAAGAGAUUAACAAAAAAGUAAAGAUUGGCCAAGGAUUAUUCAUGUUUAGGAAAUGCCUUAACUUUUGAUAUAAUCAUUGUUAUAACAAUAAUGCUACACAUCCCAAAUUUUUUAUCCCAAAAAGUUAUCCCAAAUGAUAUGUCAUUAAUUGAGUGGUUGAUAAUUCUUUACAAGAUCCAAGUGAAUUAAUUGUAUUAUCUCACCAACCAAUUGAUUAAUGCCACAUCAUUUGGGAUAACUUUUUGGGAUAAAAAAUUUGGGAUGUGUAGCAUUAUUGUUGUUAUAAUUAUAUUGUAGAAAUAAUCAAUUACCUAAUGUUUGUGGUAGUAAAUAUUAUUAACUUGUUUUACUAUACCCGUGUUUAUGUUGGUCUCCUUUUUGUCCAUUUCUGUACAACGAAAUAUUUGUAUGUUUUGAUAGAAAUUGGUUUAAAUGACAUUUAAAAUAGUAUAUCCCCAGACAAUUGACGAAAUAUUUGGAUGGUAGGAUGAAGUAAUAAAUAGUUUUACAAAUUACCAUAUUAGAGGUAAAAAAAAAUCGAGAGGUUACUUGACAAUUAUGACGUUACUAACUACAAAUUUAACACAAAAAGUUUAAUUAACUUUUCUUUUUGAGAUGGCAAAAUCUCUGGUGUUGAAAACAAUGAGGUUUGAGAUUCAAGCUUGAAUAUCAAGUUACAAUUAGUAGAUGGUCUUAGGACAUAUCAAAGAUUUCUUUAAAGACAAUAAUAAUUACAAGCAAUAGGAAUUUAUGGUAUUCAGAACAUGUAUAUCUUCGCACAUGAAGCUUGAAUCCAGAACAAGAUGCAGCUAGCCAAUCCUUCAACUUCCAAAACCCCACAAAAUCUCUGUCAACAUGUCUGUUGUACUAAGCACAUUCAUAGGGGUAUCAACAGCUUACAGCUCCAAAAUAUUUUCCCCAAAAAGAGUUGAGAGAUUUCACUGAAGCUAAUUUGUGACUUGUGACUGCCCAAAUGUUCUAUAACACGGUAUGAUUAUUCUAGUAACACAAAUCCAACAGCAUGCAACAUAAUCUACUCUCUAACAUUGUGCAUUAGCAAAAUAAAACAGAGUAAAAAGAGAAACCAUGCCUGUGAAUCUCUUCUUUUCCCCCUGCCACCCCUUUUUUUGGUGAAGUCCAUCAAAUGAAAAUGCAGCAUGACCAUGUUGGCCACUGCCACUGCCAUUACUUCUUCAACUGUGGCUUUUGUUGCAGGAAAUAUUCAAGUGAAAGAUUGGAUUAUAUAAUUCAAGAUUCCAAUAAACCUGAGCUGCAAAGGUUGCCUUCCACUAGCCUAUCAGAGACUAUGCUUUCUAUUUUCCUAGUUUUUUAAUCAUAAUUUUGCAAGAUUUAUUUAUGGAAAACUGGGACAAAAUUUUAUGUAAGAUACCAUAAAGCCAAACACAAUCUUUUUAAUUCUCAGCAGCAAGAUUUAAAGUUAAAAAAGGGAAGCCAUAUAAAUAUAACUAUGUUUGGUACAAGUAACAAUUAUUUCAAGCUUUCAGAAAUGCUAGCAAGAGAUUGUAAGAGAACUUUACCUAGUCACAGAAUAUGUCAAACAUACUACCACCAACUGUCUUUAGCACGAUUGUUAUGGAAGUAGCUUUUGAAUCGGAAGAUUCCAGCUUCCACCAGGCACCAUUAUUUUCAUUCUUGAUACAAUCUGCAUCACUGGCAUUAGUUAUAUCAUCAACAUUUGCAUCCUCACUCUCAUCAUCCCAAUCAAGGCUUCUUCUCCAGCUCUGGAUUAUAAGUCCACUCCGACAUCUUCAAACAUCUCGGUCCUUCCAUUUGCCAACAACCGAUAUGGCUUCCUUCCUUGCCUUCCCCAUUAAUAUAUCACUCGAAGGAAAAAAAGCAUCAGCAAUUCUCUUCAACGCCUCAUCGUUUAUAACCCCCCAAAAAAAGGGUCUUCAGACACUUCAACUUUGCCUUCUGCAAAACCUCCACAAAAUCUGAAUUAUCCAACACAACAGCCAGACACUCAAUCCUUCUUUUGUCCAUCAUAUCCACCGUAUGAUUCCUCAACAAAAUAUGUACAGCUUGUGGCUUAUCUAACACUGUCUUGAUCCAAAACCCCGCUCUUUUCAACUCAUCUGCCAAACCAUAACCCACUUUUGGAGUCAAAAUUGUCCUUGCAGCCCUUUUAUAUUUUUCCAUCUCCAUCGAAUACUUGCCACUCAAAUGGAAUUACCAGACAGGAAUCCCAGUAACAAGUCCACUCAACUUCUUCUCAUCUGAUCCCUCUUUCACUCUGGCGGAAACAUUAAUAACCAUUCACCAGCCACAAAUUACCCAAGUAAGUACUCGUGUCGUCGACACUUACCCUUCACUUCAUCUACGCAAACGAGAAUUCAAAUUGCUUACUAGCUAGUGCUCGAGCAAAAGCCAGAAUAAAUUAAAUAUGUGUGUGUGGUAGCGAAGUUAUCUAUAUAUAUAUAUAUAUAUAUAUAUAUAUGAAGUUGGGACACGAGGAGAUGACGUGGCAUCACCAUUUCUCAUCUUUGUAUAUUCUCUAUUAUCUAAUAAAUAGAGAAUUUUUUUUUCAGAUUUAACUUUUCAUCUUCUCAUAAUUAAUUUAAUUGUUAUUACACAAUAACAAUUAUGUAAAAAUUUUAAUGAGGCAUAUUCUUUAUAAUGAACAUCCAAAGGGAAGUGUUAUGAAUUUAUUAAAAUAAAUGUAGAUGUUCAUAACAUAUAUCUCUUAUUCUCACCACUAUCUCUCAUUAGCAACCUUUAGCUUCCCUAUAACUCCCACUAUCUCACAAGGAAUUAUGAUCCAUAAUUUUUCAUUAAUUUCAUAGAGUGAUUAUGUAACUAUAAAAGGAGAGCUCAUCUUUUGUUCUGUACACACACAAUUAGAAUGAAUAAAAUCACUCUAUAAUAUAUUCUCUCAUUUUAUUCUUUAUCUUGCGUUGCUUCUUUAUUUGUAUUGCUGGUUAAUAGUUUUUUUUUUUUGUUUUUUAUAAGGCUGCCUCAUCUUCAAAAAAAAUCAAUUCAUAUUUUUUAUCAGUUUCAUAAAGUGUAAAGUAAAAAAAAAUAAUACUAAAUUCUUUUUUCAAAGUCGCAUGAAACGCGGUUCUAUUUUUUAGUAUAUAUAUAAAGCUGGAACUGGAGGAGGUGAUGUGGCAUCACCAUUUCUCAUCUUUGUAUAUUCUCUAUUAUUUAAUAAAUAGAGAAAUUUUCUUUUAGAUUUGGCUUUUCAUCUUCUCAUAAUUAAUUUGAUUGUUAUUACACAAUAACAAUUAUGUAAAGAUUUUAAUGAGGCAUAUUCUUUGUAAUGAAUAUCCAAGGGGGAGUAUUAUGAAUUUAUUAAAAUAAAUGUAGAUGUUCAUAACAUAUAUCUCUUAGUCUCCCCACUAUCUCCCAUUAACAAUCUUUAGCUUCCCUAUAACUCCCACUAUCUCACAAGGAAUUAUGAUCCAUAAUUUUUCAUUAAUUUCAUGGAGUGAUUAUGUAACUAUAAAAGGAGAGCUCAUCUUUUUGUUUUGUACACACACAAUUGGAAUGAAUAAAAUCACUCUAUAAUAUAUUCUCUCAUUUUAUUCUUUAUCUUGCGUUGCUUCUUUAUUUGUAUUGCUGUCUAAUAGUUUUUUUUUUGUUUUUUAUAAGGCUGCCUCAUCUUAAAAAAAAAUCAAUUCAUAUUUUUUUAUCAGUUUCAUCAAAUAUAAAGUAAGAAAAAAUGAUAAUACUAAUUUUUUUUUUCAAAGCCGCGUGAAACGCGGUUCUAUUUUCUAGUUAUACAAUAAAGCAAACCAAAAUAAAUUCUACACUCAUAUAUAUAUAUAUAUAUAUAUAUAUAAAGCUGAGACUUGAGGAGGUGAUGUGGCAUCACCAUUUCUCAUCUUUGUAUAUUCUCUAUUAUCUAAUAAAUAGAGAAAUUUUCUUUUAGAUUUGACUUUUCAUCUUCUCAUAAUUAAUUUGAUUGUUAUUACACAAUAACAAUUAUGUAAAGAUUUUAAUGAGGCAUAUUCUUUGUAAUGAAUAUCCAAGGGGGAGUGUUAUGAAUUUAUUAAAAUAAAUGUAGAUGUUCAUAACAUAUAUCUCUUAGUCUCCCCACUAUCUCCCAUUAACAAUCUUUAGCUUCCCUAUAACUCCCACUAUCUCACAAUGAAUUAUGAUUCAUAAUUUUUCAUUAAUUUCAUGGAGUGAUUAUGCAACUAUAAAAGAAGAGUUUAUCUUUUUGUUUUGUACACACACAAUUGGAAUGAAUAAAAUCACUCUAUAAUAUAUUCUCUCAUUUUAUUCUUUAUCUUGGGUUGCUUCUUUAUUUGUAUUGCUGUCUAAUAACUUUUUUUUUGUUUUUUAUAAGGCUGCCUCAUCUUAAAAAAAAAAAUCAAUUUAUAUUUUUUUAUCAAUUUCAUCAAAUGUAAAGUAAGAAAAAAUGAUAAUACUAAAUUCUUUUUUCAAAGCCGCGUGAAACGCGGUUCUAUUUUCUAGUUAUACAAUAAAGCAAACCAAAAUAAAUUCUACACUCAUGUGGGUGUUUCGUUCGCAAAAUCUGGACAAGAAAAAUAAUAUUGAUACAAUCUCCAAAUAAAGAGCAUUCCUCUUGGUAAAAUAGACAAAUCCUAUAAAUUUUGAUUAAUGGUGCCAAAUGAAAGAGUUGUAAUUUCAUGUACAUUUUGUUAACAUGAAUAAGGGUACAAAAUAGAUAACAAAGUGACAAAAACAAAGCUAAUCACAAUGAAUGAUAAGGCUUAGAGUAAACAAAAAGUUAUAAUCUUGAACAUAAGUGGCGCUCAAAGCCAUGAAUUUGAUAUCAUCCAUGAGGGGAGUUCAAACAAUAGCAUGUAAGAAGCAACAAGUGUUGAGAAAAAAAAAAUUUCAUUCUACCACAACAGAAUAAAUUGUAAAGAAAUCCCAGUUUGUAUAAAAGAAAGAAAACAAAAUUAAGGAAAACAUAAGCACAACAAAAUUCGACUGAUUAUUAAAAAUGAGAAAUGAGUUAUAAUGAGAAUUUUAGCUUUGUUGUGAAAUAAAUUGGGAAGUAUCCAAAGUACGCAUGUAAAUAAUAAAAAUGAUAAGAAGACGAAGGGAACAUAAUGAUAAUAAGCAAGCCAAAUAUUAAAAUGCAGAUUCUACGCUUCUGCCCCCCCAUACUUCAAGUUAGUGUCUCGCUAAUCAUUUUAGAUGUAUCAAUUACAAAGGGAGGCCAUCUAUUUAUAGUAAGCGUACGCCUCUAAUGCUUUGCCAAGUGUCCAUUGAUAAUAUCACAAGGGAAAUUAAAUUGGUGUAUGUGUAUUACACCUCCUAAAGUCAUGUUAAGAUAGUGUGCUGAUAAAGCUUGUUGCACGUGUGAUUGGUUAAGUCUGCUAGAAAUGCAAACGUGUAAAGCUGAGUCAGCAAGUUAGUUAAGGUUAUUAUGAAUGCUUAGAUUCAGCUCACGUGUAUUGUAUGUAAUACUUAGAUUCAGGUCAUGUAGAUUGUGUAAUCUCAAUAUAAAUACUUGAUGAUCAUGAUUCGACAUUCCUCACAGCAGGAGCUGUGGAUCUUUAGACAUCAGAUUUUAAUUUCUGUAAUGUUAAAUUUGGAUCCCAUAUUCGACAUUCCUCACAUCAGGAGCUGUGGAUCUUUAGACAUCAGAUUUUAAUUUCUGUAAUGUUAAAUUUCCCAAAACAUUAAAAAAAACAAUGCUGUAUACAUGGUGAAUGAUCUGGCGUAUCUAUAGGUAUUACCCAAGACAUUUCUGAGAACCUGAACUAGGAAUCCUUGUAUUUUUCUUUAUGUCAAGACAGUGACUUGAAGAUUUUAGAUUAUUUUUUUUGGCCAUUUUAUAAUUGUUGGCAUAUUGAACUUGAGUAAUUUUGAUAAACCAUAGUUCAGGAAUGUCUGAUAGAAAUAUUGGAGACUUGAACUUGAAUAUUAGAUUUGAAAUUAAAGAGGUAAGCCAUUAAAAUACAUCAAAGGAUUUGGAAAAUGGAGGAAUUGGAAUAUUGGUAUGAUGGGAUUACAAGAAAGGGAAACUUUUGCAUCAACAUCAAGCAUUGGGCAUUUUCAUUUGUCCUAUUCUAACACCAGUUAGGAAUAUCAACAAGGAGUUACGCUAUGAAUUAAGUAAUCUGCCAGUAAUGCAAGCAUUGAAUGUGAAGAGCUUCACAUAACUUUGAAUUAGCUUAUGAUUUAACACUAUUCCUUUUUGUGUGUGAUCAUGCAUUACGCCGUACUAGAUUUUUCUCUUUCUCUGCGGGAGAGAAAAGAAAGAGAAACAAUGGAUGCAAUAUAAAAAAAGUAAUACAUAUUUACCUAUUUAGUAGGCAAUUUACGCCAACGGUGACACUAUCACAUCAUGAGCGAGUUAUGUAAUAGUUCUUAGAUGAGAUCAUUCUUGCUGCAUUAUUAUUAGAAGUAUCUAUUUAUGCAAGAUUGAUAAUUUGAAUACACGUCCAAAUUAACAAGAGUUUUUAGGCAGUUUAAUUUAACUAACUAGCUAUUUAGAAUACACAUCAUAAUAAAAAAAAAGUACAAUUUAAGAUGUAUGAUUAGACUAUCUAUCUGCUCAAUCAAGACUGAGUGUGAUAUUUCCUCCGUAAACUCAUAGUUAGUUUUGUCACGCUUACAAAUCAAACUACAUUAACAUGAUUUAGGUAUUAGGGCAAGAUUGGAAAAAAAUGUCGAUAAUGCAAUGAUUAUGACGGAGAACAAACCUACAAACAGUACAGCGCAUGGACCUUUUUUCAAAAGAAAUUAUUCUUGAAAGAUAAAAAAAUUCCUUGCUUUUUACAUUAUUUUUUAAUGUAAAAAAUAUUCUCAGUUCUUGACUUGGUAUCAGAUUUUUACGUUACUAGAAAAAUCUAGUACGGCGUAAUGCAUGAUCACACACAAAAAUUUGAGGAGUUGAUGAUAAUCUCAAUAUAAAUACUUGUAAUCAACAAAUACAAUAAUAAGAGUCAUCAUUCUUCAUUUUCUCUCAGUUUCUCUCAUAUUUUCUCUGCAUCCAAACACAAUAUUCUCAGUUCUUGACUUGGUAUCAGAUUUGCAGUUUAAUUGUCAUGGCUUCCUUCCUUAAGCACAAAUUCAAACACAAAUCAGUCUCCUUCAUUCUUUACCGUCACAAAUGCGAUCAAACUGGACAGAUCUAACUAUACGAUAUGGAAAUCUCAGAUCCUCUCUUCAGUGCGUGCCAAUGGACUUGAAGGCUUUCUUAAUGGAACUAAAAUUUGUCCAGAUCAGUUACUUACUCAAGAGAUUGAAAGUUAUGGUGUUGAAAAUGCUGUUGUUGAAAGCUCAACUGAUAGAUCUCAGGAGAAUCCAGCCUUUGUUGCUUGGAAAAGGUAGGAUCAAUUGUUAUUAAGUUGGCUCAUGUCCUCCAUCAGUGUUGAGAUACUUAGUCUUGUGGUAAAUUCUGAUUCUUCUCAUAAACUUUGGACUAAUCUUGAAGAAAAUUUUUGGAUUAGAAACUAUGGCUAAGAAAGCACACUUAAAAAUGAUGUUAAGCAAUCUCAGAAGGGGAUCAAUGACAAUAACUGAGUAUUUUGCCAAACUUAGAGCUGUAACUAAUAAACUUGCUCUAACUGGUAGCCCUGUUUCUACUCUAGACUUUAUUAAUCAUCUAAUCUCGAGAUUAGGCCAGCCAUACUACCCUGUUGUUUUGUAUAUUGAAGCUAAUAUGAUGAAAAUAUUUGUCAAUGAAGCCUACUCUAUGCUUUUAACUCAUGAAGCAAGAAUUAAAUUUAAUCAUCCGAGUGCAAAUAAAGAAGCAAAGUUGAAUUAUGCUGCUAACAUAGCUUAGGCUGGACCUAGUAAUAACAAUAAGAAGUCUAGUAAUCAAGCUAAUUACUAUCAGGGCAACCAAGGUAACGGGAAUAGAAAUGCUCAUUGGUGUGGUAACAAUGGAGGAAGAGGUGGCUUUGGCAGAGGUUUUUCAGGGCAAGGAAGGGGUAAUUAGAAUAAUGGUGGUCAUUGAACAAUGGACCUUGGAGUAGUAGUCGAGCAGGUUAUAAUUGUUCUGAUAUAAACAUUAUGACAUGGUUGCUGGUGAACCUGUAAACAUAACCACAAAAGUAAGAAGGCAUAAUUUUUUUAUAAGAAACUCAAAAAUGUAUUAAUGAUGAAAAUUUUAAAAUAGAUAGUGGACCAUCUGUCCAGUAAGAAAACAAAAAACUGAAUAUUUGUGCUAUAAAAAGGCACACCCAAUCUCACCCCUAUAAAAGGCUAGAAUCAGCUACAAAUCCCUACCUCAAAACCCCAUCCCAGUUUAGAUGAAUGAAGAAAAAUGAUGAAUCUUGAAACUCCUUAGAAACUGAAGCCCAAAGUGAAGCAAGAAGAUGAACUCUAUCCCAAGCAAGCAAUAUGGCAUAUAUCUCCAUUAAUGGUUCAAAUAAAGUGAAUGGCUUUCUCUGAUGAGUGGGAAAUUGUCAAGAUCAAUAGUCAAACUCACGCAAAGUAAACGGACUUAAUUCUCAGAGGCUACUCAUUCUAAGUCUUAAAGAAAAUUUUUCUAAUUUCUAAAGAUUAUAUGGGGAAAAAAUCAUUAUUUUUAAGAUGGAAAAUUUGAUAUGGUGUUUAAUGUCUGAUCACAAUGAUAAUAUGAGUACUAACAAAAACAUCUUUAAUAGGCAUGGUGCGAGUAAAACACCUUUGUAAUGUACCUCAUCAAAUAUAACCCAAGCCACUUCGCGCGUAAUCUCUGAGCCUUUGUACUGCAUACUACGCCAGAUUUCAGUAGUCAUCACCUGAAAUUAAACUUCAUAUAAGCAAUCCACAAAUCAAAGCGCUGCAACACCCAAAAGAUGACACUACCAAGUUGACCUACCAAACAAGAAGCAUUAGGGUCAAUUGUGACAUCCCCAGUCAUCAAACCAACAUCUGAAACUCUUCUUUAAACUCUUCUGAUUGCUGAGUGCCUUAAUCGGUGAAGUAUAUAUCACACGUUGCUUAUUCCGCAACGACAUAGCAAUAGCAUACAAUGCUACCACAGUUUUCCCAGCAGAUGUAUGGGCCGAUACCUGUCAAAUAAAUGAAAGGCAAAUCCAAAUUAAAAAAAGAAAAGAAAAAAAAAACUAUUUUUAUUUUCACACAUGAUAACACUUCAUGCAAAAAUUCUUAAUUCUUAUCGGUGAGCUGAAAAGCAGAGCGCUUUGUACCAAAGCACUUCCAAAUUCGAAUUAAUGUUUUUACAAAAAAUUACAGCUUUAUAUAUUUGUAUGUGCGCGUGCGUAUAAUAAUAAUAAUAAUAAUUAACGAACCGUAACGGACUCGCCGUUGUCGAGGCACUUGAUAGCUUCGGACUGGAAUGGGUCGAGAGUGAAAGGGAAUUCCUUAGCAUGUUUAGCGUCAGCUUCAGCCACUUGACCAAGACGCAUUAAACAUAAAACGCGGCGUUUUCAUGGACUAGUACAUUCCAUGCUUCGAAAGUUUUAUGGUUUAGACUGAUUGGUUUGAUACAUUAUUUGUUUGUUGCGUUUUUCUUGCUUUAAAUAUUAUGUUGGAUACUUGGAUUGAUAAGUUUUGUACACGUUUAUAUUGCUCGCAGUAAAUAAUUUAUGACAUUUAAAAAACUAUCAACCGUCUAUCAAAAGAUUUCUACUAUAAAUAUAUAUACACAAAAAACUUUUAAUUUGGUCAAUUUGUUCUCUUAUUUAUUUUUGUUCUAUUUCUCUUUUCCUUUCCUUUCAUUUUAUUGUUUUAUGGUAUAAAAUAAAAAAAUAACCUUAAAAUUUAAGGUGAUGUUUGGUUGGGAGGAGAGAAUGUAGGAGAGGAAAGUAAUUUAAAUUCUCUUGUUAUUUCCAUUGUUUGGUUUGACAAAAUGUAUAAGAAUUAAAUUUUUAUUAGAAUUUAAUAUCCAUCAUAAUGUAGAAUUUGAAUUCCAUAUUAAGUAGCGAAGAAUUUAAAUUUCUCUUCUAUUAGAAACUAAAGGUUCCAAAAUUACCCUUCAACUUUUUAGCUUAUUUAAUGCCAUUAAUAAUAAUAAUUUAAUAUUAUAAAUGGACCUCCACCGGAAAGUCGCCGGACUACCCCCGGAUCUCGUCGGACCACCGCCGGAAGAUCGUCGGACCACUGCCGGAAAAUCACCGGACCACCGCCGACCUCGCCGGACCUCCGCCGCCGGCCACCGGAUCGCCAUUUAUAUAUAUAUAUAUAUAUUAUUACUAAUAUAAAUAGUUUAAUAUUUAAGGUAAAAGAUAAAUUUGUCUAAAGAAAAAAAUUAUAAUUCAUUUCCUUAUCAAAUUUUAUAUCAAACCAAACAACAAAAUUUAAUUUCACUACUCUUCUCUAUUCCUUUCUUCUCCAUUCCUCUCCAUUCCACUCUUUUCCACUCCUCCAUUUUCUUCAAACCAAACAUGACCUAAGGGUAAAAUACUCAUUUUACUAAAAUUCCGUUUAAUAUCAUAACGCUGUCAAUGGAAAAAUAUACGAGUGAUAUAAAUUAAAAACAAAUAAAUUGAAAGUUUUUAUGUAUUUUCCUUUUAUUUUUUUAAUAGCCGAUUGAGAUUUCCCUUCAUAUUUUUAAAUUCAAUAGGUUUAGACCGUUUAACAAAUCUUAAAUUAAAAAAACCCGCGGUGUAAUAACAAACUCACAUCAAACCCUGUACACUGUCAUCCCUAAUUAUAUUUACCACUUCAUACUCACAGUGAUAAUAACUGUGUAUCACAAUUGAUUUUGCAUACGGGUAAAAGUUCCAAGUCCGGAUAUUUAGUUAAUGAAAUUUGAUGAAAAGGGCAUGAAAGAAAAUAAGAAAUUAAAUAAUACAGGAGGUAUUAAUCAUUACAUAUUUAGUUAAUGAAAAUUGAUGAAAAUAUUUCUGCAGACGUGAGCCAUAAUUAUAUUACCGUUAAGAAUGAAGCAGAAGAGUUUCCCCAAACAAGCUAAAACACAGCACUUCAAUUUAAAGAAUUUUUAUAUCACAGUACCGGGGUAAAAAGUUUAAUGCAACAACAUACAUUAAGUUAAUUCCAUAAUCUAUCCCCAAAGAAAGACAAACACAAGCUUAUAAGAUUAAAACUUUGGAAAACAUUAGAGUCGGACAAAAUUGUGUAAUCUUCAGAGUUUGGAGCCUAGUUCAUCCAGGAAAGCAAAAGAAAUAAUAAUAAUAAUAAUAGUGGUGGUUUGAUCUCAAAAGGUGGCAUCAAAGUGGUAACUUUGAGGUAUUGGAAGCAAUAACGUCUUCAACUUUGUCCUGAUUUCGAAGUCCCUUAACCCAUCCGCCAUCAAUGGAUUGAAUGCUUCCAUUCAACCCAUCAUCCACAAAAUCACCAACCCGUUUCACCUUCAUCUCCUUGGGCUUAACAGGGUACUUUCCAGAGAAGCAAGCAAAACAAAAAAUCCGAGAAUCAUCGCCUAACAACUUGUUCAAGCUGUCAAUCGGCAGAAAAGCAAGCGAAUCACACCCAAUAAACUCCCUGAUUUCCUCAACGCUCAUCCUGUUGGAAAACAACUCCUCAGUACUUGGAGUGUCUACUCCGUAGUAACAAGAAGCUAUGAUUGGUGGGCUUGCAGCGUACCCAAGUGCAGCCACCACUCCAGAAUCUGGUACUGCAAUCACGACAUCACACUCAGCAGGAGCCUCGGUAGCAAGUACUUCCCCAAAAUGAUACCUCGACUCAUAAACAGACCUUCCAAAAACAACAGAAUUAGGCAAAGCAAAAUAAAUAUGCUCAACGAAGCACUGCUUAGGUUCAGGGUGAGGCAUCAAACAAGGUGAUUGAACCCCAUCUUUAUCCACCAUCAAAACUUCACCGGGAUAUACCGUAUGUGGCCUCAAUCAAAUAGUGCACAAGUCUCUGACGCAAAAACCAGAGCACCAUUACUCCUCCUACCCAUCACCAAUGGCAUAAACCCAUACGGGUUACGAACCGCAACAAGCUUAUCCUCAGUAACAAACACCAUUGAAUAAGCACCCUCAAGCUUCUCACAAACAUCCACAAUCCUCAAAAAGAACGGCCUAGCUUUCGAUAUCGGAAUCAAAUGGAGAACAACCACAGUAUCAGAACUAGUAUUGAAAAUGGAUCCAUUAUCUUCAAGCUUAGCCCUCAAAGUAUUAUAAUUAACUAAUGUGCAACACCAACAGAACCAAACCUGUACCCAGCAACAAAAGGCUGCACAUUCUUAAGCAUAGAACUACCCGCAGUCGAAUAUCUAACAUGACCAAUGGCCAUAUCACCCGGCAAUUGAUCAAGUUUAGACUGAUUAAACACAUCAGAGACUAAACCAACACCAGUAAUAGACUGAAGAACUUUGUUAUUCACAGCAACUAUACCUGCACCUUCUUGGCCGCGAUGCUGCAUCGCGUGUAGCGCCAAAUAGCACAAACGCGAGGCCUCUGGGUCACCAUAGAUGCCCAUAACACCACACUCCUCACGGGGCUUAUCGUCGUCAUCAUCAUCAAAACUGCCAAAACCGUCAUCUGGAUAUUCUUUAUUUGUGGUGAAAAACUCAGAGAUGGGGUUUUUUGAUAGAACAGUGAAGUUAUUUUUGUGGAUUAAAGAUUGUUGUUUCUGAGGAAAAAAAGGGUUUUUUUGCAGGGUUUUGGAGAAAAGAGAAAGAUGGGUUUUUUGCGACGGCUUAGGGUUAACAGAUGGAGAUGGGUUUGAGAGAGGGCAGAUGUUGGCGUGCCUGUUGUGGUGGCUGCCAUUAAUGGCUGAAUUUAUUCUAUUCUAUUUUAUUUAUUGGGUUGCCUUGCCCUUGCUCAAAGAAAAAACAGAGGAGGUGUGUGGAGGGAGACAGUGGCGAAGGGUACUUUAAGUAGAGGGGAACUUGUUCUAGGUUUUUUUCUGGAAUUGUGAGGGAAUCUGAUCCUGGGUUUGUGCAUAUGAUUCAAUUACUUAUAGGUGAUACUGUUGUGUCACCACAAAUUCUAAUUGGGAAGCUUCAGCUGUCAAUUUUUUUCCAAGGGUUAAUUAGGUAGAACUUUCAUGUCGUCGAUUUUAUUUGGAGAUUCUAAAAGUAGUUUCCAAAUAAAGAGAUGGACCAAAAUCAACAAUGUGACAAAGAUACUUUAGAUUUUUUUUCCUUGUGGGACAUGAAAAUUGAUGCAUGUUCCAAUGCAUUGCUCUAUCAGAAUUGGAAUUAAACUUAGUUUGUAUUCUCCUAUUCCGAAAGCAAAACUUAUAAGUGAUAUUAUAAGAAGAAGAAAUUAAGAACCAUAACAAAUUUGAUGAUUCUAAUUUGCUAGAAAUAUUGCAAUCCAAAACUAAGAAAGUUAAAACCAAUUAUUAGAAGAAAAAAGUAGGACGGAAGCUCCCAGAAUAUUGUUAUGUGUUGUAUUUUUUCAGUUUGUAUUUCCCAAUCAAUAAGGAAAAGUAAGUACACACGUUACAAAAAUUUAAUAAAAAAGAUUGGAGGUGACAAAACCGUCAAUUUUCUAAUUAACUUUCUCUCCUUUCGAAUUUCCUGAGUUUGGUAGAGACUGCUUAAGUGGUGUAUCUAUUAUAAACAAGCAAAACUAUGUUGCAACAGUGGUACGGUACCACUGUUGCAACAGUGGUACGGUACCACUGUUGCAACCAGCUAUUGAAUCUAUAGUUGUAUAGUUACAUUAGCAAGAUCCAAUAGCUAAACGAAACAAUAGUACCGUACCACUGUUGCAAUAUAGCUAGACCCAUUAUAAAUACCUGAAGUCAAAGUUAAUGUUUUAAUUGUUAAGAAAAGUUCGAAGAAGAAAUUUUUGUAUAAGAGAAUUGGGUUUAAAUUUAGAAUUCUUUGGAAGGAAAUGAGUCUAAAUUCCAAUAAUAUAAUUCAGCUCUAUUUAUAUAUAUCAUUAGUUGGGUGAAAAAUUAAUUUCCCUCAUUUGAUGUGAUUUUCAUCAUUUAUUUUCAUAUGAUGAUAAUUUUUUGUUUAGAGUGAAGUUAUUGGCACCCUUUCAUUAUCCUUAUAAAACCCUACUUCAAAUAAAAUUACACUUAAAGACAAUAGAAUUAAAUAACAUAGUUUUUUUUUUCAAACAAAUUACUCACAUUCAUAAUUUUUUUUUCUUCUAAUUUUCUAUAGGUUGCUUUGCAUCUAACUAAAAUAAAUUGUACAAAUUUAGAAUAAUUUAUUAUUCUUUUUAAAUUUCUUAUUGAUUAAAUAUUUGUGUAUUUAAGAUAGCUUUAAAAUUAUAAGAUAAAAUAUAUAUAAUUUAAGCCAAUGAUUAACAUUCAAAAAUUUCUCUCUCAUAAAAGUUUUUAAUUUGUGCGUAGGGUAAUAAUAAAAUUGCAAAAGAAAUGAGAAAUAGCAUAACACUAUUUUGAGUUUAAACAAUAAAAAAAUUAAAUGAAAAAUUAGAAGUGUAUUUAAAAAAAGGAUAUUUUUAAAAGUAAAAUAAAUAUAAUUAAAAAAAAAGAGUUUCAUGAGGGGUGCAAGCAAUAGUUCAACUCUUUUGUUUAUAAGUUUUAAGAUGUUGGUAUCCGUAGCUUAGCUUUUCCCUAAUUAUUAUAUUAAAAUGCAACAACAAUGAUGAUCAACCCUAAUUUCAUGGAGGUCAAAGAUUUUGGUCAUGCCGCAUUAAUUAGUUCGGUCAUACUUUCUACAAAUUUAUUUACAUUUAAUAAUUUGACCAAGACUAAGGCGCCGCCUGGAGUCAUAGAAUUUUAUAUGUCAAAAAUGCAUUUCACUUCAAUUAAGCCAUAAAUGUCGUUUAAUAUGCUUAUUUUGUAUUUUUUUAAAAAGUUUUAUUAAUUUUUUUUGUUUUUAAAAAUAUCAUUUAUUUAUUUUUAAAUUUUUUUUUUUAAAGGUAAAUAAGUGGGUAAAGUUCAAAUUCAAUUUUUAUCCCUUACGUCAUGGCUCCUAAGAUUUGAACUUAAGUGACCAAAUGUAUAAUAAUAGGCAUCUCAAAUAUCAUUUCUAAUUAUAUGUAAUUUAUUAAGUGAUUGUUAAUCUUUACAAGAUCCAAGUGAAUUAAUUGUAUUAUUUCACUACUAAUUGAUGAGUAUCAUAUUAUUUGGAAUAACUUUUGAAUAAAAAAAUUGUGAUGGAUGAAAUAUUCUUUUGAGAAUUUAUUGACUUAUCUCAUUUAUGAUUUAUUGUUGCAUUUAAGUGAUAUUGCAAAUAAUUUUUCCAAUAAUAUUAUUGUUUUGACGAGUAAGUUUGGAGUAAAUAAUACAUAUGGCAAGUGUGAGGUUUGUUAUUGCAUAUAUUUUGUGGAUCCAUUUUAAAGCCAAAAAAAAGGCAUUUCAAUUCAUUAUGAUUCCAGAUAAUUUCAAGCCAUAUGUCAUUAUUGGGAUAAAAAUAAAGUAAAAUGAUUAAAACUAUUUUUAUGUAAUUUAUAAAAAUUAAUGAAGCAACUGCAAAAAUUUUUAAACGAAAAACAAUUGAAAUGUGUGUGGAAAAAGAAGAAAAAAAUAAGGCAUUUAAAUAUCUUCUUAAAAAAUACGAUUGAGUAAAAUCAUUUUAACAGAAUGCUCUUCGAAAUGCAAUUCCACAUUAUUUUUUUUAUUGCAGUGGGAUAUUCCAAAAUUGGCACAACUCAUUAAGAAUUCGGCAACUAAAAUUUUAUUUAUCACUCUAUGCAUUUGACAAAUUAAAAAGAAAAAAAAAUCAUAUAUCUUCUGUUCAAAAGAAACCUUGGUAAAUAUUGUAAAACAAAUUACCAAUUUUUUUAAUUUAUGCCAUUAUAUCGUCGCUAUUUUCUCGCCCACUUUCUUAAAAUAGAAUCAAUAUUUAUUGAUGGGUUGGGUUCCAAAGUAAGUACCAAUUCAACAAAAUGGUUUUAUAGCAGAAAAAACACUUGUAAGACAUUCAGAACACAUUUUUCAAUUUUGUCUUUUGAAAAUGAGUCUUGAGUUUCCACAAGCCAAGAAGAAUGGCUAAAAAAUGUAUGGUAUCAAAGAAAGAGAAACACACACACACACAGAGAUUAGUGAGGAGAUAUAUGAGUGUGUAAUUUGUAUAUAUAUCCCCAUUAAUUGUUGAUAGUCCAAUGGGUAUAUGCAAAAGGAAAAAAUUGGCUGUCCUUUUAAGACAAAAUUGACUGUCACAUGAAAAUGUUAGCACACUUGCCACGCAACGAAAAUAAAGAUUCCAAGAACAAACUUUAUAGUCCCCUUUCUGUCCAAACAUAUGCGAUAGAAAUUAGUGUAAACGACACUUGAAAUAUAUAUGUAGAUCCUCACACAAUUGAUUAAAUAUUUAGAGUAGGAUGGAGUGAUAAAUAGUUUCACAAAAUUAUUGGAAUUAACUACUUAAUACAUGAGAUCUAUCUCAUUAAGUAUAAAAGAUUGAGUGCUGCUUCAAAAGCAUGACGUUGCUGGCAACAAAUUUAACACAAAAAUUUAAUUAACUAUCCUAGUUGAGAUAAUAAAAUCUUGUGUUGAAAACAAAAGGUUUGAGGUUCGAACCUUCUCAUUCAAGAAAAUCAAGUCAAAAUAUUACAUCUUCCAGCACAUAUCAAAGAUUUUUUCAAAGGCAGACUGAUAAUUCAGGGUAAAACAAAAAAAAACACAAGGACUAUAUGCUAUUCAAGACAGGUAUACCUUGGACAUGAAGUCUGAAUCCAAAACAAGAAGCACCUAGCUGAUCUUUCACUUUCAAUUUCCAAAAUCCAACAAAAUCUUUGUCAAAAUAUCUGAUCUAGUCUCAUAUUAAGCACAUUCAUAGCCGUAUCAACAGGUUCAAAAUAUUUUCCCCAAAAUGAGACAGAGAUUCCACUGAAGUUGAGUUGUGAAUGUCCCAACGUUCUGUAAUUAUAUGGUUCAGGAUACCAUGCCUAUUAAUCUUUUUUUUUCCUUUUAAAAAAAGGAAGCCAUAUAAAUAAUGCUUAAAACAUUAUUUGCAACAAGGAACAAUCAUUUCAUGCUUUCAUGUAUUAGAAACUUUCCAAAAAUGCUAGCAAGAAAAUGAAAUGGAACUUUACCUAGUCACAGAAUAUGUACUGCUGUUAGCCCAAUUGUUAUGAAGUGGCUUCUGCAUCAGAAGAUUCCAGCUCCCACCAAACAUUGUUAUCUCUCUUCUGAAUACAAUCUGCAUCGUUGGGCAUGAGUUAUAUCAUUAAUGUCUGCAUCCUCACUUACAUCAUCCCAAUCAAGUGCUUUUUCUCCAUAUCUGGAUUAUAAGUCCACUCCAAUCUCUUCAAAACAUCCUAGUCCUUCCAUCACAACUGAUACGACUUCCUUCCUAAUUACUUUCCCAUUAAUAAAUCGCUCCAAGAAAAGAAAGCAUUAGAAAUUCUCUUCAACACCCCAUCACUCAUAUCCCCUACAACAACCCUCUUCAGACACCUCAACAUUGCCUCUUGAAAGACCUCCAUAAAAUCCGAAUCAUCCGACACAACCACCAAACACCCAAACCUUCUUUUGUCCACCAUAUCCACCAUAUAAUUCCUCAACAAAACAUCGGCAUCUUGUGGCUUAUCUAACACCAUCCUGACCCAAAACCAUGCUCUUUUUAACUCAUCUGCAAAACCAUAACCCACUUUUGGAGUCAAAAUUGCGCUUGCAGCCAUUUUAUAUUUUUCCAUCUUUAUUGAAUAGUUGCCAACCAAAAGCACUCUCACAUUCCCUCUAGCUGAUUCUAUUUGAUUCGACCUUUUCUUUUGUUCCUCAUGAAUUUGCCUAAAAUGAUUAACAAGUUUGUCAUUAUUAUAAAAUCUCCUUCCACAAUCACCAAUACAUACGGCUUAGCAUGCCUAAUUACACCCCUGAUUUCUAAUUGGUUAAACAAUUCUCUUUCUUUCUUUGCUCUCUUACAACUUGAGGCACAUAACUAAACGCGUGGCUAUUAGCAUUUGCCACCAUGCAUUUAACAACCCCAAAUGAAGAUAUUAAUUUUUUUAGUUUAAUUGCUGCUUCAAAAUGGGGUACUGAAUUUGGAUUUUGUUAUCCAAAUACCAAAAAUUUCCCACAUUGUGAUGGACAGUUUUUAGUUCUAAAGUUGAUGACUGGUUUUGCGAAUCAGGCUUCAAAUGAGAACUUCUAAACAAUAAGACAAAUGAGUUUUUGAGUUUCUAAUCUUGUAAACUUUGUUCUAUUGUAUAAGUUAUGAAAUCGCUGAAACAUCACUACAGUUACAGGUCUUUAUGUGUCAAUGAACUGCAGAAGCCGAUCUUCACGUUUUCACGCGGAAGUGCACAUUUGUGAGGCGUACUCUUCAUGCACGAGGACGUGCAUGGUCAUGGCGGUGGGAGAAUGUCACGGACCGCAAUCGUGGCACCCAAGAUAUGUGCUUGUAUGCUAAUGUCGAUUAUGGUUGUGCUGAUUGUUGGAGACGUGCUUCAGGGGCGUGCAUGUGGGGAAUAUAAUGGCCCUAGACUCUUUGGAGUUCAGGCAGGCCAACCCGGUUUAGUUUGGGGAGCUUGUUGCUAGUCGAGGACUUAACCUUGAAGAGGGGUCUAGGCAAAACCCUACACACACUAGUUGGGAACUGGAGUCGUUCUCCUAACAAGCCCAAGGCAGGGCGAAACCAGUCGAUAUUGUGCCACUUCCACUAGGCUUACUCUCGUAGUAUGGGAUGCGGGAGUGCCGCACGGGUUCAAAACCUCUCGUCUCGUGACACUCUGCUCAAAAGCUAUGCUGCAAGAUAUAACAUCUUUGCAAUGUUAUACUUUCUAAAAGUAAUAAGAAAUCAUUUUAAAAAAAAGUAAUAAGAAAUGAAACCAAGGGGUAAAUCGAACACCAAAAGAAAUUUAGUCGGCCAACCACAUUAUGUUCCCACACAGUCCACUAAUUAAGUUAAUAAUUAAAGGGAAUCAAAAUCUAAGAAAUCUCAUCUUCAAGCAGAAUACAAACACACCGCGAUUGAAAAUCACAAAAUCGUAAAAAGAAGUUGACUUGAAAAGGGGUGGGCCGCCUCAUUUGCCCACCAACCACACCACACACACAAACACUCCAGCACACACACAAACUCUCUAGCUUUUGUAAAAAACUCUCUUGUAUAUUCUCUCUUUGUCAGUAAUAAAAUCAUAUUCAGCCCUAUUGCUCUACUUCUCUCUAGCAUUUUCCUCAAGUGUUCUUGCUUCGCUAGUUUGAGGAGUGGUCUAGGCUUGCUUAGCAACUUGUUUGCUACAAGGACAUCUUGGUCACAAAACAUGGACAUGCAAGGAAAAAAAAAAUAUUGAUACGUUCUAAAAAUAAUACGCAUUCUUCUACAGUGAACCAAAAAAUUUAGGCUAAUGGUAGCAAGUGAAGGAAUUGUGAUUUCAUGUGCAUUUUGUUGACAUGAAGGUAAAGAACUUUUUUAUAGUUUAUAUUGUUUAAUAUAACAUUUGAAUUGCAAAAUAGGGGUACAAAAUAGAUACACGAAGGGAUAAAACUAAGCUGAUUAUGAUAAAUAUUGAAUUAUAAGAUUUAGGUUUAAUCAUAAAGACAUAAGUGGCCCACAAAGUCACGAAUUGAUAUCAUACACGAUGCAAGUUCAAACAACUGCAUAAUAAGUUGCCCCAAUCUAAACUAUUAAUCUAGUAACUAUUCUAGUCGAUGGGGGAUAAUUUUCCUAUCACCAUUUAUCACGUGCAAGCCAAAUUUGUUGCUUGGUUCUUACAUGUGGUAAGGUAAUAUGAAUCCACUUGUGCAUAAAUUUGGCUCCGAUAUUAUAUAGAAGCUUAUGACCCAAAAUUAUACUUAAAAGUUAUUUCAAGAUUUGAGGGUUGCCUCAAGGUAAUAUUAUUAUUAGCCUGGUAACCCUUUUUUUGGUUGAUAUGUGAUAUUUUCCCUAUAACUUUUAUUAAUCUUUAUGCCUAUGUUUUGUCAUUUAUCCCAAAAUAUAACAUUAACAAAAGUUCCAAAAUUUCCUUCAAGAGAUAUACUUGAGACAAGUAAUUUGUGCAAUAACUUUGUGAAUUGAUGAGCAAAUUCAGAGAAAAGAAUAUAUGUGCCAAACGUAAUGUUUAUUAUUGUGUUUAUUUGUAGAGCUAUUUAAAGCCCCAAAAAAAAAAAAAAAGCACCGGUCCGCUAUUAUUUCAAAUAAGUUCAAGCCCUAUGUCAUUAUUGGUACAAAAAUGUAUUAGAAUGGUUAAAAACUAUUUGUAUUUAACUUAUAAACUUAGGAAAUUAUCAACUGUCCACCCUUAAAUUGCAUUGUUAUAAAAAAUAUUACAACAUUUUCAGGUUGUAUCAUUCAUCUACCAUAAAUUUACAAUCUGCAUCAUUUAUCCACCAAAUCAUUAACUUUGUUAAAAAGUGAUAGACGUCACAAGGGUAAUUUAGACAUUUAACACACACAAAAAUAAAAGAGAAAUUAUCUAAGCUUACCAUGUUAUCAAAAUUGCUACAAAAUUUUAAAUUUAUUCAAUUUUCCAAUCUAAGUUUAUGCCUCCAAGAUGUUAAUUGCAGUUUGUAAUUAAUGAGUUCAUAAGGAUAAUUUAGACACUCAAUAUGCAAAAUAAAAAAUAAAAUAAUGGCUUAAAACAUUAAAACAAAAAACUUGAUAUUCAAUUAAAUACACAUAAACUCUAUUUUUUUCUUAAUUAAAAAUAUUCUAAUUUUUUUUCUCAAUUUAUCAUCAUAAAUUUACAUUAAUAAACUAAAUCCACAAAUUACCCUAAUUCAUAAAUGCCCAAUCAGUCUAAUAGUUUACUUCGAUUUCAUAAUUAAAAAAGCUAAAUUUAUUAUAUUAGUUAUGGUGCAAAGUCAAAAAUGCCCUUAAAUUCAAGGGUAAAAUAACAUUUUAUUUAAAUUCUAUAAAUUAUUCUAACAAUGUUAACAUUUUGGUGGACGGUUAAUAUAAAUUGCAAACUUAAAAUAGAAAAUCAAAUAAAUUCAAAUUUUCAAACUAUUUAGGGCAAAUUUAGGAUAUAUGGUUAAUAAUUUUCCCAUGUCUUUUUACAUUGGUUGAUACAAGUUACAAACUUAAAAUAGAAAAUCAAAUAAAUUUAUAUUUUCAAACUAUUUAAGAUAAACUUAGGGUAUAUGGUUAAUAAUAUUCCUUUAUCUUUUUACGUUAAAUUGAGUUUCAAAGGUAAAAUGAUCAAUUUAUUAUAAUUCUGUUAAUUUUUUAGUGGAAACAAAUGAUAUAAUAGACGAAUGAUAUAAAUUGUAAAAUUAAGGUGCAUGAAUGAUACAACUUUAAAAUAUUGUAGUAAUUUUAAUAAUAGAACAAUUUAAGGGUGGAUUGGCAAUAAUUUAAACUUUAAUGAAGCAGCUAAAAAAAAUUUUUAACAAAGAAAAAUAAUUGAAUGCUUUGUGAAACCAAAAAUAAUUGAAAUGCUUUAAGAAAAAUAAAGGAAAUUAAAUAUCUUUAUAAAACCAUAAUUGAGUAAAAUCAUUUUACAAAAUGCUCUUUCAAAUGCACAUUCCACAAGCCAGGGAGAACGGGUGGCUAACAAAAAUCUCACUUUUUAUGAGUUUAUAAAAUCUCACUUUUGCAGAAUCCAAAAAUAGCCAAUACUAAUCACACAAAAAAUAAAAAUUAUUGCUGUCACGACAUUACACACUUUCUUCGCGGUUUAUAAAGCUAGAACAUUUUGAAGUUCCUCAAUACAAAAUGCGUGCUGCUACUAAAUUGGCCCAAUUAAUGCCCAUCGAAAAGGCCAUCAAUUUAGCCAUCAAUUUUGUCAAAAUUUCAACAAUUAAGAAACAAUGAUCGCAAACGGAACAUGUGAAUUUUGAAGUUGAAGAAAUCUUGAGAUACAUACAACAAAGCCUUGAAACUUUAUUCUUCACAAUUUGAGCACGCACUAAAUAUUAAACAAGUAUAGAACAAAGCUUAUUUUUAGCUUCUUGUGCGAACUGAACACGCUGAAUGAAGCUUUUUUUUUUUUGGAUUUUUGGAAUUUUUUAAAGUCAUUUAUGUUCGCUGCCAUCUUUUUCUUCGCUGGCGUCUUCCUCUCGGGGCUGGCAUCUGCCUCGUCUGUAGUUUGCUGUGCCUAUAUAUCCAACCAAUAAAUUGGGCAUUAAAUACGAAUGAAUGAUGAAUAAAAUGAUUAAAAAAAAACAGAGAAAAUUAUAAUAUAACACAUAUAUAUUGAAAGAGAAAUUUUGAUUUUAGGAUAGAUCAAUUAGCUAUCACAAACGAAAACAUGAACCAACUGUGUAUAGAGUCAAUUAACUAAAGUUCUCAAGAGUUGACCUGUGCUCCUGAAUUCUUGGACUCAUCUAUCUCCUUCUGAAUUUCCACGAAGCUUGGGACAAUUACGAACAACUUUAUGGGAUGCAGAUGGAAAUGGGAUCUGAUAACCCGCAGGCCAAAAGUUGGUGAGGUUUGGUAAGUCUUCCAGUAUCAAGUCCCGAAGUUCAUUCAUAACAAUUUCAUUGUAAUCCGUGACGUCUGCUCCAUCUUUAUGCCAGAAUACUUCUUCUAAUUCAUCAUUAGCUGCUAUACAUAGGUGCUUCAGUUUUUGAAGACUUUGAGCUAUGCUGAUAUGAAAUAGAUGCUUUAGUUUGGGGCAAUCAAGGACAGCGAUAUUUGUGAGUUUUGGGAAACAAACAGGUUGGAGAUGAUCCUCAUCCUCAUCCUCAUCAAUGAUUUGCUCUAAUUCCUGACAAUUCACAAUAGAUAACACCUCCAAUUGCAACAGAUUUCGAGCAAGUGUUGAUGAGAAGAGACGUCUCAGCAUAGUGCACCCGUCCACCCUUAAUCUGGUAAGACUUUGCAGGCUAAAAUUAUGCGUGGGACCUACGUGAUAUAAUACUUGCAGUUCUCGAAUGUUUUCCAACCACAACGACUUCAAACAUGGGAAUAGUUUAUUUUCUUGUCCCUCAGCGAUAAUAGCUUCCACUUGAAAUACCACCUGUACUCCAAUUUCCAAAAUAUUCAAUUCUUCCAAAUUUUUUAAGCCGUGCUUCAACAGUGCUGGAAUCGUGUCACUCAAAUGGGAACAAUUGGCCACAUCUAGAGUAUUUAAGUUCUGAGACAAAUAAAUAAAUAACUUGAUGCAAUUAAAAUCUAUUAGCAGCUAGGAUUAUCACAUGAUAAGUGAUGAACACCGCAAAAAUAUCAUAAUACAUAUGUAAACUAAUAAAAUAAUUAAAAAGUAAUGGAUUUAAAAAAAAAUGAAAUUAGUUAAAAGAGAUCAUGUGAAGUGAUAUAAAUGUGACAUUAUAUUGUUUGAGAAAAAUUAGUAUUCUAUUAAUUUCUAUGGAUUGAUCAACUAAUUAAUUGAAUUUGAGUAAUAUAAUAUACACUUCAGUAGUGUUUGCAUCAAUUCUUUCUAAACCGAAAUGAGAUAUGACUUUCAUUUGAAAAAUGAUUUUAGGCCCUAAAAUAAAGGAAUUUCCUUAAGAUAUUUGAGCAUUAUUAUUAUCAUCAUCACAUCCACGAUCAUCAUCAUCUCCAUAGGACCAAAUAAUUAAUGGCUGAUCAUAAAAUUUAUUGCUAAACUAUCAUUUCGAGUAAAAUUGAAGGAAAAGAAAAAACAUAAACACAAACAAACAUACCUCUUUGAGAUAUUGCAAAUUGGCUUUAAGUUCAGUACUGUUGAUGGUCAAGUUGGGACAGUCAUGAAGCUGUAACUCUUCCAAUGCUGUCCAAAUUGAACAAUAAUUUUCUGAACAAAAGCUCUUGAGUUCUGGGAGUUCUUGAAGUGUUAAUCUUCUCAACAAGGGGAGGGCGAGCAUCGUAUUUCCACCUUCGACACUUAUUUCCCCUUCAUUGUGAUCAAACUUUGCUUCGACAAUACAUUCCAGUCUCUUGCAAAAAGUCACACUGAGACUUUUAAGCUGCUCCAAACUUCUAGCUUGUGACAACGUGAAGAUAUAUGUCAACUUGUUGCACCUUUGCACAUUCAAUUCUGUGAGAGUUUGGAGGCUGAUCACAUGUUGGGCGGGCGCCUUCCAUAUCCACUUCAGUUCUGGUAAUUGGAACAUAUUUAACUCUACUAAUCUUGAGAGACUCUUUCCAUGCAGCGACUUAGAGGCAUCCAUUAUGCAUUCUAAAUCUUCGCAAUCGCGAACAUCAAGACAAGUCAACUCAUUUAAGCCCCUUUCAUCUAUGCUUGGCACAAUAUUAUGACAACCUAUUAACCCCCUCAAACGAAGAAAUUUCAGAUUUUGAUACAAUGCUGAAAAAAUAACGAGCGAGGUCGCCACUUCAUGAGGGUAAUUCUCAAUGAUUAAGCUCCUUGUUUCAUCACCAUGUUCCAUGUCAUGAUCAGAUAAUUGACCAUUACCGAUGACGUACCUUUGCAUUUUCGGGAAUGUAAAGUCUUUUGGAAGACAUAUAACUUGGGAGUUCAACUCAGCAAGCCUAGCAUUACUUUCUUCUGAACUCAUCUCUUCAACCUCCCAAUCUUUUAUCCGACCAUAAAAUUCUUCCAAUUGAGGAAAUUUUUUUAUUGUAAUGGGAGAAACAGAACCAGUAUCAAUAUAUAGAAGUUUCAAUCUACCAAGUUCAUCCGACGACAAUUCUUCAGGAAUUUCAAUGGGAGAUGACUGGAGAUAAAGAAGUUCAAGUCUCUUCAACUUUCCAAGAAAAAACGCGUCACUCACAUCACACCGAAUCAACUGCAGAACCUGGAGGUUGGUGAGGCUCUGAAGCGAUUUAAGUGAAAGAACUCCACCUAUUAUAGUGACAACUUUCAAUGCUGGCAUCCCUUUAAAAAAAUGUUCUGGAACUUGCAAUCGGUGGUCGUAUUCAGGAUUCUCCAAUCGCAAAAUAUGAAGGUUAGGGCAUACCAAACUACUAGGAAGCUCUUCUACUUUAUUUCCCAUUACAGAGAUUCCUCUGUAUUGUUCCAGGCCUUCUUCCAUUGCCCGUUCUGCCAAUCCAAUGCCAACUUUACUAAAAAAUUUCUUCUCCACUAGUACUUCUGAGCCUAUCCAUAUGGCUACAUCACGAACUAUGUCAUGCAUUUUCACAGAUCUGUCAUUACCAGUGUCUAACAGUAGUGAAGCAGCUUUGAGUCCGUCAAUUGUUCCAAGCAGUAGGCUUCUGGUGUUCUCUAUUGACUCAGCUUGAUACCAAGUCAACCCUACUGCAUAUCCAACCAAAUCCUCCAAAUUAAUCUCAUAAUCUUCUGGAAAUAGCGAACACAACAAGAAGCAUAACUUGGAAUUGUCAUCAUUCAAUUCGUCGUAACUAAAUUUGAGACAACCGUAAACGUCUAAGUUCUCCUCAUCAAUACCUUCUAUUGCAUAGAGUUUUGCAGCCUUUAGGUUAUGUAGAGCUAGGUUCCAUUCAUUAAAUCUUUUUCCUCUUAGUGCACUUCCAACAGCUUCAAUAGCUAAAGGCAGCCCCUUACAUUCUCCAGCAACUUCUUUGGAAACAUCAUUCAAGGUGGAGUCAUUUACAUUAAUUUUGGCAUUUUUUCGCAGUAAAGCCAAUCCUUCUUCUGGCGUUAGUGUACUAAGUGGAAUCUGUGUGUCACAACCCAAAGAAUCACAAACUGACUUUUUGCGAGUGGUUAGAAGGAUUUUGCAACAAUUAUCUCUACCACCGACGGUAAUACCUAAUUUUUUCUCCGAGUCGAGUGGUUUCCAAACAUCAUCAAGGAUUACGAGGAUUUUGCUGCUUUUACUCUCAGAAAACAUCAAGCGCAAUCGGUCUGCUCUCUCUUUUUCAUCUUUCUCAUUUAGUGCCCAGCCUAACGACUUUGCCAACUCACCUUGAACCUUUAUUAUAUCUAGAUCCUGAGACAUAGUGGCUAUCCCCACCUUAUCGAAAAGCUUUUGUUGCCGAAGUUGAUUGCCCACAUAUUUUGCCAGGGUUGUCUUUCCUACACCACCGAGACCAUGCAAUCCCACCAUCUUUGUGCUCUCUUUUUUCAGUGCGUCAAUGAUCUGAUUGCAAGCGGAUUCUGUGGUCUUGAAAAUAGAAGUAAAAUGCCUUGGCAAACUUAAUUCUCUUUCUAAUGGUAGAGGUUUAGGAGAGGCAACUGUGUUGAAUUGGCUGCAGCCUUGUAGCAGAUCGGACAACUUGCUAGUCUUCUCUGAUGCUUUUCUGCCCAGACGAUAUCGGCAACACCAAUUAGGACACAAUCCAUGAAGACUACUAUCCUUUUCAUCUAUCUCUGCUUUCAACUUCCAAACAUCGUCCAAUUCUUCGACUCCAUUAUUCAGCCACUCCAUUACAUUUUCAUCGACUACUAUGUCGGGGCAUUUUCGCAGUUCAUCGUCUAUUCUUGUUUUGAUGCCAUCUCGUGCCUUCUUCAACUUAGUUUCUUUAUCCUCAAGUUCUUUAACAAUGCUGUUGAAACAGAACAUAUAGCGAGCUUGGUCAAUGGCUGCAUUCACCAAUAAUUCUUCAACCUUUGAUUUUAAAGCUUCCAUGCUAUUUAUCUGCAAAUAACGAAGUUGAUCUCAGCACACUAUUAGCGAAACAACAAGGCUUGAUCACCAGACAAAAUGAGAACGUUUAAUUACCUCUUUCUGCACUGUGAAUGCACGUCUAUUAACACCAGCUUUGACCAAUAAGAGCAAAAUGCAGAGGUGGGGCCUUAAGAGUUUCGGUGGCCUUUAGCUGCAAAACGGCAGAUGACAAAUAAGGUGAACGUUCCUAGCAAACGUGAUUUACGGUGAAUUAUAUUCAAAUUAGAUUAUUUUAAAAGUUGGUAAAUUAUUUAUCACUCUAUCUUAAUGAUACCUUAUUUGGGAUGAUAAAGAUUGGGGUAAAUUCCCUUUUAUUCUCACAUGUUUAUAGUAUUUAUAUUUUUAUAAAUUACCUAAAACAUCCAUGUAACUUACUUUUAUAGCUAUUGAACAUAUCAUUUCAAAUAUAAAAUACUAUUUCUGUCUAAUAUAAAUUAAAAAUCAAACAAAUCUAUCAUGCAAUAAAUGAAAAGUAAAGAAUAUUAAUUAGGUUUUAAUGGAAACAAAUAUAAAACAUAGAGGUUUUGAGUAACUUUUGUAUUUUUUUUAAUGUUCAAUUUAGAAUUGAAUAAUUUGCAUAAUGAAAUUUUGAGGUUUCUAUAAUUUAUAUGAAGAUAAACUGCGAAAUAAGUUUAUAUGCCGAAAUUAAAAUAGUUAUAUAUUAGCAAUCAUAUAAUAAUAAAAAAUUUUAAUAAAAUUUAUUUAAAAAUUGGCCAAUUGUGUUUCAUGAGUAAAACAGAGAGCAUAAUGGACUUAUGUUGGGUCUUGGGAUUGAAAGACUAAGGGUAAGGGGCCGGGAGGUAGGACGGUAGGAAAAUUAAUUUUUGUUAUUUUUAAAGUAUGGUCAACAUUAGUGACUUGGAGGUGAUUGCCGUUAAUCAAUUACCUUUAACUUAAGAAUUAAUACAAAUAAAUGGAAAAAAUAAUUUAAUGAAAAUUAAUUUAAUAAAAAAUUGCACUAAAAACUUAGAACUCAAAUUCUCGAUCAUUUUAUCCGUACGUUUUAAUCCGACGCUCAGAAUUGGCAUAAAACAAACUAAUAUAGCCAUUGGAAAUAAAACAAACAUCAAAUCAAGAGCCUAUGAAACAAUAUUAUCUCGUACCUUCUUCCUUAUAGAUCCUCAAUUGCUGUUGAAAGCUGCAUAUGACAAUAUAAAUAAACAUGAGAUCAAAACAUCAUAGGAUAUAUCUAGCCAAUUAACAUCAUAUAUAACUCCUUGUUCUCAGUCAAAUCUUUCAUUCUUAGAUUAAAAAAAAAAUGAAAUAAUAACUGUUAAGUGAUAUAGGAAGCAAAAGUAACACACCGAAAUGAAAGCAGCUAGUUCACAGAUGACAGAUGCGGUGACUUCAAGAGCAUGAAAAAUGAUUAAACUUUGGUAGAAGGGUCUGAGCCGUGUUUCACAAGUUGCUAUUGACUUCGUGGCUUCGCUUUUAUUUAUUAUUAUUAUUUUUUUAAAUUCUAUAUCAGUGAGAAUUGAAAUGUGGAAAGUGAAAUGAUACACAUGCCUUAUCAUCUAUCAUGAGGGGUGAUUUGGUAAAACCGAUUUAAAAUAAAAAAAGUUUAAAAAAAUUUAAAAAGAUGCUUUGUGUCUGACUGCUUGUAUUUGGGGUAUUUUUCGGGUUGUUGAGACUUGAGAGUGAGUUUAAUUAAAUAUAAGAUUUUCAUUUUUCUUAUUAUAUUUUUCUCUUUAGAAUGAAUUUAAAUCUCAUUCUUAUUAAAUUCAUUUUUUUAAAUGAAAAUAGAUUUCUCUCCACACAUUUGAGAUAUAUUUUAAAAUUAAUGUUAAGCAUAUCUCUAAAUUAUAUUAUAAAUAUUUUUAUUUAAAAUCUCAACAGAUUUCAUAACACACAGAGAGAAAUACAUAUAUAUGUUGUAAUGUUUUAAUGAUGGAUCUCUAAAGUUAUCAAGUUAAAAAAUAAAUAAAUAAAUAAAAAAUACACACUUCAACUUAUUAUAUGAUAAAAUAUAGUAUAUUAAAGUGAGUAUUUUUUGUGUGAAAUAAAAUUAAAGUGAGUACUAUUACCACCUCACAUCUUAUAAAUUCUAGAAAAUAAUCAAGGCUUGACAUACUUUUAUUUAUGCAAAAGCAUAAGAAAAUAAUUCAAAGUACUAAUUAGUGUACUAUUCCUCAAAAUUCUAGAAUAGAUUUGUUAGUUCUCUUUAGCCAUAGAUUGGUCCGUGAUUGGCACCGCAAUAGCUCAUAAUCACCUCAACAAUUGUUCCACACGGCCCAACAUGACACAUUGUAAACUAGUCUACAAGAAUUUUUUGAGUGGCUUUCUAGCAAUAUUCUUAGAGAAAGUGUUUAGUAGUUUCAAAUCUUCUUUUUUUAACACAAAUGUUGGCAUGAUAUUCUUAAUAUAUUUCUAAAAUCAAAAUAAGAUGCAUAGAGGACGAUAAUUUUAUUUCAUAAUUGAAUUUUUUGCAAAGAAAGUUUGAACAUGAGAGUGAUGAGAGAUGAGAAUAUUGAUGAUGGUGUGUACUUUGAAUGGAAAAAUAGAUUGGAAAUAUAUAUAGACAUAUUAAAAGAAAAAAAUUUGGUCUAUUUCAUAAGAGAAAUAAAAAAUUAUAAACGCGGGUGUUAAAAUGUAUUCAGAAUUUAUAAAUUUUUAUAAAUAUGAUAAUCAUCAGACCCUUAUAAAAGUAUAACAAAAAAGUUUAAAAUUUUUUAAUAAAUGUAGAAGAGAUGAACGAAGAAAUCAUCCACCAGUUCAGAAUUAACAAUCAAAGAUAUGAGGACUUGAUUGAAGAAAUGAUGAAAAAUAAAAGGAAACUGGGUUGGUUAGCGGGACCCUAAUAUUAAUGGUGAAAAAUAAAAGGACACUGGGUUGGUUGGCAGGACCCUAAUAUUAAUGGCAAAAAAUAAAAGGACACUGGGUUGCUAUCAAUUUCGAUCGUGUAGGUUCAUAGCCGGGGAAGUAAUUGGGCACAAAUAUCUCGGAUGAGAAAUAACCAUUUUAUCCCGCAACCAUAUGUUUAUGGCCUCUAAAAAUUUUCACCUCUUUCACUUUCUGGAACCCGUGCUUUCUGGCACAUGCACAAAUACUUGGUUGCUACUUAUAGAGCGUUUUUGGAAUUGCAACAACAUGGUGCUCUUUGAUAAUUCAAAAAUCCAAUAUAAUUUAUAGAGAAUUACAGAAUUGUGGUACGUGAUAAUUUGCUGAUGCAAUGAGGCGCCGAAAUUCUUAUACAUGUGAUUUAAGUUAUAUAUGUAUAAUUAAGUAAUUAGAAUAUACUAGUUGGGGGUAUUUGUGUCCAUGAAAAUUUACAGCUGGUUGUUGACAUUACACUGCGGGUGUGUAAGUGUAAUCAUGGAUCUGACCAUUCAAAUUUAAAAAAUGGGGGUCCCGCUAGCUUACGGAGUUAGUAAUUAUUAGAUAUGCAUAUAUGCUCCCAUACGAUAAUCUUAUCAUAAAUUUGAAGGAUACGAGGACUUGAUUGAAGAAAUGAACGAAUAUUUGAAUUAAAAAAAAUUUUAGAAUAAAGACAAGUAUUAAUUUACUAUGAAUGCAACUUACAUAAGCUGUAAGUUAGCGGGACACUAUUAAAUCACAAGCAAAAAGCAAUCUGACUUCUUCUUGAUUCCGUAAUUUGGCUGUCAAAAUGUAAUCUAUAAAAAUUACGAUACCUCGAUUCAAAAAAAUGUUGUUUCUGAUGAAAUAAAUGAAAAUUGAACGUACAAUCUGCCACGAACACUGUUUAAUUAACCGUUUAUUUCCCCUUAAAUUUUUAAUCUCAAUGAAACAUAGAUCUAAUGGGAACUACAUAUAUAUAAAAAUACUAUAGAUUGAAGAAGUUGAAUUUUUCUUGUGUGUUAAGUAUUUUUAGUUAAUACGAAAGGAUUCUAGCAAGUUAAUACAAAAGUAUCAUAAAUUCAUAGUAGUACAAGAGAUUUUUUUUUUCUUUUGAUAUUAAGAGUUUUCGAGAUAAAAAAAAAAAAAUAGGUGAAAGAAGAAGAUGAGAGAAGAAAAAAUAUUAAGAAUAGUUUUGGCAUUUUGAUGCGUUUUAUAGUGUAAAAUCUAUAUUUUAUAGUAUAAAAAGGUACACCCAUAAUUUAAUGAUAAAAUUUUAGGAAAAAAUUGCACUCGUCAAAAAAAAAAAAGAAAAGGCUCAGCUUAGCCCAAAAAUUUUUUAUUAAUCGUCUAGUCGCUAAUGUAAUCUCUUUUUUAUGAGAUUCUUUGGCGUUUUAGUUUAGUCCAUUGUUAGCAAUCCUAAUAGCUUUUAUGUGCAUCUAUUUUUAUUUGGAAUAUGUUUCAAGCUUGAAUAAAAUCUGCGGGACAACUGGUAAGUAAUAAAGCUCAUCAUUUUUUUAUUUUGAAAAUAAAGGGAAUCACUUACACUUAGCAUGAUAUUAUUUUUGAUAAGUCAUUUUUUUGGUAGAUUAUUUUUUCUAACACGCUCUUAGAUUUAGUGAAAAUAAAUUGUAUACUUUUAAUGAAGAAAAGUAAAGAUCAACAAAAUAUUUUGUUCUUUGCGACAACUUUUGCGUUCUCAAGUGCGCCUGAUACCCUUUUUUUUUUAACAUGGGCCCACGUGCCAUGUUUCCAUUUCAAGUUUCAUAAGUUAACAGUAGAAAUGGGUUCCACAGAUAAUUUAUUUUAUAAUUUUUUUUAAAAAUUACUAAAAUAUAAUAAAUAAGGUAAUAAUAAUUAAUAAAAAAGUAGAUUUUAAGAUGGAAAAAUCUUUUUGUGUACUUAAUAAAAAGAUGAUAAGAAUGGGAUGCUUUUAGUUUACAUUCUCAUAGCUAUUUAUACUGAAAAAUUACAUCAAAAUUUAAUUAAUAAAUCAGUGAACUGCAGACUUAUUAAAUUUAAGCUAUUUUAAUAAGUCAUAAAUAUACUAAAUUAAAAUAGUAAUAAACCCAUUGUUACACAAUACUCUCCAUUGAGUGUUCACCAUUUUAAGAUAAUCAUAAAAUGACACCGGAAGUGCUAUUAUAGCUGUCUCAUGGAAAGCCUUCACCAAUAAAAAGGAGGAUAGAGCACAUACAUCCAGUUUUUAUACCCUUUGAUGCUCAGUCGACACGUGCCAAUGCUAUAGACUAGCUUUUCGAAGGUUGAAGUGGGUAUGCUAUUAGUAAAAAGACCUGCAAAAUUAUAGUGUACCUAUUUGACAUCAACUUUUUUUAUCUGCUGGAGCUUAUGAUUAUAGAAGAUCUUCGGUAAGAUGUGUUUGAUUUUAUCUUCUUUUAUAUAUCCUCCUCUAACUUGUGUAAUAGUAGUAAACCCCUGCCCGUUUUUAUUUCGUUUAGUAUUUUCUAAAUGGCCGAAGGAAAAUUGGUAAAAACUCAUUUAAAAAUUAAAAAAAAAAAUCAAAGAAAUUCAAGAAGAAGCUUUGUAUCUGUCAUUUGUAUUUGGGGUAUUUUUUUGGUUGUUAAGUGAAUGAGCUUAAAUCUAAAACAUUUAUUUAUAUAUUUCUUGUUGGAAAGAAUUUAAAUUUUAUUCUUAUUAGACUUAUUCUCUUUAAACAAAGGUAGAUUUUUCUCUAUGUGUUUAACGUGUAUUUUAAAAUUAAUGUUCAACAUAUCUUUAGAUUCUAUUAUAAAUAUUCAUAUCUAAAAUCUCAACAGAUUUCAUAAUAUAUAAAUGUAUAUAAAGAGAGAGAAUAACGUUUCUAAUAAGAAAUUUAUUAAGUUAAAGAAUAAUUCAAAAGAUAAAUUUGUAUUAAACCCAUUUAUAUGAUUAAUUAAGGUUUUAAACAAAUUUUGGACUUGUUCUAUUGUAGAGCUUAAAUUCAAAAUGGAAGAGUGAAGAAGGGAAAAAGAAGACGAAUAAAGAAGAAAAGAGGAGAACAACUUAUACAAAAUAGGGAGAACGAAAAAGUGAAGGGCAGAAAAAGAAAAAGAAUAAAGAAGAAAUUAAUCAUCGCUGAUAUGAAAAUAAUUCCUUCUUCUUUAUUGUUCUUAGUGGUUCUACUUUUUUUUAUUGGAUUCUAAAUUUUUGUCGUAGAUGGAUUAUAAGAACUAGAAAAUUAUAAAGAUAAUUUUUUAAUUAUUCGAUUAAUUAAUUCCAGCAGAAGACAAGAAAUUGAUUCUGCUUCGUUAGAAAGCCAUCACAUUCUAUACGCAAUUGCAAAAAGUAUAUAUUUUUGUCUGUUUUAGACAAGAAUAAAAGGGAUACCUGGUAUUGCAAAUCUAGACACGUUUUAGUGCUUUAUGUCCGAAUGAAUUCUUUCUUGCAACAAUAAACUUGGCCGAUCAGGAUUUGCCGUUUACAUAUGUAGGUCCUGUUGGUUCUGUAGUAGGACUCAUAAAUUUUUAUUUUUAAUUUACUGAAUCCAUAAAUUUAAAAUAACGGUGCAACUCCUGAGGAUGACAAUGGGGCGGGUGAGGUCUUGGAGUCCUGAAAAAAUUUAUAUCUGCAUAUUAAAAAAUGUGGAUCCGAAUAAGAAAAUCCGCAUGAAUCCGAAUGCAAGUGCAUUUGGAAAAUCGGAUAUCGAGAUCUGGAUAAAAAUUUAUUUCAAAUUAAAAAUUAAAUUAAAUAUAUAUUAAAAAGUAAAUGAAAAAUUAAGAAAGUAAAUUUUAUUUGUAGAUUUAUGAUGUCAUUGUAUAUUAUUCAUGUUGAAUUAUUAAUUGUUGGAUUAUGAUUGAAUUUUAUUUGAUAUUAUUGGGUAAAUUAUUGAAUUUCAUUUUAAAUUAAAAAUAUUUAUUAAAAAUUAAAUUUUAUUUGUAGAUUUAUGAGAUUAUUGUAUGUUAUUCAUUUAAAAUUUUUAAUUAUUGAAUUAUGAUUGAAUUUUAUUUGAUAUUAUUAGGUAAAUUAUUAAACUUUUAAAUUUUAUAUUAAAUUAUAAGCAGUAGGAAAUUAUGGUAUUCAGAACAUGUAUACCUUCGCACAUGAAGCUUGAGUCCAGAACAAGAUGCAGCUAGCCAAUCCUUCAACUUCCAAAACCCCACAAAACCUCUGUCAACAUAUCUGCUCUACUUCAAUAUCAAGCACAUUCAUAGCGGUAUCAACAGCUUACAGCUCCAAAAAUAGUUUGAGAUUUCAUUGAAGCUAAGUUGUGACUUGUGACUGUCCAAAUGUUCUGUCACACGAAAUGAUUAUUCUUGUAACACAAAUCCAAUAGCAUGCAAUAUAAUCUACUCUCUAACACUGUGCAUUAGUAAAAUAAAACAGAGUAAAAAGAGAAACCAUGCCUGUGAAUCUCUUCUCCUCCCCCCACCACCCCUUUUUUUGGUAAAGUCUAUCAAAUGAAAAUGCAGCAUGACCACAUUGGCCACUACCACUGCCAUUACUCCUUCAACUGUGCCCUUUGUUGCAAGAAAUCUUCAAGUGAAAGAUGGAUUAUAUAAUUAAAGAUUCCAAUAGAAGCAGCAAAGGUUGCCUUCCACUAGCCUAUCAGAGAAUAUGCUUUCUAUUUUCCUAGUUUUAAUCAAAAUUUUGCAAGAUUUAUUUAUGGAAAACUUGGACAAAAUUUUAUGUAAGAUACCAUAAAGCCAAACACAAUCUUUUUAAUUCUCAGCAGCAACAUUUAAAGUAAAAAGAUGGAAGCCAUAUAAAUAUAACUAUAUUUGGUACGAGGAACAAUUAUUUCAAGCUUUCAGAAAUGCUAGCAAGAAAUUGUAAGAGAACUUUACCUAGUCACAGAAUAUGUCAAGCAUACUACCACCAACUGUCUUUAGCACAAUUGUUAUGAAGUAGCCUCUGAAUCGGAAGAUUCAAGCUUCCACCAGGCACAAUUAUUUUCAUUCUCCAUACAAUCUGCAGCAGUGGCAUGAGUUAUAUCAUCAACAUUUGCAUCCUCACUCUCAUCACCCCAAUCAAGGCUUCUUCUCCACCUCUGGAUUAUAAGUCCGCUUCGACAUCUUCAAACAUCUCGGUCCUUCCAUUUGCAAACAACCGAUAUGGCUUCUUUCCUUGCCUUCCUCAUCGUUUAUAUCCCCCCAAAAAAGGGUCUUUAGACACCUCAACUUUGCCUUCUGCAAAACCUCCACAAAAUCUGAAUUAUCCAACACAACAGCUAGACGCUUGAUCCUUCUUUUGUCCAUCAUAUCCACCGCAUGAUUCCUCAACAAACAUCUGCAGCUUGUGGCUUAUCUAACACUGUCCUGACCCAAAACCCCACUCUUUUCAACUCAUCUGCCAAACCAUAACCCACUUUUGGAGUCAAAAUUGUCCUUGCAGCCCUUUUAUAUUUUUCCAACUCCAUUGAAUACUUGCCACUCAAAUGCACUCUCCUACCUCUAGCUGAUUCUACUUGAUUCAACCUCUUCUUUUGUUUACACUCAUGAAUUUGGAUAAAAUAAUUAACAAGUUUGUCAUUAUUAUAAAAUCUCCUUUCACAAACACCACAUAAAUAUGGCUCAGCAGGCUUAAUUACACCCUUGCUUUCCAAUUGGUUAAACAAUUUUUCUCUUCUCUUUGCUCUCUUACAACUUGAGGCACAUAACUAAAUGCAUGGCUAUUGGCAUAUGCCACCAUGUAUUUAACAACCCAAGUGAAGAUAUUGAUUUGGGGGUUUGUUGUCCAAAUCCCUAAAAAUUCACACAUUGCGUUGGACAGUUUUUAGUUCUACAAUUAAUGAUACGUUAUGUGAAUUAAGCUCCAAAUGAGAACAUCUAAACAAUGAGACAAAUGGGCUCUAGGUUUCUAAUCAGUAAACAUCGUUCAGUCGCAUAAUUUAUGAAAUUUUUGAAACAUCACUACAGCUACAGGUCUUUAUGUGUCAAUGAACUGCAGAAACUAAUGAUCUACUAGUAGUAGACGUUUGUUGUCCCCACCGUUCCAGGAAGAAAAAUAAGUAGAAGAACUACUUUUAGACCAAAAUUAAAAAAUUGAAACUAUCUUGAAAGACUUUCCCUUCAACUAAGUAAAAAAGAAAAGAAAAAAAAAAGGUAUUAGACAAGCAUUUUCAAAGGAAAAAGAUCAUCCAUUUAUUGUAUGUACUCAGGAAAAAUAAAUGUACUAAUAGGUAGAAACACAGCAAUAAAACUCAAAAACUAACAUCUAUAAAGCUCAAUAACAAUUAUGAAUUAGAUAUUUUGGUCCCUUCAUAAUUCCUCCUCUUGACUUCACAUUUCCCCUCAGCCCGUGAUAAUUUUACCUAUUGAAUUCACAUUUCCCCUCAUCCAUUGAAUUUUCCCAAUAACAAGAUGAGUCUAAAUCUGUUAGGAAAUUGAUGGGUGAAGCAGACACGCAGCUAAAGUAAAAUUGGAAGAAAAUAAAGAACAAGCACAAUAGAGGACACCAGAAAUUACGUGGUUCGGCUUUUAGCCUACGUCCACGGGCGAAGACAGAAGGAAAUAUUUUACUAGUGAAAAUGAGUUACAAGUAUUGUAGUAUUUUAGCUCACUUCCCAAAACCCCAAUACACCCAAACUCUCUAACUCACUAGACACUCAAGAGUUUAUUAAACUCUUAAAACUCUCAACACUCAAGAAAGCAAUGCUUCUCUCUCGAUGGAAAUUGAAUACAAAUGAAUGAGUGAGCACUUCCUUUUAUAGCCAAAAAAUGGCUAUUAAAUUAAUAUAUAUAUGUAUAUAUUUCAAAUGUAGUUACCAACUUCUUCUUUUUCUCCAUUUGGAUGGCACCAUUUUCUUUGGCCGGCUGCACCAUUUUCUUUUUUCAAAUGUCAAACCUGUGUGCUCAUUUUCCUUUCCAACUUGCUGCAAAAUUCCUCUUCUUUGAACAACAUGGAUGUUGACCAUCUAGAUGGCUGCUUUUGACAUUUCUCCCACUUGGAGAUUAGAUUGAGAAGCAAUCAAUCUCCACACCAUCCUUUCUGCUUCGCCAUAAUCAUGUUGCCUACGUUUCUGCUAGACCACAAGAGGAUCUACUCCAGACAAACUUAUCAGUAUUUAUCGGCUUGGUCAAAACAUCUGCUAGGUUCUCUUUGGUAUGGAUUUUCUGCAAAUCCACACUUCCAUCUUCCACUACUUCUCGAACGAAGUGAUACUGAACUCCUAUGUGCUUUGUCCUGGAAUGAAAGGCUGGAUUCCUUGCAAUGUGCAAGGCACUCUGACUGUCACAAAAUACAGGAAUUUUCUGUUGUUUGUGCCCGAGCUCCUCCAAUAACCUUUGUAUCCAAAUAGCUUCCUUGCAAGCUUGUGUAGCUGCCAUGUAUUCUGCUUCUGUUGUAGAUAAAGCCACAACGGUCUGCAGUUUCGAAACCCAGCUUACAGCUGCUCCCGCAAGUGUAAACACAUAACCAGUAGUGGAUUUUCUUUUAUCAAGAUCUCCUGCAAAAUCUGAAUCCACAUAGCCCCUGACAGUAAACUCUGAUCCUCCAUAACAUAACGCAACAUCUGAGGUUCCUCUUAUGUAUCUCAGAAUCCUCUUAACAGUUAUCCAAUGCUCUCUACCAGGAUUCGCCAUGUAUCGACUAAUUGCUCCCACUGCUUGUGCAAUGUCUGGUCUUGUACAUAUCAUAGCGAACAUCAAACUUCCCACUGCUGAUGCAUACGGUACUCGAGACAUCUCCUUCCUCUCUGCUUCAUUACUAGGACACAUACUUGAGGAUAAUUUGAAAUUAACAGGAAGUGGGGUAGAAAUUGACUUACAAUCUUGCAUGUUGAAGCGUCGCAAGAUUUUCUUCAAGUAAUUCUUCUGCGAAAGCCAAAUCUUCCUGUUAUUUCUGUCUCGGUGAAUUUGCAUCCCUAGAAUCUUGUUUGUUGGUCCCAAGUCCUUCAUGUCAAACUCCCUAGCUAACUGUGCCUUCAAUUCUUGGAUUCGAUCUUUGUUGGGACCUGCUACCAACAUGUCAUCCACAUACAAUAGCAAAAUAAUGAAAUCAUUAUCUUCAAACCUCUUGUAAUAUGCACAAUGGUCUGAACUGAGUCUGUUGUAUCCAAGGCUCAUGAUGAAGGAAUCAAAUCUCUUAUACCAACACCUCGGCGCCUGUUUGAGACCGUAUAGAGAUUUGUUCAACCUGCAAACCAAGUUCUCCUUUCCUGUUUCUGCAAAACCUUCUGGUUGGAGCAUAUAUAUUUCUUCUUCAAGUUCUCCAUGAAGAAAUGCAGUUUUCACAUCUAACUGCUCUAGAUGUAAGUCAAAUGUAGCACACAUUGCCAAGACUACUCUGACUGUUGUGAGUCGAACCACGGGCGAAAAUAUCUCGUUGAAGUCAAUGCCUUCUUUCUGAGCAUAUCCUUUCACUACCAAUCUUGCACGAUACCGCUCCACUUGGUCAUUACCAUCACGCUUGAUCUUGUAGACCCAUUUGUUUCCAAUGGCUUUUCUUCCAUGUGGUAGUGGUACAAGUUCCCAUGUCUUGUUCUUGUGUAGAGCUUCAAUUUCUUCCUGCAUUGUUGUCAUCCACAAAGCAAUAUCUGAGCUUUCUAAAGCUUCAUGGAAAGUUGAUGGCUCUCCAUCCUCCGUUAAAAGACAGUAUGCAACGUUGAUCUCUGUGACAUACUCCGAGUGCCACGUUGGCGGUCGUCUCUCACGAGUUGACCGACGAACUCUGGAGCCUCGGACUCGACUGGUUCUUGUUCCUCGUUCUCUGGUGCUGCUUCAGAAGAAUCUGAAUCUUCUGGAUUAUUUUCCACAUAUACUGGUACAAUCUCUGACUUUUCUUUUACAGUGCUUUCAUCCUCAUCUUUCCUUUGCAGUUGAUCUUCUAUAAAGAUAACAUCUCUGCUGAUGACGAUCUUGUGGGCAGUGGGGUCCCACAGACGAUACCCCUUUACUCCAUCAGCAUACCCUAAGAAGAUACAUCUUCUAGAUUUUGGAUCCAGCUUUGUUCUUUCUUGGGCAUUGUACAUCACGUACACAGGACAUCCAAAUGCAUGUAGGUAGGAAUAAUCAGCUGGCUUUCCAGUCCACAUCUCCAUCGCUGUCUUCAACCCAAUAGCUGUAAAUGGCGACCGAUUUACUAUAUAACAGGCGGUUUUGGCUGCUUCUGCCCAGAAUGAAUUGGGUAAACCAGCAGUCCUCAACAUAGCUCUUAUUCUUUCUGUAAGAGUUCUGUUCAUCCGCUCCGCUACUCCGUUUUGUUGAGGAGUGUAUGCCACCGUGAACUGCCUCUGAAUACCUUCUUGCUUACAGAAAGCAAGAAACUCUCCGUCUGUAUAUUCUCCACCAUUGUCUGUCCUUAAGCACUUGAUCUUUUUACUAGAUUCAAGUUCCAACCGCGCUUUGUAUUCUUUAAACACAGGAAAUACAUCUGACUUUUUCUUAAUUGGAUACACCCAACAUCUUCUGGAAUAAUCAUCAAUGAAAGUCACCAUGUACUUUGCACCUCCCAUAGAUAUAUCCGGUGAUUCCCAAACAUCAGAAUGAAUCAAGUCUAGAAUGCAUUUACUCCUAGCAAUAGAUCUACUGAAUUUUAAUCUAUGCUGCUUACUUGUAACACAAUGCUCGCAAAAUGGUAAACUUACCGAUUUGAGCCCCGGAAGCAAUUUUCGCUCAGAGAGAAUCUUCAAACCUUGUUCUGACAUGUGGCCAAGUUUGAGAUGCCACAUCAUCGUUGAUUCUUCUCCAUUUGAUGCGACACACGCAUCAGCCUCCUGUAGUGUUUCUCCUUUAAGCAUGAAUAAAUUAGCACCGAUCUUUUCUGCCUUCAUCAAUACAAGCGCACCUUUAACGAUCUUCAUUAUUCCAUUUUCCACAUGAGUUUUGAACCCAUGACUAUCCAUUUGUCCCAAAGACAAUAGAUUUUUCUUCAGGCCAUUGACAUGUCGUACCUCCCCAAUUGUGCGAAUUGUACCAUCAAACAUUUUUAUUUUGAUAGUACCAAUACCAGCGAUCUCCAAGGCAUGAUCAUCUCCCAUAUAUACAGAUCCUCCUGAGAUAGGUUCAUAUGUGUGGAACCAUUCUCUCUUAGAGGUCAUGUGCCAGGUAGCUCCUGAGUCUAUAAGCCAGACAUCAGAUAGUCGUUUUCUGCCUUCUGAAACAGUUGUUGCCUCGCUGUAGAGAAUUUCACCAUCAUCUGAGGUACUUGCUACACAACCCUGAGCAUUUGAUGACUCAGGUUCUUUGCCCUCUCUUCUCUUCUGGUUACUCCAACACUCUUUCUUGACGUGCCCUUUCUUGCCACAGUUGUAGCAUUUAACAUUCUUCUUACUUCUGGAUUUUGAUCUACCCUGAUUUUGACUCCCACUGGGGCCACGUUCCGUUGAUCUCCCUCUCGUCACUGAUAGCGCUUCUGCUUGCUGCGAACUUGCUUGUCUGUUUUCCUUGUUUUUCCGCCUGCUCUCCUCAUUUAAUACGGAGGCUGCAACAUCGUCGAAAACUAGACCCUCCACUGGAUUGUUGUUCGUCAGGUUGAUGAUGAGUUGAUCAUACGAAUCUGGUAGACUUUGAAGUAGAAGCUCUGCACGUUCAUUUUCCUCUAUAUUAUGACCCAACGUUGUGAGUUGUGAAAAUAGAGUCUUCAAUGUGUUGAUGUGGUCGGUCACCAUUGUAGAUUCCGCCAUUCGAAGAGUAUAGAGUUUUCUCUUCAAGAAGAUUUUGUUGUGUAGUGACUUGGCCUCGUACAAUUUUGUGAGAGUAUCCCAAAUUUCCUUCGCCGUAUUUUUCUCUGCCACACUGGAUAAUACUCCAUCCGCAAGUGCCAAGUGUAGAUCAGAAAUAGCGUUGCCGUCUACCUCGUUCCACUUGUCAUCAGUUAUCUCUAUGGGCCUUUCUCCAAUUGCUGCCAAACAAUUAUUUUUCCUCAAUACAGCUUUCAUCUUCAUUUUCCACAACGAAAAAUUAUUUCCGUUAAACUUCUCAAUUUCAUAUUUUGCCGCCAUUUUGUUGAUAAUACUGCACACAAGCUAGUGUACCACCUUGAAUAGUUGUGAGUAUGUGUGAGAAUGCACACCAGGAAAGUUCCCAGGAAAGACUAGAGGGGUCACAAUGGUCCCACUUAAAACCCAAACUCCUUAAGCUCUUAUCGCCUUUGUGACAGAACUUUCCUAGACAUGUACAGAACCACACAGUUGCUUUACUCACACCACUAUUCCCUGCUUUGCACCGCAAAAUUCUUGGAUGGCUUCCACCGUUUCACGUGAAUAGUACCGUAUACGUGAAUAGUGCCGUAUACGUGAAUAGUGCCGUACACCGUAUACGUGAAUAGUGUCGUACACCGUAUACGUGAAUAGUAUCGUACACCGUAUACGUGAAUAGUGCCGUACGCCGUAUACGUGAAUAGUCCCGUACGCCGUAUACGUGAAUACGUGAACAAUUCCUGACUCCAAAAAUACAACCAAUAGCUCUGAUACCACUGUUAGGAAAUUGAUGGGUGAAGCAGACACGCAGCUAAAGUAAAAUUGGAAGAAAAUAAAGAACAAGCACAAUAGAGGACACCAGAAAUUACGUGGUUCGGCUUUUAGCCUACGUCCACGGGCGAAGACAGAAGGAAAUAUUUUACUAGUGAAAAUGAGUUACAAGUAUUGUAGUAUUUUAGCUCACUUCCCAAAACCCCAAUACACCCAAACUCUCUAACUCACUAGACACUCAAGAGUUUAUUAAACUCUUAAAACUCUCAACACUCAAGAAAGCAAUGCUUCUCUCUCGAUGGAAAUUGAAUACAAAUGAAUGAGUGAGCACUUCCUUUUAUAGCCAAAAAAUGGCUAUUAAAUUAAUAUAUAUAUGUAUAUAUUUCAAAUGUAGUUACCAACUUCUUCUUUUUCUCCAUUUGGAUGGCACCAUUUUCUUUGGCCGGCUGCACCAUUUUCUUUUUUCAAAUGUCAAACCUGUGUGCUCAUUUUCCUUUCCAACUUGCUGCAAAAUUCCUCUUCUUUGAACAACAUGGAUGUUGACCAUCUAGAUGGCUGCUUUUGACAAAAUCAUCAAUCUCAUUAAACACUCACAUCUACUAAAUAAUAUCGCAUGCAGUAACUUUAAGUAAGGAUCUAAAACUUACAAGAAAAAGAAAACUACUGUUUAUUAAUUUCAAAAUUUACACAAAAUUACAAAUGAUUUUAUAAACUGUACCAAAACAUGUUCUCUAAAAGAGAUUCAUUAUCCUGCAUUUUCAAAAACAAUAUAAACUAACACUAGAAUAGCCAUUUGAUAAUGAUGUGAAUUUGGGCAGCACCAAGAAGCAGUGAGCCCCAUUUGGUGAAAGCAAAAAGAAAAAAAAUUAAAAUAAAGCACUAUAAAUUCUAAUCAAAUUAUUAACAUUAGCUACACAUCAAGAAACCAGAAUAAAAUCGUUAUCUAAACCACAUACUGAAAAAGAAAAAACAAUGCAGUUAAAAUUCUAUCAUUUUCACUUACAAACAAAUAAAGAAAAAAUUAAGAACAAAGGUUGAAGCAAAGAAUGAUUGUACCUUGAGGUACUUGAGGUUAAUGUUUCCAUAAACGAGACCGAGCGAAAAAGCCGAAACCAGAGCAACCUAUUCUUACUACUCAAAAACACGCCCAGAUCAGAAAAUAAAUGAUCAUUCAAUAACAAUUCAUAGGAAAAUGAUGUUUGCCCCGGGUCAAACCCCGAAAAUAACUUAAACGGCGUCGUUUUGAUUUUUUUUUUUCUUUUGGAAUACUCCAAAACGACGACGUUUCUGAUGAUAUUUUGAGAAGAAUAAAAUCUAUCUUCCUCUUCGUUUUCGUUUCUUCGUUUCACCUGUGAAAGAACAGAGCAACAGAGCAACAGAGAUCCCAACUUGGUCUUGUUCCGUUUGACCGUAAAUCUCUUCAUUUCUUCGUUUCUUCGUUUCUUCAAAUAACGGCAAUAUCACCCAAAACAAAGUUUCAUGCAAUGUUGUAAAAAAUAAAUUAUGAUUUGAGAACUGAAAAAAUAAUAUGAGAACUAAAAAAAUGAGACAAAUCAAGAAUAUGAGAACUGAAAAAAUUAAUUCAAUGUUACAAUGUUACAAUGUUCUAAAAACGAAGGCCAACUUCCUAAAAUAAAAUUAAAAAACAAAAUGCUACAAUGUUAAUCUUCGAAAAUUAAACUGAAAAAAUGAGACAGUACCGAAAAAAACAAAUCUUCGAAAAUUCAAGCUUGGCACAAUGUUAAUCUUUCGUCCAAACUCAGCUUUCAACCGUCCAAAUUCAGCUUGUCCAAACUCAGCUUUCAACCGUCCAAACUCAGCUUGUCCAAACUCAUCUUUCAACCGUCCAAACUCAGCUUUCAAGGACACAUUUCGCAGCCGAAACUCAGCCGAAACUCAGCUGCUGUUGGUCUUGUUCUUCAAUGGGUACCAAACGAAAAAGAAACGAAAAAGAAACUCAGACGCUUUCAACUCAGCUUCCAAGGACAAAUUUCGCAGCCGAAACUCAGUCGAAACUCAGUUGCUGUUGGUCUUGUUCUUCAAUGGGUGCGAAACGAAAAACAAACUCAGAUGAAGAGGAUGGAGCUUUAAUUAGUAGAUCCCGUUCUGCUGUCGAUGAGUGCUCCGGCUGUGGAUCUCGGUCGAGGAUGGAAGAAACGAAAAAGAAACGAACAAACGAAAAAGAAAAUAAAAGAAAACGACGCAAAUCAUUCAAUAAACAAACGAAAAAGAAAAAAAAAAAAGAAACGACGCAAACGACGCCGUUUAAGUUAUUUUCGGGGUUUGACCCGGGGCAAACAUCAGCACUCUUUCCUUUAUGAAUUGGGAAAAUGCUACUUUCCCCGGGUCAAACCCCGAAUUAUUUCAAAACGGUGUCGUUUUGUUUUUUUUUUUUCUUUUUACUUGCAUGAAACGUGGUCGUUUGAGCUAGUAAAAACAAAACAAACUAAAGCAGAAAAAACUCAAGUGCUUAUCUUCUCUGCCCCUUUCUUAAUUUCCUUUUGACAAACCACGGAAUCACACCCACAAACAACAAUCACCCACAGUCACGCGAACAGCCGGCACAGACGAAGGAUGAGCCCACAGACGACGGACCACCGCAUUGAAAUCUCUGUCCACAUCACCGGCACCAUCAUCGUAGGUCUGUAACAAACUGUCGUAAGUUAAACCCUUCUCACCGUCGAUGAACUCGACGUAAGUACGGAAUACUUCGUCGAGAAUUGCGUUGAUUUGUUCGUCGCUGAAUUUGACUCGAGGGUUUACGGCCACCACUAAAGCCGCCAUUUCUUCUCUAUUACGGCCACCGUCGCGGUUCGUGUCAAAUUGUUGAAAAAUUCUCUUCACUUUCUCUGAUCUGCUUCCUCUCGUAGCCAUUUUUUUUUUCUGUUUUUCUGGGGGUCAGUUUGGUUUCUCAGUGUUUGUUUGAGAAAGCGGAAUUAGUAGAUAAGGGAAUAUAAGGAAAAGUUGAUAAAAAGGCAAAGGGUGGUUACUUUAAUUGUUGGUGAGAAUAAUGAUGAUGAUGGCUUAAUUCUGGGUUUUGUUGGAUCUGAAUGAAUUCUUAACGGCAAAAGUUAAAGAGUAGAAGAAGAGCAAGAGGACGGACUCUCAUUCUUUCCCUUUUUUCUUUUAAUUUUAAAUAUAUCAAAAACGGCAGCGUUUUGGAGAAACAAAAAAGAAAAAAAAAUUAAAACAAAACGACGCCGUUUUUGUUUUCGGGGUUUGACCCGGGGCAAACAUCAGCACUCAUUCAUAAAAACUCCAUCCCAUCGCAUUUAAAACAAAACAAAGAAAAUAUUGAUUAGAAAAAAAAUUACACGCAUGGAAUAAAAGAAUAUAAAAAUGGAAUUACCAGAGGGAGCUAGUGCCGGAGUAGGAACCAGAAGGCAGCGCCAUAUGAUGCUCUUGUUAUGGUUUUCCUUCUUGUGGGUCUGCGCUGAAGUCGAAGAUGAAGAAACAAGAAAGAGCCAGCAAAUUGAGAAAUCGACUACCAUCUUCGAUUCCGACUCGCAUGGCCAUUUUUCUUUGAUGAAUGAAAUAUUGUUUUACUCCCUAAUUCUUAACCAAAUUACAAGUUUUGACUUCUGUUUGUAUGUUCUUUCAUACGGGUUCUUGUUCACAGGAAUAACAAAUGGGCCGGACGUGUGGCUAAGCCCGGGCCUGGUGUCGAUAGCCAGGCCUGGGCUUUUACGAGCCCAGGCAUUUUAUUCUGAGUAUGAUCCUUAUAUCACUUCACUUUUGUAAUCGUAAUUUUAUUGUACUGAAAAUUAUAUGAACGAUUAAUAUGAAUUUAAUUAAACAAACAUGUCUUUACAACUCAUGCAACCUUACUAUUUUCUAAUCCUAAUAUGUGAUAUAAUUAAUUUUACUGAUAAAAUCAAAAUAAUUUUUAAACAAUGAAGAAAUAAAUUAUAAUAACAGUAAAUUUAUUACGAAAAAGUAUGUUUACAAAAUUUAUUUUAAAUGAUAUGAAAUCUAAUUAAAAUUCUAUUCUAAUUUUAUGCCCUUUUUUACAAUUUUAUUAAAAAGUGGGAUCUCUUAAGAUUUUAGGAGUGUUGGAAUUCUAUUUUUCCAGAUUUGAAUUUUAGUGACCUUUACUUCAUUUAAAUUUUUUGUUAUAAACUUGCAAGCAAGUGCAUUUAGGAUAUCUUUGGUGAACUGGAUUGUAACAAUAAUUUUAUUUAUUAAAAUUAUUAAAAGUAUUUAAUUAAUAAAACUUCACGUAUCCUCGGGUCUAACCAAUCAAAUUCUUUCUCUCAAAAGUACACAAAAGUGAGAUUGGCUCUUGCCUAUUAGUUAACAUAUGCAUAUUAAUUAACACUGACAGAUAUAUAGAUAUACAGCACAGCUAGCAGCACAUUCGACUUACAGAUAUACAGAACUUGAACAUAAUUCACAUAUCUGAAGGGAGAGGGAUAUCGAUGUUGCGGCCUGCAAUUCAUAACAUAUCAUCGGUCAUUUAAUCUAGAAUUGAGGAGAGAAAAUGAGUCUAAAUUCGAAAACUUUGGCACUAUUUACAUAUCAUUAUUUGGGUGAAAAUUCAUUUCUCUGCUUUGAUAUGAUUUGGUCUUUCAUUGUUACGGUGCCAAUUUUUUAUUUAAAGAUGUAAGGUAGUGGUACUAUAGCUUAUAUUUUCCGUAAUUACUAUCCGGUAAGUACAAAAAUAAAAUACUAGUUUAAAAUAUAAAAAUGAAAAAUUAUUUUUAUAACCAAUAUUCAAUUAAAUACAUUUAAAACUCUAUUUUUUCUUAAUAAAAAAAAUUCUAAUUUAUUUUCUCAAUUUAUCUAAACAACUUUACCUAAUCAAGCUAAAUCUACAUAUUACCCUAAACCUUAAUUCAUAAACACCCAAUCAAUCUAAUUGUUAAAUCUUAUUUCAUAAUAAAAAAAAAUUAAUUUCUUUUUUAUUAUUUAUGGUGCAAAGGAAAAAAUGAAUUUAAAGGUAAAAUUGAUAUUUUAUUUAAAUUUUGUUAAUAUUCUAAUAAUAUUAAUGUCUUGGUGGUUAAUAAAAGCAUAAAGUUAAACUUUUGUAGUAUUUUUAAUAAUAUGGUAAAGAUAUAUGUUUGAUAAUUUUCUUAUGUCUUUUUACGUUAAAUUGAGUCUCAAGUAUAAUGAAUAAAUAAUACAUAUUAUAAAAUUAGUGUAGAUAAAUAAUACAACUUGAAAAUAUUAUAGUAUUCUUAAUAAUAGAGAAAUUUAAAGGUGGAUAGUUGAUUGUUUAAUGAAACAACUACAGAAUUUUCCUUUCAAAUAUCUUUUUAAAAAACAACAGAAUGACCUUUCAAAUGCCCAUUCGACAAGCCAAGAAGAAAGGGUAGCUAACAAAUUUACAAGUACCAGAGAUCCAGAAACACAUUUAUAGCCAAUCCAUUUAUGAGUUACAUUCAACACUCUCACAAACUUAAAAAAUAAAAAUUAUUACUGCCAAGACGCACACUUUUUGACAUCUAAAAAGCUAAACAUUUGAAGUUCUUUGAUACAAAAUGCAUACUAAAUUGGCACAGUUAAUGCCCAUCGAAAGGGUCAUCAAUUUAGCCAACAAAUUUGCCAAAGUUUUAACAGUGACCACAAACGGAACAGGUAUAGAAUAAAAGCUUGUUCGGUUCUUGCGCGAAGUGAACCCCUCUGAAACGCUAAAAGAGGAAAUACAAAAUAAAGAAGACCAUAUUACGUGGCUAACUAACAGCCAUUCCCAAAGAAAUAGAGUGACGAUAAUGUGCUUCUUUUUUUUUUUUUAGAAAAGAACACAGACCCCUAAUAUUUAAAUAAAAAACAUAAAAUUUCUUAAUAUUUAAAAAAAAACAUUCAGACCUUAUUGUUUAACAGAAACUGUUUUUUUAACAGAAAUUAUAAUUUUAAAAUAUAAUUACCAUUAUAUCCUUAUAACAUAUUAAAACUAAUUAUUCAUUGUCCAAUUUAUCUUUAUAUUAUUAAUAAAAUUACGAAAAUAAAUUUGAUAAAGAAAAUUUCAUGCACAUCUAAAAAUUGAUAAAGAAAAAAAAAUAACAAAAGUAAUUAGUAAGAAAUCUCCAAUAAACCGACAAAUUAAGAACCCUGUUCAUCAAACUACCAUAAACCAAAAAAAAAAAUUCUCGUAAUCAUUUAUUUAUAUUCUUGCACAUACAUCACAUAUGCAUCAAGCAUGCUAGAGAAGUUAAUUUAGUAAAAAAAAAUGAAAAUUAAAGAGAAUUCAACAGGCAAGAUCAGCAACCAAACGCAAGCACAAGCAGCAGCCAAACGCGAGAUUCAACAAGCAAGAUCAGCAACCAAACGCGAGCACAAGCAGCAGCCACAAGCGAGCACAAGAAGCAGCUAAAAGCGAGCACAAGCAGCAGCCAAACGCGAGCAAUUCCAACAGCCAAACGCGAGCGAUUCCAACAGUUCCAACAGCACAAGCAGCAGCCAAACGUCGAUUGCGAGCAGAUCCAGCAACCAGACGCGGUCUCGAUCGACGCACGAGCAGUUCCAGCAGCUUCUGGUAGCGUGAGCAGUUCCAGCAACUUCCGGCAGCCCUAGCAGCUUUCGGCAAAGGCAAACCGUGAGUGUGUGUUAAAAGAUUUGUCUGGAAUCAGCGUGUGAUGUGUGUGUGGGGUUUGUUUGUGCGUGUGAUGUGCGUGUGGGGUUUUAGUCAAUUCACUUGUUUUUAAUUUAUAAUUACGAUAUUAACCUUGUAAUGAUUUAAGGAAACGAUUUCCGUUAAGUAAUGGGUCCGAAUGUUUUUUUUAAAAUAUUAAAACGUUUUGUCUCUUACUCAAACGUGGGUCUCUGUACCCUUUUCCCUUUUAUUUAUUCUUCGCUGGCAUAUUUCUCUUCAUCUUCUUCUUCACUGGCAUCUACAUUGGCGUCUCCCUCUUGGUUGGCAUCUUCCUCGUUUGUUGUUUGCGGUGGCUGUCCAACCAAUAAAUUGGGCAUUAAAGAACAAACAGAUAAAGUUAUAACAAUAAGAAUUAUAAACAUAAAAAGAAAAAAAAAAGAUAUUUGAAGGGAAAUUUUGGUAGAACUCCAUGGCUCAUCUAUGAAAUUAAUUUAAAGUUCUCGAGAGCUUACCUCUGCUCCAGAAUUCUCGGAAUCAUCCAUCUCCUUCUGAAUUUGCAGGAAGCAUGGGACAAUUACGAAUAAUUGCAUUCACUGCAGAUGGAAAUGGGAUCUGAUAUCCCGUAGGCCAAAAGUUGGUGAGGUUUGGUAAAUCUUUCAGCCUCAAGUUCCGAACUUUAUCCAGAACAAUUUCAUCGUAAUCCAUGACGUCUGCUCCAUCUUUAUGCCAGAAUACUUCUUCGAAUUCAUUAUUUUCUUCUAUGCAUAUACGAAUUAGUUUUUGAAGACUUGGAGCUACGCUGAUAUGAAAUAGAUGCUUUAGUUUGGGACAAUAACAGACAGAGAUCUCUAUGAGUUUUGGGAAACAAACAGGUUGGAGAUGAUCCUCAUCCUCAUCAAUGACUUGCUCUAAUUCCAGGCAAUAUAGAAUAUCCAACCUCUCCAAUUGCAACAGAUUUCGAGCAAGUGUUGAUGAGAGGAGACGUCUCAGCUUAGUGCACCCCCUUACGGUUAAAUCAGUAAGAUUUUGCAGGCUAAAAUUAUGCGUGGGACCUUCAUAAUAUAAUACUUGCAGUUCGUCAAGAACUUCCAAUUUCAACUCUUUCAAACAUGGGAAAUGUUUGUUUUCUUGUCCAUCAGCGAUAAUAGCUUCCGACUGAAAUAACACUUGCACUUCAAUUUCUCUUAUAUUCAAUUCUUCCAAAUUUUUUAACCCACGCUUCAACAGUGCGGGAAUUGUGUCACGCAAAUGGGAGCAAUCGUCCACGCUUAGAAUUCGUAAUUUCUGAGAAAAAUAAAUAACUUGAUGCAAUCAAAAUCUAUUAGCAGCUAGGACUAUCUCAUGAUAAUCAAUAAACUAACACCAAAAAAAAAAAAAAUUCCAAAUCCGUACAAAAUAGUUAUAUUUUAUGAAAGUAAUAUAUUUAUUAAAAAAAUAAAAUUAAUUAAAAGAGAUCAUGUGAAGUGAUAUAACGGUGAAAUCUGUUUGUUUAUGAAAAAAUUGUAUUCUAUUUCUAUGGCUUGAUAACUACUUAAUUGAAUUUGUUUAAUAUUAUAUAUGCUUCACAAGUGUUUUCAUCCGACCUUUUUUUUACCCCCUUCAAAACAAAAACGAGAAUUUGACUUUCAUUUGAAGAAUGAAUUUUAGGCCCUAAAAUAAGGAAGUUUUCCUAAGAUAUUGGAUCUUAUUGUGAUCAUCACCGUUAGCACUACCAUCAUCAUCAUCUCUCUACAAAGCCAAAUGCAAGGUGAUAUGAAUGGCGCAUCAUAAAAAUUAUUAAUAAACUAUCACUUUGAGUAAAAUUGAAGAAAAAAAAAAGAAAAAAACAUAAACACAAACGGACAUACCUCUCCAAGAUACUGCAAAUUAGCUUCAAGUUCUGUAUUGUUGGCGGUCAAGUUUGGACAGCAUCUUAGGUCUAACUUUUCCAACGCUGGCCAAGUUGAAUAAUAAUUUUCUGAACAGAAGCUGGUGAGUUCGGGGAGAUCUUCAAGGCUUAAUUUUCUCAACAAAGAUAGCUCGAGUAUUCUAUUUUCAUCUGCUACACUUAUUUCCCCUUCAUUAUGAUCAAACUCCGCUUUAACGAUAAAUUUUAUUCUCUCGCAUCUGAACACUGCAAGACUUUCAAGCUGCUUUAAACUUCGAGCUUGUGACAACGAGAAGACAUACGUCAAAUUGUUGCACGCGUACACAUGCAAUGCUGUAAGAGCUUGGAGGCUCACAUGUUGGGCGGGCGCCUUCCAUAUCUGCUUCAUUUCUGGUAACUCCAGCAUAUAUAACCUUGCUAAUUUUGAGAGCAUCAUAGGAUUCCCACUCUCUCCUUGCGGCGACUGAGAGGCAUCCAUUAUGCAUUCUAAAUCUUCACAAUUGUUGACAGAAAGAUAAGUCAACUCAUUGAAGCCCCUUGGAUCUAUGCUUGGCACAAUAUUAUGACAACCUAUUAUCCUGCUCAAAUCAAGAAAUUCCAGAUUUUGAUACAAUGCUGAAAAAAUACGGAGCGAGGUCGCUUCAAAAGGGUGAUCAAUGAUUAAACUCCUUGUCUUAUCACCAUCUUCCAUUUUAUAGCCAACUCUUUCACCUUUAAUCAUGUACCUUUGCAAUUUUGGGAAUGUAAAAUCUUUUGAAAGAUAUACAACAGGUCUGCCAACUUGGAAGUUAAACUCAGCAAGCCUAGCAUUACUUUCUUCUGAACUCAUCACUUCAACCUCCCAAUCUUUUAUCCGACCAUAAAAUUCUUCUAAUUGAGGAAAUUUUUUUAUCGUAACGGGAGAAACAGAACCAAUAUCAAUAUAUAGAAGUUUCAAUCUACGAAGUUCAUCCGACAAAUCUUCAGGAAUUUCAAUGGGAGAAUCCUCAAGAUAAAGAAGUUCAAGUCUCUUCAACUUUCCAAGAAAAGACGCGUCACUCACAUGACAUCCAAUCAACUGCAGAACUCGGAGGCUAUUGGCAAGGAAUCGAAGCGAUUUUAGUGAAAGGACUCCAUUUAUUAUAGUAACAACUUUCAAUGCUGGCAUCCCUUCAAAAAAAAUUUCUGGAACUUGCAAUUUGUAGACAAAUAGAGUAUUGUGCAGUCGCAAAAUAUGAAGGUUAGGGCAUACCAAACUACUAGGAAGCUCUUCUUUUUUAUUUCCCAAUACAGAGAUUCCUCUGUAUUGCUCCAAGCCUUCUUCCAUUGCCCGUUCUGCCAAUCCAAUGCCAACUUUACUAAAAAAUUUCUUCUCCACUAGUACUUCUGAGCCUAUCCAUAUGGCUACAUCACGAACUAUGUCAUGCAUUUUCACAGAUCUGUCAUUACCAGUGUCUAACAAUAGUGAAACAGCUUUGAGUCCGUCAAUUGUUCCAUGCAGUAGGCUUCUGGUGUUCUCUAUUGACUCAGCUUGAUACCAAGUCAACCCUACUGCAUAUCCAACCAAAUCCUCCAAAUGAAUCUCAUAAUCUUCUGGAAACAACGAACACAACAAGAAGCAUAACUUGGAAUUGUCAUCAUUCAAUUUAUCGUAACUAAAUUUGAGGCAACCGUAAACAUCUAAGUUCUCCUCAUCAAUACCUUCUAUUGCAUAGAGUUUUGCAGCCUUUAGGUUAUGUAGAGCCAAGUUCCAUUCAUUAAAUCCUUUUCCUCUUAGUGCACUUCCAACAGCUUCAAUAGCUAAAGGCAGCCCCUUACAUUCUCCAGCAACUUCUUUGGAAACAUCAUUCAAGGUGGAGUCAUUUACAUUAAUUCUGGCAUUUUUUCGCAGUAAAGCCAAUCCUUCUUCUGGCGUUAGUGUACUAAGUGGAAUCUGUGUGUCACAACCCAAAGAAUCACAAACUGACUUUUUGCGAGUCGUUAGAAGGAUUUUGCAACAAUUAUCUCUACCACCGACGGUAAUACCUAAUUUUUUCUCCGAGUCGAGUGUUUUCCAAACAUCAUCAAGGAUUACGAGGAUUUUGCUGCUUUUACUCUCAGAAAACAUCAAGCGCAAUCGGUCUGCUCUCUCUUUUUCAUCUUUCUCAUUUAGUGCCCAGCCUAACGACUUUGCCAGCUCACCUUGAACCUUGAUUAUAUCUGGAUCCUGAGACACAGUGGCUAUCCCCACCUUAUCGAAAAUCUUUUGUUGCCGAAGUUGAUUGCCCACAGAUUUUGCCAAGGUCGUCUUUCCUACACCGCCGAGACCAUGCAAUCCCACCAUCUUUGUGCUGUCUUUUUUCAGUGCUUCAGUGAUCUGAUUACAAGCCGAUUCUGUAGUCUCGAAAGAAGAAAAAAAUCUUGGAAUAGGCAUUUCUGUGUCUGAUGGUAGAGGUUUAGGAAGGGCAACUGUGCUGAAUUUGCCGCGGUCUUGUAGAUCGGACAACUUGCGAGUCUCUUUUGAUGCUUUUCUACCCAUCCAAUAUCGGAAACCCCAAUUAGGACACCAUCCAUUAAAACAACUCUUCUUUUCAUCUAUCUCUGUUUUCAAAUUUCGGACAUCGGCCAUUUCUUCGACUACAUCCGCCAGCCACUUCUCUACAUCUUUCUCAACUACUAUAGCGCAAUGUUUUUGUCGUUCUUCUUCUACUUUUUCGUUGAUGCCAUCUUGUGCCUCCUUCAAAUUAGUUUCUUUGAAACAGAACAGAUAGCGAGCUUGUUUUACAGUAGCAUCCACCAAUAAUUCUCCAAGCUUUGAUGCAAUAGCCAAUAAAAUUUCCAUGCUAUUUAUCUGCAAUUAACAAAGUUGAUCUCAGUACGCUAUAAGCAAAACAACAAGGCUUGAUCACAAUGUUUAAUAAGUUUUUUACUGAACGUUUAAUUACUUUCUUCUAUUCUGCGAAUGCACGUUUAUUAAUGCCAGCUUUGAUCAAUAAGAGCAAAAUGCAAACGCCAGACUUUAAGUAGCCUUUAGCUGCAAACAGAAGAGAAGAAAUAAGGUAAACGUGAUAGAUGGUGGAUUAUAUUGAAAUUAGAUUACUUUAGAAAUUUUUAAAAUUUGAAGAUAAUUAUCCCAUUCUUACUUCAAUCAAUAUUCUAAUACAAUAAUUCCAUAAAUCUCAAAUAAUAUCUUAAGAUUUUUUGUUUUCCUCAAACACUCAUAUGAUUAGUUUAAUUAUUUAUUACUCUAUUUUACUACAUAAUUGAUGCAAAUAACACUUUGUUUGGGAUGGUAAAGAUUGGGGUAAAUUCCCUUUUAGUCUCUAAAAUUUGGGCCUAUUAUAGCUAUUGAACAUACUUUCAAAUGUAAAAUAGUAUUUUCUGUCUAAGAUAAAUUAAAAAUCAAACAAAUCUAUCAUGCAACAAAUGAAAAAUAAAGAAUAUUAAUUAAGUUUUGAUGGAAACAAAUAUAAAAUAUAGAGGUUUUGAGUAAUUUUUGUAUUUUUUUAAUGGUUGAGUUAGAAUUGAAUAAUUUGCAUAAUGAAAAUUUGAGGUUGUAUAAUUUAUAUGAAGAUAAACUGCAAAAUAAGUUUACGUGCAGAAUUUAAGAUAGUUAUAUAUUAGUAAUUAUGCAAUUAUCAAAUUUUUUUAAUAAAAUUUAUUUAAAAAUUGGCCAAUUGUGUUUCAUGAAGUAAACAAAGAGCAUAAUGGACUUAUGUGGGUGCUUGGGAUUGAAAGACUAAGAGGCCAGAAGAUAGGACGGUACGAAAGUUAAUUUUAAUUAUAAGGUAUGCUCAACAGAAGUGACUUGGAGGUGAUUGUCGUUAAUCUAUUAUCUUUAACUUUAGAAUUAAUACAAAUAAAUGAAUGAAAAUUAAUGUAAUAAAAAAAUCGCACUAAAAACUUGGAACUUAAAUUCUCAAUCAUCUUUUCCGUAUGUUUUAAUCCAACGGUCAGAAUUGGCAUAAAACAAACUAGUAUAGCCAUUGGAAUUAAGUAAAAUAAACAUCAAACUAAGAGGCAAGAGCCUAUGAAAGCAAUAAUAUCUCAUACCUUCUUCCGUUUAUAUCUUCAAUUACUGCUGAAAGCUCUAGCUAGAGAGUCGCACAAGCUCGGAGAAAAUUAAAAGCUGCAUCUAGCAAUAUAAAUAAACAUCAGAUCAAACCAACAUAGGAUAUAUCUAGAUAAUUAACAUCAUAUAUAACUGCUUAUUCUCAGUCAAAUCUUUCAUUCUUAGAAAAAAAAAAUUGAAAUAAUAACUGUAAGUGAUAUAGGAAGCAAAAGUAACAUACCAAAACGAGAGCAGCUAGCUCACAGAUCUGGUGACUUCCAAGAGCAUGAAAAAUGAUUGAGGUUUAAUAGCAAGGUCCGAGUCAUGUUUCAUAAGUUGCUAUUGACUUCGUGGCUUCGCUUUUCUUUGUUUUUUUUCGUUUUUUGUGUUUGUUUAUAUAUAUAUAUGAUGAGGGGGUAAUAAUUUUUUUGGGUUCGGCUAUAUUGUAGUUUAUCUACGGUGGAGCGCAAAUCACAGCCACACACAUAAAGUGAUAAUUAAUAAAUAAUGAAUUAUAAUGAGAUUUUUACUAUUUAUCAUUUUGCGUGUGUGAUUGAGAUUCGUGCUCACUGUAGGUGAAAUUCAACAUAGCCAUACCCUUUUAAAAACCUUUCGUGAGGUUUAAGGUCACUCGGAUAGACUAUAUUUCGGAACUACCAAAUAUCCCCCUGCCCAUUGUACUCUGUUUAGCAUCUUUUGGAUGGUUGAGGGUAAUUUGGUAAAACUCAUUUAAAAAUAAAAAAUUUCAAAGAAAUUCUAAAAGAAGCUUUGUAUCUGGCCAUCUGGGGUAUAUCCUUGGAGUUGUCGUGGGAAUGAGUUUGAAUCUAAAGAUUUUCAUUCUCUUAUUUUAUUUAUUUCUCCUAGGAAUGAAUUUGAGCCUUAUUUUCAUGAGACUCAUUCUUUUUAAAUAAAGAUAGAUAUCUCCCUACAUAUUUGAGGUAUAUUUUUAAAAUUAAUGUUCAACAUAUCUGUGGAGUGUAUUAUAAAUAUUUAUGUCUAAAAUCUCAACAGAUUUCACUAUAUAUAUAUAUAUAUAUAUAUAUAUAUAUAUAUAUAAGCGGGAUUAGCUAAACAAUAAAAAGAACACAUUAUGAUUGGAAAUACGGAAUUAGAAUUGUGAUUAUAAUAUGAAUUUUAAUUGAAAUUGAAAUUGUAAUUGCAACUAGAAUUGUAAUUGCGAUCGGAUAUGUAAUUAUCAAUGUAAUAGAAGUUGUAAUUAUUACGGCUAUUGUAAUUGUUCUUGUGUAAUUGCAACUGUGUUUUUAAUUUUAAUUACACUUAAUAAUACAAUUAUAAUUGUGAUCAUAAUUGCAAUUGUAAUUACAAUUGUAUCUUUAAAAAAAAAUUAAUUACAGUUGUUAUUCUAUUUAUUGUUACAAUUACAAUUUUAUUAUCGUUAUUCUUAUUGUAAUUGUUGUUAAAUAUUAUUAGAAUAAAAAUAUUAUUAGAAUAGCCAUUGUAACUGUCAAUGGAAUUACGAGUACAAUUGUUAUUGUAAUUAUUAUUGUAAUUGGGAUUAAAAUUGAAAUUGUAACAAAGUAAAUGGAAUUACAAUUGAAAUUAAAUUUGUAACGGUUGUUUAAAUUAAUAAUAAAAAAAUGAAAUUGAAAUUAUUGAUGUAGUUAUUAUAAUUGCAAUUGUAAUUUUAGUUGUAAGAAAGUUCAACUGAAAUUAUCAAUCGUAAAUAUAAUUAAAAUUGCAAUUAGAAUUGUUCAACAAACAUUUACAGAAAAAAGUGUCAAUGCUAUUUUUUAUUUUUGAAAAAGAAAGAGAAGCAACAGUAACCAAAUUCUUAGAGCAGUAUAAAUGCUGCGUUUAAUUGUCAGUAAUCUAAAUGGGUUGGAAUGAGUAUGAGCUGUAAUGGAAAUGGGGAAUGAAAAUCAAAAUAAGUUGUUUACUUGAGCUAUAGGAAUCAAAAUCGAAAUAGACUGAAAUUCUAUUGAUGUGUUUAUUUUAUUUUGAAAUAAGAACCGAAAUAAGUUAAAUAAUUCUAAAUUACUAAAAUGUUGUUAGUUAAUUAUAAUAUAAUUAUUUUAUUAUCGUCGCCAUCAGGGGCGGAUUCACCUUAGGACCAGUGGGGACUUAAGCCCCCACUGGAAAAUUUUUUUUUUAAUAAUUAAUUUAGUUUUCUUAAAAUUCUCAAUAAUUUUUUCUAAAGCCCCCACUAAUUUAUAGUCAAGCCUAUAAUUUUUUCUAAAGCCCCCAGUGAAUCACUAUGAUUUUUUCUAAAGCCCCCAGUAAAUCACUAUGCUGUCUCCGCCCCUGGUCGCCAUCAUCAUCAUUAUCAUUACCAUUAUCAUAUUUUUUAAUUUUUAUUAUUAUAAAAAUAAUUGUUAAUAAUAAUAAUAUUAAAAAUAAUAUCAUUAAUAAUUUAUUAAAAUGCCUUUUGUUAAUUAUUGUCUAAUGAUGGUGGUGGUGGUGGUGGUGAUAAUAAUGGUGAUAAAUAAUAAUUAAUAAAUUAAUAACAAUAAUGACGACACCAAUAAUAAUAGUAAAAUUUGUAAUAUAAAUAAAAUAAUUAAUAAUAAUUAUUAUUAUUACAAUAAUAAAUAAAUAAUAGAAAUAAUUAAUAAAUUAAUAACAAUAACAACAAUAAUAAUAAAUUUUAUAAUAAUAUAAAUAAUAAAAUAACAACAACAACCAAUUAUAACAACAAUAAUAACUAAAUUCCAUAAUAAUAAUAAUAAUAAUUUUCAGUUUUUUUCAAUUUAUAUUUUUAAUUUCUAAAGAGGGUGUAUUUAAAACGUAUUAGAAAUAAUUUUGUUAUUCUAGGGAAUGGAGUUUCCAUUCCCAACUCUUCUUAAGAAAUCACAACUCUAACAAUCAAUCUAAAAUUUAUGAGGAGUCAUGAAACUCAUUCUGAUUCCGAAACUUAAUUUAACAAAUAAACAAAUUAUUCAUUUCAAUUCAUUUUCUCCGAUUCCCGAGUUGUAAAACACAGUAUAACUUUUUUUUUUUUUUGUUGUUGUUUCAGCUGGGCGACCACAAGUUGUUGCUGUCAGUUGCCCGCAAAUUCUCGACUAUUUCAAAAUAACUUCCAGUCGCUGAUUGUACAAGGCAUCAAAUCCAGUGCUCUAUAUUUGUUUAAAAACAUUUUAUUACAUGGGAUCUUUUAAUAGAUCCAGUGCAUGCAGCCGUAGCCGUUGUGGGGUUUCGACAACUUUUGUCUUAUAUGGCGACUUUUUGUUGUUGUUUUAUUUGUAUGAUGACUAUCAUGGACCUACGUGCCCGCAUUUAAAACUUCAUAAUAAUUUAAAAAAACAAAAGAAAUUGGUCUCACAUUAUAAUUUGUUCAAACAAUAUUAUUUUAACACAAACGAUCAAAAUAAAUUUUAUAUUCACUAAAAACUUAAUAUAUAUAUAUAUAUAUAUAUAUUAUAACAUAAAUAUGAAAACAACAUUUGAAAAAAAAAUACAUAGGCACCUUUAAAUUUGAUGUAUAGCACUAGAAUAUUCUUUGUUGUAGGUCGCUUCUUUUGUAUUUAAAAUUUUCUAAUAAUUUAAAUAAAAUAAUAGAAGUGCGUCUCACAUAUAGUUUAUUGUAUAAUUUUUUCAAACAAUAGUAUUUUAAUACAAACGACCAAAGCAAACUUCAUAUUUACUAAAAAUUAACCAUAUAUAUUAUAACAUAAAUAUGAAAACAACGUUUGACAAAAAUAUAAAGGCACCUUUAAAUUUAUUGUACAGCACUCUAUCAAUAUUUGUCGUAGGUCUUUCUUUUGCAUUUAAAAUUUCGUAAUGACUUAAAUAAGACAAAAGUAGUGGGUUUCACAUACGAUUUAUUAUAUAAUUUUUUAAACAAUAUUAUUUUAAUACAAAUGACGAAAAAAAAACUGUAUAUUCACUAAAAAUUAUAUAUAUACACACACACACAUAUACAUAUUAUUACAUAAAUAUGAAAACAACAUUUGAAAAAAAUACAAAGACACCUUUAAAUUUAUUGUAGAACACUCGAUCAAUUCUUAUCUUAGGUCCCUUCUUUUUCAUUUAAAAUUUUGUAAUAAUUUAUAUAAGACAAAAGAAAUGGACUUGACACAUAAUUUAUUGUAUUUUUUUUAAGGUUGUAUAUUUUUUUCAAAUAAUAUUAUUUUAAAAUUUCAUAAUAAUUUAAAUGAGACAAAAGAAAUGGGUCUCACAUAUAAUUUAUUGUAAAUUUUUUUUUCAAACAAUAUUAUUUUAAUACAAACGACCAAGAGAAAUUUCAUAUUCACUAAAAAUUAAUCAUAUUUACAUUAUAACAUAAGGCAAUUCCUAAGUUACGAUUUGUGUAACUUACGGCCUGGCAAAUUUUAAGUGUUAAAUGUGCUUGUAUCCAAUCCAACGGACGACAUCAAAUUUAUCACAAAGUAGUAACGAGUGGUAACUCGACUGAACUGAUUGUUUCAAGUGAUGGGCUACCUGUCCUUGCCUCUCUCUUAAGAAUCUAAGCAGCGAAGAACUUGACUUGGAAAUUGGCGAGGAAGGACUGUUUAUCGGAGAUGAGUAUAGAGGUGGUGACCUCCCAAGUAGCGUCGGCUUGUUGAAACUGAAUGAGCCACUAAUUCGCUGCCACGCGGUUGCAUAAUUAGUUCUUGUGAUUCAACCCAUGAAAAAUUGCUCCACCUGAAUUUGCAAGUCCAUCUGCAUCACAUGACAAAUUCGGUUGCGGAUUUUGAGGAGGAUGGUCUUGGAGGAUAUGAAACUCCUCUUGCUUAACAUUUUGGGUCUUCCUAAUUUUUGUUUCUUCAUACAAUAGCAAACAUUUGAGGUUAAAGCCUAUUUAAUCUAUUUAUUUUUUAAAAUAUCUUAAAACAUCCUUAUCGUUAAAGUAUUAAUACACCUGCCGUUAUUUUUAUUUAUUUUGGCUUAUUUGUACAAUAUCACCCUUUUAUAAUAAUUUUUUUAUUUAGACAUUAAUAAAAAGAAAAUAAUUAAAUUACCAAUUUAAUUAUAGAAAAUAAAAAAAAUUAUAAUAAUUUUUUUACAAGCACCAUUUGCACACUUGGUAGUUUGCAUACAAUUUUUGACAAUUAAAAAUAAUAUAAUUUUUUAUUUUAUUUUUAGGGUUAAAUUGGUAAUUUAAUUAUUUUUUUAUUAAUGUUCAAAAAAUAUUAUAAAAGGGUAAUAUUAUAAAAGUAAGCCAAAAGAAAUAAAAAGUAACGGUAGGGGUAUCAAUACUUUAACGGCAGGGAUAUUUCGAGACAUUUUAAAAAAUAUAGAAACUAAAUAAAUACUAAUCUUAAAAUAAAAGGACUAAUAAACUUUUACGUUUGGGAUUUAUUUCAGUGAAAUCCACCAUAAAGCCCUCAAAUCUCUAAUACUCGCUUCUUUGGGAAGAUCUUUCACUUAACCAAUCACAAAAAAAGAUGUCUCUCUUUAAAGUUAAGGAAAAGGCACAAAGAAACAUUAAACAUAACCGACCACAGAAAAAAUCCAAUUUUCAGUUUAAUGUUUAAAAUUCAAUAAAGUUAAGAAAGCAUGUUUCACUCUUUCAGGGAUUGCAUCCCUUGUCAAUCAAUCGUUUCUUCGUGCAUGGUCCAACCUGAAUAUGUCAUUCAACCCGUAAAAGCUUCCCUGAAGUUUUGGCAUCAAAUGGAACAUCUGCUGAACCCACAAGUUGGAGAUUAUCGGAGACAAAAAUAAGCACGCUGCCAGCGGGACUACAGAGCUGGCAAUUGAUGGUGGUGAUGGAGUGUUGGCACUGCAGGAAGGGAUGGCUAGUGAACUCAGCAACGAUAUUUUGCGAGUCUACGCCUCCCUCUCUUUUUUAAUUUCGCAUUUACUGUUUCCGCUAGAGACUCACGUGACCGAGAGAGAGAGAGAGAGGGGUCUUCUUAAUUUAAUGUUUAGAAUUUAAUCGUGAAACGACCUCGUUUUUAUUUAUCGCCAUGGAUUAUAGAAGGUAAUCUUUUACGCUACGUUUGAAAGAUAUAAUUGGAUUAAAUUAGAGUUGAUUAUAUAAUACUAUCUUUUGUUUGGUACAAUAUUAGACAAGACUAUGCUAAUUUAAUUUAAUAAAGCUAAAUACUAUUUAAAUAAUAUAAUAUUUUUAAAUUAUAUUGAUAAUUGUUUACUUUAAUAUUUAAUAUCCAAUAUUAGUUUAAGUAAAUUAAUGAAUAAAAUUUUGAUGUUCUAUAUAAAAUAAAAUUACAUGUUGAAAAAAUUAUGAAAUUAACUUCUAUGUUUAAUUUUUUUUUCUAAAUAUUAGGUUAAAUGAAAAAUAAAAUAGUGAAAAAAAUACACAAAUUCUUCAUUUAAUUUUAUCCCACCUAAACCCAUAUAAAUAUGAGGACUAAUAAUCCCAAUUUUUUUGACUAAAUCUUAAUCUAUCCUAUUAGUUCAUGACACCUAAACAUAUUUUAGGAUUAAAUUAUUUUAUUAAUCUUAAAAUAUAAUCCAAUCGCACAAUUUAUCCAACCUUCCAAACAUAACCUUAAUUGACUCUUUUACCAUCGCUCUCCAACCGUUUCAACCAAUUACAAUUUCCUUACUGUUACGUACAUGUGGCAUAUUUUUACUGGUUGACUAAUUAAAUCACGGGCUGUAACAUACAGUAAAACGUAACUUAGGGUGACCCCAUAACAUAAAUAUGAAAACGGGAAAAUUCUAUAAUGUCGUAAUUAAAUUUACGGCAUUGAUGCCGUAAUAGACGUGGACCGUUAGAUUAAAUCAACGAUUCACAAUAAUAAUAAAAUAAUAAAAAAAUUUAAUUAAAUUAUAUAUAACCGGUUUAUAACCGGUUAAGUACUUUUUAAAAUAAAAUUCCGGUGAUAUAAAUUUAAAGGAAAAAAGGAUUUACUUUUUAAAAGAAUAAAAAAAAAUACAAAGGGAAAACUUGAUCCCUAAUUAACGAAUUGCAAAAGAUAUAGUCACACCCACUGCUGCGUUAACUUCCGUUCGGGUGCACCGGCGAUACGUCUGCAGAUUGCAACCAUUCUUUGAGUUGAUUUUCUGUCUUGUUCGAAUUGUUGAGUCUCUGUCGUUGCUGCCUCUGUCUUGGUUUUGGCAGUCGUCACCUGUGCAAGGUAAGUUUAAUCCUCUUUCUCGUUCGAAUUGCUAAGCAAUUUCGUUUUCUUUGCUGAAUUUGCUAAGUAAUUUAAUUCCAGAUUUCUCAUUCAAUUUUAUAUUAACUGACAUAGUAUCAUCGUCAUAAUUUGUUCACGGAAUUCUUAGAUUCAAUUCCGCUGGAAUUAACAAGUCUCUGCACGCCGGAUUUGUUCACGGAAUUAAGAAGGUCUGUGCAAAGUGUUUGGGUUUGCUGGACCACAUAGACAUUGCCCACUUGCCUGGCAAUCUGUCACUAUACCGGCUGGACCACAUAGACAUCUUUCUCAAAGUCUUUGAGUGAAUAGUAAGUUCAUACUCUCCAUUUUCUAGUGUAUAUAUAUCUCAAUUGUGGGAAAGAAAUCUGUAAUAAUUCACUGCUACUAACAGAUCAUAAUUUAGUACAAGUUCACGCUCAUGAUAAUUUGUAAUAAGAUGUCUGUUUUCCAGCAAUUGUUAAACUUGCAAUCAUUGUUCACAAUUGCAGCCUGCAUCUUUGCCGUAUUUCUCAUUUUCAAAUGGUUUCUUAUCCAACCACUUAGCACCAAAAAAACUUCAAAGUAGGUUGAUGAUUUUCUUGAGGUAGUCAUUCAAGAACAUGAGAAUAAGAUGAGUGACAAUUCUCAAGUUGAAGAUCAUAAGGACUUUAUAGAUGUCUUGUUUUGGCUUGAGAAAGAAAAUAAUUAGCUGCUGUUUUUAGGUUAAAUUUUCUGUUGUUUCUGGGUAAAUUGGCUGGUGUUUUUCAGUUAUUUUUCUGCUGUUUUUGGGUUAUAUUUUUUGCUGUUUCCAGGUAAAAUGUUCUGGUGUUUUGGGCUUCAUUUGCUGCUGGUUCUAGGUUAAAUAUUUUGCUGUUUUUGGGUAAAUAUACUGCUAUUUUUCAGUUAAAUUUUCUGCUGUUUUUGGAUAAAAUUUUUGCUGUAUUUGGGAUGAUUUGCUACUGUUUGUGGUUAAAAUUUUCUGGUGUUUUGGGCUUCAUUUGCUGCUGUUUUUAGGUUAAAUUUUCUGCUGUUUUUGGGUAAAUUGGCUGCUGUUUUUCAGUUAAAUUGUUUGCUAUUUUUGGAUAAAUUUACUGCUGUUUUUGGGUUAUAUUUUAUGCUGUUUCCAGGUAAGUCUUUUUGGUGUUAUGGGCUUCAUUUACUGCUAUUUUUUGGUUAAAUAUUUUGCUGUUUUUGGAUAAAUUUACUGCUUUUUUGGAUAAAUUUACUGCUGUUUUUGGGUUAUAUUUUUUGCUGUUUUCCUGGCAGUCUGUCACUAUGUCGGCUGGACCACAUAGACAUCUUUCUCAAAGUCUUUGAGUGAAUUGUAAGUUCAUACUCUCCAUUUUCUAGUGUAUAUAUAUCUCAAUUGUGGGGAAGAAAUUUGUAAUAAUUCACUGCUACUAAUAGAUCAUAAUUUAGUACAAGUUCACGCAUAUGAUAAUUUGUAAUAAGAUGUCUGUUUUCCAGCAAUUGUUAAACUUGCAAUCCUUUAUCACAAUUGCAGCCUGCAUCUUUGUCGUAUUUGUCCUUUUCAAAUGGUUUCUUAUCCAACCACUUAGCACCAAAAAAUCACUACCACCUUCUCCCCCACAGCUCCCAAUCAUUGGAAACCUUCACCAACUGGGCUUGUUCCCUCAUUGCUCACUCGGUGCUUUGGCACAAUGCUAUGGCCCCCUGAUGUUGCUUCACUUAGGCAAAGUGCCAGUGCUUGUUGUCUCUUCUGCUGAUGUUGCCUGUGAGAUCGUUAGAAAUGUAAUCUUUGCAAUCAACCAAAAUUAACCCCAUUUGUAAAACUUUUAAACGGUUGUAUAGAUGUCUCUAUGACACCUUAUGGUGAGUACUUAAGAAAAGUUAAAAGCUUAUUUGUUGUACAACUUUUAAGUAACAAAAGGAUUCAUUAUUCUUUUCGUGAUGUUAGAAUAGAAAAAUAUAAUGAUCAAGGAGAAGUUGGUAGUAAGUUUAGGAAGCAGUUUAAGGACUUUAUUGAGUUGAUGGCUACUUUUCAUGUGGGAGAUUAUAUUCCAUGGCAAGGUUGGUUGUGCUAUUUUAAUAGCUUGAAUGCCAAGCUUAAGAAAACUUCAAAGGAGGUUGAUGAUUUUCUUGAGGUAGUCAUUCAAGAACAUGAGAAUAGGAUGAGUAACAAUUCUCAAGUUGAAGAUCACAAGGACUUUAUAGAUAUCUUGCUUUGGCUUCAGAAAGAAAAUAUUUUAAACUUUCCUAUUGAUAAAGCUUCAUUUGCUGCUAUUUUUAGGUUUAAUUAUCUGCUGUUUCUGGGUAAGGUGGCUGCUGUUUUUCAGUUUAUUUUUCUGCUGUUUUUGGAUAAAUUUACUGCUGUUUUUGGGUUAUAUUUUUUGCUGUUUUAAGGUAAUUUUUUUGGUGUUUUGGAUCCUCUUCUUUCUCCAAUUGCAGGGCCUGAAGAUAUAAACAUCAGCUAUCAGGAAGCCCAAAGUAACAAUGAUGAGAGUAAAACUACCAAGAAUUUCAAUAAUUCCAUAUUUAAAGUUUAUAGAAUUUGUUACUAGAAUACUCUGAAUGGCUAAGUAAUUUCUCAAAAGAUUUGGAAACAAUGAAACAUAUGUUUGACUUACAAUUGAUCAAAAAAUAGGUCCAUCAACAUUGUUUUCCCGGUCCCUACUCCCCCAUAAAGGUACAAUCCUUUGACAGGUGAGUAUGAAGAUUGUGGUAGUAAACGUGACCACAGCCACCGACUCCUGUAGACAAACAGGACUAUCUGUCAAAUAGUUAUGUAAAUUCGCACCACAUUAACAUUGUAGAAUUACAAAUUUAAAAAAAGAAAAAUAGACCAGAUGAACAGGGGAGUGAUCCUGCAAUAUUAAAAUGUAAUCCAUUAGUUGAAAUCUGAACAAAAUUAGAGUAAACUGUAAUAUUUACCUUUCAGAUUUCUCAGAAGAUGAAUAGCGAUCUAACUUCCAGGCAUCAGCUGAUUCAACAAGCUAAUCAUACAGUCUUUGAAGUUCUCCUAACGCUCCUAACUGCCAAAAAAAAAAAUUUCACUGUAAGGGCAACUUUUACAUCAUUAAACAACAUAGUAGAUGGUCCACUCACUUCUUAGUCAUCAGGGAACUGACCGUUCCAGUGGUGCCAACUUUGAUGGAUCCUCCACUGCUCUUGAUAGUUUCUAGUGUAUGAACCAUGUUUUUCCACAAGUUUCAAUUAGAAGUCUAAGAAAAGAUCUUCCAAAAGAUGAAGUUCUUUGCCCUCAAAGCUCGCUUGGAGAAAGAUUGCAGAUGAAAGGAAUUAAAAUCCUGCAAAGCAAUAACACCACCCAAUGCAUGUAGAUUUGAGUUGUAUUUUCUGGUUGAAAGGUAGCUCAUAUUCUUAACAUUAAAGUUAUUUUUUUUCCCCAAAAAAUGAUAUAGUUACACUGGCAAACUAUAAAGCUGCAAAUUGAAAGAAAAGCCGGAUAAUUCCCAGAAAAUACUAUUUUCUUCUACAGUGACGUUGAGACUUAAUGGGAAAUGUUUUUUUUUUUCCGCCUUUUAUUUUCAAAAAAGGGGAAAAAUAGAUAGUAUAAAAUUUUUUUUUUUUAACUUUUUUGCUGUUGAUGGUGCCAUAAUUGUUAUAAUAUUGAAUUUUUUUAAUAAAUAAUAACUAUAAAAAUAUUUUAAUUAAUUAUUAUAAAUUUUAAUUAGGUAAUAUUAAAUAAAUAAUAAUAAUAAAAGAUUAAUAAAUUAUAAUGAAUUAUAAUUAUAAUAAUAUUAUAAUAAAUAAUAAUGAAAUAAUUUCAUACUGAUAGUAAUACAACAAAAUUAUAAAUAUAAUAAUAUUUUUACUAAAUAACAAUAUAAUAAAAUAUUAAUAAUAAUAACUUAUUAUUAUAAUAAUUAUUAUAAAGUUUGAUUGCAAUAAUAUUUUCAUAAAUAAUAAUCAUAUAACAAAAUCAUGAAAUUAAUAAAUAAUAACAAUAAUGAAUUAGUAAUCAUAAUUAUAAUACUAUUUUAAUAAAUAUGAUGAUGAUGAUGAUGAUGAUGAUGAUGAUUAUUAUUAUUAUUAUUAUUAUUAUUAUUAUUACAAUAAUCAACAAAGGGCAUUAAAGUAAAUUAUGAUAAUUCAUUCUGAUUUCAAGACAAAUUAAACACAUCGAUGGAAAUGAAUCUCAUUCCGACUUCAAUUUCUACAACUCAAAUAAAUAACUUAUUCUUAUUCACAUUCUUGAUUCUAAUUGUAGCCCGUUCCGAUUACUGAUUAGUAAAUGCACCAUGAGCAGAUUAUUGUGGUUUAAUUGGGUCUGUUUCAUUUCAAGUUUCAUAUCAUUUUCAUUGUUCAAUUUAAAAUUUUGAUUUGACCUUCAACCUAAUCAACUUAACCAGAUGAUAUAAGGUUUGGGUAGAAUUGGGUUAAACAAGUUUAUUUAGUUAAGUUUGAUGGAUUUUAUCUCAGCUCAUUAAAAAGUAGACCAGGUUAGAAUUUCACUAACCCUAUCAAAUCCAACUCAUGCUCACCCUUAUAUCAUUCUAUCUAAAUCAUAAAAUGCCAAUAAUCCAACUCUUUAACCAUUUUCACAUUGGAUUUAAGUUGAGGCAAUUGACCUGAACUAAAUAACCUAAAUUUCAAAUAAAUGUGAAAUAACACAAAAAAUUUCUAAACCACACAUAUGACUCGUAAAUUGAAGGUAAAACAGGUAAAUUAGCGUUAGAGUGGUAAAUUGGUAUACAAAAUUUAUAAAAAAAAUAGAAAAAAAACUAGUAAAUUGAUAGAAAAUGUAGUAAAUAAAUGUUGGAGUUGUAAAUUACAAGAAGAAAUUGUAAACAAAACAAAAACUUAGAAAAAUGACAUAGAACUUGUAAAUUGAAAUUAAAUGUGAAAUGAAACAAAUAAUUUGUAAACCACACAUAAAACUAGUAAAUUAAUGGAAAAAGGGGUAAAUUAAUGUUGGAGUUGUAAUUGGCAAGAAGAACUUGUAAACAAAACAAAAACUUAGAAAACUUACAUACAACUAGUAAAUUGACAUUACGUGUGAAAUGAAACAAAAAAAAGUGUAAAUCACACAUAAAACUAGUAAAUUGAUGGAAAAAAUGGUAAAUUAAUGUUGGAGUUGUAAAUUGCAAGAAGAACUUGUAAACAAAACAAAAACUUAGAAAAAUGACGUAGAACUUGUAAAUUGACAUUAAGUGUGAAAUGAAACAAAAAAUGUGCAAAUCACACAUAAAACUAGUAAAUUGAUGGAAAAAUGAGUAAAUUAAUGUUGGAAUUGUAAUUUACACGAAGAACUUGUAAAUAAAACAAAAAAUUAUAAAAAUGACAUAGAACUAGUAAAUUCACAUUAAGUGUGAAAUAAAACAUAAAAUUUGUAAACCACACAUAACACUAGUAAAUUAAUGAAAAAAAUGGUAAAUUAAUGUUGGAAUUGUAAUUUGCACGAAUAACUUGUAAAUAAAACAAAAACUUAUAAAAAUGACAUAGAACUAGUAAAUUCACAUUAAGUGUGAAAUAAAACAUAAAAUAUGUAAACCACACAUAAAACUAGUAAAUUAAUGAAAAAAAAUGGUAAAUUAAUGUUGGAAUUGUAAUUUGCACGAAGAACUUGUAAACAAAACAAAAACUUAUAAAAAUGACAUAGAACUAGUAAAUUGACAUUAAUUGUGAAAUAAAACAAAAAAUGUGUAAAUCAUACAAAAAACUAGUAAAUUGAUGGAAAAAUGAGUAAAUUAAUGUUGGAGUUGUAAUUUGUACGAAUAACUUGUAAACAAAACAAAAACUUAGAAAAAUGACAUAGAACUAGUAAAUUCACAUUAAGUGUGAAAUAAAACAUAAAAUAUGUAAACCACACAUAAAACUAGUAAAUUAAUGAAACAAAUGGUAAAUUAAUGUUGGAAUUGUAAUUUGCACGAAGAACUUGUAAACAAAACAAAAACUUAGAAAAAUGACAUAGAACUAGUAAAUUGACAUUAAUUGUGAAAUAAAACAAAAAAUGUGUAAAUCACACAUAAAACUAGUAAAUUGAUGAAAAAAUGAGUAAAUUAAUGUUGUAGUUGUAAUUUGUACGAAAAACUUGUAAACAAAACAAAAACUUAGAAAAAUGACAUAGAACUAGUAAAUUCACAUUAAGUGUGAAAUAAAACAUAAAAUAUGUAAACCACACAUAAAACUAGUAAAUUAAUGAAACAAAUGGUAAAUUAAUGUUGGAAUUGUAAUUUGCACGAAUAACUUGUAAACAAAACAAAAACUUAGAAAAAUGACAUAGAACUAGUAAAUUCACAUUAAGUGUGAAAUAAAACAUAAAAUAUGUAAACCACACAUAAAACUAGUAAAUUAAUGAAACAAAUGGUAAAUUAAUGUUGGAAUUGUAAUUUGCACGAAGAACUUGUAAACAAAACAAAAACUUAGAAAAAUGACAUAGAACUAGUAAAUUGACAUUAAUUGUGAAAUAAAACAAAAAAUGUGUAAAUCACACAUAAAACUAGUAAAUUGAUGAAAAAAUGAGUAAAUUAAUGUUGUAGUUGUAAUUUGUACGAAAAACUUGUAAACAAAACAAAAACUUAGAAAAAUGACAUAGAACUAGUAAAUUCACAUUAAGUGUGAAAUAAAACAUAAAAUAUGUAAACAACACAUAAACAAGUAAAUUAAUGAAAAAAAUGGUAAAUUAAUGUUGGAAUUGUAAUUUGCACGAAGAACUUGUAAAUAAAACAAAAACUUAUAAAAAUGACAUAGAACUAGUAAAUUGACAUUAAUUGUGAAAUAAAACAAAAAAAAUGUGUAAAUCACACAUAAAACUAGUAAAUUGAUGGAAAAAUGAGUAAAUUAACGUUGGAGUUGUAAUUUGUACGAAUAACUUGUAAACAAAACAAAAACUUAGAAAAAUGACAUAGAACUAGUAAAUUCACAUUAAGUGUGAAAUAAAACAUAAAAUAUGUAAACAACACAUAAAACUAGUAAAUUAAUGAAACAAAUGGUAAAUUAAUGUUGGAAUUGUAAUUUGCACGAAGAACUUGUAAACAAAACAAAAACUUAGAAAAUGACAUAGAACUAGUAAAUUGACAUUAAUUGUGAAAUAAAACAAAAAAUGUGUAAAUCACACAUAAAACUAGUAAAUUGAUGAAAAAAUGAGUAAAUUAAUGCUGUAGUUGUAAUUUGUACGAAAAACUUGUAAACAAAACAAAAACUUAGAAAAAUGACAUAGAACUAGCAAAUUCACAUUAAGUGUGAAAUAAAACAUAAAAUAUGUAAACAACACAUAAAACAAGUAAAUUAAUGAAAAAAAAUGGUAAAUUAAUGUUGGGAAUGUAAUUUGCACGAAGAACUUGUAAACAAAACAAAAACUUAUAAAAAUGACAUAGAACUAGUAAAUUCACAUUAAGUGUGAAAUAAAACAUAAAAUAUGUAAACCACACAUAAAACUAGUAAAUUAAUGAAAAAAAUGGUAAAUUAAUGUUGGAAUUGUAAUUUGCACGAAGAACUUGUAAACAAAUCAAAAACUUAGAAAAAUGACAUAGAACUAGUAAAUUGACAUUAAUUGUGAAAUAAAACAAAAAAUGUGUAAAUCACACAUUAAAACUAGUAAAUUAAUGAAAAAAAUGAGUAAAUUAAUGUUGGAAUUGUAAUUUGCACGAAGAACUUGUAAACAAAACAAAAACUUAGAAAAAUGACAUAGAACUAGUAAAUUGACAUUAAGUGUGAAAUAAAACAUAAAAUAUGUAAAUCACACAUAAAACUAGUAAAUUGAUGAAAAAAUGAGUAAAUUAAUGUUGGAAUUGUAAUUUUCACGAAAAACUUGUAAACAAAACAAAAACUUAGAAAAAUGACAUAGAACUAGUAAAUUCACAUUAAGUGUGAAAUAAAACAUAAAAUAUGUAAACAACACAUAAAACAAGUAAAUUAAUGAAAAAAAUGGUAAAUUAAUGUUUGAAUUGUAAUUUGCACGAAGAACUUGUAAACAAAACAAAAACUUAGAAAAUGACAUAGAACUAGUAAAUUGACAUUAAUUGUGAAAUAAAACAAAAAAUGUGUAAAUCACACAUAAAACUAGUAAAUUGAUGAAAAAAUGAGUAAAUUAAUGCUGUAGUUGUAAUUUGUACGAAAAACUUGUAAACAAAACAAAAACUUAGAAAAAUGACAUAGAACUAGCAAAUUCACAUUAAGUGUGAAAUAAAACAUAAAAUAUGUAAACAACACAUAAAACAAGUAAAUUAAUGAAAAAAAUGGUAAAUUAAUGUUGGAAUUGUAAUUUGCACGAAGAACUUGUAAAUAAAACAAAAACUUAUAAAAAUGACGUAGAACUAGUAAAUUCACAUUAAUUGUGAAAUAAAACAAAAAAUGUGUAAACCACACAUAAAACUAGUAAAUUAAUGAAAAAAAUGGUAAAUUAAUGCUGUAGUUGUAAUUUGUACGAAGAACUUGUAAACAAAACAAAAACUUAGAAAAAUGACAUAGAACUAGUAAAUUCACAUUAAGUGUGAAAUAAAACACAAAAUUUGUAAACCACACAUAAAACUCGUAAAUUAAUGAAAAAAUGGUAAAUUAAUGUUGGAAUUGUAAUUUGCACGAAGAACUUGUAAACAAAACAAAAACUUAUAAAAAUGACAUAAAACUAGUAAAUUGAUAUUAAUUGUGAAAUAAAACAAAAAAUGUGUAAAUCACACAUAAAACUAGUAAAUUAAUGAAAAAAAUGGUAAAUUAAUAUUGGAAUUUUAAUUUGCACGAAGAACUUGUAAACAAAACAAAAACUUAGAAAAAUGACAUAGAACUAGUAAAUUGACAUUAAUUGUGAAAUAAAACAAAAAAAUGUGUAAAUCACACAUAAAACUAGUAAAUUGAUGGAAAAAUGAGUAAAUUAACGUUGGAGUUGUAAUUUGUACGAAUAACUUGUAAACAAAACAAAAACUUAGAAAAAUGACAUAGAACUAGUAAAUUCACAUUAAGUGUGAAAUAAAACAUAAAAUAUGUAAACCACACAUAAAACUAGUAAAUUAAUGAAACAAAUGGUAAAUUAAUGUUGGAAUUGUAAUUUGCACGAAGAACUUGUAAACAAAACAAAAACUUAGAAAAUGACAUAGAACUAGUAAAUUGACAUUAAUUGUGAAAUAAAACAAAAAAUGUGUAAAUCACACAUAAAACUAGUAAAUUGAUGAAAAAAUGAGUAAAUUAAUGCUGUAGUUGUAAUUUGUACGAAAAACUUGUAAACAAAACAAAAACUUAGAAAAAUGACAUAGAACUAGUAAAUUCACAUUAAGUGUGAAAUAAAACAUAAAAUAUGUAAACAACACAUAAAACAAGUAAAUUAAUGAAAAAAAUGGUAAACUAAUGUUGGAAUUGUAAUUUGCACGAAAAACUUAUAAAUAAAACAAAAACUUAUAAAAAUGACGUAGAACUAGUAAAUUCACAUUAAUUGUGAAAUAAAACAAAAAAUGUGUAAACCACACAUAAAACUAGUAAAUUAAUGAAAAAAAUGGUAAAUUAAUGAUGUAGUUGUAAUUUGUACGAAGAACUUGUAAACAAAACAAAAACUUAGAAAAAUGACAUAGAACUAGUAAAUUCACAUUAAGUGUGAAAUAAAACAUAAAAUUUGUAAACCACACAUAAAACUCGUAAAUUAAUGAAAAAAUGGUAAAUUAAUGUUGGAAUUGUAAUUUGCACGAAGAACUUGUAAACAAAACAAAAACUUAUAAAAAUGACAUAAAACUAGUAAAUUGAUAUUAAUUGUGAAAUAAAACAAUAAAUGUGUAAAUCACACAUAAAACUAGUAAAUUAAUGAAAAAAAAUGGUAAAUUAAUAUUGGAAUUUUAAUUUGCACGAAGAACUUGUAAACAAAACAAAAACUUAGAAAAAUGACAUAGAACUAGUAAAUUGACAUUAAUUGUGAAAUAAAACAAAAAAAUGUGUAAAUCACACAUAAAACUAGUAAAUUGAUGGAAAAAUGAGUAAAUUAACGUUGGAGUUGUAAUUUGUACGAAUAACUUGUAAACAAAACAAAAACUUAGAAAAAUGACAUAGAACUAGUAAAUUCACAUUAAGUGUGAAAUAAAACAUAAAAUAUGUAAACCACACAUAAAACUAGUAAAUUAAUGAAACAAAUGGUAAAUUAAUGUUGGAAUUGUAAUUUGCACGAAGAACUUGUAAACAAAACAAAAACUUAGAAAAUGACAUAGAACUAGUAAAUUGACAUUAAUUGUGAAAUAAAACAAAAAAUGUGUAAAUCACACAUAAAACUAGUAAAUUGAUGAAAAAAUGAGUAAAUUAAUUACCUGCUACUUAGGUAACAUGUUACCUAUUUAUUUAGAAUUAAUGGUAGAGAUUUUUUAUUCAAAUCUAACAGUCCACGUCCAUUACGGCAUCAAUGCCGUAAAUUUAGUUACGGCAUUAUAGAAUGACCCAUGAAAACGACAUUUGAAAAGAAAAAUACAAACGCACCUUUUCAUUUGAUGUGCAUUACUAGAACAAUUUUUGACAAAGAUCAUUUGAUGUGCAUUACUAGAACAAUUUUUGACAAAGAUGUUACAACCGAAAGAAUGAAAAGGUCUAAAGUUUUAGGGUGAACAUGGACGAAUUGAUGACACGACAUGUUUUACAGCUCAAUGUCGUUAAUUAAUAUAUAUAAUUGAGUAAUUUCAUCUCUAUAUUAAGCACGCGCCGCCUCAAAUUGCAUGCAAAUACAAAAACAAACUUUUGAAUUUGUUUUUUGAAUUUUUAGGUUAACAAUUGAUUUUUUAUUUUACAUUUUUUUGUUUUUAUUUAACAAUUAAUUUUAAUCAAAUCUUAAACUGUCGUAAUCAAUUAAGAUUUUUCAUUAUGACUCCUUAGCUAAAUUUUGCUCCUUAACUAGAUUUUGGAUCUGUAAUAAAUAAAAAAAUUGGUAACAUUUGUUCCUUUAAGAUAUAUGUUUGAGGGAAAAAUAGGAAAGGCAAUAAAGCGCUACGUGUUAACUAAUGGAAUGAUUCCGACACAAUUUGAGGUACCCCACACAAUUAAAGGUACCCUAUAUAAAUAGAGAUACCCCAUGUAAAUAGAGGUACCCACACAAUCAGAGGUACCCCGUACAAUUAGAGGUACCCCACGUAACUCGAGGUACCUUCGAAAAUAUCCGCCAUGAGAAACGUCUCCGCCUCCUAAAAGAUAUUAUUCGAUUUUAUCAGAAUUAAGAAUAAAAAACGACGCCCUAAAAGGAGGGACAGCCGCCUGCGACCUCUGCCAAAAGUGAAGGACACUGUCCCAAGGAUAGUGGUCCCCAACCGCCUACUCGACAGCUACUGCAAAGGUACCCUGGACCACUCUCCAGUGCGCGCCACGUUUCUAAAAGAUGAGAUAUGCCGCGAACAUACAGAUAACGGCCAAAAAAAUUAUAAAGAGGUAAAAGGACGUUAGCCAAAAAGGGUAUGCCACGUGGCAGCUGAGGUACUCCAUAUAUAAAGGCGCCUAGGUUUCAUUUUCCAUCAGGCUCUCAUUCGCCUAAAAAACACUCACACUCCAAAAAUAGGUUUUUUUAACCUUAAACCCUAAUUUAUAGAGGGCUAGCCAGCUCUCUUUACCAUAAAAGCUUGAGUUUGCUAACUUGAGCGUCGGAGUAUGAACGCCAGGUUACCCCGGCUUCACCUCUAACCUCUAUUUCACUGUUUUGUAGGCGUGAAGCUCAUUUUGAAGGACACCUCUCUUGUUUUUGACCUUCCACCAUUAUUACCACUCUCUCUCCCCUUCUCACCUCCCCCGAAUUUCAGAUACACUGCACCGCACCGCACACAAUAUACUAGUGAGGUACCCCAUCUCCCCCAAAAAUAUAAAUUCAUUGUUCUAGAUUGGUUUGACUUUUCCUACCCCAAAAUCAGUUGAAAACAAUUGGCGCCGUUUGUGGGAAGUCGCACAAAAAGCCUCAUCUGCGAUUACCAAACUAGUUGUUGUGUGUGCUCCAAUACAUAGCACCCGACGUACCUCCCGAAGGUUUAAUGGGGGAUCCUACAAGAAUAAGAGAUGACAGCAGCAGUGAAGGAAGUGAUCCCGCAAGAAGGGUAGCCCGCAUCAGCAAAGCAAGGGUAUCAAGUAAUCGACGGGUGUUCGCCAAGAUGAGGAACCUAUUUCUCACAAGCGUUUUGAAGAUCUUGCCCACGCAAUACUUAGGGCGUUUGGAUCUCGGGCACCCGAAAGUUCACUUCCACCAGUGACGCUAGAUGCUCCACCACCUCAAAUGGGCGACCAAGCUAUGGUCAGAAAAGAGGUACCCGAGGCCAGCAAACUAAAGCAUAGGCCAUUGGGUACCCGUUCUAAGUUUCAAACCAUGGGCUUCCGCGACAAGCGUUCCACCGCCUCUUGCAAUUCCCGUAGCAGCCAGGGUACGAGGCGUGCAAAGCAUACCCACGAGGAUCUUCGUGAGAAGUUAAACGCCAAAAAGGCUUCUCAAAUGACGGCGACAUUAUCGGGUACACCGAGGGUACCCCUCGAACUUGUGGAAAAGAUGGAGAACCUGGAAGCCCAAGUGAAGCUCCUCUCCAAGAAGCAAAACAUCACAGCUGCACCAACGCCAAUGACCUACCAAUCUCCAUUCACUAUGGAAAUUAGGACAGUAGCUCUCCCCGAGGCGUUCGUCAUGCCUCAGAUACUCCAAUACUCGGGUACCACUGAUCCCUCGGAGCAUGCUGAGCUAUACUGUGAUCAAACACUUAUCAAAGGUGUAGAUGAGAGCGCCAUGUGUAGGAUGUUUACACACACACUCACGGGCCCCGCGAAGUCGUGGUUUCGCUCUUUGAAAGCGGGUAACAUAUCUUCCCUACACCAAUUGCUAUUCGAAUUUACUAAACAGUUUUCCUACGCCUCCACUCAAGAUAGGGUAACCUCCAAACUUGGCUUUAUCAAGCAAGGGGAAGCCGAGCCUUUGGCGAAGUACGUGAGUCGUUUCCACUAAGAGGUGUUGCGAACCGGGGUAUUUGGAAACCAAUACACAUUGACCCAUUUUGAGAAAAAUUUAAAGCUGGGCAAGUUAUGGCGUUCUUUUCAAAAGAAGAGCCCACUCUCAUAUGGGGAUGCCCGUUCCCGAGCGUUCCAGCAGGUGGAAAUGGACGAAAAAUGCCAAUUGAAGCGCCAAGAAGAUAAGGCUGAUGUUACAAAGAACAAGGAGAAACCCAAGAGGGUGGAGGCCCCAAUACCACGGGUACUCUGAGCACGAAGCCCUCCACGGGCUGCCCUGCGGGGACGAGGGUAUAACCCUCAGGAUACCUCAAGGGUACCCCAACCUCCAAGAACGCCACCACCGGAUCAGCGAGAGCCACCACCGAGGCCUCGGUACGAAUCUUACCAGAAUCGAUCCCCAGAGCAUAUCUUCUACCAUAUUCGGGAUAGCGGCCUCCUCCGUCCUCCUAAGCCAAUGAAGAAGUACCCCAACAUGAAGCGUAGCCUGAAGUAUUGCGAGUUCCAUGAGGACUUUGGUCACAGCACAGCCGAGUGCUUCACCUUGCGAGAGGAAAUUAAAUCUUUGAUUCUCAGCGAGUACCUCAAAGAAUUUAUUGCUGGCAUGAGAAAAGCUCGGAAAUCUGCGGAACAAGAUAAAGGCAAGCGGGUAGCUGAUGGCAGUCCUGAACGAGAGGUACCCCCUGGACACAAAAAAUGCGUGUAUGUCUGAAUGAUCAUGGGCGGACCGACUUUAGCGGGCCAAUCUAGGAGGGCUAUUAAAAGUUAUGGUAGAUUGUUGUUAAUAACCACCAAUAUUGGCAGAGAAAUCAACCUUAAUGAAUGGGGUACACCGAAGGUACCCCACCGUGUUGUUCAUAUGAUUGAUUUUCUUAUUGUAGAUCACCCGGGUGCCUACAAUAUUAUAUUGGGUAGGCCUUUCUUAAAAGCAACUAAAGCGGUGGUAUCCAUGCACUACCUCGCCAUGAAAGUCCCGGUUGCCCAAGAAGUUAUCACCAUUAAAGGGGACAAGCAAUCGGCUCGUGGAUGUUAUUCCGUGGCCUCCAAAGUCACUUACCAAAUAGCUUCCGAUCCGCCAAUGAAAGGGUAUCCCAGUAGCAGCCAGCCCACACCUUCCCCCUCAAAGCGAGCACUUGCUAGACAGCGGAGAGCAGUACUAAAAAAAUCUCCUAAAGUAGCCCACCCACAAAAACAGUUGGAGUCUUCACCAAUGGGAGUAGAAGCAGUUACGGGGGAUAAGUUGAGGGUAUCCCACGGGGACCAGGAGGAGCCCAGAUGUGAAGUUGAGGUACUUUUGGAUCCCUGAAUAUUGAAAGAUGAAAAGCGGGGUACCCUAGUUGAAGACCUUAUUUCAGUCUCGAUUUGUGCCACAGACCCAACAAAGACUGUGAAAAUAGGCUUCAAUCUUUCGGAGGAACAAAGAGAGAGGUUCAUAACCUUCCUACGCGAGCACUACGACAUAUUCGCCUGGUCCCACUCGGAUAUGCCAGGUAUCCCACCUUCUCUCUCUUGUCAUAAACUCAAUGUCAGCUCGCAUUAUAAAUCGGUCAAACAAAAGCGUCGCACCUUCAACCACGAGAGGUACGAUGCAAUUAAACAAGAGGUAGACCGCCUAUUAGCAGCGAGGUUUAUUCGGGAAACAGUGUACCCCGAUUGGGUAUCUAACAUUGUUCUUGUCAAGAAAUCAAAUAGAAAGUAGCGUAUAUGUGUGGACUUCACCGAUUUGAACAAGUCCUGCUCCAAGGAUAGCUUCCCGCUUUCCCGGGUAGACCAGCUGGUUGAUGUAACAGCGGGGCAUGAGAUGCUUAGUUUUAUGGACGCCUUCUCCGGGUAUAACCAAAUUUCGAUGUAUGAACCCGAUCAAGAGAAAACGACCUUCAUCACCAACCAGGGGUCAUACUGUUAUAAGGUUAUGCCGUUUGGUUUGAAGAAUGCCGGGGCUACCUAUCAGCGGCUAAUGAACAAAAUUUUCAAGGAACAAAUCGGGCGCACCAUGGAGGUGUACAUAGACGACAUGAUCACAAAAUCAGUGCAUACGGGGGAACACCUGGGACACCUCAGAGAUACCUUUAUCGUUUUGAGAAGACACCAGAUGCGGUUUAACCCUGAAAAAUGUGCAUUCGGGGUCACCUCAGGAAAGUUUCUCUGGUUCAUGGUACAACAACGGGGGAUUGAAGCCAACCCCGAUAAAAUUCACACAGUUCUUGACAUGAAAUCGCCAAGCACCGUCAAAGAGGUUCAAAGCUUGGUAGGCCGGGUAGUUGCCCUGAGUUGCUUUAUCUCCAAGGCUACCGACCGGUGUAAGUCUUUUUUCAAAGCUUUGAAGACCGACAAGAAGCUCCAAUGGACACCCGAUUGCGAAGAAGCUUUCCAAGAACUGAAGGGGUACCUCGUGAAUGCUCCAGUACUUACCAAACCUGAGCUGGGAGAGGUGCUUCUGUUGUAUCUCGUCGUAUCCGAGCAUGCCACCAGCUCUGUGCUACUCCGAGAAGAUGAGAAUGGGGUACAACGACUUAUUUACUACACUAGUAAAGCUAUUGUUGAUGCCGAAAAGAGGUACCUCACCUCUGAGAAGAUCAUUUUGGCAUUGGUUGUCUCCGCACGGAAGCUCAAACCAUAUUUUCAGGCUCACACCAUUGUAGUCGUCACCAACCUUCCCCUCUGACAAAUCCUCCAAAAAUUAGACAUGUCUGGAAGGCUUCUCCGAUGGUCCCUCAAAUUAAGCAAGUUCGACAUCAUCUUCAAGCCUCGUUCCGCGAUUAAAGCCCAGGCCAUCGCGGAAUUCGCCAAUGACUCAAGUGGUGAAGGUGAUUUGAGAUACAUGUUAGAUACCCCACCCACCGAUGAAGAGGAGCAGGUCUGGGAAAUAUAUAUGCAUGGUUCCUCUAAUUCACGCGGAAGUGGUGCGGGCAUUAUUAUUAUCGACCCGAACAAGGUGAAAAUAUGCUACGCUUUGCAAUUUGGAUUCAAAGUUUCAAACAACGAAGUCGAAUAUGAGGCCAUCAUAGCGGGGUUGAAGAUGUCGAAGGCUUUGGGAGCGAAAAGAGUACACGUCAAGAGCGACUCCCAGUUGGUGAUAAGCCAAAUUACCGCACAAUAUCAAGCGAAAGAGGAAAACAUGAAAGGGUACCUCGGAAAAACCAGAGAGUUGAUGUCCCAAUUUUGUGAGGUUAAGGUGGAAAGGGUACCCCGACUGGAGAACAGCGAAGCCGACACCUUGGCGAAAAUGGCGUCCCUUGGGGUAGCCCAGUCAUCUGGCCCCAUCACAACAUAACACAUACCUGCAUCCAGUGUUGGUCUCCCAAAGCCAUUGGAAGUAAGAUCACUGUCCAAUGAGGUGUUUUGGAUGGAGCCUAUCAUAAGGUACCUCAAGAACGGAGACCUCCCCUUAGAUAAAAGUGAAGCAAGAAGACUAAAGUAUAAAAUCGCACAGUAUUGCCUGAUCCAGAAUACCCUAUACAGAAGAGAGUUCACUCUUCCUUACCUUAAAUGCUUGGAAAACGACGAGGCCGAGUAUGUCAUGAGGGAGAUACAUGAGGGGAUUUGUGGCAAUCACUAUGGACCACAAUCACCGGUGCAAAAAGCCCUCCGUCAGGGGUUGGCCAACCAUGCAGGAAGAUGCCAAGAAUAUGGUACGAAACUGUAACAAAUGUCAAAGGUUUGCCAGGGUACCCCACCUACCCUAGAGAAGCUAACAGUUAUAUCUUCCUUUUGGCCCUUCGCUAUAUGGGGAGUGGAUCUCAUUGGACCGUUACCUACCAGAAAGGGGCAAGCAAAACAUGCAAUUGUGGCGGUAGAUUUUUUUAUAAAAUGGGCGGAAGCGGAGCCACUAAUAAGCAUUACAGAAAGGAAAACUACCAAAUUCAUUUGGAAGAACCUCAUUUGCAGAUUUACGAUCCCCUAUGCAAUUGUUAGUGAUAACGACAAGCAAUUUGAUAAUGAAAAUUUUAAAAACUUUUAUUCGAAGUUGGGGAUAGCCAACCGAUUUGCUACACCUGCCCACCCCCAAUCUAAUGGGCAAGUCCAGGCCGUUAACAAGAUUAUCAAAGGUAUCCUGAAGAAGAAGCUAGAAGAAAGAAUAUGAGCAUGGGUAGACGAGCUACCUGGGGUUCUGUAGGCUUACCGGACUACUCAAAACACUUCCACCAGGGAGACCCCGUUUUUCCUCGCAUUCGGUGUUGAUACAGUGAUUCUAGCAGAAAUCGGGGUACCUUCUCACAGGGUUGAAUACUUUGAUGAGGCCGAGAACACCUCAUUGGUUGCUUCAAACCUUGAUUUGGUGGCUGAAAAAAGGGCUAAAGCAGAAUUGAGGACAGCCAUAUAUCAGCAUCGCAUUUCGGGUCUAUAUGAAAAAAGGGUACGCCCUCGAUCCUUCAAGAAAGGAGACUUCUUGAGAAGGAUAACUCAGAAUACUAGGGUACCCUGCGAAGGCACUUUUGGGGCAAAUUGGGAAGGACCCUACCGCAUCGACAAACCCAUUGAGACAGGUGCAUACAGGCUACUCCACAUGGAUGGCACAAUCGUGAGGCACCCUUGGAAUAUUGCAAUGCUACGGAAAUAUUACUAAAGGAAAAUGUCUUAACCUCUAGUCUUUUUCUGAUUAUUUACUUUCUUUAAUGUCUUUGUGUGGUAGGCCAAAUGGGGUACCCCAAAUGCCCUAUGUUGGUCAGUUGCAACUUUAGAGUUUCUUUAAUUUUCAAAUGAAAAGGAUAGGAGGCCUUGCGGUCUCUCAUUCUCCUUAGGGUAACAAAACUAAGUCAUGUAUUGAUCAACGCUUUCGUUAUCUAUAAAUGCAUUUUCUUUCUCAACAAAUAUGAUGUGGGUUCUUUCUCUAUUUUUCGCCACUUUGAUCUUAGAAUGCGGAUUAUAUUCAUUUAUCGCCAUUAAUAUACCCUCGCAUAUGGUUAUAUGCAAUUCUCGCCAUACGCUUGUCAAUUAUGACUAACCUAUCACAGGACCAGCCAGGGUACCUGAUAUGCCUAGAUCGUGACGAUCUAUGUAAAGCCAAUAUGGGCAACAAAGUGAACAGCCUUUCUGCGGAAACAUGACAAAGCCACCUAAACAAAGAGAUGGAGGGUCAAAGAGGACCCGAGGGUGGAGUAAAACCGGCAUACCCUAGCACCAUGAGGUUCAGCUUAGGUAUGAGUACACUCACACUUCCGUCCUCUUACUUGAGUAAAGUAGGGGGUAAGCUAUUCAAAAAUUCAGAGAGAACUUCUAAGGAAUAAGAAAGUGAUUGGUUGGACCAAUUGCGCACUUUCAAUUUUUGAUCGAGAUGUCGCGAUGAUGUUUUGAUUACCUAUUUGUGGGAAAUCUGCCAUGGUUGCCGAGAAGGGUAUGCACCAAAUUCGCCGAUUUGUGUAAACCAGCAGGCGCCUGAUGUUGAAUAUUUUUUAAGGUACCAGGGGUACCCCAUUUAAAAAAGAAAAAAGAGGUACCCUAGACAUUCACAAGAUAACAGUUUAGCCAAGCAUUCAUUUGCAGAAUAACAAGCAUACAAAGUACAAGAAGACUCGGUGGCAUGGUAUCAUAACAAAGGAGAAGUCCCAAUAAUACAAAAUAUCCCAAGAAACCAAAAAGAAAGAAACAAGGUCCAAAUAACAAAAUAUGGAUAGAUCCAAAAAAAUAAGAGCACAACAAAAAGGCUACACUGAGGGGGGAACGCCAUCCCCAACAUCUGUCUCCAGAGGGCGAUCAGCAGAGGACUCCGAAGUACCCGGAAUAUGAGCAGCUGAAGUAUGAGCAUCCGAGGCAGGCAACGGCUGAAGCGCACGGGGUACCCUAGGCGACCCGGAAGGGGUACCCUACCGUGCCUGGGAAGACUUCUUCCUUUCUGCAAUUGUCUUCAGAAUCGUAGCCUUGUUGACAAAUUUCUGCACACGGGGUACCUCCAGUUCUGGAUCCACACUCUACACCUCUGUCAUGAUAAGUGAGAAUGCAUCCUCCGCCAUUGUCUUUUGUCGAGAUAGCAGAUCUCCGUUGGUGGCCCUCAACUCCUCACAAUCCUUCUCCAUCCGAGCUUUCUCUCCCGACAGGCCAGCAAUGCGUUCUUGCAAAGUCUUAACUUCUCGAGCAAGAUGAUCCUCGCGAGAUUGAUGGCUUUGGAGCUCACUCCUUAACUUAUCGACCUCUGACUGGGCGACAACAAGGGAGUCGAGGUCGGAAAGGCAGUGGCUAAGGAGAAAUGAUGCUUGCGGGUCAUGAAAGACAUGUUAAAUAUAUAUGUAUGGUAAUAGGAUUAAAUAAGUAAAAAAAAUAAUGAAGGGUACACCCGGGGUACCCCAGAAAAGCCUACCUCUUGGGUAGUCCUAAGUGCUUGACCAUAGCGCUGACUCAAACUCAUCUUGUCAGCCUCUUCAGCAACCUCGGAGGUGACAUUUUCAGCAGAGUAGUAAAAACAGCGAGCCAUGUGUGAAACCUCCUUAUUGGCAGCUGGGUCUAGGUCACAUUCGCAUAACUCAUCGAGGAAAGUGGAAACUAGCCCGAAUUUUGUUUUCCUUGAGCGAGGGGUAUCCUUCGACCUGCUGUGGGAGGUACCCUGAGAUUUCCCCUUUGGAGCGGGAGCUGGAGGAGGUCAGGAGCCUUUCGGGGGUACCACCGAAUCCUGAGAUCUGGAAGCACCGCCCACUACUCCUUGGAAAAAGGAGUAAAAAGCGUCACCCGCUGAUUCCAUAAUUGCACCCAAUGCACAAACGUUGUGUUAGCCGGACAAGUACUAAGUACUACAAAAGCCAAAAUGGGAAAUGAAAAGUGGGGAAACAAAAUAAAGAUACGGUGAUAACGGGGUACUCUAGUACCGUAGAUAAUAAUAGAGUACCCCUCGACACCCGAAUCAUACAUGAGUCACCCCCGGGAGCAGAUGGAGGACUUCGGUUAAUCAGCCCCACUCUCCACAAUCUACUCUCCUCCAGCACAUCACUACCCCUUUGUGCACCUCGAAACCUGUCCACAAACUUCUUCAUCUCCCUCCCCACCUCUUGAACUGGGCAUGAUCCUUUAGCCCAUGUCACACCUGCAAAAGCAUAAAGAACCCAGGGUUAGCGAGACAUUGAGGCGAAAGACUCCGAUAAAGAACUAUAAGUAAGGGAGAUACUUACAGUCUACAUUGAAGAAAUGAGGAACCUCCACGGGGUUGCCCUUUUCACCCAAAGUCUCUGUCCCCCACCUACCCUCAGCAACGAACCAUCCCUUUCGGUAACCCUUCUUCAAGGCGGGGUUCCCCUCAACAAUAUGGCCAUGAUCCCCCCAAGGGGAGAAGUAAGCAAUACCGAGACCCUUAGGCUUUUUAAAUUGAUAAAGGCCCCUCAACUCCUGAACAGAAAUGUUGUGCUUCAAGACCUCCAACCAUAACACAUGUAAUCCUGUGAGUGUCCUCCACCCCAGAAGGGACAGCUGCCCGGGAGCUACCCGCAAGUAACUAAACAUUCUCAUAUAGAAAGGUUGGAGGGGCAGCGGAAUCCUAGAUCAAAAAGGUCAAUAUGGAGAGCAAUCCCAUCAGACUUCGGACACUCAGGUCGCUUAUCUACAUGGGGUACCCUAAGCUGAACAGAAGGAGAAAUAUUGUAUUUAGCUCUAAUUUUUUCUAAGUCCCCCAAGGUAGCCCUCCUAGAGCCUAGGAAAAAAAAAGUUGCCAGAUUUUGAAGGUGUGGCAGGGGGAGAUUUGGGAGGCUAGUCCGAGGAACGAACGGGAACCUUGGGUUUAGAUGACUUACUCUUCUUUCGAGGAUGGGGGAUUGGCUGUUUACUAGGAAAGCGUGGGCUGACACGAGGGGUACUCCUAGGGGGAGGGGGUUCAGAAUGAGAAUUACAACUCCUAGAGGAAUUAGGGGGGACCGAUCCCCCUCGUUAAUGGAGAUGUGGGAAGGGGAACCCGCAGGAGGGCUGUCAACCCUACUAGCCCCAACUGCAUGUCGCUUCCUCAGGGGUAUCGUGUGUUUCUUGCCCAUCUACUUUCCCCCAACGACAUAUCCACCAGGCCACAAGUCCCCAACAAUACACCCAACGAUACACCCAACAAUACACCCAACAAUAUAUCCAACAAGCCACAAGUUCCCCAAACAACACAUCCACAAGCCCCCAACAACACAUCCACAAGCCCCCAACAACACAUCCAACAAGCCACAUGUUUCCCAAACAGCAACAUAUUCAUACCAAGCACCAUCCACCACACAUCAACCACCAAAUGCAAACACCAACCAACAAAAAAAAAAACAAAAACAACAAAAACCAAAAAUAAAUUUUUCUCGGAGUAUGCAAAAUAGUGCCACUGUGAAUAUGCCAAAGGAGGAGAAGCAAAGAGGGAUACCUGUGAUUCACCAAUUCGGCAGAUCAAGAUUGAUAAUCGCAGCGAGACGAAGCUGCAGGCAACCAAAAAUAGUGGGUAAAAAUAUGCAAGUAUAAAAAUAAAAAUAAGCUUAAAUAUAUAUAGUUAUUUAUAAAUAAAUGAAUGAAUAAAAUGAAGAACGAAGAAGCUGCAGCAACCGGCGUCAGCUGUCAUGGCUGCAACCACCGAGAACCGACGCCGGAGAUCACGAGAAGGAUGCCGAAAACCACCAAAAGAGGACGCCGACCGAAACCAAAAAAAAAAAAAAAGGAGCUUGGAGAUAUAAAAAAAAGUCAGAAUAAAAAAAAAAAGAAAGGGAAGAGCUUGGAUGAUAAAAAAAAAAUGGGAGAAGCCUGAAGAUAAAAAAAAAAAAAAAAGAGGAAGUAAAAAAAAAAGAAGAGCUUGAAGAUAUAAAAAAAAGAAGUCAGAAUUAAAAAAAAAAAAAAAGGAAGCUUGAAGAUAUAAAAAAGGAAGCUUGGAGAUAUAUAUAAAAAAAAAAGAGGAAGUCAAAAAAAAAAAGGAAGCCUAGAGAUUAAAAAAAAAAAAAAAGAGAAAAGCCUCCAGGAUGAUUUAGAAGAAAAAGAGAGGAGCAUAGAUAAAAAAAAAAAAAAGAGGCCACAUGAAGAGACGAAGAAGCAAAAUGGGGGGUAGAAGAUGGCUUACCACAAAGAGAUCACUGCACCACCAGCCGAACGCCGUCGUCACGCCACCGGAACAUCUCGGUAGACGCCGCCGUCACAAGGCCAGCCAAAAAAAAAAGAAAAAAAAAGAGGAAGAUGAAGAAAAGAGAAAGAAAAUGACAGUGAUAAAAAAAAAAGGGGUGUGAAAGUUGCCUGGAAGGAAUUAAAGAAAAGACAAAGGAAGGAAUGCAAAAGAAAAAGAAAAUGUGACAGUAGGCUGGGAGCAAAGAAAAAAAAAAGGGAGAUGGAAGACGAAAGGACAAGAAGAAAAAAGUAGAAUAAAGAAGAAAAAGUGGAGAUGGGGAGGCGUUGGAAUGUGAAAAGUUUUUGGGGAUGGCAAAAUGAAAAAGAAUAAAGGGUGAAUGAAAACGUGCAGAAGGUGAUUUAUUUAAAAAAAUGUGAAGUUGGUGGUUGAAAUGAUUUGACUAGUUUUUGAAUUUUAAAAGCCAAAGCAAGCAAGAAGCCACUGGAAGUAAUGGGAGAUUAUGUUGGGAUUUUCAAAAUAAAUGAGAGAAAAUUGACACACGUCAGGAGUUUUUAAUUCAACUUGACAGAACACGCUGCCCAAGAAAGAAGUUAAGGGAUGUUUGCGUGAGAUUGAUAUUUUCAAAAUUUAAACUGCAUGUCAGACAGCUGCCACUUCCCAAGAAAAAGGAGAGAGACAUAUGAAGACAACUGUUUGUUCUCAUCGUAAAAAAAAAAGGGGUGGUAAAAGGAAAAGACAGAGAGAAGAUUUUUUAAUUCGAAGUACACAAAGUUUAGUCAAGGGAAGAAACUCAGUAAGGUACCCCCAGUCCAGCCACGUCGCCACGUGUCACUCAUACAAUGAGUUUCUUUUGCCUCCAAUAAUUCUCGCCAAAAAGAAACUAGGAGGAUGUUGUUUGAGGGAAAAAUAGGAAAGGCAAUAAAGCGCCACGUGUCAACCAAUUGAAUGAUUCCGGCACAAUUUGAGGUACCCCGCACAAAUAGAGGUACUCCACACAAUUAGAGGUACCCCAUAUAAAUAGAGGUACCCCGCAUAAUUAGAGAUACCCCAUGUAAAUAAAGGUACCCCACACAAUUAGAGGUACCCCGUACAAUUAGAGGUACCCCACGUAACUCGAGGUACCUCCGAAAAUAUCCGCCAUGAGAAACGUCUCCGCCUCCUAAAAGAUAUUAUUCGAUUUUGUCAGAAUUAAGAAUAAAAAACGACGCCCUAAAAGGAGGGAUAGCCGCUUGCGACCUCUGCCAAAAGUGAAGGACACUGUCCCAAGGACAGUGGUCCCCAACCGCCUACCCAACAGCUACUACAGAGGUAUCCUAGACCACUCUCCAGCGCGCGCCACGUUUCCAAAAGAUAAGAUACGCCACGAACAUGCAGAUAACGGCCCAAAAAAUUAUAAAGAGGUAAAAGGACUUUAGCCAAAAAGGGUACGCGGCGUGGCAGCUGAGGUACUCCAUAUAUAAAGGCGCCUAGGUUUCAUUCUCCAUCAGGCUCUCAUUCGCCCAAAAAACACUCACACUCCAAAAAAUAGGUUUUCUUCAACCUUAAACCCUAAUUUACAGAGGGCUAGCCAACUCUCUUUACCAUAAAAGCUUGAGUUUGCUAACUUGAGCGUCAGAGUGUGAACGCCGGAGUACUCCGGCUUCACUACUAACCUCUAUUUCACUGUUUUGCAAGCGUGAAGCUCAUUUUGAAGGACACCUCUCUUCUUUUUGACCUUCCACCAUUGUUACUACUCUCUCUACCCUUCUCACCUCCCCUGAAUUUCAGAUACACCGCACCGCACCGCAAACAAUAUACUAGUGAGGUACCCCAUCUCCCCCAAAAAUAUAAAUUCAUUGUUCUACAUUGGUUUGGCUUUUCCUACCCCAAAAUCAGUUGAAAACAAUAUAAAAUAACCGUAACAUUGGUUUUUACAUUUUGAAUUUUUCUUGAAUUACUAUUUAGAAAAAUGAUGUUAAAUAAAUCUCACAAAAUAUACAAAGCCACCUAACAUCCAAAUAUUGAUUACAUUUAUUUUGUAUUGUUGGAAUGACGCCAAAGCAAUUGAAAAGAUAUAAAAAAUAAAUAAUAAUGAUGAAGAUUGGCUACGCGAUUUCACUGAAGCUAAGUUGUGACUUGUGACCAUCCAAAUGUCCGUAACAAGUUAUGAUUAUUCUCGCAGCACAAAUCCAAUAGCAUGCAACAAAAUCCACUCUUAACACUUGCCUCUGAAGAAAAUAAAACAGAGUAAAAAGAGCAACCAUGCCAGUGAAUCUCUUUACUUUUCUCCUUAUAAUUUGGGUAAACUCUAUCAAAUGAAAAUGCACCAUGACCACUGACCACAUGGGUCACUGCCACUACCAUUUACUUCUUCAACUGUGCCUCCUGCUUUAAGAAAUCUUCAACUGAAAGAUGGACUAUAUAAUUCAAGAUAAAAAAUACACCUGAGCUGCAAAGGAUACUAUCCACUAGCCUAUCAACGACUAUACUUUAUAUUUUUCUAGUUUUUGAAUCAAAAUUCUGCAAGAUUUAGUUUGGAAAACUUCGACACAACAACCAAACACUCAGUCCUUUUGUGCAUUAUAUCCACCGUAUGAUUCCUUAACAAAACAUCGGUAGCCUGUAGCUUAUCUGACACUGUCCUGACCCAAAGCCCCGCUCUUUUCAACUCAUCUGUCAAACCAUUACCCACUUUUGGAGUCAAAACUGCCCUCGCAGCCCUUUAAUAUUUCUCCAUCUUCAUUGAAUACGUGCCACCCAAAUGCACUCUCUUCCCUCUGGCUGAUUCUGUUUGAUUCAACCUCUUUUCUUGUUUACACUCAUGAAUUUGCAGAAAAUAAUUAACAAGUUUGUCAUCAUCAUAAAAUCCUUCCACAAUCACCACAUACAUUCUGCUGAGCAGGACUCAUUACACCCUUGUUUUAAACAAUUUUUUCUCCAAUUGGUUAAACAAUUUUUUCUCUUCUCUUUGCUCUCUUACAACUUGAGGCAUAUAAUUAAAUGCGUGGCAAUUAGCAUAUGCCAUGAUGUAUUUAACAACCCCAAAUGAAGAUACUGAUUUUUUUUCGGCUUAAUGGUUGCUUCAAAUGGGGGAACUGAAUUUGGGGGUUUGUUGUCUAAAUCCCAAAAAAUUCCACAUUAUGUUGGACAGUUUUUGGUUCUACAGAUGAUGAUCGGUUUUCCAAAUAAUGGUUCAAAAGGAAACAUCUAAACAAUGAGACAAAUGGGUUCUGGAUUUCUAAUCCUGUAAAUGUUGUUCUGUCGCAUAAGUUAUGAAAUUUCUGAAGCAUCACUAUCCCCGUCGUUCCUGGGAGAAAAAAAAGUCGAAGAACUGCUCGUGGAACAAAAUUAGAAAAUUUAAACAAUGUUGAGAGACUUUCCCUUCAACUAACAGUUAAAAGAAAAAAAAGUAUUAGAUAAGCAUUUUCAAAGUAAAAUGAUCACCCAUUUGUUGUACUUAGGCAGGAAAAAUAAAUAUAUCAACCCCAUUAAACCCUCACAUCUGCUAACUAAUAAUGCAUAGACUAACUUUUACGUAAGGAUAUAAAACUUACAAGAGCAAGAAAACUACUGUUUAUUAAUUUCAAAUUUUACACAAAAUUACGAAUAAUUCUAUAAGCUGCACCAAAACAUGUUCUCUAAAAGAGAUUCAGUAUCCUACAUUUUUGGAAGCAAAAAAUUAUUUCUGGAUGGUAUAAACUAAUACUAGAAUAACCAUUCGUUAAUGAUGUGAGUUUGGGCAGCACCAUGAAGCGGUGAGCCCCGUUUGGUGAAAACGAAAAAUAAUUAAAAUAAAGCACUAUGAAUUCUAAUCAAAUUAUUAACAUUAGCUAAAUAGACAGCAAGAAACCAGAAUAAAUUCGUUAACUAAACCAAAUAUUUAAAAAAAAAAAAAAAGGCAGUUAAAUCCUUAUCAUUUUCAGUUAGAAACAAACUAAAGCACAAAUUAAGAACAAAGAUUGAAGCAAAGCAUGAUUGUACCUUGAGGCACUUGAGCUUAGUGUUCCCAUAAACAAGACCGAGCGAAAAAGCCGAAACCAGAGAAACCUAUUAUUAUCACUCAAAAACCCAGAUCACAAAAUGAAUGAUCUUUCAAUAACAAUUCAUAAAAAUUCCGUCCCAUCAUAUACAGAACAAAACAAAACAAUGAAAAUAUUGAUCAGAAAAGAAAUUACAAAAAUGGACAAAAAGAAGAUAAAAAUAUGAUGCUUUGCUAUGCUUUCCUUUCUUGUGGGUGGCAGAUAAAGAAACAAGAAAGAGCCAGCAAAUUGAAAAAUCGACUAAUAUAUUCAUUCGACUCCGACUCGUAUGGCUAUUUUUCUUUGAUGAAUGAAAUAUUAUUUCACUCUCUAAUUCGUAACAAAAUUACAAGUUUCGACUUCUGUUUGUAUGUAAUCGUAAUUUUAUUGCUUGACAGGCCUGGGCUUUUACGAGCCCAGGAAGUGUAAUCGUAAUUUUAUUGUGCUGAAAAUUAUAUAAACGUUAAAUACGAAUUUAAUCAAACUAACAUGUCUUUACAACUCAGGCAACCUUACUAUUUUCUAAAGAUAUAAUUAAUUUUACUAAUAAAAUCAAAAUUAUUUUUAAACAACAAAGAAAGAAAUUAUAAUAACAAUAAAUUAAUUAUGGAAAAGUAAGUUUACAAUAAUACGAGUCAUCAUUCUUCAUUUUCUUUCUGUUUCUCUCAUAUUUUCUCUGCAUCCAAACACAAUAUUCUCAGUUCUUGACUUGGUAUCAGAUUUGCAGUUUAAUUGUCAUGGCUUCCUUCCUUAAGCACAAAUUCAAACACAAAUCAGUCUCCUUCAUUCUUUACCCUAACAAAUGCGAUCAAACUGGACAGAUCUAACUAUACGAUCUGGAAAUCUCAGAGCCUCUCUUCAGUGCGUGCCAAUGGACUUGAAGGCUUUCUUAAUGGAACUAAAAUUUGUCCAGAUCAGUUACUUACUCAAGAGAUUGAAAGUUAUGGUGUUGAAAAUGUUAUUGGUGAAAGCUCAGCUGAUAGAUCUCAGGAGAAUCCAGCCUUUGUUGCUUGGAAAAGGUAGGAUCAAUUGUUAUUAAGUUGGCUCAUGUCCUCGAUCAGUGUUGAGAUACUUAGUCUUGUGGUAAAUUCUUAUUCUUCUCAUAAACUUUGGACUAAUCUUGAAGAAAAUUUUUGGAUUAGAAACUAUGGCUAAGAAAGCACACUUAAAAAUGAUGUUAAACAAUCUCAGAAAGGGAUCAAUGACAAUAACUGAUUAUUUUGCCAAACUUAGAGGUGUAACUAAUAAACUUGCUCUAACUGGUAGCCCUGUUUCUACUCUAGACUUUAUUACUCAUCUAAUCUCUAGAUUAGGCCAGCCAUACUACCCUGUUGUUGUGUAUAUUGAAGCUAAUAUGAUGAAAAUAUUUGUCAAUGAAGUCUAUUCUAUGCUUUCAACUCAUGAAGCAAGAAUGAAAUUUAAUCAUCCGAGUGCAAAUAAAGAAGCAAAGUUGAAUUAUGCUGCUAACAUAGCUUAGGCUGGACCUAGUGAUAACAAUAAGAAGUCUAGUAAUCAAGCUAAUUACUAUCAGGGCAACCAAGGUAACUGGAAUAGAAAUGCUAAUUGGUGUGGUAACAAUGGAGGAAGAGGUGGCUUUGGCAGAGGUUUUUCAGGGCAAGGAAGGAGUAAUUAGAAUAAUGGUGGUCAUUGGAACAACGGACCUUGGAGUAGUAGUCGAGCAGGUUAUAAUUGUUCUGAUAUAAACAUUAUGACAUGGUUGCUGGUGAACCUGUAAACAUAACCACAAAAGUAAGAAGGCAUAAUCUUUUUAUAAGAAACUCAAAAAUGUAUUAAUGAUGAAAAUUUUAAAACAAAUAGUGGACCAGCUGGUCACUAAGAAAACAAAAAACUGAAUAUUUGUGCUAUAAAAAGGCACACCCAAUCUCACCCCUAUAAAAGGCAAGAAUCAGCUACAAAUCCCUAUCUCAAAACCCCAUCCCAGUUUAGAUGAAUGAAGAAAAAAGAUGAAUCUUGAAACUCCUUAGAAACUGAAGCCCAAAGUGAAGCAAGAAGAUGAACUCUAUCCCAAGCAAGCAAUAUGGCAUAUUUCUCCAUUAAUGGUUCAAAUAAAGUGAAUGGCUUUCUCUGAUGAAUGGGAAAUUGUCAAGAUCAAUAGUCAAACUCACGCAAAGUAAACGGACUUAAUUCUCAGAGGCUACUCAUUCUAAGUCUUAAAGAAAAAUUUUCUAAUUUCUAAAGAUUAUAUGGGGAAAAAUCAUUAUUUUCUAACAUGGAAAAUUUGAUACGGUGUUUAAUGUUUGAUCACAAUCAUAAUAUGAGUACUAACAAAAACAUCUUUAAUCGGCAUGGUGCGAGUAAAACACUAUCACUUCAUCUUUGAUGGAAAGAUGAUAAUAUAAGGAGAUGGUGAAAUGGUUUUGAUCUCUGGUAGCUUGUAAUUAAAAGAAAACAAAAAACUACACUAUUAUUAAUGAUUACCGAAGCUACAGAAGUAUCAAAAUCGGAAAGCAAACAAUUGCAAAACACAUCAAUGACUGAAGGUUAGGUUCUAAAACUUCCGUAUUUAAUUUUCAGAGCAUGUUAUGUAUUAUUCAGAAAUAUGAUUUCACUUCAGGCACUAGACCAAGACGCAUUAAACAUAAAACGCGGCGUUUUCAUGGACUAGUACAUUCCAUGCUUCGAAAGUUUAUGUUUUAGACUGAUUGGUUUGAUACAUUAUUUGUUUAUUGCGUUUUUCUUGCUUUAAAUAUUAUGUUGGAUUGAUAAGUUUUGUACACAUUUAUAUUGCUCGCAGUAAAUAAUUUAUGACAUUUAAAAAACUAUCAACCGUCUAUCAAAAGAUUUCUACUAUAAAUAUAUAUACAAAAAAAAACUUUUAAUUUGGUCAAUUUGUUCUCUUAUUUAUUUUUGUUCUAUUUCUCUUUUCCUUCCCUUUCAUUUUAUUGUUUUAUGGUACAAAAUAAAAAAAUAACCUUAAAAUUUAAGGGUAAAAUACUCAUUUUACUAAAAUUCCGUUUAAUAUUAUAAAGUUGUCAAAUGUCAAUGGCAUAGUACACGAGUGAUACAAAUUAAAAACAAUAAAUUAAAAGUUUUUAUGCAUUUUCCUUUUUUUUUUUAUAGUCGAUUGAGAUUUCCCUUCAUAUUUUAAAAUUCAAUAGGUUUAGACCGUUUAACAAAUCUUAAAUUAAAAAAACCCGCGGUGUAAUAACAAACUCACACCAAACCCUGUCCACUGUCAUCCCUAAUUAUAUUUACCACUUCAUACUCACAGUGAUAAUAACUGUGUAUCACAAUUGAUUUUGCAUACGGGUAAAAGUUCCAAGUCCGGAUAUUUAGUUAAUGAAAUUUGAUGAAAAGGGCAUGAAAGAAAAUAAGAAAUUAAAUAAUACAGGAGGUAUUAAUCAUUACAUAUUUAGUUAAUGAAAAUUGAUGAAAAUAUUUCUGCAGACGUGAGCCAUAAUUAUAUUACCGUUAAGAAUGAACCAGAAGAGUUUCCCCAAACAAGCUAAAACACAGCACUUCAAUUUAAAGAAUUUUUAUAUCACAGUACCGGGGCAAAAAGUUUAAUGCAACAACAUACAUUAAGUUAAUUCCAUAAUCUAUCCCCAAAGAAAGACAAACACAAGCUUAUAAGAUUAAAACUUUGGAAAACAUUAGAGUCGGACAAAAUUGUGUAAUCUUCAGAGUUUGGAGCCUAGUUCAUCCAGGAAAGCAAAAGAAAUAAUAAUAAUAAUAAUAGUGGUGGUUUGAUCUCAAAAGGUGGCAUCAAAGUGGUAACUUUGAGGUAUUGGAAGCAAUAACGUCUUCAACUUUGUCCUGAUUUCGAAGUCCCUUAACCCAUCCGCCAUCAGUGGAUUGAAUGCUUCCAUUCAACCCAUCAUCCACAAAAUCACCAACCCGUUUCACCUUCAUCUCCUUGGGCUUAACAGGGUACUUUCCAGAGAAGCAAGCAAAACAAAAAUUCUGAGAAUCAUCGCCUAACAACUAGUUCAAGCUGUCAAUCGGCAGAAAACAAGCGAAUCACACCCAAUAAACUCCCUGAUUUCCUCAACGCUCAUCCUGUUGGAAAUCAACUCCUCAGUACUUGGAGUGUCUACUCCAUAGUAACAAGAAGCUAUGAUUGGUGGGCUUGCAAUUCUCAUGUGAACCUCUUUAGCUCCAGCCUCCUUAAGCAACCUAAAAAUUUUUGAUGAAGUUGUUUCUCACACUAUCAAAUCAUCCACAACCACAACUCUCUUUCCCUCCAACCACAACCUUACAGGAGACAGCUUAAGCUUGACACCAAAGUCCCCAAUUUUCUGGGAAGGCUCAAUGAAAGUUCUCCCAACAUAAUGUGACCUUAUCAACCCUUGUUGAAAUGGCACCCCGGCUUUCGCAGCGUACUCAAGUGCAGCCACCACUCCAGAAUCUGGUACUGCAAUCACGACAUCACACUCAACAGGAGCCUCGGUAGCAAGUACUUCCCCAAAAUGAUACCUCGACUCAUAAACAGACCUUCCACAAACAACAGAAUUAGGCAAAGCAAAAUAAAUAUGCUCAAAGAUGCACUGCUUACGUUCAGGGUGAGGCAUCAAACAAGGUGAUUGAACCCCAUCUUUAUCAACCAUCAAAACUUCACUGGGAUAUACCUCUCUCUCUCUCUCUCGCCCCCUCUCUCUCCCUCUCUCUCCCUCUCUCUCCCUCUCUCUCGUAUGUGGCCUCAAUCAAAUAGUGCACAAGUCUCUGACGCAAAAACCAGAGCACCAUUACUCCUCCUACCCAUCACCAAUGGCAUAAACCCAUACGGGUCACGAACCGCAACAAGCUUAUCCUCAGUAACAAACACCAUUGAAUAAGCACCCUCAAGCUUCUCACAAACAUCCACAAUCCUCAAAAAGAACGGCCUAGCUUUUCGAUAUCGGAAUCAAAUGGAGAACAACCACAGUAUCAGAACUAGUAUUGAAAAUGGAUCCAUUAUCUUCAAGCUUAGCCCUCAAAGUAUUAUAAUUAACUAAUGUGCAACACCAACAGAACCAAACCUGUACCCAACAACAAAAGGCUGCACAUUCUUAAGCAUAGAACUACCCGCAGUCGAAUAUCUAACAUGACCAAUGGCCAUAUCACCCGGCAAUUGAUCAAGUUUAGACUGAUUAAACACAUCAGAGACUAAACCAACACCAGUAAUAGACUGAAGAACUUUGUUAUUCACAGCAACUAUACCUGCACCUUCUUGGCCGCGAUGCUGCAUCGCGUGUAGCGCCAAAUAGCAGAAACGCGAGGCCUCUGGGUCACCAUAGAUGCCCACAACACCACACUCCUCACGGGGCUUAUCGUCGUCAUCAUCAUCAAAACUGCCAAAACCGUCAUCUGGGUAUUCUUUAUUUGUGGUGAAAAACUCAGAGAUGGGGUUUUUUUAUAGAACAGUGAAGUUAUUUUUGUGGAUUAAAGAUUGUUGUUUCUGAGGAAAAAAAGGGUUUUUUUGCAGGGUUUUGGAGAAAAGAGAAAGAUGGGUUUUUUGCGACGGCUUAGGGUUAGCAGAGGGAGAUGGGUUUGAGAGAGGGCAGAUGUUGGCGGUGCCUGUUGUGGUGGCUGCCAUUAAUGGCUGAAUUUAUUUUAUUUUAUUUUAUUUUUUGGGUUGCCUUGCUCAAAGAAAAAACAGAGGAGGUGUGUGGAGGGAGACAGUGGCGAAGGGUACUUUAAGUAGAGGGGAUCUUGUUCUAGGUUUUUUCCUGGAAUUGUGAGGGAAUCUGAUCCUGUGUUUGUGCAUAUGAUUCAAUUACUUAUAGGUGAUACUGUUGUGUCACCACAAAUUCUAACUGGGAAGCUUCAGCUGUCAAUUUUUUUCCAAGGGUUAAUUAGGUAGAACUUUCAUGUCCUCGAUUUUAUUUGGAGAUUCUAAAAGUAGCUUCCAAAAUCAACAAUGUGACACAGAUGCUUUAGAUUUUUUUCCUUGUGGGACAUGAAAAUUGAUGCAUGAUCCAAUGCAUUGCUCUAUCAGAAUUGGAAUUAAACUUAGUUUGUAUUCUCCUAUUCCGAAAGCAAAACUUAUAAGUGAUAUUCUAAGAAGAAGAAAUUAAGAACCAUAACAAAUUUGAUGAUUCUAAUUUGCUAGAAAUAUUGCAAUCCAAAACUAAGAAAGUUCAAACCAAUUAUUAGAAGAAAAAAGUAGGACGGAAGCUCCCAGAAUAUUGUUAUGUGUUGUAUGUUUUAGUUUGUAUUUCCCAAUCAAUAAGAAAAAGUAAGUACACAUGUAACAAAAAUUUAAUAAAAAAGAUUGGAGGUGACAAAACCGUCAAUCUUCUAAUUAACUUUCUCUCCUUUCGAAUUUCCUGAGUUUGGUAGAGACUGCUUAAGUGGUAUAUCUAUUAUAAACACCUGAAGUCAAAGUUAAUAUUUUAAUUGUUAAGAAAAAUUAGAAGAAGAAAUUUUUGUAUAAGAGAAUUGGGUUUAAAUUUAGAAUUCCUUGGGAGGAAAUGAGUCUAAAUUCCAAUAAUAUAAUUAAACACUAUUUAUAUAUAUAUCAUUAGUUGGGUGAAAAUUUAAUUUCCAUCCUUUGAUGUGAAAAACUCUCUUGAUCGUCUAUUUUCAUAUGAUGGUAACUUUUUGUUUAAAGUGAAGUUAUUGGCACUCUUUCAUUAUGCUUAUAAAAUCCUACUUCAAAUAAAAUUACACUUAAAGACAAUAGAAUUAAAUAAUAUAAUUUUUCUUUAAAACAAAUUACUCAUCUAAUUUUCUAUAGGUUGCUUUGUAUCGAAUUAAAAAAAAAAUUGUACAAAUUUAAAAUAAUCUAUUAUUUUUUUCAAAUUUCUUAUUGAUUAAAUAUUUGUGUGCUUAAGAUAGCUUUAAAAUUAUAAGAUAUAAUAUAUAUAAUUUAAGCCAAUGAUUAACAUUCAAAAAUUUAUCUCUCAUAAAAGUUUUUAAUUUGUGCGUAGGGUAAUAAUAAAAUUGCAAAAGAAAUGAAAAAUAGCAUAGCACUAUUUUGAGUUUAAACAAUAAAAAAAUUAAAUGAAAAAUUAGAAAUGUAUUUAAAAAAGGAUAUUUUUGAAAAUAAAAUAAAUAUAAUUUAAAAAAAAAAGAGUUUCACGAGGGGUGCAAUAGUUCAACUCUUUUGUUUAUAAGUUUUAAUGUGUUGGUAUCCUUAGCUUAGCUUUUCCCUAAUUAUUAUAUUAAAAUGUAACAACAAUGAUGAUCAAACCUAAUUUCAUGGAGGUCAAAGAUUUUGGUCAUGCCGCAUUAAUUAGCUCGAUCAUACUUUCUACAAAUUUAUUUACAUUUAAUAAUUUGCCCAAGACUAGGUAAGGCGCCGCCUGGAGUCAUAGAAUUUUAUAUGUCAACAGUGCGUUUCACUUCAAUUAAGCCAUAAAUGUCGUUUAAUAUGCUCAUUUUGUAUUUUUUAAAAAAAAGUUUUAUUAAUUUUUUUUUGUUUUUAAAAAUAUUAUUUAUUUUUUUAUUUUUUUAAAGGUAAAGAAGUGGGUAAAGUUCAAAUUUAAUUUUUAUCCCUUACGUCAUGACCCCUCAGAUUUGAACUUAGGUAGCCAAACGUAUAAUAAUGAUAUCUCAAAUUUCAUUUCAAAUGAUAUGCAAUAUAUUAAGUCAUUGUUAAUCUUUAUAAGAUCCGAGUGAAUGAAUUGUGUUAUCUCACUAAUUAAUUGAUGAGUGUCAUAUCAUUUAUGAUAACUUUUGUAUAAAAAAAAUUGCGAUGGAUGAAAUAUCCUUUUGAGAAUUUAAUGGUUUAUCUCAUUUAUGAUUUAUUGUUGCAUUUAAUGAUAUUGCAAAUAAUUUUUCUGAUAAUAUUAUUGUUUUGACGAGUAAGUUUGGAGUAAAUAAUACAUAUGGCAAGUGUGAGGUUUGUUAUUGCAUUUAUUUUGUGGAUCUCUUUAAAAGCCAAAAAAAGGCAUUUCGAUUCAUUAUGAUUCCAGAUAAUUUCAAGCCAUGUCAUUAUUGGGAUAAAAAUAAAGUAAAAUGGUUAAAACUAUUUUUAUGUAAUUUAUAAAAAUUAAUGAAGCAACUACAAAAUUUUUUAAACGAAAAACAAUUGAAAUGUGUGUGGAAAAAGAAGAAAAAAAUAAGGCAUUUAAAUAUCUUCUUAAAAAAUACGAUUGAUUAAAAUUAUUUUAACCGAAUGCUCUUCCAAAUACAAUUCCACAUUUUUUUUAUUGCAGUGGGAUAUUCCAAAAUUGGCACAACUCAUUAAGAAUUCGGCAACUCAAAUUUUAUUUAUCUCUCUAUGCAUUUGACAAAUUAAAAAGAAAAAAAAUUCAUAUAUCUUCUGUUCAAAAUAAACCUUGGUAAAUAUUGUAAAACAAAUUACCAAUUUUUUUAAAUUUAUGCCAUUAUAUUGUCGCUAUUUUCUCGCCCACUUUCUUAAAAUAGAAUCGAUAUUUAUUGAUGGGUUGGGUUCCAGAGUAAGCACCAAUUCAGCAAAAUGGUUUUAUAGCAGAAAAAGCACUUGUAAGACAUUCAGAACACAUUUUUCAAUUUUGUCUUUUGAAAAUGAGUCUUGAGUUUCCGCAAGCCAAGAAGAAUGGCUAAAAAAUGUAUGGUAUCAAAGAAAGAGAAACACACACACACACAUAGAUUAGUGGGGAGAUAUAUGAGUGUGUAAUUUGUAUAUAUAUCCCAAUUAAUUGUUCAUAUAGAUUAUAUGAACAAUUAAUGUGUAUAUGCAAAAGGAAAAAAAAUUGGCUGUCCAUUAAGACAAAAUUGACUAUCACAUGAAAAUGUUAGCACACUUGCCACGCAACGAAAAUAAAGAUUCCAAGAACAACUUUAUGGUCCCCUUUCUGUCCAAACAUAGGCGAUAGAAAUUAGUGUAAACGACACUUGAAAUAUUUAUGUAGAUCCUCACACAAUUGAUUAAAUAUUUAUAGUAGGGUGGAGUGAUAAAUAGUUUCACAAAAUUAUUGGAAUUAACUAUUUAAUACAUGAGAUCUAUCUCAUUAAGUAUAAAAGAUUGAGUCAUGCUUCAAAAGCAUAACGCUGCUGGCAACAAAUUUAACACAAAAAUUUAAUUAACUAUCCUAGUUGAGAUAAUAAAAUCUUGUAUUGAAAACAAAAGGUUUGAGGUUCGAACCUUCUCAUUCAAGAAAAUCAAGUCAAAAUAUUACAUCUUCCAGCACAUAUUAAAGAUUUUUUCAAAGGCAGACUGAUAAUUCAGGGUAAAAAAGAAGAAAAAAAAAGAAAAGGAAUAUAUGCUAUUCAAGACAGGUAUGCCUUGUACAUGAAGUCCGAGUCCAGAACAAGAAGCACCUGGUUGAUCUUUCAAUUUCCAAAACCCAACAAAAUCUUUGUCAAAAUAUCUGAUCUAGUCCCAUAUUAAGCACAUUCAUAGCCAUAUCAACAGGUUCAAAAUAUUUUCCCCAAAAAGAGAUAGAGAUUCCAUUGAAGUUGAGUUGUGACUGUCCCAACGUUUUGUAAUUAUAUGGUUCAGGAUAUCAUGCCUAUGAAUCUUUUUUUUUUCUUUUUUUCCAUGUUUCGAAGUCUAUCAAAUGAAAAUGUAAUUAUAUGGUUCAGGAUCUCAAUAUGCCGCAGCUGCAAAGGUUGACUUCUACUAUCCAAUCAAUGUCUAUACUUUCUAUUGAAUUUCCUUGUUUUUUUUUAAAUUACGAGAUUUAUUUUUUAGAAAUCUUUGACACAUUUUAUGUAAGAUACCAUAAAACCAAAUACAACCUUUUUGAUUCUCAGCAACAACGUUUUUUUUUCCUUUUAAAAAAAGGAAGCCAUAUAAAUAAUGCUUUAAACAUUAUUUGCAACAAGGAACAAUUAUUUCAUGCUUUCAUGUAUUACAAACUUUCCAAAAACGCUAGCAAGAAAAUGAAAUGGAACUUUACCUAGUCACAUAAUAUAUACUGCUGUUAGCACAAUUGUUAUGAAGUGGCUUCUGCAUCCGAUGAUUCCAGCUCCCACCAAGCAUUGUUAUCUCUAUUCUAAAUACAAUCUGCAUCGCUGGGCAUGAGUUAUAUCAUUAAUGUCUGCAUCCUCACUUACAUCAUCCCAAUCAAGUGCUUUUUCUCCACAUCUGGAUUAUAAGUCCACUCCAAUCUCUUCAAAACAUCCCAGUCCUUCCAUCACAGCUGAUACGACUUCCUUCCUUAUUACUUCCCCAUUAAUAAAUCGCUCCAAGAAAAAAAAAAAAAGCAUUAGCAAUUCUCUUCAAUGCCCCAUCAUUCAUAUCCCCUACAACAACCAUCUUCAGACACCUCAACGUUGCCUCUUGAAAGACCUCCACAAAAUCCGAAUCAUCCGACACAACCACUAAACACCCAAACCUUCUUUUGUCCACCAUAUCCACCUUAUAAUUCCUUAACUAAACAUCGACAUCUUGUGGCUUAUCUAACACCUUCCUGACCCAAAACCAUGCUGUUUUCAACUCAUCUGCAAAAACAUAACCCGCUUUUGGAGUCAAAAUUGCACUUGCAGCCAUUUUAUAUUUUGCCAUCUUUAUUGAAUAGUUGCCAACCAAAAGCACUCUCACCUUCCCUCUAGCUGAUUCUAUUUGAUUCGACCUAUUCUUUUGUUCACCCUCAUGAAUUUGCCUAAAAUGAUUAACAAGUUUGUCAUUAUUAUAAAAUCUCCUUCCACAAUCACCUAUAUGGCUUAGUAGGCCUAAUUACACCCUUGAUUUCUAUUUGGUUAAACAAUUCUCUUUCUUUCUUUGCUCUCUUACAACUUGAGGCACAUAACUAAACGCGUGGCUAUUAGCAUUUGCCACCAUGUAUUUAACAACCCCAAAUGAAGAUAUUAAUUUUUUUAGUUUAAUUGCUGCUUCAAAAUGGGGUACUGCAUUUGGAUUUUGUUAUUCAAAUACCAAAAUGUUCCCACAUUGUGUUGGACAGUUUUUGGUUCUAAAGUUGAUGAUUGGUUUUGCCAAUCAGGCUUCAAAUGAGAACUUCUAAACAAUAAGACAAAUGGGUUUUUGAGUUUCUAAUUUUGUAAACUUUGUUCUAUUGUGUAAGUUAUGAAAUCGCUGAAACAUCACUACAGCUACAGGUCUUUAUGUGUCAAAGAACUGCAGAAGCUGAUGAUCUACCAGUAGUAGACUUCUAUUGCCCCUGCCGUUCUAGGAAGACAAACAAGUUCAGGAACUACUUCUGGACCAAACUCAUAAUAUUGCCACCGCUUUGUGCCAAUCUGAGACGGAAAGAAGAUUGAAGUUCCUAAAUAAGGCACAUCAUGAUUUAAUAGAAGCACCACUAUAAGGAAAAAUGGAUUUCAGGAAAGCACUAAAAUAUGACAUAAUCUCCCCCUAAUAGUCUAAAGUAUCAACCAAGCAAAAACACAUAAACUAGUUGAGAUACAAAGUUAUCAUAAAAGUCAGUUUUGAUCACAAAUCCAUUAAAAUUAAAAGACAUUAGAAAGUUAGAGAACAUUAUAAUUUAGGACUCAGCUAAGUUGCAGAUUCUGUAACUAACAGCUGAGUCCACAUUGGCCUUACAUCAGCUGAGUUUGGGUUGCUUUUCCUCUCUCCUGCAACGCGUACGUGGAAGCGCCCCAUUUGCUGUGUUCUAUACCGAGUUGGUACCGUAACAAGCUCCUAUAAUUUAAGUUUGAUUACUGUAGACAAUAGUCUGCCUCUGCUCAAAAGCUAUGCUGCAAGAUAUAACAUCUUUACUUUCUAAAAGUAAUAAGAAAUGAAACCAAGGGGUAAAUCGAACACCAAAAGAAAUUUAGUCGGCCAACCACAUUAUGUUCCCACACAAUCCACUAAUUAAGUUAAUAAUUAAAGGGAAUCAAAAUCUAAGAAAUCUCAUCUUCAAGCAGAAUACAAACACGCCGCGAUUGAAAAUCACAAAAUCAUAAAAAGAAGCUGACUUGAAAAGGGGUGGGCCGCCUCAUUUGCCCACCAACCACACCACACACACAAACACUCCAACACACACACAAGCUCUCUAGCUUUUGUAAAAAACUCUCUUUAAUAUUCUCUCUUUGUGAGUAAUAAAAUCAUAUUCAGCCAUAUUGCUCUACUUCUCUCUAGCAUUUUCCUAGAGUGUUCUUACUUCGCUAGUUUGAGGAGUGGUCUAGGCUUACUUAGCAACUUGUUUGCUACAAGGACAUCUUGGUCACAAAACAUGGACAUGCAAGGAAAAAAAAAUAUUGAUACGUUCUAAAAAUAAUACGCAUUCUUCUAUCGUGAACCAAAAAAAUUUAGGCUAAUGGUAGCAAGUGAAGGAAUUGUGAUUUCACGUGCAUUUUGUUGACAUGAAGGUAAAGAGCUUUUUUAUAGUUUAUAUUGUUUAAUAUAACAUUUGAAUUGCAAAAUAGGGGUACAAAAUAGAUACACGAAGGGAUAAAACUAAGUUGAUUAUGAUAAAUAUUGAAUUAUAAGAUUUAGGUUUAAUCAUAAAGACAUAAGUGGCCCAAGUCACGAAUUGAUAUCAUCCAUGAUGCAAGUUCAAACAACUGCAUAAUAAGUUGCCCUAAGCUAAACUAUUAAUCUAGUAACUAUUCCAGUCGAUGUGGGAUAAUUUUCCUAUCACCAUUUAUCACGUGCAAGCCGAAUUUGUUGCUUGGUUCUUACAUGUGGUAAGAUAAUAUGAAUCCACUUGUGCAUAAAUUUUGCUCCGAUAUUAUAUAGAAGCUUAUGACCCAAAAUUAUACUUAAAGGUGAUUUCAAGAUUUCAAGGUUGCCUCAAGCUAAUAUUAUUAUUAGCCUGGUAACCCUUUUUUUUUUGUUGAUAUGUGAUAUUUUCCCUAUAACUUUUAUUAAUCUUUAUGCUUAUGUUUUGUCAUUUAUCCCAAAAAUAUAACAUUAACAAAAGUUCCAAAAUUUCCUUCAAGAGAUAUAUUUGAGACAAGUAAUUUGUGCAAUAACUUUGUGAAUUGAUGAGCAAAUUCAGAGAAAAGAAUAUAUGUGCCAAACGUAAAGUUUAUUAUUGUGUUUAUUUGUAGAGCUAUUUAAAGCCCAGAAAAAAAAAAGCACCAGUCCGCUAUGAUUUCAAAUAAGUUCAAGCCCUAUGUCAUUAUUGGUACAAAAAUGUAUCAGAAAGGUUAAAAACUAUUUUUAUUUAACUUAUAAACUUAGGAAAUUAUCAACUGCUCAGCCUUAAAUUGUGCUAUUAUAAAAAAUAUUACAAUAUUUUCAGGUUGUAUCAUUCAUCUACCAUAAAAUUAUAAUUGCAUCAUUUAUCCACCAAAUCAUUAACUUCGUUAAAAAGUGAUAGAUGUUACAAGGGUAAUUUAGACAUUUAACACACAAAAAAAAUAAAAGAGAAAUUAUCUAAGCUUACCAUGUUAUCAAAAUUGCUACAAAAUUUUAAAUUUGUUCAAUUUUUCAAUCUAAGUUUAUGACCUCCAAGAUUUUAAUUGCAAUUUGUAAUUAAUGAGUUCAUAAGGAUAAUUUAGACACUCAAUAUGCAAAAUAAAAAAAGAAAAGUAUCAUUUGUAUACCUUAAAAUUUGCUGUAUCAAUCGUCCACCUUAAAUUGAAAAAAGUUAUCUACCGACCACUAAACCAUUAGUUACCGUUUGAAAGUUAACGGAACUGUAGCGAAUUGACGAUUUUACCCUUGAAAUCUCAAAAAAAAAACUCUUAUUAUCAAUUAUAUACCCUUAAAUUAUUACUAGUAUCUAUGAAAAGACUAUAUUACCCCUUUGACGUCAUCAUGUUUAAACGGCAACUAACGCUUUGGUGGACGACAGAUACAUUUUGUCAAUUUAGGAUGGACGACUGAUAUACCCUGAAAGUGUUGUAGUAAAUUUGAUAACGGAGUAAACUAAGGGUAUACAAAUAAUAAUUUCCUAAUAAAAAAAUAAAAUAAUGGUUUAAAACAUUAAAACAAAAAACUUGAUAUUCAAUUAAAUACACAUAAACUCUAUUUUUUUCUUAAUUAAAAAUAUUCUAAUUUAUUUUCUCAAUUUAUCAUCAUAAAUUUACAUUAAUAAACUAAAUCCACAAAUUACCCUAAACCCUAAUUCAUAAAUGCCCAAUCAAUCUAAUAGUUUAAUUAGAUUUCAUAAUUAAAAAGCUAAAUUUAUUAUAUUGGUUAUGGUGCAAAGUCAAAAAUGCCCUUAAAUUCAAGGGUAAAAUAACAUUUUAUUUAAAGUCUAUAAAUGAUUCUAACAAUGUUAACAUUUUGGUGGGCGGUUAAUAUAAGUUACAAACUUAAAAUAGAAAAUCAAAUAAAUUCAAAAUUUCAAACUAUUUAGGGCAAAUUUAGGAUAUAUGGUUAAUAAUUUUCCCAUGUCUUUUUACAUUGGUUGAUAUAAGUUACAAACUUAAAAUAGAAAAUCAAAUAAAUUUAUAUUUUCAAACUAUUUAGGGAAAACUUAGGGUAUAUGGUUAAUAAUUUUCCGUUGUCUUUUUACGUUAAAUUGAGUUUCAAAGGUAAAAUGGUCAAUUUAUUAUAAUUCUGUUAAUUUUUUAGUGGAAGCAAACGAUAUAAUGGACGAAUGAUAUAAAUUGUAAAAUUAAGGUGUAUGAAUGAUACAACUUUAAAGUAUUAUAGUAAUUUUAAUAAUAGAACAAUUUAAGGGUGGAUUGGCAAUAAUUUAAACUUUAAUGAAGCAACCAAAAAAUUUUUUUAACAAAAGAAAAAUAAUUGAAAUGCUUUAAGAAAAAUAAAGGAAAUUAAAUAUCUUUAUAAAAAUAUAAUUGAGUAAAAUCAUUUUACAAAAUACUCUUUCAAAUGCACAUUCCACAAGCCAGGGAGAACGGGUGACUAACAAAAAUCUCACUUUUUAUGAGUUUAUAAAAUCUCACUUUCGCAGAAACAAAAAAUAAAAAUUAUUGCUGUCACGACAUUACGCACUUUCUUUGCCAUCUAGAAAGGUAGAACAUUUUGAAGUUCCUCAAUACAAAAUGCGUGCUACUACUAAAUUGGCACAAUUAAUGCCCAUCGAAAAGGCCAUCAAUUUAGCCAUCAAUUUUGUCAAAAUUUCAACAAUUGAAGAAACAAUGAUCACAAACGGAAUAGGUAAAUUUUGAAGUUGAAUAAAUCUUGAGAUGCAUACAACAAAGCCUUGAAACUUUAUUCUUCACAAUUUGAGCACGCACUGAAUAUUAAAGCAAAUAUAUAUGAAAAAAAAAUCAUAAAGCUACCAAAAGGAACCACAAAAUCAUCAAUAUUAUCGUUUAAUAUGGAGAACGGCCUGCGCAUCCAAAUUGUGCGAACUGAACACGCUGAAAUGUGUGUUUUGUUUUUUGGAUUUUUGGAAUUUUUUAAAAAUCAUUUAUGUUCGCCGCCAUCUUUUUCUUCACUGGCGUCUUCCUCUCUUGGCUGGCAUCUGCCUCGUCUGCAGUUUGCUGUGCCUAUUUAUCCAACCAAUAAAUUGGGCAUUAAAUACGAAUGAAUGAUGAAUAAAAUGAUAAAAAAAAAACAAACAGAGAAAAUUAUAAUAUAACACAUAUUUAUUGAAAGAGAAAUUUUGAUUUUAGGAUAGAUCAAUUAGCUAUCUCAAACGAAAACAUGAACCAACUAUGUAUAGAGUCAAUUAAUUUAAAGUUCUCAAGAAUUACCUCUGCUCCAGAAUUCUCGGAAUCAUCUUCUCCUUAUGAAUUUCCACGAAACUUGGGACAAUUAUUAACACCUCUUCUAAAGUAUGCAGAUGGAAAUGGGAUCUGAUAACCCGCAGGCCAAAAGUUGGUGAGGUUUGGUAAGUCUUCCAGUCUCAAGUCCCAAAGUUCAUUCAUAACAAUUUCAUUGUAAUCCGUGACGUCUGCUCCAUCUUUAUGCCAGAAUACUUCUUCUAAUUCAUCAUUACCUACUAUGGAUAGGCGCGACAGUUUUUGAAGACUUGGAGCUACGCUGAUAUGAAAUAGAUGCUUUAGUUUGGGGCAAUAAUAGACAGAGAUCCUUGUGAGUUUUGGGAAACAUACAGGUUGGAGAUGAUCCUCAUCCUCAUCCUCAUCAAUGAUUUGCUCUAAUUCCAAGCAAUUCGAAACAGAUAACUCCUCCAAUUGCAACAGAUUUCGAGCAAAUGUUGAUGAGAAGAGACGUCUCAGCAUAGUGCACCCGUCCACUGUUAAAUAGGUAAGACUUUGCAGGCUAAAAUUAUGAGUGGGACCUUCAUGAUAUAAUAAUAAUUGCAGGUCUCCCAGAUUGUGCAAGGUCAAUGUCUUCAAACGUGGGAAUAGUUUGUUUUCUUGUCCCUCAGCGAUAAUAGCUUCCACUUGAAAUACCACCUGUACUCCAAGUUCUCCAAUACCCAAUAUUUCCAAAUUUUUUAAUCCGUGCUUCAACAGUGCUGGAAUCGUGUGACGCAAAUGGGAGCAACUUUCCACACCUAGAGUAUUUAAGUUCUGAGACAAAUAAAUAAAUAACUUGAUGUAAUUAAAAUUUGUUAGCAGCUAGGAUUAUCACAUGAUAAGUGAUGAACACCGCAAAAAACAAAAACAGAAAACAAAAUCCAUACAAAAAUAUCAUAAUACAUAUGUAAACUAAUAAAAUAAUUAAAAAGUAAUGGAUUUAAAAAAAAUGAAAUUAGUUAAAAGAGAUCAUGUGAAGUGAUAUAAAUGUGACAUUAGAUUGUUUUAGAAAAAUUAUUAUUCUAUUAAUUUAUAUGGCUUGAUCAGCUAAUUAAUUGAAUUUGAAUAAUAUUAUACACACUUCAGAAGUAUUUGCAUCAAUUCUUUCUAAACCAAAAUGAAAUCUGAUAAAAUAAUUAUUAUCAUUACCACAUCCACCACCACCAUCAUCAUCUCCAUAGGAUCAAAUAAUUAAUGGCUGAUCAUAAAGUUUAUUGCUAAACUAUCAUUUUGAGUAAAAUUGAAUGAAAAGAAAAAACAUGAACCCAAACAAACAUACAUUUUCAAGAUACUGCAAAUUGGCUUCAAGUUCAUUAUUGUUGAUGAUCAAGUUGGGACAAUAAUCAAGGAUUAGCUCUUCCAAUGCUGUCCAAAUUGAACAAUAGUUUUCUGAACAGAAGCUGACGAGUUCUGGGAGUUCUUGAAGUGUUAAUCUUCUCAACAAGGGGAGGGCGAGCAUCGUAUUUCCACCUUCGACACUUAUUUCCCCUUCAUUGUGAUCAAACUUUGCUUCGACAAUACAUUCCAGUCUCUCGCAAUGGCUUACACAGAGACUUUUAAGCUGCUCCAAACUUCGGGCUUGUGACAACGUGAAGAUGUAUGUCAACUUGUUGCACGAAUGCACAUUCAAUUCUGCAAGAGUUUGGAGACUGAUCACAUGUUGGGCGAGUGCCUUCCAUAUCCACUUCAGUUCUGGUAAGCCCCACAUAGAUAACUUUGCUAAUCUUGAGAGACUCUUUCCAUGCGGCGACUUGGAGGCAUCCAUUAUGCAUUCUAAAUCUUCGCAACCGUGGACAUCAAGACAAGUCAACUCAUUUAAGCCCAUUUCAUCUAUGCUUGGCACAAUAUUGUAACAACCUAUAAUCCCACUUAAACAAAGAAUUUCCAGUUCUUGAUACAAAGCCGAAAAAAUACCGAGCGAGGUCGCUUCAGGAGGGUCGUUACUAAUCAUUAAGAUCCUUGCCUUAUCAAAAUGACGUACCUUUGCAAUUUCGGGAAUGUAAAGUCUUUUGGAAGACAUACAACAGAUCCGUCGACUUGGGAGUUCAACUCAGCAAGCCUAGCAUUACUUUCUUCUGAACUCAUCCCUUCAACCUCCCAAUUUUUUAUCCGACCAUAAAAUUCUUCUAAUUGAGGAAUUUUUUUUAUCGUAAUAGGAGAAACAGAACUGAUAUCAAUAUAUAGAAGUUUCAAUCUACUAAGUUCAUUCCUCAAUUCUUCUGGAAUUUUAAUGAGAGACUUCUUGAGAAAAAGAAUUUGAAGCCUCUUCAACUUUCCAAGGAAAGAUGCAUCACUCACCUUACAUCGAAUCAACUGCAGAACCUGGAGGUUGGUGAGGCUCUGAAGCGAUUUAAGUGAAAGAACUCCACCUAUUAUAGUGACAACUUUCAAUGCUGGCAUCCCUUUAAAAAAAUGUUCUGGAAUUUGCAAUUCGUAAUUAUAUACGGUGUUCUCCAAUCGCAGAAUAUGAAGGUUAGGGCAUACCAAACUACUAGGAAGCUCUUCUUCUUUAUUUCCCAUUACAGAGAUUCCUUUGCACUGUUCCAGGCCUUUUUCCACCGCCCGUUCCAGCAAUCUGAUGCCAUUUAUACUAAACAAUCUCUCCUCCUUCUCCUUCUUCUCUGUGCUUAUCCAUAUGGCUACAUCACGAACUAUGUCAUGCAUUUUCACAGAUAUGUCAUUACCAGUGUCUAACAGUAGUGAAGCAGCUUUGAGUCCGUCAAUUGUUCCAUGCAGUAGGCUUCUGGUGUUCUCUAUUGACUCAGCUUGAUACCAAGUCAACCCUACUGCAUAUCCAACCAAAUCCUCCAAAUUAAUCUCAUAAUAUUCUGGAAAUAGCGAACACAACAAGAAGCAUAACUUGGAAUUGUCAUCAUUCAAUUUGUCGUAACUAAAUUUGAGACAACCGUAAACGUCUAGGUUCUCCUCAUCAAUACCUUCUAUUGCAUAGAGUUUUGCAGCCUUUAGGUUAUAUAGAGCCAGGUUCCAUUCAUUAAGGUAGCGUUUACUUUUUGGAUUGGAUUGAGAAUCUUGGGGAGUGGGAAUCCUAAGAUUGGGAGUGUGGAGUGGGAGUGGGAGUAGGUUGUUUACUUACACUAGAAUGGAAGCAUGGAAUGGAGAUCAGAAUUCAAUUUAUGUGUUUACUUUGUCUUGGAUUGGGAGUAAAUAGUUUCAAAUUAUAAUUUUAUCCUUAUUUAAAGAAUUAUAAUUUUUAAUUACAAAACUAAUAAAAAAUAUAUUUAAUGAAUAAUAUUUAUUUUAUUAUAUUUGUAAAUUUAUUAUAAUUAUUAAUAUUCUUAAUUAUGAACAAUAAAUUAUUAAUUGUAAUUUUAAUAUAAAAUGAAAUGUUAUUUUAUUUUAUUUAAUAUAAUUAUAUUAAAUUUAUUAUUAUAUAAAAUAAUAAUAUUAUAUUAUUUAGUACAAAAUUAAUAUUUUCUUAGAAUAAAGUAUUUAUUAUUAUUAUUAAAUAAAUAUAGUACUAUUAUUUUUAAAAUAAAUAUAAUAAUAUUAUAUUUAUUAAUUCUCUAUUAAUAUAAUAAUAUUAUUUUAAAAUAAUUUUAACUUAGAAUCAAUGUAAAUUAUUAUUGAGUUAAAUAUAAUAUUAUUAUUUAAAUAAAUAUAAUAUUAUUUAUUUUAUUUUAUUAAUUAUAAAACAUAAAAUAAAAAAAAGAGUAGAAAUGGGAGAGGUGGGAGUGGAUUCCCACUCCCACCUCCCCCAAUGGGAGUCCCACUCCCACUCCCCACUCCAAAAAUGGAUGGGGCCCACGGAGUGGGACUUCCAAUCCCUCUCCAUUUUAAGUAAGCAAACGCUGGAGUGGGAGGAAUCCACACUCCUCACUCCCACUCCAACAAGUAAACACAACAUUAAAUCCUUUUCCUCUUAGUGCACUUCCAACAGCUUCAAUAGCUAAAGGUAGCCCGUUACAUUCUCCAGCAACUUCUUUGGAAACAUCAUUCAAGGUGGAGUCAUUUACAUCAAUGCCGGCAUUUUUUCGCAGUAAAGCCAAUCCUUCUUCUGGCGUUAGUGUACUAAGUGGAAUCUGUGUGUCACAACCCAAAGAAUCACAAACUGACUUUUUGCGAGUGGUUAGAAGGAUUUUGCAACAAUUAUCUCUACCACCAACGGGAAUACGUAAUUUUUUCUCCAAGUCGAGUUGUUUCCAAACAUCAUCAAGGAUUACGAGGAUUUUGUUGCUUUUACUCUCAGAAAAUAUCAAGCGCAAUCGGUCUGCUCUCUCUUUUUCAUCUUUCUCAUUUAGUGCCCAGCCUAACGACUUUGCCAGCUCACCUUGAACCUUUAUUAUAUCUGGAUCCUGAGACACAGUGGCUAUCCCCACCUUAUCAAAAAUCUUUUGUUGCCGAAGUUGAUUGCCCAGAGAUUUUGCCAAGGUCGUCUUUCCUACACCGCCGAGACCGUGCAAUCCCACCAUCUUUGUGCUCUCUUUUUUCAGUGCUUCAGUGAUCUGAUUACAAGCCGAUUCUGUAGUCUCGAAAGAAGAAAAAAAUCUCGGUAUAGGCAAUUCUUCGUCUGGUGGUAGAGGUUUAGGACGGGCAACUGUGCUGAAUUUGCUGCGGUCUUGUAGUUCGGACAACUUGCUACUCUUCUUUGAUGCUUUUCUACCCAGCCAGUAUCGCCAACCCCAAUUAGGAUACCAUCCAUUAAGACAACUCAUCUUUUCAUCUAUCUUUGCUUUCAAAUUUCGAACGUCGGCCAUUUCUUUGUCUACAUCCUCAAGCCAUGUCUUGACAUCUUCCUCGACUUCUAUAGCACGGUGUAUUUGUCGUUCUUGUUCUACUCUUUUAUUGAUGCCAUCUUUUUCCUUCUUCAAAUUGGUUUCUUUAACCUUAAGUUCUUUAUCUAUGCUGUUGAAACAGAGCAGAUAACGAGCUUGGUUUAUGGUUGCAUCCACCAACAAUUCUCCAAGCCUUGAUGCAACACCUGACAAAAGUUCCAUGCUAUUUAUCUGCAAUUAAUAAAGUUGAUCUCAGUAAGCUAUAAGCAAAACAUAUGAGGCUUGAUCACAAGAUCGAACGAGAAAGUUUAAUUACCUUUUUCUAUUAUGUGAAUGCACGUUUAUUGACACUAGCUUUGACCAGUAAGAGCAAAAUGCAAACGCCGAGCUUUAAGUGGCCUUCAGCUGCAAAACAAAAGAGAAGAAAUAAGGUAAUUUAUUAUUAUUAUUAUUAUUAUUAUUAUUAUUUUUAAGGACGGAUAAAGGUUAGCUAGCUUGCAGACAAAUUUACUAAAAUCAAGACAAACCUAAGAGUUUUCCUAAUUUGUUCAAACAUGGAAUAAGCGUUUCACAACAGUAUAUCCAUAAAGUAAUAAUAUUAUUUUAAAUUAUAUUAAUGCCUUUGGUAGUGAAUUCAAUUAGGGUUAUUUUAGUAAUAUAAAUUUUCAUUAAAAUUAAAGUGUCCAAAUUCUAAUUUAGAUUUUUCAAAUGUAAAAUAAUAUUUAUUUAUCUGAUAUAAAUUAAAAUUCAAACAAAUGUAUCAUGCAACAAAUGAAAAGUAAAGAAUAUUAAUUAGGUUUUAAUCGAAACAAAUAUAAAUAGAUGUUUUGAGUAGUUAAUUUUUGUUAUUUUAUGCUAUUGGUAGUUUGUGGAUUAAAUAAUUUGUAUAAGGAUAAAUGGGGGUUUGUAUAAUUUAUACGAAGAUAAUCUCCAAAAUAAGCAUAUAUGUCGAAUUUAAAAGUGUUAUAUAAGUAGUAAUCGUAUAUGCAUCAAAAUUUUUAAUAAAAUUUAUUUAGAAAUUGGCCAAAUGGGUUUUAUGAAGAAAAUAGACGGGCAAGUAAUUAUGUAACAAGUAAUUUGUAGGUUGUGGUACUUCUCCAUACUUCAAAUCACUUUUAUCUAAUCAAUUGAUAAAUUUUUUUGGGCUCCAACAAAAUGAAAAGAAAAAGUUAAAAAUAAUUCUGAAAUAAAAAACGUUAGGUACUGCCUAUAAGCUAUACAAUUUUACCUUUUCUUCUAUCACAAUUAGUAUUAGAAAUGAAAAUAGUUUCGAAAUAAAUGUAAUUAGGAGGUAAUAUUAUCUCAACAAUACCUUAUAGGGAAAAAGACAUCUACAUCCUAAAGUUCGGAGAAAUAGUCGUAAAGACCCCAGGUUUUCAGAAAGGGAUAUCAAGACCCUUUUUUGACCGUAAUACCCUUUAAAUCUAGUAAUUAGAAAAUUGACUUUAAGAUUUUUUAAUUGACAAAUUUAAUAUAAAUAAUAUAAUCUAUCUAGUAGAUUAAUAAUAUUAACAAUAAAAAUAAUAUUAAAAUUUAAGUUCUUAUAUUUAUUUUAAUAAUAUAUUUUUAUUUAUUAUAAAGAUUUUAAAUAAAUCCUUGGGUUAAAUAGGUUUUCCAGUUAACAAAAUAUACCCCUAUUAAUAAUAUUGAAAUUACUUUCUACAUAAUAUUUAAAAUAAUUAUAAUUUAUUUAUUUUAAUAUUAUGUUUCUAUUUAUUAUUAAAAAUUACUUUAUUAGAGUAAAUUUUUAUUAAUUAAAGCUUUAAAAUCAAUUUUCUAAUUACUAAAUUAAAGGGGUAUUAUAGUCAAAAGGAGUCUUUCCUUUUUGAAAACUUAGGGUUUUUGCGACCAUCUCCCCAAACUUUGGAGUAUAGGUGUCCUUUUCCCGACUUCAUAUAAAGAUAUUCCAUAAGGUCUUAUAAUAACUUAUAUUAUAUGAAUUUAAUUAAAAGAUCAUUAAUACUUAAAUAAUAAUAAUUAUAGAAGACAUUGUAAUAAAUUAUUUGAUAUAUAUUAUUAAUGAUACUAUAUAUAUGUGUAUAUAACUACAUGAUGGCUUGGAUAUAUAUUGUUAGUGGUAAUAAAUGUUUUAAAAAAAAUUUAAACUAAUGAUUUCAAGUGAUUCAAUGGUGGAUAAUUUAAAAUCAUAAAAUAUUGUUUUGACUUUCAAUAUCAACCGUUAGACUGUGAGAAAUUAAUUGCUCAAUAUUUUGUGUAAAAGUUUUAAAUUAAAAUAUCCCAAACCAUUUGUUUUACUUAAAAUACAAAAAAUAUAUAAAGAAAUUUUCUCAUUAAUUUUCAUAUUUUAUUAGAGGUAAUAUUUUAUGUAUCGUCACCAUUAAUUGCCAUCAUUAAAGUAGUGACUCUUAGUAAUAUAAAAUUUUAUAAUUAGUUAAUUGGAAUCAAAUGAUAUCAAAUAAAAUAAUAUUUCAUGAUUCAUAAAUUAAAGCUAAUUAAGAAUAUAUGUUAGUUUUAACUUUUAUGAAAUCAACUAAGUGAUAUUAGAAAAUAAAAUGAAAUAAACUAGUGAAACUUAAAUUUUAUAAGGUUUGAAUAAUUUUCUACCAUGUAAGAAUAUUAAUUGUGACAUAAACCAUAGUUUCAUGGUAUAUGUAUGCCAAAUGGGGUAACAAAUAAUAUAUACUUCAGGAUCAUGAUAGUAUAUAAAGUAGUGGAUAUUUUAAUAUCUAACAUAAAAUUCUUUAAGACAUAGGUGGUCAAUUAUAUAUAUUUUAGGAUAUAGACAAUCUCAAUCAAGAGUUUAUUGAUGUGAAUAGAUGGCAUUCACUUAAAUGUAUAUACUUAAUUGUGUUGUUUAUUGGUAUUACAUGUAACAAAAUUUUAUAUUAAAUUUUGAAGUUUUAUAUUGUUGUUUCUAUUGAAUUUAUAAAUACAAUAAAAUUAUACCAACAAUUAGAUUCUCAUAUCCGUUGACGACAAUUUUUUAUACUAUUGGAACUCCAAUCUUUGAAGCUACACAAUAGUUAAAGUACCGACAUCAAUAGAACUUCCGUUCAUUGUAGAUCUAUAGUCAAAGUUUCGAAUCUUAAAAAUUUGACAGCAGAUUUAUGUCAAAUGAAAGCUUGUUACCAGUGAUUCUUAUACAAUUAUGUUGUUAUAGUAAUAAGGAUUCUAAUGGUACUAAAAUGCACUCCAUUAGACAUAAAGAUCCGACGACUAGUGGCGACAAUAACUAUCAUUAGUGACUUGGAGGUAAUUGCCGUUAAUAAAUUAUUUUUAACUUAAUAAUUAAUACAAACAAAUAAAAAAGUAAUUUAAGGAAAAUUAAUGUAAUAAAUAAUUGAAUUAAAAAAAAUAAAACCUAAAUUCUCGACCAUUUAUCCGUAUGUUUCGAAUCCAACGUUCAAAAUUGGAAUAAAACAUAGUAUAGCCAUUGGAAGUAAAACAAACAUUAAAGAGACUAGGAAAAAAUAUCUCAUACCUUCUAUAAUGAUACAUCCUCAAUCACUGCAGAAAGCUCCAAUUAAAAAGUCGCACAAGUUCGGAGAAAAUUACCUAACAACACAAAUAAACAUCAAAUCAAAGCAACAUAGGAUCCAGCUAAUUAACAUCAUAAGUAAGUCCUUGUUCUCAGUCAAAUCUUGCAUUCUUAGGAUAAAAAAAAAAUUGAAAGAAUAACGGUAACUGGAAAGUUUGACGACAUAAAGAUCUAGCUAAAUUUUAAGAAGCAAAAGUAAAUAAUGAAAGCUCAAUAAAAGAUCAUCAGCAUUAACAUACCGAAAUGAGAGCAGCUCACAGAACUGGUAAUUUCCAAGAACAGGAAAAAUAAGUGAGCUGAUAUUGAGGACAACUAAAAUAGUCAUGGAGUAAUUUGCUAUUGAGGACACCUAAAAUAAGAAAAUUAAUUAACAUUGCUCUAUACAGCAUUUCAAUAAUUUGACUAUUAAAAAAAAAAAUUUAUCUAGAUCACGAUUUCUCAAAAUGAUGCUUUUUCUAAUUAAAUAAAUCAAAAUGCCUGCUUCUUUCUUUUUCAGAAAAGAAAAAGUGGCAAUGGCAUCAAUUUUUUGCUAGAUUUUUAUCACCAAAAGCACAAGCAAGGAAUAAGAAUACUCUCUGAAACCAACCAUGUAAAGAGUAGAAGUAAGUGGUCAAUUGUAAAUUAGUCUUUCUUUUUUCUUUGUUAUUUUUUCAUUUUUUGAAUGUGAACUAAAUAAAUUUAAGGGUGAAGCUAUUACACCUUGAAAACUAUAACUGAACACCCAUUUUUUUUUAAUUAAAUUUUUAUUACUAAAAUAACCAUGGAGUAAUUUGCUACUAAGGAAAACUAGAAUAAUAAAAUGAAUAAUGAUUGCUCUAUACACCCUUUUCUAAGUCUAUCGUCUUCUUAAUUUCAUAAUUUGGCUGUCAAAAAAUAAUCUAUCUAGAUCACGAUUUCUCAAAAUGAUGCUUUUUCUAUCUAAAUAAAUGAAAAUGCUUGUUUCUUUCUUUCUCGAAAAGAAAAAGUGGCAAUGGCAUCAAUUUUUGCUUGCAAGCACAGCGAGGAAUCAGUAUACUCUCGGAAACUAACCAUAUUAAGAGUAGAAAUAUUUAUUUGGUUAUCACGAAGUAAGUUAGAAAUCAAUUAUAAAUGGUCUUUUUUUUUUAUUUUUUAAUGUGAACUAUAUAAAUUUAAGGUGAGGUUAUUUACACUUUGAAAAACAUUCUGAAAACCAUUAUUUCAUUAAAUUUUUUAUUAUUAAAGGUCCGUUUGGGGCAGCUACGCUGAAGCAGCGCAGCUGCCCCAAACGCUCUCUAAAAUAGCCAUGGAGUAAUUUCUUACUGAGGAAAACUAGAAUAAUAAAAUCAAUUAUCAUUCUUCCAUGAACCCGUUUCUAGAUGUAUCUUCUUCUUGAUUUGGUAACUUGGCUGUCAAAAAGAAAUCUAUCUAGAUCACGAUUCCUCAAAAUGAUGCUUUUUCGGAUGAAAUAAAUGAAAUUGAACCUACAAUCUGCCACAAACACGUUAUAAUGAGCCUAAUGAAAAGCAGUAUGAGAAAUUUUGCUUCCAUGUUGUUUCUUCCAUAUGUAAAGGUAGUAAAAAGAAAUUUAAGUCCUAGAAUGGAUGAAGAAUUAUCAAUAAUUAAAAUAAAAAUGGAUGAAGAAUUAUCAAUAAUUAAAAAAAAAAAAAAAAACAGAGUUAUAAAAGAAUCACAGUUCCACCAAAAAUUAAGAGUUAUUUUAUUUGGUGGUUUCCUAUCCCGAAAGCAUUACUUGUAAAUAUGUGCUAACAAGUAAUAAUUAAGAAAGUUAAGGCCAAUCAUUUAGCAGGGAGAAAAAUGGAAACAUCCGGAAUAUUGUUAUGUGUUUUCAGUUAUCUACCAAUCAAUAAUGAAAAAUUAAAUACGCAUGUGACGAAAAUUUAAUAAAGAGAACUGGAGGUGACAAAAUUUUUAUUAUUCUAUCUUUCUCUCUGAAACUUCCUUAAUUUGGUUGGGAAGUGCUUUGUCUUAGGCAGUGGAUCUGUUAUAAAUACCCUUUGCUAAAGUUAAUAUUUUGAUUGAAGAAAAAAAUAGAGGAGAAAAAUUUUAUUAAAGUAUAACAUAAUUUGAUAAAUUUAGAAUUGAGGAGAGAAAAUGAGUAUAAAUUCGAAAAUUUUGGCACUAUUUACAUAUCAUUAUUUGGGCAAAAAUUCAUUUCUCUGCUUUCAUAUGAUUUGGUCUUUCAUUGUUACGGUGCCAAUUUUUUAUUUAAAGAUGUAAGAUAGUGGUACUAUAGCUUAGAUUUUCCGUAAGUACAAAAUAAAAUACUAGUUUAAAAUAUAAAAAUGAAAAACUAUUUUUAUAACCAAUAUUCAAUUAAAUACACUUGAAACUCUAUUUUUUCUUAAUAAAAAAAUUCUAAUUUAUUUUCUCAAUUUAUCUAAACAACUUUACCUAAUCAAGCUAAAUCUACAUAUUACCCUAAACCUUAAUUCAUAAACACCCAAUCAAUCCAAUUGUUAAAUCCGAUUUCAUAAUUAAAAAAGCUAAAUUCUAUUUUAUUAUUUAUGGUGCAAAGUAAAAAAUGCCCUUGAAGUUAAGGGUAAAAUUGAUAUUUUAUUUAAAUUUUGUUAAUAUUCUAAUAAUGUUAAUGUCUUAGUGGUUAAUAAAAUCACAAAGUCAAACUUUUGUAGUAUUUUUUAUAAUAAGGUAAAGAUAUAUGUUUGAUAAUUUUCCUACGUCUUUUUACGUUAAAUUGAGUCUCAAGAGAAAAAUGAUUAAUUUGCUACAAUUCUGUCAGUUUUCUGAUGGAAGAUAAUGAUACAAUGAAUAAAUAAUACAUAUUAUUAAAUUAGUGUAGAUGAAUGAUACAACUUGAAAAUAUUGUAGUAUUCUUAAUAGUAGAGAAAUGUAAAGGUGGAUGGUUGAUAAUUUAAUGAAGUAACUACAGAAUUUUCCUUUCAAAUAUUUUUUUAAAAUAUAUGAUGAGUAAAAAUCAUUUUACAGAAUGAUCAUACGCAUUUUGUAUCACAAACGAAAACAUGAACCAACUAUGUAUAGAGUCAAUUAACUAAAGUUCUCAAGAGUUGACCUGUGCUCCUGAAUUCUUGGAAUCAUCAAUCUCCUUCUGAACUUGGACGAAGCUUGGGACAUCAACGAUUACAUUGUUUGCAGAUGGAAAUGGGAUCUGAUAACCCGCAGGCCAAAAGUUGAUGAGGUUUGGUAAAUCUGACAGUAUCAAGUCCCCAAGUUCAUUCAUAACAAUUUCAUUGUACUCCGUGACGUCUGCUCCAUCUUUAUGCCAGAAUACUUCUUCUAAUUCAUCAUUACCUAUUAUCCAUAUGUACUUCAGUUUUUGAAGACUUGGAGCUACGCUGAUAUGAAAUAGAUGCUUUAGUUUGGGGCAAUAACCGACAGAGAUCCUUUUGAGUUUUGGGAAACAUACAGGUUGGAGAUGAUCCUCAUCCUCAUCCUCAUCAAUGAUUUGCUCUAAUUCGAAGCAAUUCCAAACAUAUAACGCCUCCAAUUGCAACAGAUUUCGAGCAAAUGUUGAUGAGAAGAGACGUCUCAGCAUAGUGCACCCGUCCACUGUUAAAUAGGUAAGACUUUGCAGGCUAAAAUUAUGCGUGGGACCUACGUGAUAUAAUACUUGCAGUUCUCGAAGGUUUUCCAACUGCACCUCCUUCAAACAUGGGAAUAGUUUGUUUUCUUGUCCCUCAGCGAUAAUAGCUUCCAAUUGAAAUACCACCUGUACUCCCAGUUGUCUAAUACCCAAUUCUUCCAAAUUUUUUAAGCCGUGCUUCAACACUGCUGGAAUCGUGUCACUCAAAUGGGAACAAUUGUCCACAUAUAGAAUUUUUAAGUUCUGAGACAAAUAAAUAAAUAACUUGAUGCAAUUAAAAUUUAUUAGCAGCUAGGAUUAUCACAUGAUAAGUGAUGAAUACCGCAAAAAACAAAAACAGAAAACAAAAUCCAUACAAAAAUAUCAUAAUACAUAUGUAAACUAAUAAAAUAAUUAAAAAGUAAUGGAUUUAAAAAAAAAUGAAAUUAGUUAAAAGAGAUCAUGUGAAGUGAUAUAAAUGUGACAUUAGAUUGUUUUAGAAAAAUUAUUAUUCUAUUAAUUUAUAUGGCUUGAUCAACUAUUUAAUUGAAUUUGAAUAAUAUUAUAUACACUUCAGAAGUAUUUGCAUCAAUUCUUUCUAAACCAAAAUGAGAUAUGACUUUCAUUUGAAGAAUGAUUUUAGGCCCUAUAAUAAAGAAAUUUCUCCAAAAUAUCUGAGCAUUAUUAUUAUCACCACCACAUCCACCACCAUCAUCAUCUCCAUAGGAUCAAAAAAUUAAUGGCUGAUCAUAAAAUUUAUUGCGAAACUAUCAUUUUGAGUAAAAUUGAAUGAAAAGAAAAAACAUGAACCCAAACAAACAUACCUCUUUGAGAUACUGCAAAUUGGCUUCAAGUUCAUUACUGUUGAUGGUCAAGUUGGGACAGUUAUGAAGGUCUAAAUUUUCCAAUGCUGUCCAAAUUGAACAAUAAUUCUCUGAACAUAACUUGGUGAGUUCUGGGAGAUCUUUAAGUUUUAAUUUUCUCAACAAAGGGAGGGCGAGCAUCGUAUUUCCAUCUCCAACACUUAUUCCCCCUUCAUUGUGAUCAAACUUUGCUUCGACAAUAUAUUCCAGUCUCUCGCAAUAAGUCACAAUGAGACUUUUAAGCUGCUCCAAACUUCUAGCUUGUGACAACGUGAAGAUGUAUGUCAACUUGUUGCACAUAUGCACAUUCAAUUCUGUAAGAGUUUGGAGACUGAUCACAUGUUGGGCGGGCGCCUUCCAUAUCCACUUCAGUUCUGGUAAUUGCAACAUAAAUAACUCUGCUAAUCUUGAGAGACUCUUUCUAUGCGGCGACUUAGAGGCAUCCAUUAUGCAUUCUAAAUCUUCGCAAUCGCGGACAUCAAGACAAGUCAACUCAUUUAAGCCCCUUUCAUCUAUGCUUGGCACAAUAUUGUAACAACCUAUAAUCCCACUUAAAUAAAGAAUUUCCAGUUCUUGAUACAAUGCCGAAAAAAUACCGAGCGAGGUCGCUUCAGGAGGGUAAUUAUUAAUUAUUAAGCUCUUUCUCUGACUAACAUAUUUCAUUUUAUCAACAACUCCUUCAACUUUAUAGAUGAUGUACCUUUGCAAUUUCGGGAAUGUAAAGUCUUUUGGAAGACAUACAACAGAUCCGUCGGCUUGGGAGUUCAACUCAGCAAGCCUAGCAUUACUUUCUUCUGAACUCAUCCCUUCAACCUCCCAAUUUUUUAUCCAACCAUAAAAUUCUUCCAAUUGAGGAAAUUUUUUUAUCGUAAUGGGAGAAACAGAACCGGUAUCAAUAAAUAGAAGUUUCAAUCUACGAAGUUCAUCCGACAAUUCUUCAGGAAUUUCAAUGGGAGAAUCCUCGAGAUAAAGAAGUUCAAGUCUCUUCAACUUUCCAAGAAAAGAUGCGUCACUCACAUCACAUCCAAUCAGCUGCAGAACUCGGAGGCUACUGGCGAGGAAUCGAAGCGAUUUUAGUGAAAGGACUCCAUCUUUUAUAAUAACAACUUUCAAUGCUGGCAUCCCUUCAAAAAAAUGUUCUGGAACUUGCAAUUUGUAGUCACAUAGAGUAUUGUCCAAUCGCAAAAUAUGAAGGUUAGGGCAUACCAAACCACUAGGAAGCUCUUCUUCUUUAUUUCCCAUUACAAAGAUUCCUCUGUAUUGUUCCAAGCCUUCUUCCAUUGCCCAUUCUGCCAAUCCAAUGCCAACUUUACCAAAAAAUUUCUUCUCCACUAGUACUUCUGACCCUAUCCAUAUGGCUACAUCACGAACUAUGUCAUGCAUUUUCACAGAUCUGUCAUUACCAGUGUCUAACAGCAGUGAAGCAGCUUUGAGUCCUUCAAUUGUUCCACGCAGUAGGCUUCUGGCGUGCUCUAUUGAUUCAGCUUGAUACCAGGUCAACCCCACUACAUAUCGAACCAAAACCUCCAAAUUAAUCUCAUAAUCUUCUGGAAACAGCGAACACAACAAGAAGCAUAACUUGGAAUUGUCAUCAUUCAAAUUGUCGUAACUAAAUUUGAGACAACCGUAAACGUCUAGGUUCUCCUCAUCAAUACCUUCUAUUGCAUAGAGUUUUGCAGCCUUUAGGUUAUGUAGAGCCAGGUUCCAUUCAUUAAAUCCUUUUCCUCUUAGUGCACUUCCAACAGCUUCAAUAGCUAAAGGCAGCCCGUUACAUUCUCCAGCAACUUCUUUGGAAACAUCAUUCAAGGUGGAGUCAUUUACAUCAAUGCCGGCAUUUUUUCGCAGUAAAGCCAAUCCUUCUUCUGGCGUUAGUGUACUAAGUGGAAUCUGUGUGUCACAACCCAAAGAAUCACAAACUGACUUUUUGCGAGUGGUUAGAAGGAUUUUGCAACAAUUAUCUCUACCACCGACGGGAAUACCUAAUUUUUUCUCCGAGUCGAGUUGUUUCCAAAUAUCAUCAAGGAUUACGAGGAUUUUGCUGCUUUUACUCUCAGAAAACAUCAAGCGCAAUCGGUCUGCUCUCUCUUUUUCAUCUUUCUCAUUUAGUGCCCAGCCUAACGACUUUGCCAGCUCACCUUGAACCUUUAUUAUAUCUGGAUCCUGAGACACAGUGGCUAUCCCCACCUUAUCGAAAAUCUUUUGUUGCCGAAGUUGAUUGCCCACAGAUUUUGCCAAGGUCGUCUUUCCUACACCGCCGAGACCAUGCAAUCCCACCAUCUUUGUGCUGUCUUUUUUCAGUGCUUCAGUGAUCUGAUUACAAGCCGAUUCUGUAGUCUCGAAAGAAGAAAAAAAUCUUGGAAUAGGCAUUUCUGUGUCUGAUGGUAGAGGUUUAGGAAGGGCAACUGUGCUGAAUUUGCCGCGGUCUUGUAGAUCGAACAACUUGAGAGUCUCCUUUGAUGCUUUUCUACCCAUCCAAUAUCGGAAACCCCAAUUAGGACACCAUCCAUUAAAACAACUCUUCUUUUCAUCUAUCUUUGCUUUCAAAUUUCGGACAUCGGCCAUUUCUUCGACUACAUCCGCCAGCCACUUCUCUACAUCUUUCUCAACUACUACAGCGCAGUGUUUUUGUCGUUCUUCUUCUACUUUUUUGUUGAUGCCAUCUUGUGCCUCCUUCAAAUUAGUUUCUUUAUCCUCAAGUUCUUUAACAAUGCUGUUGAAACAGAACAGAUAGCGAGCUUGUUUUACGGUAGCAUCCACCAAUAAUUCUCCAAGCUUUGAUGCAAUACCUGCUAAAAUUUCCAUGCUAUUUAUCUGCAAUUAACAAAGUUGAUCUCAGUACACUAUAAGCAAAACAACAAGGCUUGAUCACAAGAUCGAACGAUAAUGUUUAAUUACUUUUUUAUUGAAUGUUUAAUUGCUUUCUUUUAUUCUAUGAAUGCACGUUUAUUAACGCCAGCUUUGAUCAAUAAGAGCAAAAUGCAAACGCCAGGCUUUAAGUAGCCUUUAGCUGCAAACAAAAGAGAAGAAAUAAGGCAAACGUGAUAGAUGGUGGAUUAUAUUGAAAUUAGAUUACUUUAGAAAUUUUUAAAUAAAAAUAUCAAACAACAAAUUUAAUAGAAUCUAGAUAAAUCGAAGAGUUUGUUGUGCAUUGCGAGUGAAGACAGGCAGUUACAUGGGGGAAUCUGGUAAGAGUGAUGAAAAUUAAAAAGCCAUCCAUAAUUAAAGUUAAAAAGAGUAUUAGAGAUUAGAGGGGUUCAACAUCUUAUGCAAGCCCACUCAUGAUAAAAUUUGAAGAUAAUUAUCCCAUUUUUACUUCAAUCAAUAUUCUAAUACAAUAAUUCCAUAAAUCUCAAAUAAUAUCUUAAGAUUUUUUUUUCCCCAAACACUCAUCUAUUUGAUGAUUAAUUUAAUUAUUUAUUACUCUAUUUUACUACAUAAUUGAUACAAAUGACACUUUGUUUGGGAUGGUAAAGAUUGGGGUAAAUUUCCUUUUAGUCUCUAAAAUUUGGACCUAUUAUAGCUAUUGAACAUACUUUUCAAACGUAAAAUAGUAUUUUCUGUCUAAUAUAAAUUAAAAAUCAAACAAAUUUAUCAUGCAACAAAUGAAAAGUAAAGAAUAUUAAUUAAGUUUUAAUGGAAACAAAUAUAAAAUAUAGAGGUUUUGAUUAAUUUUUGUGAUUUUUUUAAUGUUUGAGUUAGAAUUGAAUAAUUUGCAUAAUGAAAAUUUGAGGUUGUAUAAUUUAUAUGAAGAUAAACUGCAAAAUAAGUUUACAUGCAGAAUUUAAGAUAGUUAUAUAUUAGUAAUCAUGCAAUUAUCAAAUUUUUUAAUAAAAUUUAUUUAAAAAUUGGCCAAUUGUGUUUCAUGAAGUAAACAGAGAGCAUAAUGGACUUAUGUGGGUACUUGGGAUUGAAAGACUAAGGGUCCGUUUGAGAUUUUUUUAGAAGGUUUAAAAGUGAUUUUGAAAAUUUAAAAGCUAAUUUUAGUGUUUGGUACAAAAAAAAUCAAAAUUACUUUUGUCAAAAUCAGCCCCUCCUAUAGCUGAUUUUGAAAAGUAGGGAAUAAGUAACUUUUAGAUUCUGAUUUCGAGAAUCUAUUUUAUCUUUUAAUACAAUUUCAUAAAUAUCGUUAAAAUUAUUAGAUAAACCCAAAAUUAUCCUUAUUCAAAUUGGAAACAAAAUAAAUAUUUUAAUAAAUUAUUAUUAUUAGUCAUUUAUUUUCUCUCAGCAGUUUAACAGUAAAAUUUACCAAAUGUCUAUAACUGCUUUCAAAACUCACAGUACUUCUCAAAACAAAAUUUACCAAAUACUUAACUUAUUUUCUUUACAGCUGAUUAUUUCUACGGCACAACUAACAACAAUUAUUUUAAAAGUUACAACAUUCCCAAACUGACCCUAAGAGGCCCGAAGAUAGGACGGUAUGAAAGUUAUGAAAGUUAAUUUUACUUGUAAGGUAUGUUCAACAGAAGUGACUUGGAGGUGAUUGCCGUUAAUCAAAUAAAUGAAUGAAAAUUAAUGUAAUAAAAAAAUCGCACUAAAAACUUGGAACUUAAAUUCUCAAUCAUCUUUUCCGUACGUUUUAAUCCAACGGUCAGAAUUGGCAUAAAACAAGCUAGUAUAGCCAUUGGAAUUAAGUAAAACAAACAUCAAACUAAGAGGCAAGAGCCUAUGAAGCAAUAAUAUCUCAUACCUUCUUCCGUUUAUAUCUUCAAUUACUGCUGAAAGCUCUAGCUAGAGAGUCGCACAAGCUCGGAGAAAAUUAAAAGCUGCAUCUAGCAAUAUAAAUAAACAUGAGAUCAAAACAACAUAGGAUAUAUCUAGCUAAUUAACAUCAUAUAUAACUCUUUGUUCUCAGUCAAAUCUUUCAUUCUUAGGAGGAUAAAAUAAAAAAAUUUAAAUUUAAAUAUUUUAUUAAUUUUUAUAAAAUAUUUAAAAAAUAUUUUAUAAAAUCAAUUAAUUCAUGGUAUUAUUAAUUUUCAUGAUUAUUUUUAAUAUUAUAUUUGUGAUUAUCAAAUCUAAUACAAUCAAAUAAUGCAAUAAAUUAUUAAAUGGUUAAUUUUAUUGAUAAAUUAUUAAAUUACAAGUAUUGAAAAUUUAAUCUCAAGAGUUAGUAGAAGUAAAAGUACAAAUUUAAUUAGAUCAUAGAUAAUACAUAAAAAAUAAAUUUUAAGUAAAUCAUAAUAAAAAAAUAAUUAUUCAAUCCAUUAAUAUUAGGUGUAAAUAAAAAAAAUGACAUAAACAAAAGUGUCAUAAAUCGACAACUUUUUUCUUUAAUCUUAUCCCAACUAAACCCAUGUGUAAAUUAGGAUUAUUGAUCUCAUGAUUUUAAGAUUAAACUCAAAUUUAGUCCCCCUUAAUCCAAUUAAACUAAACUUGCCAAACAUGGGAUAAAUAUUUAAUUCCAAAAUUAGUCCAAUCCCAUGCUUAGGGCCAGUCUAGGAAUGUUGUACUUUUUAAAAUAAUUGUUAUUAGUUGUGUUGUAGAAAUAAUCAACUGUGAAGAGAAUCAGAUAAGUGUUUGGUAAAUUUUAGUUUUAGAAGUACGAUGAGUUUUGAAAUCAGUUAUGAGCAUUUGGUAAAUUUUAUUUUUAAACUACUGAGAGAAAUCAAAUGACUAAAAUGUACAUUAUAUAGGAUAAAAUUUACUUAUACAUAUAAAACUAUGUAUAUAUAAUAUUUUUAAUUGUGUACUUUAAUAAUUUUUACUAAAAAUAAAAUUUAUAAUAUAUUUAUUUUAUUUCUUUAUUUCUUUAUCUUAAAACAAUUGAUAAUUAAAUUUAUAAUAUGGUGAAACAAAUUUAAUAAUAAUUCGACCAACAAAUUGAUAUUAAUAAAUUUAUAUUGAUAAAUUAUAAUAAAAUAUUAUUAAAAUAUUGAUUUUGUUUACAAUUUGAAUAAGGAUAAUUUUGGGUUUAGAUAAUAAUUUUAAGGAUAUUUAUAGAAUUGUAUUAAAGGAUAAAAUUGAUUUUCAAAAUCAAAAUUUAAAAAUUACUCGUUUUCUAUUUUUCAAAAUCAGUUGUGUGAUGAAUUAAUUUUGACAAAAGUAAUUUCAAUUUUUUCCACCAAACAAUAAAAUUAACUUUUAAAUUUUCAAAACCACUUUUAAACCUCUCAAAAAGCAAUUCCAAAUGGGCGCUUAAUCCAAUCAUCCAAAAUCGGGCUAAAAAGUUGCACUAAAAACAAGCUCGUAUAGCCAUUGGGAGUAAAACAAACAUCAAAUUAAGAGCCUAUGAAACAAUAAUAUCUCAUACCUUCUUUCUCAUAGAUCCUCAAUUACCCCUGAAAGCUCCGGUUAGAGAGUCGCACAAGCUCGGAGAAAAUUAAAAGCUGCAUCCAGCAAUAUAAAUAAACAUCAGAUCAAAACAACAAAGCAUAUAUCUAGCUAACUAAACAUCAUCUAUAACUCCUCGUUCUCAGUCAAAUCUUUCAUUCUUAGGAGAUAAAAAAAAGAUUGAAAUAAUAACUGUAACUGAUAUAGGAAGCAAAAGUAACAUACCAAAACGAGAGCGGCUAGCUCACAGAUCUGGUGACUUCCAAGAGCAUGAAAAAUGAUUGAGGUUUAAUAGCAAGUUCACAGAUGACAGAUGUGGUGACUUCAAGAGCAUGAAAAAUGAUAAAACUUUGGUAGAAAGGUCAGAGCCGCGUUUCACAAGUUGCUAUUGACUUCGUGGCUUCGCUUUUAUUUAUUAUUAUUAUUUUUUUAAAUUCUAUAUCAGUGAGAAUUGAAAUGUGGAAAGUGUAAUGAUACACAUGCCUUAUCAUCUAUCGUGAGGGGUGAUUUGGUAAAACCGAUUUAAAAUAAAAAAGUUUUAAAAAAUUUAAAAAGAUGCUUUGUGUCUGACUGCUUGUAUUUGGGGUAUUUUUCGGGUUGUUGAGAGUGAGUUUAAUUAAAUAUAAGAUUUUCAUUUUUCUUAUUCUAUUUUUCUCUUUAGAAUGAAUUUAAAUCUCAUUCUUAUUAAAUUCAUUUUUUUAAAUGAAAGUAGAUUUCUCUCCACACAUUUGAGAUAUAUUUUAAAAUUAAUGUUCAGUAUAUCUCUAAAUUAUAUUAUAAAUAUUUUUAUUUAAAAUCUCAACAAAUUUCAUAACACACAAAGAGAAAUACAUAUAUAUGUUGUAAUGUUUUAAUGAUGGAUCUCCAAAGUUAUCAAGUUAAAAAAUAAAUUAAAAAAAUAAAAAAUACACACUUCAACUUAUUAUAUGAUAAAAUAUAAUAAAUUAAAGUGAGUAUUAUAUUUAUUUUUUAUUUUAUCUCUUAACUUAAUAACCUAAAAUAUAUUUAUUUAAUAAUGAUUAUAUAUAUAUAUAUAUAUAUAAUUUUUUAAAAAAUAAACAAUUUAAGUGAAGCAAAGGACAUUUUAGAGGCAUUGCGAGACUACCAAUUUACCAUUUUGGGUUGCAAUAAAGUGAAAACUGUAGACUACCAAUCAACCAUUUUAUUGAAUCGGGUCCCGCUGACUUACAGCUUAUGUAAAGUUACAUUCAUAACAAAUUGAUACUUGUCUUUAUUAUAAAUUAUUCUUUUAUUCAAAUAUACGUUCAUUUCUUCAAUCAAGUCCUCAUAUUCGUUCAAUUUAUGAUAAGAUCCUUGUAUGGGAGCAUAUCUGCAUAUGUAAUAAUUAUUCUUCUAUUUCAGAUAGUUUUUGUGAAAAAAUACUUUUAUCAAUUAUUUAUGUUUACUAAUUCUUAUGUCUUUUUUUUAUUACUUUUCAUAGCUCUAUAUAAAUGUUUGCUAUAGAAUUUGUGUUAUUUCGCUAUAAUAUAAUUUAUAUUGUAAACCUCUGUUCAUCUGUAAAUAAAAUGACAAUUUUUUUGUUUACUCCUAAAAAAUAUGAAAAUAUUAAUUUACUCUCAUAUUUAUUUAGAAGACAAUGGCAAAUAAGGUCGCAUUGAUAAUUUUUUUUAUUUACUUAUUAAUUAAUUAGAGUAAAUUAAUAUUUUCAUAAUGAGAGAUACAUUGAAGAUUGUCAUUCUUAGUAGAGGGUAAAUUAAAGUUUAUCUAAUUAAUUUAAAAUAUCAUUAAAAUUUAACAUUCUAAUCUGGAUUAAAUUUCUGGGGGGGGGGGGGGGAGAACGUCCUUAUUCGGAUUAGACUCAGCUGGAAGAGGCACAUCCUUAGCUGGAUCAAUUUGUUCAAGAUUGGAUGCAUCCAUCGGUUUCAAAUUUGUCUCUUGUAAGUAUCAUCGGAUUUCUUUACUAAAAUUUAGAUUAUCAAUCACAUCUAAAACUUAUUGAAUGAUACAUUUCAUUUCUAUAAAAUUGAGUUACUAUUACCACCUCACAUCUUAUAAAUUCUAGAAAAUAAUCAAGGCUUGACAUACUUUUAUUUAUGCAAAAGCAUAAGAAAAUAAUUCAAAGUACUAAUUAGUGCACUAUUACUCAAAAUUCUAGAAUAGAUUUGCUAGUUCUCUUUAGCCAUAGAUUGGUCCAUGAUUGGCACCGCAAUAGCUCAGAAUCACCUCAACGAUUGUUCCACACAGCCCAACAUGACACACUGUAAACUAGUCUAACAUGAACUUUCUGAGUGGCUUUCUAACAAUAGUCUUAGAGAAAGUGUUUAGUAGUAUGAAGUCUUCUUUUUUUAACAUAAAUGUUGGCAUGAUAUUCUUAAUAUAUUUCUAAAAUCAAAAUAAGAUGCAUAGAGGACUAUGAUAAUUUUAUUUCAUAAUUGAAUUUUUUGCAAAGAAAGUUUGAACAUGAGAGUGAUGAGAGAUGAUAAUAUUGAUGAUGGUGUGUACUUUAGAUGGAAAAAUAGAUUGGAAAUAUAUAUAGACAUAUUAAAAGAAAAAAAAUUGGUCUAUUUCAUAAGAGAAACAAAAAAUUAUAAACGCGGGUGUUAAAAUAUAUUCAGAAUUUAUAAAUUUUUAUAAAUAUGAUAAUCAUUAGACCCUUAUAAAAGUAUAGCAAAAAGUUUAAUUUUUUUUAAUAAAUGUCGAAGAGAUGGACGAAGAAACCAUCCACCAGUUCAGAAUUAAUAAUCAAAGAUAUGAGGGCUUGAUUGAAGAAAUGGUGAAAAAUAAAAGGACAGUAGGACACUGGGUUGGUUAGCGGGACCCUAAUAUUAAUGGUUAAAAAUAAAAGAACACUGGGUUGGUUAGCGGGACCCUAAUAUUAAUGGUUAAAAAUAAAAGGACACUAGGUUGCUAUCAAUUUCUACCGUGUAGGUUCAUAGCCGGGGAAGUAAUUGGGCACAAAUAUCUCGGAUGAGAAAUAACCAUUUUAUCCCGCAACCAUAUGUUUAUGGCCUCUAAAAAUUUUCACCUCUUUCACUUCUGGAACCCGUGCUUUCUGGCACAUGCACAAUACUUGGUUGCUACUUAUAGAGCGUUUUUAGAAUUGCAACGACAUGGUGCUCUUUGAUAAUUAAAAAAUCCAAUAUAAUUUAUAGAGAAUUACAGAAUUGUUUGGUACGUGAUAAUUUGCUGAUGCAAUGAGGCGCCGAAAUUCUUAUACAUGUGAUUUAAGUUAUAUAUGUAUAGUUAAGUACUUAGCAAGCACUAGUUGGGGGUAUUUGUGUCCAUGGAAAUCUACAGCUGGUUGUUGACAUUACACUGCGGGUGUGUAAUUAUUACAUAUGCAGAUAUUCUCCCAUGCGAGGAUCUUAUCAUAAAUUUAAAGGAUACGAGGACUUGAUUGAAGAAAUGAACGAAUAUUUGAAUAUAAAAAAAAGGGUAAUUUUUAAAAACCUCUCCUGAGGUUUGGGCUUGUUGCAAGUAGAUGGCGAGAAUUUACUUAUUUGUAAAAAAUUCCCUACCAUCAGUUAACUUUAAUAUUGACCGUUAGUUGACUGUACAAAGACAAUAUUACCCUUAACAACAGUUUGUAGAUUGAAAUAACAAAAAAAAAAAUUAAAAUUGUUGGCUAUUUUACCCUCUUUAAAUUAUUGAUAUUUUCUUAAAGUUCCUACAAGAAAGAUAAAAUUAAAAAAUUAAAAAAUCUUCUUUAAAUUAUUGAUAUUUUCUUAAAGUUCCUGCAAAAAAGAUAAAAUUAAAAAUUUGAAAAUGAAAUAGUUAUAAUAUUUACCUAUGAUAUUGUAAAUCUUUGGAAUUGACAAGGAUAAAAUUGUCAAAAAAUAGGGUUUGUGCUUUUCGCGCCAACAAUUUUAAUUUUUUUUUUAGUUAUUUCCGUGUAUAAACUGUUGUUAAGGGUAAUAUUGUCUUUGCACAGUCAACUAACGGUCAAUGUUAAAGUUAACUGACGGUAGGGGGUUUUUUACAAAUAAAUAAAUUCUCGCCAUCUACUUGUAACAAGCCCAAAUCUCAGGGAGGUUUUUAAAAAUUACCCAAAAAAAAAUUUAGAAUAAAGACAAGUAUUAAUAUACUAUGAAUGCAACUUACAUAAGCUGUAAGUUAGCGGGACACUAUUGAAUCACAAGCAAAAAGCAAUCUGACUUCUUCUUGAUUCCGUAAUUUGGCUGUCAAAAUGUAAUCUAUAAAAAUUACGAUACCUCGAUUCAAAAAAAUGUUGUUUCUGAUGAAAUAAAUGAAAAUUGAACGUACAAUCUGCCACGAACACUGUUUAAUUAACCGUUUAUUUCCCCUUAAAUUUUUAAUCUCAAUGAAACAUAGAUCUAAUGGGAACUACAUAUAUAUAAAAAUACUAUAGAUUGAAGAAGUUGAAUUUUUCUUGUGUGUUAAGUAUUUUUAGUUAAUACGAAAGGAUUCUAGCAAGUUAAUACAAAAGUAUCAUAAAUUCAUAGUAGUAAAAGAGAUUUUUUUUUUCUUUUGAUAUUAAGAGUUUUCGAGAUAAAAAAAAAAAAAAUAGGUGAAAGAAGAAGAUGAGAGAAGAAAAAAUAUUAAGAAUAGUUUUGACAUUUUGAUGCGUUUUAUAGAAUAAAAUCUAUAUUUUAUAGUAUAAAAUGGUACACCCAAAAUUUAAUGAUAAAAUUUUAGGAAAAAAUUGCACUCGUCAAAAAAAAAAAAAGCUCAGCUUAGCCCAAAAUUUUUUUAUUAAUCUUCUAGUCGCUAAUGUAAUCUCUUUUUUAUGAGAUUCUUUGGCGUUUUAAUUUAGUCCAUUGUUAGCAAUCCUAAUAGCUUUUAUGUGCAUCUAUUUUUAUUUGAAAUAUGUUUCAAGCUUUAUAUAAAAAAAAAUAUAUAUAUGUUUCAAGCUUGAAUAAAAUCUGCGAGACAACUGGUAAGUAAUAAAGCUCAUCAUUUUUUAUUUUGAAAAUAAAGGGAAUCACUUACACUUAGCAUGAUAUUAUUUUUGAUAAGUCAUUUUUUUGGUAGAUUAUUUUUUCUGACACGCUCUUAGAUUUAGUGAAAAUAAAUUGUAUACUUUUAAUGAAGAAAAGUAAAGAUCAACAAAAUAUUUUGUUGUUUUCGACAAUUUUUGCGUUGUCAAGUGUGCCUAGUACCCUUUUUUUUUUGAACUUUUGAGUUGUUGUUUAAUUUGUAUUAUAAUUAAUUAUCAUGGACCCACGCGCCAUUGUUUCCAUUUCAAGUUUCAUAAUUUAACCGUAGAAAUGGGUUCCACAGAUAAUUUAUUUUAUAAUUUUUUUAAAAAUUACUAAAAUAUAAUAAAUAAGGUAAUAAUAAUUAAUAAAAAAGUAGAUUUUAAGAUGGAAAAAUCUUUUCGUGUACUUAAUAAAAAGAUGAUAAGAAUGGGAUGCUUUUGGUUUACAUUCUCAUAGCUAUUUAUACUGAAAAAUUACAUCAAAAUUUAAUUAAUAAAUCAGUGAACUGCAGACUUAUUAAAUUUAAGCUAUUUUAAUAAGUCAUAAAUAUACUAAGUUAAAAUAGUAGUAAACCCAUUGUUACAGAAUACUCUCCAUUGAGUGUUCACCAUUUUAAGAUAAUCAUAAAAUGACACCGGAAGUGCUAUUAUAGCUGUCUCAUGGAAAGCCUUCACCAAUAAAAAGGAGGAUAGAGCACAUACAUCCAGUUUUUAUACCCUUUGAUGCUCAGUCGACACGUGCCAAUGCUAUAGACUAGCUGAUAAUCUACUAAGGUGACGCAUGCCAAUGCUAUAGACUAGCUUUUCAAAGGUUGAAGUGGGUGUACAUUUAGUAAAAAGACCUGCACAAUUAUAGUGUACCUAUUUGACAUCAACUUUUUUUAUCUGCUGGAGCUUAUGAUUAUAGAAGAUCUUCGGUAAGAUGUGUUUGAUUUUAUCUUCUUUUAUAUAUCCUCCUCUAACUUGUGUAACAGUAGUAAACCCCUGCCCGUUUUUAUUUCGUUUAGUAUUUUCCAAAUGGCCGAAGGAAAAUUGGUAAAAACUCAUUUAAAAAUUAAAAAAAAAAUCAAAGAAAUUCAAGAAGAAGCUUUUGUAUCUGCCAUUUGUAUUUGGGGUAUUUUUUUGGUUGUUAAGUGAAUGAGCUUAAAUCUAAAACAUUUAUUUAUAUAUUUCUUGUUGGAAAGAAUUAUAAAUCUUAUUCUUAUUAGACUUAUUCUCUUUAAAUAAAGGUAGAUUUUUCUCUAUGUGUUUAACGUGUAUUUUAAAAUUAAUGUUCAACAUAUCUUUAGAUUCUAUUAUAAAUAUUCAUAUCUAAAAUCUCAACAUAUUUCAUAAUAUAUAAAUAUAUAUAAAGAGAGAAUAACGUUUCUAAUAAGAAAUUUAUUAAGUAAAAGAAUAAUUCAAAAGAUAAAAUAACACACUCUAAUAUAUUAUAUAAUAAAAUAUAUUGUAUUAAAAUACAUAUUUUGUUUACUUUUUUUAAUAUAUCUCUUAAUAACUUAAGAAAUCCUUUAUUUAACUAUAUAUAUAUAUAGAGAGAGAGAGAGAGAAAUGUUUGCGGGAAAUAGUUUUAAAGGUUUAAACUGUAAGCUUUGAAAGCUGUGAAGUUUUAAAAAUUUUUCGAAUUUUCCCGCACUUUAAAAUUACUGACCGGAAAACUAUUAUAUAUAUAUAUAGUUUUUUUAAAAAUAGACAAUUUAUGAGUUAAACAACGGACAUUUUUGUCGGCCAAUACAUCAACUUUUUAGCUGGAUUAUUACCACCAUCAAAACUAAAUUAUUGCAAGCACUAGCAAAAAGCAAUCAAUGAUUUCGCAAUUUGGCUGUCAAAAAGCAAACUAGAUCACGAUUCCUCAACUAAAAAUGGUGCUUUUUUUUAUUAAAUAAGUGAAAAUUAAACCAACAAUUCAAAAUAUAGGAUUGUAGAUGCGUAUAAACUGAAGAAUAAACUGAAGAAGGUAAAAUUUUUCGCGUGUGUAAAUAUUUUAGUUAACAUGAAAGAAUUCUAACAAAGUUAAUAUAAGAGUAUCAUAGCAGUACAAGAGUAAAUAUAUAUAUGUGUGUGUGAGUGAAGGAAGAAAAAAAAAUUAAGAAUAAUUUUGGCAUUUUGAUGGGUUUUAUAGAGUAAAAUCUAUAUGUUCAAAUAUGAUAAUUCUUUAAUUUAAUUUGGUGUUAUGAAAUAAAGGGCAUUUUAAAUAUGUUUUAAGUUAUAAAUAACUCCAUCCAAAAUUUAAAAAUGAAAUCUUAGGGGGUAAACAAUUUCACCCGAACUAACAAAAGCCCUAGCCCGGAGGCCCAGAGUAGCCGCGGCUUUUUUCACCAAUCUAAUUAUUUACGAGGAAUAUGAGACUGAGAUUCUCUACCACUCCAAUUUAUCGCAUUGUUAGCAAUCCUAAUAGCUGUUAUAUAUCCUAUUUUUAUUAAAAAAUGUGGAUCCGGAUAUAGAAAUUUGGGAUCCGCACAAAUCUAGAUGCAAGUGCAUUCGGAAAACCAGAUAUCGAGAUCCGGAUAAAUUUUAUUUUAAAUUAAAAAUUAAAUGAAAAAUUAAGAAAGUAAAUUUUAUUUAUGGAUUAAUGAUGUCGUUGUAUAUUAUUCAUGUUGAAUUAUCAAUUGUUGGAUUAUGAUUGAAUUUUAUUUGAUAUUAUUGGGCAAAUUAUUGAAUUUUAUUUUAAAUUAAAUAAAAAUAAAAAAUUAAAUUUUAUUUGUAGAUUUAUGAGAUUAUUGUAUGUUAUUCAUUUUGGAUUGUUAAUUGUUGAAUUAUGAUUAAAUUUUAUUUGAUAUUAUUAGGUAAAUUAUUAAACUUUUAAAUUAUAUAUUAAAUUAUUUAAUUUUAAUUUUUGCGGAUCUGAAUAUUCAGAAUAUCCGCCUGCAUCGGUUACGGAUAAUACCCGCUUCUGGAUCCACAUCUUUUUCUACGAAUCCAAAUAUAGAAAUAUGAAUGCGGAUCUAAAUUCGGAUUUUGCUGACCCUAAACUUAAGAAUGAAUGUGCCUAAAGUUUUUACAACGAACAUGGAUCAUUCAAUGACAUGACAUGUUUUGCAGCUUUCAUUAGUAUAAUUGAAUAAUUAAUUCAUCUCUAUAUUCAGCUUACACCGUCUCAAAUUACAUGCAAAUACGAAAGUACACUUCUGAAUCGUUCACUUGAGGAAAAUUAAUUUUAACUCAAUAAGUCGUAAUUCUCCACGUAGAAUUUUAAUUCAAACCAUAGCAAAUUAGACAUAAUUCUAAUUUAUAUGGGAAAUAUAAUUAGCGAAGACACUCUUUAUAUAAACAUUAUUGUCAUAGGAUGCCAAACCUAAUAAGAUUCAAGGUCUUAACAUACUUCAUAUGAAAUUUGAUCUUGGCGCGUACCGACACGCAUAACAUCAAGACUCUACUUCAUAUAUUAUAAUGUAACUUCAUGGAUUUUUCGCUCUCUUGUGAAAUUGACAAUUAUAGGCGCUGUGUGGCAGUGGUACAUAAUAAAAUAAACGUUUAUUUUUAGAAUAUUAUUAUUUAUCUCAAUUUUUUAUUUAAUAGUUAAUUUUAAUCAAUUCUUAAACUGUCAUAAUCAAUUAAUUUUUUACAUUAUGGCAUCUUAAAUAAAUUUUGGAUCUGUAAUAAAUAAAAACUGGUAACGUUUGUUCUUUUAAAGCAUAAAACAACCGUAACAUUGGUUUUUACAUUUUGAAUUUUUCUUGCAUCACUAUUUAGAAAAAUGAUGUUAAAUCAACUCACAAAAUAUAUCAAGCCAUCUAAAAUCCAAAUAUUAUUACAUUUGUAUUUGCAUUGUUAAAUUGUUGGAACGACGGCAAAGCAAUUGAAAAGAUAUUAACAAAAAAUAAAGAUUGGCCAAGGAUUAUUUAUGUUUAGGAAAUGCCUUAACUUUUGAUAUAAUCAUUGUGAUAAUUAUAUUGUAGAAAUAAUCAAUUACCUAAUGUUUGUGGUGGUAAAAAUUAUUAACUUGUUUUAGUAUACCCGUGUUUAUGGUGGUCUCCUUUUUGUCCAAUUCUGUACAACAAAAUAUUUGCAUGUUUUGAUAGAAAUUGGUUUAAAUGACAUUUGAAAUAGUAUAUCCCCAAACAAUUAACGAAAUAUUUGGAUGGUAGGAUGAAGUAAUAUAGUUUUACAAAUUACCAUAUUAGAGGUUAAAAAAAAUCAAGAGGUUACUAACUACAAAUUUUAACACAAAAAGUUUAAUUAACUUUUCUUUUUGAGAUAACAAAAUCUCUGGUGUUGAAAACAAUGAGGUUUGAGGUUCAAGCUUGAAUAUCAAGUUACAAUUAGUAGAUGGUCUUAGGACAAAUCAAAGAUUUCUUUAAAGACAAAAUAAUAAUUACAAGCAAUAGGAAUUUAUGGUAUUCAGAACAUGUAACCUUCGCACAUGAAGCUUGAAUCCAGAACAAGAUGCAGCUAGCCAAUCCUUCCAACUUCCAAAACCCCACAAAAUCUCUGUCAACAUGUCUGCUCUACUUCAAUAUUAAGCACAUUCAUAGCGGUAUCAACAGCUUACAGCUCCAAAAUAUUUUCCCCAAAAAGAGUGAGAGAUUUCACUGAAGCUAAGUUGUGACUUGUGACUUGUGAGGCCAUCUUUUUUUAUAGUAAGCGUACGCCUCUAAUGCUUUGCCAAGUGUCCAUUGAUAAUAUCACAAGGGCAAUUAAAUUGGUGUAUGUGUAUUACACCUCCUAAAGUCAUGUUAAGAUAGUUAGUGAGCCGAUAAAGUUUGUUGCACGUGUGAGUUGGUUAAGUCUGCUAGAAUUGCAAACAUGUAAAGCUGAGUCAGCAAGUUAGUUAAGGUUAUUAUGAAUGCUUAGAUUCAGCAAGUUAGUUAAGGUUAUUAUGAAUGCUUAGAUUCAGCAAGUUAGUUAAGGUUAUUAUGAAUGCUUAGAUUCAGCAAGUUAUGGUGUUGAAAAUGCUGUUGGUGAAAGCUCAGCUGAUAGAUCUCAGGAGAAUCCAGCCUUUGUUGCUUGGAAAAGGUAGGAUCAAUUGUUAUUAAGUUGGCUCAUGUCCUCCAUCAGUGUUGAGAUACUUAGUCUUGUGGUAAAUUCUGAUUCUUCUCAUAAACUUUGGACUAAUCUUGAAGAAAAUUUUUGGAUUAGAAACUAUGGCUAAGAAAGCACACGUAAAAAUGAUGUUAAGCAAUCUCAGAAAGGGAUCAAUGACAAUAACUGAGUAUUUUGCCAAACUUAGAGCUGUAACUAAUAAACUUGCUCUAACUGGUAGCCCUGUUUCUACUCUAGACUUUAUUACUCAUCUAAUCUCUAGAUUAGGCCAGCCAUACUACCCUGUUGUUUUGUAUAUUGAAGCUAAUAUGAUGAAAAUAUUUGUCAAUGAAGCCUACUCUAUGCUUUUAACUCAUGAAGCAAGAAUUAAAUUUAAUCAUCCGAGUGCAAAUAAAGAAGCAAAGUUGAAUUAUGCUGCUAACAUAGCUUAGGCUGGACCUAGUAAUAACAAUAAGAAGUCUAGUAAUCAAGCUAAUUACUAUCAGGGCAACCAAGGUAACGGGAAUAGAAAUGCUCAUUGGUGUGGUAACAAUGGAGGAAGAGGUGGCUUUGGCAGAGGUUUUUCAGGGCAAGGAAGGAGUAAUUAGAAUAAUGGUGGUCAUUGGAACAAUGGACCUUGGAGUAGUAGUCGAGCAUGUUAUAAUUGUUCUGAUAUAAACAUUAUGACAUGGUUGCUGGUGAACCUGUAAACAUAACCACAAAAGUAAGAAGGCAUAAUCUUUUUAUAAGAAACUCAAAAAUGUAUUAAUGAUGAAAAUUUUAAAACAGAUAAUGGACCAGCUGUUCAUUAAGAAAACAAAAAACUGAAUAUUUGUGCUAUAAAAAGGCACACCUAAUCUCACCCCUAUAAAAGGCUAGAAUCAGCUACAAAUCCCUAUCUCAAAACCCCAUCCUAGUUUAGAUGAAUGAAGAAAAAAGAUGAAUCUUGAAACUCCUUAGAAACUGAAGCCCAAAGUGAAGCAAGAAGAUGAACUCUAUCCCAAGCAAGCAAUAUGGCAUAUUUCUCCAUUAAUGGUUCAAAUAAAGUGAAUGGCUUUCUCUGAUGAAUGGGAAAUUGUCAAGAUCAAUAGUCAAACUCACGCAAAGUAAACGGACUUAAUUCUCAGUGGCUACUCAUUCUAAGUCUUAAAGAAAAAUUUUCUAAUUUCUAAAGAUUAUAUGGGGAAAAAUCAUUAUUUUCUAACAUGUAAAAUUUGAUACGGUGUUUAAUGUCUUAUCACAAUCAUAAUAUGAGUACUAACAAAAACAUCUUUAAUCGGCAUGGUGCGAGUAAAACACCAUCACUUCAUCUUUGAUGGAAAGAUGAUAAUAUAAGGAAAUGGUGAAAUGGUUUUGGUCCCUGGCAGCUUGUAAUCAAAAGAAAACAAAAAACUACACUAUUAUUAAUGAUUACCGAAGCUACAGAAGUAUCAAAAUCGGAAAGCAAACAAUUGCAAAACACAUCAAUGACUGAAGGUUAGGUUCUAAAACUUCCGUAUUUAAUUUUCAGAGCAUGUUAUGUAUUAUUCAGAAAUAUGCUUUCACUUCAGGCACUUGACCAACACGCAUUAAACAUAAAACGCGGCGUUUUCAUGGACUAGUACAUUCCAUGCUUCGAAAGUUUAUAUUUUAGACUAAUUGGUUUGAUACAUUAUUUGUUUAUUGCGUUUUUCUUGCUUUAAAUAUUAUGUUGGAUUGAUAAGUUUUGUACACAUUUAUAUUGCUCGCAGUAAAUAAUUUAUGACAUUUAAAAAACUAUCAACCGUCUAUCAAAAGAUUUCUACUAUAAAUAUAUAUACACAAAAAACUUUUAAUUUGGUCAAUUUUUUCUCUUAUUUAUUUUUGUUCUAUUUCUCUUUUCCUUCCCUUUCAUUUUAUUGUUUUAUGGUACAAAAUAAAAAAAAUAACCUUAAAAUUUAAGGGUAAACUACUCAUUUUACUAAAAUUCCGUUUAAUAUUAUAAAACUGUCAAAUGUCAAUGGCAUAGUACACGAGUGAUACAAAUUAAAAACAAUAAAUUGAAAGUUUUUAUGCAUUUUCGUUUUAUUUUUUUUAUAGCCGAUACAAAUUAAAAACAAUAGGUUUAGACCGUUUAACAAAUCUUAAAUUAAAAAAACCCGUGGUGUAAUAACAAACUCACAUCAAACCCUGUCCACCGUCAUCCCUAAUUAUAUUUACCACUUCAUACUCACAGUGAUAAUUAUAUUACCGUUAAGAAUGAAGCAGAAGAGUUUCCCCAAACAAGCUAAAACACCGCACUUCAAUUUAAAGAAUUUUUAUAUCACAGUACCGGGACAAAAAGUUUAAUGCAACAACAUACAUUAAGUUAAUUCCAUAAUCUAUCCCCAAAGAAAGACAAACACAAGCUUAUAAGAUUAAAACUUUGGAAAACAUUAAAGAGUCAGACAAAAUUGUGUAAUCUUCAGAGUUUGGAGCCUAGUUCAUCCAGGAAAGCAAAAGAAAUAAUAAUAAUAAUAAUAAUAGUGGUGGUUUGAUCUCAAAAGGUGGCAUCAAAGCAAUAACGUCUUCAACUUCCAUUCAACCCAUCAUCCACAAAAUCACCAACCCGUUUCACCUUCAUCUCCUUGGGCUUAACAGGGUACUUUCCAGAGAAGCAAGCAAAACAAAAAUUCUGAGAAUCAUUGCCUAACAACUUGUUCAAGCUGUCAAUCGGCAGAAAAGCAAGCGAAUCACACCCAAUAAACUCCCUGAUUUCCUCAACGCUCAUCCUGUUGGAAAUCAACUCCUCAGUACUUGGAGUGUCUACUCCGUAGUAACAAGAAGCUAUGAUUGGUGGGCUUGCAAUUCUCAUGUGAACCUCUUUAACUCCAGCCUCCUUAAGCAACCUAACAAUUUUUGAUGAAGUUGUUUCUCACACUAUCGAAUCAUCCACAACCACAACUCUCUUUCCCACCAACCACAACCUUACAGGAGAGAGCUUAAGCUUGACACCAAAGUCCCUAAUUUUCUGGGAAGGCUCAAUGAAAGUUCUCCCAACAUAAUGUGGCCUUAUCAACCCUUGUUGAAAUGGCACCCCGGCUUUUGCAGCGUACUCAAGUGCAGCCACCACUCCAGAAUCUGGUACUGCAAUCACGACAUCACACUCAACAGGAGCCUCGGUAGCAAGUACUUCCCCAAAAUGAUACCUCGACUCAUAAACAGACCUUCCAAAAACAACAGAAUUAGGCAAAGCAAAAUAAAUAUGCUCAAAGAUGCACUGCUUAGGUUCAGGGUGAGGCAUCAAACAAGGUGAUUGAACCCCAUCUUUAUCCACCAUCAAAACUUCACCGGGAUAUACCUCUCUCUCUCUCUCUCUCUCUCGCGUAUGUGGCCUCAAUCAAAUAGUGCAGUGCACAAGUCUCUGACGCAAAAACCAGAGCACCAUUACUCCUCCUACCCAUCACCAACGGCAUAAACCCAUACGGGCCACGAACCGCAACAAGCUUAUCCUCAGUAACAAACACCAUUGAAUAAGCACCCUCAAGCUUCUCACAAACAUCCACAAUCCUCAAAAAGAACGGCCUAGCUUUCGAUAUCGGAAUCAAAUGGAGAACAACCACAGUAUCAGAACUAGUAUUACAAAAUGGAUCCAUUAUCUUCAAGCUUAGCCCUCAAAGUAUUAUAAUUAACUAAUGUGCAACACCAACAGAACCAAACCUGUACCCAGCAACAAAAGGCUGCACAUUCUUAAGCAUAGAACUACCCGCAGUCGAAUAUCUAACAUGACCAAUGGCCAUAUCACCCGGCAAUUGAUCAAGUUUAGACUGAUUAAACACAUCAGAGACUAAACCAACACCAGUAAUAGACUGAAGAACUUUGUUAUUCACAGCAACUAUACCUACAUCUUCUUGGCCGCGAUGCUGCAUCGCGUGUAGCGCCAAAUAGCACAAACGCGAGGCCUCUGGGUCACCAUAGAUGCCCACAACACCACACUCCUCACGGGCUUAUCGUCGUCAUCAUCAUCAAAACUGCCAAAACCGUCAUCUGGGUAUUCUUUAUUUGUGGUGAAAAACUCAGAGAUGGGGUUUUUUGAUAGAACAGUGAAGUUUUUUUUGUGGGUUAAAGAUUGUUGUUUCCGAGGAAAAAAAGGGUUUUUUUGCAGGGUUUUGGAGAAAAGAAAAAGAUGGGUUUUUUUGCGACGGCUUAGGGUUAGCAGAGGGAGAUGGGUUUGAGAGAGGGCAGAUAUUGGCGGUGCCUGUUGUGGUGGCUGCCAUUAAUGGCUGAAUUUAUUUUGUUUUAUUUUAUUUUUUUGGGUUGACUUGCUCAAAGAAAAAAGAGAGGAGGUGUGGAGGGAGACGGUGGCGAAGGGUACUUUAAGUAGAGGGUUACUUGUUCUAGGUUUUUUUCUGGAAUUGUGAGGGAAUCUGAUCCUGUGUUUGUGCAUAUGAUUCAAUUACUUAUAGGUUUAUUGUUGUGUCACCACAAAUUCUAAUUGGGAAGCUUCAGCUGUCAAAUUUUUUCCAAGGGUUUAUUAGGUAGAACUUUCAUGUCGUCGAAUUUAUUUAGAGAUUCUAAAAGUAGUUUCCAAAUAAAGAGAUGGACCAAAAUCAACAAUGUGAAACAGAUACUUUAGAAAUUUUUUCCUAUUCCGAAAGCAAUAGGAAUGUUCCAAUGCAUUGCUCCUACCAGAUUUGGAAUUAAACUUAGUUUGUGUUUUCCUAUUCCGAAAGCAAAACUUAUACUUACUGUAUAAGUGAUAUUCUAAUAAGUAGAAAUUAAGAACCAUAACAAAUUUGAUGAUUCUAAUUUGCUAGAAAUAUUGUAAUCCAAAACUAAGAAAGUUAAAACCAAUUAUUAGAAGAAAAAAGCAAGACGGAAGCUCCCAGAAUAUUGUUAUGUGUUGUGUGUUUUCAGUGUGUAUUUCUCAAUCAAUAAUGAAAAGUAAGUACACAUGUUACAAAAAUUUAAUAAAAAAGAUUGGAGGUGACAAAACCUUCAAUCUUCUAAUUAACUUUCUCUGCAUUGGAAUUUCCUUAGUUUGGUAGAGAUUGCUUAAUUGGUGUAUCUAUUAUAAACACCGUAAGUCAAAGUUAAUGUUUUAAUUGUUAAGAAAAGUUAGAAGAAGAAAUUUUUGCAUAAGAGAAUUGGGUUUAAAUUGAGAAUUCUUUAGGAGGAAAUGAGUCUAAAUUCUAACACUAUAAUUUAGCACUAUUUAUAUAUAUAUAUAUAUAUAUCAUUAAUUGGGUGAAAAAUUAGGGUACGCCUAUGUUGUAACAGUUGCAAAGUACCACUAAUUUUUAUCUUUUGUGAUGUCAAAUUUCAUUUAAUCUCUUAUUUUUUUUUUAUAAUUUAUUUAUAACGUUAUGUGUUUUGGCAGGUGAAUUUUUAAAAUAUAAUUUUAUUUUAUUUAAUAUAAUUUAUUUUUUUUCUUUAUAAUUUAUUUAUAAGUUUAUGUGGUUUGGCUGACGAUCUAUUAAAAUGUAAUUUUAUUUCAUUUAAUAUCAUUUAACUUCUAAAAGAACAAAUAUAACAAUAAGCCUUUAACUAGAUAAUAUUAACUAAUAUUUUUAAUAAAAUAAAAUAUUAAAAAUAUAUUCUUUUAAAUAAAAUAAAUAAUAUUAAAAAAUAUUUAUUUUUUAGGACUCACAAUUGCUUAUUCUAUUUUAUUUAAUAUUAUUUAAUUUUGAAAAAUAAAUAUAAUAAUCUAUGAGUAAAUAAUAUUAAAUAAAAUCAAAUAAAAAUUAUUAAAAAUAAUAUUAAUUUUUUUUAGACUCAUUAUUGAUUAUUUCAUUUUAUUUAACAUUACUUACUUUCAUGAAGGAAUAAAUAUAACAAUAAGCCUAUGACUAUAUAAUGUAAAAUAAAAUAAAUAAAUAAUAUUAAAAAUAUUUAUAUUUAAUAAAAUAAAUAAUAUUAAAAAUUUAUCUUUUUGAAUAAAAUAAAUAAUAUUAAUUACAAAUUAUAUUUUUUUAAGACUCACAACUGAUUAUUUAUUUUAUUUAAUAUUAUUUAGUUUUUUUAAAAGAAUAAAUAUAAUAAUAACUCUAUAACUAAAUAACAUUAAAUAAAACAAAAAUAAAUACUAUACAUAAUAUUAAAUAAAAUAAAAUAAAUUAAUAUUAAAAAUUAUAUUUAUUUUUUAAUGCUUACUACUGAUUAUUUUACUUUAUUUAAAAAAAUUUAAUUUUUUGAAAGAUUAAAUACAACAAUAAACUUGUAACUAAAUAAUAUUAAAUAAAUGAGAUUAAUAAUAUUAAAUAAUAUUUUUAAUAAAUAAAUGAUAUUAAAAAUUAAUUUUUUAAAUAAAAUAUAUAAUAUUAAAAUAAAAUUUAUUUUUUAAGACUCACUACUAAUUAAACAACAUAAAAUUUUAAACAAUUUGGACUUAUGUGAUAAAAGUUUUAAUUCUUUAGCUCUUUUGCGUUUUUGAUAAAUAGCAGGGAGCAUAAUGUUAAUAUUCAAAUAAACAAAUCUCUACCCUUCAAUCUAUCUUUUCAUUAAAUCCAAUGAUGAAGAAUUGAAACCAUAAAAAAUAAAAUUAGGUGGUACCUUGCAACUGUUGCAAGGUAGUUAAGUCCAAAAAAUUACAUUUGAUGUGAUUUUGAUCGUUUAUUUUUAUAUGAUGGUAAUUUCUUGUUCAGAGUGAAACUAGGGGUGGGUACGGUUCGGUUCGGAUCGAAAUUAAGAAGAAUCGACUUAAAUCGGUUAUUUUAUAAAAAGAACCGAAUAAGAACUGAAUUCAAUAAGAACUGAUUUAACAAGAUUCGUUUGAGUUCGGUUCGGUUUGGUUUGGUUUUUUUCGGUUCUGGGCCUAUUGACCCUAUUUUGAAUUUCUAAAUUUUUAGCUCAUUGGGCCUCAUGAAUGUCAUAAUUUUUUUCAACAAUUAAUUCAUCCUAAUUUCAUUACAAAUAUUAACAAUAAAUACAAAGUAUUCAAAACACAUUUGAUCACUAAUAUCUUACUAACUACUAAUAAGGUACUCACUACUCACAAAAUAUGAAAUAUUAAGAUUUCAAAAUACAUAACCAAACUCUAAUACUCCAUCUACAUAAACAUAAUGUUGUAAAGACAAAUAAAAAUAACAACAGUGAUUCGGUUCUUCGGUUCGGUUUUUUCGGUUCAGUUGAGUGAACCGAAUAUCGAACCGGUAUUUCGGUUUUUUUAUAAAUAAUAUAUUUAAGUUUUUUUUAACAAUUAAAACCAAACCAAAUUAGAACCAAACUGUCGGUUUGGUUCUUUUUUUAAGAAUACAGUUUUUUUGUCCAGUCCUAAGUGAAGCUAUUGGCACCCUUUCGCUAUAUUUAUAAAAUCCUACUUCAAAUAAAAAUUACACUUAAAGACAAUAGAAUUAAACAAACAUGUUUUUUUUUUCCCAAACAAAUUACUUACAUUCAUAAUUAUUUUUCUUCUAAUUUUCUACAUGUUGCUUCAUAUCUAAGUAAAAUAAAUUGUAUAAAUUUAGAAUAAUCUAUUAUUCUUUUUAAAUUUCAUAUUGAUUAAAUACUUUUGUGCUUAAGAUUGCUUUAAAAUUAUAAGAUAAAAUAUGUGUAAUUUAAGCCAAUGAUUAACAUUCAAAAUUUUAUCUCUCAGAAACAUUUUUAAUUUGUGUGCAGGGUAAUAAUAAAAUCGUAAAAGAAAUAAAAAAUAGCAUAACACUACUUUGAGUUUAGAAAAUAAAAAAAUUAAACAGAAAAUUAGAAGUGUAAUCUAAAAAAAGGAUAUUUUGUAAAAUAAAAUAAAUAUAAUUAAAACAAGGUUUCAUGAGGGGUGCAAUAGUUCAACUCUUUUGUGUAAAGUUUUAAGAUGUUAGUAUCCGUAGCUUAGUUUUUCCCUAAUUAUUAUAUGAAAAUGUAAUAACAAUGCUGAUCACCCCAAUCUCAUGGAGGUCAAAGAUUUUGGUCAUACCGCAUGAAUUAGUGCUUUUGGUUGGCAAAUACUUGUAUAAAUUUAUUAACAUUAAAUAAUUUGACCAAGACUACGUAAUGCGCCGCCUGAAGACUGGAGUCAUCGUAUUUUAUACGUCAAAAGCGCGUUUCAGUUCAAUAAGCCAUACAUGUCGUUUAAUAUGACCAUUUUGUACUUUUUUUAUAAAAAAAAAAUUAUUUAUUUUAUUAAAAUAUUGUUUAUUUAUUUAUUUUUUUUAAAGGUAAAGAGGUGUGUAAAAUCUAAAUUCAAUUUUUAUCCCUUAUGUCCUGGCCCUAAGAUUUGAACUCAGGUGAACAGCCAAAUGUAUAAUAACAUGUAUUUCGAAUUUCAUUUUAAAUGAUAUGCAAUUCGUUAAGUGAUUGUUAAUUUUUUAUAAGAUACGAGUGAAAGAAUUAUAUUAUCUCACUAAUUAAUUGAUGAGUGUCAUAUCAUUAUGAUUCCAAAUAAUUUCAAGCCAUGUCAUUAUUAGGAUAAAAAUAAAGUAAAAUGGUUAAAACUAUUUUUAUGUAAUUUAUAAAAAUUAAUGAAGCAACUACAUAAUUUUUUAAACGAAAAACAAUUGAAAUGUGUGAGGAAAAAGAAGAAAAAAAUUAGGCAUUUAAAUAUCUUCUUAAAAAAUAAGAUUGAGUAAAAUCAUUUUAACAGAAUGCCUUCCAAAUACAAUUCCACAUUUUUUUUUAUUGCAGUGGGAUAUUCCAAAAUUGGCACAACUCAUUAAGAAUUCGGCAACUCAAACUUUAUUUAUCUCUCUACGCAUUUGACAAAUUAAAAAGAAAAAAAAAAUUCAUAUAUCUUCUGUUCAAAAGAGACCUUGGUAAAUAUUGUAAAACAAAUUACCAAUUUUUUUAAUUUAUGCCAUUAUAUCGUCGCUAUUUUCUCGCCCACUUUCUUAAAAUAGAAUCAAUAUUUAUUGAUGGGUUGGGUUCCAGAGUAAGCACCAAUUCAGCAAAAUGGUUUUAUAGCAGAAAAAGCACUUGUAAGACAUUCAGAACACAUUUUUCAAUUUUGUCUUUUGAAAAUGAGUCUUGAGUUUCCACAAGCCAAGUAGAAUGGCUAAAAAAUGUAUGGUAUCAAAGAAAGAGAAACACACACACACACAUAGAUUAGUGGGGAGAUAUAUGAGUGUGUAAUUUGUAUAUAUAUCCCUAUUAAUUGUUGAUAGUCCAAUGGGUAUAUGCAAAAUGAAAAAAAUUGGCUGUCCUUUAAGACAAAAUUGACUGUCACAUGAAAAUGUUAGCACACUUGCCACGCAACAAAAAUAAAGAUUCCAAGAACAACUUUAUGGUCCCCUUUCUGUCCAAACAUAUGCGAUAGAAAUUAGUGUAAACGACACUUGAAAUAUAUAUGUAGAUCCUCACACAAUUGAUUAAAUAUUUAUAGUAGGGUGGAGUGAUAAAUAGUUUCACAAAAUUAUUGGAAUUAACUGCUUAAUACAUGAGAUCUAUCUCAUUAAGUAUAAAAGAUUGAGUGCUGCUUCAAAAGCAUGACGUUGCUGGCAACAAAUUUAACACAAAAGUUUAAUUAAUUAAAAUCUCGUAUUAAGAACAAAAGGUUUGAGGUUCGAACAUUCUCAUUCAAGAAAAUCAAGUCAAAAUAUUACAUCUUCCAGCACAUAUCAAAGAUUUUUUCAAUUUCCAAAACCCAACAAAAUCUUUGUCAAAAUAUAUGAUCUAGUCCCAUAUUAAGCACAUUCAUAGCUGUAUCAACAGGUUCAAAAUAUUUUCCCCAAAAAGAGAUAGAGAUUCCAUUGAAGUUGAGUUGUGACUGUCCCAACGUUUUGUAAUUAUAUGGUUCAGGAUACCAAUAUGCCGGAGCUGCAAAGGUUGACUUCUACUAUCCUAUCAAUGUCUAUACUUUCUAUUGAAUUUCCUUGUUUUUUUUUUAAUUUGCGAGAUUUAUUUUUUGGAAAUCUUUGACACAUUUUAUGUAAGAUACCAUAAAGCCAAAUACAACCUUUUUUUAUUCUCAGCAGCAACUUUUUUUUUUCCAUUUAAAAAAAAGGAAGCCAUAUAAAUAAUGCUUAAAACAUUAUUUGCAACAAGGAACAAUUAUUUCAUGCUUUCAUGUAUUAGAAACUUUCCAAAAACGCUAGCAAGAAAAUGAAAUGGAACUUUACCUAGUCACAGAAUAUGUACUGUUGUUAGCACAAUUGUUAUGAAGUGGCUUCUGCAUCAGAAGAUUCCAGCUCCCACCAAGCAUUGUUAUCUCUCUUCUGAAUACAAUCUACAUCGUUGGGCAUGAGUUAUAUCAUUAAUGUCUGGAUCCUCACUUACAUCAUCCCAAUCAAGUGCAAAACAUCCUAGUCCUUCCAUCACAACUGAUACGACUUCCUUCCUAAUUACUUUCCCAUUAAUAAAUCGCUCCAAGAAAAAAAAGCAUUAGCAAUUCUCUUCAACGCCCCAUCACUCAUAUCCCCACAACAACCGUCUUCAGCCACCUCAACGUUGCCUCUUGAAAGACCUCCACAAAAUCCGAAUCAUCCGACACAACCACCAAACACCCAAACCUUCUUUUGUCCACCAUAGCCACCAUAUAAUUUCUCCCCAAAACAUCGGCAUCUUGUGGCUUAACUAACACCAUCCUGACCCAAAACCGUGCUCUUUUUAACUCAUCUGCAAAACCAUAACCCACUUUUGGAGUCAAAAUUGCGCUUGCAGCCAUUUUAUUUUUUUCCAUCUUUAUUGAAUAGUUGCCGACCAAAAGCACUCUCACCUUCCCUCUAGCUGAUUCUAUUUGAUUGGACCUUUUCUUUUGUUCACCCUCAUGAAUUUGCCUAAAAUGAUUAACAAGUUUGUCAUUAUUAUAAAAUCUCCUUCCAUAAUCACCAAUACAUACGGCUUAGCAGACCUAAUUACACCCUUGAUUUCUAAUUGGUAAACAAUUCUCUUUCUUUCUUUGCUCUCUUACAACUUGAGGCACAUAACCAAACGCGUGGCUAUUUGGAUUUUGUUAUCCAAAUACCAAAAAUUUCUCACAUUGUGUUGGACAGUUUUUGGUUCUAAAGUUGAUGACUGGUUUUGCGAAUCAGGCUUCAAAUGAGAACUUCUAAACAAUAAGACAAAUGGGUUUUUAGUUUAUAAUCUUGUAAACUUUGUUCUAUUGUAUAAGUUAUGAAAUCGCUGAAACAUCACUACAGCUACAGGUCUUUAUGUGUCAAUGAAUUGCAGAAGCUAAUGAUCUACUUGUAGUAGACUUCUAUUGCCCCUGCCGUUCUAGGAAGACAAACAAGUUCAGGAACUACUUCUGGACCAAACUCAUAAUAUUGCCACUGCUUUGUGCCAAAAUCUCAGAGGAAAAGAAGAUUGAAGUUCCUAAAUAAGGCACAUCAUGAUUUGAUAGAAGUACCACUAUAAGGAAAAAUUGAUUUCAGGAAAGCACUAAAUUAUGACAUAAUCUCCCCCUAAUGGUCUAAAGUAGUCAAGAAAUGAUAUUAACCAAGUAAAAACACAUAAACUAGUUGAGAUACAAAGUUAUCAUAAAAGUCAAUUUUGACCACAAAUCCAUUAAAAUUAAAAGUCAUCAGAAACUUAGAGAACAUUAUAAUUUAGGACUCAGCUAAGUUGCAGAUUCUGUAACUAACAGCUGAGUCCACAUUGGUCUUGCAUCAGCUGAGUUUAGGUUGCUUUUCCUCUCUCCUGCAACGCGUACGUGGAAGCGCCCCAUUUGCUGUGUUAUAGAACGAGUCGGUACCGUAACAAGCUCCUAUAAUUUAAGUUUGAUUACUGUAGACAAUAGUCUGCCUCUGCUCAAAAGCUAUGCUGCAAGAUAUAACAUCUUUGCAAUGUUAUACUUUCUAAAAGUAAUAAGAAAUGAAACCAAGGGGUAAAAUCGAACACCAAAAGAAAUUUAGUCGGCCAACCACAUUAUGUUCCCACACAGUCCACUAAUUAAGUUAAUAAUUAAAGGGAAUCAAAAUCUAAGAAAUCUCAUCUUCAAGCAUAAUACAAACACACCGGGAUUGAAAAUCACAAAAUCAUAAAAAGAAGCUGACUUGAAAAGCUCAAAUAUACGUUCAUCAGCCUCUCAACUUAUAUCUAAGAACAAAUGCCUGCAGCCUGUGAAGACAUAGAUAAUUGAAGCUGAGGAGGCAUAUUUAAACAGAUGAUUAAACUCAUGCGAUUAAAAUUAUAAUUCAAUAAUCGAGCACAUAAAAUAACAAGCAACUAGUUGUAUAUAUACCAAGCAACUUUAUGAAGUUAAAUAUACCAACGCCAAUACUCUUAUUUUUAUCCAAAUAUAGAAGACCAAUGCAUCAAACAAGGAAAAUGAAAUAUUGUUAAUAACUCAAAAACCACUAGUGUCAAGAACUAAAACUAAUAAGUAAAACCCAUUAAUCAGACACAACCACAUCAAAAUCUCUAAAAAUUGAGGUCUAAACAUUGAAAACAAUUAGACAUAUAUAACAGUCAAUCGAAACAAAGCCUCAAAAUAAUAAUGAACUACAAUAAGACAGAAACUAAAUUGUAAACAAGCGCAUACUCAGUAACAGUAAUCAAGUAACAAGUCAAAACCAGAAUCAAACGUAGAAUUUUGAAAUCCAUACGAACUCUAACGUAUUAGAAUGAAAGAAUAAAGGACGAUCGAUAAACUAGAAUCAAACAAAACAUGCCCAGUUAAAAAACGAAGGUAAAUAAAUAAAAAUGAUAUAAAAUUGCGAAAAAAAUUAAUGAAAUGACGAGAAAAUCAUAGGAAUCCUAUGAAGAGGAAGGUAAACAAAACCUUCGAGAGCUGAGAAGAUGCCUUUUUUGUUCACUUUUGUGCCUAUACAUACAUUUUUUUUUUUUUGUAAUUUUGAAGAAAGUAUUGGUUAAAUAUUGUCAGAACGAAAUAUUAAUAAUAGAUCCUGGCAAUUUCAACAAGGACAAUCUUCGAUUCAAAUGUACCCCUAUGAUAAAGAAAAAGCCAGCUUGGCUAAAUUUUGAGCACCACAUUACAAAAUCUAGGUGCAUGUUUAACUAUGCAUAAAAUGAAACCUCUAUUAAUUGUAAGUCCCUUGACCUCUGGAACCAGCCAACCAGUAUCUUUCCUGUUAGAACAAACUUCCAUCGAUCAGACUAAUAAUAUUUACUGAAUCAUGUUCUACAGUUAAUGGAGUUGGACCCAAGGCAAUUGUUAGAAGUCCGCCUAGACAUAGAGUGCGCUUAGAAGUGGGAUGCUUAGAAAUGGGCCGCCAACACAACCAGCCAACCGUAGUGUGCUUAGCAAAUCACUGAAACCCGGCCAAGAUCUAGAACUAUCUACAAAUUGUAAAUAAGCUAAAAGUUUCUAAGUUUCUCUACAUAGGUCCCUAGGAUAUUUAUGGAAGUUGCUAGGAAGUUUUCCUCCCCUAGAACUCUAAUACCUAUACCCCUCUCAUUUGCCACCAACCACACAGACAAACACUCCAGCACACACACAAGCUCUCUAGCUUUUGUAAAAAACUCUCUUGUAUAUUCUCUCUUUGUGAGUAAUAAAAUCAUAUUCAGCCAUAUUGCUACACUUCUCUCUAGCAUUUUCUACAAGUGUUCUUGCUUCGCUAGUUUGAGGAGUGUUCUAGGCUUGCUUAACAACUUGUUCGCUAUAACGACAUCUUGGUCACAAAACAUGGACAUGCAAGAAAAAAAAAUUGAUACGUUCUAAAAAUAAUACGCGUUCUUCUACAGUGAACCAAAAAAUUUAGGAUAAUGGUAGCAAGUGAAAGAAUUGUGAUUUCACGUGCAUUUUGUUGACAUGAACGUAAAGGACUUUUUUUUAUAGUUUAUAUUGUUUAAUAUAACAUUUGAAUUGCAAAAUAGGGGUACAAAAUAGAUACACGAAGUGAUAAAACUAAGCUGAUUAUAAUAAAUAUUGAAUUAUAAGAUUUAGGUUUAAUCAUAAAGACAUAAGUGGCGCACAAAGUCACGAAUUGAUAUCAUCCACGAUGCAAGUUCAAACAACUGCAUAAUAAGUUGCCCCAAGCUAAACUAUUAAUCUAGUAACUAUUCCAGUCGAUGUGGGAUAAUUUUCCUAUCACCAUCUAUCACGUGCAAGCCGAAUUUUUUGCUUGGUCCUUACAUGUGGUAAGGUCAUAUGAAUCCACUUGUGCAUAAAUUUGGCUCCGAUACUAUAUAGAAGCCUAUGACCCAAAAUUAUACUUAAAGGUUAUCUCAAGAUUUGAGGAUUGACUCAAGCUAAUAUUAUUAUUAGUCUGGUAACCUUUUUUUUUGUUGAUAUGUGAUAUUUUACCUAUAACUUUUAUUAAUCUUUAUGCUUAUGUUUUGUCAUUUAUCCCAAAAUAUAACAUUAACAAAGUUCCAAAAUUUCCUUCAAGAGAUAUAUUUGAGACAAGUAAUUUGUGCAAUAACUUUGUAAAUUGAUGAGCAAAUUCAGUGGUGAAAGCUUGCAUAGUAAUAUAAGGGUUGAGGUUAUCUUUUAACUAAUAAAAGUUAAAUAUGAAAUUUGCAUCUUCUUUUUGUUGUUUUUUAUUAACCGGAUGUAAUUUUUGUUUGAUAAUUUUCUAAUUAUUUUGAGGAAAAUAUGUUGCAGGAGCAUGUUGUGAUGCAUAAGUGUUCAGAACCGAAUAAAAGGAAAGAGUAGUCCAUCCAAAGUCACCACUUAUUCAAAUAUGUGCAGGCAGAACACGUUAUCGGGGGGUCUCGAUACGAAGACCUUUAAGUACUAAUGACGAGAUAUUGAUUAACUUCUGCAUGGAUGAAAAUUUGAAUAAAGGGUAACGUAUUAGUUAUGUUGUUGAACUAAUACUGGCAUGCAUAUAAAAAGUUAUUUGAUUGUGUUCGAGCUUCGAAUAAACGAAUUUAAUUGUAGGAAAUCAAUAAUUGUGGCUAAAUUGUCUCGAUGAUAGAAUUUGCAUUCCAGGAAAAUAGUUUUUAAGACGAGCUUCAAUUGCAUCACCAGACAUGAUAUUAUGUCUCUAUCUCCUAAAAGUACAAUCAAUGUGAAGGUACAACCACCUUCUGUCAAGUGUUGUACUUGUAUGAAUAGUAUAUAUUUAUAAUGAUUGCUCUUAGAAUUUACUUUGUUUUAAAGUUUUUGUUAAUUUUUUAUAUGUUGAAUGAAGUCGAUACCUCUUACAUGAAAGUGUUAAUAUUUGCACUUUUCAGAUUGUUUCUGCUGUCUCGGAAUUGUUAUUUACGAAAGCGAUUGAAACGUUGGAAACAGUCAUUUUAGCCUUUUUCUGCCAGCGUAUUCUGCUGUAAGGCGUUUCUGUUAUAUUAUAAUCUUGGAAUUUUAUCCCCUAAGGGACAACUUAACAUAUAAUUUCGUGUGUUCACUGAGUGUGGUGCAUCUGUUUACAUAUGCAUGUCAGUUGAGAAAUUGUGCUUGCAAUUACAUUUACAAGUUUAAACGAAAUUUGGUUUUCAAGUUUGGCAACCCACUAUUUCCAUUGCCUAGAAUUUUUUGUUGGGCUGUGAUAGCGUUGAUGUCCUAGAAAUUGUACAGUUGCAGGAUAACAUCGGUGGAGACCCCGCAGACCUCACUUUUGGUAUUAAACAAUUUAUCAAUGGUGAUUUAUACCUGGCGAAUAUUGGUUCGUGUAAGCAGGUAAGCAUUAUUUACUUAAGCAUUUAGUAAACCUCGUUUUUAGUUAAUUUUGAUGUUAUGUGUCAGUUUAUUUCACCCUGAUUUUGCAAUCAUCAAUAUAUUUUUGUCCCUGUGAACCAUGGUUUUACACACUUGUACUUAUUGGUUAUAUUAAUAUACGAAAUGUGGGUGGAGAUAUGGGAUUCAAUGCCCAGUGCAAUGAAGUCACAAAUGUUUGUUGUUGAAUGCAAACGAGCAGUGAGUUAACAAUCUAGAUGCCAAUGGAUGUGUACUUUCUCCAAAAAAUAAAUAAAUAAAUAAAUGAACCACUGUUGUUGUAAAUAAUCCUCCUCUGUUUUAAAAGGAAAUGUCAUGUGUUUCUAGGAUUAUAAACUGCAAUCUACCUAUUGACUGGUGUUCCUACAACUAAGAUUCAUUGAGAUGGCGUUGCAGUAUUGUGGCUCAAAUUGUUUAUUGGGAAGGUUAAACAUGAGUGAGUUCGUAAUCCAACUUUGUACCAGAAAGGACAGUAUACAUAACGAAUUAGAUUGUGCAAUAUAUGUUAUGUUGAUGAUAGAGAGGUAUAAAAUCUAGUCGUGCUUUCUGUGGAAGAGGUGCGUCAAUGUUUUAAACUAUUCAAUGCUAUAACCCAGGCCGUUCAUAAUAUUUAUAUAUUGGAGCAAUUUUUACCGCCUCCUAAUUAUUGUGUUUGUGCAUUUCAUUCAGAUAAAGUUUGAUUCAGGUAGUGAGAGGGCACGCAUUGUGAUAGAUCUCAUGAGAUACCAGUUUCAACUAUUUAAAGGACAAGGUUCGUUUUAAGGCUGAAAAGCAUCGAUGACAUCUUGACCAUGAAGCCCAUUCAAUUUAUGAAGCAAUUGAAAAAAAGCGCUUACUACAGCUUCGGACUGCGAGCCAAAUGGGCCAUGGUCGCCGCCAUUAAGCCGGAUUUGCUUUUACGUUCAAUUGUAUAAGUUAACAUCCAUGCUUUGAAGAAAGAAAAAAAAGUUAGGUUUGACAAUUGUAGUUCUUCAUUUGAAAAGCACAAUCAACCACUCAUAAUCGUGACUGCUAAACAACUCAUGUUUUGUUGCUGGCAUAGAACAAUCAAGUUUCCAUUGUGGAUGCCGCAGUGUCUCACUACUGAAUUUUAUCAUUUAUGAGUUUACAUUGUCGUCAAUUUUUAAUAUGUCUGUCAGCAGCUGUACCUGGAGUAUUAUAUCAGCGAAUGGUGUUAGCUGAAACAACGUCUCCUCUGAACUCUGCAUAUUUUAUGAUACUGAUACUUUGGCCUGGACAAGUUACUAAAAUUUUCAAUUGCCAUGGCCCUGACCCAAAGCUUUUUGUAUUAAUUGAACUCAAGGAUGGAUUGAAGUUACACAAGUUUUGCUUAUUUAUGCUUGGCAUAAGUAUAAACAAUGUUUAUCAACUGCCAUAUUAGUUAACCCCUAACAUAAUCAUGCAACCUCGUCCAAUUUUUUACUUGUCAGUACCUCUUAAAUAUUCUGUUAAUAACAAAAUAAAUGGAUACAGUGGUUGAGAACAUGUUUCCAUUACGUCCCUAACCUCUAGAUAUUUUUGGAGUAGUGCCAAUGUUAUUUUACAGAUUCCAAAUAUGGGUGUAGUUAGUUGGUGUAGAUGAUGAGGUUGCAAUGCAGUUCGAUAGACUUGCAAAGGCACUUGUGUUUAGACUGGCUGAAAAUUCACUUGUUGUACUAGCUGAAAAUUCAUGGAACCAUGACUCUGAUGUUCCCCUUAAUGGCCCACCAUUUUCUCUUAUUUGCCUCUGUAAAGGUUGCCUCCCUGGUUCAUUGAUCUGAGACAUUACCUCCAACUUUAAAGUCAAUUGGUGAAUAUCUAUAAUAGCCACAUUGUAUGCGGCCAAAACUUGAUCCAGCAAAUCUAAGUAAACUUCAGCAUGCUGCAUAUAUUUGGCCAAUACGAGCCUGCUCUGUCAUGUAAUGUGAUUUAUUAGAACUUAUAUCCAACGAAGUGUGAGCUUUUAUCUUUGCGCCUUUACUCCAUCGAGACAGAAUUAUCGAACUUGGAAUUUCUGUCAUAUUCUGAGCCUUCAACAAAAUAAAUGAAUGCGAGCAUGGAAUUCCAAUUGUCUCUAACAACUUGCAGCUGCACGAUAAGGUUUUGGUGGCCUCAUUUAUCACUACUUUCACCUCUUUUCCAACUAAGCCAAACCGCUCAACUCUGUACGUUGUUGAAAUUAUAUCCCGGUCAACAUUUCUGCAGUUAACAACGCUUCCUUGUCGAUUUCUUCUCGUACGAGGUGAAACAUUGCCCUUGUGAACUUUUCAGCUGCUUACUGCUCAUACAUCUUCAAAUGUGUAACCAAUACAGGACGUCCAUCAAAACUAUGAAAGUCAUCAUUCCCCUCUCCUUCCCUUUGCCGAUCCAUUAGUCGGUCCAUCUGUUUAACAAAUUCUGUCAAUCGGAGCCUUCUAUUCACGUAAUGGUUUAGAUACGCAUUCAUUCCUUCCAACCUCUGAGUGCUUCUCAUUCCCCCAAAAAACUUUCCAUGCAAAUAAGUCUCAGCCCACAUAUGUCUAUCCUUAAACAUAUUUACAACCCAUUCAUUUGUGGCAACAUUAUGCUUAUCCACCAUUAAUUUCCAUUUUUGGUCAAAUUCUUCUUUUGUGUAAGCGUUCAUCAUGCAGCAGCAAAAUUCGGUUGUAAAUUCAAGGUUUUUAACAUUUGUUUGAGCAUUUCAGACCAAAUGCCAAUAACACAACCUGUGAAAAGCUUCUGGAAAUGUCUUCCUUAUUGUAUUUCGCAUUACUUUAUCCCCAUCGGUUACAACUGUCCUCGGAUGCUUGUUGUUCAUUGCUAUCAUUAAUAUCUCUAACAACAACCAUGUGUACGUGUGUUCUGUCUCAUCUGAAAAUAGAGCAAACCCGAAUACAAUUAUUCGCCGAUGGUGAUUUAUCCCCAAAAUAACCACGAGAGGCUUACGAUAUGCAUUGGUCUUGUAAGUUGCAUAGAAUGCAAUAACAUCACCAAAUAAUGCAUAAUCUGUGCAUGAUCCGUCGUCACACCAAAACAAGUCCCCAAGUCGAUUGGAACUAGUGAUUGUGAAGUCAUAAAAGAAUGAUGGAUUCGAGCUUUUUCUUCCAUCGAAAUAUAAUAGGCACGUCUCAGCAUCUGAUUCUUUCAACGAUGCAUGCCUCUUCGUAACCAGCCUAUUUUCAACAUCCCUCAUGCUAUACCCAACCUUGUCGUAACCCCUGAUCUGUCAACCAUAAACUCGUGUAUUUGAGAUGGCUUCACUCCCACUUUGUGUAAUGAUAAAACAGCCGACAAGUCGGGACCAGUCACUCCUCUGUGGGACCUAAUGUGGUGCACUAGCUCAGGCGGUGUUAAAUUGUGAUUGUGCACUCUAUGAAAAAAACUACAUGCCCAUCGGCGAGUAUAUUCAUUGUAAAUAAGUCGAAAUUGUGCUCUACAUCCUGUCCUUGUCACAGCUUUGGCCUCUCGCCCUCUGCAUCUAUUUUCCAUGUGCUUUGCAGCCCUGAAUCCCUGUCGGCUGCAAAUCCACAUUCUGCCGAUGAUAUUCCCCUUCACAUUUCUCCGUUUAUUGUGUUUCCGAAUGCCGAAGCCAACUGUCCUUGCAUAUUCUUGGUAGCAUAUGCCAACCUAUUCUUCACUUGUGAAUUCUUUUGCUAACAUUUCCAGAAGCGCAUUCUCUACCUCACUACGAUCAUCGGCACACUGCUGUUAGUGAGUAUCAGUCUCCAAGUGACCACUUCCUCCACGGUUGUCACCUUGGAUGUUCAACUGGUGUUCAGUCACGAUUUCUGCCCCUUCACUAUCUGUCUCCGCUCCAUUGUGAGUCAAUGCAUCUGAGCUUCGUUCAUCGUCAGAAGUUAUAUUAAUCUGGUAGUGGAAAUCAUCUCCGUCAUAUAAUCUUUUGUCUGAAUCAAUCAUUGUGCUCAUAGGUUCACCAUUAGAUAACGUCAAAUUUCAAGUGGUUAAGACUUCUUUUUCCUCUGUUAAUAUUUUUUUUGUUGCAAGUUUUUUCUUUUCCUUUCAGUACCUUUUACGAAACUUCUUUCACUAGCGUAGGCGGCACAAAGAAGCUUCAAGUUGGUGUCUCUUCCCGCGUCCAAGAUUUUUUAAAAGUUUUAUGCUUAUUCACUUAGCGCACACCAGCACUUGAGCCCCGUCCCCCGGCCACCAAGACACUUUAUAGAAUUCCCUAACAAAUUAAUAAACUAUACCAGUUUAUUUAGUUGUUAUGUGGCCUAAUAUGACAUAUGCUUGCAUUACUAAUCCAAGGCGUUGUAUAAAGACUUGCUUGCCACUUAUUAAUUGAUGGCAAUUGAUUUAGUAAUUGUUUACGGAUCUUUAAAGCUUCAUCAAGAUAUUGCACAUUGUCACGGCACCAUGUUCAUUUCCCAUGUUGUAACACCAUCCAUUUUUUGUUUCAUCUACUAGAUUUCCAACUCCUUAUAUUCGCUAUAAAACCACAAGUAUGGACACAUUAUAUUUUUGCGUGAGUUACAAAUAUAUUUUACACUCCGUUACUCUUACAAUUCAAGUUGUCAAUAAGUAAAAUUACAUUUUCGCUAUGUUUGACUAUGCAAAACCCGUUUGAGAUCGGUGUAGCAAAUAUCAAUAUUUGCUCGGAAGUUAGAAAGCAACUACCUUUCUGUUUCAGCUAUUAUCAAUCAUAUUACUCCCUAAAAAAGAUAUGGGUCAUAACAUAUAAUUCUGUUUUACCUUAUUGACGACAUGUAUGCGACCAAACGAUCGGUCACCAAAGUUAUAAUAUACAUUAAUUGAUGGUCUCAAAUCAAAACCAGUAUAGAAUAGAACUAUAAGAUAGUGGUCAAUUACCAUCGCAAGCAAUCGACAUUUCAGAGGGGAACGUAAGUAAAACAAACUUUAUGUGCAAUCAUCUAUGGCAUCUGUGUGUUUGUAAUUCUUAUAUACUAAAUAUUCGUAGUUAAGGAAAUGCAAUGCUUAAAUCACUCGUAACACAAUUAAUUGAACUUAUUCAUAUAAUGCAUGGUUGAGCAUGAUAAACAUAUUCAUUGAUGUUUUUUUCCCAAAUAUGGGCAUCUGUGAUGAAAAUCCUAAUGCUAAAACUGUGAACUGCAAAAGAAUAUCAAUUAACCAUAACAAUUCAAUAGCAAAUGGAAGUUAUAAUCACACCAACAAUCUUCGCUCAAAGCAAAGGCUGACUUCAGCCACAAUUUCCCACUAUUCACCCACCAUCCUUUGUUACACCAAAGCAUAACAUAACACACAGAAACAUACCCUCAUAUAUGGAAGAAAAUUUCACUUACGUUCGAACCUCUUCGUAAUCGUUGCAGUUUCCGUUUGAGGGACCUGACUCUUGUUUUCGAGAUGGAUUCCUUACACCUAACGAUCAUCGUUUCCAACACUUUACUAUGCUCCAACAAGUAUUCCAACAACUAUACUUCCUCUUCAUCUCCUGUUAGCCCCCUAACGUCAAUUCUCUUUACCUGUUUUACCAAACAGUCGGGCACAUUUUCUAUUUGAAGCCAUCCAAAAUCUUCUUCGGUCACUUCAAACCAGCAUUCCUACGAAGGAUAAAAGUAAAAUAUGAUAUCAUAAACCCAUGGCGAAAAUUAAGAAGAAUAGUUGAACGCCAUCAACGAUCACGACACCCUCACCUUGUGUAAGACAAGAGUUUUUUAAGAUCGGUGAACUCCUUAGGAUGAUGGGCAUAAUUCGCCAUCCAAAUAGUCCAACCGUCACUUCAAAACUCUGUCAAAUUAGGCAAGGAGGGCUUGAAACUCUCGUAACACAAAUCCAGGGCUUGUCAACAUAGAAUAGAACUUUUGGUGUUAGAUUUAUUAAUGAACCGUUAUAUAUUACUAGCGUUUAUCAGCAGUGGCCCUUAUUGUGCCAACUAGAAAUUGUUAACUUUUUUCCCACUUGGAUAAUAACAGAUACAAACUGCUUUACCCAGCUACAACGAGCAUAUUAUCCUGUCUUAAUGCUUGGUAUCAGAAAGACAGAGAUUGCGAUAUCAAUCAUAUGGUUAUAUCAAUACACAUCAUAGGUCUUGUAGUGCACUAUAUUGGGCAUACUUACAGACACGAUGCCAGCAGAUACAGUCAGAGACUUAGUUGCAGUCACACCCUCUAGAAGCCAUACCACAUGGUUCGGAUCGCCUUGUGCCCAUUCCCUAUACAAAAUUUCCAAUUUAACUUCGUUCACGGAAUGUACACCGUGCAACUUAAACUCUCCCAACACGUCAGCAGUAAUACGGAGACAUUGCAGAUUUGGCGUUGUAAUGAUCACUGUGUAGUCAAUGUAAGUAAAAACAAAAUCCUCUAGUGCUACAGUAAAGGCAAACUUCUUCAGUGUGGACGAUGAAAUGAUGAAGUUUGGUAUGUCCCCGUCAUGUUUCAAAAUAGCCUUAAUACACAGAUCUUCUAUUUACUAAUUUUAUUUCAACCUUAGCAAACCUAGCCAUUCACCUCUUCCCAACCAAGGCAUUUCGAACACCCCAUCUUCGAAAUCCACUACAAAAUCGCAUUCACAGACGUGAAGCCUACAUAUGCAUACCAAACGAAUCUAAGAUUUUAUUUAAAUCAACAUGCAUGCAAUAAUAUCUCGAUAAUCUUCCAGUGCCUGCAAAAAUGCCAGAUUUAUAAUACCAACAAGGCCAACUUCAAUAAUCUAGACAUCAAUAGAAUAUAAUAGCAGAAAUCGACAGUAAUAUUUUUCUUAAAUGCGUCACGGCAAAAUCAAAAUCACGAGCACCAAAAUACACAAAUUCAUUUACAAUUCAAGAAAGAAUCUUUACCCUUCCUUACCUAAUGAAAUUUCGGAUAAUUUCCCUCUCUCGCAAAAGUCAGAUUUGAGAUUCAAAUCUGUAUCACAUCUUAUUCUCGUAUUUAUGUUUCCAUGGACUUCAAGAGCUUCAUUAGACAACCGGUUUAAACGAUUGUUGUUAGUAACUACGUCCGCUCUCCAAAUUUUUAUUUAAACUGUUGGAUUGAACAAACUUAUAUCCAAUGGCUUGACUAAAUAAAGACAAAAAUUAUGGCAUGGUACCACAGUGGCAUCGCAGGCAAGUCCAAAUAACAAAUAUUAAAAUGAUUAUAUUAUUAAACUUUUGGGCUUAAUUGACUAUAUUCAUAUUUGGACGAGAAAGUUAUGCCACGAAUGGAAGAAUUUAAUAUUUUGAGUUGGUACAAAACAAAUGCGCAUAAGUCUCCUAUAUUGGCACGAAUUGUUAGAGAUAUUUUAGCAAUUCCAAUUACAAAUGUUGCUUUUGAAUCAACUUUUAGCAUUAGUGGCUCGAGUACCGUAAUAGGCUUUCAUUUAAGCACAUUGGAGGCUUUAAUGUGUUGUCAAGGUUGGCUGAGAGCUUACAAUGGUAGUAAAAAUUUAUUUUAUAUUGUAAUUAUGUUAUAUAAUUAUUAAUAUUUUCACUUAUAAGUUACAUUACUUAUAAUUUCCUUUUUUAUUGUAGGAUUAUGAAGAUAAUUAUUAUGGUAAUUUUUAUUUUGUAAUGGAUUAAUGUUAAUAUAAGAUAUAUCAUCAAACUUUAUUUUUAUUUAAUUUUUUUAUUUAAUAUGGUUAAAUUAAAAUCGAAAACUAAAAAAUGUAUUAGUUAUUCGGAUAUCGGGGACUCUCGGGGAUCCUCUAUUAUUAUUCAAGGAGGGGAUGGGGAGGGAACGGGGACAUAUGCAGAAUAUCGGGGAUGGGUAUGAGGAGGUCGGUCUCCUCCCCUUCCCUCCCCAUUGCCAUCCCUACUAGAAAUAUUGCAAUCCAAAACUAAGAAAGUUAAAACCAAUUAUUGGAAGGAAAAAGUAAGAUGGAAGCUCCCAGAAUAUUGUUAUGUGUUGUUUGUUUUUUAGUGUGUAUUUCUCAAUCAAUAAUGAAAAAGUAAGUACACAUGUUACAAAAAAUUAAUAAAGAAGAUUGGAGGUGACUAAAUCUUCUAAUUAACUUUCUCUCCUUUGGAAUUCCUUAAUUUGGUAGAGAUCGCUUAAGUGGUGUAUCUAUUAUAAAUACUCCGAUGUGGAAGUUAAUGUUUUUAAUUGUUAAGAAAAGUUAGAAGAAGAAAUUUUUGUACAAAAGAAUCUGGUUUAAAUUUGGAAUUCUUUAGCUGGAAAUGAGUCUAAAUUCUAACGAUACAAUUUAGCACUAAAUAUUAGUUGGGUGAAAAAUUAAUUUCGCUCCUUUGAUGUGAUUUUGGUCGUUUAUUUUCAAAUUAGGGUAAUUUUUUGUUUAGAGUGUAGCUAUUGGCUCCCCGUCAUUAUGCUUAUAUAAUCCUACUUCAAAUAAAAUUACACUUAAGAACAAUAGAAUUAAAUAAAUAUAGUUUUUUUUUCAAAACAAAUUACUUACAUUCGUAAUCAUUUUCUUUUUAAUUUUUUACAUGUUGCUUCAUAUCUAACUAAAAUAAUUGUACAAAUUUAAAAAAAUCUUUAUUCAUUCCAAAUUUCUUAUUGAUUAAAUAUUUUUGUACUUAGGAUUGCUUUAAAAUUAUAAUGUAAAAAAAUUUAAUUUAAUCUAGUGAUUAAAAUUUAUCACCUAAAAACAUUUUUAAUUUAUGUGUAGGAAAAUAAUAAGAUUGCAAAAGACAAGAAAAAUAGUACAACACUACUCUGAGUUUUAAAAAAUAAAAAAAAUCAAAUGAAAAAUUAGAAGUGUAUUAAACAAAAAGAAUAUUUUUAGAAAUAAAAUAAAUGUACUUAAAAAAAAAAAGAGAUUUCAUGAUGAUAUUAGAUGGGUACAAUAGUCAAAUUCUUUUGUUUUAAAGUUUUAAGAUGUUGGUAUUUGUAACUUAGCCUAUCCCUAAUUAUUCUAUUAAAAUGUAUAAACAACGAUGAUCAACCCUAAUUUCAUGGAGGUCAAAGAUUUUGGUCACGCUCGCGUGAAUUACUUGGGACGUACUUUAUGUAAAUUUAUUUACAUUAAAUAAUUGGGCCAACGCUAUAUGAGGCGCCGCCUGGAGGCAUAGAAUUUUAUAUGUCAAAAGUGCGUUUCGCUUCAAUUAAGCCAUGAAUGUCGCUUAGUAUACUCAUUUUGUAUUUAAAAAAGUUUUAUUAAUUUUUUAUUUAUAAAAAUGUGGUUUAUUUAUUUAUUUUUAAAUUUUUUAAAGAUAAAGGGAUGGGUUAAAAUACAAAUUUCAAUUUUUAUCCCUUACAUUCUGUCUCCUAAGAUUUAAACUUAGUUACCAACCAAAUGCGUAAUAAUAGGUAUGUCAAAUUUCAUUUCAAAUGAUAUGUAAUUAAUUAAGUGACUGUUAAUUCUUUACAAGAUCUAAACAAAUUACUUAUAUUAUCUUAUCAACCAAUUGAUAAAAUGUCACGUUAUGAAAGGUCUUUGGAAGAAAAUUCUACUCAGCAAAUAUUGCCUUCAAUGUGUUAUAUGUAUUAUUUACUCCAAACUUACUCGUCAAAACAAUAAAUAAUAUUAUUGCCAAAAUUACUUGUAAUAUCACUUAAAUGCAACAAUAAAUCAUAAAUGAGAUAAAUCACUAAACCCUUCAAUAGAAUAUUUUAAAGCCAAAAAAAGGCAUCGAUUCAUUAUGGUUCAGAUGAUUUCAAGCCAUAUGUCCUUGUUGGGAUAAAAAUAAAGUAAAAUGGUUAAAACUAUUUUUACGUAAUUUAUAAAAAUUAAUGAAGCAAUUAAAAUUUUUUUAACUCGAAAAAAAAUUAAAAUGUGUAUGGAAAAAAGAAAAAAGAAGACACUUAAAUAUCUUUUUAAAGAACAUGAUUAAGUAAAAUCAUUUUAAAGAAUGGUCUUCCAAAUGCAAUUCCACAUUUUUUUAAUUGCAUUGGGAUAUUGCAAAAUUGGCACAACUCAUUAAGAAUUCGCAGUUCAAUUUUUAUUUAUCUCUCUAUGCAUUUGACAAAUUAAAAAAAAAUCCAUAUAUCUUCUAUUCAAAAGAAACCUUGUUAAAUACUGUAAAACACAUUACUAAUUUUUUUUUUCAUUUAUGUCAUUAUAUCGUCACUAUUUUCUCGCCCACUUUCUGAAAAUAGAAUCAAUAUUUGUUGAUGGGUUAGGUUCCAAAGUAAGCACCAAUUCAAGAAAAUGGUUUUAUAGCAGAAAAAGCACUUGUAAGACAUUCAAAGCACUUUUUUCCAUUUUGUCUUUUGAAAAUGAGUCUGGAGUCUCCGCAAGCCAAGAAGAAUGGCUAACAAAUGUAUGGUACCAAAGAAAGAGAAACACACACACACACACAGAUUAUUGUUGAGAUGUAUAUGUGUGUAUAAUAUAUUAAUAUGUAUAUAUAUCCCCAUUAAUUGUUGAUAGUCCAAUGGGUAAAAGGAAAAAAUUGGCCGUCCUUUAAGACAAAAUUCAUUGUCAUAUGAAAAUGUUAACCACAAAACAAAAAUAAAGAUUCCAAGAACAAAUUUGUGGUCCCCUUUUUGUCCAAACUUACAUGAUAGAAAUUAAUGUUUAAAUGACAGUUGAAAAAUGUAGAUCCUCACGCAAUUGAUUAAAUAUUUAUAGUAGGAUGGAGUGAUAAAUAGUUUCUCAAAAUUAUUGGAAUUAACUAUUUAAUACAUGAGAUUUAUCUCAUUAAGGAUAAAAGAUUAAGAUGCUACUUCAAAAGCAUAACGUUGCCAACAAUAAAUUUAACACAAAAGUUUAAUUAACUUUCUUAGUUGAGAUAAUAAAAUUUCGUGUUGAAAAUAAAAGGUUUGAGGUUCGAACCUUGUCAUUCAAGAAAAUCAAGUCAAAAUUAUUACAUCUUCCAGCACAUACCAAAGAUUUUUUUCAAAGGCAGACUGAUAAUUCAGGAUUAAAAAAAAACAAAAGGAAUAUAUGCUAUUCAAGACAGGUAUACCUUGAUUCUCAAAAAAAAAAAAGACAGGUAUACCUUGGACAUGAAGUCUGAGUCCAGAACAAGAAGCACCUAGCUGAUCUUUCAAUUUCCAAAACCGAACGAAAUCUUUGUCAAAAUAUCUGAUCUAGUCUCAUAUUAAGCACAUUCACAGCCGUAUCAACAGGGUCAAAAUAUUUUCCCCAAAAAGAGACACAGAUUCCCCUGAAGUUGAGUUGUGACUGUCCAAACUGCUAUAAUUAUAUGGUUCAGGAUACCAUGCCUGUGAAUCCUUUUUUUUUUUUUCAUGUUUCUAAGUCUAUCAAAUGAAAAUGUAAUUAUAUGGUUCAGGUUACCAGUAUGCCAGAGAUGCAAAGGUUGACUUCCACUAUCCUAUCAGGGCCUAUACUUUCUAUUGAAUUUCCUUUUUUUUUUUUAAAUUGCAAGAUUUAUUUUUGGAAAUCUUUGACAUUGAUUCUCAGUAGCAACUUUUUUUUUCUUUUUUCUUCUUUUAAAAAAAGGAAGCCAUAUAGAUAAUGCUUUAAACAUUAUUUGCAACAAGGAACGAUUAUUUCAUGCUUUCAGGUAUUACAAGCUUUCCAGAAAUGCUAGCAAGAAAAUAUGAAGGAACUUUACCUAGUCACAGAAUAUGUACUGCCUUUAGCACAAUUGUUAUGAAGUGGCUUCUGCAUCAGAAGAUUCUAGCUCCCACCAAGCAUCCUUAUCUUCCUUCUGGAUACAGUCUGCAUCGCUGGGCAUGAAUUAUAUGAUUGAUGUCUGCAUCCUCACUUACAUCAUCCCAAUCAAGCGCUUUUUCUCUACCUCUGAAUUAUAAGCCCACUUCAAUCUCUUCAAAACAUCCUGGUCAUUCCAUCACAGCUGAUACGUCUUCCUUCCUUGCUUCCCCAUUAAUGAAUCCCUCUAAGAAAAAAAAACAUCAGCAAUUCUCUUCAACGUCCCAUCAUUCAUAUACCCUGCAACACCCGUCUUUAGACACCUCAACGUCGCCUCCUGCAAAACCUCCACAAAAUCUGAAUCAUCCGACACAAACACCAAACACCCAAACCUUCUUUUGUCCAUCAUAUCCACCAUAUAAUUCCUCAACAAAACAUCGGCAGCUUGUAGCUUAUCUGACAUUGUCCUGACCCAAAACCACACUCUUUUCAACUUUACUACCAAACUAUAACCCACUUUUGGAGUCAAAGUUGCCUUUGAAGCCAUUUUAUAUGUUUCCAUCCUCAUUGAAUAGUUGCCAACCAAAUGCUCUCUCAUCUUCCCUUUGGCUGAUUCUAUUUGAUUUAACCUCUUCUUUUGUUCACGCUUAUGAAUUUGCUUAAAAUGAUUAACAAGCUUGUCAUUAUUAUAAAGUCUCAAGUCUCCUUCCACAAUCACCAAUACAUAUGGCUCAGCAGGCCUAAUUACACCCUUGAUUUCCAAUUGGUUAAACAAUUCUUUAAUUUUCUUCUCUUUGCUCUCUUGCAACUCGAGGCACAUAACUAAACGCUAGGCUAUUAGCAUGUGCCACCAUGUACUUAACAACCCUAAAUGACGAUAUUGAUUUUUUUCAAUUUAAUGGUCGCUUCACAAUGGGGUAUUAAUUUAGAUUUUGUUAUCCAAAUAUCAAAGAAUUCCUACAUUGUGUUGGACAGUUUCUGGUUCUAAAGUUGAUGACCGGUCUUGCCAAUUAGGCUCCGAAUGAGAACUUCUAAACAAUAAGACAAAUGGGUUCUGGGUUUCUAAUCUUGUAAACUUUGUUCUACUGUAUAACUUAUGAAAUUGCUGAAACAUCACUAUAGCUACAGGCCUUUAUGUGUCAAUGAACUACAGAAGCUAAUGAUCUACCUGUAGUAGACUUCUAUUAUCCCUGCCGUUCCAGGAAGACAAAUAAGUUGAGGAACUACUUCUGGACCAAUAUUGCCACUGCUUUGGGCCAAUCUGAGAGGGAAAGAAGGUUGAAGUUCCUAAAUUAGGUACAUCAUGAUUUGAUAGAAGUACCACUUCGAGGAACAAUUGAUUUCAGGGCAGUGCUAAAAUAUGACAUAAUCUCCCCCCAAAGGCCUAAAGCAACUUCUCUUAGCGUAUCAAGAAAUGACAUCAACCAAGCAAAAAUAUAUAAACCAGUUGAGAUACAAAGUUAUCAUAAAAUUCAAUUUUGAUCACAAAUCCAUUAAAAUUGUUGAGAUACAAAGUAAUAAGAAAUGGAACAAAGGUGUAAAUCGAACACCAAAAGAAAUUUAUUUGGCCAGCCACAUUAUGUUCCCACACAGUCAACUAAUUAAGUUAAUAAUUAAAGGGAAUCAAAAUCUAAGAAAUCCCAUCUUCAAGCAGGAUGAAGACACACUAGGACCGAGAAUCACAAAAUCAUAACAAGCUGACUUGAAAAGCUCAAAGGUACCUUCAUCAGCCCCUUAACUAAUAUCUGAGAACAAAUGCCUGCAGCUUGUGAAGGCAUAGAUCAUUCAAGCAGAUAAAACAACAAGCAACUAGUCGCAUAUGUACUCAGCAACUUUCUAAAGUUAAGGCAUAAAACAACAACAUAGAAUAAAUUAAUUAAAUGUACCAACACUACUACUCUCAUUAUUAUCCAAAUGUAGAAGCCCAAUGCAUCAAACAAGGAAAAUGAGAUACUGUUAAUAACUCAAAAACCAUGAUGGUCAAGAACUAAACAAUAGUAAACUAACAAGUAAAACCCGUAAUCAAACACAACCACAUCAAAAUUUUUGAAAAUUGAGGUCUAAACAUUGAAAACAAUUAGGCAUAUACAAUAGUUAAUCAAAACAAACCCUCAAAACAAUAAUGAACUGUCAUAAGACAGAAACUAAAGUUUAAACUAACGCAUACCCUGUAACAGUGGUCAACUAACAAGUCAAAACCACAAUCAAACAUAGAAUUUUGAAAUCCAUACGAACCCUAACAUAUUACAAUGAAAGGAUAAGGAUAACUACUUGAUAAACUAGACUCCAACAAAAACAUACCUAGUUAAAAAAUGAAGGUAAAUAAAUAAAAAUUGUAUAAAAUUGCGAAAAAAUAGACAAAAUGAUGAGAAAACAGGGAUCUUAUGAAGAGAAAUGUAGACAAAAUCUUCAGGUGUCGAGAAGAUGCCUUUCUUUGUUGACUUUUGUGCCUGUACAUACUUUUUUUUUUUCUUUGAAGAAAAUACUAGUUAUAUAUUAUCAGGACGAAAUAUUACAAGAUGCUAGCAAUUUCAACAGGGACAAUCUUCAAUCCAAAUGUACCCCUAUGAAAAAGAAAAAGCCAACUUGGCUAAUUUGUGAGCCACCACAUCACAAUAUCUAGGUACAUGUUUAACUAUAUAAAUCAGAAGCUCUAUUAAUCAUAAGUCCCUUGACCUCCAAUACUAGCCAACUAAUCUCUUUCCUGCUAGACAAGCUUCCAUCAAUCAGACUAACAAUAUUUACUGAAUCAUAUUCUAAAAUUAAUGGAGUUAGACCCACUUCAAUUGUAAGCUUAAUCUCCUUUAAAAGCGCUUCCGCUUCUGCAAAUUCCACAUCAUUAGAAAAAGACCUUCCAUUGAUUGACGCCACCGUGAAUAUGCACGUAUCAAGGAAUUUUUAAAAGCCCAAUGAUGAUUUUUUAAAAAUAUGUCAUCACAUGUGCAUUCUUUUAAUGUAUUGUUAAGAUUAAUCUUUGCUUAAAAAAUCAUAAAUAAUCAUGAAUUUUUAUUAAUGGUCUUUACCAAAUGCAUGCACAGAAGCAAAUUAUGUUCUCGUUGCAAAGUAGUCAUUUAUUCACCAUAAAUAUUAACGUCACACUUUUAGGAUGCUCAAUAUAUGCAUAAUAUUGGGUAAUUUUUAAAGACCUCCCUGAGGUUUGGGGUAUUGACACUUAAAUAGAAAGUAUGUUUGUAAUUACAUAAACCUCCCUUGCCGUUUCUAUUUCCAUCCAAUGACGGUAAGUAGAUCAAUGAAAUGACCAAAAUAUCCCUAAGGCCAAAAAGAAAUUCUUAUAGCAACUAGUAGGUCACUGUUUGUUAAUUGGAUGAAAUAUGUAUUGCUCGCAGCACACUGAUGAAAUGAUGAAAAUAACUAUGAUAACCAAAUAUUUGACAUUGCAUACUCAUUAACUAAAAAAAAAUAAUAAAAUAUUGCUGAAAAAAUUUAACAAUUUCUAAACUUCAAUUAAGAAAUCAUAUUUGCUUCAAGCAAUUCAAAAAUAAAAAUGCCAUUUUUAUCACACAACCCUCGAUUAGUAAAUUUUUAUAGUCCCAUUGAGAUUAUAAAAUCAACAGAACAUUCCAGAAGAAAAUAUACAUAUUUAUGGUUGAAACUACAAACACAAAAAUAUACCAGGUGAAAAAAAAUUUGAUUUCAAAACCAAUCAAAGAGCUUCUUUGGUCUUAGUAGUGCUCCUAGUUGCACAAUAUUUUGCAGCCAGUUCCUUUGCCUUAAGAAAUUCUUGUCCAUCUAGUUUCAAUCAUUGCCCUUUUCUCUUCUACUUCAUUGUUAAGUAAGAAUGUAAGAUCUAUCUUAUUUUUUCGUUUUUCAAGUAUAAUUCUACCUUCUUCCUCUCUAAUCAUUCCUGUCAAUUAUUGAAUAUGCUGAAGAUGAAUCGAAUUAUUUAUUAAAUAUGUGACAUUAGCAGAGAGCACACUAAAAUGCCAAAACCUAAAGGACUUGUGGUUGUGCGGGAUUUUUUUUCAAAGAAAAUAAGCAACUGAAAUUGAACUUAUAUUAUGGGAAAAACAAGAGAGUUGAAUAUGCAUUAACACAUAAAUAAGUAUUGCAUUUGAGGAUGAUGAAGAGCUUCAUAAUGUUGUUUCUAUGCAAAAUUUAUUUUGAUUAAACAUAUCAUAGCUAAGCCUGUAUUUCAUUUUUAAUCAUUUCAUAACAAGAUGAAAUCCUAAGCAAUUACUUGGAAAGAACAAUAAUCAAUAGUUUUUUAAAUGAGAAAGAAGACUCAAAAUUUAUGAAAUUUAGAGUAAACACGAGCUACAUACAAAAAAAUCACAAUAUGUAGGUAUUCACAACCAGUGAACACUAAUCAAGUUAUAGUUAGAUACACAAGGUGAAACGUUAUAUGAAAAAGUAACAUUUGAAACCCAUUUAAAUUGUAUUUGCGAUUAAACCCAUCUAAAUCUUAAAUUGUAAUCACAAAUAUAAUCCUAAAAAUUAUUUUAAUUUUAAAAAAAUCUCAAUUUUUUUUCAUUUCAAUUUUAUUAUAAAUGGAAUUGAAUUUGCGAUUACAAAGCUAAAACCCAUUUUUGUUUAACAUAAAAAUCACAGAAAACAACUAAUUUCUAAUAUGCAAUGGUUUGUUUGGCUAGUACGAGUCAAAGUUGAAUACAUGUAGUAGCUUUUUCAACAAAUCAAAGACAACAUUAAAUCUAUUUUUAAAACACAGCAUCAAAUCAACCAAACGGCUCUAACUUUAACAUGGAUUGAGUUAUUUGAAAUUUUCACCUACUACGAGGUUUAAUCAUUGUCACGUUCCUCAUCGAUCACAGGCAAUGGUCACUCAAUGGCACCAUUGUUCAUCACUUUAUUGUUCAUCACUCUUCUUCAAAACCGAGGCUUCUUCAGACUUGAGCUUCAUUUGGCGAGGUCAGAGCAUAAAGAGAAGAAUUUAUGUUUGAGAUUGUUAAUUAACGAUCAACCCCCGCUGUUGUCACUUUAUUGUUCAUCACUCUUCUUCAAAACCGACGCUUCUUCAGAUUUGAGCUUCAUUUAUUGAGGUCAGAAGCAUAAAAGAAGAAUUGAUGUUUGAGAUUGUUAAUUAACGGUCAACUCGGUCACUUUAUUGUUCAUCACUCUUCUUCAAAACCGACAUUUCUUCAUAUUUGAGCUUCAUUUGGUGAGGUCAGAAGCAUAAAGAGAAGAAUUUAUGUUUGAGAUUAUUAAUUAACGGUCAACUCGGUCAUGAGGUUGCUUUUGAUUUUUUUAUUUAAAUAACUUUUUUAUGAAAUUACCCUCGUACAUUGACAAGAUACCAAAUGAAAUACAAACGGCAUGGGAGGUCUAUAUAAUUAUGGUCACACUCUAUCUAAGUGUCAAUACGCCAAACCUCAGGGGAGGUCCCUAAAAAUUACCCAUUUAAUAUUACAUCUACACCACUAUCUCUCUUUCCACCAAUACUAUCUUUGUUUCCAAGUUGUUAAUUAUUGCUUUAUUAGGUAUGCCUCUAGUUAAACAUUAUUAAUAUCGAUUUUCAUUUGGUUUUUGAUGAAUUCAACCAUAUAUAAGAGUAAGGUCGUUGUUCAAGUACACAUUCACCAAACUUUUCCCUUGGAAUCAGGGGCGGAGACAACAUAUUAAUUGACUGGGGGCUUACUCAACGGCGAUAAAAAAAAUUUAAAAAGUAAUAAAUAAUAAAUUUAAAAGAUUUUUAUCAUACUUCAAUAUAUGUUUAUAAUUGUCCUUUACGAGUUUUCAUACAUUGAUAAUGUUGUAUUACAACUUCAUUAUCAAUAUUAUUGCGGGCUGUUUAAAAAUUUGAUUAAUAUUAAUAUUUAUGGGCUUGAUUUUAGUUUGCAAAGCCCAUCUCUUUUUAUUUGUUUUAAAAACUUAGAGUGUGAGAAUUUAAGUAUAAUUAAGUAUUAGGGACUUGAAUAUAAAUUAGUGGGGCUUAGGAAAAUUUAAUUAGAAAUUUUUGGCAAAUCAAAUUAGUUAGUAAAAGAUUUUUUUUUUUUUUUCAGUGGGGACUUAAGUCCCCACUGGUCCCAAGCUAGAUCCGCCACUGCUUGGAAUUAAGCCAUAUAAAUAAUGCUUUAAACUUUGUUUGCUACAAGGAUGUUUUGCUCACAUAAUAUGGUCAUGCAAGAAAGAAAUAAUAUUGAUACAUCCUAAAAAUAACACGCAUUCUCCUAUUGUAAACCAAACAAUUUAAGCUAAUGGUGCCAAGUGAAGGAAUUGUAAUUUCAUGUACAUUUUGUUAACACGAAAAUAGAGAACUUUAUUAUAGUUUUAUUGUUUGACACACAUUUGGGUAGCAAAAUAAGGGUACAAAAUAGACACAUGAAGUGACAAACUAAGCUUAUUAUAAUAAAUAUUUAAUGAUAAGGUAUAAAUUUAAUCGCAAAUACAUAAGUAACGCACAAAGUCACUAAUUGAUAUCAUCCACGAUGCAAGUUCAAACAACUGCAUAAUAAGUUGCCUCAUGCUAAAUUAUUAAUUUGGUAAUUAUUCCAGUCGAUAUGGGAUAAUUUUCCUAUCNNNNNUUAAUUAAUUAANNNNNAGAAGCUACGUACGGUAUAGUUAUGGCUAACCGUACACUGUACGUAGCUUGUUAUUGUUCUAAACACAAGACGACUGAAACGAGACACAUCACACGAACGACAGCAAAUAAUUAAGGUAGCCACAGCUAGCUUUCGCUGCUAACGAUGGAUAUAAUUUCUUUCAUUGAUAAGCAACUAGCACUCGAAGUAACAGAAGCACGCAUAACCAGUUCCUUGUCUGUAGCAAGCCCCGUACCUUGCAUCCUCCUGCUGCUUGCAGUGCCUGCUACAUUUCCCCGUGUUGAGACACGGCCCCGACCAUGUCUUGCUACGCCGCUGGCACACUUUUGCUUCCGCCAUUGGCACUUCUGUAACAAGCAUACAAAAUCAUUAACGUGCACUUAGAUAUAUAAGUUAUUAUCAAAGCUCAUGGGUGUCAACAAAUUCAGGUGGUAAAAUGAUCUCUUAGGUUGAAACAAGAAGUCUGAGGUUUAAACUCUGCUUACAUGAAUGGAAGAGUGCUUUAUAUUACAAUAUACCAGUAUACAAACACACACACACACACACUAAAAUCUGAAAUAAAAAAAAAAUUGUUAUGAAAGUUUAAUAUGCAUGCAUAUGAAACAUAUAUAUGAUUUUGCUUCCCCUCUGGCAUUUCUGUAACACAUACACAGCAUAUUUAAUGCACUCAGUUAGCUAAUAUUAGUUAGGCACGUGGGCUUAUGAAUGGUAUUUAGUGUCAGACUCAUGCGCAAGUAUGCCCUCAUCGCUUAAGAGCAGUUAUUCAAGAAAACUUCAACUAUAAACUAACUUUUGAGUAUGAGUUAGGCUCAAGUCUUUUUGAAACUGCACAACUUAAUAUCAUAGGCAAAACUUAAAAUUAAAUUUUGAUUGCUGAAAAACUAUUAAGUACUGGUUAACAUCAAGUCACUCACCGAAGGAAGCAAAGAGUAUGAAGAACGCAAAAAUAAGAGCAAAAGCUGUGGUAAUGCUAGCAACUGACUUAGCCAUUUUUGCACUUGCUUUGGUUUUAAUUUGAUGAAAUUGCUGAAGGCCCCAACCCCUAUUUAUACUUGGAUAUAAGCUGUCUCUUCGUCUCUAGCCAAGAUCCGCGAGAGACAAAGAAACAAUAAAUUAAUUAACCGGGGAAAUUUGAAUUAGACACUAAAAAAUGAAUUCACGCUCGGAUUAUUGACAAAAAAUUUUACAGUUUAUGCAAAUAAUUGUGAAUUAGAAUGACGUCCUGCCAAUUGCUAUAUUAUAUGCACUCUGAAGUAGUCUUAGGUAGUUGAAAUCUUCAAAUUUAAAUAUAAUACGCAAUGCGAACUUCAAUGACCCAUUCUUCCCCAUAACCUUGUCAUUGACAAAGAUUUUACAGUUUAUUCAGAUAAUUGUGAAUUGAAAUAGUGUCCUGCCAAGUGCUCUAUUCAUUAUUUCAUAUGCACUCUGAAGUAGUCUUAGUUAAAUCUUAAAAUUUAAAUAUCAUAUUCAAUGCCCGACUUCAAUGACCCAUUCUUCCCUAUAACCUUGUUAAACCACCCUAUCGGAUUCUGUAUAUUCUAUUUAUUGUGUGGUUAAUUGUUCUUAUCAAUCGGAUCUAUGACAUACAGCGCUUCAUCUACGUAGCAAAAUGAUGGUGCAAGUAUAAUUUUCUAUUGCUAUAACAGAAAAUUAAACGUUUUAUUCAUACUAUUACUUUUAUAAGUUUUAUGUAAACUUUUAAAGACCACAUUGAAAAGAUAAAUUCACUCUUGUUAUCAUUCAAUUUAGCUUAAGGUCAAUUUAUACCAGAAUAUUGAGAAGAUAGAAAGAACUUAAACAUCAUACUAAAUAGAGGAUUUCUUCCAUAUUUUUAAUACUAUAAUGUCGAUGAUACGUACUAUUUUUACAUUCAAUGAUGAAAAUGAUUUUGGCUCAUAUUAGUCUUAAUAAAGAAGAAUUAAUAUUUAGGAUCAUAAAGUGAUCCCUUUUUUAUGAAAUUCUUAUUUAUUUCUGACAAAAAAUCUUAAAGAUAACAAGACAACUGAAGAGAAAAUUCUCCAAACAUACAUAAAAACCAUGACAACAAAAAUGAAAAUGAGCCAAAGCAUUUCUUGAUUACAAAUUCUUGGGACAUAACAGAUUCGAAAAUCUUACUUUGAUACAGGUAAGUGUUAGAGAUUAGAAAUAAUAUGAAACAACUAUGUAUGAGUAUGAUGGAUACCCUAAAUCAGCUAAACAACGCACAACAUAGUCAUCCUAAUCUUAUUAAAGGGAUGUAUCUUCGACAACUUAUUUGAUCUCUUAUGCUGUGGGGCCAAAUUCAUUUAUGUGGGGGAAAUUUGUGAACUAUGACCUUCAAAUUCUUGUACGUGUAAGGUAAGAACUCUCGUCUAAAAGCCUUGUUUUAUUAGGUGAUUAUUGACAUAGACAAAUAACAUAUAGCAAUUGAUUAGUGAUUACGACAAUGUUGAUGCGUAAUCAAAUAGAAUAUUUAUGAUUUUUUUAUGCUCAUCGGAUGUUAAUAAGAUAAGAAUCGCGAUGAAAAGUUCAUCAAUGUAUAUGGUACGCAUGUUGAUAGAGGACAAAAACAUUGUUUGAAAUUAAUAUUUUUUUGGGUUUAAAGGUAUUGGACUUUUCUUCUUUGACUAUGGAUAGUAGUUUUUUUUGGAAUCAAAUACAGUAUGAUUAUUUGAACAUAUUAAAAUACUCAAUAAACAUGUUUACUAAAAUACUCUUAUUAAAGAUUUCUCUCAUUGUUUCUUUUUCAACCCUCCAUCCACUCUUAAUUCUCUCCCAUCUUUUAUCUGCCAGUAUUGUCUUAUCUAGAAUAGAAAUUUAGGCUAUGGACAUCUAGUAAUAAAAAUUUAAAAACUUAAAUAAAAAAUGAAAAAAUGAGUCUAAUGAGCAAUUUUAUGGGUUCAAAUAAUUAAUUCCGCCUACUCAAGUGCCAGUAUUGUCCUAUCUAUAAUAUAAAUUUAGGCUAUGGACAUUCUAGUAAUAAAAAUUUAAAAACUUAAAUAAAAAAUGAGUCUAAUGAGUAAUUUUAUGGGUUCAAAUAAUUAAUUCCUUCUACUCAAGUAUUAUUCUUUUAUUUCUGGAUAAUAGUAACAAAGUACGAUUUCAAAGAUAACAAUUCAGAUGGGUAGGAAAGUCUUCCAAUAAAUAUUAGAUAUUUAAAUUAGUAGUUUGAAGAUAAAAUACUAGUAGGAUCAUGGAGCGGGGACAUGACUGGAUUAGCAACAAUGUUUUUAAAAGGUAGAGAUGUGGGUAAAAAUUAAAAUGCUUUUUUAAUAUUUAACAUCAAUUAAAUAAGACUUCUUAAAAAGUAGUUGGCUAGAUCCUGGAGGUGAUUACCUGCAAAAUUCAUUACAUUGAUGAAGGAGUAUCUAAUUAGCAGAUUUGAUAUUACUCCUAUAGUUAUAGGAUGGAUAAAAGUAUUAAUUGGAAAAAAGUGUUAAUGGAGAAUAAAUGGUGGAUAUCAUUAUGUGGCUCGAACUCAUAUGCAGAUACGCUAUUACUGCACUCGCAUGAAGUGAAAAUAGAUUUGUUGGACAUCCCUUAUUCAUAUUUUUUCUCAUUAGUCAUAAUUGUCCCAUAGACAAUAACAAAUGUAGGAUUUUAAAAUGAAUAAAAAAGGUUCUUUUCAAUAAUCUCAUAUUUACAAAUUUUAUUUUCUUUUAGUGUUUCCAAAAAAGAGAAACAUGUAAAAAAUAUAUAUUAGCUUGUUAUACGAUUCUUUUUGGUCAAGUAGUGACAGUGCUUCAUAUGUGGCUCGAACUCAUACGCAGAUACGCUAUUAUAAAUUGCAAUCCUACCUAUAAUUAGGUUGAAUGACCAAAUGAAGAUACAAUAAUCUUGAACUCACAUAUAAAAUUGUAACAGUAGGAACAAAUAAUGUGAAACAUUAAACCAAACAAUAUUCAGUCAUAGUUCAAGGUAUACAUUUAUAAAAAAAAAAAAAAGCACAAUAAACAUCGAUUAUUUUCAUGAAAAUAGCCACAUAUAACCAACAGUAAGGUUACUUAUUAUUUUAAAUAUUAUUUCGUGAAACAGCUGCAGCUACAUAGCUGACCAACACAACAGUAGCUUGUUAUUUCCAAACACAAGAGGAAUAAACACCCAAAAGCAGCAAAAGGCAUGAAUGCAGCUUCUUCAAGUUGAGUAACUAUAGCUAGCAAUUGAAGAAGCAGAAGCAGGCAAAACCAAGGCCAUCUCUGUGGCAAGCACCGCUACUUGCACCCUCGCGUUCUCGGCACUGUUUAUCACAGUCUUCUGUUACGAAGCACGGGCCAGUCCAAGUCUUACUACGCCGCUCGCAUAGUGCAGCCUCUGCCGGCUUUGCCAUUUCUGUAAUACACAACACUUACACAAAAUGAUUAAUUUCUAGUUAAUUAAAUUUUAUAAUGCAUGCGUGCUUGCAGAAACUUAUCAUCAUGAAGUACACAUCAAUGUCACUCACCGAACGAAGCGAAGAUGAUGAAGAAUGCAAAAAGAAGAGCAAAAGUCAUUGUAAAGCCAGAAACAGAUUUAGCCAUUUUAAUUUUUAUUUGUUGCACUUGCUGAACUGGUUUAUUAUUUCAUGAAAAUGGUAAGUGACCGUAGCCCCAAUUUAUACACUUGCAAUGUAAGCUAUCCCUUCCCUUUUUGAGAAAGUUUCGAUGAAAUUUUUAGACCUUACUAGUUUUUUAAUAUAUCGAUAAAGUGCAAGGUUUAAUUGUUGUUUUGUAACCAUCUCCCACGUUGGGAAUAUGUAAAACAACAAAUAUAUCAGUACCAACAAAGACAGAUAAAUAUUUUCAGCCGAUGUGGCAAACAAGGUUGUGAGGCCAAAAUAAAAUAUUUACAAAGUAAUGAGGUAAAAAUGUAAAAUUUAAAAAUAGUUAAAUUUUAUAAUUUUAUAAUUAUUUUCAAAUCUUUUUCUUUUACGUUGCUUUCUAAAAAAUUUCAAAAAGUAAGCCGGGGUUUACCCUGAUUUUUUUUUUUUUUUUUGGUUUUUUUAACUUUAAAAUUUCAAAGAUAAGUUAGGGUUGCCUUGAAAGCCUUUGCUAUAGGUUGCAUUACUUUUUGAAAAAUUUUCAAAAAGUCAGGGGUCACCUUGCGCAAACGCUCUUCCGCUUCUAUAUUUAUAUUAAUCUCGAACUUACUUCAAUAUAUAUCUAGUUUCCCUAUCAAGUGAUAACAUAACAUCACUGCUACAAUAAUCCUAAACUUUCAUAUUGUUGGGUGUGGGUACAUAGAGAUACAUCAACAAUGGUACAAUGAAACUUCAUCGGGGCCAGACCAAUAACUUAAUUAUAUCUAGGAUGUAAUGGGAGGGGAAAAAAAUUCGAUCCUACACAAAUAAUUUUGGGAAAAGGACACAAGGACCCCCAACGUUUGAGUAAGGGACACAAAACUCCCUAAGGUUUUAAAAAAGAUACGCAGACCCCAAUUAAUUAACGGAAAUCGUUUCGUUAAAUCACUACAAGGUUAAUACCGUAAUUACAAAUUAAAAACAAGUGAAUUGACUAAAACCCACACACACAUCACACGGACAAACAAACCCCACACACACUGAUUCCAGACAAAUCUUUUAACACACACUCACGGUUUGCCUUGCCGAAAGCUGCUGGGGUUGCCGGAAGUUGCUGGAACUGGUCACGCUACUGGAAGCUGCUGGAACUGCUCGUGCGUCGAUCGAGACUGUGUCUGGUUGCCGGAUCUGCUCGCGAUCAACGUUUGGCUGCUGGUUGUGCUGUUGGAACUGCUGGAAUCUCGCGUUUGGCUGUUGGAACUGCUCGUGUUUGGUUGCUGCUCUUGCUUGUGGAAUCUCGCGUUUGGCUGCUGCUUGUGCUCGCGUUUGGUUGCUGAUCCUGCCUGUUGAAUCUCACGUUUGGCUGCUGCUCUUGCUUGUGGAAUCUCGCGUUUGGCUACUGCUUGUGCUCGCUUUUGGUUGCUGCUCUUGCUUGUGGAAUCCAGGGUUCAAUUCUCUUAAGUCCUAUUUUUUCUCUUUAAUUUUCAUUUUUUUUACUAAAUUAACUUCUCUAGCAUGUUUGAUGCAUAUGUGAUGUAUGUGCAAGAAUAUAAAUAAAUGAUUACGAGAAUUUUUUUUUUUUUUUUUUAUGGUUGUUUGAUGAACAGAGUUCUUAAUUUGUCUGAUUUAUUGGAGAUUUCUUGCUAAUUACUUUUGUUAUUUCUUUUCUUUAUCAAUUUUUAGAUGUGCAUGGAAUUUUCUUUAUCAAAUUUAUUUUGUUAUAUCUAACCAGUUGGGCUAGAAUUCUACCUAGGUGAGAUAUUAUGCAUUUUUUUAAUGGUCCUGGAGCAUGUGAAUUUUGUGCUUAAUUUAUUAAUGAAAAGAAUGUAUUGGUUUGCAGAUGGUUGAUCAGCCAUCCCAAAACCUGAAUACUCACUCACUUUAUUCUUUUGAACAAGAAGAUGAUGAAGCAUAUUGGUCAAAUGAUGACAAUGAAGACAUAACACCUGCUGAUGAUGAAAUAGGAUUAAAUUGGGAUGAUGAGGGAGUGGAUGUUGGGCAUAGUGAAGGUUGUGAAGAAGUGGAUUAUAAAGAUAGUGAAGAAGAAGAUAGAAUUCUUUCUAAUUGUGAGUCAGAUGAUAGAGAGCAUGGCCUGCUUUCUGAUUCUGAAGAUGAGCAAUCAUUUCAUUGUUCAAAAUCUAACCCCAAUGAAAUGAUUGAAAUCAGUGUUGGGCAGGAGUUCGACAAUGUCCAACAUUUCAGAAGAGUACUUGAAAACUACGUUAUUAAGAAUGGGUUUGAUCUUAAUAGAAUUAAGAAUGAGAAGAGAAGGUUCAGGGCAAAGUGUUCCAAUGAGGGCUGUCCGUGGUUUAUUUAUGCAGCACUAGUAGAAUCUGGGACAAAAUUCAGAAUUCAGAAGCUGAAUAAUGUACAUGAAUGUAAUGGAGUGUUAGAGAGCAAAGAGGCAUCAUAUAAAUGGAUUGCCUCUCAGUUUGAGGGAACUUUGAAGAACAACCCAAAAAUGCCAGUAAAGGGAAUGAAAGAUGAAUUGGUUUCUAAUUUAGGGAUUAAGGCAAGCAUGAAGAAAAUGUAUAGGGCCAAGAAAAGAGCAAUGGAUAAAUUAAAUGGGAACUAUGCAAAUUCUUAUCAGAGGCUAAGGGAUUAUGCCCAAAUACUCAAACAAAGCAAUCCCAAUACGUUAGUAAAGAUGAAAUUUGUGCCUAGUUUUGAUCAAGAUAGAAGACCAGCUUUGAAGUUUCAGAGAUUUAUGCUUAGCUUUGUUGCUUUGAAGAAUGGAUUCAUUAAUGGAUGUCGAUGGUUUAUUGGAUUGGAUGGUUGUCAUUUAAAGGGGCAUUUCAGAGGUGUACUAUUAUCAGCAGUGGCAUUAGAUGCAAACAAUGGAAUUUUUUCGAUUGCCGUUUGUAUUUGUGAAUCAGAAUGUGCUGAUAGUUGGAAAUGGUUUUUGGCAAUAUUGAGUGAGUGGUUGAACAUAGAGAAUCAAAGUCGAGUAACGUUUAGGACAGAUAGGCAAAAAGGAAUAUUACUAGGUUUGGAAGCAUAUUGGCAUGGUGCAACAGUGAGGCAUUGUGCCAGACAUAUAUUUGCUAACUUAAGAAGUAAUCAUCCUGAUAUCAUCUACAGAAACCUAUUUUGGACAGCAGCAAGAGCCACUAGUGAAAAAGAAUGGGAAGACAACAUGAACAAAAUAAAAACAGCUAAAAAAGACACGCAAGCUGCUUAUGAUUAUUUGAUUAAGAUUGACAAGAAACAGUGGGCUAGACAUGCAUUUCCUGAUGAUGUAAAAGUUGAUCAUGUAACUAACAACUUAAAUGAGUCAUGGAACAGCUGGUUAAAUGAAUACAAAGACAACCCUGUGUUGACACUUAUGGAAUUCAUUCGGAAGAAAGUUAUGAAAAGACUGUAUAAAAGGCAUUCUGAUGCAAGAAAAUGGAUUGGGAAGCUACCUCCAACUGUGAGGAGAAAGUUGAAUGUUUCCAGACAAGAAGGAAGAUAUGUAAGGGUGCUUAUGGCUAGUGAGUAUGAAUUUGAGGUAAUAGAUGAGAAUAAUAAAACAUUUAUAGUUAAUAUGCAGAAUAAAACUUGUGAUUGUGGUGUUUAUCAAAUUUGUGGGAUACCAUGUAAACAUAUCAUCCCAUGUAUUGCUUUAAGACAUGAAGAUGCUGCUGAUUAUGUGGAUAAAAAACUGACAGUGGAAGCAUAUUUGGCCACAUAUGCAAAUAUCAUACAUCCACUUCCAUAUCAAAGUACAUGGGCUGUUGUUGAAGGUCUAAAAGUCUUAUCUCCAUAUGUCAAAACAAGAGUUGGUAGGCCUAAAAUAGUGAGGAAAAGAGAGCCAGGGGAAGAACAAGGGAAAAGAAAGACCAAGCAAAAAUGUAGCUGUUGUGCAAUUUUCGGCCAUAAUAAAAGAUUAUAUAAAAGACCAAUUGAUUCCACUCAACACCCCUCAGGUAAGCCUAAAUUUCUUUUUUUUUUUAUUUUACUUUUUUAUAUAAAAAUAAAAUUUAUAUAUUAAUAUUUAUACAUUUAUCGUGCAGGAACAACCACACAAGAUAUGAGAUGAAGCUCACAAGCUAGUAAUCAGAGUUGUUAUACCAAUUUGUGAACAGAUUAUGUUUUUUUUUCAAAAAAUAUUAUGGUUAUUGUUGUAAUGUUUACCAGUACUAAUUUGAUACAAUAUUAUAAUACAAUUAUUUUUUGUUAUGUUUACUGGAUUGAUGGUUUUAAUGUCUAUUGGAUAUGUUAUUUAGUACAAUUAAGAUUUUGUAAUUAUUGUUGUAAAUAAUUUUUUUUUAUUUUUGAUUAUAUAAGUUUAAAUGAUUGACAUAUGGAGAAUUGUUAUUUUUAUUAUAUUAAUAAUCAAUUUAAUUUAUUUUUAUUCUUGAGCAAUGAAUUAAAUUUAUUUAGUUUGAAGAGAAAAAUUAACAAAAAUUAAAUGGAAAAAUUGGGUAAUGAAGUUAUAUUCGUAAUUAUAUUAAUAAUAUAGGGAUAAAUUGGACAAUGAACAAUUAGUUUUUAAUAUGCUAUAAGGGUAUAAUGGUAAUUGUACUUUAAAAUUAUAAUUUCACUCAAAAGAAACGGUUUCCGUUAACUAAUGGGGGUCUGAGUGUCUUUUUUGAAACAUGAGGGGUUUUAUGUCCCUUAUUCAAACGUUGGGGGUCUCUGUGUCCUUUUCCCAAUAAUUUAUCAUCAUGUGUUAAGUGACGAUUGACUUUAUUAAUUAUUGGUACAAAAUUAAUAUGCCAAGCACAAAUGAUCAACUGAGAUACAAAAUCUUGGUUCUCCACUGCGUGUGUAUAUUAUACCAUGUAAUGUUGUUAUCACCACCCAAAACUCUCUCCGAAUUAAGUAGGUAUAGGCGCUAAUUCAUCACAAGAUUAUUACUGCACUCGCAUGAAGUGAAAAUAGAUUUGUUGGAUAUCCCUUAUUCAUAUUUUUUCUCAUUAGUCAUAAUUGUCCCAUAGACAAUAACAAAUGUAGGAUUUUAAAAUGAAUAAAAAAGUUCUUUUCAAUAAUCUCAUAUUUACAAAUUAUAUUUUCUUUUAGUGUUUCCAAAAAAGAGGAACAUGUAAAAAAUAUAUAUUAGCUUGUUAUACGACUCUUUUUGGUCAAGUGAUAGUGCUUCAGGUAAUUUUUAUAAAUAAAAUUAAGUUUUGUUUCAAAUAAGCACUCCCCCCCUAAAAAAAAAGAAGGGGAGAAGGCAAAACCCAGAUUGAUUUCUUAGCGUUACUUUUCUCAAAAUCCAGACUCAAGUGGUCGGGCAAAGAAAUUUGCGUAAAAACCACUCGGUCAAGACCUUUGGCCUCAUUGAGUACUCAUUGAUGGCGAUAUAAUUAAUUAAUUCUAAUGUGACCAACUCAUUUGCACGUGAGAGAAAAUGAAUGUUAAUUAUACUUCACCAGCAACUAUAUCCAAUUUUGUUAUUUUAUAUUAUUAAGUCUCAAGAUGGUUAUGUUUCAUACACAUUUAACUAAUUAAGAACAUAAUAAAUACUUAUAUGGAAUAAAUAAUUUUCAUAAUAGUACAUGAAUGUUCAUUCCUGGUGCUUGCGUAUCAUAGUAAUAUAAAUAGCGUGAAGAGAUGGAGUAAUAACUUAUAAUUAGAUUUGUAGAGUGUGGCUCAUUAUAUUAGAAUAACACAAACAAGCAAUACAACAAAGACGCAACAAACAUUGACUCGUUCCUUAUUCAGAAGCUACGUACGGUAUAGUUAUGGCUAACCGUACACUGUACGUAGCUUGUUAUUGUUCUAAACACAAGACGACUGAAACGAGACACAUCACACGAACGACAGCAAAUAAUUAAGGUAGCCACAGCUAGCUUUCGCUGCUAACGAUGGAUAUAAUUUCUUUCAUUGAUAAGCAACUAGCACUCGAAGUAACAGAAGCACGCAUAACCAGUUCCUUGUCUGUAGCAAGCCCCGUACCUUGCAUCCUCCUGCUGCUUGCAGUGCCUGCUACAUUUCCCCGUGUUGAGACACGGCCCCGACCAUGUCUUGCUACGCCGCUGGCACACUUUUGCUUCCGCCAUUGGCACUUCUGUAACAAGCAUACAAAAUCAUUAACGUGCACUUAGAUAUAUAAGUUAUUAUCAAAGCUCAUGGGUGUCAACAAAUUCAGGUGGUAAAAUGAUCUCUUAGGUUGAAACAAGAAGUCUGAGGUUUAAACUCUGCUUACAUGAAUGGAAGAGUGCUUUAUAUUACAAUAUACCAGUAUACAAACACACACACACACACACUAAAAUCUGAAAUAAAAAAAAAAUUGUUAUGAAAGUUUAAUAUGCAUGCAUAUGAAACAUAUAUAUGAUUUUGCUUCCCCUCUGGCAUUUCUGUAACACAUACACAGCAUAUUUAAUGCACUCAGUUAGCUAAUAUUAGUUAGGCACGUGGGCUUAUGAAUGGUAUUUAGUGUCAGACUCAUGCGCAAGUAUGCCCUCAUCGCUUAAGAGCAGUUAUUCAAGAAAACUUCAACUAUAAACUAACUUUUUGAGUAUGAGUUAGGCUCAAGUCUUUUUGAAACUGCACAACUUAAUAUCAUAGGCAAAACUUAAAAUUAAAUUUUGAUUGCUGAAAAACUAUUAAGUACUGGUUAACAUCAAGUCACUCACCGAAGGAAGCAAAGAGUAUGAAGAACGCAAAAAUAAGAGCAAAAGCUGUGGUAAUGCUAGCAACUGACUUAGCCAUUUUUGCACUUGCUUUGGUUUUAAUUUGAUGAAAUUGCUGAAGGCCCCAACCCCUAUUUAUACUUGGAUAUAAGCUGUCUCUUCGUCUCUAGCCAAGAUCCGCGAGAGACAAAGAAACAAUAAAUUAAUUAACCGGGGAAAUUUGAAUUAGACACUAAAAAAUGAAUUCACGCUCGGAUUAUUGACAAAAAAUUUUACAGUUUAUGCAAAUAAUUGUGAAUUAGAAUGACGUCCUGCCAAUUGCUAUAUUAUAUGCACUCUGAAGUAGUCUUAGGUAGUUGAAAUCUUCAAAUUUAAAUAUAAUACGCAAUGCGAACUUCAAUGACCCAUUCUUCCCCAUAACCUUGUCAUUGACAAAAGAUUUUACAGUUUAUUCAGAUAAUUGUGAAUUGAAAUAGUGUCCUGCCAAGUGCUCUAUUUCAUUAUUUCAUAUGCACUCUGAAGUAGUCUUAGUUAAAAUCUUAAAAUUUAAAUAUCAUAUUCAAUGCCCGACUUCAAUGACCCAUUCUUCCCUAUAACCUUGUUAAACCACCCUAUCGGAUUCUGUAUAUUCUAUUUAUUGUGUGGUUAAUUGUUCUUAUCAAUCGGAUCUAUGACAUACAGCGCUUCAUCUACGUAGCAAAAUGAUGGUGCAAGUAUAAUUUUCUAUUGCUAUAAACAGAAAAUUAAACGUUUUAUUCAUACUAUUACUUUUAUAAGUUUUAUGUAAACUUUUAAAGACCACAUUGAAAAGAUAAAUUCACUCUUGUUAUCAUUCAAUUUAGCUUAAGGUCAAUUUAUACCAGAAUAUUGAGAAGAUAGAAAGAACUUAAACAAUCAUACUAAAUAGAGGAUUUCUUCCAUAUUUUUAAUACUAUAAUGUCGAUGAUACGUACUAUUUUUACAUUCAAUGAUGAAAAUGAUUUUGGCUCAUAUUAGUCUUAAUAAAGAAGAAUUAAUAUUUAGGAUCAUAAAGUGAUCCCUUUUUUAUGAAAUUCUUAUUUAUUUCUGACAAAAAAUCUUAAAGAUAACAAGACAACUGAAGAGAAAAUUCCUCCAAACAUACAUAAAAACCAUGACAACAAAAAUGAAAAUGAGCCAAAGCAUUUCUUGAUUACAAAUUCUUGGGACAUUAACAGAUUCGAAAAUCUUACUUUGAUACAGGUAAGUGUUAGAGAUUAGAAAUAAUAUGAAACAACUAUGUAUGAGUAUGAUGGAUAACCCUAAAUCAGCUAAACAACGCACAACAUAGUCAUCCUAAUCUUAUUAAAGGGAUGUAUCUUCGACAACUUAUUUGAUCUCUUAUGCUGUGGGGGCCAAAUUCAUUUAUGUGGGGGAAAUUUUGUGAACUAUGACUUCAAAUUCUUGUACGUGUAAGGUAAGAACUCUCGUCUAAAAGCCUUGUUUUAUUAGGUGAUUAUUGACAUAGACAAAUAAAAUAUAGGCAAUUGAUUAGUGAUUACGACAAUGUUGAUGCGUAAUCAAAUAGAAUAUUUAUGAUUUUUUUAUGCUCAUCGGAUGUUAAUAAGAUAAGAAUCGCGAUGAAAAGUUCAUCAAUGUAUAUGGUACGCAUGUUGAUAGAGGACAAAAACAUUGUUUGAAAUUAAUAUUUUUUUGGGUUUAAAGGUAUUGGACUUUUCUUCUUUGACUAUGGAUAGUAGUUUUUUUUGGAAUCAAAUACAGUAUGAUUAUUUGAACAUAUUAAAAUACUCAAUAAACAUGUUUACUAAAAUACUCUUAUUAAAGAUUUCUCUCAUUGUUUCUUUUUCAACCCUCCAUCCACUCUUAAUUCUCUCCCAUCUUUUAUCUGCCAGUAUUGUCUUAUCUAGAAUAGAAAUUUAGGCUAUGGACAUCUAGUAAUAAAAAUUUAAAAACUUAAAUAAAAAAUGAAAAAAUGAGUCUAAUGAGCAAUUUUAUGGGUUCAAAUAAUUAAUUCCGCCUACUCAAGUGCCAGUAUUGUCCUAUCUAUAAUAUAAAUUUAGGCUAUGGACAUUCUAGUAAUAAAAAUUUAAAAACUUAAAUAAAAAUGAGUCUAAUGAGUAAUUUUAUGGGUUCAAAUAAUUAAUUCCUUCUACUCAAGUAUUAUUCUUUUAUUUCUGGAUAAUAGUAACAAAGUACGAUUUCAAAGAUAACAAUUCAGAUGGGUAGGAAAGUCUUCCAAUAAAUAUUAGAUAUUUAAAUUAGUAGUUUGAAGAUAAAAUACUAGUAGGAUCAUGGAGCGGGGACAUGACUGGAUUAGCAACAAUGUUUUUUAAAAGGUAGAGAUGUGGGUAAAAAUUAAAAUGCUUUUUUAAUAUUUAACAUCAAUUAAAUAAGACUUCUUAAAAGUAGUUGGCUAGAUCCUGGAGGUGAUUACCUGCAAAAUUCAUUACAUUGAUGAAGGAGUAUCUAAUUAGCAGAUUUGAUAUUACUCCUAUAGUUAUAGGAUGGAUAAAAGUAUUAAUUGGAAAAAAGUGUUAAUGGAGAAUAAAUGGUGGAUAUCAUUAUGUGGCUCGAACUCAUAUGCAGAUACGCUAUUACUGCACUCGCAUGAAGUGAAAAUAGAUUUGUUGGACAUCCCUUAUUCAUAUUUUUUCUCAUUAGUCAUAAUUGUCCCAUAGACAAUAACAAAUGUAGGAUUUUAAAAUGAAUAAAAAAGGUUCUUUUCAAUAAUCUCAUAUUUACAAAUUUUAUUUUCUUUUAGUGUUUCCAAAAAAGAGAAACAUGUAAAAAAUAUAUAUUAGCUUGUUAUACGAUUCUUUUUGGUCAAAGUAGUGACAGUGCUUCAUAUGUGGCUCGAACUCAUACGCAGAUACGCUAUUAUAAAUUGCAAUCCUACCUAUAAUUAGGUUGAAUGACCAAAUGAAGAUACAAUAAUCUUGAACUCACAUAUAAAAUUGUAACAGUAGGAACAAAUAAUGUGAAACAUUAAACCAAACAAUAUUCAGUCAUAGUUCAAGGUAUACAUUUAUAAAAAAAAAAAAAAGCACAAUAAACAUCGAUUAUUUUCAUGAAAAUAGCCACAUAUAACCAACAGUAAGGUUACUUAUUAUUUUAAAUAUUAUUUCGUGAAACAGCUGCAGCUACAUAGCUGACCAACACAACAGUAGCUUGUUAUUUCCAAACACAAGAGGAAUAAACACCCAAAAGCAGCAAAAGGCAUGAAUGCAGCUUCUUCAAGUUGAGUAACUAUAGCUAGCAAUUGAAGAAGCAGAAGCAGGCAAAACCAAGGCCAUCUCUGUGGCAAGCACCGCUACUUGCACCCUCGCGUUCUCGGCACUGUUUAUCACAGUCUUCUGUUACGAAGCACGGGCCAGUCCAAGUCUUACUACGCCGCUCGCAUAGUGCAGCCUCUGCCGGCUUUGCCAUUUCUGUAAUACACAACACUUACACAAAAUGAUUAAUUUCUAGUUAAUUAAAUUUUAUAAUGCAUGCGUGCUUGCAGAAACUUAUCAUCAUGAAGUACACAUCAAUGUCACUCACCGAACGAAGCGAAGAUGAUGAAGAAUGCAAAAAGAAGAGCAAAAGUCAUUGUAAAGCCAGAAACAGAUUUAGCCAUUUUAAUUUUUAUUUGUUGCACUUGCUGAACUGGUUUAUUAUUUCAUGAAAAUGGUAAGUGACGCGUAGCCCCAAUUUAUACACUUGCAAUGUAAGCUAUCCCUUCCCUUUUUGAGAAAGUUUCGAUGAAAUUUUAGACCUUACUAGUUUUUUAAUAUAUCGAUAAAGUGCAAGGUUUAAUUGUUGUUUUGUAACCAUCUCCCACGUUGGGAAUAUGUAAACAACAAAUAUAUCAGUACCAACAAAGACAGAUAAAUAUUUUCAGCCGAUGUGGCAAACAAGGUUGUGAGGCCAAAAUAAAAUAUUUACAAAGUAAUGAGGUAAAAAUGUAAAAUUUAAAAAUAGUUAAAUUUUAUAAUUUUAUAAUUAUUUUCAAAUCUUUUUCUUUUACGUUGCUUUCUAAAAAAUUUCAAAAAGUAAGCCGGGGUUUACCCUGAUUUUUUUUUUUUUUUGGUUUUUUUAAACUUUAAAAUUUCAAAGAUAAGUUAGGGUUGCCUUGAAAGCCUUUGCUAUAGGUUGCAUUACUUUUGAAAAAUUUUCAAAAAGUCAGGGGUCACCUUGGCGCAAACGCUCUUCCGCUUCUAUAUUUAUAUUAAUCUCGAACUUACUUCAAUAUAUAUCUAGUUUCCCUAUCAAGUGAUAACAUAACAUCACUGCUACAAUAAUCCUAAACUUUCAUAUUGUUGGGUGUGGGUACAUAGAGAUACAUCAACAAAUGGUACAAUGAAACUUCAUCGGGCCAGACCAAUAACUUAAUUAUAUCUAGGAUGUAAUGGGAGGGAAAAAAAAUUCGAUCCUACACAAAUAAUUUUGGGAAAAGGACACAAGGACCCCCAACGUUUGAGUAAGGGACACAAAACUCCCUAAGGUUUUAAAAAAGAUACGCAGACCCCAAUUAAUUAACGGAAAUCGUUUCGUUAAAUCACUACAAGGUUAAUACCGUAAUUACAAAUUAAAAACAAGUGAAUUGACUAAAACCCACACACACAUCACACGGACAAACAAACCCCACACACACUGAUUCCAGACAAAUCUUUUAACACACACUCACGGUUUGCCUUGCCGAAAGCUGCUGGGGUUGCCGGAAGUUGCUGGAACUGGUCACGCUACUGGAAGCUGCUGGAAACUGCUCGUGCGUCGAUCGAGACUGUGUCUGGUUGCCGGAUCUGCUCGCGAUCAAACGUUUGGCUGCUGGUUGUGCUGUUGGAACUGCUGGAAUCUCGCGUUUGGCUGUUGGAACUGCUCGUGUUUGGGUUGCUGCUCUUGCUGUGGAAUCUCGCGUUUGGCUGCUGCUUGUGCUCGCGUUUGGUUGCUGAUCCUGCCUGUUGAAUCUCACGUUUGGCUGCUGCUCUUGCUUGUGGAAUCUCGCGUUUGGCUACUGCUUGUGCUCGCUUUUGGUUUGCUGCUCUUGCUUGUGGAAUCCAGGGUUCAAUUCUCUUAAGUCCUAUUUUUCUCUUUAAUUUUCAUUUUUUUUACUAAAUUAACUUCUCUAGCAUGUUUGAUGCAUAUGUGAUGUAUGUGCAAGAAUAUAAAUAAAAUGAUUACGAGAAUUUUUUUUUUUUUUGUUUAUGGUUGUUUGAUGAACAGAGUUCUUAAUUUGUCUGAUUUAUUGGAAGAUUUCUUGCUAAUUACUUUUGUUAUUUCUUUUCUUUAUCAAUUUUUAGAUGUGCAUGGAAUUUUCUUUAUCAAAUUUAUUUUGUUAUAUCUAACCCAGUUGGGCUAGAAUUCUACCUAGGUGAGAUAUUAUGCAUUUUUUUAAUGGUCCUGGAGCAUGUGAAUUUUGUGCUUAAUUUAUUAAUGAAAGAAUGUAUUGGUUUGCAGAUGGUUGAUCAGCCAUCCCAAAACCUGAAUACUCACUCACUUUAUUCUUUUGAACAAGAAGAUGAUGAAGCAUAUUGGUCAAAUGAUGACAAUGAAGACAUAACACCUGCUGAUGAUGAAAUAGGAUUAAAUUGGGAUGAUGAGGGAGUGGAUGUUGGGCAUAGUGAAGGUUGUGAAGAAGUGGAUUAUAAAGAUAGUGAAGAAGAAGAUAGAAUUCUUUCUAAUUGUGAGUCAGAUGAUAGAGAGCAUGGCCUGCUUUCUGAUUCUGAAGAUGAGCAAUCAUUUCAUUGUUCAAAAUCUAACCCCAAUGAAAUGAUUGAAAUCAGUGUUGGGCAGGAGUUCGACAAUGUCCAACAUUUCAGAAGAGUACUUGAAAACUACGUUAUUAAGAAUGGGUUUGAUCUUAAUAGAAUUAAGAAUGAGAAGAGAAGGUUCAGGGCAAAGUGUUCCAAUGAGGGCUGUCCGUGGUUUAUUUAUGCAGCACUAGUAGAAUCUGGGACAAAAUUCAGAAUUCAGAAGCUGAAUAAUGUACAUGAAUGUAAUGGAGUGUUAGAGAGCAAAGAGGCAUCAUAUAAAUGGAUUGCCUCUCAGUUUGAGGGAACUUUGAAGAACAACCCAAAAAUGCCAGUAAAGGGAAUGAAAGAUGAAUUGGUUUCUAAUUUAGGGAUUAAGGCAAGCAUGAAGAAAAUGUAUAGGGCCAAGAAAAGAGCAAUGGAUAAAUUAAAUGGGAACUAUGCAAAUUCUUAUCAGAGGCUAAGGGAUUAUGCCCAAAUACUCAAACAAAGCAAUCCCAAUACGUUAGUAAAGAUGAAAUUUGUGCCUAGUUUUGAUCAAGAUAGAAGACCAGCUUUGAAGUUUCAGAGAUUUAUGCUUAGCUUUGUUGCUUUGAAGAAUGGAUUCAUUAAUGGAUGUCGAUGGUUUAUUGGAUUGGAUGGUUGUCAUUUAAAGGGGCAUUUCAGAGGUGUACUAUUAUCAGCAGUGGCAUUAGAUGCAAACAAUGGAAUUUUUUCGAUUGCCGUUUGUAUUUGUGAAUCAGAAUGUGCUGAUAGUUGGAAAUGGUUUUUGGCAAUAUUGAGUGAGUGGUUGAACAUAGAGAAUCAAAGUCGAGUAACGUUUAGGACAGAUAGGCAAAAAGGAAUAUUACUAGGUUUGGAAGCAUAUUGGCAUGGUGCAACAGUGAGGCAUUGUGCCAGACAUAUAUUUGCUAACUUAAGAAGUAAUCAUCCUGAUAUCAUCUACAGAAACCUAUUUUGGACAGCAGCAAGAGCCACUAGUGAAAAAGAAUGGGAAGACAACAUGAACAAAAUAAAAACAGCUAAAAAGACACGCAAGCUGCUUAUGAUUAUUUGAUUAAGAUUGACAAGAAACAGUGGGCUAGACAUGCAUUUCCUGAUGAUGUAAAAGUUGAUCAUGUAACUAACAACUUAAAUGAGUCAUGGAACAGCUGGUUAAAUGAAUACAAAGACAACCCUGUGUUGACACUUAUGGAAUUCAUUCGGAAGAAAGUUAUGAAAAGACUGUAUAAAAGGCAUUCUGAUGCAAGAAAAUGGAUUGGGAAGCUACCUCCAACUGUGAGGAGAAAGUUGAAUGUUUCCAGACAAGAAGGAAGAUAUGUAAGGGUGCUUAUGGCUAGUGAGUAUGAAUUUGAGGUAAUAGAUGAGAAUAAUAAAACAUUUAUAGUUAAUAUGCAGAAUAAAACUUGUGAUUGUGGUGUUUAUCAAAUUUGUGGGAUACCAUGUAAACAUAUCAUCCCAUGUAUUGCUUUAAGACAUGAAGAUGCUGCUGAUUAUGUGGAUAAAAAACUGACAGUGGAAGCAUAUUUGGCCACAUAUGCAAAUAUCAUACAUCCACUUCCAUAUCAAAGUACAUGGGCUGUUGUUGAAGGUCUAAAAGUCUUAUCUCCAUAUGUCAAAACAAGAGUUGGUAGGCCUAAAAUAGUGAGGAAAAGAGAGCCAGGGGAAGAACAAGGGAAAAGAAAGACCAAGCAAAAAUGUAGCUGUUGUGCAAUUUUCGGCCAUAAUAAAAGAUUAUAUAAAAGACCAAUUGAUUCCACUCAACACCCCUCAGGUAAGCCUAAAUUUCUUUUUUUUUUUAUUUUACUUUUUAUAUAAAAAUAAAAUUUAUAUAUUAAUAUUUAUACAUUUAUCGUGCAGGAACAACCACACAAGAUGAGAUGAAGCUCACAAGCUAGUAAUCAGAGUUGUUAUACCAAUUUGUGAACAGAUUAUGUUUUUUUUUCAAAAAAUAUUAUGGUUAUUGUUGUAAUGUUUACCAGUACUAAUUUGAUACAAUAUUAUAAAUACAAUUAUUUUUUGUUAUGUUUACUGGAUUGAUGGUUUUAAUGUCUAUUGGAUAUGUUAUUUAGUACAAUUAAGAUUUUGUAAUUAUUGUUGUAAAUAAUUUUUUUUAUUUUGUUGAUUAUAUAAGUUUAAAUGAUUGACAUAUGGAGAAUUGUUAUUUUUAUUAUAUUAAUAAUCAAUUUAAUUUAUUUUUAUUCUUGAGCAAUGAAUUAAAUUUAUUUAGUUUGAGAGAAAAAUUAACAAAAAUUAAAUGGAAAAAUUGGGUAAUGAAGUUAUAUUCGUAAUUAUAUUAAUAAUAUAGGGAUAAAUUGGACAAUGAACAAUUAGUUUUUAAUAUGCUAUAAGGGUAUAAUGGUAAUUGUACUUUAAAAUUAUAAUUUCACUCAAAAGAAACGGUUUCCGUUAACUAAUGGGGGUCUGAGUGUCUUUUUUGAAACAUGAGGGGGUUUUAUGUCCCUUAUUCAAACGUUGGGGUCUCUGUGUCCUUUUCCCAAUAAUUUAUCAUCAUGUGUUAAGUGACGAUUGACUUUAUUAAUUAUUGGUACAAAAUUAAUAUGCCAAGCACAAAUGAUCAACUGAGAUACAAAAUCUUGGUUCUCCACUGCGUGUGUAUAUUAUACCAUGUAAUGUUGUUAUCACCACCCAAAACUCUCUCCGAAUUAAGUAGGUAUAGGCGCUAAUUCAUCACAAGAUUAUUACUGCACUCGCAUGAAGUGAAAAUAGAUUUGUUGGAUAUCCCUUAUUCAUAUUUUUUCUCAUUAGUCAUAAUUGUCCCAUAGACAAUAACAAAUGUAGGAUUUUAAAAUGAAUAAAAAAGUUCUUUUCAAUAAUCUCAUAUUUACAAAUUAUAUUUUCUUUUAGUGUUUCCAAAAAAAGGAACAUGUAAAAAUAUAUAUUAGCUUGUUUAUACGACUCUUUUUGGUCAAGUGAUAGUGCUUCAGGUAAUUUUUAUAAAUAAAUUAAGUUUUGUUUCAAAUAAGCACUCCCCCCUAAAAAAAAAAGAAGGGGAGAAGGCAAAACCCAGAUUGAUUUCUUAGCGUUACUUUUCUCAAAAUCCAGACUCAAGUGGUCGGGCAAAGAAAUUUGCGUAAAAACCACUCGGUCAAGACCUUUGGCCUCAUUGAGUACUCAUUGAUGGCGAUAUAAUUAAUUAAUUCUAAUGUGACCAACUCAUUUGCACGUGAGAGAAAAUGAAUGUUAAUUAUACUUCACCAGCAACUAUAUCCAAUUUUGUUAUUUUAUAUUAUUAAGUCUCAAGAUGGUUAUGUUUCAUACACAUUUAACUAAUUAAGAACAUAAUAAAUACUUAUAUGAAUAAAUAAUUUUCAUAAUAGUACAUGAAUGUUCAUUCCUGGUGCUUGCGUAUCAUAGUAAUAUAAAUAGCGUGAAGAGAUGGAGUAAUAACUUAUAAUUAGAUUUGUAGAGUGUGGCUCAUUAUAUUAGAAUAACACAAACAAGCAAUACAACAAAGACGCAACAAACAUUGACUCGUUCCUUAUUCAGAAGCUACGUACGGUAUAGUUAUGGCUAACCGUACACUGUACGUAGCUUGUUAUUGUUCUAAACACAAGACGACUGAAACGAGACACAUCACACGAACGACAGCAAAUAAUUAAGGUAGCCACAGCUAGCUUUCGCUGCUAACGAUGGAUAUAAUUUCUUUCAUUGAUAAGCAACUAGCACUCGAAGUAACAGAAGCACGCAUAACCAGUUCCUUGUCUGUAGCAAGCCCCGUACCUUGCAUCCUCCUGCUGCUUGCAGUGCCUGCUACAUUUCCCCGUGUUGAGACACGGCCCCGACCAUGUCUUGCUACGCCGCUGGCACACUUUUGCUUCCGCCAUUGGCACUUCUGUAACAAGCAUACAAAUCAUUAACGUGCACUUAGAUAUAUAAGUUAUUAUCAAAGCUCAUGGGUGUCAACAAAUUCAGGUGGUAAAAUGAUCUCUUAGGUUGAAACAAGAAGUCUGAGGUUUAAACUCUGCUUACAUGAAUGGAAGAGUGCUUUAUAUUACAAUAUACCAGUAUACAAACACACACACACACACACUAAAAUCUGAAAUAAAAAAAAAAAUUGUUAUGAAAGUUUAAUAUGCAUGCAUAUGAAACAUAUAUAUGAUUUUGCUUCCCCCUCUGGCAUUUCUGUAACACAUACACAGCAUAUUUAAUGCACUCAGUUAGCUAAUAUUAGUUAGGCACGUGGGCUUAUGAAUGGUAUUUUAGUGUCAGACUCAUGCGCAAGUAUGCCCUCAUCGCUUAAGAGCAGUUAUUCAAGAAAACUUCAACUAUAAACUAACUUUUUGAGUAUGAGUUAGGCUCAAGUCUUUUUGAAACUGCACAACUUAAUAUCAUAGGCAAAACUUAAAAUUAAAUUUUGAUUGCUGAAAAACUAUUAAGUACUGGUUAACAUCAAGUCACUCACCGAAGGAAGCAAAGAGUAUGAAGAACGCAAAAAUAAGAGCAAAAGCUGUGGUAAUGCUAGCAACUGACUUAGCCAUUUUUGCACUUGCUUUGGUUUUAAUUUGAUGAAAUUGCUGAAGGCCCCAACCCCUAUUUAUACUUGGAUAUAAGCUGUCUCUUCGUCUCUAGCCAAGAUCCGCGAGAGACAAAGAAACAAUAAAUUAAUUAACCGGGGAAAUUUGAAUUAGACACUAAAAAAUGAAUUCACGCUCGGAUUAUUGACAAAAAAUUUUACAGUUUAUGCAAAUAAUUGUGAAUUAGAAUGACGUCCUGCCAAUUGCUAUAUUAUAUGCACUCUGAAGUAGUCUUAGGUAGUUGAAAUCUUCAAAUUUAAAUAUAAUACGCAAUGCGAACUUCAAUGACCCAUUCUUCCCCAUAACCUUGUCAUUGACAAAAGAUUUUACAGUUUAUUCAGAUAAUUGUGAAUUGAAAUAGUNNNNNUUAAUUAAUUAANNNNNUUUUUUUUUUUUUAGAAACACUCGUGUUUAUUCAAUCAGAUUAAUGAUAGCAAUCAAAUAAAAGUAUAAGCAUUAUCUCCAGUCUAAAGCAACAUCACACCCACAUCAACCAUCCACAUGAAUAGCCCAGUAGACUUUGUUAUAGCUACUUUCAAGAAUGACAUGUCAAACCCCAAAAUCUCACUGGAAGUAGUGACACACUCUCACAAAGAAAUUAAACCCAAUAAACAUAGUCACUCCAAUGAAUGGUAAUUGAGAGAGAAAAUAAAAAGAAAUGAUAUCACAUGCUCUCACCAAGAUGAAAUAAAUAUGCCCUCAGCUUAGAAAUAAUACGAUCUCAAGUCAAAUAAAAUGUUAGUCAACCCACUUUAUUUAUCUUUUUUUUUUUUUAUUAUGCAUCACUACAUCUUUUUAGCCCAUAUAACUAGCUUCUACUUCAAACUAUAGUUCCCUAAAAUCAAGAAGGACUUUUAUUAGGACGUAACGUAGGCUAGGGAUAUGGCUAACAAAGAAGGGAAAUAAGGAAAACAAAGUGUAUGUUUGAGAAAAAUGCAGAGAAAUUUUUUUUUUUUUUGGAAGUUGCAAGGUGGAUUUCACCUAUUAUUGUUAUUUUUAUUCUUUUGAAACAACAAUUUUUUUCUUUUUUUUUUUUUUUUUUUCUUUUUUUUUUUUUUUGGGCAUAACUUCACUACAAAAUGUUUAUUUACAUUUUUCUCAAACAUAAAUAGGUGAUGGAAUUGUAAGAUAUUGGGUAAUACUCCAAAUCGGAGUGGGUCAAGAUGAUAAGUUAAACAAAGAAAAGUUUUUUUUUUUUAUUUAAAGGCUCAAAUGGUUAACUAUGGAUACUUGAUAAAGGGAUGGCUAGAAAGGCUCAAACGGAUCAAAGAUGGCCUUUCCAUCGUCUUUUAGGGCUCUAAAUAAUCAUCCAUAUCUACUAGUUAGAUGGGCCUCCCAAUGUAGCAAACACACACUUUUUUUUUUUUUUUUUUAAGGUUAACUCAAAAGAAAUCUAGAGAUCGUGUAUAAUAAUAAACUGUUAAGCUUAUAAAAGAAUGGGCAAAAGGGUUACUCUCCAAGAAAAAUGAUAGGCUCAAAAACUCACUUGGUACUUAUUAUGACAUGUUCAUUCCUUCAAGCAACUCAUAUUUGUCUCCGACAUCAACAUGUAGAGUAGCAAACAUAAUGUAACAUCACUUAAGACCAAAGAUAAUACAAAUACUAAAAUUUGAAAUUAAUCAUGUCAUCAAAGUUAAAACAAAUCACACAAUUUUUUUUUUAAACAACAUUCUACCCCCCAACCUAUUCUAAACAUGAAAGGAAAAUAUGCAUGCAGAAAUGUGAAAAUGAUGCAUAAAAACUAAUUAGAAAAGUUAUAAAAUGAUAGAAAAAAUGAAAUUUUUUUUUUUUAAUUUUUUUUUAAAGAGAAGAUGCGUUUCUAGAGGCACUACACUCCAUAUUCAGCAUCUUCGACUCAAAAGUUGAAAAUAUAUAUUUAAAGGAGAAAUUAAAAAGAAGAAGAAAAAUGAACAUCAAAACAUAAUAAAGAAAAAGAAAAUGUUUGAAUUUUUUUGUUUUUUUUUUUUUUUUUUUAAUUUUUUUUUUUUUUAAACGAUGAAGAUGCGUUUCUAGAGUCACUACACUCCAUAUUCAGCCAUCUUCAACACAAAAAGUUAGCAACAGUUAGUUUCUACAACAAAAAAUCAGUAAAACUUAACCAAGAUUCCACAAUUGUCGACUAUUCCCUCCCCCAACCAGAACGAAACAUUGUCCUCAAUGUUUUAAAGGAAAGAAGUAGAGUUUAGAAGACAUCACCUGGGUGGUGCAACACAGAAGAAAUAUUUACAGGCGGAGAGUUAAAUCUAAUUUGUACUUCUUACUGCGGCUACUGUUACCAUCAUUAUUUGGUCGCUCCAACACAAAGGUCCAGGGGUCUGGCUCCGGUUUAUAAGCUUGUAACAUAUCAAGUAGCUCAUUAGCAGUGUGCACAAAUAAAAAGUUUUUUUACAUUAGAAGGAAUGAAAUAGUUUUUUAUUGCAUGGUUAAGAAAUGCGAUAAAGCCAUCAUAAAAGUUAUUGACAUUUAACAAACCGAUGGGUUUCUGGUGGAUGUGCAGAUGGGCCCAAGAUGCUAGUGUCAUAAGUGCCUCUAGUGUUGCAAGAUCUCCUGGAAGGAAAAUAAAAGCAUCAGCAUGAUUAAGCAUUUCAGUUAUUCUUUCUUGCAUACCUGAGACGACUAACUCUUCUCCAGUUGAUGAGUCAGACGAACUGCCCAAUGGUUUUAGGACUCUUGGGAUGAUGCCUAACACUUGACUUCCUCUGAUAAAAGCUGCUUCUGAGACCAUUUUUUGAUAACCCUCGGUUACCUCCUCCAUACACCAAAUGUAAUUUUCUCGCUGCUAUGCUUCGACCAAGAUCUAUGGCUGCCUCCACGAACUCUUUAUGUUUGCCAUAGGUAAAUCCAGAAAGCACACAAAUGUUCUUGAAUUGUCUAUUGGGAGUAGCUGCCAUUGUGAUACUUCUCAAAAAUAAUUUGUGAGUGCUUGACAAAAGAUAAAUCACAUUUAAGAAUCUUGGUGACAAUGGAUCACAGCUGUGAAUGAGGUAACAUGUCAGUGUCAAAUAACGCGUAAAGCACGUGGCUCGCGAGUCAAAAAGGAAACAGUAAAAAGAAAAAGCAAACAGUAAUAAAAUUAUUAAAGACAAUAAUGCAAACAAUAAAACAACAGUGAAAUGAAAUAAAAUAACAGUAAAGUAAAAGGAUAUUUACACGUAGUUGCGACUGUGGCUCACAUCUUCCUCUGGUUUUACGUCCAGAAACGGCUUGAACGCCCUCUAUGGGUCGAGGAUAGGCUUCCCAUCCAGUUUUCUUAUAAACUGGCAAACAGGGUCGUUUAUAGUCAGAUUCCCGAGACUAUAUCGUGCAUGCUCUUUCUGGAAUAAUGGCCAUAACUGGAGAAUCGCUCCUUGCACAUAUCCACUGGGAUGCGUUUCAAGAGACAAAAGGAUAUCAUCCAAUGACUCCUUAUUCAAGCCAUCCCUAAUGAAUUGAAUCUUAUCUUCUCUGUUAUCAGACACCAUUCCUAAAUAACAUGGGUGUCUAUCGCAACUCAUUCUGGCACACUUGUGACAAGCAACAGAAAUUCUUCGAGCUCGUCGUUUUCUUGCGUAAUUUCCUUUACCACAACCAGGCAUGUAUGCAAUAAAUUUAGGAGGUAACUCACCUGCCAAUCGUACUUUAGCCUCAAUUAACCAACGAAUGUCAGCAGGUAAUGUUAUUCUUUAUGAGUAAUCGCAUGCGUUCGGUCCGAGCUUUAUAGAUCGUAAGGAGGGCAUUCUGAGGAAGUGAAUGGAAUCGCUUGUGAAGCUUCGCUAGAAUCUCGUUUUUGUCCAUACUUUCGCCUCAGAAUGUCAGUUAUUGUGGGAAACUGAAGUAACCGACUUGAUUAUCACGGAGUACCGUUAUUCGCCACUUCACCGGGGUAACAAACUAAAGCACACAAACAGAAAAACAAAUCAAAACACACAAAGAAAAUUAAAAUCGUCCUCUUAUUGAAUUUACCUCAAGCUCCAACUGGAUGUCGUAAAAACUUCUCUCAAUGUCUCUGAGUUGGCGUUCUAAACCCUCAACAUAGGCUACUAACUCUGGUGGUUGUAGAGCCCAAAUGCGUUGUGUUUUACAAAAUUGAAUCUGCUUUUGAGAUGAGUUUUGACACGUUGGAAGUGGUUUAAGAAUGUUCAGGAGGAACGGUCUAAGUAUGGUACUCAUGAUUAACAAUGAUAAGAAAAAAAAAAACUUAAUGGUAAAACAAACACACUUAUGCAAAAAUAAUUUCAAUUAGCAAAAGAAUAAUAAAAAGAAAGAAAGAAAAAUCAAAUCAACAAAAAGAAAAAAUCAAUUCAAAUCUGGUGGGUUACUCAAAUUUAUUUCGGUGUCUUCUCCAUGUGGUUGGUACUCAAGAUAUGGCUUUAAUCUUUGACCAUUAACUUUAAACGUGACACCGUUCUUUGGGUCCUUAAUUUCAAUUGCCCCAUGUGGAAAAACAGUAUGUACAAUAAAUGGGCCAGACCAACGAGAGCGUAACUUACCUGGGAAUAGGUGCAAGCGAGAAUUGAAUAAAAGCACUUUCUGACCUGGAGUGAAACGAUUUUCUCAUAAUUUGCUUAUCAUAGAAGACUUUCAUUCGUUGCUUGUAAAUCUUGGCAUUUUCGUAUGCAUCAUUGCGAAUUUCUUCAAGUUCUGCCAGCUGUAAUCUUCUUUCUGAGCUGGCUUGCUGCAUGUCAAAGUUGAAUUUCUUGAUGGCCCAAUAUGCACGAUGCUCGAGUUCCACAGGUAGGUGGCAAGCUUUUCCAUACACUAGCCUGUAGGGUGACAUCCCAAUCGGGGUCUUGAAAGCCGUUCUAUAUGCCCAUAAUGCAUCAUCAAGUCGUAAUGACCAAUCUUUCCUAUCUGGCCUCAACCGUCUUUUCUAAUAUGUGCUUUAUUUCUCGAUUGGAGAUCUCAACUUGACCACUGGUUUGCGGAUGAUACGGAGUUGCCACUUUGUGUGUGAUUGAAUACUUUGUCAAAAGAGCUUUGAAUGCUUUGUUACAAAAGUGGGCACCACCAUCACUGAUUAUUGCUCGAGGGAAUCCAAAGCGCGAAACAAUGUUACUUUUCAAAAAAUCCUAUCACCACCUUGUGAUCAUUGGUUCUACAUGGAAUUGCUUCUACCCAUUUCGAGACGUAGUCAACACCAACCAAUAUGUAUUGAUGGCCAAAAGAAUGGGGAAAGGGUCCCAUGAAGUCGAUACCCCAUACGUCAAAAAUCUCAACCACUAAAAUUGGAUUUAGUGGCAUCAUGUUCCUUCGCGUAAUGCUCCCCAUUCGUUGACACCUAUCACAUGAAGAACAGAAAGUGAAAUUCAAAAAUAUCCUUUCAUUCUGCCAAUGAACAAGCGUGUGGAGGCCAUUUUAGUGCUAAGAAAACAGCUACAAAAGUUUUACAAUGUGGUUUUUAUUGGCCAACUAUAUUUCGAGACGCUUACACUUUCUGUUCUUCAUGUGAUAGGUGUCAACGAAUGGGGAGCAUUACGCGAAGGAACAUGAUGCCACUAAAUCCAAUUUUAGUGGUUGAGAUUUUGACGUAUGGGGUAUCGACUUCAUGGGACCCUUUCCCCAUUCUUUUGGCCAUCAAUACAUAUUGGUUGGUGUUGACUACGUCUCGAAAUGGGUAGAAGCAAUUCCAUGUAGAACCAAUGAUCACAAGGUGGUGAUAGGAUUUUGAAAAGUAACAUUGUUUCGCGCUUUGGAUUCCCUCGAGCAAUAAUCAGUGAUGGUGGUGCCCACUUUUGUAACAAAGCAUUCAAAGCUCUUUUGACAAAGUAUUCAAUCACACACAAAGUGGCAACUCCGUAUCAUCCGCAAACCAGUGGUCAAGUUGAGAUCUCCAAUCGAGAAAUAAAGCACAUAUUAGAAAAGACGGUGAGGCCAGAUAGGAAAGAUUGGUCAUUACGACUUGAUGAUGCAUUAUGGGCAUAUAGAACGGCUUUCAAGACCCCGAUUGGGAUGUCACCCUACAGGCUAGUGUAUGGAAAAGCUUGCCACCUACCUGUGGAACUCGAGCAUCGUGCAUAUUGGGCCAUCAAGAAAUUCAACUUUGACAUGCAGCAAGCCAGCUCAGAAAGAAGAUUACAGCUGGCAGAACUUGAAGAAAUUCGCAAUGAUGCAUACGAAAAUGCCAAGAUUUACAAGCAACGAAUGAAAGUCUUCUAUGAUAAGCAAAUUAUGAGAAAAUCGUUCACUCCAGGUCAGAAAGUGCUUUUAUUCAAUUCUCGCUUGCACCUAUUCCCAGGUAAGUUACGCUCUCGUUGGUCUGGCCCAUUUAUUGUACAUACUGUUUUUCCACAUGGGGCAAUUGAAAUUAAGGACCCAAAGAACGGUGUCACGUUUAAAGUUAAUGGUCAAAGAUUAAAGCCAUAUCUUGAGUACCAACCACAUGGAGAAGACACCGAAAUAAAUUUGAGUAACCCACCAGAUUUGAAUUGAUUUUUUCUUUUUGUUGAUUUGAUUUUUCUUUCUUUCUUUUUAUUAUUCUUUUGCUAAUUGAAAUUAUUUUUGCAUAAGUGUGUUUGUUUUACCAUUAAGUUUUUUUUUUCUUAUCAUUGUUAAUCAUGAGUACCAUACUUAGACCGUUCCUCCUGAACAUUCUUAAACCACUUCAACGUGUCAAAACUCAUCUCAAAAAGCAGAUUCAAUUUUGUAAAACACAACGCAUUUGGGCUCUACAACCACCAGAGUUAGUAGCCUAUGUUGAGGGUUUAGAACGCCAACUCAGAGACAUUGAGAGAAGUUUUUACGACAUCCAGUUGGAGCUUGAGGUAAAUUCAAUAAGAGGACGAUUUUAAUUUUCUUUGUGUGUUUUGAUUUGUUUUUCUGUUUGUGUGCUUUAGUUUGUUACCCCGGUGAAGUGGCGAAUAACGGUACUCCGUGAUAAUCAAGUCGGUUACUUCAGUUUCCCACAAUAACUGACAUUCUGAGGCGAAAGUAUGGACAAAAACGAGAUUCUAGCGAAGCUUCACAAGCGAUUCCAUUCACUUCCUCAGAAUGCCCUCCUUACGAUCUAUAAAGCUCGGACCGAACGCAUGCGAUUACUCAUAAAGAAUAACAUACCUGCUGACAUUCGUUGGUUAAUUGAGGCUAAAGUACGAUUGGCAGGUGAGUUACCUCCUAAAUUUAUUGCAUACAUGCCUGGUUGUGGUAAAGGAAAUUACGCAAGAAAAACGACGAGCUCGAAGAAUUUCUGUUGCUUGUCACAAGUGUGCCAGAAUGAGUUGCGAUAGACACCCAUGUUAUUUAGGAAUGGUGUCUGAUAACAGAGAAGAUAAGAUUCAAUUCAUUAGGGAUGGCUUGAAUAAGGAGUCAUUGGAUGAUAUCCUUUUGUCUCUUGAAACGCAUCCCAGUGGAUAUGUGCAAGGAGCGAUUCUCCAGUUAGGCCAUUAUUCCAAAAAGAGCAUGCACGAUAUCGUCUCGGGAAUCUGACUAUAAACGACCCUGUUUGCCAGUUUAUAAGAAAACUGGAUGGGAAGCCCAUCCUCGACCCAUAGAGGGCGUUCAAGCCGUUUCUGGACGUAAAACCAGAGGAAGAUGUGAGCCACAGUCGCAACUACGUGUAAAUAUCCUUUUACUUUACUGUUAUUUUAUUUCAUUUCACUGUUGUUUUAUUGUUUGCAUUAUUGUCUUUAAUAAUUUUAUUACUGUUUGCUUUUUCCUUUUUACUGUUUCCUUUUUGACUCGCGAGCCACGUGCUUUACGCGUUAUUUGACACUGACAUGUUACCUCAUUCACAGCUGUGAUCCAUUGUCACCAAGAUUCUUAAAUGUGAUUUAUCUUUUGUCAAGCACUCACAAAUUAUUUUUGAGAAGUAUCACAAUGGCAGCUACUCCCAAUAGACAAUUCAAGAACAUUUGUGUGCUUUCUGGAUUUACCUAUGGCAAACAUAAAGAGUUCGUGGAGGCAGCCAUAGAUCUUGGUCGAAGCAUAGCAGCGAGAAAAUUACAUUUGGUGUAUGGAGGAGGUAACCGAGGGUUAUCAAAAAUGGUCUCAGAAGCAGCUUUUAUCAGAGGAAGUCAAGUGUUAGGCAUCAUCCCAAGAGUCCUAAAACCAUUGGGCAGUUCGUCUGACUCAUCAACUGGAGAAGAGUUAGUCGUCUCAGGUAUGCAAAAAGAAUAACUGAAAUGCUUAAUCAUGCUGAUGCUUUUAUUUUCCUUCCAGGAGAUCUUGCAACACUAGAGGCACUUAUGACACUAGCAUCUUGGGCCCAUCUGCACAUCCACCAGAAACCCAUCGGUUUGUUAAAUGUCAAUAACUUUUAUGAUGGCUUUAUCGCAUUUCUUAACCAUGCAAUAAAAAACUAUUUCAUUCCUUCUAAUGUAAAAAAACUUUUUAUUUGUGCUCACACUGCUAAUGAACUACUUGAUCUGUUACAAGCUUAUAAACCGGAGCCAGACCCCUGGACCUUUGUGUUGGAGCGCCCAAAUAAUGAUGGUAACAGUAGCCGCAGUAAGAAGUACAAAUUAGAUUUAACUCUCCGCCUGUAAAUAUAUUCUUUUGUGUUGCACCACCAGGUGAUGUCUUCUAAACUCUACUUCUUUCCUUUAAAACAUUGAGGACAAUGUUUCGUUCUGGUUGAGGGGAGGGAAUAGUCGACAAUUGUGGAAUCUUGGUUAAGUUUUUACUGAUUUUUUGUUUAGAAACUAACUGUUGCUAACUUUUUGUGUUGAAGAUGGCUGAAUAUGGAGUUAGUGACUCUAGAAACGCAUCUUCAUCGUUUAAAAAAAAAAAAAUUUAAAAAACUAAAAAACUAAAAAAAACAAAAAAAUUCAAACAUUUUCUUUUUCUUUAUUAUGUUUUGAUGUUCAUUUUUCUUCUUCUUUUUAAUUUCUCCUUAUAAAUAUAUAUUUUCCAACUUUUGAGUCGAAGAUAGCUGAAUAUGGAGUGUAGUGCCUCUAGAAACGCAUCUUCAUCGUUUAAAAAAAAAUUAAAAAAAAAAAAACAAAAUUUCAUUUUCGUUUUCUAUCAUUUUACGUGUAACUUUUCUAAUUAGUUUUUAUGCAUCAUUUUCACAUUUCUGCAUGCAUAUUUUCCUUUCAUGUUUAGAAUAGGUUGGGGGUAGAAUGUUGUUUAAAAAAAAAAAAGAAAAAAUUGUGUGAUUUGUUUUAACUUUAGAUGACAUGAUUAAUUUCAAAUUUUAGUAUUUGUAUUAUCUUUGGUCUUAAGUGAUGUUACAUUAUGUUUGCUACUCUACAUGUUGAUGUCGGAGACAAAUAUGAGUUGCUUGAAGGAAUGAACAUGUCAUAAUAAGUACCAAGUGAGUUUUUGAGCCUAUCAUUUUUCUUGGAGAGUAACCCUUUUGCCCAUUCUUUAUAAUGCUUAACAGUUUAUUAUUGUAUACACGAUCUCUAGAUUUCUUUUGAGUUAAGCCUUAAAAAAAAAAAAAAAAAAAAUGUGUGUGUUGCUACAUUGGGAGGCCCAUCUAACUAGUAGAUAUGGAUGAUUAUUUAGAGCCCUAAAAGACGAUGGAAAGGCCAUCUUUGAUCCGUUUGAGCCUUUCUAGCCAUCCCUCUUAUCAAGUAUCCAUAGUUAACCCAUUUGAGCCUUUUAAAUAAAAAAAAAAAAAAAAACUUUUCUUUGUUUAACUUAUCAUCUUGACCCACUCCGAUUUGGAGUAUUACCCAAUAUCUUACAAAUUCCAUCACCUAUUUAUGUUUGAGAAAAAUGUAAAUAAACAUUUUGCAUAGUGAAGUAGUUAAAAAAAAAAAAGAAAAAAUUGUUGUUGCUGAAAAAAAAAAAAAAAAAAAAAAUUGUUGUUUCAAAAGAAUAAAAAUAACAAUAAUAGGUGAAAUCCACCUUGCAACUUCCAAAAAAAAAAAAAAAAAAAUAUUCUCUGCAUUUUUCUCAAACAUACACUUUGUUUUCCUUAUUUCCCUUCUUUGUUAGCCAUAUCCCUAGCCUACGUUACGUCCUAAUAAAAGUCCUUCUUGAUUUUAGGGAACUAUAGUUUGAAGUAGAAGCUAGUUAUAUGGGCUAAAAAGAUGUAGUGAUGCAUAAUUAAAAAAAAAAAAGAUAAAUAAAGUGGGUUGACUAACAUUUUAUUUGACUUGAGAUCGUAUUAUUUCUAAGCUGAGGGCAUAUUUAUUUAAUCUUGGUGAGAGCAUGUGAUAUCAUUUCUUUAUUAUUUUCUCUCUCAAUUACCAUUCAUUGGAGUGACUAUGUUUAUUGGGUUUUAAUUUCUUUGUGAGAGUGUCACUACUUCCAGUGAGAUUUUGGGGUUUGACAUGUCAUUCUUGAAAGUAGCUAUAACAAAGUCUACUGGGCUAAUUCAUGUGGAUGGUUGAUGUGGGUGUGAUGUUGCUUUAGACUGGAGAUAAUGCUUAUACUUUUAUUUGAUUGCUAUCAUUAAUCUGAUUGAAUAAACACGAGUGUUUCUAAAAAAAAAAAAAAAAAAAAUCAUUUUGAAUUUGAAUUUUGUUUUCGCUUUAUUUGCUAGGGACUAGCAAUAAGCUGGUUGGGGGGUGUGUUGAGUGUUAGAAAAUACAUAUUUAUAAAGGAGAAAACCGUCAUUUUACAUUUCAAGUCUUACUAACAACCCUUACUUUUAUGUAUUUAACCUUCUUGUGAUGUAAUUACGUGUGUGUUAUUUUAAUUAAGUAUUUUAUGUAUUUUAGGGGCAGUAUAGUCAUUUCACAAUAAAGGAGAGAUCAGACGGCAAAACGGACAUCACUUUUGAACUCAGGACGGUCGAAAACCUUAGGAGGAGCAUAAAAGGAAAAAUGGCACUAUUCACAUGUACGGUACUAUUCACGUAUACGGUACUGUCUACGUUACUGUUCACGACACUGUUCACAUAGACGGAUCGAUGACGUGGCAUUGACCGAUGACGUGGCAUUGACCGAUGAUGUGGCAUUGACUGAUGAGUGUCACGAUCCUGUUGGGCUAAAAAUUCUUAUGUACUGUUAAUGGUGACGUGGCAGCAUAUCAGUGGACGAAAAAUCUCGUGUACGGUGCAUGCAUCACACAGGAUUAUUUUCAACCAAACCGCGUUACUGUUCAUCCGGGUCAAACCGUGUUACUGUUCAUCCGCGUGGUCAAACCGUGGACUGUUGACUGAUGACGUGGCGCAAUCCUGAGCGUCCAAACUGUUUUUAAUCCGAUGGCCAUGAUUUACUCCAUGUAUCUAUAAAAAGGGGGCCUCUCCCCCCUAAUUUGAUAUCUCUGAAUCCAUUUUUGGGAUCCAUUUUCUGUAAUUCCUUCUCCAUCUGUAUUUUCUUUGUAUUUUAAUAAAUUCCCUUUUUGCCCCUAGUUCAAUUAUGAGUAGCUAAUUUCUUUUCAAGCUUGGGUUGAAGGUGAAGUCUCAACAUGUGUCAUGGCUUUAUUUGGUAAAUUUAUUUUCUUUUCCCUCUAGUUUUUGUGGAUGAUUUGACUUAUCGUCGACAAAUAAUACUGAUCUUGUCUAGAUACCGCCUUGGUUACACCGGCUCUCUGGUAUAAGGUUAUUAUUAUUUGGCACGAUAAGCCCUUAGCACCAUAUUGAUUAGAGCGUGGUUCAUGAGGUGUGGAUUCCCCCCUCAUGAUUUAAUUGGUAUUAAUAAGGAAUAUUUAGCCCAUGAUGCAUGUUGAUACGGAUCCAGAUACCCAAGUACGUCAUUUCAAUAGAAUUCUCUUCAAUUUAUUCUCGCCAUUUUAAUUUAAGUUUUAGCAUAUUCCAAAUCAUUUCCACCACAAAUCCAAUCACCCAUUUACAAAAUUAAUUUUAUACACAAUUAAAAUCCACCUCCUCGUGGGAUCGACACUCGUCACCAUUAGUCUAUAUUACAAUAGAUUCGUGCGCUUGCGAGUACAUUAAAAUUUGCACAACAAGUUUUUGGCGCCGUUGCCGGGGAGGUAAGUAAUUUUAAUUCAUAAAAUUAAUUUUUGUGAAUAAUUUCUUUUAUUUGUUUUCUUGUAUUUUUUUUUUCUUAUUAAAAAAAAAAAGAAAAAAAAAAGAGUAAAUCUACAUUUAAAGGUUAGUAUUUCUUUUCUUUUUCUCUUCUUUAAAAUUCUGUAAUUUAAUUUUCAAUUUAUUUUUUUUUCUUUGUAAUUUUUGUUUAUUUUAUUAAUUUAAUUUUUAGUUAAUUUAUUUCACGUAUUUGUUUUUGUGUAUUUUUAUAGAAAGGUUGUAAUAGCGCAAUAAGGUUAGUAUCGUAAUUUCUCCCUCUUAUUUAUUUUAUUUGUUUUGUUCCCAUCUUUAUUUUUUGUUUUGUUUGCAUCUUUAUUUUUAUUUUCAUUUUAUUUUGCAUGCAUGGUCGUAGGUCAUUAUUACCUAAUCUUGAACCUAUAGACCUUGAAUUAGAAAAAACACUUCGCACACAAAAACACAUUAAAAAUAAAAUUGGAAUGGAUUUACAAGCACCACAGGAGAGGCCAUUUAAGGACUAUUUUAGUCCCUUAGCUAAUUUAAGCACAUCAUGUAUUAGAUACCCAAAUGUAGCUGCUAGGAACUUUGAACUAAAACCUAGUGUGCUAAAUUGUCUCCCCACAUUCUAUGGCUUAGAAAAUGAGGACCCAUAUAAUCAUCUGAAUGAUUUUCAUACCAUUUGUCAAACUUUUAAAUAUGAAAAUUUUUCAGACGAUGAUGUUAAACUCAGACUAUUCCCAUUUUCUUUAAAGGAUAGAGCUCGUUCAUGGUUAAAUACGUUGCCUGCUAAUAGCAUUUCAUCAUGGGAACAAAUGGUAACUAAAUUUUUGAAUAAAUAUUUCCCAGUGCAUAAAACCAAUUCUAUUCGCAGGGAAAUUUCAGAGUUUACACAAAGAGGACGAGCAGUUUUUUCGAAACUUGGGAGCGAUUCAAUGGCUACUCUUGAAGUGUCCACAUCAUGGGUACGAAAAAUGGCACCAAUGCCAAUACUUUUUGGAGGGAUUACUACCGAAUGUGCAAGAAUGGCUAAUGGCAACAAGUGGAGGAGAGCUAAUGUCAAAAAGUGCAUCAGAAAUUUGGGAAUUCUUCCAACGACAAGCGGAUAAUUCCCAACAACGGAGUCGAUCACUAAGGAAUACUAGAAGAAUUAAGGGAGUAAAUGAGGUUCAAAUUGGCGAGUCAACUUCGGGAAUCAAAGAAGUCAAGGAGAUGGUUGAAGGUCUCGCUCGACAAAUAGCAUCGUUAUCGACUGCUAAAUCAACAGAACCACAUGACCAUGACUCAUACUCCGAUCAAGCCAAUGCCAUAGGUGUAAUGAGAAAACCAUCGAAUUACAACCCAUACUCCAACACAUAUAACCCUGGAUGGAGAGACCACCCCAAUUUUUCAUGGUCUCAAGGAUUCCAACAGAAUGGACCAGCAGCUCCAGCUCCACCAAUGCAACAAAUUCCUCAAAAUCCUCAAGCCUCUCAGCCACCAUUCAGACCAUACAAUCAGAACCAGAACUACUCUCAACCCAGACCAUGGGAGGAUGCAUUCCAGAAUUUCAAGAAUGUUACUCACUCCACGAUUGAGCAACAGAACCGCACCAUUGAUGGACUACGAAAUGAGUUGAGAGCAGGCUUCAACUCACAAGCUCAAUCAGUUUCAAGCCUCGAGAAGAUGGUGGGACAACUUGCUUCUUCAGUUCAGACCUUGGCAAUGACUGUUGAGAAAGGAAAAUUUCCAAGUCAACCAGUGCCUAAUCCUAAAGGAGUACAUGAAGCAAGUACCAGUUCACCACAACAGCAUGGAGAGGUCAAAGCAGUCAUGACCUUGCGAAAAGGAAAGGAAGUCGACAACAAAGUGGAGAUGCCGGUGACAAAAGAAAAUCAAAUUGUACCUGUGAAUGUUGAAGACUCACCACCGGAGGAGAAGAAGAAACCAACCCACGAGAAUACGUUCCGAAAGCUCCAUUUCCUCAGAGGUUAGCUAAAGGGAAAAAGGGAAAAUCCACAGGUGAGAUUCUCGAAAUCUUCAAACAGGUAAGUGUUAACAUCCCUUUACUUGAUGCUAUUAAACAAGUUCCAUCUUAUGCCAAGUUUCUUAAAGACCUUUGUACUAAAAAGAGAAAUAUGCAUGUUCAAAAGAAGGCAUUUUUAACAGAAAAUGUUAGUUCUAUACUCCAACAUAAAAUUCCUCUAAAAUGCAAAGACCCAGGCUCCCCCACUAUCUCAUGUAGUAUAGGGAACCACACAAUUGAGAAUGCGUUGUUGGAUUUAGGAGCUAGUGUAAAUCUGUUGCCUUAUUCAGUAUUCGUGAAACUUGGACUGGGAGAAUUACACCCAACUCCAGUGGUGUUACAGCUUGCAGAUCGGUCCACGAAAAUACCUCGUGGUAUUAUGGAGGACGUGCUUAUCCAGGUAGACAAGUUUUAUUUUCCUGUUGAUUUCAUUGUAAUUGACACUCAACCAAUACAGGAUUCAAGGAAGCACAUCCCCAUUAUUCUAGGCCGACCUUUCUUGGCGACUGCGAUGCUCACAUUCAAUGCAGGACUGGAAAUAUGCAGUUGUCCUUCGGCAACAUGACUAUGGAGCUAAAUAUUUUCAACAUUGCCAAACAACCUCACAGUGCAGAUGAUGGAAUUGUUGAUGUGGAUUUAAUAGAAACAAUAGUUGAUAAUACUUUUCUUUCAAACCUUAGUGAUGAUCCUUUACAGACAUGCUUAACUCACUUUGGUUUGGAUUUUGAUAUUGAUAGAUCGGUCGAUGAGGUCAACGCCCUGCUUGACUCAGCACCAUCCAUGGACACUAAUAAAUGGAAGUCAAGAGUUGAACAACUAGCACCAUCAGAGAAGAAACUCAUUCCAUCAUCAGAAUCACCACCGAAACUCGAGCUCAAACCAUUACCCAACACUCUGGAAUAUGCAUUUUUGGGAGAAGAAAGUACUCUGCCGGUAAUCAUCUCAUCAUCCCUAAAUGACGAACAAAAAGGUAAGUUGUUGGAUGUUUUUAAAAGAGCACAAAGGAGCAUUAGGAUGGACCAUAGCAGACAUUAAAGGUAUAAACCCAGUAGACUGUAUGCAUUACAUUCACCUUGAUGAAAAUGCUAAAACUACUAGGAGAUGCAACGUCGGUUAAAUCCUAACAUGAAAGAAGUUGUUAGAACUGAAGUCCUUAAGCUAUUAGAUGCAGGUAUCAUUUACCCAAUUUCUGAUAGUUCAUGGGUCAGUCCUGUACAAGUUGUCCCCAAAAAGUCAGGAGUCACAGUAGUUACCAAUGCUGAUAAUGAAUUGAUACCAACUAGAGUAACUACAGGAUGGCGUGUAUGCAUUGAUUAUAGAAAGUUGAAUUCUGUCACACGUAAAGACCAUUUUCCUUUACCAUUUAUUGAUCAAAUGCUUGAUAGAUUAGCAGGCCAUGAAUUUUAUUGCUUUCUAGAUGGCUACUCAGGAUAUAAUCAGAUUCCCAUAGCACCAAAAGAUCAAGAGAAAACUACUUUCACUUGCCCUUUGGGCACAUAUAGGAGAAUGCCAUUUGGAAUGUAAUGCACCUGCUACAUUUCAACGAUGCAUGUUGAGCAUUUUUUCUGAUAUGGUUGAACGAUUCCUUGAAGUCUUUAUGGAUGAUUUUUCUGUCUUUGGUGACUCGUUUGAUCAAUGUUUUACAUCAUCUCGCGUUCUGCAGAGAUGUAAGAGAGCUUAGUUAAAUUGGGAGAAGUGUUAUGGUAAAAAGGUAUUGUUCUCGGUCACAUCAUUUCGGUAUGAGGUUGACAAAGCCAAGGUGGAUCUCAUUUCUAAUCUUCCUCACCUAAAACAGUCAGAGUCUUUUCCGCAUGCUGGUCUAUAGACGUUUCAUUAAAGAUUUUAGCAAAGUUUCUAGACCCUUAUGCAAUUUACUUGCUAAGGAUGUACCUUUUAUCUUUAAUGAUUCAUGUCUUAUGGCUUUUGAAAAAUUAAAGCAAUUGUUGACAUCAUCACCCAUCAUUCAGGCCCCAAACUGGAGCUUACCAUUUGAGCUCAUGUGUGAUGCAUCUGAUUAUGCAGUAGGAGCAGUAUUAGGACAAAGAGUUGAUCGAAUUCCCAACGUUAUUUACUAUGCUAGUAUGACCUUGAAUGAUGCACAGUUGAAUUAUUCAACUACUGAAAAAGAAAUGCUAGCAGUAGUUUGCAUUGGAAAAAUUUCGAUCUUAUCUCAUUGGUUGUAAAAUAAUUAUAUUCACAGAUCAUGCUGCUCUUAAAUAUCUUCUCACAAAGAAAGAUGCAAAAGCUAGACUAAUUCGUUGGGUGUUACUUUUGCAGGAAUUUGACUUGGAAUUCAAAGAUAAGAAAGGGACAGAAAAUGUUGUGGCGGACCACCUCUCUCGUCUCCAUUUUGACACAAUUACAGAGCCAUUAAUAUUAAAUGAGUCAUUUCCAGAUGAACAAUUAAUGAUGUGGAAGUAUUACCUUGGUAUGCUGAUAUAGUUAAUUAUCUUGUUACAGGUAAGCUUCCAGAGCAUUGGACCAAGCAAGACAAGGCUAAAUUCUUUGCGGAAAUAAAGAAUUUCUUUUGGGAUGACCCAUAUUUGUUCAAGUAUUGUGCAGACCAAAUUGUUAGACGAUGUGUCCCUGAAAGUGAAAUUCAGAAUAUCCUUUCAUUCUGCCAUGAACAAGCUUGUGGAGGCCAUUUCAGUGCUAAGAAAACAGCGACUAAAGUUUUACAAUGGUUUCUAUUGGCCAACUAUAUUUCGAGAUGCUUACACUUUCUGUUCUUCAUGUGAUAGGUGUCAACGAAUGGGGAGCAUUACACGAAGGAACAUGAUGCCACUAAAUCCAAUUUUAGUGGUUGAGAUUUUUGACGUAUGGGGUAUCGACUUCAUGGGACCCUUUCCCCUUCUUUUGGCCAUCAAUACAUAUUGGUUGGUGUUGACUACGUAUCGAAAUGGGUGGAAGCAAUUCCAUGCAGAACCAAUGAUCACAAGUGGUGAUAGGAUUUUUGAAAAAGCAAUAUUGUUUCGCGCUUUGGAUUCCCUCGAGCGAUAAUCAGUGAUGGUGGUGCCCACUUUUGUAACAAAGCAUUCAAGGCUCUUUUGACAAAGUAUUCAAUCACACAAAGUGGCGACCCCGUAUCAUCCGCAAACCAGUGGCCAAGUUGAGAUCUCCAAUCGAGAAAUAAAGCACAUAUUAGAAAAGACGGUGAGGCCAGACAGGAAAGAUUGGUCAUUACGACUUGAUGAUGCAUUAUGGGCAUAUAGAACGGCUUUCAAGACCCCGAUUGGGAUGUCACCCUACAGGCUAGUGUAUGGAAAAGCUUGCCACCUACCUGUGGAACUCGAGCAUCGUGCAUAUUGGGCCAUCAAGAAAUUCAACUUUGACAUGCAGCAAGCCAGCUCAGAAAGAAGAUUACAGCUGGCAGAACUUGAAGAAAUUCGCAAUGAUGCAUACGAAAAUGCCAAGAUUUACAAGCAACGAAUGAAAGUCUUCCAUGAUAAGCAAAUUAUGAGAAAAUCGUUCACUCCAGGUCAGAAAGUGCUUUUAUUCAAUUCUCGCUUGCACCUAUUCCCAGGUAAGUUACGCUCUCGUUGGUCUGGCCCAUUUAUUGUACAUACUGUUUUUCCACAUGGGGCAAUUGAAAUUAAGGACCCAAAGAACGGUGUCACGUAUAAAGUUAAUGGUCAAAGAUUAAAGCCAUAUCUAGAGUACCAACCACAUGGAGAAAACAUCGAAAUAAAUUUGAGUGACCCACUAAAUUUGAAUUGAUUUUUUUUUUCUUUUCGUUAAUUUGAUUUUUCUUUAUUUCUUUUUAUUAUUAUUCUUUUGCUAAUUGAAAUUGUUUUUGCAUAAGUGUGUUUAUUUUACCAUUAAGUUUUCUCUUAUCAUUUUUAAUCAUGAGUCUCAUACUUAGACCGUUCCUCCUGAACAUUCUUAAACCACUUCAACGUGUCAAAACUCAUCUCAAAAGGCAGAUCUAUUUUGUAAAACACAACGCAUUUGGGCUCUACAACCACCAGAGUUAGUAGCCUAUGUUGAGGGUUUAGAACGCCAACUCAGAGACAUUGAGAGAAGUGUUUACGACAUCCAGUUGGAGCUUGAGGUAAAUUCAAUAAGAGGACGAUUUUAAUUUUCUUUGUGUGUUUUUUGUUUUUCUGUUUGUGUGCUUUAGUUUGUUACCCCGGUGAAGUGGCGGAUAACGGUACUCCGUGACAAUCAAGUCGGUUAACUUCAGUUUCCCAUAAUAACUGAUAUUCUGAGGCGAAGGUAUGGACAGAAACGAGAUUCUAGCGAAGCUUCACAAGCGAUUCCCUUCACUUCCUCAGAAUGCCCUCCUUACAAUCUAUAAAGCCCGGUCUGAACGCAUGCGAUUGCUCAUGAGGAAUAACAUACCUGCAGACAUCCGUUGGUUAAUCGAGGCUAAAGUACGAUUGGCAGGUGAGUUACCUCCUAAAUUUAUUGCAUACAUGCCUGGUUGUGGUAAAGGAAAUUACGCAAGAAAACGACGAGCUCGAAGAAUUUCUGUUGCUUGUCACAAGUGUGCCAGAAUGAGUUGCGAUAGAAACCCAUGUUCUUUAGGAAUGUGUCUGAUAACAGGGAAGAUAAGAUUCAAUUCAUUAGGGAUGGCUUGAAUAAGGAGUCAUUGGAUGAUAUCCUUUUGUCUCUUGAAACGCAUCCCAGUGGAUAUGUGCAAGGAGCGAUUCUCCAGUUAAGGCCAUUAUUCCAAAAAGAGCAUGCACGAUAUCGUCUCGGGAAUCUGACUAUAAACGACCCUGUUUGCCAGUUUAUAAGAAAACUGGAUGGGAAGCCCAUCCUCGACCCAUAGAGGGUUCAAGCCGUUUCUGGACGUAAAACCAGAGGAAGAUGUGAGCCACAGUCGCAACUACGUGUAAAUAUCCUUUUACUUUACUGUUAUUUUAUUUCAUUUCACUGUUGUUUUAUUGUUUGCAUUAUUGUCUUUAAUAAUUUUAUUACUGUUUGCUUUUUCCUUUUUACUGUUUCCUUUUUGACUCGCGAGCCACGUGCUUUACGCGUUAUUUGACACUGACAUGUUACCUCAUUCACAGCUGUGAUCCAUUGUCACCAAGAUUCUUAAAUGUGAUUUAUCUUUUGUCAAGCACUCACAAAUUAUUUUUGAGAAGUAUCACAAUGGCAGCUACUCCCAAUAGACAAUUCAAGAACAUUUGUGUGCUUUCUGGAUUUACCUAUGGCAAACAUAAAGAGUUCGUGGAGGCAGCCAUAGAUCUUGGUCGAAGCAUAGCAGCGAGAAAAUUACAUUUGGUGUAUGGAGGAGGUAACCGAGGGUUAUCAAAAAUGGUCUCAGAAGCAGCUUUUAUCAGAGGAAGUCAAGUGUUAGGCAUCAUCCCAAGAGUCCUAAAACCAUUGGGCAGUUCGUCUGACUCAUCAACUGGAGAAGAGUUAGUCGUCUCAGGUAUGCAAGAAAGAAUAACUGAAAUGCUUAAUCAUGCUGAUGCUUUUAUUUUCCUUCCAGGAGAUCUUGCAACACUAGAGGCACUUAUGACACUAGCAUCUUGGGCCCAUCUGCACAUCCACCAGAAACCCAUCGGUUUGUUAAAUGUCAAUAACUUUUAUGAUGGCUUUAUCGCAUUUCUUAACCAUGCAAUAAAAAAACUAUUUCAUUCCUUCUAAUGUAAAAAAACUUUUUAUUUGUGCUCACACUGCUAAUGAACUACUUGAUCUGUUACAAGCUUAUAAACCGGAGCCAGACCCCUGGACCUUUGUGUUGGAGCGCCCAAAUAAUGAUGGUAACAGUAGCCGCAGUAAGAAGUACAAAUUAGAUUUAACUCUCCGCCUGUAAAUAUAUUCUUUUGUGUUGCACCACCCAGGUGAUGUCUUCUAAACUCUACUUCUUCCUUUAAAACAUUGAGGACAAUGUUUCGUUCUGAACUAAAGUUUUACAAUGUGGUUUCUAUUGGCCAACUAUAUUUCGAGAUGCUUACACUUUCUGUUCUUCAUGUGAUAGGUGUCAACGAAUGGGGAGCAUUACACGAAGGAACAUGAUGCCACUAAAUCCAAUUUUAGUGGUUGAGAUUUUUGACGUAUGGGGUAUCGACUUCAUGGGACCCUUUCCCCUUCUUUUGGCCAUCAAUACAUAUUGGUUGGUGUUGACUACGUAUCGAAAUGGGUGGAAGCAAUUCCAUGUAGAACCAAUGAUCACAAGUGGUGAUAGGAUUUUUGAAAAGCAACAUUGUUUCGCGCUUUGGAUUCCCUCGAGCGAUAAUCAGUGAUGGUGGUGCCCACUUUUGUAACAAAGCAUUCAAGGCUCUUUUGACAAAGUAUUCAAUCACACACAAAGUGGCGACCCGUAUCAUCCGCAAACCAGUGGCCAAGUUGAGAUCUCCAAUCGAGAAAUAAAGCACAUAUUAGAAAAGACGGUGAGGCCAGACAGGAAAAGAUUGGUCAUUAAGACUUGAUGAUGCAUUAUGGGCAUAUAGAACGGCUUUCAAGACCCCGAUUGGGAUGUCACCCUACAGGCUAGUGUAUGGAAAAGCUUGCCACCUACCUGUGGAACUCGAGCAUCGUGCAUAUUGGGCCAUCAAGAAAUUCAACUUUGACAUGCAGCAAGCCAGCUCAGAAAGAAGAUUACAGCUGGCAGAACUUGAAGAAAUUCGCAAUGAUGCAUACGAAAAUGCCAAGAUUUACAAGCAACGAAUGAAAGUCUUCCAUGACAAGCAAAUUAUGAGAAAUCGUUCACUCCAGGUCAGAAAGUGCUUUUAUUCAAUUCUCGCUUGCACCUAUUCCCAGGUAAGUUACGCUCUCGUUGGUCUGGCCCUUUAUUGUUCAUACUGUUUUUCCACAUGGGGCAAUUGAAAUUAAGGACCCAAAGAACGGUGUCACGUAUAAAGUUAAUGGUCAAAGAUUAAAGCCAUAUCUAGAGUACCAACCACAUGGAGAAACAUCGAAAUAAAUUUGAGUGACCCACUAAAUUUGAAUUGAUUUUUUUUUUUCUUUUCGUUAAUUUGAUUUUUCUUUAUUUCUUUUUAUUAUUAUUCUUUUGCUAAUUGAAAUUGUUUUUGCAUAAGUGUGUUUAUUUUACCAUUAAGUUUUCUCUUAUCAUUUUUAAUCAUGAGUCUCAUACUUAGACCGUUCCUCCUGAACAUUCUUAAACCACUUCAACGUGUCAAAACUCAUCUCAAAAGGCAGAUUCUAUUUUGUAAAACACAACGCAUUUGGGCUCUACAACCACCAGAGUUAGUAGCCUAUGUUGAGGGUUUAGAACGCCAACUCAGAGACAUUGAGAGAAGUGUUUACGACAUCCAGUUGGAGCUUGAGGUAAAUUCAAUAAGAGGACGAUUUUAAUUUUCUUUGUGUGUUUUUUGUUUUUCUGUUUGUGUGCUUUAGUUUGUUACCCCGGUGAAGUGGCGGAUAACGGUACUCCGUGACAAUCAAGUCGGUUAACUUCAGUUUCCCAUAAUAACUGAUAUUCUGAGGCGAAGGUAUGGACAGAAACGAGAUUCUAGCGAAGCUUCACAAGCGAUUCCCUUCACUUCCUCAGAAUGCCCUCCUUACAAUCUAUAAAGCCCGGUCUGAACGCAUGCGAUUGCUCAUGAGGAAUAACAUACCUGCAGACAUCCGUUGGUUAAUCGAGGCUAAAGUACGAUUGGCAGGUGAGUUACCUCCUAAAUUUAUUGCAUACAUGCCUGGUUGUGGUAAAGGAAAUUACGCAAGAAAACGACGAGCUCGAAGAAUUUCUGUUGCUUGUCACAAGUGUGCCAGAAUGAGUUGCGAUAGAAACCCAUGUUCUUUAGGAAUGGUGUCUGAUAACAGGGAAGAUAAGAUUCAAUUCAUUAGGGAUGGCUUGAAUAAGGAGUCAUUGGAUGAUAUCCUUUUGUCUCUUGAAACGCAUCCCAGUGGAUAUGUGCAAGGAGCGAUUCUCCAGUUAAGGCCAUUAUUCCAAAAGAGCAUGCACGAUAUCGUCUCGGGAAUCUGACUAUAAACGACCCUGUUUGCCAGUUUAUAAGAAAACUGGAUGGGAAGCCCAUCCUCGACCCAUAGAGGGCGUUCAAGCCGUUUCUGGACGUAAAACCAGAGGAAGAUGUGAGCCACAGUCGCAACUACGUGUAAAUAUCCUUUUACUUUACUGUUAUUUUAUUUCAUUUCACUGUUGUUUUAUUGUUUGCAUUAUUGUCUUUAAUAAUUUUAUUACUGUUUGCUUUUUCCUUUUUACUGUUUCCUUUUUGACUCGCGAGCCACGUGCUUUACGCGUUAUUUGACACUGACAUGUUACCUCAUUCACAGCUGUGAUCCAUUGUCACCAAGAUUCUUAAAUGUGAUUUAUCUUUUGUCAAGCACUCACAAAUUAUUUUUGAGAAGUAUCACAAUGGCAGCUACUCCCAAUAGACAAUUCAAGAACAUUUGUGUGCUUUCUGGAUUUACCUAUGGCAAACAUAAAGAGUUCGUGGAGGCAGCCAUAGAUCUUGGUCGAAGCAUAGCAGCGAGAAAAUUACAUUUGGUGUAUGGAGGAGGUAACCGAGGGUUAUCAAAAAUGGUCUCAGAAGCAGCUUUUAUCAGAGGAAGUCAAGUGUUAGGCAUCAUCCCAAGAGUCCUAAAACCAUUGGGCAGUUCGUCUGACUCAUCAACUGGAGAAGAGUUAGUCGUCUCAGGUAUGCAAGAAAGAAUAACUGAAAUGCUUAAUCAUGCUGAUGCUUUUAUUUUCCUUCCAGGAGAUCUUGCAACACUAGAGGCACUUAUGACACUAGCAUCUUGGGCCCAUCUGCACAUCCACCAGAAACCCAUCGGUUUGUUAAAUGUCAAUAACUUUUAUGAUGGCUUUAUCGCAUUUCUUAACCAUGCAAUAAAAAACUAUUUCAUUCCUUCUAAUGUAAAAAAACUUUUUAUUUGUGCUCACACUGCUAAUGAACUACUUGAUCUGUUACAAGCUUAUAAACCGGAGCCAGACCCCUGGACCUUUGUGUUGGAGCGCCCAAAUAAUGAUGGUAACAGUAGCCGCAGUAAGAAGUACAAAUUAGAUUUUAACUCUCGCUGUAAUAUAUUCUUUUGUGUUGCACCACCCAGGUGAUGUCUUCUAAACUCUACUUCUUUCCUUUAAAACAUUGAGGACAAUGUUUCGUUUCUGGUUGAGGGGGGAAUAGUCGACAAUUGUGGAAUCUUGGUUAAGUUUUUACUGAUUUUUUGUUGUAGAAACUAACUGUUGCUAACUUUUUGUGUUGAAGAUGGCUGAAUAUGGAGUGUAGUGACUCUAGAAACGCCAUCUUCAUCGUUUAAAAAAAAAAAAAAAUUUAAAAACUAAAAAAACUAAAAAAAACAAAAAAUUCAAACAUUUUCUUUUUCUUUAUUAUGUUUUGAUGUUCAUUUUUCUUCUUCUUUUUAAUUUCUCCUAUAAAUAUAUAUUUCCAACUUUUGAGUCGAAGAUAGCUGAAUAUGGAGAUUUGCCUCUAGAAACGCAUCUUCAUCGUUUUAAAAAAAAAAUUAAAAAAAAAAAAAACAAAAUUUCAUUUUUCGUUUUCUAUCAUUUUACGUGUAACUUUUCUAAUUAGUUUUUAUGCAUCAUUUUCACAUUUCUGCAUGCAUAUUUUCCUUUCAUGUUUAGAAUAGGUUGGGGGUAGAAUGUUGUUUAAAAAAAAAAAAAAGAAAAAAUUGUGUGAUUUGUUUUAACUUUAGAUGACAUGAUUAAUUCAAAUUUUAGUAUUUGUAUUAUCUUUGGUCUUAAGUGAUGUUACAUUAUGUUUGCUACUCUACAUGUUGAUGUCGGAGACAAAUAUGAGUUGCUUGAAGGAAUGACAUGUCAUAAUAAAGUACCAAGUGAGUUUUUGAGCCUAUCAUUUUUCUUUGGAGAGUAACCCUUUUGCCCAUUCUUUAUAAUGCUUAACAGUUUAUUAUUGUAUACACGAUCUCUAGAUUUCUUUUGAGUUAAGCCUUAAAAAAAAAAAAAAAAAAAAAAUGUGUGUGUUGCUUACAUUGGGAGGCCCAUCUAACUAGUAGAUAUGGAUGAUUAUUUAGAGCCCUAAAAGACGAUGGAAAGGCCAUCUUUGAUCCGUUUGAGCCUUUCUAGCCAUCCCUCUUAUCAAGUAUCCAUAGUUUAACCCAUUUGAGCCUUUUAAAUAAAAAAAAAAAAAAACUUUCUUUGUUUAACUUAUCAUCUUGACCCACUCCGAUUUGGAGUAUUACCCAAUAUCUUACAAAUUCCAUCACCUAUUUAUGUUUGAGAAAAAUGUAAAUAAACAUUUUGCAUAGUGAAGUUAUGCCUAGUUUCAAAAAAAAAAAGAAAAAAUUGUUGUUGCUGAAAAAAAAAAAAAAAAGAAAAAAAAUUGUUGUUUCAAAAGAAUAAAAAUAACAAUAAUAGGUGAAAUCCACCUUGCAACUUCCAAAAAAAAAAAAAAAAAAUAUUCUCUGCAUUUUUUCUCAAACAUACACUUUGUUUUCCUUAUUUCCCUUCUUUGUUAGCCAUAUCCCUAAGCCUACGUUACGUCCUAAUAAAAGUCCUUCUUGAUUUUAGGGGAACUAUAGUUUGAAGUAGAAGCUAGUUAUAUGGGCUAAAAAGAUGUAGUGAUGCAUAAUUAAAAAAAAAAAAAGAUAAAUAAAGUGGGUUGACUAACAUUUUAUUUGACUUGAGAUCGUAUUAUUUCUAAGCUGAGGGCAUAUUUAUUUAAUCUUGGUGAGAGCAUGUGAUAUCAUUUCUUUAUUAUUUUCUCUCUCAAUUACCAUUCAUUGGAGUGACUAUGUUUAUUGGGUUUUAAUUUCUUUGUGAGAGUGUCACUACUUCCAGUGAGAUUUUGGGGUUUUGACAUGUCAUUCUUGAAAGUAGCUAUAACAAAGUCUACUGGGCUAAUUCAUGUGGAUGGUUGAUGUGGGUGUGAUGUUGCUUUAGACUGGAGAUAAUGCUUAUACUUUUAUUUGAUUGCUAUCAUUAAUCUGAUUGAAUAAACACGAGUGUUUCUAAAAAAAAAAAAAAAAAAAAUCAUUUUGAAUUUGAAUUUUGUUUUCGCUUUAUUUGCUAGGGACUAGCAAUAAGCUGGUUGGGGGGUGUUGUUGAGUGUUAGAAAAUACAUAUUUUAUAAAGGAGAAAACCGUCAUUUUACAUUUCAAGUCUUUACUAACAACCCUUACUUUUAUGUAUUUAACCUUCUUGUGAUUGUAAUUACGUGUGUGUUUUUUUAAUUAAGUAUUUUAUGUAUUUUAGGGGCAGUAUAGUCAUUUCACAAUAAAGGAGAGAUCAGACGGCAAAACGGACAUCACUUUUGAACUCAGGACGGUCGAAAACCUUAGGAGGAGCAUAAAAGGAAAAAAUGGCACUAUUCACAUGUACGGUACUAUUCACGUAUACGGUACUGUCUACGUUACUGUUCACGACACUGUUCACAUAGACGGAUCGAUGACGUGGCAUUGACCGAUGACGUGGCAUUGACCGAUGAUGUGGCAUUGACUGAUGAGGUGUCACGAUCCUGUUGGGCUAAAAUUCUUAUGUACUGUUAAUGGUGACGUGGCAGCAUAUCAGUGACGAAAAAUCUCGUGUACGGUGCAUGCAUCACACAGGAUUAUUUUCAACCAAACCGCGUUACUGUUCAUCCGGGUCAAACCGUGUUACUGUUCAUCCGCUCGGUGGUCAAACCGUGGACUGUUGACUGAUGACGUGGCGCAAUCCUGAGCGUCCAAACUGUUUUUAAUCCGAUGGCCAUGAUUUACUCCAUGUAUCUAUAAAAAGGGGGCCUCUCCCCCCGAAUUUGAUAUCUCUGAAUCCAUUUUUGGGAUCCAUUUUUCUGUAAUUCCUUCUCCAUCUUGUAUUUUCUUUGUAUUUUAAUAAAUUCCCUUUUUGCCCCUAGUUCAAUUAUGAGUAGCUAAUUUCUUUUCAAGCUUGGGUUGAAGGUGAAGUCUCAACAUGUGUCAUGGGCUUUAUUUGGUAAAUUUAUUUUCUUUUCCCCUCUAGUUUUUGUGGAUGAUUUGACUUAUCGUCGACAAAUAAUACUGAUCUUGUCUAGAUACCGCCUUGGUUACACCGGCUCUCUGGUAUAAGGUUAUUAUUAUUUGGCACGAUAAGCCCUUAGCACCAUAUUGAUUAGAGCGUGGUUCAUGAGGUGUGGAUUCCCCCCUCAUGAUUUAAUUGGUAUUAAUAAGGAAUAUUUAGCCCAUGAUGCAUGUUGAUACGGAUCCAGAUACCCAAGUACGUCAUUUCAAUAGAAUUCUCUUCAAUUUAUUCUCGCCAUUUUAAUUUAAGUUUUAGCAUAUUCCAAAUCAUUUCCACCACAAAUCCAAUCACCCAUUUACAAAAUUAAUUUUAUACACAAUUAAAAUCCACCUCCUCGUGGGAUCGACACUCGUCACCAUUAGUCUAUAUUACAAUAGAUUCGUGCGCUUGCGAGUACAUUAAAAUUUGCACAACAAGUUUUUGGCGCCGUUGCCGGGGAGGUAAGUAAUUUUAAUUCAUAAAAUUAAUUUUGUGAAUAAUUUCUUUUAUUUGUUUUCUUGUAUUUUUUUUUUCUUAUAAAAAAAAAAAGAAAAAAAAAAGAGUAAAUCUACAUUUAAAGGUUAGUAUUUCUUUUCUUUUUCUCUUCUUUAAAAUUCUGUAAUUUAAUUUUCAAUUUAUUUUUUUUUCUUUGUAAUUUUUGUUUAUUUUAUUAAUUUAAUUUUUAGUUAAUUUAUUUCACGUAUUUGUUUUUGUGUAUUUUUAUAGAAAGGUUGUAAUAGCGCAAUAAGGUUAGUAUCGUAAUUUCUCCCUCUUAUUUAUUUUUAUUUGUUUUGUUCCCAUCUUUAUUUUUUGUUUUGUUUGCAUCUUUAUUUUUAUUUUCAUUUUAUUUUGCAUGCAUGGUCGUAGGUCAUUAUUACCUAAUCUUGAACCUAUAGACCUUGAAUUAGAAAAAACACUUCGCACACAAAAACACAUUAAAAAUAAAAUUGGAAUGGAUUUACAAGCACCACAGGAGAGGCCAUUUAAGGACUAUUUUAGUCCCUUAGCUAAUUUAAGCACAUCAUGUAUUAGAUACCCAAAUGUAGCUGCUAGGAAGCUUUGAACUAAAACCUAGUGUGCUAAAUUGUCUCCCCACAUUCUAUGGCUUAGAAAAUGAGGACCCAUAUAAUCAUCUGAAUGAUUUUCAUACCAUUUGUCAAACUUUUAAAUAUGAAAAUUUUUCAGACGAUGAUGUUAAACUCAGACUAUUCCCAUUUUCUUUAAAGGAUAGAGCUCGUUCAUGGUUAAAUACGUUGCCUGCUAAUAGCAUUUCAUCAUGGGAACAAAUGGUAACUAAAUUUUUGAAUAAAUAUUUCCCAGUGCAUAAAACCAAUUCUAUUCGCAGGGAAAUUUCAGAGUUUACACAAAGAGAGGACGAGCAGUUUUUCGAAACUUGGGAGCGAUUCAAUGGGCUACUCUUGAAGUGUCCACAUCAUGGGUACGAAAAAUGGCACCAAUGCCAAUACUUUUUGGAGGGAUUACUACCGAAUGUGCAAGAAUGGCUAAUGGCAACAAGUGGAGGAGAGCUAAUGUCAAAAAGUGCAUCAGAAAUUUGGGAAUUCUUCCAACGACAAGCGGAUAAUUCCCAACAACGGAGUCGAUCACUAAGGAAUACUAGAAGAAUUAAGGGAGUAAAUGAGGUUCAAAUUGGCGAGUCAACUUCGGGAAUCAAAGAAGUCAAGGAGAUGGUUGAAGGUCUCGCUCGACAAAUAGCAUCGUUAUCGACUGCUAAAUCAACAGAACCACAUGACCAUGACUCAUACUCCGAUCAAGCCAAUGCCAUAGGUGUAAUGAGAAAACCAUCGAAUUACAACCCAUACUCCAACACAUAUAACCCUGGAUGGAGAGACCACCCCAAUAUUUCAUGGUCUCAAGGAUUCCAACAGAAUGGACCAGCAGCUCCAGCUCCACCAAUGCAACAAAUUCCUCAAAAUCCUCAAGCCUCUCAGCCACCAUUCAGACCAUACAAUCAGAACCAGAACUACUCUCAACCCAGACCAUGGGAGGAUGCAUUCCAGAAUUUCAAGAAUGUUACUCACUCCACGAUUGAGCAACAGAACCGCACCAUUGAUGGACUACGAAAUGAGUUGAGAGCAGGCUUCAACUCACAAGCUCAAUCAGUUUCAAGCCUCGAGAAGAUGGUGGACAACUUGCUUCUUCAGUUCAGACCUUGGCAAUGACUGUUGAGAAAGGAAAAUUUCCAAGUCAACCAGUGCCUAAUCCUAAAGGAGUACAUGAAGCAAGUACCAGUUCACCACAACAGCAUGGAGAGGUCAAAGCAGUCAUGACCUUGCGAAAAGGAAAGGAAGUCGACAACAAAGUGGAGAUGCCGGUGACAAAAGAAAAUCAAAUUGUACCUGUGAAUGUUGAAGACUCACCACCGGAGGAGAAAGAAGAAACCAACCCACGAGAAUACGUUCCGAAAGCUCCAUUUCCUCAGAGGUUAGCUAAAGGGAAAAAGGGAAAAUCCACAGGUGAGAUUCUCGAAAUCUUCAAACAGGUAAGUGUUAACAUCCCUUUACUUGAUGCUAUUAAACAAGUUCCAUCUUAUUGCCAAGUUUCUUAAAGACCUUUGUACUAAAAAGAGAAAUAUGCAUGUUCAAAAGAAGGCAUUUUUAACAGAAAAUGUUAGUUCUAUACUCCAACAUAAAAUUCCUCUAAAAUGCAAAGACCCAGGCUCCCCCACUAUCUCAUGUAGUAUAGGGAACCACACAAUUGAGAAUGCGUUGUUGGAUUUAGGAGCUAGUGUAAAUCUGUUGCCUUAUUCAGUAUUCGUGAAACUUGGACUGGGAGAAUUACACCCAACUCCAGUGGUGUUACAGCUUGCAGAUCGGUCCACGAAAAUACCUCGUGGUAUUAUGGAGGACGUGCUUAUCCAGGUAGACAAGUUUUAUUUUCCUGUUGAUUUCAUUGUAAUUGACACUCAACCAAUACAGGAUUCAAGGAAGCACAUCCCCAUUAUUCUAGGCCGACCUUUCUUGGCGACUGCGGAUGCUCACAUUCAAUGCAGGACUGGAAAUAUGCAGUUGUCCUUCGGCAACAUGACUAUGGAGCUAAAUAUUUUCAACAUUGCCAAACAACCUCACAGUGCAGAUGAUGGAAUUGUUGAUGUGGAUUUAAUAGAAACAAUAGUUGAUAAUACUUUUCUUUCAAACCUUAGUGAUGAUCCUUUACAGACAUGCUUAACUCACUUUGGUUUGGAUUUUGAUAUUGAUAGAUCGGUCGAUGAGGUCAACGCCCUGCUUGACUCAGCACCAUCCAUGGACACUAAUAAAUGGAAGUCAAGAGUUGAACAACUAGCACCAUCAGAGAAGAAACUCAUUCCAUCAUCAGAAUCACCACCGAAACUCGAGCUCAAACCAUUACCCAACACUCUGGAAUAUGCAUUUUUGGGAGAAGAAAGUACUCUGCCGGUAAUCAUCUCAUCAUCCCUAAAUGACGAACAAAAAGGUAAGUUGUUGGAUGUUUUAAAAGAGCACAAAGGAGCAUUAGGAUGGACCAUAGCAGACAUUAAAGGUAUAAACCCAGUAGACUGUAUGCAUUACAUUCACCUUGAUGAAAAUGCUAAAACUACUAGGGAGAUGCAACGUCGGUUAAAUCCUAACAUGAAAGAAGUUGUUAGAACUGAAGUCCUUAAGCUAUUAGAUGCAGGUAUCAUUUACCCAAUUUCUGAUAGUUCAUGGGUCAGUCCUGUACAAGUUGUCCCCAAAAAGUCAGGAGUCACAGUAGUUACCAAUGCUGAUAAUGAAUUGAUACCAACUAGAGUAACUACAGGAUGGCGUGUAUGCAUUGAUUAUAGAAAGUUGAAUUCUGUCACACGUAAAGACCAUUUUCCUUUACCAUUUAUUGAUCAAAUGCUUGAUAGAUUAGCAGGCCAUGAAUUUUAUUGCUUUCUAGAUGGCUACUCAGGAUAUAAUCAGAUUCCCAUAGCACCAAAAGAUCAAGAGAAAACUACUUUCACUUGCCCUUUUGGCACAUUUGCAUAUAGGAGAAUGCCAUUUGGAUUAUGUAAUGCACCUGCUACAUUUCAACGAUGCAUGUUGAGCAUUUUUUCUGAUAUGGUUGAACGAUUCCUUGAAGUCUUUAUGGAUGAUUUUUCUGUCUUUGGUGACUCGUUUGAUCAAUGUUUACAUCAUCUAACGCUAGUUCUGCAGAGAUGUACCGAGAAGAGCUUAGUCUUAAAUUGGGAGAAGUGCCAUUUUAUGGUAAAACAAGGUAUUGUUCUCGGUCACAUCAUUUCGAGCAAAGGUAUUGAGGUUGACAAAGCCAAGGUGGAUCUCAUUUCUAAUCUUCCUCCACCUAAAACAGUCAGAGAAGUAAGAUCUUUCCUUGGGCAUGCUGGUUUCUAUAGACGUUUCAUUAAAGAUUUUAGCAAAGUUUCUAGACCCUUAUGCAAUUUACUUGCUAAGGAUGUACCUUUUAUCUUUAAUGAUUCAUGUCUUAUGGCUUUUGAAAAAUUAAAGCAAUUGUUGACAUCAUCACCCAUCAUUCAGGCCCCAAACUGGAGCUUACCAUUUGAGCUCAUGUGUGAUGCAUCUGAUUAUGCAGUAGGAGCAGUAUUAGGACAAAGAGUUGAUCGAAUUCCCAACGUUAUUUACUAUGCUAGUAUGACCUUGAAUGAUGCACAGUUGAAUUAUUCAACUACUGAAAAAGAAAUGCUAGCAGUAGUGUUUGCAUUGGAAAAAUUUCGAUCUUAUCUCAUUGGUUGUAAAAUAAUUAUAUUCACAGAUCAUGCUGCUCUUAAAUAUCUUCUCACAAAGAAAGAUGCAAAAGCUAGACUAAUUCGUUGGGUGUUACUUUUGCAGGAAUUUGACUUGGAAUUCAAAGAUAAGAAAGGGACAGAAAAUGUUGUGGCGGACCACCUCUCUCGUCUCCAUUUUGACACAAUUACAGAGCCAUUAAUAUUAAAUGAGUCAUUUCCAGAUGAACAAUUAAUGAGUGUGGAAGUAUUACCUUGGUAUGCUGAUAUAGUUAAUUAUCUUGUUACAGGUAAGCUUCCAGAGCAUUGGACCAAGCAAGACAAGGCUAAAUUCUUUGCGGAAAUAAAGAAUUUCUUUUGGGAUGACCCAUAUUUGUUCAAGUAUUGUGCAGACCAAAUUGUUAGACGAUGUGUCCCUGAAAGUGAAAUUCAGAAUAUCCUUUCAUUCUGCCAUGAACAAGCUUGUGGAGGCCAUUUCAGUGCUAAGAAAACAGCGACUAAAGUUUUACAAUGUGGUUUCUAUUGGCCAACUAUAUUUCGAGAUGCUUACACUUUCUGUUCUUCAUGUGAUAGGUGUCAACGAAUGGGGAGCAUUACACGAAGGAACAUGAUGCCACUAAAUCCAAUUUUAGUGGUUGAGAUUUUUGACGUAUGGGGUAUCGACUUCAUGGGACCCUUUCCCCUUCUUUUGGCCAUCAAUACAUAUUGGUUGGUGUUGACUACGUAUCGAAAUGGGUGGAAGCAAUUCCAUGCAGAACCAAUGAUCACAAAGUGGUGAUAGGAUUUUUGAAAAGCAAUAUUGUUUCGCGCUUUGGAUUCCCUCGAGCGAUAAUCAGUGAUGGUGGUGCCCACUUUUGUAACAAAGCAUUCAAGGCUCUUUUGACAAAGUAUUCAAUCACACACAAAGUGGCGACCCCGUAUCAUCCGCAAACCAGUGGCCAAGUUGAGAUCUCCAAUCGAGAAAUAAAGCACAUAUUAGAAAAGACGGUGAGGCCAGACAGGAAAGAUUUGGUCAUUACGACUUGAUGAUGCAUUAUGGGCAUAUAGAACGGCUUUCAAGACCCCGAUUGGGAUGUCACCCUACAGGCUAGUGUAUGGAAAAGCUUGCCACCUACCUGUGGAACUCGAGCAUCGUGCAUAUUGGGCCAUCAAGAAAUUCAACUUUGACAUGCAGCAAGCCAGCUCAGAAAGAAGAUUACAGCUGGCAGAACUUGAAGAAAUUCGCAAUGAUGCAUACGAAAAUGCCAAGAUUUACAAGCAACGAAUGAAAGUCUUCCAUGAUAAGCAAAUUAUGAGAAAAUCGUUCACUCCAGGUCAGAAAGUGCUUUUAUUCAAUUCUCGCUUGCACCUAUUCCCAGGUAAGUUACGCUCUCGUUGGUCUGGCCCAUUUAUUGUACAUACUGUUUUUCCACAUGGGGCAAUUGAAAUUAAGGACCCAAAGAACGGUGUCACGUAUAAAGUUAAUGGUCAAGAUUAAAGCCAUAUCUAGAGUACCAACCACAUGGAGAAAACAUCGAAAUAAAUUUGAGUGACCCACUAAAUUUGAAUUGAUUUUUUUUUUUUCUCUUUUCGUUAAUUUGAUUUUUCUUUAUUUCUUUUAUUAUUAUUCUUUUGCUAAUUGAAAUUGUUUUUGCAUAAGUGUGUUUAUUUUACCAUUAAGUUUUCUCUUAUCAUUUUUAAUCAUGAGUCUCAUACUUAGACCGUUCCUCCUGAACAUUCUUAAACCACUUCAACGUGUCAAAACUCAUCUCAAAAGGCAGAUUCUAUUUUGUAAAACACAACGCAUUUGGGCUCUACAACCACCAGAGUUAGUAGCCUAUGUUGAGGGUUUAGAACGCCAACUCAGAGACAUUGAGAGAAGUGUUUACGACAUCCAGUUGGAGCUUGAGGUAAAUUCAAUAAGAGGACGAUUUUAAUUUUCUUUGUGUGUUUUUUGUUUUUCUGUUUGUGUGCUUUAGUUUGUUACCCCGGUGAAGUGGCAGAUAACGGUUACUCCGUGACAAUCAAGUCGGUUAACUUCAGUUUCCCAUAAUAACUGAUAUUCUGAGGCGAAGGUAUGGACAGAAACGAGAUUCUAGCGAAGCUUCACAAGCGAUUCCCUUCACUUCCUCAGAAUGCCCUCCUUACAAUCUAUAAAGCCCGGUCUGAACGCAUGCGAUUGCUCAUGAGGAAUAACAUACCUGCAGACAUCCGUUGGUUAAUCGAGGCUAAAGUACGAUUGGCAGGUGAGUUACCUCCUAAAUUUAUUGCAUACAUGCCUGGUUGUGGUAAAGGAAAUUACGCAAGAAAACGACGAGCUCGAAGAAUUUCUGUUGCUUGUCACAAGUGUGCCAGAAUGAGUUGCGAUAGAAACCCAUGUUCUUUAGGAAUGGUGUCUGAUAACAGGGAAGAUAAGAUUCAAUUCAUUAGGGAUGGCUUGAAUAAGGAGUCAUUGGAUGAUAUCCUUUUGUCUCUUGAAACGCAUCCAGUGGAUAUGUGCAAGGAGCGAUUCUCCAGUUAAGGCCAUUAUUCCAAAAAGAGCAUGCACGAUAUCGUCUCGGGAAUCUGACUAUAAACGACCCUGUUUGCCAGUUUAUAAGAAAACUGGAUGGGAAGCCCAUCCUCGACCCAUAGAGGGCGUUCAAGCCGUUUCUGGACGUAAAACCAGAGGAAGAUGUGAGCCACAGUCGCAACUACGUGUAAAUAUCCUUUUACUUUACUGUUAUUUUAUUUCAUUUCACUGUUGUUUUAUUGUUUGCAUUAUUGUCUUUAAUAAUUUUAUUACUGUUUGCUUUUUCCUUUUUACUGUUUCCUUUUUGACUCGCGAGCCACGUGCUUUACGCGUUAUUUGACACUGACAUGUUACCUCAUUCACAGCUGUGAUCCAUUGUCACCAAGAUUCUUAAAUGUGAUUUAUCUUUUGUCAAGCACUCACAAAUUAUUUUUGAGAAGUAUCACAAUGGCAGCUACUCCCAAUAGACAAUUCAAGAACAUUUGUGUGCUUUCUGGAUUUACCUAUGGCAAACAUAAAGAGUUCGUGGAGGCAGCCAUAGAUCUUGGUCGAAGCAUAGCAGCGAGAAAAUUACAUUUGGUGUAUGGAGGAGGUAACGAGGGUUAUCAAAAAUGGUCUCAGAAGCAGCUUUUAUCAGAGGAAGUCAAGUGUUAGGCAUCAUCCCAAGAGUCCUAAAACCAUUGGGCAGUUCGUCUGACUCAUCAACUGGAGAAGAGUUAGUCGUCUCAGGUAUGCAAGAAAGAAUAACUGAAAUGCUUAAUCAUGCUGAUGCUUUUAUUUUCCUUCCAGGAGAUCUUGCAACACUAGAGGCACUUAUGACACUAGCAUCUUGGGCCCAUCUGCACAUCCACCAGAAACCCAUCGGUUGUUAAAUGUCAAUAACUUUUAUGAUGGCUUUAUCGCAUUUCUUAACCAUGCAAUAAAAAACUAUUUCAUUCCUUCUAAUGUAAAAAAACUUUUUAUUUGUGCUCACACUGCUAAUGAACUACUUGAUCUGUUACAAGCUUAUAAACCGGAGCCAGACCCCUGGACCUUUGUGUUGGAGCGCCCAAAUAAUGAUGGUAACAGUAGCCGCAGUAAGAAGUACAAAUUAGAUUUAACUCUCCGCCUGUAAAUAUAUUCUUUUGUGUUGCACCACCCAGGUGAUGUCUUCUAAACUCUACUUCUUUCCUUUAAAACAUUGAGGACAAUGUUUCGUUCUGGUUGAGGGGAGGGAAUAGUCGACAAUUGUGGAAUCUUGGUUAAGUUUUUACUGAUUUUUUGUUGUAGAAACUAACUGUUGCUAACUUUUUGUGUUGAAGAUGGCUGAAUAUGGAGUGUAGUGACUCUAGAAACGCAUCUUCAUCGUUUAAAAAAAAAAAAAAAUUUAAAAAACUAAAAAACUAAAAAAAACAAAAAAAUUCAACAUUUUCUUUUUCUUUAUUAUGUUUUGAUGUUCAUUUUUCUUCUUCUUUUAAUUUCUCCUUAUAAAUAUAUAUUUUCCAACUUUUGAGUCGAAGAUAGCUGAAUAUGGAGUGUAGUGCCUCUAGAAACGCAUCUUCAUCGUUUAAAAAAAAAUUAAAAAAAAAAAAAAACAAAAUUUCAUUUUCGUUUUCUAUCAUUUUACGUGUAACUUUUCUAAUUAGUUUUUAUGCAUCAUUUUCACAUUUCUGCAUGCAUAUUUUCCUUUCAUGUUUAGAAUAGGUUGGGGGGUUAGAAUGUUGUUUAAAAAAAAAAAAAGAAAAAAUUGUGUGAUUUGUUUUAACUUUAGAUGACAUGAUUAAUUUCAAAUUUUAGUAUUUGUAUUAUCUUUGGUCUUAAGUGAUGUUACAUUAUGUUUUGCUACUCUACAUGUUGAUGUCGGAGACAAAUAUGAGUUGCUUGAAGGAAUGAACAUGUCAUAAUAAGUACCAAGUGAGUUUUUGAGCCUAUCAUUUUUCUUGGAGAGUAACCCUUUUGCCCAUUCUUUAUAAUGCUUAACAGUUUAUUAUUGUAUACACGAUCUCUAGAUUUCUUUUGAGUUAAGCCUUAAAAAAAAAAAAAAAAAAAUGUGUGUGUUGCUACAUUGGGAGGCCCAUCUAACUAGUAGAUAUGGAUGAUUAUUUAGAGCCCUAAAAGACGAUGGAAAGGCCAUCUUUGAUCCGUUUGAGCCUUUCUAGCCAUCCCUCUUAUCAAGUAUCCAUAGUUAACCCAUUUGAGCCUUUUAAAUAAAAAAAAAAAAAAACUUUUCUUUGUUUAACUUAUCAUCUUGACCCACUCCGAUUUGGAGUAUUACCCAAUAUCUUACAAAUUCCAUCACCUAUUUAUGUUUGAGAAAAAUGUAAAUAAACAUUUUGCAUAGUGAAGUUAUGCCUAGUUCAAAAAAAAAAAGAAAAAAUUGUUGUUGCUGAAAAAAAAAAAAAAAAAGAAAAAAUUGUUGUUUCAAAAGAAUAAAAAUAACAAUAAUAGGUGAAAUCCACCUUGCAACUUCCAAAAAAAAAAAAAAAAAUAUUCUCUGCAUUUUUCUCAAACAUACACUUUGUUUUCCUUAUUUCCCUUCUUUGUUAGCCAUAUCCCUAGCCUACGUUACGUCCUAAUAAAAGUCCUUCUUGAUUUUAGGAACUAUAGUUUGAAGUAGAAGCUAGUUAUAUGGGCUAAAAAGAUGUAGUGAUGCAUAAUUAAAAAAAAAAAAGAUAAAUAAAGUGGGUUGACUAACAUUUUAUUUGACUUGAGAUCGUAUUAUUUCUAAGCUGAGGGCAUAUUUAUUUAAUCUUGGUGAGAGCAUGUGAUAUCAUUUCUUUAUUAUUUUCUCUCUCAAUUACCAUUCAUUGGAGUGACUAUGUUUAUUGGGUUUUAAUUUCUUUGUGAGAGUGUCACUACUUCCAGUGAGAUUUUGGGGUUUGACAUGUCAUUCUUGAAAGUAGCUAUAACAAAGUCUACUGGGCUAAUUCAUGUGGAUGGUUGAUGUGGGUGUGAUGUUGCUUUAGACUGGAGAUAAUGCUUAUACUUUUAUUUGAUUGCUAUCAUUAAUCUGAUUGAAUAAACACGAGUGUUUCUAAAAAAAAAAAAAAAAAAAUCAUUUUGAAUUUGAAUUUUGUUUUCGCUUUAUUUGCUAGGGACUAGCAAUAAGCUGGUUGGGGGGUGUGUUGAGUGUUAGAAAAUACAUAUUUAUAAAGGAGAAAACCGUCAUUUUACAUUUCAAGUCUUACUAACAACCCUUACUUUUAUGUAUUUAACCUUCUUGUGAUGUAAUUACGUGUGUGUUAUUUUAAUUAAGUAUUUUAUGUAUUUUAGGGGCAGUAUAGUCAUUUCACAAUAAAGGAGAGAUCAGACGGCAAAACGGACAUCACUUUUUGAACUCAGGACGGUCGAAAACCUUAGGAGGAGCAUAAAAGGAAAAAUGGCACUAUUCACAUGUACGGUACUAUUCACGUAUACGGUACUGUCUACGUUACUGUUCAUGACACUGUUCACAUAGACGGAUCGAUGACGUGGCAUUGACCGAUGACGUGGCAUUGACCGAUGAUGUGGCAUUGACUGAUGAGGUGUCACGAUCCUGUUGGGCUAAAAUUCUUAUGUACUGUUAAUGGUGACGUGGCAGCAUAUCAGUGGACGAAAAAUCUCGUGUACGGUGCAUGCAUCACACAGGAUUAUUUUCAACCAAACCGCGUUACUGUUCAUCCGGGUCAACCGUGUUACUGUUCAUCCGCGUGGUCAAACCGUGGACUGUUGACUGAUGACGUGGCGCAAUCCUGAGCGUCCAAACUGUUUUUAAUCGAUGGCCAUGAUUUACUCCAUGUAUCUAUAAAAAGGGGCCUCUCCCCCGAAUUUGAUAUCUCUGAAUCCAUUUUUGGGAUCCAUUUUCUGUAAUUCCUUCUCCAUCUUGUAUUUUCUUUGUAUUUUAAUAAAUUCCCUUUUUGCCCCUAGUUCAAUUAUGAGUAGCUAAUUUCUUUUCAAGCUUGGGUUGAAGGUGAAGUCUCAACAUGUGUCAUGGGCUUUAUUUGGUAAAUUUAUUUUCUUUUCCCCUCUAGUUUUUGUGGAUGAUUUGACUUAUCGUCGACAAAUAAUACUGAUCUUGUCUAGAUACCGCCUUGGUUACACCGGCUCUCUGGUAUAAGGUUAUUAUUAUUUGGCACGAUAAGCCCUUAGCACCAUAUGAUUAGAGCGUGGUUCAUGAGGUGUGGAUUCCCCCUCAUGAUUUAAUUGGUAUUAAUAAGGAAUAUUUAGCCCAUGAUGCAUGUUUGAUACGGAUCCAGAUACCCAAGUACGUCAUUUCAAUAGAAUUCUCUUCAAUUUAUUCUCGCCAUUUUAAUUUAAGUUUUAGCAUAUUCCAAAUCAUUUCCACCACAAAUCCAAUCACCCAUUUACAAAAUUAAUUUUAUACACAAUUAAAAUCCACCUCCUCGUGGGAUCGACACUCGUCACCAUUAGUCUAUAUUACAAUAGAUUCGUGCGCUUGCGAGUACAUUAAAAUUUGCACAACAAGUUUUUGGCGCCGUUGCCGGGGAGGUAAGUAAUUUUAAUUCAUAAAAUUAAUUUUUGUGAAUAAUUUCUUUUAUUUGUUUUCUUGUAUUUUUUUUUCUUAUUAAAAAAAAAAGAAAAAAAAAGAGUAAAUCUACAUUUAAAGGUUAGUAUUUCUUUUCUUUUUCUCUUCUUUAAAAUUCUGUAAUUUAAUUUUCAAUUUAUUUUUUUUUCUUUGUAAUUUUUGUUUAUUUUAUUAAUUUAAUUUUUAGUUAAUUUAUUUCACGUAUUUGUUUUUGUGUAUUUUUAUAGAAAGGUUGUAAUAGCGCAAUAAGGUUAGUAUCGUAAUUUCUCCCUCUUAUUUAUUUUUAUUUGUUUUGUUCCAUCUUUAUUUUUUGUUUUGUUUGCAUCUUUAUUUUUAUUUUCAUUUUAUUUUGCAUGCAUGGUCGUAGGUCAUUAUUACCUAAUCUUGAACCUAUAGACCUUGAAUUAGAAAAAACACUUCGCACACAAAAAACAAUUAAAAAUAAAAUUGGAAUGGAUUUACAAGCACCACAGGAGAGGCCAUUUAAGGACUAUUUUAGUCCCUUAGCUAAUUUAAGCACAUCAUGUAUUAGAUACCAAAUGUAGCUGCUAGGACUUUGAACUAAAACCUAGUGUGCUAAAUUGUCUCCCCACAUUCUAUGGCUUAGAAAAUGAGGACCCAUAUAAUCAUCUGAAUGAUUUUCAUACCAUUUGUCAAACUUUUAAAUAUGAAAAUUUUUCAGACGAUGAUGUUAAACUCAGACUAUUCCCAUUUUCUUUAAAGGAUAGAGCUCGUUUCAUGGUUAAAUACGUUGCCUGCUAAUAGCAUUUCAUCAUGGGAACAAAUGGUAACUAAAUUUUUGAAUAAAUAUUUCCCAGUGCAUAAACCAAUUCUAUUCGCAGGGAAAUUUCAGAGUUUACACAAAGAGAGGACGAGCAGUUUUUCGAAACUUGGGAGCGAUUUCAAUGGGCUACUCUUGAAGUGUCCACAUCAUGGGUACGAAAAAUGGCACCAAUGCCAAUACUUUUUGGAGGGAUUACUACCGAAUGUGCAAGAAUGGCUAAUGGCAACAAGUGGAGGAGAGCUAAUGUCAAAAAGUGCAUCAGGAAAUUUGGGAAUUCUUCCAACGACAAGCGGAUAAUUCCCAACAACGGAGUCGAUCACUAAGGAAUACUAGAAGAAUUAAGGGAGUAAAUGAGGUUCAAAUUGGCGAGUCAACUUCGGGAAUCAAAGAAGUCAAGGAGAUGGUUGAAGGUCUCGCUCGACAAAUAGCAUCGUUAUCGACUGCUAAAUCAACAGAACCACAUGACCAUGACUCAUACUCCGAUCAAGCCAAUGCCAUAGGUGUAAUGAGAAAACCAUCGAAUUACAACCCAUACUCCAACACAUAUAACCCUGGAUGGAGAGACCACCCCAAUUUUUCAUGGUCUCAAGGAUUCCAACAGAAUGGACCAGCAGCUCCAGCUCCACCAAUGCAACAAAUUCCUCAAAAUCCUCAAGCCUCUCAGCCACCAUUCAGACCAUACAAUCAGAACCAGAACUACUCUCAACCCAGACCAUGGAGGAUGCAUUCCAGAAUUUCAAGAAUGUUACUCACUCCACGAUUGAGCAACAGAAACCGCACCAUUGAUGGACUACGAAAUGAGUUGAGAGCAGGCUUCAACUCACAAGCUCAAUCAGUUUCAAGCCUCGAGAAGAUGGUGGGACAACUUGCUUUCUUCAGUUCAGACCUUGGCAAUGACUGUUGAGAAAGGAAAAUUUCCAAGUCAACCAGUGCCUAAUCCUAAAGGAGUACAUGAAGCAAGUACCAGUUCACCACAACAGCAUGGAGAGGUCAAAGCAGUCAUGACCUUGCGAAAAGGAAAGGAAGUCGACAACAAAGUGGAGAUGCCCGGUGACAAAAGAAAAUCAAAUUGUACCUGUGAAUGUUGAAGACUCACCACCGGAGGAGAAAGAAGAACCAACCCACGAGAAUACGUUCCGAAAGCUCCAUUUCCUCAGAGGUUAGCUAAAGGGAAAAAAGGGAAAAUCCACAGGUGAGAUUCUCGAAAUCUUCAAACAGGUAAGUGUUAACAUCCCUUUACUUGAUGCUAUUAAACAAGUUCCAUCUUAUGCCAAGUUUCUUAAAGACCUUUGUACUAAAAAGAGAAUAUGCAUGUUCAAAAGAAGGCAUUUUUAACAGAAAAUGUUAGUUCUAUACUCCAACAUAAAAUUCCUCUAAAAUGCAAAGACCCAGGCUCCCCAUAUCUCAUGUAGUAUAGGGAACCACACAAUUGAGAAUGCGUUGUUGGAUUUAGGAGCUAGUGUAAAUCUGUUGCCUUAUUCAGUAUUCGUGAAACUUGGACUGGGAGAUUACACCCAACUCCAGUGGUGUUACAGCUUGCAGAUCGGUCCACGAAAAUACCUCGUGGUAUUAUGGAGGACGUGCUUAUCCAGGUAGACAAGUUUUAUUUUCCUGUUGAUUUCAUUGUAAUUGACACUCAACAAUACAGGAUUCAAGGAAGCACAUCCCAUUAUUCUAGGCCGACCUUUCUUGGCGACUGCGGAUGCUCACAUUCAAUGCAGGACUGGAAAUAUGCAGUUGUCCUUCGGCAACAUGACUAUGGAGCUAAAUAUUUUCAACAUUGCCAAACAACCUCACAGUGCAGAUGAUGGAAUUGUUGAUGUGGAUUUAAUAGAAACAAUAGUUGAUAAUACUUUUCUUUCAAACCUUAGUGAUGAUCCUUUACAGACAUGCUUAACUCACUUUGGUUUGGAUUUUGAUAUUGACAGAUCGGUCGAUGAGGUCAACGCCCCUUGACUCAGCACCAUCCAUGGACACUAAUAAAUGGAAGUCAAGAGUUGAACAACUAGCACCAUCAGAGAAGAAACUCAUCCCAUCAUCAGAAUCACCACCGAAACUCGAGCUCAAACCAUUACCCAACACUCUGGAAUAUGCAUUUUUGGGAGAAGAAAGUACUCUGCCGGUAAUCAUCUCAUCAUCCCUAAAUGACGAACAAAAAGGUAAGUUGUUGGAUGUUUUAAAAGAGCACAAAGGAGCAUUAGGAUGGACCAUAGCAGACAUAAAAGGUAUAAACCCAGUAGACUGCAUGCAUUACAUUCACCUUGAUGAAAAUGCUAAAUACUAGGGAAAUGCAACGUCGGUUAAAUCCUAAUAUGAAAGAAGUUGUUAGAACUGAAGUCCUUAAGCUAUUAGAUGCAGGUAUCAUUUACCCAAUUUCUGAUAGUUCAUGGGUCAGUCCUGUACAAGUUGUCCCAAAAAGUCAGGAGUCACAGUAGUUACCAAUGCUGAUAAUGAAUUGAUACCAACUAGAGUAACUACAGGAUGGCGUGUAUGCAUUGAUUAUAGAAAGUUGAAUUCUGUCACACGUAAAGACCAUUUUCCUUUACCAUUUAUUGAUCAAAUGCUUGAUAGAUUAGCAGGCCAUGAAUUUUAUUGCUUUCUAGAUGGCUACUCAGGAUAUAAUCAGAUUCCCAUAGCACCAAAAGAUCAAGAGAAAACUACUUUCACUUGCCCUUUUGGCACAUUUGCAUAUAGGAGAAUGCCAUUUGGAUUAUGUAAUGCACCUGCUACAUUUCAACGAUGCAUGUUGAGCAUUUUUUCUGAUAUGGUUGAACGAUUCCUUGAAGUCUUUAUGGAUGAUUUUUCUGUCUUUGGUGACUCGUUUGAUCAAUGUUUACAUCAUCUAACGCUAGUUCUGCAGAGAUGUACCGAGAAGCUUAGUCUUAAAUUGGGAGAAGUGCCAUUUUAUGGUAAAACAAGGUAUUGUUCUCGGUCACAUCAUUUCGAGCAAAGGUAUUGAGGUUGACAAAGCCAAGGUGGAUCUCAUUUCUAAUCUUCCUCCACCUAAAACAGUCAGAGAAGUAAGAUCUUUCCUUGGGCAUGCUGGUUUCUAUAGACGUUUCAUUAAAGAUUUUAGCAAAGUUUCUAGACCCUUAUGCAAUUUACUUGCUAAGGAUGUACCUUUUAUCUUUAAUGAUUCAUGUCUUAUGGCUUUUGAAAAAUUAAAGCAAUUGUUGACAUCAUCACCCAUCAUUCAGGCCCCAAACUGGAGCUUANNNNNNNNNNNNNNNNNNNNNNNNNNNNNNNNNNNNNNNNNNNNNNNNNNNNNNNNNNNNNNNNNNNNNNNNNNNNNNNNNNNNNNNNNNNNNNNNNNNNNNNNNNNNNNNNNNNNNNNNNNNNNNNNNNNNNNNNNNNNNNNNNNNNNNNNNNNNNNNNNNNNNNNNNNNNNNNNNNNNNNNNNNNNNNNNNNNNNNNNNNNNNNNNNNNNNNNNNNNNNNNNNNNNNNNNNNNNNNNNNNNNNNNNNNNNNNNNNNNNNNNNNNNNNNNNNNNNNNNNNNNNNNNNNNNNNNNNNNNNNNNNNNNNNNNNNNNNNNNNNNNNNNNNNNNNNNNNNNNNNNNNNNNNNNNNNNNNNNNNNNNNNNNNNNNNNNNNNNNNNNNNNNNNNNNNNNNNNNNNNNNNNNNNNNNNNNNNNNNNNNNNNNNNNNNNNNNNNNNNNNNNNNNNNNNNNNNNNNNNNNNNNNNNNNNNNNNNNNNNNNNNNNNNNNNNNNNNNNNNNNNNNNNNNNNNNNNNNNNNNNNNNNNNNNNNNNNNNNNNNNNNNNNNNNNNNNNNNNNNNNNNNNNNNNNNNNNNNNNNNNNNNNNNNNNNNNNNNNNNNNNNNNNNNNNNNNNNNNNNNNNNNNNNNNNNNNNNNNNNNNNNNNNNNNNNNNNNNNNNNNNNNNNNNNNNNNNNNNNNNNNNNNNNNNNNNNNNNNNNNNNNNNNNNNNNNNNNNNNNNNNNNNNNNNNNNNNNNNUAGAAAAUGAGGACCCAUAUAAUCAUCUGAAUGAUUUUCAUACCAUUUGUCAAACUUUUAAAUAUGAAAAUUUUUCAGACGAUGAUGUUAAACUCAGACUAUUCCCAUUUUCUUUAAAGGAUAGAGCUCGUUCAUGGUUAAAUACGUUGCCUGCUAAUAGCAUUUCAUCAUGGGAACAAAUGGUAACUAAAUUUUUGAAUAAAUAUUUCCCAGUGCAUAAAACCAAUUCUAUUCGCAGGGAAAUUUCAGAGUUUACACAAAGAGAGGACGAGCAGUUUUUCGAAACUUGGGAGCGAUUCAAUGGGCUACUCUUGAAGUGUCCACAUCAUGGGUACGAAAAAUGGCACCAAUGCCAAUACUUUUUGGAGGAUUACUACCGAAUGUGCAAGAAUGGCUAAUGGCAACAAGUGGAGGAGAGCUAAUGUCAAAAAGUGCAUCAGAAAUUUGGGAAUUCUUCCAACGACAAGCGGAUAAUUCCCAACAACGGAGUCGAUCACUAAGGAAUACUAGAAGAAUUAAGGGAGUAAAUGAGGUUCAAAUUGGCGAGUCAACUUCGGGAAUCAAAGAAGUCAAGGAGAUGGUUGAAGGUCUCGCUCGACAAAUAGCAUCGUUAUCGACUGCUAAAUCAACAGAACCACAUGACCAUGACUCAUACUCCGAUCAAGCCAAUGCCAUAGGUGUAUGUAAUGAGAAAACCAUCGAAUUACAACCCAUACUCCAACACAUAUAACCCUGGAUGGAGAGACCACCCCAAUUUUUCAUGGUCUCAAGGAUUCCAACAGAAUGGACCAGCAGCUCCAGCUCCACCAAUGCAACAAAUUCCUCAAAAUCCUCAAGCCUCUCAGCCACCAUUCAGACCAUACAAUCAGAACCAGAACUACUCUCAACCCAGACCAUGGGAGGAUGCAUUCCAGAAUUUCAAGAAUGUUACUCACUCCACGAUUGAGCAACAGAACCGCACCAUUGAUGGACUACGAAAUGAGUUGAGAGCAGGCUUCAACUCACAAGCUCAAUCAGUUUCAAGCCUCGAGAAGAUGGUGGGACAACUUGCUUCUUCAGUUCAGACCUUGGCAAUGACUGUUGAGAAAGGAAAAUUUCCAAGUCAACCAGUGCCUAAUCCUAAAGGAGUACAUGAAGCAAGUACCAGUUCACCACAACAGCAUGGAGAGGUCAAAGCAGUCAUGACCUUGCGAAAAGGAAAGGAAGUCGACAAAAGUGGAGAUGCCGGUGACAAAAGAAAAUCAAAUUGUACCUGUGAAUGUUGAAGACUCACCACCGGAGGAGAAAGAAGAAACCAACCCACGAGAAUACGUUCCGAAAGCUCCAUUUCCUCAGAGGUUAGCUAAAGGGAAAAAGGGAAAAUCCACAGGUGAGAUUCUCGAAAUCUUCAAACAGGUAAGUGUUAACAUCCCUUUACUUGAUGCUAUUAAACAAGUUCCAUCUUAUGCCAAGUUUCUUAAAGACCUUUGUACUAAAAAGAGAAAUAUGCAUGUUCAAAAGAAGGCAUUUUUAACAGAAAAUGUUAGUUCUAUACUCCAACAUAAAAUUCCUCUAAAAUGCAAAGACCCAGGCUCCCCCACUAUCUCAUGUAGUAUAGGGAACCACACAAUUGAGAAUGCGUUGUUGGAUUUAGGAGCUAGUGUAAAUCUGUUGCCUUAUUCAGUAUUCGUGAAACUUGGACUGGGAGAAUUACACCCAACUCCAGUGGUGUUACAGCUUGCAGAUCGGUCCACGAAAAUACCUCGUGGUAUUAUGGAGGACGUGCUUAUCCAGGUAGACAAGUUUUAUUUUCCUGUUGAUUUCAUUGUAAUUGACACUCAACCAAUACAGGAUUCAAGGAAGCACAUCCCCAUUAUUCUAGGCCGACCUUUCUUGGCGACUGCGGAUGCUCACAUUCAAUGCAGGACUGGAAAUAUGCAGUUGUCCUUCGGCAACAUGACUAUGGAGCUAAAUAUUUUCAACAUUGCCAAACAACCUCACAGUGCAGAUGAUGGAAUUGUUGAUGUGGAUUUAAUAGAAACAAUAGUUGAUAAUACUUUUCUUUCAAACCUUAGUGAUGAUCCUUUACAGACAUGCUUAACUCACUUUGGUUUGGAUUUUGAUAUUGAUAGAUCGGUCGAUGAGGUCAACGCCCUGCUUGACUCAGCACCAUCCAUGGACACUAAUAAAUGGAAGUCAAGAGUUGAACAACUAGCACCAUCAGAGAAGAAACUCAUUCCAUCAUCAGAAUCACCACCAAAACUCGAGCUCAAACCAUUACCCAACACUCUGGAAUAUGCAUUUUUGGGAGAAGAAAGUACUCUGCCGGUAAUCAUCUCAUCAUCCCUAAAUGACGAACAAAAAGGUAAGUUGUUGGAUGUUUUAAAAGAGCACAAAGGAGCAUUAGGAUGGACCAUAGCAGACAUUAAAGGUAUAAACCCAGUAGACUGUAUGCAUUACAUUCACCUUGAUGAAAAUGCUAAAACUACUAGGGAGAUGCAACGUCGGUUAAAUCCUAACAUGAAAGAAGUUGUUAGAACUGAAGUCCUUAAGCUAUUAGAUGCAGGUAUCAUUUACCCAAUUUCUGAUAGUUCAUGGGUCAGUCCUGUACAAGUUGUCCCCAAAAAGUCAGGAGUCACAGUAGUUACCAAUGCUGAUAAUGAAUUGAUACCAACUAGAGUAACUACAGGAUGGCGUGUAUGCAUUGAUUAUAGAAAGUUGAAUUCUGUCACACGUAAAGACCAUUUUCCUUUACCAUUUAUUGAUCAAAUGCUUGAUAGAUUAGCAGGCCAUGAAUUUUAUUGCUUUCUAGAUGGCUACUCAGGAUAUAAUCAGAUUCCCAUAGCACCAAAAGAUCAAGAGAAAACUACUUUCACUUGCCCUUUUGGCACAUUUGCAUAUAGGAGAAUGCCAUUUGGAUUAUGUAAUGCACCUGCUACAUUUCAACGAUGCAUGUUGAGCAUUUUUUCUGAUAUGGUUGAACGAUUCCUUGAAGUCUUUAUGGAUGAUUUUUCUGUCUUUGGUGACUCGUUUGAUCAAUGUUUACAUCAUCUAACGCUAGUUCUGCAGAGAUGUACCGAGAAGAGCUUAGUCUUAAAUUGGGAGAAGUGCCAUUUUAUGGUAAAACAAGGUAUUGUUCUCGGUCACAUCAUUUCGAGCAAAGGUAUUGAGGUUGACAAAGCCAAGGUGGAUCUCAUUUCUAAUCUUCCUCCACCUAAAACAGUCAGAGAAGUAAGAUCUUUCCUUGGGCAUGCUGGUUUCUAUAGACGUUUCAUUAAAGAUUUUAGCAAAGUUUCUAGACCCUUAUGCAAUUUACUUGCUAAGGAUGUACCUUUUAUCUUUAAUGAUUCAUGUCUUAUGGCUUUUGAAAAAUUAAAGCAAUUGUUGACAUCAUCACCCAUCAUUCAGGCCCCAAACUGGAGCUUACCAUUUGAGCUCAUGUGUGAUGCAUCUGAUUAUGCAGUAGGAGCAGUAUUAGGACAAAGAGUUGAUCGAAUUCCCAACGUUAUUUACUAUGCUAGUAUGACCUUGAAUGAUGCACAGUUGAAUUAUUCAACUACUGAAAAAGAAAUGCUAGCAGUAGUGUUUGCAUUGGAAAAAUUUCGAUCUUAUCUCAUUGGUUGUAAAAUAAUUAUAUUCACAUCAUGCUGCUCUUAAAUAUCUUCUCACAAAGAAAGAUGCAAAAGCUAGACUAAUUCGUUGGGUGUUACUUUUGCAGGAAUUUGACUUGGAAUUCAAAGAUAAGAAAGGGACAGAAAAUGUUGUGGCGGACCACCUCUCUCGUCUCCAUUUUGACACAAUUACAGAGCCAUUAAUAUUAAAUGAGUCAUUUCCAGAUGAACAAUUAAUGAGUGUGGAAGUAUUACCUUGGUAUGCUGAUAUAGUUAAUUAUCUUGUUACAGGUAAGCUUCCAGAGCAUUGGACCAAGCAAGACAAGGCUAAAUUCUUUGCGGAAAUAAAGAAUUUCUUUUGGGAUGACCCAUAUUUGUUCAAGUAUUGUGCAGACCAAAUUGUUAGACGAUGUGUCCCUGAAAGUGAAAUUCAGAAUAUCCUUUCAUUCUGCCAUGAACAAGCUUGUGGAGGCCAUUUCAGUGCUAAGAAAACAGCGACUAAAGUUUUACAAUGUGGUUUCUAUUGGCCAACUAUAUUUCGAGAUGCUUACACUUUCUGUUCUUCAUGUGAUAGGUGUCAACGAAUGGGGAGCAUUACACGAAGGAACAUGAUGCCACUAAAUCCAAUUUUAGUGGUUGAGAUUUUUGACGUAUGGGGUAUCGACUUCAUGGGACCCUUUCCCCCUUCUUUUGGCCAUCAAUACAUAUUGGUUGGUGUUGACUACGUAUCGAAAAUGGGUGGAAGCAAUUCCAUGCAGGAACCAAUGAUCACAAAGUGGUGAUAGGAUUUUUGAAAGCAAUAUUGUUUUCGCGCUUUGGAUUCCCUCGAGCGAUAAUCAGUGAUGGUGGUGCCACUUUUGUAACAAAGCAUUCAAGGCUCUUUUGACAAAGUAUUCAAUCACACACAAAGUGGCGACCCCGUAUCAUCCGCAAACCAGUGGCCAAGUUGAGAUCUCCAAUCGAGAAAUAAAGCACAUAUUAGAAAAGACGGUGAGGCCAGACAGGAAAGAUUGGUCAUUACGACUUGAUGAUGCAUUAUGGGCAUAUAGAACGGCUUUCCAAGACCCCGAUUGGGAUGUCACCCUACAGGCUAGUGUAUGGAAAAGCUUGCCACCUACCUGUGGAACUCGAGCAUCGUGCAUAUUGGGCCAUCAAGAAAUUCAACUUUGACAUGGCAGCAAGCCAGCUCAGAAAGAAGAUUACAGCUGGCAGAACUUGAAGAAAUUCGGCAAUGAUGCAUACGAAAAUGCCAAGAUUUACAAGCAACGAAUGAAAGUCUUCCAUGAUAAGCAAUUAUGAGAAAAUCGUUCACUCCAGGUCAGAAAGUGCUUUUAUUCAAUUCUCGCUUGCACCUAUUCCCAGGUAAGUUACGCUCUCGUUGGUCUGGCCCAUUUAUUGUACAUACUGUUUUUCCACAUGGGGCAAUUGAAAUUAAGGACCCAAAGAACGGUGUCACGUAUAAAGUUAAUGGUCAAAGAUUAAAGCCAUAUCUAGAGUACCAACCACAUGGAGAAAACAUCGAAAUAAAAUUUGAGUGACCCACUAAAUUUGAAUUGAUUUUUUUUUUUUCUCUUUUCGUUAAUUUGAUUUUUCUUUAUUUCUUUUUAUUAUUAUUCUUUUGCUAAUUGAAAUUGUUUUUGCAUAAGUGUGUUUUAUUUUAACCAUUAAGUUUUCUCUUAUCAUUUUUAAUCAUGAGUCUCAUACUUAGACCGUUCCUCCUGAACAUUCUUAAACCACUUCAACGUGUCAAAACUCAUCUCAAAAGGCAGAUUCUAUUUUGUAAAAACACAACGCAUUUGGGCUCUACAACCACCAGAGUUAGUAGCCUAAUGUUGAGGGUUUAGAACGCCAACUCAGAGACAUUGAGAGAAGUGUUUUACGACAUCCAGUUGGAGCUUGAGGUAAAAUUCAAUAAGAGGACGAUUUUAAUUUUCUUUGUGUGUUUUUUGUUUUUUCUGUUUGUGUGCUUUAGUUUGUUACCUCCGGUGAAGUGGCGAGAUAACGUACUCCGUGACAAUCAAGUCGGUUAACUUCAGUUUCCCAUAAUAACUGAUAUUCUGAGGCGAAGGUAUGGACAGAAACGAGAUUCUAGCGAAGCUUCACAAGCGAUUCCCUUCACUUCCUCAGAAUGCCCCUCCUUACAAUCUAUAAAGCCGGUCUGAACGCAUGCGAUUGCUCAUGAGGAAUAACAUACCUGCAGACAUCCGUUGGUUAAUCGAGGCUAAAGUACGAUUGGCAGGUGAGUUACCUCCUAAAUUUAUUGGCAUACAUGCCUGGUUGUGGUAAAGGAAAUUACGCAAGAAAACGACGAGCUCGAAGAAUUUCUGUUGCUUGUCACAAGUGUGCCAGAAUGAGUUGCGAUAGAAACCCAUGUUCUUUAGGAAUGGUGUCUGAUAACAGGGAAGAUAAGAUUCAAUUCAUUAGGAUGGCUUGAAUAAGGAGUCAUUGGAUGAUAUCCUUUUGUCUCUGAAACGCAUCCCAGUGGAUAUGUGCAAGGAGCGAUUCUCCAGUUAAGGCCAUUAUUCCAAAAAGAGCAUGCACGAUAUCGUCUCGGGAAUCUGACUAUAAACGACCCUGUUUGCCAGUUUAUAAGAAAACUGGAUGGGAAGCCCAUCCUCGACCCAUAGAGGGCGUUCAAGCCGUUUCUGGACGUAAAACCAGAGGAAGAUGUGAGCCACAGUCGCAACUACGUGUAAAUAUCCUUUUACUUUACUGUUAUUUUAUUUCAUUUCACUGUUGUUUUAUUGUUUGCAUUAUUGUCUUUAAUAAUUUUAUUACUGUUUGCUUUUUCCUUUUUACUGUUUCCUUUUUUGACUCGCGAGCCACGUGCUUUACGCGUUAUUUGACACUGACAUGUUACCUCAUUCACAGCUGUGAUCCAUUGUCACCAAGAUUCUUAAAUGUGAUUUAUCUUUUGUCAAGCACUCACAAAUUAUUUUUGAGAAGUAUCACAAUGGCAGCUACUCCCAAUAGACAAUUCAAGAACAUUUGUGUGCUUUCUGGAUUUACCUAUGGCAAACAUAAAGAGUUCGUGGAGGCAGCCAUAGAUCUUGGUCGAAGCAUAGCAGCGAGAAAAUUACAUUUGGUGUAUGGAGGAGGUAACCGAGGGUUAUCAAAAAAUGGUCUCAGAAGCAGCUUUUAUCAAGGAAGUCAAGUGUUUAGGCAUCAUCCAAGAGUCCUAAAACCAUUGGGCAGUUCGUCUGACUCAUCAACUGGAGAAGAGUUAGUCGUCUCAGGUAUGCAAGAAAGAAUAACUGAAAUGCUUAAUCAUGCUGAUGCUUUAUUUUCCUUCCAGGAGAUCUUGCAACACUAGAGGCACUUAUGACACUAGCAUCUUGGGCCCCAUCUGCACAUCCACCAGAAACCCAUCGGUUGUUAAAUGUCAAUAACUUUUAUGAUGGCUUUAUCGCAUUUCUUAACCAUGCAAUAAAAAACUAUUUCAUUCCUUUCUAAUGUAAAAAAAACUUUUUAUUUGUGCUCACACUGCUAAUGAACUACUUGAUCUGUUACAAGCUUAUAAACCGGAGCCAGACCCCUGGACCUUUGUGUGGAGCGCCCAAAUAAUGAUGGUAACAGUAGCCGCAGUAAGAAGUACAAAUUAGAUUUAACUCUCCGCCUGUAAAUAUAUUCUUUUGUGUUGCACCACCCAGGUGAUGUCUUCUAAACUCUACUUCUUUCCUUUAAAACAUUGAGGACAAUGUUUCGUUCUGGUUGAGGGGAGGGAAUAGUCGACAAUUGUGGAAUCUUGGUUAAGUUUUUACUGAUUUUUUGUUGUAGAAACUAACUGUUGCUAACUUUUUGUGUUGAAGAUGGCUGAAUAUGGAGUGUAGUGACUCUAGAAAACGCAUCUUCAUCGUUUAAAAAAAAAAAAAAAAUUUAAAAAAACUAAAAAACAAAAAAACAAAAAAAUUCAAACAUUUUCUUUUUCUUUAUUAUGUUUGAUGUUCAUUUUUCUUCUUCUUUUUAAUUUCUCCUUAUAAAUAUAUAUUUUCCAACUUUUGAGUCGAAGAUAGCUGAAUAUGGAGUGUAGUGCCUCUAGAACGCAUCUUCAUACGUUUAAAAAAAAAUUAAAAAAAAAAAACAAAAUUUCAUUUCGUUUUCUAUCAUUUACGUGUACUUUUCUAUUAGUUUUAGCAUCAUUUUCACAUUUCUGGCAUGCAUAUUUUCCUUUCAUGUUUAGAAUAGGUUGGGGGUAGAAUUUGUUUAAAAAAAAAAAAAGAAAAAAUUGUUGUGAUUUGUUUUAACUUUAGAUGACAUGAUUAAUUUUCAAAUUUUAGUAAUUUGUAUUAUCUUUGGUCUUAAGUGAUGUUACAUUAUGUUUGCUACUCUACAUGUUGAUGUCGGAGACAAAUAUGAGUUGCUUGAAGGAAUGAACAUGUCAUAAAUAAGUACCAAGUGAGUUUUUGAGCCUAUUCAUUUUUUCUUGGAGAGUAACCCUUUUGCCCAUUCUUUAUAAUGCUUAACAGUUUAUUAUUGUAUACACGAUCUCUAGAUUUCUUUUGAGUUAAGCCUUAAAAAAAAAAAAAAAAAAAAAAAUGUGUGUGUUGCUACAAUUGGGAGGCCCAUCUAACUAGUAGAUAUGGAUGAUUAUUUAGAGCCUAAAAAGACGAUGGAAAGGCCAUCUUUGAUCCGUUUGAGCCUUUCUAGCCAUCCCUCUUAUCAAGUAUCCAUAGUUAACCCAUUUGAGCCUUUUAAAUAAAAAAAAAAAAAAACUUUCUUUGUUUAACUUAUCAUCUUGACCCACUCCGAUUUGGAGUAUUACCCAAUAUCUUACAAAUUUCCAUCACCUAUUUAUGUUUGAGAAAAAUGUAAAUAAACAUUUUGCAUAGUGAAGUUAUGCCUAGUUCAAAAAAAAAAAAGAAAAAAUUGUUGUUGCUGAAAAAAAAAAAAAAAAAAAAAAAAGAAAAAAAAUUGUUGUUUCAAAAGAAUAAAAAUAACAAUAAUAGGUGAAAUCACCUUGCAACUUCCAAAAAAAAAAAAAAAAAAAUAUUCUCUGCAUUUUUCUCAAACAUACACUUUGUUUUCCUUAUUCCUUCUUUGUUAGCCAUAUCCCUAGCCUAUACGUUACGUCCUAAUAAAAGUCCUUCUUGAUUUUAGGGAACUAUAGUUUGAAGUAGAAGCUAGUUAUAUGGGCUAAAAAGAUGUAGUGAUGCAUAAUUAAAAAAAAAAAAGAUAAAUAAAGUGGGUUGACUAACAUUUUAUUUGACUUGAGAUCGUAUUAUUUCUAAGCUGAGGGCAUAUUUAUUUAAUCUUGGUGAGAGCAUGUGAUAUCAUUUCUUUAUUAUUUUCUCUCUCAAUUACCAUUCAUUGGAGUGACUAUGUUUAUUGGGUUUUAAUUUCUUUGUGAGAGUGUCACUACUUCCAGUGAGAUUUUGGGGUUUGACAUGUCAUUCUUGAAAGUAGCUAUAACAAAGUCUACUGGGCUAAUUCAUGUGGAUGGUUGAUGUGGGUGUGAUGUUGCUUUAGACUGGAGAUAAUGCUUAUACUUUUAUUUGAUUGCUAUCAUUAAUCUGAUUGAAUAAACACGAGUGUUUCUAAAAAAAAAAAAAAAAAUCAUUUUGAAUUUGAAAUUUUGUUUUCGCUUUAUUUGCUAGGGACUAGCAAUAAGCUGGUUGGGGGUGUGUUGAGUGUUAGAAAAUACAUAUUUAUAAAGGAGAAAACCGUCAUUUUACAUUUCAAGUCUUACUAACAACCCUUACUUUUAUGUAUUUAACCUUCUUGUGAUGUAAUUACGUGUGUGUUAUUUUAAUUAAGUAUUUUAUGUAUUUUAGGGGCAUUAUAGUCAUUUCACAAUAAAGGAGAGAUCAGACGGCAAAAACGGACAUCACUUUUGAACUCAGGACGGUCGAAAACCUUAGGAGGAGCAUAAAAGGAAAAAUGGCACUAUUCACAUGUACGGUACUAUUCACGUAUACGGUACUGUCUACGUUACUGUUCACGACACUGUUCACAUAGACGGAUCGAUGACGUGGCAUUGACCGAUGAUGUGGCAUUGACUGAUGAGGUGUCACGAUCCUGUUGGACUAAAAUUCUUAUGUACUGUUGAUGGUGACGUGGCAGCAUAUCAGUGGACGAAAAAUCUCGCGUACGGUGCAUGCAUCACACAGGAUUAUUUUCAACCAAACCGCGUUACUGUUCAUCCGGGUCAAACCGUGUUACUGUUCAGCGGUCAAACCGUUACUGUUCAUCCGCGUGGUCAAACCGUGGACUGUUGACUGAUGACGUGGCGCAAUCCUGAGCGUCCAAACUGUUUUUAAUCCGAUGGCCAUGAUUUACUCCAUGUAUCUAUAAAAAGGGGGCCUCCCCCCCUAAUUUGAUAUCUCUGAAUCCAUUUUUGGGAUCCAUUUUCUGUAAUUCCUUCUCCAUCUUGUAUUUUCUUGUAUUUUAAUAAAUUCCUAUUUUGCCCCUAGUUCAAUUAUGAGUAGCUAAUUUCUUUUCAAGCUUGGGUUGAAGGUGAAGUCUCAACAUGUGUCAUGGGCUUUAUUUGGUAAAUUUAUUUUCUUUUCCCCUCUAGUUUUUGUGGAUGAUUUGACUUAUCGUCGACAAAUAAUACUGAUCUUGUCUAGAUACCGCCUUGGUUACACCGGCUCUCUAGUAUAAGGUUAUUAUUAUUUGGCACGAUAAGCCCUUAGCACCAUAUUGAUUAGAGCGUGGUUCAUGAGGUGUGGAUUCCCCCUCAUGAUUUAAUUGGCAUUAAUACGGAUUAUUUAGCCCAUGAUGCAUGUUGAUACGGAUCCAGAUACCCAAGUACGUCAUUUCAAUAGAUUCUCUUCAAUUUAUUCUCGCCAUUGCAAUUCCAAUUUAGAAUUUAUUUGCAUUUAUUAAGUUUUAGCAUAUUCAAAUCAUUUCCACCACAAUCCAACCACCCAUUUACAAAAUUAAUUCUAUAUACAAUUAAAAUCCACCUCCUCGUGGGAUCGACACUCGUCACCAUUAGUCUAUACUACAAUAGAUUCGUGCGCUUGCGAGUACAUUAAAAUUUGCACAACAAGUUUUUGGCGCCGUUGCCGGGAGGUAAGUAAUUUUAAUUCAUAGAAUUAAUUUUUGUGAAUAAUUUCUUUUAUUUGUUUUCUUGUAUUUUUUUUUAUUAAAAAAAAAAAGAAAAAAAAAGUAAAUCUACAUUUAAAGGUUAGUAUUUCUUUUCUUUUUCUCUUCUUUAAAAAUUCUGUAAUUUAAUUUUCAAUUUAUUUUUUUUCUUUGUAAUUUUUGUUUAUUUUAUUAAUUUAAUUUUUAGUUAAUUUAUUUCACGUAUUUGUUUUUGUGUAUUUUUAUAGAAAGGUUGUAAUAGCGCAAUAAGGUUAGUAUCGUAAUUUCUCCCUCUUCUUUAUUUUUAUUUGUUUUGUUCCCAUCUUUAUUUUUUUUAUUUUUAUUUUAUUUUGCAUGCAUGGUCGUAGGUCAUUAUUACCUAAUCUUGAACCUAUAGACCUUGAAUUAGAAAAAACACUUCGCACACACAAACACAUUAAAAAUAAAAUUGGAAUGGAUUUACAAGCACCACAGGAGAGGCCAUUUAAGGACUAUUUUAGUCCCUUAGCUAAUUUGAGCACAUCAUGCAUAAGAUACCCAAAUGUAGCUGCUAGGAGUUUUGAACUAAAACCUAGUGUGCUAAAUUGUCUCCCCACAUUCUAUGGCUUAGAAAAUGAGGACCCAUAUAAUCAUCUGAAUGAUUUUCAUGCCAUUUGUCAAACUUUUAAAUAUGAAAAUUUUUCAGACGAUGAUGUUAAACUCAGAUUAUUCCCAUUUUCUUUAAAGGAUAGAGCUCGUUCAUGGUUAAAUACUUUGCCUGCUAAUAGCAUUUCAUCAUGGGAACAAAUGGUAACGAAAUUUUUGAAUAAAUAUUUCCCAGUGCAUAAAACCAAUUCUAUUCGCAGGGAAAUUUCAGAGUUUACACAAAGAGAGGACGAGCAGUUUUUCGAAACUUGGGAGCGAUUCAAUGGGCUACUCUUGAAGUGUCCACAUCAUGGGUACGAGAAAUGGCACCAAUGCCAAUACUUUUUGGAGGGAUUAUUGCCGAAUGUGCAAGAAUGGCUAAUGGCAACAAGUGGAGGAGAGCUAAUGUCAAAAAGUGCAUCAGAGAUUUGGGAAUUCUUCCAGCGACAAGCGGAUAAUUCCCAACAACGGAGUCGAUCACUCAGGAAUACUAGAAGAAUUAAGGGAGUAAAUGAGGUUCAAAUUGGCGAGUCAACUUCGGAAAUCAAAGAAGUCAAGGAGAUGGUUGAAGGUCUCUGCUCGACAAAUAGCAUCGUUAUCGACUGCUAAAUCAACAGAACCACAUGACCAUGACUCAUACUCAGAUCAAGCCAAUGCCAUAGGUGUAAUGAGAAAACCAUCGAAUUACAACCCAUACUCCAACACAUAUAACCCUGGAUGGAGAGACCACCCCAAUUUUUCAUGGUCUCAAGGAUUCCAACAGAAUGGACCAGCAGCUCCAGCUCCACCAAUGCAACAAAUUCCUCAAAAUCCUCAAGCCUCUCAGCCACCAUUUAGACCAUACAAUCAGAACCAGAACUACUCUCAACCCAGACCAUGGGAGGAUUCAUUCCAGAAUUUCAAGAAUGUUACUCACUCACGAUUGAGCAACAGAACCGCACCAUUGAUGGACUACGAAAUGAGUUGAGAGCAGGCUUCAACUCACAAGCCCAAUCAGUUUCAAGCCUCGAGAAGAUGGUGGGACAACUUGCUUCUUCAGUUCAGACCUUGGCAAUGACUGUUGAGAAAGGUAAAUUUCCAAGUCAACCAGUGCCUAAUCCUAAAGGAGUACAUGAAGCAAGUACCAGUUCACCACAGCAGCAUGGAGAGGUCAAAGCAGUCAUGACCUUGCGAAAAGGAAAGGAAGUCGACAACAAAGUGGAGAUGCCGGUGACAAAAGAAAAUCAAAUUGUACCUGUGAAUGUUGAAGACUCACCACCGGAGGAAAAGAAGAAACCAACCCACGAGAAUACGUUCCAAAGCUCCAUUUCCUCAGAGGUUAGCUGAAAGGAAAGAAGGGAAAAUCCACAGGUGAGAUUCUCGAAAUCUUCAAACAGGUAAGUGUUAACAUCCCUUUACUUGAUGCUAUUAAACAAGUUCCAUCUUAUGCCAAGUUUCUUAAAGACCUUUGUACUAAAAAGAGAAAUAUGCAUGUUCAAAAGAAGGCAUUUUUAACAGAAAACGUUAGUUCUAUACUCCAACAUAAAAUUCCUUUAAAAUGCAAAGACCCAGGCUCCCCCACUAUCUCAUGUAGUAUAGGGAACCACACAAUUGAGAAUGCUUUGUUGGAUUUAGGAGCUAGUGUAAAUUUGUUGCCUUACUCUGUAUUCGUGAAACUUGGACUGGGAGAAUUACACCCAACUCCAGUGGUGUUACAGCUUGCAGAUCGGUCCACGAAAAUACCUCGUGGUAUUGUGGAGGACGUGCUUAUCCAGGUAGACAAGUUUUAUUUUCCUGUUGAUUUCAUUGUAAUUGACACUCAACCAAUACAGGAUUCAAGGAAGCACAUCCCCAUUAUUCUAGGCCGACCUUUCUUGGCAACUGCGGAUGCUCACAUUCAAUGCAGGACUGGAAAUAUGCAAUUGUCCUUCGGCAACAUGACUAUGGAGCUAAACAUUUUCAACAUUGCCAAACAACCUCACAGUGCAGAUGAUGGAAUUGUUGAUGUGGAUUUAAUAGAAACAAUAGUUGAUAAUACUUUUCUUUCAAACCUUAGUGAUGAUCCUUUACAAACAUGUUUAACUCACUUUGGUUUGGAUUUUGAUAUUGACAGAUCGGUCGAUGAGGUCAACGCCCUACUUGACUCAGCACCAUCCAUGGACACUAAUAAAUGGAAGUCAAGAGUUGAACAACUAGCACCAUCAGAGAAGAAACUCAUCCCAUCAUCAGAAUCACCACCGAAACUCGAGCUCAAACCAUUACCCAACACUUGGAAUAUGCAUUUUUGGGAGAAGAAAGUACUCUGCCGGUAAUCAUCUCAUCAUCCCUAAAUGACGAACAAAAAGGUAAGUUGUUGGAUGUUUUAAAAGAGCACAAAGGAGCAUUAGGAUGGACCAUAGCAGACAUAAAAGGUAUAAACCCAGUAGACUGCAUGCAUUACAUUCACCUUGAUGAAAAUGCUAAAUCUACUAGGGAAAUGCAACGUCGGUUAAAUCCUAAUAUGAAAGAAGUUGUUAGAACUGAAGUCCUUAAGCUAUUAGACGCAGGUAUCAUUUACCCAAUUUCUGAUAGUUCAUGGGUCAGUCCUGUACAAGUUGUCCCCAAAAAGUCAGGAGUCACAGUAGUUACCAAUGCUGAUAAUGAAUUGAUACCAACUAGAGUAACUACAGGAUGGCGUGUAUGCAUUGAUUAUAGAAAGUUGAAUUCUGUCACACGUAAAGACCAUUUUCCUUUACCAUUUAUUGAUCAAAUGCUUGAUAGAUUAGCAGGCCAUGAAUUUUAUUGCUUUCUAGAUGGCUACUCAGGAUAUAAUCAGAUUCCCAUAGCACCAAAAGAUCAAGAGAAAACUACUUUCACUUGCCCUUUUGGCACAUUUGCAUAUAGGAGAAUGCCAUUUGGAUUAUGUAAUGCACCUGCUACAUUUCAACGAUGCAUGUUGAGCAUUUUUUCUGAUAUGGUUGAACGAUUCCUUGAAGUCUUUAUGGAUGAUUUUUCUGUCUUUGGUGACUCGUUUGAUCAAUGUUUACAUCAUCUAACGCUAGUUCUGCAGAGAUGUAUCGAGAAGAACUUAGUCUUAAAUUGGGAGAAGUGCCAUUUUAUGGUAAAACAAGGUAUUGUUCUCGGUCACAUCAUUUCGAGCAAAGGUAUUGAGGUUGACAAAGCCAAGGUGGAUCUCAUUUCUAAUCUUCCUCCACCCAAAACAGUCAGAGAAGUAAGAUCUUUCCUUGGGCAUGCUGGUUUCUAUAGACGUUUCAUUAAAGAUUUUAGCAAAGUUUCUAGACCCUUAUGCAAUUUACUUGCUAAGGAUGUACCUUUUAUCUUUAAUGAUUCAUGUCUUAUGGCUUUUGAAAAAUUAAAGCAGUUGUUGACAUCAUCACCCAUCAUUCAGGCCCCAAACUGGAGCUUACCAUUUGAGCUCAUGUGUGAUGCAUCUGAUUAUGCAGUAGGAGCAGUAUUAGGACAAAGAGUUGAUCGAAUUCCCCAUGUUAUUUACUAUGCUAGUAUGACAUUGAAUGAUGCACAGUUGAACUAUUCAACUACUGAAAAAGAAAUGCUAGCAGUAGUGUUUGCAUUGGAAAAAUUUCGAUCUUAUCUCAUUGGUUGUAAAAUAAUUAUAUUCACAGAUCAUGCUGCUCUUAAAUAUCUUCUCACAAAGAAAGAUGCAAAAGCUAGACUAAUUCGUUGGGUGUUACUUUUGCAGGAAUUUGACUUGGAAUUCAAAGAUAAGAAAGGCACAGAAAAUGUUGUGGCGGACCACCUCUCUCGUCUCCAUUUUGACACAAUUACAGAGCCAUUAAUAUUAAAUGAGUCAUUUCCAGAUGAACAAUUAAUGAGUGUGGAAGUAUUACCUUGGUAUGCUGAUAUAGUUAAUUAUCUUGUUACAGGUAAACUUCCAGAGCAUUGGACCAAGCAAGACAAGGCUAAAUUCUUUGCGGAAAUAAAGAAUUUCUUUUGGGAUGACCCAUAUUUGUUCAAGUAUUGUGCAGACCAAAUUGUUAGACGAUGUGUCCCUGAAAGUGAAAUUCAGAAUAUCCUUUCAUUCUGCCAUGAACAAGCUUGUGGAGGCCAUUUCAGUGCUAAGAAAACAGCGACUAAAGUUUUACAAUGUGGUUUCUAUUGGCCAACUAUAUUUCGAGAUGCUUACACUUUCUGUUCUUCAUGUGAUAGGUGUCAACGAAUGGGGAGCAUUACACGAAGGAACAUGAUGCCACUAAAUCCAAUUUUAGUGGUUGAGAUUUUUGACGUAUGGGGUAUCGACUUCAUGGGACCCUUUCCCCCUUCUUUUGGCCAUCAAUACAUAUUGGUUGGUGUUGACUACGUAUCGAAAUGGGUAGAAGCAAUUCCAUGCAGAACCAAUGAUCACAAAGUGGUGAUAGGAUUUUUGAAAAGCAACAUUGUUUCACGCUUUGGAUUCCCUCGAGCGAUAAUCAGUGAUGGUGGUGCCCACUUUUGUAACAAAGCAUUCAAAGCUCUUUUGACAAAGUAUUCAAUCACACACAAAGUGGCGACCCCGUAUCAUCCGCAAACCAGUGGCCAAGUUGAGAUCUCCAAUCGAGAAAUAAAGCACAUAUUAGAAAAAACGGUGAGGCCAGACAGAAAAGAUUGGUCAUUAAGACUUGAUGAUGCAUUAUGGGCAUAUAGAACGGCUUUCAAGACCCCGAUUGGGAUGUCACCCUACAGGCUAGUGUAUGGAAAAGCUUGCCACCUACCUGUGGAACUCGAGCAUCGUGCAUAUUGGGCCAUCAAGAAAUUCAACUUUGACAUGCAGCAAGCCAGCUCAGAAAGAAGAUUACAACUGGCAGAACUUGAAGAAAUUCGCAAUGAUGCAUACGAAAAUGCCAAGAUUUACAAGCAACGAAUGAAAGUCUUUCAUGACAAGCACAUUAUGAGAAAAUCGUUCACUCCAGGUCAGAAAGUGCUUUUAUUCAAUUCUCGCUUGCACCUAUUCCCAGGUAAGUUACGCUCUCGAUGGUCUGGUCCCUUUAUUGUUCAUACUGUUUUUCCACAUGGGGCAAUUGAAAUUAAGGACCCAAAGAACGGUGUCACGUUUAAAGUUAAUGGUCAAAGAUUAAAGCCAUAUCUAGAGUACCAACCACAUGGAGAAGACACCGAAAUAAAUUUGAGUGACCCACCAGAUUUGAAUUGAUUUUUUUUUCUUUUCGUUGAUUUGAUUUUUCUUUCUUUCUUUUUAUUAUUCUUUUGCUAAUUGAAAUUAUUUUUGCAUAAGUGUGUUUGUUUAACUAUUAAGUUUUCUCUUAUCAUUUUUAAUCAUGAGUACCUUACUUAGACCGUUCCUCCUGAACAUUCUUAAACCACUUCAACGUGUCAAAACUCAUCUCAAAAAGCAGAUUCAAUUUUGUAAAACACAACGCAUUUGGGCUCUACAACCACCAGAGUUAGUAGCCUAUGUUGAGGGUUUAGAACGCCAACUCAGAGACAUUGAGAGAAGUGUUUACGACAUCCAGUUGGAGCUUGAGGUAAAUUCAAUAAGAGGACGAUUUUAAUUUUCUUUGUGUGUUUUAAUUUGUUUUUCUGUUUGUGUGCUUUAGUUUGUUACCCCGGUGAAGUGGCGGAUAACGGUACUCCGUGACAAUCAAGUCGGUUACUUCAGUUUCCCAUAAUAACUGAUAUUCUGAGGCGAAGGUAUGGACAGAAACGAGAUUCUAGCGAAGCUUCACAAGCGAUUCCCUUCACUUCCUCAGAAUGCCCUCCUUACAAUCUAUAAAGCCGGUCGAACGCAUGCGAUUCUCAUGAGAAUAACAUACCUGCGACAUCCGUUGGUUAAUCGAGGAAAGUACGAUGGCAGGUAGUUACUAAUUUGCAUAUCUGUUAUGCGAAACAGUCGAAUUCUGUCAAGAAAUAAGGAUAAUAAUAUCUUUGUUCAGAUCAAAAAAAUUUCCAUAAAAAAAAGCAUGUAUGCAAUCAUUCUGCACACUUUGACAAGCAACAGAAAUUCUUCGAGCUGUCGUUUUCUUGCAUAAUUUCUUUACCACAACCAGCAUGAUGCAAUAAAUUUGGAGGUAACUCACCUGCCAUCGUACUUUAGCCUCGAUUAACCAACGGAUGUCGCAGGUAUGUUAUUCCUCAUGAGCAAUCGCAUGCGUUCGACCGGCUUUAUAGAUGUAAGGAGGGCAUUCUGAGGAAGUGAAGGGAAUCGCUUGUGAAGCUUCGCUAGAAUCUCGUUUCUGUCCAUACCUUCGCCUCAGAAUAUCAGUUAUUAUGGGAAACUGAAGUAACCGACUUGAUUGUCACGGAGUACCGUUAUCCGCCACUUCACCGGGGUAACAAACUAAAGCACACAAACAGAAAAACAAAUUAAAACACACAAAGAAAAUUAAAAUCGUCCUCUUAUUGAAUUUACCUCAAGCUCCAACUGGAUGUCGUAAACACUUCUCUCAAUGUCUCUGAGUUGGCGUUCUAAACCCUCAACAUAGGCUACUAACUCUGGUGGUUGUAGAGCCCAAAUGCGAUGUGUUUUACAAAAUUGAAUCUGCCUUUUGAGAUGAGUUUUGACACGUUGAAGUGGUUUAAGAAUGUUCAGGAGGAACGGUCUAAGUAAGGUACUCAUGAUUAAAAAUGAUAAGAGAAAACUUAAUAGUUAAACAAACACACUUAUGCAAAAAUAAUUUCAAUUAGCAAAAGAAUAAUAAAAAGAAAGAAAGAAAAAUCAAAUCAACGAAAAGAAAAAAAAAUCAAUUCAAAUCUGGUGGGUCACUCAAAUUUAUUUCGGUGUCUUCUCCAUGUGGUUGGUACUCUAGAUAUGGCUUUAAUCUUUGACCAUUAACUUUAAACGUGACACCGUUCUUUGGGUCCUUAAUUUCAAUUGCCCCAUGUGGAAAAACAGUAUGAACAAUAAAGGGACCAGACCAUCGAGAGCGUAACUUACCUGGGAAUAGGUGCAAGCGAGAAUUGAAUAAAAGCACUUUCUGACCUGGAGUGAACGAUUUUCUCAUAAUGUGCUUGUCAUGAAAGACUUUCAUUCGUUGCUUGUAAAUCUUGGCAUUUUCGUAUGCAUCAUUGCGAAUUUCUUCAAGUUCUGCCAGUUGUAAUCUUCUUUCUGAGCUGGCUUGCUGCAUGUCAAAGUUGAAUUUCUUGAUGGCCCAAUAUGCACGAUGCUCGAGUUCCACAGGUAGGUGGCAAGCUUUUCCAUACACUAGCCUGUAGGGUGACAUCCCAAUCGGGGUCUUGAAAGCCGUUCUAUAUGCCCAUAAUGCAUCAUCAAGUCUUAAUGACCAAUCUUUUCUGUCUGGCCUCACCGUCUUUUCUAAUAUGUGCUUUAUUUCUCGAUUGGAGAUCUCAACUUGGCCACUGGUUUGCGGAUGAUACGGGGUCGCCACUUUGUGUGUGAUUGAAUACUUUGUCAAAAGAGCUUUGAAUGCUUUGUUACAAAAGUGGGCACCACCAUCACUGAUUAUCGCUCGAGGGAAUCCAAAGCGUGAAACAAUGUUGCUUUUCAAAAAUCCUAUCACCACUUUGUGAUCAUUGGUUCUGCAUGGAAUUGCUUCUACCCAUUUCGAUACGUAGUCAACACCAACCAAUAUGUAUUGAUGGCCAAAAGAAGGGGGAAAGGGUCCCAUGAAGUCGAUACCCCAUACGUCAAAAAUCUCAACCACUAAAAUUGGAUUUAGUGGCAUCAUGUUCCUUCGUGUAAUGCUCCCCAUUCGUUGACACCUAUCACAUGAAGAACAGAAAGUGUAAGCAUCUCGAAAUAUAGUUGGCCAAUAGAAACCACAUUGUAAAACUUUAGUCGCUGUUUUCUUAGCACUGAAAUGGCCUCCACAAGCUUGUUCAUGGCAGAAUGAAAGGAUAUUCUGAAUUUCACUUUCAGGGACACAUCGUCUAACAAUUUGGUCUGCACAAUACUUGAACAAAUAUGGGUCAUCCCAAAAGAAAUUCUUUAUUUCUGCAAAGAAUUUAGCCUUGUCUUGCUUGGUCCAAUGCUCUGGAAGUUUACCUGUAACAAGAUAAUUAACUAUAUCAGCAUACCAAGGUAAUACUUCCACAUUCAUUAAUUGUUCAUCUGGAAAUGACUCAUUUAAUGUUAAUGGCUCUGUAAUUGUGUCAAAAUGGAGACGAGAGAGGUGGUCCGCCACAACAUUUUCUGUGCCUUUCUUAUCUUUGAAUUCCAAGUCAAAUUCCUGCAAAAGUAACACCCAACGAAUUAGUCUAGCUUUUGCAUCUUUCUUUGUGAGAAGAUAUUUAAGAGCAGCAUGAUCUGUGAAUAUAAUUAUUUUACAACCAAUGAGAUAAGAUCGAAAUUUUUCAAUGCAAACACUACUGCUAGCAUUUCUUUUUCAGUAGUUGAAUAGUUCAACUGUGCAUCAUUCAAUGUCAUACUAGCAUAGUAAAUAACAUGGGGAAUUCGAUCAACUCUUUGUCCUAAUACUGCUCCUACUGCAUAAUCAGAUGCAUCACACAUGAGCUCAAAUGGUAAGCUCCAGUUUGGGGCCUGAAUGAUGGGUGAUGAUGUCAACAACUGCUUUAAUUUUUCAAAAGCCAUAAGACAUGAAUCAUUAAAGAUAAAAGGUACAUCCUUAGCAAGUAAAUUGCAUAAGGGUCUAGAAACUUUGCUAAAAUCUUUAAUGAAACGUCUAUAGAAACCAGCAUGCCCAAGGAAAGAUCUUACUUCUCUGACUGUUUUGGGUGGAGGAAGAUUAGAAAUGAGAUCCACCUUGGCUUUGUCAACCUCAAUACCUUUGCUCGAAAUGAUGUGACCGAGAACAAUACCUUGUUUUACCAUAAAAUGGCACUUCUCCCAAUUUAAGACUAAGUUCUUCUCGAUACAUCUCUGCAGAACUAGCGUUAGAUGAUGUAAACAUUGAUCAAACGAGUCACCAAAGACAGAAAAAUCAUCCAUAAAGACUUCAAGGAAUCGUUCAACCAUAUCAGAAAAAAUGCUCAACAUGCAUCGUUGAAAUGUAGCAGGUGCAUUACAUAAUCCAAAUGGCAUUCUCCUAUAUGCAAAAGUGCCAAAAGGGCAAGUGAAAGUAGUUUUCUCUUGAUCUUUUGGUGCUAUGGGAAUCUGAUUAUAUCCUGAGUAGCCAUCUAGAAAGCAAUAAAAUUCAUGGCCUGCUAAUCUAUCAAGCAUUUGAUCAAUAAAUGGUAAAGGAAAAUGGUCUUUACGUGUGACAGAAUUCAACUUUCUAUAAUCAAUGCAUACACGCCAUCCUGUAGUUACUCUAGUUGGUAUCAAUUCAUUAUCAGCAUUGGUAACUACUGUGACUCCUGACUUUUUGGGGACAACUUGUACAGGACUGACCCAUGAACUAUCAGAAAUUGGGUAAAUGAUACCUGCGUCUAAUAGCUUAAGGACUUCAGUUCUAACAACUUCUUUCAUAUUAGGAUUUAACCGACGUUGCAUUUCCCUAGUAGAUUUAGCAUUUUCAUCAAGGUGAAUGUAAUGCAUGCAGUCUACUGGGUUUAUACCUUUUAUGUCUGCUAUGGUCCAUCCUAAUGCUCCUUUGUGCUCUUUUAAAACAUCCAACAACUUACCUUUUUGUUCGUCAUUUAGGGAUGAUGAGAUGAUUACCGGCAGAGUACUUUCUUCUCCCAAAAAUGCAUAUUCCAAUGUGUUGGGCAAUGGUUUGAGCUCGAGUUUCGGUGGUGAUUCUGAUGAUGGGAUGAGUUUCUUCUCUGAUGGUGCUAGUUGUUCAACUCUUGACUUCCAUUUAUUAGUGUCCAUGGAUGGUGCUGAGUCAAGUAGGGCGUUGACCUCAUCGACCGAUCUGUCAAUAUCAAAAUCCAAACCAAAGUGAGUUAAACAUGUUUGUAAAGGAUCAUCACUAAGGUUUGAAAGAAAAGUAUUAUCAACUAUUGUUUCUAUUAAAUCCACAUCAACAAUUCCAUCAUCUGCACUGUGAGGUUGUUUGGCAAUGUUGAAAAUGUUUAGCUCCAUAGUCAUGUUGCCGAAGGACAACUGCAUAUUUCCAGUCCUGCAUUGAAUGUGAGCAUCCGCAGUUGCCAAGAAAGGUCGGCCUAGAAUAAUGGGGAUGUGCUUCCUUGAAUCCUGUAUUGGUUGAGUGUCAAUUACAAUGAAAUCAACAGGAAAAUAAAACUUGUCUACCUGGAUAAGCACGUCCUCCACAAUACCACGAGGUAUUUUCGUGGACCGAUCUGCAAGCUGUAACACCACUGGAGUUGGGUGUAAUUCUCCCAGUCCAAGUUUCACGAAAUACAGAGUAAGGCAACAAAUUUACACUAGCUCCUAAAUCCAACAAAGCAUUCUCAAUUGUGUGGUUCCCUAUACUACAUGAGAUAGUGGGGGAGCCUGGGUCUUUGCAUUUUAAAGGAAUUUUAUGUUGGAGUAUAGAACUAACGUUUUCUGUUAAAAAUGCCUUCUUUUGAACAUGCAUAUUUCUCUUUUUAGUACAAAGGUCUUUAAGAAACUUGGCAUAAGAUGGAACUUGUUUAAUAGCAUCAAGUAAAGGGAUGUUAACACUUACCUGUUUGAAGAUUUCGAGAAUCUCACCUGUGGAUUUUCCCUUCUUUCCUUUCAGCUAACCUCUGAGGAAAUGGAGCUUUGGAACGUAUUCUCGUGGGUUGGUUUCUUCUUUUUCCUCCGGUGGUGAGUCCUCAACAUUCACAGGUACAAUUUGAUUUUCUUUUGUCACCGGCAUCUCCACUUUGUUGUCGACUUCCUUUCCUUUUCGCAAGGUCAUGACUGCUUUGACCUCUCCAUGCUGCUGUGGUGAACUGGUACUUGCUUCAUGUACUCCUUUAGGAUUAGGCACUGGUUGACUUGGAAAUUUACCUUUCUCAACAGUCAUUGCCAAGGUCUGAACUGAAGAAGCAAGUUGUCCCACCAUCUUCUCGAGGCUUGAAACUGAUUGGGCUUGUGAGUUGAAGCCUGCUCUCAACUCAUUUCGUAGUCCAUCAAUGGUGCGGUUCUGUUGCUCAAUCGUGGAGUGAGUAACAUUCUUGAAAUUCUGGAAUGAAUCCUCCCAUGGUCUGGGUUGAGAGUAGUUCUGGUUCUGAUUGUAUGGUCUAAAUGGGGGCUGAGAGGCUUGAGGAUUUUGAGGAAUUGUUGCAUUGGUGGAGCUGGAGCUGCUGGUCCAUUCUGUUGGAAUCCUUGAGACCAUGAAAAAUUGGGGUGGUCUCUCCAUCCAGGGUUAUAUGUGUUGGAGUAUGGGUUGUAAUUCGAUGGUUUUCUCAUUACACCUAUGGCAUUGGCUUGAUCUGAGUAUGAGUCAUGGUCAUGUGGUUCUGUUGAUUUAGCAGUCGAUAACGAUGCUAUUUGUCGAGCAGAGACCUUCAACCAUCUCCUUGACUUCUUUGAUUCCGAAGUUGACUCGCCAAUGUGAACCUCAUUUACUCCUUAAUUCUUCUAGUAUUCCUGAGUGAUCGACUCCGUUGUUGGGAAUUAUCCGCUUGUCGCUGGAAGAAUUCCCAAAUCUCUGAUGCACUUUUUGACAUUAGCUCUCCUCCACUUGUUGCCAUUAGCCAUUCUUGCACAUUCGGCAAUAAUCCCUCCAAAAAGUAUUGGCAUUGGUGCCAUUUUCUCGUACCCAUGAUGUGGACACUUCAAGAGUAGCCCAUUGAAUCGCUCCCAGUUUCGAAAAACUGCUCGUCCUCUCUUUGUGUAAACUCUGAAAUUUCCCUGCGAAUAGCAUUGGUUUUAUGCACUGGGAAAUAUUUAUUCAAAAAUUUCGUUACCAUUUGUUCCCAUGAUGCAAUGCUAUUAGCAGGCAAAGUAUUUAACCAUGAACGAGCUCUAUCCUUUAAAGAAAAUGGGAAUAAUCUAAGUUUAACAUCAUCGUCUGAAAAAUUCUCAUAUUUAAAAGUUUGACAAAUGGCAUGAAAAUCAUUCAGAUGAUUAUAUGGGUCCUCAUUUUCUAAGCCAUAGAAUGUGGGGAGACAAUUUAGCACACUAGGUUUUAAUUCAAAACUCCUAGCAGCUACAUUUGGGUAUCUUAUGCAUGAUGUGCUCAAAUUAGCUAAGGGACUAAAAUAGUCCUUAAAUGGCCUCUCCUGUGGUGCUUGUAAAUCCAUUCCAAUUAUUUUUAAUGUGUUUGUGUGUGCGAAGUGUUUUUUCUAAUUCAAGGUCUAUAGGUUCAAGAUUAGGUAAUAAUGACCUACGACCAUGCAUGCAAAAUAAAUAAAAUAAAAAUAAAGAUGGGAACAAAACAAAUAAAAAUAAAGAAGAGGGAGAAAUUACGAUACUAACCUUAUUGCGCUAUUACAACCUUUCUAUAAAAAUACACAAAAACAAAUACGUGAAAUAAAUUAACUAAAAAUUAAAUUAAUAAAAUAAACAAAAAUUACAAAGAAAAAAAAUAAAUUGAAAAUUAAAUUACAGAAUUUUAAAGAAGAGAAAAAAGAAAAGAAAUACUAACCUUUAAAUGUAGAUUCACUUUUUUUUUUUUUUUUUUUUAAUAAAAAAAAUACAAGAAAACAAAUAAAAGAAAUUAUUCACAAAAAAUUAAUUCUAUGAAUUAAAAUUACUUACCUCCCCGGCAACGGCGCCAAAAACUUGUUGUGCAAAUUUUAAUGUACUCGCAAGCGCACGAAUCUAUUGUAGUAUAGACUAAUGGUGACGAGUGUCGAUCCCACGAGGAGGUGGAUUUUAAUUGUGUAUAGAAUUAAUUUUGUAAAUGGGUGGUUGGAUUUGUGGUGGAAGUGAUUUGAAUAUGCUAAAAUUAAAUUAAAAUGGCGAAAUAAAUCUAAAAUUGGAAUUGAAAUGGCGAGAAUAAAUUGAAGAGAAAUCUAUUGAAAUGACGUACUUGGGUAUCUGGAUCCGUAUCAACAUGCAUCAUGGGCUAAAUAAUCCGUAUUAAUGCCAAUUAAAUCAUGAGGGGGGAAUCCACACCUCAUGAACCACGCUCUAAUCAAUAUGGUGCUAAGGGCUUAUCGUGCCAAAUAAUAAUAACCUUAUACUAGAGAGCCGGUGUAACCAAGGCGGUAUCUAGACAAGAUCAGUAUUAUUUGUCGACGAUAAGUCAAAUCAUCCACAAAAACUAGAGGGGAAAAGAAAAUAAAUUUACCAAAUAAAGCCCAUGACACAUGUUGAGACUUCACCUUCAACCCAAGCUUGAAAGAAAAUUAGCCACUCAUAAUUGAACUAGGGGCAAAAUGGGAAUUUAUUAAAAUACGAAGAAAAUACAAGAUGGAGAAGGAAUUACAGAAAAUGGAUCCCAAAAAUGGAUUCAGAGAUAUCAAAUUAGGGGGGGAGGCCCCCUUUUUAUAGAUACAUGGAGUAAAUCAUGGCCAUCGGAUUAAAAACAGUUUGGACGCUCAGGAUUGCGCCACGUCAUCAGUCAACAGUCCACGGUUUGACCACGCGGAUGAACAGUAACACGGUUUGACCCGGAUGAACAGUAACGCGGUUUGGUUGAAAAUAAUCCUGUGUGAUGCAUGCACCGUACGCGAGAUUUUUCGUCCACUGAUAUGCUGCCACGUCACCAUCAACAGUACAUAAGAAUUUUAGUCCAACAGGAUCGUGACACCUCAUCAGUCAAUGCCACAUCAUCGGUCAAUGCCACGUCAUCGAUCCGUCUAUGUGAACAGUGUCGUGAACAGUAACGUAGACAGUACCGUACACGUGAAUAGUACCGUACAUGUGAAUAGUGCCAUUUUUCCUUUUAUGCUCCUCCUAAGGUUUUCGACCGUCCUGAGUUCAAAAGUGAUGUCCGUUUUGCCGUCUGAUCUCUCCUUUAUUGUGAAAUGACUAUAAUGCCCCUAAAAUACAUAAAAUACUUAAUUAAAAUAAACACACGUAAUUAAUCACAAGAAGGUUAAAUACAUAAAAGUAAGGGUUGUUAGUAAGACUUGAAAUGUAAAAUGACGGUUUUCUCCUUUAUAAAUAUAGCAUUUUCUAACACUCAACACACCCCCCAACCAGCUUAUUGCUAGUCCCUAGCAAAUAAAGCGAAAACAAAAUUCAAAUUCAAAAUGAUUUUUUUUUUUUUUUUUUAGAAACACUCGUGUUUAUUCAAUCAGAUUAAUGAUAGCAAUCAAUAAAAGUAUAAGCAUUAUCUCCAGUCUAAAGCAACAUCACACCCACAUCAACCAUCCACAUGAAUUAGCCCAGUAGACUUUGUUAUAGCUACUUUUCAAGAAUGACAUGUCAAACCCCAAAAUCUCACUGGAAGUAGUGACACUCUCACAAAGAAAUUAAAACCCAAUAAACAUAGUCACUCCAAUGAAUGGUAAUUGAGAGAGAAAAUAAUAAAGAAAUGAUAUCACAUGCUCUCACCAAGAUGAAAUAAAUAUGCCCUCAGCUUAGAAAUAAUACGAUCUCAAGUCAAAUAAAAUGUUAGUCAACCCACUUUAUUUAUCUUUUUUUUUUUUAUUAUGCAUCACUACAUCUUUUUAGCCCAUAUAACUAGCUUCUACUUCAAACUAUAGUUCCCUAAAAUCAAGAAGGACUUUUAUUAGGACGUAACGUAGGCUAGGGAUAUGGCUAACAAAGAAGGGAAAUAAGGAAAACAAAGUGUAUGUUUGAGAAAAAUGCAGAGAAAUUUUUUUUUUUUUUUUGGAAGUUGCAAGGUGGAUUUCACCUAUUAUUGUUAUUUUUAUUCUUUUGAAACACACUUUUUUUUUUUUUUUUUUUUUUUUUUUUUUUUUUUUUUGCUAGGCAUAACUUCACUGCAAAAUAAUUAUUUACAUUUUCUCAAACAUAAAUAGGUGAUGGAAUUUGUAAGAUAUUGGGUAAUACUCCAAAUCGGAGUGGGUCAAGAUGAUAAGUUAAACAAAAAAAAGUUUUUUUUUUUUUUUAAAAGGCUCAAAGGGGUAACUAUGGAUAUUUAUAAAGGGAUGGCUAGAAAGGCUCAAACGGAUCAAAGAUGGCCUUUCCAUCGUCUUUUAGGGCUCUAAAUAAUUCCAUAUCUACUAGUUAGAUGGGCCUCCCAAUGUAGCAACACACACUUUUUUUUUUUUUUUUUUUAAGGCUUAACUCAAAGAAAUCUAGAGAUCGUGUAUACAAUAAUAAACUGUAAGCAUUAUAAAGAAUGGGCAAAAGGGUUACUCUCCAAAAAAAUGAUAGGCUCAAAACUCACUUGGUACUUAUUAUAUGACAUGUUCAUUCCUUCAAGCAACUCAUAUUUGUCUCCGACAUCAACAUGUAGAGUAGCAAACAUAAUGUAACAUCACUUAAGACCAAAGAUAAUACAAAUACUAAAAUUUUGAAAUUAAUCAUGUCAUCUAAAGUUAAAACAAAUCACACAAUUUUUUUUUUUUUUUUUUAAACAACAUUCUACCCCCAACCUAUUCUAAACAUGAAAGGAAAAUAUGCAUGCAGAAAUGUGAAAAUGAUGCAUAAAAACUUAAUUAGAAAAGUUACAGUAAAUAAUAGAAAAAGAAAAUGAAAUUUUGUUUUUUUUUUUUUAUUUUUUUUUUAAACGAUGAAGAUGCGUUUCUAGAGGCACUACACUCCAUAUUCAGCCAUCUUCGACUCAAAAGUUGGAAAAUAUAUAUUUAUAAGGAGAAAUUAAAAAGAAGAAGAAAAAUGAACAUCAAAACAUAAUAAAGAAAAAGAAAAUGUUUGAAUUUUUUUGUUUUUUUUUAGUUUUUUUAGUUUUUUAAUUUUUUUUUUUUUUUAAACGAUGAAGAUGCGUUUCUAGAGUCACUACACUCCAUAUUCAGCCAUCUUCAACACAAAAAGUUAGCAACAGUUAGUUUCUACAACAAAAAAUCAGUAAAAAACUUAACCAAGAUUCCACAAUUGUCGACUAUUCCCUCCCCCAACCAGAACGAAACAUUGUCCUCAAUGUUUAAAAAUAAAAAAGACAAACACGAAUAUUUACAGCGGAGAGUUAAAUCUAAUUUGUACUUCUUACUGCGGCUACUGUUACCAUCAUUAUUUGGUCGCUCCAACACAAAGGUCCAGGGGUCUGGCUCCGGUUUAUAAGCUUGUAACAUAUCAAGUAGCUCAUUAGCAGUGUGAGCACAAAUAAAAAAGUUUUUUACAUUAGAAGGAAUGAAAUAGUUUUUUAUUGCAUGGUUAAGAAAUGCGAUAAAGCCAUCAUAAAAGUUAUUGACAUUUAACAAACCGAUGGGUUUCUGGUGGAUGUGCAGAUGGGCCAAGAUGCUAGUGUCAUAAGUGCCUCUAGUGUUGCAAGAUCUCCUGAAGGAAAAUAAAAGCAUCAGCAUGAUUAAGCAUUUCAGUUAUUCUUUCUUGCAUACCUGAGACGACUUAACUCUUCUCCAGUUGAUGAGUCAGACGAACUGCCCAAUGGUUUUAGGACUCUUGGGAUGAUGCCUAACACUUGACUUCCUCUGAUAAAAGCGCUUCUGAGACCAUUUUUGAUAACCUCGGUUACCUCUCCAUACACCAAAUGUAAUUUUCUCGCUGCUAUGCUUCGACCAAGAUCUAUGCUGCCUCCACGAACUCUUUAUGUUUGCCAUAGGUAAAUCCAGAAAGCACACAAAUGUUCUUGAAUUGUCUAUUGGGAGUAGCUGCCAUUGUGAUACUUCUCAAAAAUAAUUUGUGAGUGCUUGACAAAAGAUAAAUCACAUUUAAAAUCUUGGUGACAAUGGAUCACAGCUGUGAAUGAGGUAACAUGUCAGUGUCAAAUAACGCGUAAAGCACGUGGCUCGCGAGUCAAAAAGGAAACAGUAAAAAGGAAAAAGCAAACAGUAAUAAAAUUAUUAAAGACAAUAAUGCAAACAAUAAAACAACAGUGAAAUGAAAAAAUAACAGUAAAGUAAAGGAUAUUUACACGUAGUUGCGACUGUGGCUCACAUCUUCCUCUGGUUUUACGUCCAGAAACGGCUUGAACGCCCUCUUGGGUCGAGGAUGGGCUUCCCAUCCAGUUUUCUUAUAAACUGGCAAACAGGGUCGUUUAUAGUCAGAUUCCCGAGACUAUAUCGUGCAUGCUCUUUCUGGAAUAAUGGCCAUAACUGGAGAAUCGCUCCUUGCACAUAUCCACUGGGAUGCGUUUCAAGAGACAAAAGGAUAUCAUCCAAUGACUCCUUAUUCAAGCCAUCCCUAAUGAAUUGAAUCUUAUCUUCCCUGUUAUCAGACACCAUUCCUAAAGAACAUGGGUUUCUAUCGCAACUCAUUCUGGCACACAACAGAAAUUCUUCGAGCUCGUCGUUUUCUUGCAUAAUUUCCUUUACCACAACCAGGCAUGUAUGCAAUAAAUUUAGGAGGUAACUCACCUGCCAAUCGUACUUUAGCCUCGAUUAACCAACGGAUGUCUGCAGGUAUGUUAUUCUCAUGAGCAAUCGCAUGCGUUCAGACCGGGCUUUAUAGAUCGUAAGGAGGGCAUUCUGAGGAAGUGAAGGGAAUCGCUUGUGAAGCUUCGCUAGAAUCUCGUUUCUGUCCAUACUUCGCCUCAGAAUAUCAGUUAUUAUGGGAAACUGAAGUAACCGACUUGAUUGUCACGGAGUACCGUUAUCCGCCACUUCACCGGGGUAACAAACUAAAGCACACAAACAGAAAAACAAAAAACACAAAAGAAAAUUAAAAUCGUCCUCUUAUUGAAUUUACCUCAAGCUCCAACUGGAUGUCGUAAACACUUCUCUCAAUGUCUCUGAGUUGGCGUUCUAAACCCUCAACAUAGGCUACUAACUCUGGUGGUUGUAGAGCCCAAAUGCGAUGUGUUUUACAAAAUUGAAUCUGCCUUUUGAGAUGAGUUUUGACACGUUGAAGUGGUUUAAGAAUGUUCAGGAGGAACGGUCUAAGUAAGGUACUCAUGAUUAAAAAUGAUAAGAGAAAACUUAAUAGUAAAAAAACACACUUAUGCAAAAAUAAACACACUUAUGCAAAAACAAUUUCAAUUAGCAAAGAAUAAUAAUAAAAAGAAAUAAAGAAAAUCAAAUUAACGAAAAGAGAAAAAAAAAUCAAUUCAAAUUUAGUGGGUCACUCAAAUUUAUUUCGAUGUUUUCUCCAUGUGGUUGGUACUCUAGAUAUGGCUUUAAUCUUUGACCAUUAACUUUAUACGUGACACCGUUCUUUGGGUCCUUAAUUUCAAUUGCCCCAUGUGGAAAAACAGUAUGUACAAUAAAUGGGCCAGACCAACGAGAGCGUAACUUACCUGGGAAUAGGUGCAAGCGAGAAUUGAAUAAAAGCACUUUCUGACCUGGAGUGAACGAUUUUCUCAUAAUUUGCUUAUCAUGGAAGACUUUCAUUCGUUGCUUGUAAAUCUUGGCAUUUUCGUAUGCAUCAUUGCGAAUUUCUUCAAGUUCUGCCAGCUGUAAUCUUCUUUCUGAGCUGGCUUGCUGCAUGUCAAAGUUGAAUUUCUUGAUGGCCCAAUAUGCACGAUGCUCGAGUUCCACAGGUAGGUGGCAAGCUUUUCCAUACACUAGCCUGUAGGGUGACAUCCCAAUCGGGGUCUUGAAAGCCGUUCUAUAUGCCCAUAAUGCAUCAUCAAGUCGUAAUGACCAAUCUUUCCUGUCUGGCCUCACCGUCUUUUCUAAUAUGUGCUUUAUUUCUCGAUUGGAGAUCUCAACUUGGCCACUGGUUUGCGGAUGAUACGGGGUCGCCACUUUGUGUGUGAUUGAAUACUUUGUCAAAAGAGCCUUGAAUGCUUUGUUACAAAAGUGGGCACCACCAUCACUGAUUAUCGCUCGAGGGAAUCCAAAGCGCGAAACAAUAUUGCUUUUCAAAAAUCCUAUCACCACUUUGUGAUCAUUGGUUCUGCAUGGAAUUGCUUCCACCCAUUUCGAUACGUAGUCAACACCAACCAAUAUGUAUUGAUGGCCAAAAGAAGGGGGAAAGGGUCCCAUGAAGUCGAUACCCCAUACGUCAAAAAUCUCAACCACUAAAAUUGGAUUUAGUGGCAUCAUGUUCCUUCGUGUAAUGCUCCCCAUUCGUUGACACCUAUCACAUGAAGAACAGAAAGUGUAAGCAUCUCGAAAUAUAGUUGGCCAAUAGAAACCACAUUGUAAAACUUUAGUCGCUGUUUUCUUAGCACUGAAAUGGCCUCCACAAGCUUGUUCAUGGCAGAAUGAAAGGAUAUUCUGAAUUUCACUUUCAGGGACACAUCGUCUAACAAUUUGGUCUGCACAAUACUUGAACAAAUAUGGGUCAUCCCAAAAGAAAUUCUUUAUUUCCGCAAAGAAUUUAGCCUUGUCUUGCUUGGUCCAAUGCUCUGGAAGCUUACCUGUAACAAGAUAAUUAACUAUAUCAGCAUACCAAGGUAAUACUUCCACACUCAUUAAUUGUUCAUCUGGAAAUGACUCAUUUAAUAUUAAUGGCUCUGUAAUUGUGUCAAAAUGGAGACGAGAGAGGUGGUCCGCCACAACAUUUUCUGUCCCUUUCUUAUCUUUGAAUUCCAAGUCAAAUUCUGCAAAAGUAACACCCAACGAAUUAGUCUAGCUUUUGCAUCUUUCUUUGUGAGAAGAUAUUUAAGAGCAGCAUGAUCUGUGAAUAUAAUUAUUUUACAACCAAUGAGAUAAGAUCGAAAUUUUUUCCAAUGCAAACACUACUGCUAGCAUUUCUUUUUCAGUAGUUGAAUAAUUCAACUGUGCAUCAUUCAAGGUCAUACUAGCAUAGUAAAUAACGUUGGGAAUUCGAUCAACUCUUUGUCCUAAUACUGCUCCUACUGCAUAAUCAGAUGCAUCACACAUGAGCUCAAAUGGUAAGCUCCAGUUUGGGGCCUGAAUGAUGGGUGAUGAUGUCAACAAUUGCUUUAAUUUUUCAAAAGCCAUAAGACAUGAAUCAUUAAAGAUAAAAGGUACAUCCUUAGCAAGUAAAUUGCAUAAGGGUCUAGAAACUUUGCUAAAAUCUUUAAUGAAACGUCUAUAGAAACCAGCAUGCCCAAGGAAAGAUCUUACUUCUCUGACUGUUUUAGGUGGAGGAAGAUUAGAAAUGAGAUCCACCUUGGCUUUGUCAACCUCAAUACCUUUGCUCGAAAUGAUGUGACCGAGAACAAUACCUUGUUUUACCAUAAAAUGGCACUUCUCCCAAUUUAAGACUAAGCUCUUCUCGGUACAUCUCUGCAGAACUAGCGUUAGAUGAUGUAAACAUUGAUCAAACGAGUCACCAAAGACAGAAAAAUCAUCCAUAAAGACUUCAAGGAAUCGUUCAACCAUAUCAGAAAAAAUGCUCAACAUGCAUCGUUGAAAUGUAGCAGGUGCAUUACAUAAUCCAAAUGGCAUUCUCCUAUAUGCAAAUGUGCCAAAGGGCAAGUGAAAGUAGUUUUCUCUUGAUCUUUUGGUGCUAUGGGAAUCUGAUUAUAUCCUGAGUAGCCAUCUAGAAAGCAAUAAAAUUCAUGGCCUGCUAAUCUAUCAAGCAUUUGAUCAAUAAAUGGUAAAGGAAAAUGGUCUUUACGUGUGACAGAAUUCAACUUUCUAUAAUCAAUGCAUACACGCCAUCCUGUAGUUACUCUAGUUGGUAUCAAUUCAUUAUCAGCAUUGGUAACUACUGUGACUCCUGACUUUUUGGGGACAACUUGUACAGGACUGACCCAUGAACUAUCAGAAAUUGGGUAAAUGAUACCUGCAUCUAAUAGCUUAAGGACUUCAGUUCUAACAACUUCUUUCAUGUUAGGAUUUAACCGACGUUGCAUCUCCCUAGUAGUUUUAGCAUUUUCAUCAAGGUGAAUGUAAUGCAUACAGUCUACUGGGUUUAUACCUUUAAUGUCUGCUAUGGUCCAUCCUAAUGCUCCUUUGUGCUCUUUUAAAACAUCCAACAACUUACCUUUUUGUUCGUCAUUUAGGGAUGAUGAGAUGAUUACCGGCAGAGUACUUUCUUCUCCCAAAAAUGCAUAUUCCAGAGUGUUGGGUAAUGGUUUGAGCUCGAGUUUCGGGUGGUGAUUCUGAUGAUGGAAUGAGUUUCUUCUCUGAUGGUGCUAGUUGUUCAACUCUUGACUUCCAUUUAUUAGUGUCCAUGGAUGGUGCUGAGUCAAGCAGGGCGUUGACCUCAUCGACCGAUCUAUCAAUAUCAAAAUCCAAACCAAAGUGAGUUAAGCAUGUCUGUAAAGGAUCAUCACUAAGGUUUGAAAGAAAAGUAUUAUCAACUAUUGUUUCUAUUAAAUCCACAUCAACAAUUCCAUCAUCUGCACUGUGAGGUUGUUUGGCAAUGUUGAAAAUAUUUAGCUCCAUAGUCAUGUUGCCGAAGGACAACUGCAUAUUUCCAGUCCUGCAUUGAAUGUGAGCAUCCGCAGUCGCCAAGAAAGGUCGGCCUAGAAUAAUGGGGAUGUGCUUCCUUGAAUCCUGUAUUGGUUGAGUGUCAAUUACAAUGAAAUCAACAGGAAAAUAAAACUUGUCUACCUGGAUAAGCACGUCCUCCAUAAUACCACGAGGUAUUUUCGUGGACCGAUCUGCAAGCUGUAACACCACUGGAGUUGGGUGUAAUUCUCCAGUCCAAGUUUCACGAAUACUGAAUAAGGCAACAGAUUUACACUAGCUCCUAAAUCCAACAACGCAUUCUCAAUUGUGUGGUUUCCCUAUACUACAUGAGAUAGUGGGGGAGCCUGGGUCUUUGCAUUUUAGAGGAAUUUUAUGUUGGAGUAUAGAACUAACAUUUUCUGUUAAAAAUGCCUUCUUUUGAACAUGCAUAUUUCUCUUUUUAGUACAAAGGUCUUUAAGAAACUUGGCAUAAGAUGGAACUUGUUUAAUAGCAUCAAGUAAAGGGAUGUUAACACUUACCUGUUUGAAGAUUUCGAGAAUCUCACCUGUGGAUUUUCCCUUUUUCCCUUUAGCUAACCUCUGAGGAAAUGGAGCUUUCGGAACGUAUUCUCGUGGGUUGGUUUCUUCUUUCUCCUCCGGUGGUGAGUCUUCAACAUUCACAGGUACAAUUUGAUUUUCUUUUGUCACCGGCAUCUCCACUUUGUUGUCGACUUCCUUUCCUUUUCGCAAGGUCAUGACUGCUUUGACCUCUCCAUGCUGUUGUGGUGAACUGGUACUUGCUUCAUGUACUCCUUUAGGAUUAGGCACUGGUUGACUUGGAAAUUUUCCUUUCUCAACAGUCAUUGCCAAGGUCUGAACUGAAGAAGCAAGUUGUCCCACCAUCUUCUCGAGGCUUGAAACUGAUUGAGCUUGUGAGUUGAAGCCUGCUCUCAACUCAUUUCGUAGUCCAUCAAUGGUGCGGUUCUGUUGCUCAAUCGUGGAGUGAGUAACAUUCUUGAAAUUCUGGAAUGCAUCCUCCCAUGGUCUGGGUUGAGAGUAGUUCUGGUUCUGAUUGUAUGGUCUGAAUGGUGGCUGAGAGGCUUGAGGAUUUUGAGGAAUUUGUUGCAUUGGUGGAGCUGGAGCUGCUGGUCCAUUCUGUUGGAAUCCUUGAGACCAUGAAAUAUUGGGGUGGUCUCUCCAUCCAGGGUUAUAUGUGUUGGAGUAUGGGUUGUAAUUCGAUGGUUUUCUCAUUACACCUAUGGCAUUGGCUUGAUCGGAGUAUGAGUCAUGGUCAUGUGGUUCUGUUGAUUUAGCAGUCGAUAACGAUGCUAUUUGUCGAGCGAGACCUUCAACCAUCUCCUUGACUUCUUUGAUUCCCGAAGUUGACUCGCCAAUUUGAACCUCAUUUACUCCCUUAAUUCUUCUAGUAUUCCUUAGUGAUCGACUCCGUUGUUGGGAAUUAUCCGCUUGUCGUUGGAAGAAUUCCCAAAUUUCUGAUGCACUUUUUGACAUUAGCUCUCCUCCACUUGUUGCCAUUAGCCAUUCUUGCACAUUCGGUAGUAAUCCCUCCAAAAAGUAUUGGCAUUGGUGCCAUUUUUCGUACCAUGAUGUGGACACUUCAAGAGUAGCCCAUUGAAUCGCUCCCAAGUUUCGAAAAACUGCUCGUCCUCUCUUUGUGUAAACUCUGAAAUUUCCCUGCGAAUAGAAUUGGUUUUAUGCUGGGAAAUUUUAUUCAAAAAUUUAGUUACCAUUUGUUCCCAUGAUGAAAUGCUAUUAGCAGGCAACGUAUUUAACCAUGAACGAGCUCUAUCCUUUAAAGAAAAUGGGAAUAGUCUGAGUUUAACAUCAUCGUCUGAAAAAUUUUCAUAUUUAAAAGUUUGACAAAUGGUAUGAAAAUCAUUCAGAUGAUUAUAUGGGUCCUCAUUUUCUAAGCCAUAGAAUGUGGGGAGACAUUUAGCACACUAGGUUUUAGUUCAAAGUUCCUAGCAGCUACAUUUGGGUAUCUAAUACAUGAUGUGCUUAAAUUAGCUAAGGGACUAAAAUAGUCCUUAAAUGGCCUCUCCUGUGGUGCUUGUAAAUCCAUUCCAAUUUUUUUUUAAUGUGUUUUUGUGUGCGAAGUGUUUUUUCUAAUUCAAGGUCUAUAGGUUCAAGAUUAGGUAAUAAUGACCUACGACCAUGCAUGCAAAAUAAAAUGAAAUAAAAAAAAGAUGCAAACAAAACAAAAAUAAAGAUGGGAACAAAACAAAUUAAAAUAAAUAAGAGGGAGAAAUUACGAUACUAACCUUAUUGCGCUAUUACAACCUUUCUAUAAAAAUACACAAAAACAAAUACGUGAAAUAAAUUAACUAAAAAUUAAAUUAAUAAAAUAACAAAAAUUACAAAGAAAAAAAAUAAAUUGAAAAUUAAAUUACAGAAUUUUAAAGAAGAAAAAAGAAAGAAAUACUAACCUUUAAAUGUAGAUUUACUCUUUUUUUUUCUUUUUUUUUUUAAUAAGAAAAAAAAAUACAAGAAAACAAAUAAAAGAAAUUAUUCACAAAAAUUAAUUUUAUGAAUUAAAAUUACUUACCUCCCCGGCAACGGCGCCAAAAACUUGUUGUGCAAAUUUUAAUGUACUCGCAAGCGCACGAAUCUAUUGUAAUAUAGACUAAUGGUGACGAGUGUCGAUCCCACGAGGAGGUGGAUUUUAAUUGUGUAUAAAAUUAAUUUUGUAAAUGGGUGAUUGGAUUUGUGGUGGAAAUGAUUUGGAAUAUGCUAAAACUUAAAUUAAAAUGGCGAGAAUAAAUUGAAGAGAAUUCUAUUGAAAUGACGUACUUGGGUAUCUGGAUCCGUAUCAACAUGCAUCAUGGGCUAAAUAUUCCUUAUUAAUACCAAUUAAAUCAUGAGGGGGGAAUCCACACUCAUGAACCACGCUCUAAUCAAUAUGGUGCUAAGGGCUUUAUCGUGCCAAAUAAUAUAACCUUAUACCAGAGAGCCGGUGUAACCAAGGCGGUAUCUAGACAAGAUCAGUAUUAUUUGUCGACGAUAAGUCAAAUCAUCCACAAAAACUAGAGGGGAAAAGAAAAUAAAUUUACCAAAUAAAGCCCAUGACACAUGUUGAGACUUCACCUUCAACCCAAGCUUGAAAAGAAAUUAGCUACUCAUAAUUGAACUAGGGGCAAAAAGGGAAUUUAUUAAAAUACAAAGAAAAUACAAGAUGGAGAAGGAAUUACAGAAAAUGGAUCCCAAAAAUGGAUUCAGAGAUAUCAAAUUCGGGGGGAGAGGCCCCCUUUUUAUAGAUACAUGGAGUAAAUCAUGGCCAUCGGAUUAAAAACAGUUUGGACGCUCAGGAUUGCGCCACGUCAUCAGUCAACAGUCCACGGUUUGACCACGCGGAUGAACAGUAACACGGUUUGACCCGGAUGAACAGUAACGCGGUUUGGUUGAAAAUAAUCCUGUGUGAUGCAUGCACCGUACACGAGAUUUUUCGUCCACUGAUAUGCUGCCACGUCACCAUUAACAGUACAUAAGAAUUUUAGCCCAACAGGAUCGUGACACCUCAUCAGUCAAUGCCACAUCAUCGGUCAAUGCCACGUCAUCGGUCAAUGCCACGUCAUCGAUCCGUCUAUGUGAACAGUGUCGUGAACAGUAACGUAGACAGUACCGUACGUGAAUAGUACCGUACAUGUGAAUAGUGCCAUUUUUCCUUUUAUGCUCCUCCUAAGGUUUUCGACCGUCCUGAGUUCAAAAGUGAUGUCCGUUUUGCCGUCUGAUCUCUCCUUUAUUGUGAAAUGACUAUACUGCCCCUAAAAUACAUAAAAUACUUAAUUAAAAUAACACACACGUAAUUACAUCACAAGAAGGUUAAAUACAUAAAAGUAAGGGUUGUUAGUAAGACUUGAAAUGUAAAAUGACGGUUUUCUCCUUUAUAAAUAUGUAUUUUCUAACACUCAACACACCCCCCAACCAGCUUAUUGCUAGUCCCUAGCAAAUAAAGCGAAAACAAAAUUCAAAUUCAAAAUGAUUUUUUUUUUUUUUUUUUUUAGAAACACUCGUGUUUAUUCAAUCAGAUUAAUGAUAGCAAUCAAAUAAAAGUAUAAGCAUUAUCUCCAGUCUAAAGCAACAUCACACCCACAUCAACCAUCCACAUGAAUUAGCCCAGUAGACUUUGUUAUAGCUACUUUCAAGAAUGACAUGUCAAACCCCAAAAUCUCACUGGAAGUAGUGACACUCUCACAAAGAAAUUAAAACCCAAUAAACAUAGUCACUCCAAUGAAUGGUAAUUGAGAGAGAAAAUAAUAAAGAAAUGAUAUCACAUGCUCUCACCAAGAUUAAAUAAAUAUGCCCUCAGCUUAGAAAUAAUACGAUCUCAAGUCAAAUAAAAUGUUAGUCAACCCACUUUAUUUAUCUUUUUUUUUUUUAAUUAUGCAUCACUACAUCUUUUUAGCCCAUAUAACUAGCUUCUACUUCAAACUAUAGUUCCCUAAAAUCAAGAAGGACUUUUAUUAGGACGUAACGUAGGCUAGGGAUAUGGCUAACAAAGAAGGGAAAUAAGGAAAACAAAGUGUAUGUUUGAGAAAAAUGCAGAGAAUAUUUUUUUUUUUUUUUUUGGAAGUUGCAAGGUGGAUUUCACCUAUUAUUGUUAUUUUUAUUCUUUUGAAACAACAAUUUUUUUUUUUUUUUUUUUUUUUCAGCAACAACAAUUUUUUCUUUUUUUUUUUUUGAACUAGGCAUAACUUCACUAUGCAAAAUGUUUAUUUACAUUUUUCUCAAACAUAAAUAGGUGAUGGAAUUUGUAAGAUAUUGGGUAAUACUCCAAAUCGGAGUGGGUCAAGAUGAUAAGUUAAACAAAGAAAAGUUUUUUUUUUUUUUUAUUUAAAAGGCUCAAAUGGGUUAACUAUGGAUACUUGAUAAGAGGGAUGGCUAGAAAGGCUCAAACGGAUCAAAGAUGGCCUUUCCAUCGUCUUUUAGGGCUCUAAAUAAUCAUCCAUAUCUACUAGUUAGAUGGGCCUCCCAAUGUAGCAACACACACAUUUUUUUUUUUUUUUUUUUUUAAGGCUUAACUCAAAAGAAAUCUAGAGAUCGUGUAUACAAUAAUAAACUGUUAAGCAUUAUAAAGAAUGGGCAAAAGGGUUACUCUCCAAGAAAAAUGAUAGGCUCAAAAACUCACUUGGUACUUAUUAUGACAUGUUCAUUCCUUCAAGCAACUCAUAUUUGUCUCCGACAUCAACAUGUAGAGUAGCAAACAUAAUGUAACAUCACUUAAGACCAAAGAUAAUACAAAUACUAAAAUUUGAAAUUAAUCAUGUCAUCUAAAGUUAAAACAAAUCACACAAUUUUUUCUUUUUUUUUUUUAAACAACAUUCUACCCCCCAACCUAUUCUAAACAUGAAAGGAAAAUAUGCAUGCAGAAAUGUGAAAAUGAUGCAUAAAAACUAAUUAGAAAAGUUACACGUAAAAUGAUAGAAAACGAAAAUGAAAUUUUGUUUUUUUUUUUUUUAAUUUUUUUUUAAACGAUGAAGAUGUUUCUAGAGGCACUACACUCCAUAUUCAGCUAUCUUCGACUCAAAAGUUGGAAAAUAUAUAUUUAUAAGGAGAAAUUAAAAAGAAGAAGAAAAAUGAACAUCAAAACAUAAUAAAGAAAAAGAAAAUGUUUGAAUUUUUGUUUUUUUUAGUUUUUUAGUUUUUUAAAUUUUUUUUUUUUUUAAACGAUGAAGAUGCGUUUCUAGAGUCACUACACUCCAUAUUCAGCCAUCUUCAACACAAAAAGUUAGCAACAGUUAGUUUCUACAACAAAAAAUCAGUAAAAACUUAACCAAGAUUCCACAAUUGUCGACUAUUCCCCUCAACCAGAACGAAACAUUGUCCUCAAUGUUUUAAAGGAAAGAAGUAGAGUUUAGAAGACAUCACCUGGGUGGUGCAACACAAAAGAUAUAUUUACAGGCGGAGAGUUAAAUCUAAUUUGUACUUCUUACUGCGGCUACUGUUACCAUCAUUAUUUGGGCGCUCCAACACAAAGGUCCAGGGGUCUGGCUCCGGUUUAUAAGCUUGUAACAGAUCAAGUAGUUCAUUAGCAGUGUGAGCACAAAUAAAAAGUUUUUUUACAUUAGAAGGAAUGAAAUAGUUUUUUAUUGCAUGGUUAAGAAAUGCGAUAAAGCCAUCAUAAAAGUUAUUGACAUUUAACAAACCGAUGGGUUUCUGGUGGAUGUGCAGAUGGGCCCAAGAUGCUAGUGUCAUAAGUGCCUCUAGUGUUGCAAGAUCCUGGAAGGAAAAUAAAAGCAUCAGCAUGAUUAAGCAUUUCAGUUAUUCUUUCUUGCAUACCUGAGACGACUAACUCUUCUCCAGUUGAUGAGUCAGACGAACUGCCCAAUGGUUUUAGGACUCUUGGGAUGAUGCCUAACACUUGACUUCCUCUGAUAAAAGCUGCUUCUGAGACCAUUUUUGAUAACCCUCGGUUACCUCCUCCAUACACCAAAUGUAAUUUUCUCGCUGCUAUGCUUCGACCAAGAUCUAUGGCUGCCUCCACGAACUCUUUAUGUUUGCCAUAGGUAAAUCCAGAAAGCACACAAAUGUUCUUGAAUUGUCUAUUGGGAGUAGCUGCCAUUGUGAUACUUCUCAAAAAUAAUUUGUGAGUGCUUGACAAAAGAUAAAUCACAUUUAAGAAUCUUGGUGACAAUGGAUCACAGCUGUGAAUGAGGUAACAUGUCAGUGUCAAAUAACGCGUAAAGCACGUGGCUCGCGAGUCAAAAAGGAAACAGUAAAAAGGAAAAAGCAAACAGUAAUAAAAUUAUUAAAGACAAUAAUGCAAACAAUAAAACAACAGUGAAAUGAAAUAAAAUAACAGUAAAGUAAAAGGAUAUUUACACGUAGUUGCGACUGUGGCUCACAUCUUCCUCUGGUUUUACGUCCAGAACGGCUUGAACGCCCUCUAUGGGUCGAGGAUGGGCUUCCCAUCCAGUUUUCUUAUAAACUGGCAAACAGGGUCGUUUAUAGUCAGAUUCCCGAGACGAUAUCGUGCAUGCUCUUUUUGGAAUAAUGGCCUUAACUGGAGAAUCGCUCCUUGCACAUAUCCACUGGGAUGCGUUUCAAGAGACAAAAGGAUAUCAUCCAAUGACUCCUUAUUCAAGCCAUCCCUAAUGAAUUGAAUCUUAUCUUCCCUGUUAUCAGACACCAUUCCUAAAGAACAUGGGUUUCUAUCGCAACUCAUUCUGGCACACUUGUGACAAGCAACAGAAAUUCUUCGAGCUCGUCGUUUUCUUGCGUAAUUUCCUUUACCACAACCAGGCAUGUAUGCAAUAAAUUUAGGAGGUAACUCACCUGCCAAUCGUACUUUAGCCUCGAUUAACCAACGGAUGUCUGCAGGUAUGUUAUUCCUCAUGAGCAAUCGCAUGCGUUCAGACCGGGCUUUAUAGAUUGUAAGGAGGGCAUUCUGAGGAAGUGAAGGGAAUCGCUUGUGAAGCUUCGCUAGAAUCUCGUUUCUGUCCAUACCUUCGCCUCAGAAUAUCAGUUAUUAUGGGAACUGAAGUUAACCGACUUGAUUGUCACGGAGUACCGCCACUUCACCGGGGUAACAAACUAAAGCACACAAACAGAAAACAAAAAACACACAAAGAAAAUUAAAAUCGUCCUCUUAUUGAAUUUACCUCAAGCUCCAACUGGAUGUCGUAAACACUUCUCUCAAUGUCUCUGAGUUGGCGUUCUAAACCCCUCAACAUAGGCUACUAACUCUGGUGGUUGUAGAGCCCAAAUGCGUUGUGUUUUACAAAAUAGAAUCUGCCUUUUGAGAUGAGUUUUGACACGUUGAAGUGGUUUAAGAAUGUUCAGGAGGAACGGUCUAAGUAUGAGACUCAUGAUUAAAAAUGAUAAGAGAAAACUUAAUGGUAAAAUAAACACACUUAUGCAAAAACAAUUUCAAUUAGCAAAAGAAUAAUAAUAAAAAGAAAUAAAGAAAAAUCAAAUUAACGAAAAGAGAAAAAAAAAAUCAAUUCAAAUUUAGUGGGUCACUCAAAUUUAUUUCGAUGUUUUCUCCAUGUGGUUGGUACUCUAGAUAUGGCUUUAAUCUUUGACCAUUAACUUUAUACGUGACACCGUUCUUUGGUCCUUAAUUUCAAUUGCCCCAUGUGGAAAAACAGUAUGUACAAUAAAUGGGCCAGACCAACGAGAGCGUAACUUACCUGGGAAUAGGUGCAAGCGAGAAUUGAAUAAAAGCACUUUCUGACCUGGAGUGAACGAUUUUCUCAUAAUUUGCUUAUCAUGGAAGACUUUCAUUCGUUGCUUGUAAAUCUUGGCAUUUUCGUAUGCAUCAUUGCGAAUUUCUUCAAGUUCUGCCAGCUGUAAUCUUCUUUCUGAGCUGGCUUGCUGCAUGUCAAAGUUGAAUUUCUUGAUGGCCCAAUAUGCACGAUGCUCGAGUUCCACAGGUAGGUGGCAAGCUUUUCCAUACACUAGCCUGUAGGGUGACAUCCAAUCGGGGUCUUGAAAGCCGUUCUAUAUGCCCAUAAUGCAUCAUCAAGUCGUAAUGACCAAUCUUUCCUGUCUGGCCUCACCGUCUUUUCUAAUAUGUGCUUUAUUUCUCGAUUGGAGAUCUCAACUUGGCCACUGGUUUGCGGAUGAUACGGGGUCGCACUUUGUGUGUGAUUGAAUACUUUGUCAAAAGAGCCUUGAAUGCUUUGUUACAAAAGUGGGCACCACCAUCACUGAUUAUCGCUCGAGGGAAUCCAAAGCGCGAAACAAUAUUGCUUUUCAAAAAUCCUAUCACCACUUUGUGAUCAUUGGUUCUGCAUGGAAUUGCUUCCACCCAUUUCGAUACGUAGUCAACACCAACCAAUAUGUAUUGAUGGCCAAAAGAAGGGGGAAAGGGUCCCAUGAAGUCGAUACCCCAUACGUCAAAAAUCUCAACCACUAAAAUUGGAUUUAGUGGCAUCAUGUUCCUUCGUGUAAUGCUCCCCAUUCGUUGACACCUAUCACAUGAAGAACAGAAAGUGUAAGCAUCUCGAAAUAUAGUUGGCCAAUAGAAACCACAUUGUAAAACUUUAGUCGCUGUUUUCUUAGCACUGAAAUGGCCUCCACAAGCUUGUUCAUGGCAGAAUGAAAGGAUAUUCUGAAUUUCACUUUCAGGGACACAUCGUCUAACAAUUUGGUCUGCACAAUACUUGAACAAAUAUGGGUCAUCCCAAAAGAAAUUCUUUAUUUCCGCAAGAAUUUAGCCUUGUCUUGCUUGGUCCAAUGCUCUGGAAGCUUACCUGUAACAAGAUAAUUAACUAUAUCAGCAUACCAAGGUAAUACUUCCACACUCAUUAAUUGUUCAUCUGGAAAUGACUCAUUUAAUAUUAAUGGCUCUGUAAUUGUGUCAAAAUGGAGACGAGAGAGGUGGUCCGCCACAACAUUUUCUGUCCCUUUCUUAUCUUUGAAUUCCAAGUCAAAUUCCUGCAAAAGUAACACCCAACGAAUUAGUCUAGCUUUUGCAUCUUUCUUUGUGAGAAGAUAUUUAAGAGCAGCAUGAUCUGUGAAUAUAAUUAUUUUACAACCAAUGAGAUAAGAUCGAAAUUUUUCCAAUGCAAACACUACUGCUAGCAUUUCUUUUUCAGUAGUUGAAUAAUUAACUGUGCAUCAUUCAAGGUCAUACUAGCAUAGUAAAUAACGUUGGGAAUUCGAUCAACUCUUUGUCCUAAUACUGCUCCUACUGCAUAAUCAGAUGCAUCACACAUGAGCUCAAAUGGUAAGCUCCAGUUUUGGGGCCUGAAUGAUGGGUGAUGAUGUCAACAAUUGCUUUAAUUUUUCAAAAGCCAUAAGACAUGAAUCAUUAAAGAUAAAAGGUACAUCCUUAGCAAGUAAAUUGCAUAAGGGUCUAGAAACUUUGCUAAAAUCUUUAAUGAAACGUCUAUAGAAACCAGCAUGCCCAAGGAAAGAUCUUACUUCUCUGACUGUUUUAGGUGGAGGAAAGAUUAGAAAUGAGAUCCACCUUGGCUUUGUCAACCUCAAUACCUUUGCUCGAAAUGAUGUGACCGAGAACAAUACCUUGUUUUACCAUAAAAUGACACUUUCCCAUUUAAGACUAAGCUCUUCUCGGUACAUCUCUGCAGAACUAGCGUUAGAUGAUGUAAACAUUGAUCAAACGAGUCACCAAAGACAGAAAAAUCAUCCAUAAAGACUUCAAGGAAUUCAACCAUAUCAGAANGAUAAUUAACUAUAUCAGCAUACCAAGGUAAUACUUCCACACUCAUUAAUUGUUCAUCUGGAAAUGACUCAUUUAAUAUUAAUGGCUCUGUAAUUGUGUCAAAAUGGAGACGAGAGAGGUGGUCCGCCACAACAUUUUCUGUCCCUUUCUUAUCUUUGAAUUCCAAGUCAAAUUCCUGCAAAAGUAACACCCAACGAAUUAGUCUAGCUUUUGCAUCUUUCUUUGUGAGAAGAUUUUAAGAGCAGCAUGAUCUGUGAAUAUAAUUAUUUUACAACCAAUGAGAUAAGAUCGAAAUUUUUCCAAUGCAAACACUACUGCUAGCAUUUCUUUUCAGUAGUUGAAUAGUUCAACUGUGCAUCAUUCAAGGUCAUACUAGCAUAGUAAAUAACAUGGGAAUUCGAUCAACUCUUUGUCCUAAUACUGCUCCUACUGCAUAAUCAGAUGCAUCACACAUGAGCUCAAAUGGUAAGCUCCAGUUUGGGGCCUGAAUGAUGGGUGAUGAUCAACAAUUGCUUUAAUUUUUCAAAAGCCAUAAGACAUGAAUCAUUAAAGAUAAAAGGUACAUCCUUAGCAAGUAAAUUGCAUAAGGGUCUAGAAACUUUGCUAAAAUCUUUAAUGAAACGUCUAUAGAAACCAGCAUGCCAAGGAAAGAUCUUACUUCUCUGACUGUUUUAGGUGGAGGAAGAUUAGAAAUGAGAUCCACCUUGGCUUUGUCAACCUCAAUACCUUUGCUCGAAAUGAUGUGACCGAGAACAAUACCUUGUUUUACCAUAAAAUGACACUUCUCCCAAUUUAAGACUAAGUUCUUCUCGUACAUCUCUGCAGAACUAGCGUUAGAUGAUGUAAACAUUGAUCAAACGAGUCACCAAAGACAGAAAAUCAUCCAUAAAGACUUCAAGGAAUCGUUCAACCAUAUCAGAAAAAAUGCUCAACAUGCAUCGUUGAAAUGUAGCAGGUGCAUUACAUAAUCCAAAUGGCAUUCUCCUAUAUGCAAAUGUGCCAAAAGGGCAAGUGAAAGUAGUUUUCUCUUGAUCUUUUGGUGCUAUGGGAAUCUGAUUAUAUCCUGAGUAGCCAUCUAGAAAGCAAUAAAAUUCAUGGCCUGCUAAUCUAUCAAGCAUUUGAUCAAUAAAUGGUAAAGGAAAAUGGUCUUUACGUGUGACAGAAUUCAACUUUCUAUAAUCAAUGCAUACACGCCAUCCUGUAGUUACUCUAGUUGGUAUCAAUUCAUUAUCAGCAUUGGUAACUACUGUGACUCCUGACUUUUUGGGGACAACUUGUACAGGACUGACCCAUGAACUAUCAGAAAUUGGGUAAAUGAUACCUGCAUCUAAUAGCUUAAGGACUUCAGUUCUAACAACUUCUUUCAUAUUAGGAUUUAACCGACGUUGCAUUCCCUAGUAGUUUUAGCAUUUUCAUCAAGGUGAAUGUAAUGCAUGCAGUCUACUGGGUUUAUACCUUUAAUGUCUGCUAUGGUCCAUCCUAAUGCUCCUUUGUGCUCUUUUAAAACAUCCAACAACUUACCUUUUUGUUCGUCAUUUAGGGAUGAUGAGAUGAUUACCGGCAGAGUACUUUCUUCUCCCAAAAAUGCAUAUUCCAGAGUGUUGGGUAAUGGUUUGAGCUCGAGUUUCGGUGGUGAUUCUGAUGAUGGAAUGAGUUUCUUCUCUGAUGGUGCUAGUUGUUCAACUCUUGACUUCCAUUUAUUAGUGUCCAUGGAUGGUGCUGAGUCAAGCAGGGCGUUGACCUCAUCGACCGAUCUAUCAAUAUCAAAAUCCAAACCAAAGUGAGUUAAGCAUGUCUGUAAAGGAUCAUCACUAAGGUUUGAAAGAAAAGUAUUAUCAACUAUUGUUUCUAUUAAAUCCACAUCAACAAUUCCAUCAUCUGCACUGUGAGGUUGUUUGGCAAUGUUGAAAAUAUUUAGCUCCAUAGUCAUGUUGCCGAAGGACAACUGCAUAUUUCCAGUCCUGCAUUGAAUGUGAGCAUCCGCAGUCGCCAAGAAAGGUCGGCCUAGAAUAAUGGGGAUGUGCUUCCUUGAAUCCUGUAUUGGUUGAGUGUCAAUUACAAUGAAAUCAACAGGAAAAUAAAACUUGUCUACCUGGAUAAGCACGUCCUCCAUAAUACACGAGGUAUUUUCGUGGACCGAUCUGCAAGCUGUAACACCACUGGAGUUGGGUGUAAUUCUCCCAGUCCAAGUUUCACGAAUACUGAAUAAGGCAACAGAUUUACACUAGCUCCUAAAUCCAACAAACGCAUUCUCAAUUGUGUGGUUCCCUAUACUACAUGAGAUAGUGGGGGAGCCUGGGUCUUUGCAUUUUAGAGGAAUUUUAUGUUGGAGUAUAGAACUAACAUUUUCUGUUAAAAAUGCCUUCUUUUGAACAUGCAUAUUUCUCUUUUUAGUACAAAGGUCUUUAAGAAACUUGGCAUAAGAUGGAACUUGUUUAAUAGCAUCAAGUAAAGGGAUGUUAACACUUACCUGUUUGAAGAUUUCGAGAAUCUCACCUGUGGAUUUUCCCUUUUUCCCUUUAGCUAACCUCUGAGGAAAUGGAGCUUUCGGAACGUAUUCUCGUGGGUGGUUUCUUCUUUCUCCUCCGGUGGUGAGUCUUCAACAUUCACAGGUACAUUUGAUUUUCUUUUGUCACCGGCAUCUCCACUUUGUUGUCGACUUCCUUUCCUUUUCGCAAGGUCAUGACUGCUUUGACCUCUCCAUGCUGUUGUGGUGAACUGGUACUUGCUUCAUGUACUCCUUUAGGAUUAGGCACUGGUUGACUUGGAAAUUUUCCUUUCUCAACAGUCAUUGCCAAGGUCUGAACUGAAGAAGCAAGUUGUCCCACCAUCCUUCUCGAGGCUUGAAACUGAAUUGAGCUUGUGAGUUGAAGCCUGCUCUCAACUCAUUUCGUAGUCCAUCAAUGGUGCGGUUCUGUUGCUCAAUCGUGGAGUGAGUAACAUUCUUGAAAUUCUGGAAUGCAUCCUCCAUGGUCUGGGUUGAGAGUAGUUCUGGUUCUGAUUGUAUGGUCUGAAUGGUGGCUGAGAGGCUUGAGGAUUUUGAGGAAUUUGUUGCAUUGGUGGAGCUGGAGCUGCUGGUCCAUUCUGUUGGAAUCCUUGAGACCAUGAAAUAUUGGGGUGGUCUCUCCAUCCAGGGUUAUAUGUGUUGGAGUAUGGGUUGUAAUUCGAUGGUUUUCUCAUUACACCUAUGGCAUUGGCUUGAUCGGAGUAUGAGUCAUGGUCAUGUGGUUCUGUUGAUUUAGCAGUCGAUAACGAUGCUAUUUGUCGAGCGAGACCUUCAACCAUCUCCUUGACUUCUUUGAUUCCCGAAGUUGACUCGCCAAUUUGAACCUCAUUUACUCCCUUAAUUCUUCUAGUAUUCCUUAGUGAUCGACUCCGUUGUUGGGAAUUAUCCGCUUGUCGUUGGAAGAAUUCCCAAAUUUCUGAUGCACUUUUUGACAUUAGCUCUCCUCCACUUGUUGCCAUUAGCCAUUCUUGCACAUUCGGGUAGUAAUCCCUCCAAAAAGUAUUGGCAUUGGUGCCAUUUUUUCGUACCCAUGAUGUGGACACUUCAAGAGUAGCCCAUUGAAUCGCUCCCAAGUUUCGAAAAACUGCUCGUCCUCUCUUUGUGUAAACUCUGAAAUUUCCCUGCGAAUAGAAUUGGUUUUAUGCACUGGGAAAUAUUUAUUCAAAAAUUUAGUUACCAUUUGUUCCCAUGAUGAAAUGCUAUUAGCAGGCAACGUAUUUAACCAUGAACGAGCUCUAUCCUUUAAAGAAAAUGGGAAUAGUCUGAGUUUAACAUCAUCGUCUGAAAAAUUUUCAUAUUUAAAAGUUUGACAAAUGGUAUGAAAAUCAUUCAGAUGAUUAUAUGGGUCCUCAUUUUCUAAGCCAUAGAAUGUGGGGAGACAAUUUAGCACACUAGGUUUUAGUUCAAAGUUCCUAGCAGCUACAUUUGGGUAUCUAAUACAUGAUGUGCUUAAAUUAGCUAAGGGACUAAAAUAGUCCUUAAAUGGCCUCUCCUGUGGUGCUUGUAAAUCCAUUCCAAUUUUAUUUUUAAUGUGUUUUUGUGUGCGAAGUGUUUUUUCUAAUUCAAGGUCUAUAGGUUCAAGAUUAGGUAAUAAUGACCUACGACCAUGCAUGCAAAAUAAAAUGAAAAUAAAAAUAAAGAUGCAAACAAAACAAAAAAUAAAGAUGGGAACAAAACAAAUUAAAAUAAAUAAGAGGGAGAAAUUACGAUACUAACCUUAUUGCGCUAUUACAACCUUUCUAUAAAAAUACACAAAAAACAAAUACGUGAAAUAAAUUAACUAAAAAUUAAAUUAAUAAAAUAAACAAAAAUUACAAAGAAAAAAAAAUAAAUUGAAAAUUAAAUUACAGAAUUUUAAAGAAGAGAAAAAGAAAAGAAAUACUAACCUUUAAAUGUAGAUUUACUCUUUUUUUUUUCUUUUUUUUUUUAAUAAGAAAAAAAAAAUACAAGAAAACAAAUAAAAGAAAUUAUUCACAAAAAUUAAUUUUAUGAAUUAAAAUUACUUACCUCCCCGGCAACGGCGCCAAAAACUUGUUGUGCAAAUUUUAAUGUACUCGCAAGCGCACGAAUCUAUUGUAAUAUAGACUAAUGGUGACGAGUGUCGAUCCCACGAGGAGGUGGAUUUUAAUUGUGUAUAAAAUUAAUUUUGUAAAUGGGUGAUUGGAUUUGUGGUGGAAAUGAUUUGGAAUAUGCUAAAACUUAAAUUAAAAUGGCGAGAAUAAAUUGAAGAGAAUUCUAUUGAAAUGACGUACUUGGGUAUCUGGAUCCGUAUCAACAUGCAUCAUGGGCUAAAUAUUCCUUAUUAAUACCAAUUAAAUCAUGAGGGGGGAAUCCACACCUCAUGAACCACGCUCUAAUCAAUAUGGUGCUAAGGGCUUAUCGUGCCAAAUAAUAAUAACCUUAUACCAGAGAGCCGGUGUAACCAAGGCGGUAUCUAGACAAGAUCAGUAUUAUUUGUCGACGAUAAGUCAAAUCAUCCACAAAAAACUAGAGGGGAAAAGAAAAUAAAUUUACCAAAUAAAGCCCAUGACACAUGUUGAGACUUCACCUUCAACCCAAGCUUGAAAAGAAAUUAGCUACUCAUAAUUGAACUAGGGGCAAAAAGGGAAUUUAUUAAAAUACAAAGAAAAUACAAGAUGGAGAAGGAAUUACAGAAAAUGGAUCCCAAAAAUGGAUUCAGAGAUAUCAAAUUAGGGGGAGAGGCCCCCUUUUUAUAGAUACAUGGAGUAAAUCAUGGCCAUCGGAUUAAAAACAGUUUGGACGCUCAGGAUUGCGCCACGUCAUCAGUCAACAGUCCACGGUUUGACCACGCGGAUGAACAGUAACACGGUUUGACCCGGAUGAACAGUAACGUGGUUUGGUUGAAAAUAAUCCUGUGUGAUGCAUGCACUGUACACGAGAUUUUUCGUCCACUGAUAUGCUGCCACGUCACCAUUAACAGUACAUAAGAAUUUUAGCCCAACAGGAUCGUGACACCUCAUCAGUCAAUGCCACAUCAUCGGUCAAUGCCACGUCAUCGGUCAAUGCCACGUCAUCGAUCCGUCUAUGUGAACAGUGUCGUGAACAGUAACGUAGACAGUACCGUAUACGUGAAUAGUACCGUACAUGUGAAUAGUGCCAUUUUUCCUUUUAUGCUCCUCCUAAGGUUUUCGACCGUCCUGAGUUCAAAAGUGAUGUCCGUUUUGCCGUCUGAUCUCUCCUUUAUUGUGAAAUGACUAUACUGCCCCUAAAAUACAUAAAAUACUUAAUUAAAAUAACACACACGUAAUUACAUCACAAGAAGGUUAAAUACAUAAAAGUAAGGGUUGUUAGUAAGACUUGAAAUGUAAAAUGACGGUUUUCUCCUUUAUAAAUAUGUAUUUUCUAACACUCAACACACCCCCCAACCAGCUUAUUGCUAGUCCCUAGCAAAUAAAGCGAAAACAAAAUUCAAAUUCAAAAUGAUUUUUUUUUUUUUUUUUUUUUAGAAACACUCGUGUUUAUUCAAUCAGAUUAAUGAUAGCAAUCAAAUAAAAGUAUAAGCAUUAUCUCCAGUCUAAAGCAACAUCACACCCACAUCAACCAUCCACAUGAAUUAGCCCAGUAGACUUUGUUAUAGCUACUUUCAAGAAUGACAUGUCAAACCCCAAAAUCUCACUGGAAGUAGUGACACUCUCACAAAGAAAUUAAAACCCAAUAAACAUAGUCACUCCAAUGAAUGGUAAUUGAGAGAGAAAAUAAUAAAGAAAUGAUAUCACAUGCUCUCACCAAGAUUAAAUAAAUAUGCCCUCAGCUUAGAAAUAAUACGAUCUCAAGUCAAAUAAAAUGUUAGUCAACCCACUUUAUUUAUCUUUUUUUUUUUUUUAAUUAUGCAUCACUACAUCUUUUUAGCCCAUAUAACUAGCUUCUACUUCAAACUAUAGUUCCCUAAAAUCAAGAAGGACUUUUAUUAGGACGUAACGUAGGCUAGGGAUAUGGCUAACAAAGAAGGGAAAUAAGGAAAACAAAGUGUAUGUUUGAGAAAAAUGCAGAGAAUAUUUUUUUUUUUUUUUUUGGAAGUUGCAAGGUGGAUUUCACCUAUUAUUGUUAUUUUUAUUCUUUUGAAACAACAAUUUUUUUCUUUUUUUUUUUUUUUUUCAGCAACAACAAUUUUUUCUUUUUUUUUUUUGAACUAGGCAUAACUUCACUAUGCAAAAUGUUUAUUUACAUUUUUCUCAAACAUAAAUAGGUGAUGGAAUUUGUAAGAUAUUGGGUAAUACUCCAAAUCGGAGUGGGUCAAGAUGAUAAGUUAAACAAAGAAAAGUUUUUUUUUUUUUUUUAUUUAAAAGGCUCAAAUGGGUUAACUAUGGAUACUUGAUAAGAGGGAUGGCUAGAAAGGCUCAAACGGAUCAAAGAUGGCCUUUCCAUCGUCUUUUAGGGCUCUAAAUAAUCAUCCAUAUCUACUAGUUAGAUGGGCCUCCCAAUGUAGCAACACACACAUUUUUUUUUUUUUUUUUUUUUAAGGCUUAACUCAAAAGAAAUCUAGAGAUCGUGUAUACAAUAAUAAACUGUUAAGCAUUAUAAAGAAUGGGCAAAAGGGUUACUCUCCAAGAAAAAUGAUAGGCUCAAAAACUCACUUGGUACUUAUUAUGACAUGUUCAUUCCUUCAAGCAACUCAUAUUUGUCUCCGACAUCAACAUGUAGAGUAGCAAACAUAAUGUAACAUCACUUAAGACCAAAGAUAAUACAAAUACUAAAAUUUGAAAUUAAUCAUGUCAUCUAAAGUUAAAACAAAUCACACAAUUUUUUCUUUUUUUUUUUUUAAACAACAUUCUACCCCCCAACCUAUUCUAAACAUGAAAGGAAAAUAUGCAUGCAGAAAUGUGAAAAUGAUGCAUAAAAACUAAUUAGAAAAGUUACACGUAAAAUGAUAGAAAACGAAAAUGAAAUUUUGUUUUUUUUUUUUUUAAUUUUUUUUUUAAACGAUGAAGAUGCGUUUCUAGAGGCACUACACUCCAUAUUCAGCUAUCUUCGACUCAAAAGUUGGAAAAUAUAUAUUUAUAAGGAGAAAUUAAAAAGAAGAAGAAAAAUGAACAUCAAAACAUAAUAAAGAAAAAGAAAAUGUUUGAAUUUUUUAGUUUUUUUUAGUUUUUUAGUUUUUUUAAAUUUUUUUUUUUUUUUUAAACGAUGAAGAUGCGUUUCUAGAGUCACUACACUCCAUAUUCAGCCAUCUUCAACACAAAAAGUUAGCAACAGUUAGUUUCUACAACAAAAAAUCAGUAAAAACUUAACCAAGAUUCCACAAUUGUCGACUAUUCCCUCCCCUCAACCAGAACGAAACAUUGUCCUCAAUGUUUUAAAGGAAAGAAGUAGAGUUUAGAAGACAUCACCUGGGUGGUGCAACACAAAAGAAUAUAUUUACAGGCGGAGAGUUAAAUCUAAUUUGUACUUCUUACUGCGGCUACUGUUACCAUCAUUAUUUGGGCGCUCCAACACAAAGGUCCAGGGGUCUGGCUCCGGUUUAUAAGCUUGUAACAGAUCAAGUAGUUCAUUAGCAGUGUGAGCACAAAUAAAAAGUUUUUUUACAUUAGAAGGAAUGAAAUAGUUUUUUAUUGCAUGGUUAAGAAAUGCGAUAAAGCCAUCAUAAAAGUUAUUGACAUUUAACAAACCGAUGGGUUUCUGGUGGAUGUGCAGAUGGGCCCAAGAUGCUAGUGUCAUAAGUGCCUCUAGUGUUGCAAGAUCUCCUGGAAGGAAAAUAAAAGCAUCAGCAUGAUUAAGCAUUUCAGUUAUUCUUUCUUGCAUACCUGAGACGACUAACUCUUCUCCAGUUGAUGAGUCAGACGAACUGCCCAAUGGUUUUAGGACUCUUGGGAUGAUGCCUAACACUUGACUUCCUCUGAUAAAAGCUGCUUCUGAGACCAUUUUUGAUAACCCUCGGUUACCUCCUCCAUACACCAAAUGUAAUUUUCUCGCUGCUAUGCUUCGACCAAGAUCUAUGGCUGCCUCCACGAACUCUUUAUGUUUGCCAUAGGUAAAUCCAGAAAGCACACAAAUGUUCUUGAAUUGUCUAUUGGGAGUAGCUGCCAUUGUGAUACUUCUCAAAAAUAAUUUGUGAGUGCUUGACAAAAGAUAAAUCACAUUUAAGAAUCUUGGUGACAAUGGAUCACAGCUGUGAAUGAGGUAACAUGUCAGUGUCAAAUAACGCGUAAAGCACGUGGCUCGCGAGUCAAAAAGGAAACAGUAAAAAGGAAAAAGCAAACAGUAAUAAAAUUAUUAAAGACAAUAAUGCAAACAAUAAAACAACAGUGAAAUGAAAUAAAAUAACAGUAAAGUAAAAGGAUAUUUACACGUAGUUGCGACUGUGGCUCACAUCUUCCUCUGGUUUUACGUCCAGAAACGGCUUGAACGCCCUCUAUGGGUCGAGGAUGGGCUUCCCAUCCAGUUUUCUUAUAAACUGGCAAACAGGGUCGUUUAUAGUCAGAUUCCCGAGACGAUAUCGUGCAUGCUCUUUUUGGAAUAAUGGCCUUAACUGGAGAAUCGCUCCUUGCACAUAUCCACUGGGAUGCGUUUCAAGAGACAAAAGGAUAUCAUCCAAUGACUCCUUAUUCAAGCUAUCCCUAAUGAAUUGAAUCUUAUCUUCCCUGUUAUCAGACACCAUUCCUAAAGAACAUGGGUUUCUAUCGCAACUCAUUCUGGCACACUUGUGACAAGCAACAGAAAUUCUUCGAGCUCGUCGUUUUCUUGCGUAAUUUCCUUUACCACAACCAGGCAUGUAUGCAAUAAAUUUAGGAGGUAACUCACCUGCCAAUCGUACUUUAGCCUCGAUUAACCAACGGAUGUCUGCAGGUAUGUUAUUCCUCAUGAGCAAUCGCAUGCGUUCAGACCGGGCUUUAUAGAUUGUAAGGAGGGCAUUCUGAGGAAGUGAAGGGAAUCGCUUGUGAAGCUUCGCUAGAAUCUCGUUUCUGUCCAUACCUUCGCCUCAGAAUAUCAGUUAUUAUGGGAAACUGAAGUUAACCGACUUGAUUGUCACGGAGUACCGUUAUCUGCCACUUCACCGGGGUAACAAACUAAAGCACACAAACAGAAAAACAAAAAACACACAAAGAAAAUUAAAAUCGUCCUCUUAUUGAAUUUACCUCAAGCUCCAACUGGAUGUCGUAAACACUUCUCUCAAUGUCUCUGAGUUGGCGUUCUAAACCCUCAACAUAGGCUACUAACUCUGGUGGUUGUAGAGCCCAAAUGCGUUGUGUUUUACAAAAUAGAAUCUGCCUUUUGAGAUGAGUUUUGACACGUUGAAGUGGUUUAAGAAUGUUCAGGAGGAACGGUCUAAGUAUGAGACUCAUGAUUAAAAAUGAUAAGAGAAAACUUAAUGGUAAAAUAAACACACUUAUGCAAAAACAAUUUCAAUUAGCAAAAGAAUAAUAAUAAAAAGAAAUAAAGAAAAAUCAAAUUAACGAAAAGAGAAAAAAAAAAUCAAUUCAAAUUUAGUGGGUCACUCAAAUUUAUUUCGAUGUUUUCUCCAUGUGGUUGGUACUCUAGAUAUGGCUUUAAUCUUUGACCAUUAACUUUAUACGUGACACCGUUCUUUGGGUCCUUAAUUUCAAUUGCCCCAUGUGGAAAAACAGUAUGUACAAUAAAUGGGCCAGACCAACGAGAGCGUAACUUACCUGGGAAUAGGUGCAAGCGAGAAUUGAAUAAAAGCACUUUCUGACCUGGAGUGAACGAUUUUCUCAUAAUUUGCUUAUCAUGGAAGACUUUCAUUCGUUGCUUGUAAAUCUUGGCAUUUUCGUAUGCAUCAUUGCGAAUUUCUUCAAGUUCUGCCAGCUGUAAUCUUCUUUCUGAGCUGGCUUGCUGCAUGUCAAAGUUGAAUUUCUUGAUGGCCCAAUAUGCACGAUGCUCGAGUUCCACAGGUAGGUGGCAAGCUUUUCCAUACACUAGCCUGUAGGGUGACAUCCCAAUCGGGGUCUUGAAAGCCGUUCUAUAUGCCCAUAAUGCAUCAUCAAGUCGUAAUGACCAAUCUUUCCUGUCUGGCCUCACCGUCUUUUCUAAUAUGUGCUUUAUUUCUCGAUUGGAGAUCUCAACUUGGCCACUGGUUUGCGGAUGAUACGGGGUCGCCACUUUGUGUGUGAUUGAAUACUUUGUCAAAAGAGCCUUGAAUGCUUUGUUACAAAAGUGGGCACCACCAUCACUGAUUAUCGCUCGAGGGAAUCCAAAGCGCGAAACAAUAUUGCUUUUCAAAAAUCCUAUCACCACUUUGUGAUCAUUGGUUCUGCAUGGAAUUGCUUCCACCCAUUUCGAUACGUAGUCAACACCAACCAAUAUGUAUUGAUGGCCAAAAGAAGGGGGAAAGGGUCCCAUGAAGUCGAUACCCCAUACGUCAAAAAUCUCAACCACUAAAAUUGGAUUUAGUGGCAUCAUGUUCCUUCGUGUAAUGCUCCCCAUUCGUUGACACCUAUCACAUGAAGAACAGAAAGUGUAAGCAUCUCGAAAUAUAGUUGGCCAAUAGAAACCACAUUGUAAAACUUUAGUCGCUGUUUUCUUAGCACUGAAAUGGCCUCCACAAGCUUGUUCAUGGCAGAAUGAAAGGAUAUUCUGAAUUUCACUUUCAGGGACACAUCGUCUAACAAUUUGGUCUGCACAAUACUUGAACAAAUAUGGGUCAUCCCAAAAGAAAUUCUUUAUUUCCGCAAAGAAUUUAGCCUUGUCUUGCUUGGUCCAAUGCUCUGGAAGCUUACCUGUAACAAGAUAAUUAACUAUAUCAGCAUACCAAGGUAAUACUUCCACACUCAUUAAUUGUUCAUCUGGAAAUGACUCAUUUAAUAUUAAUGGCUCUGUAAUUGUGUCAAAAUGGAGACGAGAGAGGUGGUCCGCCACAACAUUUUCUGUCCCUUUCUUAUCUUUGAAUUCCAAGUCAAAUUCCUGCAAAAGUAACACCCAACGAAUUAGUCUAGCUUUUGCAUCUUUCUUUGUGAGAAGAUAUUUAAGAGCAGCAUGAUCUGUGAAUAUAAUUAUUUUACAACCAAUGAGAUAAGAUCGAAAUUUUUCCAAUGCAAACACUACUGCUAGCAUUUCUUUUUCAGUAGUUGAAUAAUUCAACUGUGCAUCAUUCAAGGUCAUACUAGCAUAGUAAAUAACGUUGGGAAUUCGAUCAACUCUUUGUCCUAAUACUGCUCCUACUGCAUAAUCAGAUGCAUCACACAUGAGCUCAAAUGGUAAGCUCCAGUUUGGGGCCUGAAUGAUGGGUGAUGAUGUCAACAAUUGCUUUAAUUUUUCAAAAGCCAUAAGACAUGAAUCAUUAAAGAUAAAAGGUACAUCCUUAGCAAGUAAAUUGCAUAAGGGUCUAGAAACUUUGCUAAAAUCUUUAAUGAAACGUCUAUAGAAACCAGCAUGCCCAAGGAAAGAUCUUACUUCUCUGACUGUUUUAGGUGGAGGAAGAUUAGAAAUGAGAUCCACCUUGGCUUUGUCAACCUCAAUACCUUUGCUCGAAAUGAUGUGACCGAGAACAAUACCUUGUUUUACCAUAAAAUGACACUUCUCCCAAUUUAAGACUAAGCUCUUCUCGGUACAUCUCUGCAGAACUAGCGUUAGAUGAUGUAAACAUUGAUCAAACGAGUCACCAAAGACAGAAAAAUCAUCCAUAAAGACUUCAAGGAAUCGUUCAACCAUAUCAGAAAAAAUGCUCAACAUGCAUCGUUGAAAUGUAGCAGGUGCAUUACAUAAUCCAAAUGGCAUUCUCCUAUAUGCAAAUGUGCCAAAAGGGCAAGUGAAAGUAGUUUUCUCUUGAUCUUUUGGUGCUAUGGGAAUCUGAUUAUAUCCUGAGUAGCCAUCUAGAAAGCAAUAAAAUUCAUGGCCUGCUAAUCUAUCAAGCAUUUGAUCAAUAAAUGGUAAAGGAAAAUGGUCUUUACGUGUGACAGAAUUCAACUUUCUAUAAUCAAUGCAUACACGCCAUCCUGUAGUUACUCUAGUUGGUAUCAAUUCAUUAUCAGCAUUGGUAACUACUGUGACUCCUGACUUUUUGGGGACAACUUGUACAGGACUGACCCAUGAACUAUCAGAAAUUGGGUAAAUGAUACCUGCAUCUAAUAGCUUAAGGACUUCAGUUCUAACAACUUCUUUCAUGUUAGGAUUUAACCGACGUUGCAUCUCCCUAGUAGUUUUAGCAUUUUCAUCAAGGUGAAUGUAAUGCAUACAGUCUACUGGGUUUAUACCUUUAAUGUCUGCUAUGGUCCAUCCUAAUGCUCCUUUGUGCUCUUUUAAAACAUCCAACAACUUACCUUUUUGUUCGUCAUUUAGGGAUGAUGAGAUGAUUACCGGCAGAGUACUUUCUUCUCCCAAAAAUGCAUAUUCCAGAGUGUUGGGUAAUGGUUUGAGCUCGAGUUUUGGUGGUGAUUCUGAUGAUGGAAUGAGUUUCUUCUCUGAUGGUGCUAGUUGUUCAACUCUUGACUUCCAUUUAUUAGUGUCCAUGGAUGGUGCUGAGUCAAGCAGGGCGUUGACCUCAUCGACCGAUCUAUCAAUAUCAAAAUCCAAACCAAAGUGAGUUAAGCAUGUCUGUAAAGGAUCAUCACUAAGGUUUGAAAGAAAAGUAUUAUCAACUAUUGUUUCUAUUAAAUCCACAUCAACAAUUCCAUCAUCUGCACUGUGAGGUUGUUUGGCAAUGUUGAAAAUAUUUAGCUCCAUAGUCAUGUUGCCGAAGGACAACUGCAUAUUUCCAGUCCUGCAUUGAAUGUGAGCAUCCGCAGUCGCCAAGAAAGGUCGGCCUAGAAUAAUGGGGAUGUGCUUCCUUGAAUCCUGUAUUGGUUGAGUGUCAAUUACAAUGAAAUCAACAGGAAAAUAAAACUUGUCUACCUGGAUAAGCACGUCCUCCAUAAUACCACGAGGUAUUUUCGUGGACCGAUCUGCAAGCUGUAACACCACUGGAGUUGGGUGUAAUUCUCCCAGUCCAAGUUUCACGAAUACUGAAUAAGGCAACAGAUUUACACUAGCUCCUAAAUCCAACAACGCAUUCUCAAUUGUGUGGUUCCCUAUACUACAUGAGAUAGUGGGGGAGCCUGGGUCUUUGCAUUUUAGAGGAAUUUUAUGUUGGAGUAUAGAACUAACAUUUUCUGUUAAAAAUGCCUUCUUUUGAACAUGCAUAUUUCUCUUUUUAGUACAAAGGUCUUUAAGAAACUUGGCAUAAGAUGGAACUUGUUUAAUAGCAUCAAGUAAAGGGAUGUUAACACUUACCUGUUUGAAGAUUUCGAGAAUCUCACCUGUGGAUUUUCCCUUUUUCCCUUUAGCUAACCUCUGAGGAAAUGGAGCUUUCGGAACGUAUUCUCGUGGGUUGGUUUCUUCUUUCUCCUCCGGUGGUGAGUCUUCAACAUUCACAGGUACAAUUUGAUUUUCUUUUGUCACCGGCAUCUCCACUUUGUUGUCGACUUCCUUUCCUUUUCGCAAGGUCAUGACUGCUUUGACCUCUCCAUGCUGUUGUGGUGAACUGGUACUUGCUUCAUGUACUCCUUUAGGAUUAGGCACUGGUUGACUUGGAAAUUUUCCUUUCUCAACAGUCAUUGCCAAGGUCUGAACUGAAGAAGCAAGUUGUCCCACCAUCUUCUCGAGGCUUGAAACUGAUUGAGCUUGUGAGUUGAAGCCUGCUCUCAACUCAUUUCGUAGUCCAUCAAUGGUGCGGUUCUGUUGCUCAAUCGUGGAGUGAGUAACAUUCUUGAAAUUCUGGAAUGCAUCCUCCCAUGGUCUGGGUUGAGAGUAGUUCUGGUUCUGAUUGUAUGGUCUGAAUGGUGGCUGAGAGGCUUGAGGAUUUUGAGGAAUUUGUUGCAUUGGUGGAGCUGGAGCUGCUGGUCCAUUCUGUUGGAAUCCUUGAGACCAUGAAAUAUUGGGGUGGUCUCUCCAUCCAGGGUUAUAUGUGUUGGAGUAUGGGUUGUAAUUCGAUGGUUUUCUCAUUACACCUAUGGCAUUGGCUUGAUCGGAGUAUGAGUCAUGGUCAUGUGGUUCUGUUGAUUUAGCAGUCGAUAACGAUGCUAUUUGUCGAGCGAGACCUUCAACCAUCUCCUUGACUUCUUUGAUUCCCGAAGUUGACUCGCCAAUUUGAACCUCAUUUACUCCCUUAAUUCUUCUAGUAUUCCUUAGUGAUCGACUCCGUUGUUGGGAAUUAUCCGCUUGUCGUUGGAAGAAUUCCCAAAUUUCUGAUGCACUUUUUGACAUUAGCUCUCCUCCACUUGUUGCCAUUAGCCAUUCUUGCACAUUCGGUAGUAAUCCCUCCAAAAAGUAUUGGCAUUGGUGCCAUUUUUCGUACCCAUGAUGUGGACACUUCAAGAGUAGCCCAUUGAAUCGCUCCCAAGUUUCGAAAAACUGCUCGUCCUCUCUUUGUGUAAACUCUGAAAUUUCCUUGCGAAUAGAAUUGGUUUUAUGCACUGGGAAAUAUUUAUUCAAAAAUUUAGUUACCAUUUGUUCCCAUGAUGAAAUGCUAUUAGCAGGCAAUGUAUUUAACCAUGAACGAGCUCUAUCCUUUAAAGAAAAUGGGAAUAGUCUGAGUUUAACAUCAUCGUCUGAAAAAUUUUCAUAUUUAAAAGUUUGACAAAUGGUAUGAAAAUCAUUCAGAUGAUUAUAUGGGUCCUCAUUUUCUAAGCCAUAGAAUGUGGGGAGACAAUUUAGCACACUAGGUUUUAGUUCAAAGUUCCUAGCAGCUACAAUUGGGUAUCUAAUACAUGAUGUGCUUAAAUUAGCUAAGGGACUAAAAUAGUCCUUAAAUGGCCUCUCCUGUGGUGCUUGUAAAUCCAUUCCAAUUUUAUUUUUAAUGUGUUUUUGUGUGCGAAGUGUUUUUUCUAAUUAAAGGUCUAUAGGUUCAAGAUUAGGUAAUAAUGACCUACGACCAUGCAUGCAAAAUAAAAUGAAAAUAAAAAUAAAGAUGCAAACAAAACAAAAAAUAAAGAUGGGAACAAAACAAAUUAAAAUAAAUAAGAGGGAGAAAUUACGAUACUAACCUUAUUGCGCUAUUACAACCUUUCUAUAAAAAUACACAAAAACAAAUACGUGAAAUAAAUUAACUAAAAAUUAAAUUAAUAAAAUAAACAAAAAUUACAAAGAAAAAAAAAUAAAUUGAAAAUUAAAUUACAGAAUUUUAAAGAAGAGAAAAAGAAAAGAAAUACUAACCUUUAAAUGUAGAUUUACUCUUUUUUUUUUCUUUUUUUUUUUAAUAAGAAAAAAAAAAUACAAGAAAACAAAUAAAAGAAAUUAUUCACAAAAAUUAAUUUUAUGAAUUAAAAUUACUUACCUCCCCGGCAACGGCGCCAAAAACUUGUUGUGCAAAUUUUAAUGUACUCGCAAGCGCACGAAUCUAUUGUAAUAUAGACUAAUGGUGACGAGUGUCGAUCCCACGAGGAGGUGGAUUUUAAUUGUGUAUAAAAUUAAUUUUGUAAAUGGGUGAUUGGAUUUGUGGUGGAAAUGAUUUGGAAUAUGCUAAAACUUAAAUUAAAAUGGCGAGAAUAAAUUGAAGAGAAUUCUAUUGAAAUGACGUACUUGGGUAUCUGGAUCCGUAUCAACAUGCAUCAUGGGCUAAAUAUUCCUUAUUAAUACCAAUUAAAUCAUGAGGGGGGAAUCCACACCUCAUGAACCACGCUCUAAUCAAUAUGGUGCUAAGGGCUUAUCGUGCCAAAUAAUAAUAACCUUAUACCAGAGAGCCGGUGUAACCAAGGCGGUAUCUAGACAAGAUCAGUAUUAUUUGUCGACGAUAAGUCAAAUCAUCCACAAAAACUAGAGGGGAAAAGAAAAUAAAUUUACCAAAUAAAGCCCAUGACACAUGUUGAGACUUCACCUUCAACCCAAGCUUGAAAAGAAAUUAGCUACUCAUAAUUGAACUAGGGGCAAAAAGGGAAUUUAUUAAAAUACAAAGAAAAUACAAGAUGGAGAAGGAAUUACAGAAAAUGGAUCCCAAAAAUGGAUUCAGAGAUAUCAAAUUAGGGGGGAGAGGCCCCCUUUUUAUAGAUACAUGGAGUAAAUCAUGGCCAUCGGAUUAAAAACAGUUUGGACGCUCAGGAUUGCGCCACGUCAUCAGUCAACAGUCCACGGUUUGACCACGCGGAUGAACAGUAACACGGUUUGACCCGGAUGAACAGUAACGCGGUUUGGUUGAAAAUAAUCCUGUGUGAUGCAUGCACCGUACACGAGAUUUUUCGUCCACUGAUAUGCUGCCACGUCACCAUUAACAGUACAUAAGAAUUUUAGCCCAACAGGAUCGUGACACCUCAUCAGUCAAUGCCACAUCAUCGGUCAAUGCCACGUCAUCGGUCAAUGCCACGUCAUCGAUCCGUCUAUGUGAACAGUGUCGUGAACAGUAACGUAGACAGUACCGUAUACGUGAAUAGUACCGUACAUGUGAAUAGUGCCAUUUUUCCUUUUAUGCUCCUCCUAAGGUUUUCGACCGUCCUGAGUUCAAAAGUGAUGUCCGUUUUGCCGUCUGAUCUCUCCUUUAUUGUGAAAUGACUAUACUGCCCCUAAAAUACAUAAAAUACUUAAUUAAAAUAACACACACGUAAUUACAUCACAAGAAGGUUAAAUACAUAAAAGUAAGGGUUGUUAGUAAGACUUGAAAUGUAAAAUGACGGUUUUCUCCUUUAUAAAUAUGUAUUUUCUAACACUCAACAAUUAUCACAUGAUAAGUGAUGAACACCGCAAAAAACAAAAACAGAAAACAAAAUCCAUACAAAAAUAUCAUAAUACAUAUGUAAACUAAUAAAAUAAUUAAAAAGUAAUGGAUUUAAAAAAAAUGAAAUUAGUUAAAAGCGAUCAUGUGAAGUGAUAUAAAUGUGACACUAGAUUGUUUUAGAAAAAUUAUUAUUCUAUUAAUUUAUAUGGCUUGAUCAACUAUUUAAUUGAAUUUGAAUAAUAUUAUAUACACUUCAGAAGUAUUUGCAUCAAUUCUUUCUAAACCAAAAUGAGAUAUGACUUUCAUUUGAAGAAUGGUUUUAGGCCCUAUAAUAAAGAAAAUUCCCUAAGAUAUCUGAGCAUUAUUAUUAUCAUUACCACAUCCACCACCACCACCAUCAUCUCCAUAGGAUCAAAUAAUUAAUGGCUGAUCAUAAAAUUUAUUGUUAAACUAUCAUUUUGAGUAAAAUUGAAUGAAAAGAAAAAACAUGAACCCAAACAAACAUACCUCUUCAAGAUACUGCAAAUUGGUUUCAAGUUCAGUACUGUUGACAGUCAAGUUGGGACAGUGCUUAAGGCGUAACUUUUCCAAUGCUGACCAAAUUGAACAAUAAUUUUUUGAACAGAAGCUGAUGAGUUCUGGGAGAUUAUGAAGUGUUAAUUUUCUCAACAAAGGGAGGGCGAGCAUCGUACUUCCAUCUCGGACACUUAUUUCCCCUUCAUUGUGAUCAAACUUUGCUUUGACAAUACAUUCCAGUCUCUUGCAUUCCCUUACAUAGAGACUUUUAAGCUGCUCCAAACUUCGAGCUUGUGACAACGUGAACAUAUAUGUCAACUUGUUGCACCUAUGCACAUUCAAUUUUGUAAGAGUUUGGAGACUGAUCACAUGUUGGGCGGGCGCCUUCCAUAUCCACUUCAGUUCUGGUAAUUGCCACAUAUUUAACUCUGCUAAUCCUGAGAGACUCUUUCCAUGCAGUGACUUAGAGGCAUCCAUUAUGCAUUCUAAAUCUUCGCAAUCGCCGACAUCAAGACAAGUCAACUCAUUUAAGCCCCUUUCAUCUAUGCUUGGCGCAAUAUUGUAACAACCUAUAAUCCCACUUAAAUAAAGAAUUUCCAGUUCUUGAUACAAAGCCGAAAAAAUACCGAGCGAGGUCACUUCAGGAGGGUCAUUCUUAAUUAUUAAGCUCUUUCUCUGACUACCAUAUUUCAUUUUAUCAACAACUUGUUUACCUUUACCCAUGAUGUACAUUUGCAAUUUCGGGAAUGUAAAGUCUUUUGGAAGACAUACAACAGAUCCGUCGGCUUGGGAGUUCAACUCAGCAAGCCUAGCAUUACUUUGUUCUGAACUCAUCCCCUCAACCUCCCAAUUUUUUAUCCGACCAUAAAAUUCUUCUAAUUUUUUUAUCGUAAUGGGAGAAACAGAACCAGUAUCAAUAUAUAGAAGUUUCAAUCUACCAAGUUCAUCCGACAAUUCUUCAGCAAUUUCAAUGGGAGACGACUGGAGAUAAAGAAGUUCAAGUCUCUUCAACUUUCCAAGAAAAAACGCGUCACUCACAUCACACCGAAUCAACUGCAGAACUCGGAGGUUAUUGGCUAGGAAUCGAAGUGAUUUUAGUGAAAGGACUCCAUUUAUUAUAGUAACAACUUUCAAUGCUGGCAUCCCUUCAAAAAAAUUUUCUGGAACUUGCAAUUUGUAGUCACAUAGAGUGUUGUCCAGUCGCAAAAUAUGAAGGUUAGGGCAUACCAAACUACUAGGAAGCUCUUCUUCUUUAUUUCCCAUUACAGAGAUUCCUCUGUAUUGUUCCAGGCCUUCUUCCAUUGCCCGUUCUGCCAAUCCAAUGCCAACUUUACUAAAAAAUUUCUUCUCCACUAGUACUUCUGAGCCUAUCCAUAUGACUACAUCACGAACUAUGUCAUGCAUUUUCACAGAUCUGUCAUUACCAGUGUCUAACAGCAGUGAAGCAGCUUUGAGUCCUUCAAUUGUUCCACGCAGUAGGCUUCUGGCGUGCUCUAUUGAUUCAGCUUGAUACCAAGUCAACCCCACUACAUAUCGAACCAAAUCCUCCAAAUUAAUCUCAUAAUCUUCUGGAAACAGCGAACACAACAAGAAGCAUAACCUGGAAUUGUCAUCAUUCAAAUUGUCGUAACUAAAUUUGAGACAACCGUAAACGUCUCGGUUCUCCAUAUCAAUACCUUCUAUUGCAUAGAGUUUUGCAGCCUUUAGGUUAUGUAGAGUUAGAUCCCAUUCAUGAAAUCCUUUUCCUCUUAGUGCACUUCCAACAGCUUCAAUAGCUAAAGGCAGCCCGUUACAUUGCCCAGCAACUUCUUUGGAAACAUCAUUCAAGGUGGAGUCAUUUGCAUCAAUGCCGGCAUUUUUUUGCAGUAAAGCCAACCCUUCUUCUGCCGUUAGUGUACCCAGUUGAAUCUGCGGGUCACAACACAUGCUUUUACAAACUGACUGCAGGCGAGUGGUUAGAAGGAUUUUACAAAGAUUUUCUCUAUCACCAACAGGAAUACCUAAAUUUUCCUUCAAGUUCAGAUCAUUCCAGACAUCAUCGAUGAUUAUGAGGAUCUUGGUGCUUUUACUGUCAGAAAACAUCGAGCGCAAUCGGUCUGCUCCAUGUUUUUCAUCUUUCUGUUUUAAUUCCCAACCUAAUGAAUUUGCCAGCUCGUUUUGAACAUUUAUUAUGUUUGGAUGCCGAGAUAUAGUGGCUAUCCCCACCUUAUCGAAAUCCUUUUGUUGCCAAAGUUGUUGGCCCACAGAUUUUGCCAAGGUCGUCUUUCCUACACCACCGAGACCAUGCAAUCCCACCAUCUUUGUGCUCUCUUUUUUCAGUGCGUCAAUGAUCUGAUUGCAAGCUGAUUCUGUGGUCUCGUAAGUAGAAGUAAAAUGACUUGGCAAACUUAAUUCUCUCUCUAAUGGUAGAGGUUUAGGAAAGGCAACUGUGUUGAAUUGGCUGCAGUCUUGUAGCAGAUCAGACAACUUGCUAGUCUUCUGUGAUGCUUUUCUACCCAGCCAAUAUCGGCAACACCAAUUAGGACACAAUCCAUGAAGACUACUAUCCUUUUCAUCUAUCUCUGCUUUCAACUUCCAAACAUCGUCCAAUUCUUCGACUCCAUUAUUCAGCCACUCCAUUACAUUUUCAUCGACUACUAUGUCGGGGCAUUUUCGUCGUUCAUCGUCUAUUCUUGUUUUGAUGCCAUCUCGUGCCUUCUUCAACUUAGUUUCUUUAUCCUCAAGUUCUUUAACAAUGCUGUUGAAACAGAACAUAUAGCGAGCUUGGUCAAUGGCUGCAUUCACCAAUAAUUCUUCAACCUUUGAUUUUAAAGCUUCCAUGCUAUUUAUCUGCAAAUAACGAAGUUGAUCUCAGCACGCUAUUAGCAAAACAACGAGGCUUGAUCACCAGACAAAAUGAGAACGUUUAAUUACCUUUUUCUGUACUGUGAAUGGACGUCUAUUAACACCAGCUUUGACCAAUAAGAGCAAAAUGCAAAGGCGGGGCUUUAAGAGUUUCGGUGGCCUUUAGCUGCAAAACAGCAGAUGACAAAUAAGGUAAACGUUCCCAACAAACGUGAUUUACGGUGGAUUAUAUUCAAAUUAGAUUAUUUUAAAAAUUUUUAAAUAAAAGUAUCAAACAACAAAUUAAGCAAAUCUAGAUAAACCUAAAAUUGCAUUGUGCGUUGGUAAAUUAUUUAUUACUCUAUCUUAAUGAUACCUUAUUUGGGAUGGUAAAGAUUGGGGUAAAUUCCCUUUUAUUCUCACGUGUUUAUAGUUAUUGAACAUCCAUGUCACUACUUUUUAAAGAUUGGGGUAAAUUUCCUUUUAUUCGGGUGAAGAAAUUCCCUUUUAAAAAUUACCUAAAACAUUAAUGUCACUACUUUUAUAGCUAUUGAACAUAUCAUUUUAAAUAUAAAAUACUAUUUCUUUCUAAUAUAAAUUAAAAAUCAAACAAAGCUAUCAUGCAACAAAUGAAAAGUAAAGAAUAUUAAUUAGGUUUCAAUGGCACCAAAUAUAAAAUAUAGCGGUUUUAAGUAAUUUUUGUUAUUUUUUAAUGUUCAAUUUAGAAUUGAAUAAUUUGCAUAAUGAAAAUUUGAGGUUUGUAUAAUUUAUAUGAAGAUAAACUGCAAAAUAAGUUUAUAUGCCGAAAUUAAAAUAGUUAUAUAUUAGCAAUCAUAUAAUAAUCAAAAUUUUUAAUAAAAUUUAUUUAAAAAUUGGCCAAUUGUGUUUCAUGAGGAAAACAGAGAGCAUAAUGGACUUAUGUUGGGUCUUGGGAUUGAAAUACUAAGUGGCCGGGAGGUAGGACGGUAGGAAAAUUAAUUUUAUUUUUAAAGUAUGGUCAACAUUAGUGACUUGGAGGUGAUUGCCGUUAAUAAAUUAUCUUUAACUUAAGAAUUAAUACAAACAAAUGGCAAGAAUAAUAUAAUGAAAAUUAAUGUAAUAAAAAUUUGCAUUAAAAGACUUAGAACUUAAAAUUCUCGACCAUUUUUAUCUGUAUGUUUUUAAUCCAACGUGCAAAAUUGGCAUAAAACAAACUAGUACAGCCAUUAAAAGUAAAACAAACGUCAAAUUAAGAGCCUAUGAAACAAUAAGAUCUCGUACCUUCUUCGUUAUAGAUCCUCAAUUACUGCUGAAAGCUUCAGUUAAGAGAGUGGCACAAGGUCGGAGAAAAUUAAAAAGCUGCAUCCAGCAAUAUAAAUAAACAUCAGAUCUAAACAACAUAGCAUAUAUCUAGCUAACUAAACAUCAUCUAUAAGUCAUUGUUCUCUGUCAAAUCUUUCAUUCUUAGAUUAAAAAAAAUUUGAAAUAAUAACUGUUAAGUGAUAUAGGAAGCAGAAGUAACGUACCCAAAAUGAGAGCAGCUAGUUCACAGAUGACAUAUCUGGUGACUGCAAGAGCAUGAAAAAUGAUUGAACUUUGGUAUAAAGGUCUGAGUCAUGUUUCACAAGUUGCUAUUGACUUCGUAGCUUCGCUUUUAUUUAUUAUUAUUAUUAUUUUUUUAAAUUCUAUAUCAGUGAGAAUUGAAAUGAGGAAAGUGAGAUGACACGCAUGCCUUAUCAUCUAUGAUGAGGGGUAAUUUGGUAAAGCUAUUUUAAAAUAAAAAAGUUUAAAAAAAUUUCAAAAAGAAGCUUUGUGUCUAACUGCUCGUAUUUGGGGUAUCUUUCCGGCUGUUGAGAGAAUGAGUUUAAUUAAUUAAAUAUAAGAUUUUCAUUUUUCUUAUUAUAUAUUUCUCUUUAGAAUGAAUUUAAAUCUCAUUCUUAUUAAAUUCAUUCUUUUUAAAUGAAAGUAGAUUUAUCGCCAUAAAUUUUGAGUAUAUUUUACAAUUAAUGUUCAACAUAUCUCUAAACUAUAUUACAAAUAUUUUUAUUUAAAAUCUCAACAGAUUUCAUAACAUAUAGAGAAAAAUAUUUAUAUAUAUUGUAAUGUUCUAAUGAGGGAUCUCUAAAAUUAUUAAGUUAAAAAUAAAUAAAAAAUAAAAAAUACACGUUUUAACAUAUAAUAUAAUAAAAUACAGUGUAUUAAAGUGAAUAGUUUACUUAUUUUUUUAAUUUAUUUCUUAUUUUAAUAAUUUAAAAUAUUUAUUAUUUAAUAAUGAUUAUAUAUAUAUAUAUAUAUAUAUAUAUAUAUAUAUAUAUAAAAUUUUAAAAAAUAAACAAUUUAAGCGAAGCAAAGGACGUUUUGAAGGCUUCUACCAAUUUACCAUUUUGGACUGCAAUGAAGUGAAAACAGUAGACUACCAAUAUACCAUUUUGGAUUGCAAUAAAGUGAAAAUGGGUUACUUUCAAAAAAGAAAAGGUGACAGUGAGUUUUCCAUUUCAUCUUGUCGGUAGGGGUGUCAAAAAAACCCGCCCGAACCGGAUCCGGCCCGGACCCGGCCAAUCCGAUCUGGGCAAAACCCGGACUGCAUAUACUGAAAAAGCGGAUCUGGGUUUCAGAAUUUAAAACCUGGACAUUUCCGGGCACGGUUUCGGGUUCAGCAUAAAAAACCCGGAACCCGAACCCGGUUUUUUAAUAAACUUAAAAAAAAUAUAUAAAAAAAACCAAAAAAAUUAAAACGAGUUACCCAAAUCGCAAAACACAAAUGCCCAAAUCCAAAAAUCCCUAAUUCCCCAGUUACCCAAACCCAAAGGCAUAAGCAGCAACCCUGCCACCGGCUACCCACCGUCACCGUCGGCCAGCACCCACCGUCAGUCCGUCACCGUCGCCCCUCGGCAUCAUCUCUUCUUGUUUGGCAUUUGCUGACUCGGUUUUGCUCGGUUGCGGCUGUGACGUGAGUCGUUCGUGCAGUGCAGUGCAGCCCCCUCCGGCGCCGUCAACGUCAGUGCCACCGUCUCCAACUCUCCAUUGCCACUUUCUCAUCCACCAUCAGUCCAUCACUCUACCAUCACAGCCACCACUACCAGCCUCAGGUAUUGAUUUUUUCCCUCAAAAUUUUGCCUUCCCAGUUGCAUUUUUGCCGAUUCAUAAUCUUUAUAGAAUUACAAUUUACAUCAUUUUGCUUCUCUGUUGCUACUCGUGUUUAUCUUCAACCAAUUUUGUGCAUGGUUGCUGUGAGCCUGUGAUUACUGUUGCUCUUUAUUUUUUUCAGCCAAAUCCUUUUGCCUUUUUUUAAUUUUAUGUUGCAAUGUUAGUUAUGUAAUAAUAAGUUUCAGAGUCCGUUGAAUGACUUUUUAUAAAGAAGCUAAUUAAUGAAACUGGAAAAGGAGAGAAUGGAGGAGAUUGACAUUUACAGGAUGCGAUUAAACAAUUGAAAAGCUAAAAUAUGGCUUAUGGUGACAUUUACACACACACACACACACACACACAAAAUCAAUACUCUCUGUCUCUCUUUUCUGUUCACUUUUCCGUUUCCACACUAAAAUUUGAAAUUUAGUAUAUCUUUGCUAUUGUAACAGCAGAGUAGUGCAAUGUCGGACAACGUGGAAAUCAAUUCUUCGAGUGCUCCAGAUUUAUCUCGUAAUGUCGAAGAUAAAAUUGAUAAUGAGGUUGAGGAAAUUUUAGUGUCAACCGUGAAUGAUAAGAAGAGUAAGGAAGAAACCAGAAAAAAGAAGAAAGUCUCCGAAGCUUAGGAGCACUUUACAAAAAUAAUGGUAAAAGGAGAACAAAAGGCAAAGUGCAUGCAUUGUAGUGCAAUUUUAAAAGCAAAAUACCAAUCUAGGACUUCAACUUUGAAUAGACACGUGGCAUUUUGUUUUAAGAAAAAUCAACCGAAAAUAGAAGAAGCACUUCAGGGAAGCCUUAAAGUGAUUAAAAAAGAGGAUGGAACUUGUGGCAUUAGUUAUGGCAGUUUUGAUCAAAAUGUUUUACGGAGUUUGAUAGCAAGAAUGGUUAUAAUGGAUGAGCUUCCACUUAGAUUUGUGGAAUAUAUAGGCUUCUGAGAAAUGAUGGCACAUGCUAACAGGCUUGGCAAAACCCUAGGUCCGGUCCUGGUUUGGUGCAACCCGGGACCGAAUUGGAUGCCAAAAAUUGAUGCCCGGACCCAGACAAAACCCGGCUUUUGCAUGUCCGGUCCCGGCUUGAGCCCGGCGUGUCCCGGGUCCGGGUUUUUUCUUCCGGGCAUCUAAGCCUGUAAACACUUAUUUCAAAAGUUUUUUCUUUCAUUUUUAUGUCUUUGUAUGUUCGGACGAGAGGAGUAUUCCAAAAAUGAAUUUUGAUUUAUAAGAGAACACGGCGUAAAAGAAUCUUGGACAAUAACUCCAUAGCCAAUUCAUUUAAAGAAUUAUGGCCAUAUGUCACUUCAAGGACACUGAUUCGGUUUUGCUGGUUUUAAAUUCUAAAGGAACAUGGCACUUUUUGAUCAAAGAUAUGGUAAUGACACCUAAAUAUCACCAAACAAGUGAAACAACAAUACAACAUGCAUGCACAUUUCUUGUGUAUCAUAAUACAAGAUAAAUCUCAAGUUUAAGUCAAAGAGAAAUUAGAGAAAUAGUUAAAUACAAACUUAUAACAUACUAACAAUACAAAUUUUGCACAAAUAAUAAAUAAAAAUUCACCUAAUUUCUAACCUAAACUCAUUCAAUCUAUAUAAAAAAAAAAUUAAAUUCAAUAACACAAUAAAUCUAAAUAACAUCCAACAUAUCAUAAGUUCAUAAUUAUGACACCAAUUAUCAAUACAACACAUGAAAAUCUUAAAAUAUUCAACAACUCAAAAAAUAGUUCAUAAAAGAGUCAAAAUACUCCCAUGUAAAAUAAAUAAAUAACAAGCUCAUGUCUAAUUCCAAAUAAAUAAAUAAAAGUUCAUGUCAUGCUACUCGUCGACGCUUGUGGCUCAUCAUCAUCAUCCGAAAUUACCUCUUCCCCAGUAAAAAUCUCAUCCUUCGGAACUCCACCUUACAACAAAAAUAACACAUUAAGAUUCAAAAUAUUUUAAGCAAAUAAAUACUACUAAAAUAUAAUUCAAAUAACUUUAUACCUCGAGAAGUAGAAGCCCAAAUCCAAUUUUGAGCACACAUUAAGGCUUCCAAAGUGUCAGGAAGAAGUUUACUACGAUGCGGACUAAAAAAUCUGCCCCCGGCACUAAAAGCUGACUCAGAGGCAACGGUGGAUACAGGAAUGGCUAAGAUAUCCUUAGCUAACUCAGCCAAAAUGGGAUAUUGGAUUGUGUGCAUCUUCCAAAAAGCUAAAAUAUCAAAGUCCGGAAUGGAAUCCAACAAUUCCUCAUCUAAAUACCUAUCCAACUCCGACUUAGUUACUUUAGCACGUUUAUUUUGGCUUCGAAAUGUUUCAAACUCAUCUACAUCCCAAUACUUAUUCGAAUUUGAACAAUGUUCAGAAUGAGAAAUUUCCAAUCCAACAUUCUGCCCACCACUCACAUGCGCUGCCUUCGAUUCAUAUUCUUUCACUAAAUCAUAACAAAGCUUAUGUGCACACUCAAUAUGCUCAUAUGUUGUAUCACCGUAUAUCUUUGGGAAAUAAAAAUGAAUUAACAUCAUCUUAUAUCUUGGGUCAAGCACAACAACCACAACUAACAUCGGAUGAAUUUCAUUCCAAUAUUUGUCAAAUUUAUCAGCCAUUUUAUCAGCCAUAAUCCUAAUAGCAAGGUUAUCAGCAGUGCACCACCUAUUAAUUGACAAUUUCAUUUUACAUAUCAAUGGAAAAAACAAAUUAGCAAUUGGGUAUUUUGCACCCGAAAACAUCUCCGUUAACAUGUAAAAUGAUUUCAAAUGCUCCACCAUUAUGACUGCCAAAUCCCACUCCUCAUCACUUGGCAAGUUCUUAUACUGAGGCUCACAUUGUUGCAACCAAGAAAAAACACUUCUAUACAUCAAUGCUACUUCAAGCAUGGCAUAAGUAGAGUUCCAACGAGUAGGACAAUCCAAUUUCAAUUUUUUUUACAAUUAAUUUUUAAUUGUCUAGCAGUUAACUCAAAAGUUUCAUAUCUUUUUGGUGUUUGUGUCCAAUAACUCACUCUCUCUCUAAUGUUUCCAAUCCCACUUUCUAUAACUUUCAACCCAUCCCACACAAUCAAGUUCAAUAUAUGAGCAGUACAUCUCAUAUGAGAAAAUUUACCACUAGAAAUUAAGGUAUCGGUAUCAAACCUUAAGAGCAAUUUCUCCACCAUUGCGUCAUUAGUGGUACAAUUAUCCAAUGUCACUGAGGAUAACUUUCUAUCCACGUUCAAAUCCAAUAGGCAUUGUACUAAUUCAUUACAAAGGGCAUCAGCAGUAUGGGGGCUUGGAACAUAGAUGAACCUAUCAAAUAUUCAAAAGUCGGUAUUAAAUACACAAACUUAAAAUAUAUUACAAUUUAAACUUGAAAAAAAAUCUAAUAUAAGUAAUAAAAAACUUAAAAGAAAAAUUAAGCAAAUAAAAAAUUAAGACAAAUUACCUUAAGAUUCGACUAUGCAAUUUCCAGGAAUUGUCAAUGAAAUGGGCCGUCACGACCAUAUAGACAAAAAAAUAUAUAUACAAAGCCAAAAAAUUAAAACUAGUUACUCAAAUCGCAAAACACAAAUGCCCAAAUAUGAAAAUCCUUAAUUCCCAAGUUACCCAAACCCAAAGGCAUAAGCAGCAACGCUGCCAUCGGCUACCCACCGUCACCGUCGGCCAGCACCCACCGUCACUCCGUCACCGUCCCCCCACGGCAUCAUCUCUUCUCGUUUGGCAUUUGCUGACUCGAUUUUGCUCGGUUGCGGCUGUGACGUGAGUCGUUCGUGCAGUGCAAUGCAGCCCCCUCCGGCGUCGUCAGCGUCAGCACCACCGUCUCCAACUCUCCAUUGCCACUUUCUCAUCCACCAUCAGUCCAUCACUUUGCCAUCACAACCACCACUACCAGCCCCAGGUAUUGAUUUUUUUCCUUCAAAAUUUUGCCUUCCCAGUUGCAUUUUUGCCGAUUCAUAAUCUUUAUAGAAUUGCAGUUUACAUCAUUUUGCUUCUCUGUUGCUAUUUGUGUUUAUCUUCGACCAAUUUUGUGCAUGGUUGCUGUGAGCCUGUGAUUACUGUUGCUCUUUUUUUUAUUGGCCAAAUCCUUUUGCCUUUUUUAAUUUUAUGUUGCAAUGUUAGUUAUGUAAUGAUAAGUUUCAGAGUCCAUUGAAUGACUUUUAUAAAGAAGCUAAUUAAUGAAAUUGGAAAAAGGAGAUAAUAGAGGAGAUUAACAUUUACAGGAUGCGAUUAAACCAUUGAAAAGCUAAAAGACGGCUUAUGGUGACAUUUACACACACACACACACACACACACACAAUCAAUACUCUCUGUCUCUCUUUUCUGUUCACUUUUCCGUUUCCACACUAAAAUUUGAAAUUUAGUAUAUCUUUGUUAUUGUAACAACAGAGCAGUGCAAUGUCAGACAACGUGGAAAUCAAUUCUUCGAGUGCUCCAGAUUUAUCUCGUAAUGUCGAAGAGAAUCAGUGUCCUUGAAGUGACAUAAUGGCCGUAAUUCUUUAAAUGAAUUGGCUAUGGAGUCAUUGUCUAAGAUUCUUUUACGCCAUGUUCUUUUAUAAACCAACAUUCAUAUUUGGAAUACUCCUCUCGUCCGAACAUACAAAGACAUAAAAAUGAAAGAAAAUUUUUUUGAAAUAAGUGUUUGCGGGCUUAGAAGCCCGGAAGAAAAAACCCGGACCCGGGACUAAAAUUAAUCAUCUUCAUAUUAUAAAAUAAAUAUAAAAACAACAUUUGAAAAAUAAUGCCAACUACACCCUUAAAUUUUAUGUACGGCACUAGAAUUGAUGAACAAUUUUUGACAAAGAUGUUGCGACCUAAGUAGGGAUGGCAAUUAAAUUCAGAUCCGGCUCAGAUCUGUAAGGAUCCGAAAGAUUCGAAUCUUGAAAAAUUCGUAUCUGCAUAUUAAAAAAUGUGGAUCCGGAUAUAGAAAUUUGGGAUCCGCACGAAUCUAGAUGCAAGUGCAUUCGGAAAACCGGAUAUCGAGAUCCGGAUAAAUUUUAUUUCAAAUUAAAAAUUAAAUUAAAAUAUAUAUUAAAAAUUAAAUGAAAAAUUAAGAAAGUAAAUUUUAUUUAUGGAUUUAUGAUGUCGUUGUAUAUUAUUCAUGUUGAAUUAUUAGUUGUUGGAUUAUGAUUGAAUUUUAUUUGAUAUUAUUGGGCAAAUUAUUGAAUUUUAUUUUAAAAUAAAAGUAUUUAUUAAAAAUUAAAUAAAAAUAAAAAAAAAAUUAAAUUUUAUUUGUAGAUUUAUGAGAUUAUUGUAUGUUAUUCAUUUUGGAUUGUUAAUUGUUGAAUUAUGAUUAAAUGUUAUUUGACAUUAUUAGGUAAAUUAUUAAACUUUUAAAGUAUAUAUUAAAUUAUUUAAUUUUAAUUUUUGCGGAUUUGGAUAUUCAGAAUAUCCGCCCGCAUCGGUUACGGAUAAUACCCGCAUCCGGAUCCACAUCUUUUUCUACGAAUCCAAAUAUAGAAAUAUGAAUGCGGAUCUGAAUUCGGAUUUUGCUGACCCUAAACCUAAGAAUGAAUGUGCCUAAAGUUUUUACGACGAACAUGGAUCAUUCGAUGACACGGCAUGUUUUGCAGCUCACAUUAGUAUAAUUGAAUAAUUAAUUCAUCUCUAUAUUCAGCUUACACUGUCUCAAAUUACAUGCAAAUACAAAAGUACACUUCUGAAUCGUUCACUUGAGGAAAAUUAAUUUUAACUCAAUAAGUCCUAAUUCUCCACGUAGAAUUUUAAUUCAAACCAUAGCAAAUUAGACAUAAUUCUAAUUUAUAUGGGAAAUAUAAUUAGCGAAGACACUCUUUAUAUAAGCAUUAUUGUCAUAGGAUGCCAAACUUAAUAAGAUUCAAGGUCUUAACAGACUUCAUACGAAUUUGAUCUUGGCGCGUACGGACACGCAUAACAUCAAGACUCUACUUCAUAUAACGUAACUUAAUGGAUUUUUCGCUCUCUUGUGAGUCUGUCGUUUGUUUGCAAACUUUUCCAUUUUAAAUUGACAAUUAUAGGCGCUGUGACUGUGAGGCAGUGGUACAUAAAAUAAACGUUUAUUUUUAGAAUAUUAUUAUUUAUCUCAAUUUUUUUAUUUAAUAGUUAAUUUUAAUGAAUUCUUAAACUGUCAUAAUCAAUUAAUUUUUUACAUUAUGGCAUCUUAAAUAAAUUUUGGAUCUGUAAUAAAUAAAAACUGGUAACGUUUGUUCUUUUAAAACAUAAACAACCGUAACAUUGGUUUUUACAUUUUGAAUUUUUCUUGCAUCACUAUUUAAAAAAGGCUCUGGCUAAGUUACGUUAAACGUAACUUACGCCAGACACAUCAACAGUGCACAGUAAUAGAACCUGCUACUGUUGCUGUGCCUGGCGUAAGUUACGUUUAACGUAACUUAGCCGGUUCCUUUAGAAAAAUGAUGUUAAAUCAACUCACAAAAUAUAUCAAGCCAUCUAAAAUCCAAAUAUUAUUACAUUUGUAUUUGCAUUGUUAAAUUGUUGGAACGACGGCAAAGCAAUUGAAGAGAUAUUAACAAAAAAGUAAAGAUUGGCCAAGGAUUAUUCAUGUUUAGGAAAUGCCUUAACUUUUGAUAUAAUCAUUGUUAUAAUUAUAUUGUAGAAAUAAUCAAUUACGUAAUGUUUGUGGUGGUAAAUAUUAUUAACUUGUUUUACUAUACCCGUGUUUAUGGUGGUCUCCUUUUCGUCCAAUUCUGUACAACAAAAUAUUUGCAUGUUUUGAUGGUAGGAUGAAGUAAUAUAGUUUUACAAAUUACCAUAUUAGAGGUUAAAAAAAAUCAAGAGGUUACCUGACAAUUAUGACGUUACUAACUACAAAUUUUAACACAAAAAGUUUAAUUAACUUUUCUUUUUGAGAUAACAAAAUCUCUGGUGUUGAAAACAAUGAGGUUUGAGGUUCAAGCUUGAAUAUCAAGUUACAAUUAAUAGAUGGUCUUAGGACAUAUCAAAGAUUUCUUUAAAGACAAAAUAAUAAUUACAAGCAAUAGGAAUUUAUGGUAUUCAGAACAUGUAACCUUCGCACAUGAAGCUUGAGUCCAGCAAAAGAUGCAGCUAGCCAAAACCCCACAAAAUCUCUGUCAACAUGUCUGUUCUACUUCAAUAUUAAGCACAUUCAUAGCGGUAUCAACAGCUUACAGCUCCAAAAUAUUUUCCCCAAAAAGAGUUGAGAGAUUUCACUGAAGCUAAUUUGUGACUUGUCACUGCUCAAAUGUUCUAUAACACGAUAUGAUUAUUCUAGUAACACAAAUCCAAUAGCAUGCAACAUAAUCUACUCUCUAACAUUGUGCAUUAGUAAAAUAAAACAGAGUAAAAAGAGACACCAUGCCUGUGAAUCUCUUCUUUUCCCCCUACCACCCCUUUUUUUGGUGAAGUCCAUCAAAUGAAAAUGCAGCAUGACCACGUUGGCCACUGCCACUGCCAUUACUUCUUCAACUGUGCCUUUUGUUGCAGGAAAUAUUCAAGUGAAAGAUUGGAUUAUAUAAUUCAAGAUUCCAAUAAACCUGAGCUGCAAAGGUUGCCUUCCACUAGCCUAUCAGAGACUAUGCUUUCUAUUUUCCUAGUUUUUUAAUCAAAAUUUUGCAAGAUUUAUUUAUGGAAAUCUUGGACAAAAUUUUAUGUAAGAUACCAUAAAGCCAAACACAAUCUUUUUAAUUCUCAGCAGCAACAUUUAAAGUAAAAAAAUGGAAGCCAUAUGAAUAUAACUAUGUUUGGUACAAGGAACAAUUAUUUCAAGCUUUCAGAAAUGCUACCAAGAAAUUGUAAGAGAACUUUACCUGGUCACAGAAUAUGUCUAACAUACUACCACCAACUGUCUUCAGCACGAUUGUUAUGAAGUAGCUUUUGAAUCGGAAGAUUCCAGCUUCCACCAGGCACCAUUAUUUUCAUUCUUGAUACACUCUCAUCAUCCCAAUCAAGGCUUCUUCUCCAGCUCUGGAUUAUAAGUCCACUCCGACAUCUUCAAACAUCUCGGUCCUUCCAUUUGCCAACAACCGAUAUGGCUUCCUUCCUUGCCUUCCUCAUUAAUAUAUCACUCGAAGGAAAAAAAGCAUCAGCAAUUCUCUUCAACGCCUCAUCGUUUAUAACCCCCCAAAAAAAGGGUCUUCAGACACCUCAACUUUGCCUUGUGCAAAACCUCCCCAAAAUCUGAAUUAUCCAACACAACAGCCAGAUACUCAAUCCUUCUUUUGUCCAUCAUAUCCACCGUAUGAUUCCUCAACAAAAUAUCUACAGCUUGUGGCUUAUCUAACACUGUCUUGAUCCAAAACCCCGCUCUUUUCAACUCAUCUGCCAAACCAUAACCCACUUUUGGAGUCAAAAUUGUCCUUGCAGCCCUUUUAUAUUUUUCCAUCUCCAUCGAAUACUUGCCACUCAAAUGGAAUUACCAGACAGGAAUCCCAGUAACAAGUCCACUCAACUUCUUCUCAUCCGAUCCCUCUUUCACUCUAGCGGAAACAUUAAUAACCAUUCACCAGCCACAAAUUACCCAAGUAAGUACUCGUGUCGUCAACACUUACCCUUCACUUCAUCUACGCAAACAUGAAUUCAAAUUGAUUAUUAGCUAGUGCUCAAGCGAAAGCCAAAAUAAAUUAAAUAUGUGUGUGCGUGUGUGUUAAAAGAGAAACGGUAGCGAAGUUAUUAUACAAUAAAGCAAACCAAAAUAAAUUCUACACUCAUGUGGGUGUUUCGCUCGCAAAAUCUGGACAAGAAAAAAUAAUAUUGAUACAAUCUCCAAAUAAAGAGCAUUCCUCUUGGUAAAAUAGACAAAUCCUAUAAAUUUUGAUUAAUGGUGCCAAAUGAAAGAGUUGUAAUUUCAUGUACAUUUUGUUAACAUGCAUAAGGGUACAAAAUAGAUAUUAAUGUGACAAAAACAAAGCUAAUCACAAUGAAUGAUAAGGUUUAGAAAUCCCAGUUUGUGUAAAAGAAAGAUAACAAAAUUAAGGAAAACAUAAGCACAACAAAAUUUGACUGAUUAUUAAAAAUGAGAAAUGAGUUAUAAUGAAAAUUUUGGCUUUGUGGUGAAAUAAAUUGGGAAGUAUCCAAAGUUCGCAUGUAAAUAAUAUAAAUGAUAAGAAGACGAAGGGAACAAAAUGAUAAUAAGCAAGCCAAAUAUUAAAAGCCAAAUAUUCAAGUUAGUGUCUCGCUAAUCAUUUUAGACGUAUCAAUUACAAAGGGAGGCCAUCUAUUUAUAGUAAGCGUACUGUUGCGGACCGCCCAAUUCGCUAGCCCAAUUGCCCACAAUUUCAGGCUAGAGAGCCAACACAAGGCCAAGAGUGCUAGCUUGGCCCAAUUCCGGAAAGUUCUAUGCAACUCUAGCACAUGUGAGCUUGUAAAUACUCUAGAAUUCUCUAUACAAUUCCAGCACAUGUAAAUAGCUAGGAAGUGGUAGAAUUCUCUAGAAUCUCUAGAGCUUGGCAAGCCUCCCCUAUAAAUAUGGGAUGGCAUUAGGCAUUUGUAUCCAACAAACACUACAACAAGCAACUCAAGCAUUAUAAUCUCUUUUGUGCAAUACAAGUUUCUUCUUUGGCUCAAUUGCUCUCUCUUCUCUAAUCCGAGAAGUUCUAGGCUUACUUAGCAACAUUCGGCAAAGUUGUCUAAGUGCCGCACGGGUUAGCUGCGCAAAACACUCAUCCCGUGACAGUACGCCUCUAAUGCUUUGCCAGGUGUCCAUUGAUAAUAUCACAAGGAAAAUUAAAUUGGUGUAUGUGUAUUACACCUCCUAAAGUCAUGUUAAGAUAGUUAGCACUCUUGGUUAAGUCUGCUAGAAUUGCAAACGUGUAAAGCUGAGUCAGCAAGUUAGUUAAGGUUAUUAUGAAUGCUUAGAUUCAGCUCAUGUAGAUUGUGUAUACAACUUUCUAAUAUCCUUUAGAUCUCAAUAUGAAUACUUGUAAUCAACAAAUACAAUAAUAAGAGUCAUCAUUCUUCAUUUUCUCUCAGUUUCUCUCAUAUUUUCUCUGCAUCCAAACACAAUAUUCUCAGUUCUUGACUUAGUAUCAGAGUCGCAGUUUAAUUGACGUGGCUUCGUUAAGCACAAAUUCAAAACAAAUCAGUCUCCUUCAUCCUUUACCUUCACAAAUUCGAUCAAACUGGACAGAUCUAACUAUACAAUCUGGAAAUCUCAGAUCCUCUCUUCAGUGCGUGCCAAUGGACUUGAAGGCUUUCUUAAUGGAACUAAAAUUUGUCCAGAUCAGUUACUUACUCAAGAGAUUGAAAGUUAUGGUGCUGAAAAUGCAGUUGGUGAAAGCUCAGCUGAUAGAUCUCAGGAGAAUCCAGCCUUUGUUGCUUGGAAAAUGUAGGAUCAAUUGUUAUUAAGUUGGCUCAUGUCCUCCAUCAGUGUUGAGAUACUUAGUCUUGUGGUAAAUUCUGAUUCUUCUCAUAAACUUUGGACUAAUCUUGAAGAAAAUUUUUGGAUUAGAAACUAUGGCUAAGAAAGCACACUUAAAAAUGAUGUUAAGCAAUCUCAGAAAGGGAUCAAUGACAAUAACUGAGUAUUUUGCCAAACUUAGAGCUGUAACUAAUAAACUUGCUCUAACUGGUAGCCCUGUUUCUACUCUAAGACUUUAUUACUCAUCUAAUCUCUAGAUAAGGCCAGCCAUACUACCCUGUUGUUUUGUAUAUUGAAGCUAAUAUGAUGAAAAUAUUUGUCAAUGAAGCCUAUUCUAUGCUUUUAACUCAUGAAGCAAGAAUUAAAUUUAAUCAUCCGAGUGCAAAUAAAGAAGCAAAGUUGAAUUAUGCUGCUAACAUAGCUUAGGCUGGACCUAGUAAUAACAAUAAGAAUUCUAGUAAUCAAGCUAAUUACUAUCAGGGAAACCAAGGUAACGGGAAUAGAAAUGCUCAUUGGUGUGGUAACAAUGGAGGAAGAGGUGGCUUUGGCAGAGGUUUUUCAGGGCAAGGAAGGGGUAAUUAGAAUAAUGGUGGUCAUUGGAACAAUGGACCUUGGAGUAGUAGUCGAGCAGGUUAUAACCUUUUUAUAAGAAACUCAAAAAUGUAUUAAUGAUGAAAAUUUUAAAACAGAUAGUGGACCAGCUGUUCACUAAGAAAACAAAAAACUGAAUAUUCGUGCUAUAAAAAGGCACAUCCAAUCUCACCCCUACAAAAGGCUAGAAUCAGCGACAAAUCCCUAUCUCAAAACCCCAUCCCAGUUUAGAUGAAUGAAGAAAAAAGAUGAAUCUUGAAACUCCUUAGAAACUGAAGCCCAAAGUGAAGCAAGAAGAUGAACUCUAUCCCAAGCAAGCAAUAUGGCAUAUUUCUCCAUUAAUGGUUCAAAUAAAGUGAAUGGCUUUCUCUGAUGAAUGGGAAAUUUUCAAGAUCAAUAGUCAAACUCACGUAAAGUAAACGGACUUAAUUCUCAAAGGCUACUCAUUCUAAGUCUUAAAGAAAAUUUUUCUAAUUUCUAAAGAUUAUAUGGGGAAAAAUCAUUAUUUUCUAAAAUGGAAAAUUUGAUACGGUGUUUAAUGUUUGAUCACAAUCAUAAUAUGAGUACUAACAAAAACAUCUUUAAUCGGCAUGGUGCGAGUAAAACACUAUCACUUUAUCUUUGAUAGAAAGAUGAUAAUAUAAGGAGAUGGUGAAAUGGUUUUGGUCUCUGGCAGCUUGUAAUCAAAAGAAAACAAAAAACUACACUAUUAUUAAUGAUUAUCGAAGCUACAGAAGUAUCAAAAUCGGAAAGCAAACAAUUGCAAAACACAUCAAUGACUGAAGGUUAGGUUCUAAAACUUCCGUAUUUAAUUUUCAGAGCAUGUUAUGUAUUAUUCAGAAAUAUGAUUUCACUUCAGGCACUAGACCAAGACGCAUUAAACAUAAAACGCGGCGUUUUCAUGGACUAGUACAUUCCAUGCUUCGAAAGUUUAUGUUUUAGACUGAUUGGUUUGAUACAUUAUUUGUUUAUUGUGUUUUUCUUGCUUUAAAUAUUAUGUUGGAUUGAUAAGUUUUGUACACAUUUAUAUUGCUCGCAGUAAAUAAUUUAUGACAUUUAAAAAACUAUCAACCGUCUAUCAAAAGAUUUCUACUAUAAAUAUAUAUACAAAAAAACUUUUAAUUUGGUCAAUUUGUUCUCUUAUUUAUUUUUGUUCUAUUUCUCUUUUCCUUCCCUUUCAUUUUAUUGUUUUAUGGUACAAAAUAAAAAAAUAACCUUAAAAUUUAAGGGUAAAAUACUCAUUUUACUAAAAUUCCGUUUAAUAUUAUAAAGCUGUCAAAUGUCAAUGGCAUAGUACACGAGUGAUACAAAUUAAUAACAAUAAAUUGAAAGUUUUUAUGCAUUUUCCUUUUUUUUUUUUUAUAGUCGAUUGAGAUUUCCCUUCAUAUGUUUAAACCUGUUGAUUUCCUCAACGCUCAUCCUGUUGGAAAACAACUCCUCAGUACUUGGAGUGUCUACUCCGUAGUAACAAGAAGCUAUGAUUGGUGGGCUUGCAGCGUACCCAAGUGCAGCCACCACUCCAGAAUCUGGUACUGCAAUCACGACAUCACACUCAACAGGAGCCUCGGUAGCAAGUACUUCCCCAAAAUGAUACCUCGACUCAUAAACAGACCUUUCAAAAACAACAGAAUUAGGCAAAGCAAAAUAAAUAUGCUUAAAGAUGCACUGCUUAGGUUCAGGGUGAGGCAUCAAACAAGGUGAUUGAACCCCAUCUUUAUCCACCAUCAAAACUUCACCGGGAUAUACCUCUCUCUCUCUCUCUCUCGAGUGUGGCCUCAAUCAAAUAGUGCACAAGUCUCUGACGCAAAAACCAGAGCACCAUUACUCCUCCUACCCAUCACCAACGGCAUAAACCCAUACGGGUCACGAACUGCAACAAGCUUAUCCUCAGUAACAAACACCAUUGAAUAAGCACCCUCAAGCUUCUCACAAACAUCCACAAUCCUCAAAAAGAACGGCCUAGCUUUCGAUAUCGGAAUCAAAUGGAGAACAACCACAGUAUCAGAACUAGUAUUAAAAAUGGAUCCAUUAUCUUCAAGCUUAGCCCUCAAAGUAUUACAAUUAACUAAUGUGCAACACCAACAGAACCAAACCUGUACCCAGCAACAAAAGGCUGCACAUUCUUAAGCAUAGAACUACCCGCAGUCGAAUAUCUAACAUGACCAAUGGCCAUAUCACCCGGCAAUUGAUCAAGUUUGGACUGAUUAAACACAUCAGAGACUAAACCAACACCAGUAAUAGACUGAAGAGCUUUGUUAUUCACAGCAACUAUACCUACACCUUCUUGGCCACGAUGCUGCAGCGCGUGUAGCGCCAAAUAGCACAAACGCGAGGCCUCUGGGUCACCAUAGAUGCCCACAACACCACACUCCUCGCGGGGUUUACCGUCGUCGUCAUCAUCAAAACUGCCAAAACCGUCAUCUGGGUAUUCUUUAUUUGUGGUGAAAAACUCAGAGAUGGGUUUUUUGAUAGAACAGUGAAGUUUUUUUUGUGGGUUAAAGAUUGUUGUUUCUGAGGAAAAAAAGGGUUUUUUUUGCAGGGUUUUGGAGAAAAGAGAAAGAUGGGUUUUUUGCGACGGCUUAGGGUUAACAGAUGGAGAUGGGUUUGAGAGAGGGCAGAUGUUGGCGGUGCCUGUUGUGGUGGCUGCCAUUAAUGGCUGAAUUUAUUAUAAACAGGCAAAAUUAUGGUACCAUUGUUGCAAUCAGCCAUUAGAUUUAUAGUUGUAUAGUUACAUUAACAAGAUUCAAUGGCUGAAAGCAACAGUGGUACCGUACUACUGUUGCAACAUAGCUGGACCCAUUAUAAACACUUGAAGUCAAAGUUAAUGUUUUAAUUGUUAAGAAAAGUUAGAAGAAGAAAUUUUUGUAUAAGAGAAUUGGGUUUAAAUUUAGAAUUCUUUGGGAGGAAAUGAGUCUAAAUUCCAAUAAUAUAAUUCAGCACUAUUUAUAUAUAUCAUUAGUUGGGUGAAAAAUUAAUUUCCCUCCUUUGAUGUGAUUUUCAUCAUUUAUUUUCAUAUAACGGUAAUUUUUUGUUUAGAGUGAAGUUAUUGGCACCAUUUCAUUAUCCUUAUAAAAUCCUACUUCAAAUAAAAUUACACUUAAAGACAAUAGAAUUAAAUAACAUAGUUUUUUUUUCAAACAAAUUACUCACGUUCAUAAUUUUUUUUCUUCUAAUUUUCUACAGAUUGCUUUGUAUCUAACUAAAAUAAAUUGUACAAAUUUAGAAUAAUCUAUUAUUCUUUUUAAAUUUCUUAUUGAUUAAAUAUUUGUAUGCUUAAGAUAGUUUUAAAAUUAUAAGAUAAAAUAUAUAUAAUUUAAGCCAAUGAUUAAUAUUAAAAAAUUUAUCUCUCAUAAAAGUUUUUAAUUUGUGCGUAGGGUAAUAAUAAAAUUGCAAAAGAAAUGAAAAAUAGCAUAGCACUAUUUUGAGUUUAAACAAUAAAAAAUUAAAUGAAAAAUUAGAAGUGUAUUUAAAAAAAGGAUAUUUUUGAAAAUAAAUAUAAUUUAAAAAAAAAAGAGUUUCAUGAGGGGUGCAAUAGUUCAACUCUUUUGUUUAUAAGUUUUAAGAUGUUGGUAUCCGUAGCUUAGCUUUUCCCUAAUUAUUAUAUUAAAAUGUAACAACAAUUAUGAUCAACCCUAAUUUCAUGGAGGUCAAAGAUUUUGGUCAUGCCACAUUAUUUUUUUUUUGUUUUUAAAAAUAUCAUUUAUUUAUUUUUUUUAAAGGUAAAGAAGUGGGUAAAGUUCAAAUUCAACUUUUAUCCCUUACGUCAUGGCCCCUAAGAUUUGAACUUAGGUGACCAAAUUUAUAAUAAUAGGCAUCUCAAAUUUCAUUUCUAAUGAUAUGCAAUUUAUUAAGUGAUUGUUAAUCUUUAUAAGAUCCGAGUGAAUUAAUUGUAUUAUUUCACUACUAAUUGAUGAGUAUCAUAUUAUUUGGAAUAACUUGUGAAUAAAAAAAUUGUGAUGGAUGAAAUAUUCUUUUGAGAAUUUAUUGACUUAUCUCAUUUAUGAUUUAUUGUUGCAUUUAGGUGAUAUUGCAAAUAAUUUUUCCGAUAAUAUUAUUGUUUUGACGAGUAAGUUUGGAGUAAAUAAUACAUAUGACAAGUGUGAGGUUUGUUAUUGCAUAUAUUUUGUGGAUCCAUUUUAAAGCAAAAAAAAAAAAGGCAUUUCGAUUCAUUAUGAUUCCAGAUAAUAUAUAUGUAGAUCCUCACACAAUUGAUUAAAUAUUUAUAGUAGGAUAGAGUGAUAAAUAGUUUUACAAAAUUAUUGGAAUUAACUAUUUAAUACAUGAGAUCUAUCUCACUAAGGAUAAAAGAUUGCUGCUUCAAAAGCUUGACGUUGCUGGCAACAAAUUUAACACAAAAGUUUAAUUAACUAUCCUAGUUGAGAUAAUAAAAUUUCAUGUUGAAAACAAGAGGUUCAAACCUUCUCAUUCAAAAAAAUAAAGCCAAAAUAUUACAUCUUCCAGCACAUAUAAAAGAUUUUUUCUUCAAAGGCAGACUGAUAAUUCAGGGUAAAAAAACAAAAACAAAAAAAACAAAAAAAAAAAACAAAAGGAAUAUAUGCUAUUCAAGACAGGUAUACCUUGGACAUGAAGUCUGAGUCCAGAGCAAGAAGCAUUUAGCUGAUUUUUCAAUUUCCAAAACCCAACAAAAUCUUUGUCAAAAUAUAUGAUCUAGUCCCAUAUUAAGCACAUUCAUAGUCGUAUCACCAGGUUCAAAAUAUUUUCCCCAGAUAGAGAUAGAGAUUCCAUUGAAGUUGAGUUGUGACUGUCCCAACAUUUUGUAAUUAUAUGGUUCAGUAUACCAUGCCUAUGAAUCUUUUUUUUUUCUUUUUUUCCAUGUUUCGAAGUCUAUCAAAUGAAAAUGUAAUUAUAUGGUUCAGGACACCAAUAUGCCGGAGCUGCAAAGGUUGACUUCCACUAUCCUAUCAGUGUCUAUACUUUCUAUUGAGUUUCCUUGUUUUUUUUUAAAUUGCGAGAUUUAUUUUUGGAAAUCCUUGACACAUUUUAUGUAAGAUACCAUAAAGCCAAAUACAACCUUUUUUAUUCUCAGCAGCAACUUUUUUUUUCCUUUUAAAAAAAGGAAGCCAUAUAAAUAAUGCUUUAAACAUUAUUUGCAACAAGAAACAAUUAUUUCAUGCUUUCAGGUAUUAGAAACUUCCCAAAAAUGCUAGCAAGAAAAUGAAAUGGAACUUUACCUAGUCACGGAAUAUGUACUGCUGUUAGCACAAUUGUUAUGAAGUGGCUUCUGCAUCAGAAGAUUCCAGCUCCCACCAAGCAUUGUUAUCUCUCUUCUGAAUACAAUCUACAUCGCUGGGCAUGAGUUAUAUCAUUAAUGUCUGGAUCCUCACUUACAUCAUCCCAAUCAAGUGCUUUUUCUCCACAUUUGGAUUAUAAGUCCAAUCUCUUCAAAACAUCCUAGUCCUUCCAUCACAACUGAUACGACUUCCUUCCUAAUUACUUUCCCAUUAAUAAAUCGCUCCAAGAAAAAAAAGCAUUAGCAAUUCUCUUCAACGCCCCAUCACUCAUAUCCCCACAACAACCAUCUUCAGCCACCUCAACGUUGCCUCUUGAAAGACCUCCACAAAAUCCGAAUCAUCCGACACAACCACCAAACACCCAAACCUUCUUUUGUCCACCAUAGCCACCAUAUAAUUUCUCAACAAAACAUCGGCAUCUUGUGGCUUAACUAACACCAUCCUGACCCAAAACCAUGCUCUUUUUAACUCAUCUGCAAAACCAUAACCCACUUUUGGAGUCAAAAUUGCGCUUGCAGCCAUUUUAUUUUUUUCCAUCUUUAUUGAAUAGUUGCCAACCAAAAGCACUCUCACCUUCCCUCUAGCUGAUUCUAUUUGAUUCGACCUUUUCUUUUGUUCACCCUCAUGAAUUUGCCUAAAAUGAUUAACAAGUUUGUCAUUAUUAUAAAACCUCCUUCCACAAUCACCAAUACAUACGGCUUAGCAUGCCUAAUUACACCCUUGAUUUCUAAUUGGUUAAACAAUUCUCUUUCUUUCUUUGCUCUCUUACAACUUGAGGCAUAUAACUAAACGCGUGGCUAUUAGCAUUUGCCACCAUGCAUUUAACAACCCCAAAUGAAGAUAUUAAUUUUUUUUAGUUUAAUUGCUGCUUCAAAAUGGGGUACUGAAUUUGGAUUUUGUUAUCCAAAUACCAAAAAUUUCCCAUAUUGUGCUGGACAGUUUUUGGUUCUAAAGUUGAUGACUGGUUUUGCGAAUCAGGCUUUAAAUGAGAACUUCUAAACAAUAAGACAAAUGAGUUUUGAGUUUCUAAUCUUGUAAACUUUGUUCUAUUGUAUAAGUUAUGAAAUCACUGAAACAUCACUACAUCUGCAGGUCUUUAUGUGUCAAUGAACUGCAGAAGCUGAUGAUCUACCUGUAGCAGACUUCUAUUGCCCCUGCCGUUCUAGGAAGACAAACAAGUUCAGGAGCUACUUAUGGACCAAACUCAUAAUAUUGCCACUGCAUACCCAGUAACAGUAAUCAAGUAACAAGUCAAAACGAGAAUCAAACGUAGAAUUUUGAAAUCCAUACGAACUCUAACGUAUUAGAAUGAAAGAAUAAGGACGAUCGAUAAACUAGAAUCAAACAAAAACAUGCCCAGUUAAAAAACGAAGGUAAAUAAAUAAAAAUGGUAUAAAACUGCGAAAGAAAUUAAUAAAAUGAAGAGAAAAUCACAGGAAUCCUAUGAAGAGGAAGGUCAACAAAACCUUCGGGAGCCGAGAAGAUGCCUUUUUUUGUUCACUUUGUGCCUAUACAUACAAUUUUUUUUUUUGUAAUUUUGAAGAAAGUAUUGGUUAAAUAUUGUCAUAACGAAAUAUUAAUAAUAGAUGCUAGCAAUUUCAACAAGGACAAUCUUCGAUUCAAAUGUACCUCUAUGAUAAAGAAAAAGCCAGCUUGGCUAAAUUUUGAGCACCACAUUACAGGAUCUAGGUGCAUGUUUAACUAUGCAAAAUGAAACCUCUAUUAAUUGUAAGUCCCUUGACCUCUGGAACCAGCCAACCAGUCUCUUUCCUGUUAGACAAACUUCCAUCGAUCAGACUAAUAAUAUUUACUAAAUCAUGUUCUACAGUUAAUGGAGUUGGACCCAAGGCAAUUGUUAGAAGUCCGCCUAGACAUAGAGUGCGCUUAGAAGUGGGAUGCUUAGAAAUGGGCCGCCAACACAACCAGCCAACCGUAGUGUGCUUAGCAAAUCACUGAAGCCCGACCCAAGAUCUAGAACUAUCUACAAAUUAUAAAUCAGCUAAAAGUUUCUAAGUUUCUCUACAUAGGUCCCUAGGAUAUUUAUGGAAGUUGCUAGGAAGUUUCCUCCCCUAGAACUCUAAUACCUAUACCCUCUCAUUUGCCCACCAACCACACCACACAGACAAACACUCUAGCAUACACACAAGCUCUCUAGCUUUUGUAAAAAGCUCUCUUGUAUAUUUUCUCUUUGUGAGUAAUAAAAUCAUAUUUAGCCAUAUUGCUACACUUCUCUCUAGUAUUUUCUACAAGUGUUCUUGCUUUGCUAGUUUGAGGAGUGUUCUAGGCUUGCUUAACAACUUGUUCGCUAUAACGACAUCUUGGUCACAAAACAUGGACAUGCAAGAAAAAAAUAAUAUUGAUACGUUCUAAAAAUAAUACGCGUUCUUCUACAGUGAACCAAAAAAUUUAGGCUAAUGGUAGCAAGUGAAUGAUUUCACGUGCAUUUUGUUGACAUGAACGCAAAGGACUUUUUUUAUAGUUUAUAUUGUUUAAUAUAACAUUUGAAUUGUAAAAUAGGGGUACAAAAUAGAUACACGAAGUGAUAAAACUAAGCUGAUUAUAAUAAAUAUUGAAUUAUAAGAUUUAGGUUUAAUCAGAAAGACAUAAGUGGCGCACAAAGUCACGAAUUGAUAUCAUCCACGAUGCAAGUUCAAACAACUGCAUAAUAAGUUACCCCAAGCUAAACUAUUAAUCUAGUAACUAUUCCAGUCGAUGUGGGAUAAUUUUCCUAUCACCAUCUAUCAUGUGCAAGCUGAAUUUUUUGCUUGGUCGUUACAUGUGGUAAAGUAAUAUGAAUCCACUUGUGCAUAAAUUUGGCUCCGAUACUACAUAGACGCCUAUGACCCAAAAUUAUACUUAAAGGUUAUCUCAAGAUUUGAGGAUUGACUCAAGCUAAUAUUACUAUUAGCCUGGUAACCUUUUUUGUUUGUUGAUAUGUGAUAUUUUACCUAUAACUUUUAUUAAUCUUUAUGCUUAUGUUUUGUCAUUUAUCCUAAAAUAUAACAUUAACAAAAGUUCCAAAAUUUCCUUCAAGUGAUAUAUUUGAGACAAGUAAUUUGUGCAAUAACUUUGUAAAUUGAUGAGCAAAUUCGGAGAAAAGAAUAUAUGUGCCAAACAUAACGUUUAUUAUUGUGUUUAUUUGUAGAGCUAUUUAAAGCCCAAAAAAAAGCACCGGUCCGUUAUGAUUUCAAAUAAGUUCAAGCCCUAUGUCAUUAUUGGUACAAAAAUGAAUCAGAAAGGUUAAAACCUAUUUUUAUUUAACUUAUAAACUUAGGAAAUUAUCAAAUGUCCACCCUUAAAUUGCGCUAUUAUAAAAAAAUAUUACAACAUUUUCAAGUUGGAUCAUUCAUCCACCAUAAAUUUACAAUCUGCAUCAUUUAUCCACCAAAUCAUUAACUUCGUCAAAAAGUGAUAGACGUGACAAGGGUAAUUUAGACAUUUAACACAAAAAAUAAAAGAAAAAUAAUCUAAGCUUACCAUGUUAUCAAAAUUGCUACAAAAUUUUAAAUUUGUUCAAUUUUCCAAUCUAAGUUUAUGACCUCCAAGAUGUUAAUUGCAGUUUGUAAUUAAUGACUUCAUAAGGAUAAUUUAGACACUCAAUAUGCAAAAUAAAAAAUAAAAUAAUGGCUUAAAACAUUAAAACAAAAAACUACUUUUUAUAAUUGAUAUUCAAUUAAAUAAACAUAAACUCUAUUUUUUCUUAAUUAAAAAUAUUCUAAUUUAUUUUCUCAAUUUAUCUUCAUAAAUUUAUAUUAGUUAUGGUGCAAAGUAAAAAAAUGUCCUUAAAUCCAAGGGUAAAAUAGCAUUUUAUUUAAAUUCUAUAAAUUAUUCUAACAAUGUUAACAUUUUGGUGGAAGGUUAAUAUAAGUUACAAACUUAAAAUAGAAAAUCAAAUAAAUUCAAAAUUUCAAACUAUUUAGGACAAAUUUAGGAUAUAUGGUUAAUAAUUUUCCUCUGUCUUUUUACAUCAGUUGACAGAAGUUACAAACUUAAAAUAGAAAUCAAAUAAAUUUAAAUUUUCAAAUCAUUUAGGGCAAACUUAGGGUAUAUGGUUAAUAAUUUUCCUAUUUUUUUAACAUUAAAUUGAGUUUCAAAGACAUAAUGGUCAAUUUAUUAUAAUUCUAUUAAUUUUUUAAGGGAAGCAAGCGAUAUAAUGGAUGAAUGAUAUAAAUUGUAAAAUUAAGGUGCAUGAACGAUAUAAUUUUAAAGUAUUGUAGUACUUUUAAUAAUAGAACAAUUUAAAGGUGGAUUGGCGAUAAUUUAAACUUUAAUGAAGCAACUAAAAAAUUUUUUUAACAAAGAAAAAUAAUUGAAUGCUUUGUGAAACCAAAAAUAUUUGAAAUGCUUUAAGAAAAAUAAAGGAAAUUAAAUAUCUUUUUAAAAAACAUAAUUGAGUAAAAUCAUUUUACAAAAUGCUCUUUCAAAUGCACAUUCCACAAGCCAAGAAGGAUGGGUGGCUAACAAAAAUCUCACUUUUUAUGAGUUUAUAAAAUCUCACUUUCGCAAAAUCCAAAAAUAACCAAUACUAUCACACAAAAAAUAAAAAGUAUUGCUGUCACGACAUUACACACUUUCUUCGCCGUCUAGAAAGGUAGAACAUUUUGAAGUUCCUCAAUACAAAAUGCGUGCUAUUACUAAAUUGGCCAAAGUUUUAACAAUUGAAGAAAUAGUGAACUCAAAAGGAACAGGUAAAUUUUGAAGUUGAACAAACCUUAAAGUGCAUACAACAAAGCCUUGAAACUUUAGUCUUCACAAUUUAAUCACGCAAUAAUAUUAAGUAUCCACCUAAAAAACAAGUAUAGAGCAAAGCUUGUUAGCUUCUUGGGCAUUAACUAUGAAUGAUGAGUAAAAUUAAAAAAGCAAACAGAGAAAAUUAUAAGAAGAAGAAAAGCAAACAUUUAAAAAAAAAUUAUGAGAAGGAAAAUUUUGGUAGAACUUCGUGGCUCAUCUGUGAAAUUAAUGUCAAUAUGUAUUUUUAUGUAAAUAUGGUCUCUGGCUUUUAGGAUGAAUCAAUCAGCUACCACAAACGAAAACAUGAACCAACUAUAUAUAGAGUCAAUUAAUUAAAGUUCUCAAGAGCUUACCUCUGCUCCAGAAUUCUCGGAAUCAUCAAUCUCCUUCUGAAUUUGCGCGAAGCUUGGGACAACCAAGAAAGCGUCCAGGUGGAACUGGGUUUGGAUAACCCGCAGGCCAAAAGUUGGUGAGGUUUGGUAAAUUUAUCAGUUCUAUGCCCUGAAGUUCAUUCGUAACAAUUUCAUAGUAAUCCGUGACGUCUGCUCCACCUUUAUGCCAGAAUACUUCUUCUAAUUCAUCAUUACCUACUACGAAUAGGUACUUCAGUUUUGGAAGACUUGGAGCUACGCUGAUAUGAAAUAGAUGCUUUAGCUUGGGGCAAAAACAGACAGUGAUCCUUGUGAGUUUUGGGAAACAUACAGGUUGGAGAUGAUCCUCAUCCUCAUCCUCAUCAAUGAUUUGCUCUAAUUCCAAGCAAUUCGAAACAGAUAACUCCUCCAAUUGCAACAGAUUUCGAGCAAGUGUUGAUGAGAGGAGCCGUCUCAGCAUAGUGCACCGCUCUACUGUUAAUCGGGUAAGAUUUUGCAGGCUAAAAUUAUGCGCGGGACCUUCAUGAUAUAAUACUCUCAGUUCUCGAAGAUCUUCCAAUCCCAACCCUUUCAAACAUGGGAAUGGUUUGUUUGCUUGUCCCUCAGCGAUAAUAGAUUCCGACUGAAACACCACCAGUACUCCAAUUUUGCUAAUAUUCAAUUCUUCCAAAUUUUUUAAGCCGUGCUUCAACAGUACUGGAAUCGUGUCGCUCAAAUGGGAACAAUUGUCCACAUUUAGAAUUUUUAAGUUCUGAGACAAAUAAAUAAAUAACUUGAUGUAAUUAAAAUCUAUUAGCAGCUAGGAUUAUCACAUGAUAAGUGACGAACAUCGCAAAAAACAAAGAAACAAAAUCCAUUCAAAAAUAUAAUUGUUGAAUCCAAAUUAAUCUCCAAGACCAAUUUAGAACCCCCAAGACCCACUCUAAGAAGCUUGAUCUUUGUUCUGAAUUUAAUCACUAAAUAAGUUUUGACAAGAAACAAGAGUACCUACAUGAAAUCAAUCACACAGCUAAAGAAAAUCAGAUCACACACUUAAAACCAGGAUUAUAGUGGUUCGGCCAAGUUUCUUGCCCACAUCCACUGUGGAAAACGAAGCAACCCUUUUACUGAUUUCAGAGAACAAGUUACAAAUCUGGAGAAAAUAUGUAAAUGAAUAGAUAGCCUUUGACAACAGAUCCUAUGUCCUUUUAUACUCCAUUCUGACCAAUCCGAAAGAACCCCAAGAAACCAGUUCACGCUCCUGGGUUUCCAGCCAAGAAGAUCUCCAGCUGCUUCCCGCGUGAGCUAACGGUAAAAACCACUUCUUGAAUUUAGCUUUGGGACACUUGUCAAACAUUCACGCAAACUCUUGAUUAAAACACAGAGAAAGCUGCCGUUUUGAGUUAGUGAAACACGUGACACAUCACGUGCAAUACUAACGGAUCCAGCCGACAUAUCGUUUGUGUCAAACAUCUGUUCUGAACUCCAAUGCCUGACAUGUCGUUUAUCCUUGUUGACAAACAGACGACGUGUCAUACAUAUACCUGAGAUCAGAUUUGACUUCAUAAUUCCAACACUAAUAAUACAUAUGUAAACUAAUAAAAUAAUUAAAAAAUAAUAUGGAUUGAUAAUGUGAAGUGAUAUAAAGGUGACAUUAGAUUGUUUGAGAAAAAUUAGUAUUUUAUUAAUUUUUAUGGAUUGAUCAACUAAUUAAUUGAAUUUGAGUAAUAUUAUAUACACUUUAGUAAGUGUUUGCAUCAAUUCUUUCUAAACCAAAAUGAGAUAAGACUUCCAUUUGAACAAUGAUUUUAGGCCCUAAAAUAAAGAAAUUUCCCCAAGAUAUUUGAGCAUUAUUAUUAUCAUCACCACAUCCACGAUCAUCAUCAUCUCCAUAGGACCAAAUAAUUAAUGGUUGAUCAUAAAAUUAAUUGCUAAAUUAUCAUUUUGAGUAAAAUUGAAGGAAAAGAAAAAACAUAAACACAAACAAACAUACCUCUUCAAGAUACUGCAAAUUGGCUUCAAGUUCAGUACUGCUGACGGUCAAGUUAGAACAGCGAAUAAGGUCUAACUCUUCCAAUGCUGUCCAAAUUGAACGAUAAUUUUCUGAACAGAAGCUCUUGAGUUUUGGGAGAUUGCAAAGUGUUAAUUUUCUCAACAAAGGGAGGGCAAGCAUCGUAUUUCCAUCUCCGACACUUAUUUCCCCUUCAUUGUGAUCAAACUUUGCUUCGACAAUACAUUCCAUUCUCUGGCAUCCACUGACAAAGAGACUUUUAAGCUGCUUCAAACUUCUAGCUUGUGACAACGUGAAGAUAUAUGUCAAAUUGUUGCACCCAUACACACUCAAUUUUGUAAGAGCUUGGAGGCUGAUCACAUGUUGGGCGGGCGCCUUCCAUAUCCACUUCAGUUCUGGUAAUUGCCACAUAGAUAACUCUGCUAAUCUUGAGAGCAUCACAGGAUUCCCACUCUUUCCGUACGGCGACUUAGAGGCAUCCAUUAUGCAUUCUAAUUCUUUGCACUCAUUGGCAGAAAGACAAGGCAACUCAUUUAAGCCCUUUGGAUCUAUGCUUGGCACAAUAUUGUGACAACCUAUAAUCGUUCUUAAAUUAAGAAUUUCCAGUUCUUGAUACAAUGUCGAAAAAAUACCGAGCGAGGUCGCUUCACAAUUAUUAAUCUUUAAGCACCUUCUCUGUCCAAAAAUUUCAUCUUCUUCGUCCAUUAGAAAUUCAAGUUUGUUACCGUUACUGACGUAGUGCCUUUGCAAUUUCGGGAAUGUAAAGUCUUUUGGAAGACGUGCAAUUUUUUUGUCAGUAUGUAAAGUCUUUCCAUCGUCAUUUUCUUCUGAACUCAUCCCUUCAGCCUCCCAAUCUUUUAUCCGACCAUAAAAUUCUUCUAAUUGAGGAAAUUUUUUUAUCGUAAUGGGAGAAAUACGACCAGAAUUAAUUAAUAUAAGAAGUUUCAAUGUACUAAGUUGAUCCCCAAAUUCUUCAGGAAUUUCAAUGGGAGACCCCUUGACACAAAGGAUUUGAAGUCUCUUCAACUUUCCAAGGAAAGACGCGUCACUCAUGUUACAUCGAAUCAACUGCAGAACUUGGAGGUUGGUGAGGAAUUGAAGCGAUUUAAGUGAAAUGACUCCUCCUAUUAUAGUAACAACUUUCAAUGCUGGCAUCCCUUCGAAAAAAUGUUCUGGAAUAUGCAAUUGAUAGUCAUAUUCAGUAUUCUCCAGUCGCAAAAUAUGAAGAUUAGGGCAUACCAAACCACUUGGAAGCUCUUCUUUUUCAUUUCCCAUCAAAGAGAUUCCUCUGUAUUGUUCCACUGCCCGUUCUGCCAAUCCAAUGCCAACUUUACUAGUAAAAUAUUUUUUCUCCAUUGAGCCUAUCCAUAAGGCUACGUCACGUACAAUGUCAUGCAUUUUUACAAAUCUGUCAUUACCAGCGUCUAAUAGCAGUGAAGAAGCUUUGAGCUCUUUAAUCGUUCCACUCACUAGGCUCCUGGAAUCUUCGAUUGACUCAGCUUGAUACCAAUCCAACGCCACUGCAUAUCCAACCAAAUCCUCCAAAUCUAUCUCAUAAUCUUCUGGAAACAGCGAACACAACAAGAAGCAUGACCUGGAAUCGUCACCAUUCAAAUAAUCGUAACUAAACUUGAGACAAUGGUAAACGUCUUGGUCUUCCUUGCCAAUACCUUCUAUUGUAUUAAGUUUUGCAUUUUUUAGUUUAUGCAGAGCUACUUUCCAUUCACCAUAUCCUUUACCGCUUAGUGCACUUCCAACAGCUUUAAUAGCCAAAGGCAGCCCCUUACAUUCAUCAGCAACUCGUUCUGAAACACCAAUCAAUGAAUCAGCAUCAAUGCCGGCAUGCUUUCUUAGUAAAGCCAAUCCUUCUUCUCGCUUUAGAACACCUAGUUGAAUCCGCGUGUCACAACCCAUGCGAUCACAAACUGGCUGAAGGCGAGUGGUUAGAAGGAUUUUGCAACAAUUGUCUCUAUCACCAACAGGAAUACCUACUGUCUCCAAGUCGAGUUCAUUCCAGACAUCGUCAAGGAUUAUGAGGAUCUUGCGGCUUUUACUCUUAGAGAACAUCAAGCGCAAUCGGUCUGCUCUAUCAUUUUCAUCUUUCUCCGUUAAUGCCCAACCUAACGACUUUACCAGCUCACUUUGAACAUUUAUUAUAUUUGGAUCCCGAGAUAUAGUGGCUAUCCCUACGUCAUCGAAAAUCUUUUGCUGCCGAAGUUGAUUGCCCGCAAAUUUUGCCAAGGUCGUCUUUCCUACACCACCGAGGCCAUGCAGUCCCACCAUUUUUGUGCUUUCUCUUUUCAGUGAUUCAAUGAUCUGAUUGCAAGCCAGUUCUGUAGUCUCGAAAGACGUAAAAUGUCUUGGUGCGGGUAAUUCUUUGUUUGAUGGUAGAGGUUUAGGACGGGCAACUGUGCUGAAUUUGUCGCAUUUCUUUUAUAGAUCGGACAACUUGCGAGUCUCCUUUGAUGCUUUUCUACCCAGCCAAUAUAGGCAACGCCAAUUAGGACACCAUCCAUUAAGACAACUUUUGUUUUCAUCUAUCUUUGCUUUCAAAUUUUGAACAUUGGCCAUUUCUUUGACUACAUCCGCCAGCCACUUCUCUACAUCUUUCUCGACUACUAUGGCGCGGUGUUUUUGUCGAUAUUGUUCUACUUUUUCAUUGACGCCAUCUUGUGCCUCCUUCAAAUUAGUUUCUUUAUCCCCAAGUUCUUUAAUAAUGCUGUUGAAGCAGAACAGAUAGCGAGCUUGGUUUAUGGUUGCGUCCGCCAAUAAUUCUCCAAGCUUUGAUGAAACACCUGAUAAAAUUUCCAUGCUAUUUAUCUGCAAUUAAUGAAAUUGAUCUCAGUAUGCUAUAAGCAAUUAAAACAACAAGGCUUGAUUGCAAGAUCGAACGUGAACGUUUAAUUACUUUAAUUUUUUUUUGGCUUAUUAACGCCAGCAUUGAAAUUAGAUUACUUUAUCAAAACAAAUUUCAUAUUCACUAAAAUUAAUCAUAUUCAUAUUAUAAAAUAAAUAUAAAAACAAUAUCUGAAAAGUAAUGCUAAAUCCACUCUUAAAUUUUAUGUACCGCAUUAGAAUUGAUGAACAAUCUGACAAAGAUGCUCGACUUAAGUAGGGAUGACAAUUAAAGCCGGAUUUGAAAAAAUUCGUGUCUCCAAAUUAAAAAAUGUGGAUUCGGAUAUGGAAAUUUGGAAUUCACACGCAUCCAUAUAAAUUUUAUUUUAAAUUAAAAAUAUAUAUUAAAAAUUAAAUAAAAAACUAAAAAAUAAAUUUUAUUUGUGAUUUUAUGAUGUUGUUGUAUAUUAUUCAGGUUGAAUUAUUAAUGGUUGGAUUAUGAUUGAAUUUUAUUUGAUAUUAUUAGGUAAAUUAUUAAAUUUUAUUUAAAAUUAAAAAAAUAUAUUAAAAAUUAAAUAAAAAAUAUAUUUUAUUUAUAGAUUUAUGAGAUUAUUUUAUGUUAUUCAUGCUGAAUUAUUAAUUGUUGAAUUAUGAUUGAAUUUUAUUUGAUAUUAUUAGGUAAAUUAUUGAACUUUUAAAUUAUAUAUUAAAUUAAUAUCCAGAAUAUCCUCCAAUAUCCGUUGCGGAUAUUACCCGCUUCUGGAUCCACAUCUUUUUAUACGAAUUCAGAUAUAGAAAUAUGAAUGCGAAUCCGAAUCUAGAUUUUACCAACCUUGAACCUAAGCAUGAAUGGGCCUAAAGUUUUUACAACAAACAUGGAUCAUUCAAUGACACGAGAUGUUUUACAGCUCUCAUUAGUAUAAUUAAAUAAUUAAUUCAUCUCUAUAUUCAACUUACUCCGUCUCAAAUUGCAUGCAAAUACGAAAAUACACUUCUGAAUCGUUCACUUGAGGAAAAUUCCAAAUUCUCCACGUAGAAUUUAGAUUCAAACCAAAGCAAAUUAGACAUAAUUCUAAUUUAUAUGGGAAAUAUAAUUAGCGAAGACACUCUUUAUAUAAACAUUAUUGUCAUAGGAUGCCAAACGUAAUAAGAUUCAAGGUCUUAACAUACUUCAUAUGAAAUUUGAUCUUGGCGCGUACCGACACGCAUAACAUCGAGACUCUACUUCAUAUAAUGUAACUUCAUGGAUUUUUCGCUCUCUUGUGAAAUUGACAAUUAUAGGCGCUGUGUGGCAGUGGUACAUAAUAAAAUAAACGUUUAUUUUUAGAAUAUUAUUAUUUAUCUCAAUUUUUGAUUUAAUAGUUAAUCUUAAUCAAUUCUUAAACUGCCAUAAUCAAUAAAUUUUUUACAUUAUGGCAUCUUAAAUAAAUUUAGGAUAUGUAAUAAAUAAAAACUGGUAACGUUUGUUCUUUUAAAGCAUAAAACAACCGUAACAUUGGUUUUUACAUUUUGAAUUUUUCUUGCAUCACUGUUUAGAAAAAUGAUGUUAAAUCAAUUCACAAAAUAUAUCAAGCCAUCUAAAAUCCAAAUAUUAUUACAUUUGUAUUUGCAUUGUUAAAUUGUUGGAACGACGGCAAAGCAAUUGAAAAGAUAUUAACAAAAAAGUUACCUAUUGUUUGUGGUAGUAAAUAAUAUUAACUUGUUUUACUAUACCCGUGUUUAUGUUGGUCUCCUUUUUGUCCAUUUCUGUGCAACGAAAUAUUUGCAUGUUUUGAUAGAAAUUGGUUUAAAUGACAUUUAAAAUAGUAUAUCCCCAGACAAUUGACGAAAUAUUUGUAUGGUAAGAUGAAGUAAUAAAUAGUUUUACAAAUUACCAUAUUAGAGGUAAAAAAAAAUCGAGAGGUUACUUGACAAUUAUGACAUUACUAACUACAAAUUUAACACAAAAAGUUUAAUUAACUUUUCUUUUUGAGAUGGCAAAAUCUCUGGUGUUGAAAACAAUGAGGUUUGAGGUUCAAGCUUGAAUAUCAAGUUACAAUUAGUAGAUGGCCUUAGGACAUAUCAAAGAUUUCUUUAAAGACAAAAUAAUUAUUAUAAGCAAUAGGAAAUUAUGGUAUUCAGAACAUGUAACCUUCGCACAUGAAGCUUGAGUCCAGCAAAAGAUGCAGCUAGCCAAUCCUUCAACUUCCAAAACCCCACAAAAUCUCUGUCAAUAUGUCUGUUCUACUUCAAUAUUAAGCACAUUCAUAGCGGUAUCAACAGCUUACAGCUCCAAAAUAUUUUCCCCAAAAAGAGUGAGAGAUUUCACUGCCUAAAUGUUCUAUAACACGAUAUGAUUAUUCUAGUAACACAAAUCCAACAGCAUGCAACAUAAUCUACUCUCUAACAUUGUGCAUUAGUAAAAUAAAACAGAGUAAAAGGAGAAACCAUGCCUGUGAAUCUCUUCUCUUACCCCCCCACCACCCCUUUUUUUGGUAAAGUCCAUCAAAUGAAAAUGCAGCAUGACCACAUUGGCCACUGCCACUGCCAUUACUUCUUCAACUGUGCCUUUUGUUGCAGGAAAUAUUCAAGUGAAAGAUUGGAUUAUAUAAUUCAAGAUUCCAAUAAACCUGAGCUGCAAAGGUUGCCUUCCACUAGCCUAUCAGAGACUAUGCUUUCUAUUUUCCUAGUUUUUUAAUCAAAAUUUUGCAAGAUUUAUUUAUGGAAAUCUUGGACAAAAUUUUAUGUAAGAUACCAUAAAGCCAAACACAAUCUUUUUAAUUCUCAGCAGCAACAUUUAAAGUGAAAAACGGGAAGCCAUAUAAAUAUAACUAUGUUUGGUCAAGGAACAAUUAUUUCAAGCUUUCAGAAAUGCUAGCAAGAGAUUGUAAGAGAACUUUACCUAGUCACAGAAUAUGUCAAACAUACUACCACCAACUGUCUUCACCACGAUUGUUAUGAAGUAGCUUUUGAAUCGGAAGAUUCCAGCUUCCACCAGGCACCAUUAUUUUCAUUCUUGAUACAAUCUGCAUCACUGGCAUUAGUUAUAUCAUCAACAUUUGCAUCCUCACUCUCAUCAUCCCAAUCAAGGCUUCUUCUCCAGCUCUGGACUAUAAGUCCACUCCGACAUCUUCAAACAUCUCGGUCCUUCCAUUUGCCAACAACCGAUAUGGCUUCCUUCCUUGCCUUCCCCAUUAAUAUAUCACUCGAAGGAAAAAACGCAUCAGCAAUUCUCUUCAACGCCUCAUCGUUUAUAACCACCCAAAAAAAGGGUCUUCAGACACCUCAACUUUGCUUUCGGCAAAACCUCCACAAAAUCUGAAUUAUCCAACACAACAGCCAGACACUCAAUCCUUCUUUUGUCCAUCAUAUCCACCGUAUGAUUCCUCAACAAAAUAUCUACAGCUUGUGGCUUUUCUAACACUGUCUUGAUCCAAAACCCCGCUCUUUUCAACUCAUCUGCCAAUCCAUAACCCACUUUUGGAGUCAAAAUUGUCCUUGCAGCCCUUUUAUAUUUUUCCAUCUCCAUCGAAUACUUGCCACUCAAAUGGAAUUACCAGACAGGAAUCCCAGUAACAAGUCCACUCAACUUCUUCUCAUCCGAUCCCUCUUUCACUCUGGCGGAAACAUUAAUAACCAUUCACCAGCCACAAAUUACCCAAGUAAGUACUCGUGUCGUCAACACUUACCCUUCACUUCAUCUACGCAAACAAGAAUUCAAAUUGCUUAUUAGCUAGUGCUCGAGCGAAAGCCAAAAUAAAUUAAAUAUGUGUGUGUGUGUGUGUUAAAAGAGAAACGGUAGCGAAGUUAUUAUACAAUAAAGCAAACCAAAAUAAAUUCUACACUCAUGUGGGUGUUUCGGUCGCAAAAUCUGGACAAGAAAAAAUAAUAAUGAUACAAUCUCCAAAUAAAGAGCAUUCCUCUUGGUAAAAUAGACAAAUCCUAUAAAUUUUGAUUAAUGGUGCCAAAUGAAAGAGUUGUAAUUUCAUGUACAUUUUGUUAACAUGAAUAAGGGUACAAAAUAGAUAACAAAGUGAUAAAAACAAAGCUAAUCACAAUGAAUGAUAAGGUUUAGAGUAAACAUAAAGUUAUAAUCUUGAACAUAAGUGGCGCUCAAAGCCAUGAAUUUGAUAUCAUCCAUGAGGGGAGUUCAAACAACACCAUGUAAGAAGCAACAAGUGUUGAGAAAAAAAAAAAGUCAUUCUAACACAACAGAAUAAAUUGUAAAGAAAUCCCAGUUUGUAUAAAAGAAAGAAAACAAAAUUAAGGAAAGCAUAAGCACAACAAAAUUUGACUGAUUAUUAAAAAUGAGAAAUGAGUUAUAAUGAGAAUUUUGGCUUUGUGGUGAAAUAAAUUGGGAAGUAUCCAAAGUUCGCAUGUAAAUAAUGAAAAUGAUAAGAAGACGAAGGGAACAAAAUGAUAAUAAGCAAGCCAAAUAUUAAAAUGCAGAUUCUACGCUUCCGCCCCCCCCCCCCCCCAUACUUCAAGUUAGUGUCUUGCUAAUCAUUUUAGAUGUAUCAAUUACAAAGGGAGGCCAUCUAUUUAUAGUAAGCGUACGCCUCUAAUGCUUUGCCAAGUGUCCGUUGAUAAUGUGCUGAUAAAGUUUGUUGCACGUAUGAGUUGGUUAAGUCUGCUAGAAAUGCAAACGUGUAAAGCUUAGUUAGCAAGUUAGUUAAGGUUGUUACGAAUGCUUAGAUUCAGUUCACGUGUAUUGUAUGUAAUGCUUAGAUUCAGCUCAUGUAGAUUGUGUAUACAACUUUCUAAUAUUCUUUAGAUCUCAAUAUAAAUGCUUGUAAUCAACAAAUACAAUAAUAAGAGUCAUCAUUCUUCAUUUUCUCUCUGUUUCUCUCAUAUUUUCUCUGCAUCCAAACACAAUAAUCUCAGUUCUUGACUUGGUAUCAGAGUUGCAGUUUAAUUGUCAUGGCUUCCUUAAGCAUUCAAACACAAAUCAGUCUCCUUCAUUCUUUACCCUCACAAAUGCGAUCAAACUGGACAGAUCUAACUAUACGAUAUGCAAAUCUCAGAUCCUCUCUUCAGUGCGUGCCAAUGGACUUGAAGGCUUUCUUAAUGGAACUAAAAUUUGUCCAGAUCAGUUACUUACUCAAGAGAUUGAAAGUUAUGGUGUUGAAAAUGCUGUUGGUGAAAGCUCAGCUGCAAGCUCAGCUUAUUAAGUUGGCUCAUGUCCUCCAUCAGUGUUGAGAUACUUAGUCUUGUGGUAAAUUCUGAUUCUUCUCAUAAACUAUGGACUAAUCUUGAAGAAAAUUUUUGGAUUAGAAACAAUGGCUAAGAAAGCACACUUAAAAAUGAUGUUAAGCAAUCUCAAAAAGGGAUCAAUGACAAUAACUGAGUAUUUUGCCAAACUUAGAGCUGUAACUAAUAAACUUGCUCUAACUGGUAGCCCUGUUUCUAGUCUAGACUUUAUUACUCAUCUAAUCUCUAGAUUAGGCCAGCCAUACUACCCUGUUGUUUUGUAUAUUGAAGCUAAUAUGAUGAAAGUAUUUGUCAAUGAAGCAUAUUCUAUGCUUUUAACUCAUGAAGCAAGAAUUAAAGCUAAUCAUCCAAGUGCAAAUAAAGAAGCAAAGUUGAAUUAUGCUGCUAACAUAGCUUAGGCUGGACCUAGUACUAAAUAACAAUAAGAAGUCUAGUAAUCAAGCUAAUUACUAUCAGGGCAACCAAGGUAACUGGAAAACAAAUGCUCAUUGUUGUGGUAACAAUGGAGGAAGAGGUGGCUUUGGCAGAGGUUUUUCAGGGCAAGGAAGGGGUAAUUAGAAUAAUGGUGGUCAUUCGAACAAUGGACCUUGGAGUAGUAGUUGAGGAGGCUAUAAUGGUUCUGAUAUAAACAAUAUGACAUGGUUGCUGGUGAACUUGUAAACAUAACCGAAAAAGUAAGAAGGCAUAAUUUUUUAAUAAGAAACUCAAAAAUGUAUUAAUGAUGAAAAUUUUCAAACAGAUAGUGGACCAGCUGUCCAGUAAGAAAACAAAAAAUUGAAUAUUUGUGCUAUAAAAAGGCACACCCAAUCUCACCCCUUUAAAAGGCUAGAAUCAGCUACAAAUCCCUAUCUCAAAACCCCAUCCCAGUUUAGAUGAAUGAAGAAAAAAGAUGAAUCUUGAAACUCCUUAGAAACUGAAGCCCAAAGUGAAGCAAGAAGAUGAACUCUAUCCCAAGCAAGCAAUAUGGCAUAUUUCUCCAUUAAUGGUUCAAAUAAAGUGAAUGGCUUUCUCUGAUGAAUGGGAGAUUGUCAAGAUCAAUAGUCAAACUCACGCAAAGUAAACGGACUUAGUUCUCAGAGGCUACUCGUUCUAAGUCUGAAAGAAAAAUUUUCUAAUUUCUAAAAAUUAUAUGGGGAAAAAUCAUUAUUUUCUAACAUGGAAAAUUUGAUACGGUGUUUAAUGUCAGAUCACAAUAAUAAUAUGAGUACUAACAAAAACAUCUUUAAUCGGCAUGGUGCAAGUAAAACCCCAUCACUUCAUCUUUGAUGGAAAGAUGAUAAUCUAAGGAGAUGGUGAAAUGGUUUUGGUCCCUGGCAACUUGCAAUCAAAAGAAAACAAAAAACUACACUAUCAUUAAUGAUUACCGAAGCUACUGAAGUAUCAAAAUCGGAAAGUAAACAAUUGCAAAACACAUCAAUGACUGGAGGUUAGAUUCUAAAACUUCCGCAUUUAAUUUUCAGAGCAUGUUAUGUAUUAUUCAAAAAUAUGCUUUCACUUCAGGCAAUUGACCAAGACGCAUUAAACAUAAAACGUGGCGUUUUCAUGGACUAGUACAUUCCAUGCUUCGAAAGUUUAGGGCCCGUUUGGUAGCGUUUUUUACCCAUUGUUUUCAUUUUUGUUUUUAUAAUACAAACAUAAUAUAUGUUUGGUGAGAUGGAUUCAAAAAACAAAUCACAAAAUAACAAAUUCAGAUCCAGUGUUAUAACUACAAACAUGAAAACGUGUUUAACAUGUUUCCUAAAUAUUACAAACUAAACUCAAAAAUAGAUUAAGAAACAAAACUCAUUCUCUUCGGCAGCAACCCUCUCCCCCCUCUCAUCGUUGUCAAUCUGGUCACCCCACCCCCCCCCCCCCCCCCCCGCAAUCGUUAUCGAUCUAGUCACGGCAGCAGUGCUUUCUCCUUUUCUUACUCCAACAACACUUUCUCUCUCCUUAUCUCCUCAUCCUUUUCUUCGGUAGCAGUCUUCUCUCUACCCCUCAUCUUUCUCGAUGUGGUCACGGCAGCAGUUCUCUCUCUCCUUUUCUCCCUCCAACAACACUUUCUCUGCCGCUGCUGCAACUUCGUCUGUACCGCGGCUGUCCUUUGGUGUGCCGUACUCUCUCCGUCGUGGCCGUUGCUGCUCCGUUUGAGCAUAGCCACUGCUGUCCAUCUCCGUGUAGCCACCGUCGCUCCUACUUGAUAGACUGAACUGCUGCAUCUCUCUCGGCUUGCUGGUAAUUUUUUUUAUUUCAAAAAUUUUUUUUUUAUUUCAGUAAUUGUUUGAAUAAUUUUGAGAGAUUUUUUAAAGCAUGUUAAUUGUGUAUUCCCUCUAUUCAUGCCAAAAUAAUUUUGAGUAAUUGUUUUAGAUUAUGAGUAAUUGUGUUGAUUUGAAAACAAAACCGUGUGAAUAUAGUUUUGCUACACUUUGAUUUUGUUUGCGGAAUGGAAAAAAAAGGAAGCGAUGAACUGGAAUUGGGGGAUUUAAUUGUUGUUAUGUUGUUGCUUCGUGUGCUUUGUUAUUAUGAGUUUUAAUAAUUUUGAGUAAUUAUUUUAGAUUAUGAGUAAUUGUGUUGAUUUGAAAGCAAAACCGUGUAAAUAUAUUUUUGGUACACUUUGAUUUUGUUUGCGGAAUGAAAAAAAAAGGUAGCGAUGAACUGGAAUUGGGGGAUUUGUAUUAUGCUGCUGCUUUAAUUGUUGCUAUGUUGUUGCUUUGUGUGCUUGGUCAUUAUGAGUUUUAAUAUUUUCUCUAUGUCAUUGAAUCGAAAUGCAAGCUGGAAAUUGUAAUUUCAGAUAAAUAUAUUUGGGGAAAAGGAUGAUUGCCGAAUAGCAUUGUAUUUGUGUUUUAAGGAUGAAGAAUACAAAUAUCUGUUUUUGUUUAUGCCAUGAAAUUCUUUAUGCCAUUAAUUUGAAUUGGUGAAGUUGUAUUGGAAUAUUUUUUAUUUUGGACUGUUGAAUUUUUAAUUUAUGACAUAUUGGUAAAAUGGCUUUCAUGCUAUGUUGAAUUUGAUUAAUUUCAAAAGUUUGAGCUAUGUAUGUUUAGAAGUAGUUUAUUUAAUUUCAUUAAUAUUUGAUACAUGUUAUUUUUUCUAAUUUUCUAGUAACAAGAUAUGGAUCCACAUGAUGUUGAUGGUGAGGAUAGCAAGAUUUGGUUACCAGCGAAUGUCGCAGAGAUGAAUGCUAUAAGAGAUGGGAUUGCAGCUUCUAUGAGGCACGAUUACACAUAAUGCAUAAUGUGUACCAUAUAAUUUUUUAUAAUUAUUUUGUUGAAAUCAUGUGUUGUAAUAUAUAUCUUAAUUAUAGUGUAAAAACAAUGACAAUGUAAAACUUUUUUUAAUUAAUGGUAAUUAUAAAACUUUAUCAUCAUUUAAUUUUUUAUAAUAAUUUUGCUUAAAUUAUUAUGGUAUAUUUGUGUAUGUAAUAUUGUCACAAUUAUUUUCUAACUAUAAUUAUAACUUAAAAUACUUAGUAAAAACUAUUUUUGAAAAAGGUAUUACCGAACACAUAUUAUCUGUUUUUAUUAUUUUCAACUAUAUCUAUCAAACGCAUAUCACUGUUUUCAGUUUGGAAAUAUAGGAUACAGAAAAUGAUACCAAACGUAUACUUAAAUUCAAAAUACAGCAACUGUAAAACACCAUUUUCAUUUUCAUUUUUAUUCUUAGAAAAUACAAAUUCAGAAACAAUACUAAACGAACCCUUAUGUUUUAGACUGAUUGGUUUGAUACAUUAUUUGUUUAUUGCGUUUUUCUUGCUUUAAAUAUUAUGUUGGAUUGAUAAGCUUUGUACACAUUUAUAUUGCUCGCAGUAAAUAAUUUAUGACAUUUAAAAAACUAUCAACCGUCUGUCAAAAGAUUUCUACUAUAAAUAUAUAUACACAAAAAACUUUUAAUUUGGUCAAUUUGUUCUCUUAUUUAUUUUUGUUCUAUUUCUCUUUUCCUUUCAUUUCAUUUUAUUGUUUUAUGGUACAAAAUAAAAAAAAAAAUAACAUUAAAAUUUAAGGGUAAAAUACUCAUUUUACUAAAAUUCCGUUUAAUAUUAUAAAGCUGUCAAAUGUCAAUGGCAUAGGACACGAGUGAUACAAAUUAAAAACAAUAAAUUGAAAGUUUUUAUGCAUUUUCCUUUUAUUUUUUUUAUAGUCGAUUGAGAUUUCCCUUCAUAUUUUUAAAUUCAAUAGGUUUAGACUGUUUAACAAAUCUUAAAUUAAAAAAACCCGCGGUGUAAUAAUAAACUCACAUCAAACCCUGUACACUGUCAUCCCUAAUUAUAUUUACCACUAAUUAUAUUUACCACUUCAUACUCACAGUGAUAAUAACUGUGUAUCAUAAUUGAUUUUGCAUACGGGUAAAAGUUCCAAGUCCGGAUAUUUAGUUAAUGAAAUUUGAUGAAAAGGGCAUGAAAGAAAAUAAGAAAUUAAAUAAUACAGGUGGUAUUAAUCAUUACAUAUUUAGUUAAUGAAAAUUGAUGAAAAUAUUUCUGCUGACGUGAGCCAUAAUUAUAUUACCGUUAAGAAUGAAGCAGAAGAGUUUCCCCAAACAAGCUAAAACACAGCACUUCAAUUUAAAGAAUUUUUAUAUCACAGUACAGUAAGUUAAUUCCAUAAUCUAUCUCCAAAGAAAGGCAAACACAAGCUUAUAAGAUUAAAACUUUGGAAAACAUUAAAGAGUCAGACAAAAUUGUGUAAUCUUCAGAGUUUGGAGCCUAGUUCAUCCAGGAAAGCAAAAGAAAAUAAUAAUAAUAAUAAUAGUGGUGGUUUGAUCUCAAAAGGUGGCAUCAAAGCGGUAACUUUGGGGUAUUGGAAGCUAUAACAUCUUCAACUUUGUCCUGAUUUCGAAGUCCCUUAACCCAUCCGCCAUCAAUGGAUUGAAAGCUUCCAUUCAACCCAUCAUCCACAAAAUCACCAACCCGUUUCACCUUCAUCUCCUUGGGCUUAACAGGGUACUUUCCAGUGAAGCAAGCAAAACACAAAUUCUGAGAAUCAUCGCCUAACAACUUGUUCAGGCUGUUAAUUGGCAGAAAAGCAAGCGAGUCACACCCAAUAAACUCCCUGAUUUCCUCGACGCUCAUCCUGUUGGAAAUCAACUCCUCACUACUUGGGGUGUCCACUCCAUAGUAACAAGAAGCUAUGAUUGGUGGGCUUGCAAUUCUCCUGUGAACCUCUUUAGCUCCAGCCUCCUUAAGCAACCGAACAAUUUUCGAUGAAGUUGUUCCUCUCACUAUUGAAUCAUCCACAACCACAACUCUCUUUCCCUCCAACACUCCCCUUACAGGAGAGAGCUUAAGCUUGACACCAAAGUCCCUAAUUUUCUGGGAAGGCUCAAUGAAAGUUCUCCCAACAUAAUGUGACCUUAUCAACCCUUGUUGAAAUGGCACCCCGGCUUUCGCAGCGUACUCAAGUGCAGCCACCACUCCAGAAUCUGGUACUGCAAUCACGACAUCACACUCAACAGGAGCCUCGGUAGCAAGUACUUCCCCAAAAUGAUACCUCGACUCAUAAACAGACCUUCCAAAAACAACAGAAUUAGGCAAAGCAAAAUAAAUAUGCUCAAAGAUGCACUGCUUAGGUUCAGGGUGAGGCAUCAAACAAGGUGAUUGAACCCCAUCUUUAUCCACCAUCAAAACUUCACCGGGAUAUACCUCUCUCUCUCUCUCUCUCUCUCGUAUGUGGCCUCAAUCAAAUAGUGCACAAGUUUCUGAUGCAAAAACCACAGCACCGUUACUCCUCCUACCCAUCACCAAUGGCCUAAACCCAUAUGGGUCACGAACCGCAACAAGCUUAUCCUCAGUAACAAACACCAUUGAAUACACACCCUCAAGCUUCUCACAAGCAUCCACAAUCCUCAAAAAGAACGGCCUAGCUUUCGAUAUCGCAAUCAAAUGGAGAACAACCUCAGUAUCAGAACUAUUAUUAAAAAUGGAACCAUUAUCUUCAAGCUUAGCCCUCAAAGUAUUAUAAUUAACUAAAUUCCUAUUAUGUGCAACACCAACAGAACCAAACCUGUACCCAGCAACAAAAGGCUGCACAAUCUUAAGCAUAGAACUACCGCAGUCGAAUAUCUAACAUGACCAAUGGCCAUAUCACUAGGCAAUUGAUCAAGUUUAGACUGAUUAAACACAUCAGAGACUAAACCAACACCAGUAAUAGACUGAAGAACUUUGUUAUUCACAGCAACUAUACAGUGGCGAAGGGUACUUUAAGUAGAGGGGAACUUGUUCUAGGUUUUUUCCUGGAAUUGUGAGGGAAUCUGAUCCUGUGUUUGUGCAUAUGAUUCAAUUACUUAUAGGUGAUACUGUUGUGUCACCACAAAAUCUAAUUGGGAAGCUUCAGCUGUCAAUUUUUUUUCCUUGUGGAACAUGAAAAUUGAUGCAUGUUCCAAUGCAUUGCUCUGUCAGAAUUGGAAUUAAACUUAGUUUGUACUCUCCUAUUCCGAAAGCAAAACUUGUAAGUGAUAUUAUAAGAAGAAGAAAUUAAGAACCAUAACAAAUUUGAUGAUUCUAAUUUGCUAGAAAUAUUGCAAUCCAAAACUAAGAAAGUUAAAACCAAUUAUUAGAAGAAAAAAGUAGGACGGAAGCUCCCAGAAUAUUGUUAUGUGUUGUAUGUUUUCAGUUUGUAUUUCUCAAUCAAUAAGGAAAAGUAAGUACACAUGUUACAAAAAUUUAAUAAAAAAGAUUGGAGGUGACAAAACCGUCAAUCUUCUAAUUAACUUUCUCUCCUUUCGAAUUUCCUGAGUUUGGUAGAGACUGCUUAAGUGGUGUAUCUAUUAUAAACAGGCAAAACUAUGUUGCAACAGUGGUAUGGUACCACUGUUGCAACCAGCCAUUGAAUCGAUAGUUGUAUAGUUAUAUUAGAAAGAUCCAAUGACCGAAAGCAACAGUGAUAUCGUAUCACUGUUGCAACAUAGCUGGACCCAUUAUAAACACAUGAAGUCAAAGUUAAUGUUUUAAUUGUUAAGAAAAGUUAGAAGAAGAAAUUUUUGUAUAAGAGAAUUGUGUUUAAAUUUAGAAUUCUUUGGGAGGAAAUGAGUCUAAAUUCCAAUAAUAUAAUUCAGCACUAUUUAUAUAUAUCAUUAGUUGGGUGAAAAAUUAAUUUCCCUCCUUUGAUGUGAUUUUCAUCAUUAAUUGUUCAUAUGAUGGUAAUUUUUUGUUUAGAGUGAAGUUAUUGGCACCCUUUCAUUAUCCUUAUAAAAUCCUACUUCAAAUAAAAUUACACUUAAAAGACAAUAGAAUUAAAUAACAUAGUUUUUUUUUCAAACAAAUUAUUCACAUUCAUAAUUUUUUUUCUUCUAAUUUUCUACAGGUUGCUUUGUAUCUAACUAAAAUAAAUUGUACAAAUUUAGAAUAAUUUAUUUUUCUUUUUAAAUUUCUUAUUGAUUAAAUAUUUGUGUACUUAAGAUAGCUUUAAAAUUAUAAGAUAAAAUAUAUAUAAUUUAAGCCAAUGAUUAACAUUCAAAAAUUUAUCUCUCAUAAAAGUUUUUAAUUUGUGCGUAGGGUAAUAAUAAAAUUGCAAAAGAAAUGAAAAAUAGCAUAGCACUAUUUUGAGUUUAAACAAUAAAAAAUUAAAUGAAAAAUUAGAAGUGUAUUUAAAAAAAGGAUAUUUUUGAAAAAUAAAAUAAAUAUAAUUUUAAAAAAAGAGUUUCAUGUGGGGUGCAACAGUUCAACUCUUUUGUUUGUAAGUUUUAAGAUGUUGGUAUCCUUAGCUUAGCUUUUCCCUAAUUAUUAUAUUAAAAUGUAACAACAAUGAUGAUCAACCCUAAUUUCAUGGAGGUCAAAGAUUUUGGUCAUGCCGCAUUAAUUAGUUCGGUCAUACUUUCUACAAAUUUAUUUACAUUUAAUAAUUUGACCAAGACUAGGUAAGGUGCCGCCUGGAGUCAUAGAAUUUUAUAUGUCAAAAGUGCGUUUCACUUCAAUUAAGCCAUAAAUGUCGUUUAAUAUGCUCAUUUUGUAUAUUUUUUUAAAAAAGUUUUAUUAAUUUUUUUGUUUUUAAAAAUAUCAAUUAUUUUUUUAUUUUUUAAAAUUUUUUUAAAGGUAAAGAAGUGGGUAAAAUCUAAAUUCAAAUUUUAUCCCUUAUGUCCUGGUCCUAAGAUUUGAACUCAUGUGAAUAGCCAAAUGUAUAAUAACAGGUAUUUCAAUUUUCAUUUUAAAUGAUAUGCUAUUCAUUAAGUGAUUGUUAAUUUUUUAUAAGAUUAAAAUGAAUUAAUUGUAUUAUCUCACUAAUUAAUUGAUGAAUGUCAUAUUAUUUGGGAUAACUUUUGAAUAAAAAAAUUGUGAUGGAUGAAAUAUUCUUUUGAGAAUUUAUUGACUUAUAUCAUUUAUGACUUAUGGUUGCAUUUAAGUGAUAUUGCAAAUAAUUUUUCCGAUAAUAUUAUUGUUUUGAUGAGUAAGUUUGGAGUAAGGAAAAUUCUAUGAUGCCGUAAUUAAAAAUAAGGCAUUAAUGCCGUAAUUAUUAUGAACCAUUAGAUUAAAUCAACGGUUUACAAUAAUUAUAAAAUAAUAAAAUUUUUUAAUUUAAUUACAUCUAACCGGUUAUAAUCCGGUUAAGUACUUUUUAAAAAUAAAAAUUUACCGGUAUAACUUUAAAGGAAAAAAAGAAGAUUUACGUUUUAAAGAAAUAAAAAAAAUAUAAAGGGAAAAUUCGUUCAUAUUGAAAUCCCUAAUUAACGAAUUCCAAAAGAAACCCACUGCCGCGUUAACUUCCGUUCAAGUGCACCGGCGAUACGUCUGCAGAUUGCAGCCAUUGAGCUGAUUUUUUGUCUUGUUCGAAUUGCUGAGUCUUUGCCGUCGCUGCCUCUAUCUUGGUUUGGCCGUCAUCCCUGUGCAAGGUAAGUUUAAUCCUCUGUCUCGCUCGAAUUGCUAAGCAAUUUCGUUUUCUUUCAUGGUCAUAAUUUGUUCACGGAAUUGACUCUAAGAAUUAAGAAGUCGCUGCAAAGUGUUUGGGUUUGCAUAGUUUUCUUUCAUGGUCAUAAUUUUUGCAUUUGUUCACAGAAUUAAGUUCCUGUGCAAAGUGUUUGGGUUUGCUGGCUAACGCGAUUUUGUUUUCCUCCAAUACUCUUUUCCUGCCAAUCAUUGCUUUGGAAGUUGCUUGAAGCAAAAACAGAGGUGAAAAAGAAGCAAAAAAGAAAUAUGGAUAAAUUAAAUUAAGAAAUAUAGAGCAUGCACUAGACUUUGAUAUGAUUUUUUCUUGUUAUUACAAGUAAUAUGGAUAAAUUAGAUUAAUUGAUUUAUUUUGCUGGUAAUAUGGUUGUUUGAAUACACAUUAAUUGUGAAAUAAAACAAAAAAUAUGUAAACCACACAUAAAACUAGUAAAUUAAUGAAAAAAUGAUCAAUUAAUGUUGAAAUUGUAAUUUGUACGAAGAACUUGUAAACAAAACAAAAACUUAUAAAAAUGACAUAGAACUAGUAAAUUGACAUUAAUUGUGAAAUAAAACAAAAAAUGUGUAAAUCACACAUAAAACUAGUAAAUUGAUGGGAAAAUGAGUAAAUUAAUGUUGGAGUUGUAAUUUGUACGAAGAACUUGUAAACAAAACAAAAACUUAGAAAAAUGACAUAGAACUAGUAAAUUCACAUUAAUUGUGAAAUGAAACACAAAAUGUGUAAAUCACACAUAAAACUAGUAAAUUGAUGAAAAAAUGAGUAAAUUAAUGUUGGAGUUGUAAAUUGCAAGAAGAACUUGUAAAUUGACAUUAAGUGUGAAAUAAAACAAAAAAUUUGUAAACCACACAUAAAACUAGUAAAUUAAUCGAAAAAUAGGUAAAUUAAUGUUAGAGUUGUAAAUUGUAAGAAGAACUUGUAAACAAAACAAAAACUUGUAAAUGUUGCAUAAAACUUGUAAAUCAACAUUAACUUGUAAAAGUUUCAUAAAACUUGUAAAUCACACAUAAAAUUGGUAAAUAUAACCUGGAACUUGAACAAAAAAGAGUAAUUACCUGCUACUUAGGUAACAAGUUACCUAUUUAUUUAGAAUUAAUGGUAGAGAUUUUUUAUUCAAAUCUAACGAUUCACGUCCAUUACAGCAUCAAUGUCGUAAAUUUAGUUAUAGAAUGACCCUUGGAGUAAAUAAUACAUAUGGCAAGUGUGAGGUUUGUUAUUGCAUUUAUUUUGUGGAUCUCUUUUAAAGCCAAAAAAAGACAUUUCAAUUCAUUAUGAUUCCAAAUAAUUUCAAGGCAUAUGUCAUUAUUGGGAUAAAAAUAAAGUAAAAUGGUUAAAACUAUUUUUAUUAAUUUAUAAAAAUUAAUGAAGCAACUACAAAAAUUUUUAAACGAAAAACAAUUGAAAUGUGUGUGGAAAAAGAAGAAAAAAAAUAAGGCAUUUAAAUAUCUUCUUAAAAAAUACGAUUGAGUAAAAUCAUUUUAACAGAAUGCUCUUCCAAAUACAAUUCCACAAUAAUCAUUUUAACAAAAUGCUUUUCCAAAGAGAAACACACACACACACAAAGAGAUUAGUGGGGAGAUAUAUGAGUGUGUAAUUUGUAUAUAUAUCCCCAUUAAUUGUUGAUAGUCCAAUGGGUAUAUGCAAAAGGAAAAACUUGGCUGUCCUUUAAGACAAAAUUGACUGUCACGUGAAAAUGUUAGCACACUUGCCACGCAACGAAAAUAAAGAUUCCAAGAACAACUUUAUGGUCCCCUUUCUGUCCAAACAUAUGCGAUGGAAAUUAGUGUAAACGACACUUGAAAUAUAUAUGUAGAUCCUCACACAAUUGAUUAAAUAUUUAUAGUAGGGUGGAGUGAUAAAUAGUUUCACAAAAUUAUUGGAAUUAACUAUUUAAUACAUGAGAUCUAUCCCAUUAAGUAUAAAAGAUUGAGUGCUGCUUCAAAGGCAUGACGUUGAUGGCAACAAAUUUAACACAAAAAUUUAAUUAACUAUCCUAGUUGAGAUAUUAAAAUCUCGUGUUGAAAACAAAAGGUUUGAGGUUCGAACCUUCUGAUUCAAGAAAAUCAAGUCAAAAUAUUACAUCUUCCAGCACAUAUCAAAGAUUUUUGCAAAGGCAGACUGAUAAUUCAGGGUAAAACAAAAAAAAAAAAAAAACAAAAGGACUAUAUGCUAUUCAAGACAGGUAUACCUUGGAUAUGAAGUCUGAAUCCAAAACAAGAAGCACCUAGCUGAUCUUUCACUUUCAAUUUCCAAAACCCAACAAAAUCUUUGUCAAAAUAUAUGAUCUAGUCCCAUAUUAAGCACAUUCAUAGCCGUAUCAACAUGUUCAAAAUAUUUUCCCCAAAAUGAGAUAAAGAUUCCACUGAAGUUGAGUUGUGAAUGUCCCAACAUUCUGUAAUUAUAUGGUUCAGGAUACCAUGCCUAUGAAUCUUUUUUUUUUUUUUCAUGUUUCGAAGUCUAUCAAAUGAAAAUGUAAUUAUAUGGUUCAGGAUAUCAAUAUGCCGGAGCUGCAAAGGUUGACUUCUACUAUCCUAUCAAUGUCUAUACUUUCUAUUGAAUUUCCUUGUUUUUUUUUAAAUUGCGAGAUUUAUUUUUGGAAAUCUUUGACAAAUUUUAUGUAAGAUACCAUAAAGCCAAAUACAACCUUUUUUAUUCUCAGCAGCAACUUUUUUUUUUCCUUUUAAAAAAAGGAAGCCAUAUAAAUAAUGCUUAAAACAUUAUUUGCAACAAGGAACAAUUAUUUCAUGCUUUCAUGUAUUAGAAACUUUCCAAAAAUGCUAGCAAGAAAAUGAAAUGGAACUUUACCUAUUGAUGCGAGAUUCUGAUUUGCUGAUCGUCCACGACAAGGAUCUCUCCUCAACUAACUCGUCCACGAUCAGGAUAUCUCCUUGUAAUCCUUCUUCUCCGCAAGCUCCUGCGUACACAGAUACAGGUCAGAGCACGCCGGGUAUUUUCCCGGCGUAAAUCCUCCGACGCUCAAGUCAGAAAUGUAGGCUUUGCCUUUCUGGGAAAAACAGCCACAAAUCCUAUGGCUCUUUUACGAUUUCUUAAUAGGAGCUCUCUUUUUCUCAGUUAUAAUCUCAAAAAGUCUAACCCUUUUACCUUCGUUGGCUACCUUUUUAUAGGUUCUCUCUGGAUCCCGGCCUUCCACAACCCACGUCCAUUACCUCCCCCCAACUCUCGGAAGUGGACGCUCCGUUAUCGUAGUCGUGGUUGGAUAAACUUUGUGCCUUGAUUCUCGGAUAGGCGUGCACGCACGUCUUGCCAACCGUCGUUGACCGGGUCUCCUCACCUCAACCUCUAGCAGGAAUAGUUUUAUGCUCCUGGUAGGAGGUCAGCUCCCGUUGUGGCCCCGUGGAUGGUACACUCGUGAAUGAGCAGGAACAAUCCUGCUCGUAUUCACCUGCUACCAGACUUCUGCGGAAUAUAUCUAUUCGCGAGAUCCUGCUACCAGGUAUUUGCUCAUCAUGGCCGGUCUUGUCGAGGUAUAUCCCCUAAACAUUACCUAGUCACAGAAUAUGUACUGCUGUUAGCCCAAUUGUUAUGAAGUGGCUUCUGCAUCAGAAGAUUCCCGCUCCUACAAAGCAUUGUUAUCUCUCUUCUGAAUACAAUCUACAUCGCUGGGCAUGAGUUAUAUCAUUAAUGUCUACAUCCUCACUUACAUCAUCCCAAUCAAGUGCUUUUUCUCUACAUCUGGAUUAUAAGCCCACUCCAAUCUCUUCAAAACAUCCCAGUCCUUCCAUCACAACUGAUACGACUUCCUUCCUUACUUCCCCAUUAAUAAAUCGCUCUGAGAAAAAAAAAGCAUUAGCAAUUCUCUUCAACGCCCCAUCAUUCAUAUCCCCUACAACAACCAUCUUCAGACACCUCAACGUUGCCUCUUGAAAGACCUCCACAAAAUCCGAAUCAUCCGACACAAUCAUCAAACACCGUAACCAUCUUUUGUCCACCAUAUCCACCAUAUAAUUCCUCAACAAAACAUUGGCAUCUUGUGGCUUAUCUAACACCAUCCUGACCCAAAACCAUGCUCUUUUUAACUCAUCUGCAAAACCAUAACCCACUUUUGGAGUCAAAAUUGCACUUGCAGCCAUUUUAUAUUUUGCCAUCUUUAUUGAAUAGUUGCCAACCAAAAGCACUCUCACCUUCCCUCUAGCUGAUUCUAUUUGAUUCGACGUUUUCUUUUAUUCGCCCUCAUGAAUUUGCUUAGAAUGAUUAACAAGCUUGUCAUUAUUAUAAAAUCUCCUUCCAUAAUCACCAAUACAUACGGCUUAGCAGGCCUAAUUACACCAUUGAUUUCUAAUUGGUUAAACAAUUCUCUUUCUUUCUUUGCUCUCUUACAACUUGAGGCAUAUAACUAAACCCGUGGCUAUUAGCAUUUGCCACCAUGUAUUUAACAAUCCCGAAUGAAGAUAUUGAUUUUUUUCAGUUUAAUUGCUGCUUCAAAACGGGGUACUGAAUUUGGAUUUUGUUAUCCAAAUACCAAAAAUUUCCCACAUUGUGUUGGACAAUUUUUGGUUCUAAAGUUGAUGACUGGUUUUGCGAAUCAAGCUUCAAAUGAGAACUUCUAAACAAUAAGACAAAUGGGUUUUUGAGUUUCUAAUCUUGUAAACUUUGUUCUAUUGUAUAAGUUGUGAAAUCGCUUAAACAUCACUACAGCUAGAGGUCUUUAUGUCACUACUAGAAAAAUGGGCUUUAUUGACACCAAUUUAGUGUCAGUAAUUACUUUUGCUGACACUUGUUAAUUGUGUCAGUAAUGCUCAAGCCAGAACACACUGACACUAAUCUUUGGUGUCAGUGAUUUUUGCGUCAGUAUUUUGUGUCACUAUAGUAUCACCACCAUAGUGAUACUAUGAUGUUAGUAUCAGUUGAUACUAUUUUUAUGUCAGUAUUUUGUGUCACUAGAGAGUCACAAGGAUAGUGACUCAAUCGCGUUAGCAUUUAAUGAUACUAUUUACAUGUCACUGAUUUAUGUGACUACAGUAUUAGGAAUCCACUGACUCAGUAACAUCAAAAAUUCUUAUCGUCAUUUAAAUAAUUAGUGUCAGUAUUAACGGUGCUAUACCGGUUGUGUUUUAUUUUUUUUAAUGACAUUAUUCAUGUUUAUUUUACAAUUAAAAUAAACCCAAAAUAUAUUAAACAUACCAAAUCUUGUAAUGCAAUUCACAUAAUACACAUUUCAAAUACAUCAGUUAAAUUAAAAUAGUUCAAAUACAUCAUUGUUUGGGGGUAAAAACAUGUUCAAGUACAAAAUUAAGCUUUGAACAAGUAGUAUACACGAUAAAGUACUAAAUUAAUUUCGGAAAAUUUAGCCAAGAAGAAAAAACAAAUAACAAUGUCACUGAUUUUGGAGUCACUGAUUUUGGAGUCCGCAUAUGCCUUCAUUUUUUUUCCACCUACAAGUAUAUAAAAUCAAUUAGCACACCACAAAAAAUAAAUCACAGAUUUGUUUUAAGGAAAAAUAAUCAUAAAUUACUUGUAUGUUACCUCGCGAUUGUAGGCUGUAAUUAACUUGGCAACGUAUGUAGCCCACUGAUCACGAAGUCGCGAGAGGUCCUUGACAGUGUAUUCCUCAACUCCCUUGAACUUUAAUUUUAAAACAACAAGUUAUUCACCGAAAAUCCUUGACUAAACUACUUAAUUAUCAUUCAUUUAAAUACAUUUGUGUGUUAACAAUUAAAGCCAACAAAUAAACUCCAACAAUGUUACUGUUUUAUCCAAAAUUAUAUAGGUAAAUACUGAACAUCCUGAUCAUGGUAAUUCCAAAAAAAAAAAACUUGUGAACCCCAACAACAACAAUAUUUGAUAGCCGAAGCAACUUGUGAACCCCAACAGUACGCGAUUUAAUACAAAUAUGGAUGUACAUACAAAACCUUAAUUAGGAUGACAACUUAUCCUCAUCAAAGUAAAGUACAAGCAAUGACACCAUAGCACAUCCCCACUAACAACUACUUUGCAACCCAAACAAUUGUUUUGUGUUGGGAUAUGCAGUACAUUGUGUAUAUCCCAAAUCCUAAUUCAUGUCUAUAUGGAUAUUCAUAUAAUCUAUUCAACAGUAUGCAACAUAGUCACCAUUAUAAGUACCCUCACAGUUUAUAAAAUGCAUACAAUACGCAAUAAAAAGAUAACUGUAAAGAAGCACACAAGUGUUUGAGCUGAUUCAUUUCACAAUAAAUUAAAACAAUAUGAUACAGUAUUGUAAAAAUCAUUUUCAAUACUUACAUUAUUUUUCAGAACGUUCACAUUUGUGAUGAUAUCUUGCAUGUAUUUCAUCACAUAGUAACCACAUUCAAAGCUGCUCGGCUGCCUCGGACACUACAAGAUCAAAAUUACAUUAAUUUUUUACUGUACGUUAACAAUAAUUAGUUAGGUUUGUCUGAUUUUUACCUUGACAGGUAUCCAUUGAACAUUGGCCUUUGUAUCAGAAUUUAAACUCUGAUGUAUUCGAAUCCCCCUACAAUUAAGAGACAUAGCUAACGUUAGCAAAUAAUUAGCAUAAGACAUAAAAAUAAAAUAGCAUGAUCAAAGAUACAAAUAACAAACUUAACUGAUUGACAAUCUGCAUUAGCUCUUCAUCAGGACUACCUUCCAAAGGAUCAAGGUAAUAGGUUGUACGUCUCACCAUAUCAAUUGCCAAUAACACCCAGUGGGCACUAAACAAAGUAAAAAUUGUUCUCACACAUGAAUUACAAGUAAAAGUGAUUAAUCUACAAAUUAAAGAAUAUUACUAGCAAAUGAAAAAGGUUAUACCCAGGGUUAUACGGGAAUACGAUGACUUGUCCCAAUUCUGCCAAGCCUAACAGUUUUGAAAUGUAUUGAGUCCUGUCUUUGAAACUGACCCUUGGAUAUAGCUUCUCAAAAAGCCCAAACUGAACUGGUUUAGUACUUCCAUUGCUCUCCAUCUCCUCAUACAGGUGUCUAAGAGGAAACAAAUAUAUAUAACGAAGUAAGUUUGAAUAUAGGAAACAAAAUAAUAGGGCCAAGUUUACUAAAACAUAAGUUAUGAUUUACCGUACUUGAUCCAUAUGUUAAUGAUGCAGUUUGAGACCUCUUUAAACUCGAUGAUUUCAGCACAAAUCAUUUUGUCCAAGUGUGUUUCCCAAAUUUCACCAAAGGUUGCUGUGUCAUGCCGAAUCCUGAUCAACCGAGGUAAAGAAUUCUCGAUGAACAUGGUAAACAUGUUCAUAUAUUCACUCCUGUCAUUCUUUCUUGAUCGUGCUGCUGCCCGUGUAUUCUUCACACGUACAUUGAGGUCUUUUGCUGCUGGUCUGAUGACUCGGGGUUCUUUUUUGGCUAUUUCUGCUGGUCUGAUGACUCUGGGUUCUUUUUUGGCUACUUCUGCUGGUAUGAUGACUCUGGGUUCUUUUUUGGCUACUUCUGCUGGUCUGAUGACUGGUGGUUCUUUGUUGGGUACUUUGUCAUGACAGGAGAACUGCCUAUCUAGUACUUUAGGAGUUAGUCGAGGAGAUCUUCUCGGUGUGGGCUUUGAAGUAAUUUCACAAUCUACUUUUUCGGGGGUUUGUUGAGGAGUUGCUUGGGAAAUUGUGGUGGGACUGUCCUUGAUUUUACUCUUCACAGAUUUUGGAGUCGACUUACCCAAUGGGAAAUCAGCCUUUGCAAUAAUCAAAAUACAUACCAUUAGUAGUAAUACAUGCAUAUACAAAUGGAAAUAAAAUAAUGACAUGUAACAGGCCAUAUACCUUUCUUUUUCCAAGAGUUUCAGGGGAUUGUUGAUCAUUGUCAAUCUGAACACCAGUGGAAGUUUUGGGCUUAGGAAAGUUAGAACUUCCAACUUCAGUAUUGCUGUACGCAUUUAACCUUGCAUUCAUGCGUUCUAAUUGAGCAGACAUGAAUUGGAAACUCUCUUGAUACAUCUUUCUUUCUCUUGCUAACUCAGUGGCAUCAGGGACAUGAAAGUACAUAGAUGGGGUGACGAAUUGCCCCACUCCUUGCACCCUACUUCCAUUUGGCUGCUUCUGAAGAGCUUCACCUAGAAUGUCAUGUGACCCUUGUGAUUGGAAUGUUCCUUGUUCAACAUGACUCUUCAGUUCAUUCUACAAAAAAAAAUAUUGUAAAUCCGCAAUUACGAGUACAAGACAUCAGCUAAACUAAACUAAUAUCCUUCUUGAAUCUUUAACAAAGAGCAAAUCCAUAUACAGUUCAAAUUGAAACUACAGAAAAUAUUACAAGACAACACCUCAAACAAGUUUUAACCUUUUAAUAUGCGAAGAAAUAAGUUCUGAUGAAAUCUUACUGAGUUUCUGUCAAUUGUAAAUGUUGCCAUACAAUUAUUACAAAAAGCAGUAUAUAUGUACGUUAAUAUCUACCCCCACACACACAUAUUAUAAAGAAAAUUCAUAAGAAUUAAGUAUACAAGUGGCUUACUAUUUUCUCAGCAAUUGGCGUCACAUCAGAAGCAUAUUUGCCAUCUCGGUCUGCUCGUGCCAUUAACCAAGCUUCACUGCGAUCAAUCUCCCGCUCAGAAACUCCACUCUCCUUUUUCUGUUACAAGGUGACAUAAAACAUAAAUAAUUGAUUCUAUGAUAUUAUACGCAUUAGAUUACUUAUGUUACUGUAAUUACUCCAUAUUACCACACUUACUUUUCUAUACAACAUGCCACCAUAUCCUGUGCUACCCAAGCGAUGGUUGUAGACAUUCUUUGCUCUUUUGUCUUUUGCCUUCUUACUUUUUUCCUGCACAAACAGUUUAUAUGAAGAAUAAAAAGUUACCACUGAUUAUUAGUAACUACCAACAAUUACAUCAGGUAAUAUUAACAAACAACACACCUGAAAUUGUUCAGACAAAACUUUGUCAACAAAAAGUUUCCAAUCUUCUUUUUUAAUGCUUGGAUAUUCAAUAGGAGGCAACCUUAGUGACUUUCGAUCGUCCUUGUUAGGUAGAACGAAUUCAGUUGCCAGUUCACAACGAAAGUUUCUUGAUGCAACCCCCAUCCACUUUAAUACUUGGCUUUUGCAUUUCAAGCUCAAUUUGAAUUUUUUCUGUCAACCAAUAACAUGGAUUAGCAACAACUUUAAAAAAAUCUGGAAGUUAUAUAAAAUCUUUAAACAUACUAUGAAACAAGAAAACAAAACCUGAAAAUGAACCCACAAAGUUUCCUUCAUCUCCAGUGGCACACGCCUCCAAUCAUCAAGUAAAAUUGAAAUUGUUUCACGUACAAUGACUCCAAUGUAACUCCUAAGAUCAUUUCUUCCCUUUCCAACCGGAACACCAUAAGAAUUGUACUCAAUUGCAGCUUCAUGACUAACUUCUUGUUUUUGCAAACCUUUUUUUUUUGUUUGUUUUCUUCUCCUUGGUCUUCCGUCGAGCUCCGGAAGAGUGAACUCAACAUCGUCAGCCAUCUCCUACAAUCCUGAAAAUGAUUAAAAUAAAUAAGUAUAUCAUUUAGAUUAAUAAGUUAAUACAAGAGCAAUAGCAUAUAAUGAAAUAAAUAAAUCACUUACUGGAAAACUUUGAAAAUUGGUGCUGGAAACUAACUACAAUAAUGCAUUCACUGAUUUUCUAAAUCAAUAUCUAUUGGAAUAGCAUCACAAUCUUUUCUGUCAUAAAUUCCUUCAUCAUCUUUCUCAUCCAACUCACAUACUGGAAGUUUGUUAGAUAAUGGAGAAAAUACAUCCACGUCUUCACAUCUUUCCCCAUUUAACUUAUAAGCUUUGUCGGUCACUGAACAAACUAUUGAUUUAUUAUUCUCUAGCUGGUCCUUUACAUAAAAUACUUGCUUUGCAUGACAAGCCAGAAUAAAGCAAUCAGAUUUAUAGCCAAUCCGAUUUAAAUCAACUACAGUGAAACCUAAAUUGUCAGUGCAAACCCCUCUAUCAUCUACCCAAUCACACUUGAAAAGUGUUUUUUUAACCAUUAGAUAAUCAAGCUGCCAAAUCUCAUCAAUGACUCCAUAAAACGUCAUGUCUCCAAAAUGAGGACUUUUAUCUUUUGAGCUUGAAAUCUGUAGAGUGUUAGCAACAACCCUAACACCACUAUUUUGGGUCACACGAUUACAGUCUCGGUCCCUCGUUGUAAAAUUGAAGCCAUUUAUCUCGUAGCCAGAGAAGGUUACCACGCUUGAGCGUGGUUUGUUUGCUAACCAGCACACUAUUUCGUCAAUCGGCACAUUAUUUGCUUUAUCAUGUGCCACCUAUAAAUUAAUUUAACAAGUACAGUAAUUAGUAACAUGUAGAAAAAUCUUGUUAAGUUUAUAUCCUAUAUUGUAUUUAGUUACGUAAUUCUAACCUUUGCUUGUAACCAACCAGAAAAUGUUCGUAUGUGUUCAUUUUGCAACCACAGAUUUGUUUUUGCCUUAUAAGGGUUUCUUGAUGCCAAAUAAUGCAUAUGCUCCCUACAGUGAAACAUAUUAAGAUUUAAAAACUAGUAUAUUAAUCUAAUAAUACAAUAGUAAUAUUUUUUUGAAAAAUUAACAACUUACUCGAUAUAUAUUUGGAUUUCAGGGGUGUUCAUUAGAACACACCGGUGUGCUUGUGCCAACAAAGGAUCAUCAACCACCUUUAUGUUUGCACCUCCCAAAGGCUUUUCGAUAGAUAAAUCAGUUGGACAACCAGUAGGCAGCCCAAUAACAUCACAAUUUGAGAGGUACUCAGCACAAAAUGCAAGUGCUUCUUCUGCAAUAUAACUUUCUACAAUACAACCCUCAGGGCGGUAGCGAUUACGAACAUAAUCCUUGAGAGUUUUCAUUUGUCUCUCAAAAGGAUACAUCCAUCGAAGAUAAACAGGCCCACAUAACCUAACUUGUUCAACUAAGUGGACUGUUAAAUGGAUCAUUAUGUCAAAAAAGCUAGGUGGGAAGUACUGCUGCAGUAAGCAUAAAGUGAUUACAAGUUCCUCUUGCAAUUGGUCAAGAGUAUUAGGAUCUACCACUUUACAGCACAAUGUAUUAAAAAAGAAGCACAUCCUGAUUAUGGCCGUUCUCACAUUUAUAGGCAAACAGUUUCGAAUGGCUAGUGGUAGAAAUUGUUGCAUCAAAGUAUGACAGUCAUGGGACUUAAGGCCUUGAAGCCGACAAUCAUCUAUUGAAACAAGGUUUUGGACAUUGGAAGAAUACCCAUCAGGGACUUUCACACUCAGCAAGGUUUCACAAAACUGUUUUUUUUCUUUUUUACUCGAAGUAUAAGGAGCUGGAGGUAGGACUUUGUUUUUUUUGUUUGUUUCAUCAGGAACUAGUUUUCCCCUGAUCUUCAAAGACUCAAGAUCUUUUCUAGCAUUAAUCCCAUCUUUUGUUUUGCCUGGUUGAUGAAGUAAUGUGCCAUAUAUGUUUUCGCACACAUUUUUUUCAAUGUGCAUGACAUCUAAUUGAUGGCGAACUAAUAAAUGCUUCCAAUAAUCUAACUAAAAAAAGAUUGACUUUUUUUUGUACAAUUUUUCAGUUAUGUUCUCAUCACCACCACCACCACCACCGCCAUCAUGUUUCCGCUUUUUGGCCUUCUUUUUCCCGAACUUAAUAUCUAUAUCUUCCACCAUAUUAAAGAUUUCCUCACCAGACAAAGUUUUAGGAGGCUCAUUCCACUCUUGCUUCCCAUUAAAAACCUUUUUCAGUUUCCGAAAUAAGUGACCGAGUGGUAGAAAGCGGCGAUGGCCCAUAUAUGACAUUUUCCUACUAUGUGGCAGCCAACAUGCACAAGUGUCUAUCCCACAAAUUGGGCAAGCAUAAUAGCCCUUAACAGUACAACCAGAGAGGUUUCCGUAUGCUGGAAAGUCACUAAUUGUCCACAUCAAGACAGCCCGUAAAUUAAAGGUUUCUUUUCUAUAAGAAUCAUAAACAUCAAUACCUACAUCCCAUAGAGUUUUUAAGUCCUCAAUCAAAGGUGCUAGGUAUACAUCUAGAUCAUUUCCAGGUUGUUUAGGGCCAGAUAUCAAAAGUGACAACAUCAAAAACUUUCUCUUCAUACACAACCAUGGAGGAAGAUUAUAUGUUAUUAAUAUAACAGGCCAACAACUAUAAGUAGUGCUAAGUGUACUAUGUGGGUUAACCCCAUCAGUUGAGAGAGCUAAACGGAGAUUUCUAGGUUCUUGUGCAAAUUUUGGCCACUUAUUGUCAAUUAGUUGCCAGGCUGGUGAGUCUGCUGGGUGGCGAAGUUUGCCAUCUCUAAUUCUUUUAUUAGCAUGCCAUGUUAAAUUUUGAGCUGUUUGUGGUGAUUGAAACAAUCUUUUCAACCUAGGAAUAGGUGGAAAAUACCAUAAUACCUUUUUUGGAACCCCUUUCCUAAAUUUUGUUGAGCUAUCUUUUUUUUUUUAUACCUAGAUGCUCCACAAUUUGGGCAUUCAGCAAGAUCAGCAAAUUCAUUCCUAUACAAAAUGCAGUCAUUUGGACAUGCAUGUAUUUUUUCAUACUCUAAGCCUAACACUUUCAUUGUUUUCUUAACCUCGUACAUUGACAUAGGUAGAGUAUUAUUAUUUGGCAAAAUAUCAGCAAGGACUUCUAACAAAGCAGAAAACCCUGUAUCGGACCACCCAUAGUUCCCUUUCACAUUGUAAAGUCUCAUUAAACUAGAUAACUUUGAAUGUUUUGCACCCGGGUACAAAGGCUUUUCAGCAUCUUCAAGCAUAUCCUUAAAAGAACUAGGAUCUCUAUCACAAUGCUCGUAAGCAUCUUCGACCAUGUCAAUUAUAUUACUGUAAUCAUGACAUCUAAAUCUUUGACUAUGUGAAUGGUCUUCACAGUUUGUAAAUGUAGAUUUAGAGUCAGUCUCACCAUGCCAAGUCCAAACAAUAUAUCUUGGGAGAAAACCUUUUUCAAAUAAAUGAUCCUUCACUUGUUGAGGAGUAUGAAACUCCAUGUUACAACAAAAGGUGCAAGGACAUCUAAUUGACAUUCGAUUUUCAGCAUUCAAAAUGGCAAAAUCUAAGAAAUCAGCAACUCCAGAACGAUACUCUACAGACAAUCUAUCACAAGUUAUCCAACUUCUGUCCAUUUCAAAUAUUUUACCUGUUCACAUAUGUAAUGUUAGUUUAAGUUUAAUUAAAUUGCAUGAUUAAUUUAAAGUUCAAUGUUAUUAUGAUUAUAGUUGUAAUAAUAAACUUAUAAUUCUGAAAAAUCAUUAAUAGCCCUAUAAAUCAUUAAUUAUAAUAAUAAUUUAGACAAAAUCCUGAAAUUGAAACAAAAUAAGUUUUGAAACUUAAAUAGGAGAUUAAUAGGUAAGAUGGGUGCUAAUGGCUUUUUAAGUAGUCGAACUAAUUCAUAAGUCAAGUAACUAACAAAAGUUAAGAGUUCAAAUAAAUAAUGUCUUCAUACCACUUUGCAAGCCAUUUUUUAAGAUUCUAUAAAUCAUUUUUUAACUUCAAAUACAACAUGCAGAACUACUUUAAAACAAGCAUUUCUUUAUUGAAUCAAACACAAAUCAUCAACUUUAUACAAUCUCACAAUACUCACAACCACGAACUUAAUUAAUUCAUAUCAUAGUCAUUGUCUCUAUUACAAAUCGUCCAACCAAAACAGAAUAAAUAAACAAGUAGGAUUAUAUAACAAAAUUUGCCUCUCUUUACAUGAAACAGAGAUGUAAAUAGUUUGUAACCACUAAAUACACAGUCAUUCAGCCAAUAUAACACCCAAACAAUCAUCUCCUAAUCACAAAGGCAAAAGCUAAAAUCAAAUUUCAUAUUUUAGUACAUUCAAAAUCAACUAACUUAUUGCUCAAAGUUAAGAAACGGAGCUAACAGUUUAUUUCAGAAACUAAAAAAAAUGCACAUUCUUAGUUUUAAAUAACAAUGACAGUAAAUCACAUGCACAAAAGUUUGAAACUGACCUCAAAUGUGGCAGAAAAAACAGAGUCGCAGCAGCAAGUGUUUUGAGUUUAAGUAAUGCACCACUUAAAAUGCCUGUAUUUUUGGACUGCAUGUGAGUGAAGAUAUAGAAAAAUAAGAACAAAAAUUUCAAGUUACGAAUAAAUAAAUAAAAAAAAAUAUUUGGAAAACAAAACCCACCAGGGUUGCACGACUGUUCAAUUUCUGAAUAUCUGAAACAACCCAAAAAUAAAAAUUCAAAAAUAUUAUUCAUAAGCCAAAUUAAAACAAACCCAAUAAUUAAAUUGCACAAACAAAUAAAACAUUCUGCCAUUACCAGCUGAUAACCUCCUCUACAGUUCUUUCUCUGGACUUAACUUGUCAGGGAGAAUGAGAUUACCUGAAUACCGAACCGAUGGUGCCACUUCACCCCUUGUCGAUGGCUUUUACUUGCUUGCCUAGUAUAGGCACUGGAUGGUUAAGUUGGAGAAAAACCCCUUCGAUAACAAGCGAUUAGGGUUUUGGUUUGUGUUUCAAUUUGGGGAAAAUGGAAAAACGAAUCAGAGUUUUAGGUUUUCAUUAUCUAUCUAAAUUAAUUGAAUUUAAUUUGUAAAUGGAUAGUGCAAAACAGAAGAGAUCGAGAAGAGAAAAACGAAAGCGAAAGUGAACGAUGAAAGCAAGAUAGAGACAGUCGAUAUAGUCUAGAUGGGGAGAACAAGUGUGUUUUAUGUUAUUGUUAUUUAUAUUUUCAUUUUUUAAUAAUUUAAAUAUUAUUAUGACUUUGACUCAUCGAGAUUUGAUGGUCUGUGCUCCAAACAUUAAAGCUUUAAAUCUUAGAGCUCCCAGGUUCGAGUUGGAGCUAAAACAAAAUUUUUAUGAAUUUUUUUUAUCAUUGAUACUUUAGUGUUAGUGAUUUUUGAUGUUUAGUUUACUGACACCCUAGUAUCAUUAAUCUCUGAUUCCUAUUUGUCAAAAGCGGAAAAUGGUGCAUAUGUACAUAAGUACUGAUACUUUUUGCAAAGUGUCAGUAACGAAGUGUCAGUAAAGCCCAUUUUUCUAGUAGUGUCUGUCAAUGAACUGCAGAAGCUGAUGAUCUACCUGUAGUAGACUUCUAUUGCCCCUGUCGUUCUAGGAAGACAAAUAAGUUCAGGAACUACUUCUGGACCAAACUCAUAAUAUUGCCACUGCUUUGUGCCAAUCUACGAGGGAAAGCAUAUUGAAGUUCCUAAAUAAGGCACAUCACGAUUUGACUGAAGUACCAUUAUGAGGAACAAUUGAUUUUAGGAAAGCACUAAAAUAUGACAUAAUCUGCCCCUAAUGGUCUAAAGUAGUCAAGAAAUUAUAUCAACCAAGCAGAAACACAUAAACUAGUUGAGAUACAAAGUUAUUGUAAAAGUCAAUUUUGAUCACAAAUCCAUUAAAAUUAAAAGACAUCAGAAACUUAGAGAACAUUAUAAUUUAGGACUCAGCUAAGUUGCAGAUUCUGUAACUAACAGCUGAGUCCACAUUGGUCUUGCAUCAGCUAAGUUUGGGUUGCUUUCCCUCUCUCCUGCAACGCGUGGAAGCGCCCCAUUUGCUGUGUUAUAUACCGAGUCAGUACCGUAACAAGCUCCUAUAAUUUAAGUUUGAUUAAUGUAGACAAUAGUCUGCCUCUGCUCAAAAGCUAUGCUGCAAGAUAUAACAUCUUUGCAAUGUUAUACUUUCUAAAAGUAAUAAGAAAUGAAACCAAGGGGUAAAUCGAACACCAAAAGAAAUUUAGUCGGCCAACCACAUUAUGUUCCCACACAGUCCACUAAUUAAGUUAAUAAUUAAAGGAAUCAAAAUCUAAGAAAUCUAAGAAAUCGGCCAACCACAUUUUCCUUUUUCUCUCUCCGCUACAGUAGUCGCUAAUUGACCCAAUUGAUGUUCAAGCUUUAGAAUAGCUUGAGUGUUUGACUGAAAAGCUUGUUGGGUUGACUGAAUGAAACUUUGAAGUGUAUCCUCUAAAGAAGGCUUUCUUUGUUGGGGUGCAACAAAUUGAGACAUAGGUUGUUGGGCAGGAGGAUAUACUUGGUUAGGAGGGAUAAAUUGUUGAUUGGGCAUGUUAAAUUGUUGCCCUCCUUGAUUUGACAAAUGUUGAUUUUGUUUCCAAGAAAAAUUAGGGUGAUUCCUCCAAUUAGGAUUAUAUGUGGAUGAAUAUGGACUAUUGGAGGUUUUCUCAUAUGAUUGUAAGGCAUGUACCUGCUUAGAAUAAGCAUCUGGAUAGACUGGUAAUGAUGGACAAUUCUGUGCUGUAUGAGACAAGUUAGAACAAAUAGCACAAACUUCAUUAGCUACACUAGGAUGAUGAUUCAUUGAUUGGUUCAGAGCUAAGGCAUCUACUUUCCUAGAAAGUGUAGCUAGAGUGGAUUUCACAUCAAAAUCAUCCUUAACUUCAUAUAACCCCUUUCUAGAAACUUGAGAUGAUUUUUCCCUUUGAUUUGAAAAAUCCCAUUGUUGAGAGUUUUCAGAAAGUGAAUUAAAGAAAUCCCAUGCGGCCCAUUCAUGUAAGUUCAAAAAUCUCCCACCAUUCAUAGACUCUACCAUAUGACGAUUUGACAUGGUUAAACCGUUAUAAAAGCAUUGUAUAAGUCUCCAUUUUUCAAAACCAUGGUGGGGACACUUGAGGAGUAAAUCAUUGAAUCUUUCCCAACACUCGUAAAAUUGCUCACCCUCUCUUUGAUAAAAAUCACUUAUCUCUGUCCUAAGGGCAUUUGUUUUCGACAUAGGAAAAAACUUGGUGAGAAACUUAUUACUCAAUUCAUCCCAUGUACUAAUAGACCCAGCAGGAAGUGAAUUCAACCAAGCUUUUGCUUUGUCUUUUAAUGAGAAAGGGAACAUACGAAGCCUAAUUGACUCAUCAUUAAAAUUUUGAAAACGAAAUGUAGAGCAUAUGUCAAGAAAUUCCUUAAUGUGCAAAUAUGGAUCCUCUCUCUCUAACCCAUGGAAAGAUGGUAAAAGUUGAAUGACUGAGGGCUUAAGUUCAAAGUGUGUUGCUGUAGUUUGUGGCAACACAAUACAAGAUGGUUGGUUGGCUGCAAGUGGUGAAAAGUAUUCUCUGAGGGUUUUCUCUGCUUGCACUGGUGGAAGUAUUGGCAAUAGUCUAUUUGGGUCAUCCAUCACUUCUAAAGAACUAGUUUGACUACUAUCAAUUUUCGACUCUCUUUUAACCAAACGAUUUGUUGAAUCACGUUCCCAAACACUCAUAAACUAACUAGACAAGAAAAGAAAGAAAAAUAAAAUCAAAUAAACCAACAAUAAUGAGAAUAAAUGAAAUUUAAAAAUAAAAGAAAUCAAACAACCAAACAAUGAAUUUAAAGACAAAUAAAAGUUUUUUUGUGUUUUUUUUUAAUAAAAAAAAUAAAAGACAACCUAAGUUAAAACUAGUGGAAGAAUCAAAUCAACCUAGAUUAAACUGACUUUCUAGCACAAUCCCCGGCAACGGCGCCAAAAACUUGUGUUGAAAAUUUUAAUAUACUCGCAAGCGCACGAAUCUAGAAAUAGAAUAGUGGUAACGAGGUCGAUCCCACAGGGAUUGUUAUAAAUUGAAAAGUCUAAUUUAAAUAUAAAAUUAAUAUUAAUUCUAACCUAGUUGACCAAAUUGAGUUUUAAGAGAAAUUAAACUAAUUAAACUAAGGAAGCAAAAAAUAAAGGAGAAUUCAAUAAGAUAAGAAUUACCAAGGUUUUAGAAUCCACCACUAUUCAACUAGUAAUUAUCUAAUUAUUAAUUAAUCCCCAAUUUAGAGUGACAACUUGAAAUCAAUCUAUGUCAUCUCAUGGAUAUAACAAUUAAGCCCAAAUAAAAUUAAUCUUAUGUAGGUUCUUUUUCUGCUUGAUAAUAUGACAUCUAAGCAUCCCAUGUAAACAUAUUGAAUAACAAAGAAUCAAAGUUUUCCUAAGCACUCUAUGUAAACAAUUUAAUGAAAGACAUAAAAUCAAAGAUAGUCAUGUAUAAACUUUAUAAAUCCAAGCAUAGAUUUAAUCGAAUAUUAAUCCUAACAAUCAAUAAUGCAUGACAGAAUUGAUGAAAAGAUUUUAUUAACAUCCAAUUAAUCAUGUGAGAUAAAAACCAUAAUCAUCAAAGAACAUAUAUAGGGAAUUAAUUAAAUAAAAAGAGAUAAUUAUUUCAUUGAAUAGGGUUUCAUCUUUAACCUCAGUAUAAGAAAAUUAGCUAGACAUACUUGAAUUGAGAGCAACAAGAUAAAUAAAUUCAGCCAUGGGGAAGCCGAAUUGCUGCAGAUUUUCUUCUCUGUCUUGAAUCCUUGCGUCUCCAGUUCUCCCCUUCCUCUGGCGGCUCUCCCCCCUUUAUAUAAUGUUACUGGCUUGCUUAAUCCUUAUCGGAUUCUAAUUGCAUUAACUUAUCAUAAGUCACAAUCAUCCACCGACUUACAAAGCCCACUCACCAAGGCCUUUUUAAAUUAUUUCCUUAUUAAACUUUGAAAACUAGCCACACGUUUGACCACAAAAGCAAAAGACCAAUUAAUGACUUCUUCUUUUAAUGCCCAGCACAUGCACUCCAAAUUGCCAAAUCUUUGCUUUCCAAAUGCAUGCCCACCGUUCAUCUUUUGAAGGGAUUGACUUCCAAUUUUAAUCUUAUUGACUUCCAAAUUUGAACUUCCUCAUGCCCUUUUUAUCCUUAAUCUUCAAUUAAUUCCCUAUUCAACAAAAUAAUUCAAUUAAUUAAAAAUAACAAAUAAAAAUAACUAACAAUUAAAUAAUAAGAGUCAAAUAUGUAUAUAAAUUAUGCUCAUCAAAUACCCCCAAACUUAGAUUUUGCUAGUCCUCGAGCAAAACUAAAACUUAAAACAAAAGUAAAAACAAUGAAAAAAAAAAUAAAUCUUAACUAAACCACUUUCGCAGGUAAUCGCGAUUGCAUUUAGCGUAUGCAACAAGUCUUUAAACCCAUAGGCGGCCCUAGUGGACGAGUUAUAGUCUCGUGAGGGCUUCAGUGAUGUUACCCACAAACAUCAUUUUUCAAAGAAUUAAAAUAAAAAUAAAAUGAAAAGAACAACAAACUUUUAAACAAAACAUGAAGAUAGCCUCAAAGAUUGCAUAAAUUAUAUAGCUCAAAGAAAAUUUCAAAUAUUGGCAAAGUUCUAACUUUAAUUCAAUAGUCAAUCUCAUCUCUCUUUCGAUUCUUGUAGUGUGUGUGUGAAAUCAAUUCAAUCAAAUCCAUUCCCAAAACCCUCAAUAUCAACAGCCUUCGCCUCAAACAAAGAACAGAGUAGGUCAAACUAAUCUUAUCAUCUUGAUCUCCAAUUUUUUUUUUUUCACAGGCUUUUAUGUGCAUUUUCUUUUGAAUUUUUUUUUUCAGCACAUGCACUUGAUUUGAUUUUUUUUUCUUUUUUUUUUUAACCAUAGUCAGGAGCUUUCACUCUACCCCUUAAGGUAGCCUUCUUCUCAUGGUAGAUUAUCCUCUACAUACUUGUGGUACAUAGGCCCAAAUUACUCAAGGAUAGCUUCACUCUUAAGGGUUAUAGGUAGCUAUUUCUGACUCUGGCGCCUGUGUAUGCUAUUUUGUAUUGUGGAGAUAAGAAUCAAGAUAAAUAGUCAUUUACUCUAUCUAAAAUUCUCAAUUCAGGCUGUGUCAAUCUCAAAUUUCAAGUCAAAAUCAUGAAAGAACUGAUAUUAGUGCUCAUGGUUUAAAGAAUCUCAAUCAAGAGGAACUAACACAAGAAUCAAGUAUAAACUAAGACAAUAUUCAAUCCUUUCUAAAAACCAUAUUUAUUGUCAAUCAAAUUCUUAUCAUUGGCUUUUCACAUAAAAACAAAAACAACACAAAUUUUUUUUUUGAAUUUUUGAAUUUUUUUAUUUUUUUAUUAUUUUUUUAAACAAACAAAGCACACACUAUUCCCACCCCCAAACUUAUUUGGAACAUUGUCCUCAAUGUUUCACAAACAAAAGAUAUGCAUGCAAACAAAUGAAAGAGAAAUAAUAAUAAUAAUAAAAACAUAAAUAAUAAAAAGAAAGUUGAAGAUAACACACCUGGAUGGGCUGUGAAAGCUUAAAAGAAAAUGCCAAAUGAAAAGAAAACAUUAGAAAAGAAAAACAAACAAAGAAAAGAAAACCUACUGUUAAAAUAAAACAAGAGUGCAAAGAUGAACUUAAUUAAUCCUGAUAAACAGGAUCAUCUAACAGUAUCUCCUCAACUUCUGGUGUUCUUAACUCUAAAAAUGGUUUUAAUCUUUGACCAUUGACCUUAAAUAAAUCACCAUUUUUAGGAUUUUCAAUCUCAAUUGCCCCAUAAGGGAAGACAGUACGAACUAUAAAAGGACCAGACCAUCGAGAACGUAACUUACCUGGAAAGAGAUGCAAUCGGGAAUUAUAUAAAAGUACUUUCUGACCUGGUGUAAAGACUUUUCUCAAAAUGUAUUUGUCAUGAAAGACUUUCAUUCGCUGUUUAUAAAUCUUGGCAUUCUCAUAUGCAUCAUUCCUGAUCUCUUCAAGUUCUGCUAGUUGUAAUCUUCUCUUAGACCCAGCCUGCUGCAUGUCAAAAUUGAAUUUCUUGAUAGCCCAAUACGCACGAUGCUCCAACUCUACUAGCAGAUGACAUGCUUUUCCAUACACAAGUCGAUAAGGUGACAUCCCAAUUGGUGUUUUAAAAGCAGUCCUAUAUGCCCACAAUGCAUCAUCAAGUCUCAAAGACCAAUCCUUUCUAUCUGGCCUAACUGUUUUCUCUAGAAUCCGCUUGAUGUCUCUAUUAGAAAUCUCUACUUGGCCACUGGUCUGAGGAUGGUAUGGGGUGGUAACCUUAUGUGUAAUGGAAUAUUUGUCCAAAAGAGUUUUGAAAGGUUUAUUGCAAAAAUGGGUGCCACCAUCACUAAUGAUUGUUCUAGGGAAACCAAAAUGAGACAGAAUAUUACUCUUUAAGAAUUUCACUACAACCCUAUGAUCAUUGGUUUUGCAUGGAGUUGCUUCAACCCACUUCGACACAUAGUCCACUGCAACUAAUAUAUACUGAUAACCAAAAGAUGGAGGAAACGGUCCCAUGAAAUCAAUACCCCAUACAUCGAAGAUCUCAACCACAAGAAUAGGAUUGAGUGGCAUCAUGUUCCUCUUUGAAAUGUUACCCAUACGUUGGCACCUAUCACACAAAGAACAGAAAAUAUAAGCGUCAUGAAAAAGAGUAGGUCAAUAAAAACCACACUGUAAAAUUUUUGUUGCUGCCUUUUUAGCACUAAAGUGGCCUCUACAAGCUUGUUCAUGGCAAAAUGAGAUAACACUUUGAAUUUCAUUAUCGGGAACACAUCGCCUAAUAAUCUGAUCAGCACAAUAUUUAAAUAAAUAGGGAUCAUCCCAAAAGAAGUCCUUCACUUUAGUUAAGAACUUUGUUCUAUCUUGCUUAGUCCAGUGCUCUGGGAUUUGACCUGUAGCAAGGUAAUUAACUAUGUCAGCAAACCAUGGUACAACAUUUACACUCAUAAGUUGCUCAUCUGGGAAAGACUCAUUCAAAGGUAAAGAUUCUGGAAUAAAUUUAAGAUCAAGGCGAGAUAAAUGAUCUGCCAUAACAUUUUCAGAACCUUUUUUAUCUAUAAAUUCAAUGUAAAAUUCUUGUAAAAGCAACACCCAACGAAUCAAUCUUGCCUUAGCAUCUUUCUUAGUAAGCAAAUAUUUUAAAGCAGCAUGAUCAGUAAAAAUAAUCACUUUACAACCUAUAAGAUAAGAUCUGAAUUUAUCAAGUGCAAACACCACAGCUAGCAUUUCUUUUUCUGUAGUUGAAUAGUUCAAUUGUGCAUCAUUGAGUGUCAUACUAGCAUAAUAAAUCACAUAAGGCAUACGAUCUAAUCUUUGUCCUAAAACUGCUCCUACAGCAUAAUCAGAUGCAUCACACAUAAUUUCAAAAGGCAAAUCCCAAUUAGGUGGCUGAAUGAUAGGUGAAGAAGUCAACAAUUUCUUAAGCUUUGCAAAAGCAUCAAGACAAGAUUCAUCAAAGAUAAAAGGUGCAUCCUUAACAAGUAAAUUGCAUAAAGGUCUAGAAAUUUUACUAAAAUCUUUAAUGAAUCUUUUAUAAAAACCAGCACGUCCAAGGAAAGAUCUUACUUCUUUUACGGAUUUGGGAUAUGGAAGAUUAGAAAUUAAAUCCACCUUAGCUUUGUCGACUUCUAUACCUUUGCUGGAAAUUAUAUGACCAAGAACAAUACCUUGUUUUACCAUGAAGUGACACUUUUCCCAAUUUAGAACCAAGAUCUUUUCUUUACAUCUCUGCAAAACUAAUGUUAGGUGCUGCAAACAUUCAUCAAAAGAAUCUCCAUAAACAGAAAAAUCAUCCAUGAAUACUUCAAGAAAUCUCUCAACCAUAUCAGAAAAAAUACUAAGCAUGCAUCUUUGAAAGGUAGCAGGUGCAUUGCAUAAACCAAAUGGCAUUCUCCUAUAUGCAAAAGUUCCAAAUGGACAAGUAAAAGUAGUUUUCUCCUGGUCCUCUGGAGAUAUAGGGAUCUGAUUAUAACCUGAAUAUCCAUCUAGAAAACAAUAAAAAUCAUGACCUGCAAGUCUAUCAAGCAUUUGAUCAAUAAAUGGAAGAGGAAAAUGAUCUUUUCUUGUGAAUGAAUUCAAUUUUCUAUAAUCAAUGCAAACACGCCACCCUGUAGUUACUCUAGUGGGAAUUAAUUCAUUAUUAGCAUUAGUAACUACUGUAACACCAGAUUUCUUAGGAACAACUUGCACAGGGCUAACCCAAGAGCUAUCUGAAAUAGGAUAAAUAAUUCCUGCAUCUAAUAAUUUGAUUACUUCAGCUCUUACCACUUCUUUCAUGUUAGGAUUUAACCUACGUUGCAUCUCCCUAAUAGGUUUAGUAUUUUCUUCAAGAUGAAUACGAUGCAUGCAAUCUACUGGAUUAAUACCUUUAAUAUCAGCGAUGGUCCAUUCUAUUGCCUCCUUAUGCUCUUUUAGAAUGCCUAACAACUUACCUUUUUGCUCAAGAUCGAGGGAAGAAGAAAUAAUAACAGGUAGUUGUCAGAUUCUCCCAAGAAUGCAUAUUCCAGAGUGUCAGGCAGUGCUUUGAGUUCCAAUUUUGGUGGUGCCUCUGCAGAUGGGCCAAUUUUCUUCUCAGAAUGAGGCAGUAGUUCUGACUUUGUCUUCCAUUUAAUUGUGUCCGUAAUUAGAGGUGCAUCAAGUAAAGCGCUGACUUCUGCAAUUGCACUGUCAUUAUUAAAAGAUAAAUCAGAAUGAGUUAGACAUGCCUCUAAUGGAUCGUCAGUAUAGUUAGAAAUAAAUGAAUCUUCUACUAAUUCCUCUAUCAUAUUUGCUUCAACAAAUUCAUCUUCUUCUUGUGGCUGCUUGGUAACAUUAAAAAUAUUCAAUUCCAUGGUCAUAUUACCAAAAGAUAGCUGCAUGUUUCCAUUCCUGCAAUUAAUAAGAGCAUCAGCUGUAGCUAAGAAAGGACGACCUAGAAUAACUGGAGUGUGUUUCUUAGGAUCCUGUACAUGCUGAGUAUCAAUAACGAUAAAAUCAACAGGAUAAUAAAAUUUAUCAAUCUGUAUCAACACAUCCUCUAUAAUACCACGAGGUAUUUUCAUAGACCUAUCAGCGAGUUGCAAAAUAAUAUAAGUUGAUUUUAACUCACCUAGUCCAAGCUGCAUGUAAACAGAAUAAGGCAAGAGAUUAACACUAGCGCCUAAAUCCAAUAAUGCUUUAUCAAAACAUUGGUUCCCUAUAACACAUGAGAUAGUAGGAGAACCUGAAUCCUUAAAUUUUGGUGGCAUUUUACAUUGGAGUAAAUUGCUAGUUUGUUCAGUUAAAAAUGCCUUUUUGGUGACAUGCAAAUUUCUCUUUUUAGUGCAUAAAUCUUUCAAAAACUUGGCAUAGGAAGGAACUUGCUUAAUAGCAUCGAGUAAAGGGAUGUUUAUACUUACCUGUUUGAAGAUUUCCAUAAUCUCACCUGUUGAAGUCCCUUUCUUUACCUUUGUUAACCUUUGAGGAAAAGGAGCCUUGGGAAUGUAAGCUGGCAGACCACUCUCUUCUGGAUCAUUUGGUGAUGAGUCUUGUGAUGGAAUUGGAUCUGAAGAAGUAGGCUCAGAUGUCUUCCUUGUUUGAACCUCUACUUUGUUGUCAAAUAAUUUUCCUCUUCUCAAGGUCAUAACAGAUUUUGCUUGUUCAUGCUGAUGACUUGAACUCAAUCCAGCUUCGUGCACUCCUUUGGGAUUAGGAACUGGUUGACUUGGAAAUUUUCCUUUUUCUCUCUCCGCUACAGUAGUCGCUAAUUGACCCAAUUGAUGUUCAAGCUUUAGAAUAGCUUGAGUGUUUGACUGAAAAGCUUGUUGGGUUGACUGAAUGAAACUUUGAAGUGUAUCCUCUAAAGAAGGCUUUCUUUGUUGGGGUGCAACAAAUUGAGACAUAGGUUGUUGGGCAGGAGGAUAUACUUGGUUAGGAGGGAUAAAUUGUUGAUUGGGCAUGUUAAAUUGUUGCCCUCCUUGAUUUGACAAAUGUUGAUUUUGUUUCCAAGAAAAAUUAGGGUGAUUCCUCCAAUUAGGAUUAUAUGUGGAUGAAUAUGGACUAUUGGAGGUUUUCUCAUAUGAUUGUAAGGCAUGUACCUGCUUAGAAUAAGCAUCUGGAUAGACUGGUAAUGAUGGACAAUUCUGUGCUGUAUGAGACAAGUUAGAACAAAUAGCACAAACUUCAUUAGCUACACUAGGAUGAUGAUUCAUUGAUUGGUUCAGAGCUAAGGCAUCUACUUUCCUAGAAAGUGUAGCUAGAGUGGAUUUCACAUCAAAAUCAUCCUUAACUUCAUAUAACCCCUUUCUAGAAACUUGAGAUGAUUUUUCCCUUUGAUUUGAAAAAUCCCAUUGUUGAGAGUUUUCAGAAAGUGAAUUAAAGAAAUCCCAUGCGGUCCAUUCAUGUAAGUUCAAAAAUCUCCCACCAUUCAUAGACUCUACCAUAUGACGAUUUGACAUGGUUAAACCGUUAUAAAAGCAUUGUAUAAGUCUCCAUUUUUCAAAACCAUGGUGGGGACACUUGAGGAGUAAAUCAUUGAAUCUUUCCCAACACUCGUAAAAUUACUCACCCUCUCUUUGAUAAAAAUCACUUAUCUCUGUCCUAAGGGCAUUUGUUUUCGACAUAGGAAAAAACUUGGUGAGAAACUUAUUACUCAAUUCAUCCCAUGUACUAAUAGACCCAGCAGGAAGUGAAUUCAACCAAGCUUUUGCUUUGUCUUUUAAUGAGAAAGGGAACAUACGAAGCCUAAUUGACUCAUCAUUAAAAUUUUGAAAACGAAAUGUAGAGCAUAUGUCAAGAAAUUCCUUAAUGUGCAAAUAUGGAUCCUCUCUCUCUAACCCAUGGAAAGAUGGUAAAAGUUGAAUGACUGAGGGCUUAAGUUCAAAGUGUGUUGCUGUAGUUUGUGGCAACACAAUACAAGAUGGUUGGUUGGCUGCAAGUGGUGAAAAGUAUUCUCUGAGGGUUUUCUCUGCUUGCACUGGUGGAAGUAUUGGCAAUAGUCUAUUUGGGUCAUCCAUCACUUCUAAAGAACUAGUUUGACUACUAUCAAUUUUCGACUCUCUUUUAACCAAACGAUUUGUUGAAUCACGUUCCCAAACACUCAUAAACUAACUAGACAAGAAAAGAAAGAAAAAUAAAAUCAAAUAAACCAACAAUAAUGAGAAUAAAUGAAAUUUAAAAAUAAAAGAAAUCAAACAACCAAACAAUGAAUUUAAAGACAAAUAAAAGUUUUUUUGUGUUUUUUUUUAAUAAAAAAAAUAAAAGACAACCUAAGUUAAAACUAGUGGAAGAAUCAAAUCAACCUAGAUUAAACUGACUUUCUAGCACAAUCCCCGGCAACGGCGCCAAAAACUUGUGUUGAAAAUUUUAAUAUACUCGCAAGCGCACGAAUCUAGAAAUAGAAUAGUGGUAACGAGGUCGAUCCCACAGGGAUUGUUAUAAAUUGAAAAGUCUAAUUUAAAUAUAAAAUUAAUAUUAAUUCUAACCUAGUUGACCAAAUUGAGUUUUAAGAGAAAUUAAACUAAUUAAACUAAGGAAGCAAAAAAUAAAGGAGAAUUCAAUAAGAUAAGAAUUACCAAGGUUUUAGAAUCCACCACUAUUCAACUAGUAAUUAUCUAAUUAUUAAUUAAUCCCCAAUUUAGAGUGACAACUUGAAAUCAAUCUAUGUCAUCUCAUGGAUAUAACAAUUAAGCCCAAAUAAAAUUAAUCUUAUGUAGGUUCUUUUUCUGCUUGAUAAUAUGACAUCUAAGCAUCCCAUGUAAACAUAUUGAAUAACAAAGAAUCAAAGUUUUCCUAAGCACUCUAUGUAAACAAUUUAAUGAAAGACAUAAAAUCAAAGAUAGUCAUGUAUAAACUUUAUAAAUCCAAGCAUAGAUUUAAUCGAAUAUUAAUCCUAACAAUCAAUAAUGCAUGACAGAAUUGAUGAAAAGAUUUUAUUAACAUCCAAUUAAUCAUGUGAGAUAAAAACCAUAAUCAUCAAAGAACAUAUAUAGGGAAUUAAUUAAAUAAAAAGAGAUAAUUAUUUCAUUGAAUAGGGUUUCAUCUUUAACCUCAGUAUAAGAAAAUUAGCUAGACAUACUUGAAUUGAGAGCAACAAGAUAAAUAAAUUCAGCCAUGGGGAAGCCGAAUUGCUGCAGAUUUUCUUCUCUGUCUUGAAUCCUUGCGUCUCCAGUUCUCCCCUUCCUCUGGCGGCUCUCCCCCCUUUAUAUAAUGUUACUGGCUUGCUUAAUCCUUAUCGGAUUCUAAUUGCAUUAACUUAUCAUAAGUCACAAUCAUCCACCGACUUACAAAGCCCACUCACCAAGGCCUUUUUAAAUUAUUUCCUUAUUAAACUUUGAAAACUAGCCACACGUUUGACCACAAAAGCAAAAGACCAAUUAAUGACUUCUUCUUUUAAUGCCCAGCACAUGCACUCCAAAUUGCCAAAUCUUUGCUUUCCAAAUGCAUGCCCACCGUUCAUCUUUUGAAGGGAUUGACUUCCAAUUUUAAUCUUAUUGACUUCCAAAUUUGAACUUCCUCAUGCCCUUUUUAUCCUUAAUCUUCAAUUAAUUCCCUAUUCAACAAAAUAAUUCAAUUAAUUAAAAAUAACAAAUAAAAAUAACUAACAAUUAAAUAAUAAGAGUCAAAUAUGUAUAUAAAUUAUGCUCAUCAAAUACCCCCAAACUUAGAUUUUGCUAGUCCUCGAGCAAAACUAAAACUUAAAACAAAAGUAAAAACAAUGAAAAAAAAAAUAAAUCUUAACUAAACCACUUUCGCAGGUAAUCGCGAUUGCAUUUAGCGUAUGCAACAAGUCUUUAAACCCAUAGGCGGCCCUAGUGGACGAGUUAUAGUCUCGUGAGGGCUUCAGUGAUGUUACCCACAAACAUCAUUUUUCAAAGAAUUAAAAUAAAAAUAAAAUGAAAAGAACAACAAACUUUUAAACAAAACAUGAAGAUAGCCUCAAAGAUUGCAUAAAUUAUAUAGCUCAAAGAAAAUUUCAAAUAUUGGCAAAGUUCUAACUUUAAUUCAAUAGUCAAUCUCAUCUCUCUUUCGAUUCUUGUAGUGUGUGUGUGAAAUCAAUUCAAUCAAAUCCAUUCCCAAAACCCUCAAUAUCAACAGCCUUCGCCUCAAACAAAGAACAGAGUAGGUCAAACUAAUCUUAUCAUCUUGAUCUCCAAUUUUUUUUUUUUCACAGGCUUUUAUGUGCAUUUUCUUUUGAAUUUUUUUUUUCAGCACAUGCACUUGAUUUGAUUUUUUUUUCUUUUUUUUUUUAACCAUAGUCAGGAGCUUUCACUCUACCCCUUAAGGUAGCCUUCUUCUCAUGGUAGAUUAUCCUCUACAUACUUGUGGUACAUAGGCCCAAAUUACUCAAGGAUAGCUUCACUCUUAAGGGUUAUAGGUAGCUAUUUCUGACUCUGGCGCCUGUGUAUGCUAUUUUGUAUUGUGGAGAUAAGAAUCAAGAUAAAUAGUCAUUUACUCUAUCUAAAAUUCUCAAUUCAGGCUGUGUCAAUCUCAAAUUUCAAGUCAAAAUCAUGAAAGAACUGAUAUUAGUGCUCAUGGUUUAAAGAAUCUCAAUCAAGAGGAACUAACACAAGAAUCAAGUAUAAACUAAGACAAUAUUCAAUCCUUUCUAAAAACCAUAUUUAUUGUCAAUCAAAUUCUUAUCAUUGGCUUUUCACAUAAAAACAAAAACAACACAAAUUUUUUUUUUGAAUUUUUGAAUUUUUUUAUUUUUUUAUUAUUUUUUUAAACAAACAAAGCACACACUAUUCCCACCCCCAAACUUAUUUGGAACAUUGUCCUCAAUGUUUCACAAACAAAAGAUAUGCAUGCAAACAAAUGAAAGAGAAAUAAUAAUAAUAAUAAAAACAUAAAUAAUAAAAAGAAAGUUGAAGAUAACACACCUGGAUGGGCUGUGAAAGCUUAAAAGAAAAUGCCAAAUGAAAAGAAAACAUUAGAAAAGAAAAACAAACAAAGAAAAGAAAACCUACUGUUAAAAUAAAACAAGAGUGCAAAGAUGAACUUAAUUAAUCCUGAUAAACAGGAUCAUCUAACAGUAUCUCCUCAACUUCUGGUGUUCUUAACUCUAAAAAUGGUUUUAAUCUUUGACCAUUGACCUUAAAUAAAUCACCAUUUUUAGGAUUUUCAAUCUCAAUUGCCCCAUAAGGGAAGACAAUACGAACUAUAAAAGGACCAGACCAUCGAGAACGUAACUUACCUGGAAAGAGAUGCAAUCGGGAAUUAUAUAAAAGUACUUUCUGACCUGGUGUAAAGACUUUUCUCAAAAUGUAUUUGUCAUGAAAGACUUUCAUUCGCUGUUUAUAAAUCUUGGCAUUCUCAUAUGCAUCAUUCCUGAUCUCUUCAAGUUCUGCUAGUUGUAAUCUUCUCUUAGACCCAGCCUGCUGCAUGUCAAAAUUGAAUUUCUUGAUAGCCCAAUACGCACGAUGCUCCAACUCUACUAGCAGAUGACAUGCUUUUCCAUACACAAGUCGAUAAGGUGACAUCCCAAUUGGUGUUUUAAAAGCAGUCCUAUAUGCCCACAAUGCAUCAUCAAGUCUCAAAGACCAAUCCUUUCUAUCUGGCCUAACUGUUUUCUCUAGAAUCCGCUUGAUGUCUCUAUUAGAAAUCUCUACUUGGCCACUGGUCUGAGGAUGGUAUGGGGUGGUAACCUUAUGUGUAAUGGAAUAUUUGUCCAAAAGAGUUUUGAAAGGUUUAUUGCAAAAAUGGGUGCCACCAUCACUAAUGAUUGUUCUAGGGAAACCAAAAAUGAGACAGAAUAUUACUCUUUAAGAAUUUCACUACAACCCUAUGAUCAUUGGUUUUGCAUGGAGUUGCUUCAACCCACUUCGACACAUAGUCCACUGCAACUAAUAUAUACUGAUAACCAAAAGAUGGAGGAAACGGUCCCAUGAAAUCAAUACCCCAUACAUCGAAGAUCUCAACCACAAGAAUAGGAUUGAGUGGCAUCAUGUUCCUCUUUGAAAUGCUACCCAUACGUUGGCACCUAUCACACAAAGAACAGAAAAUAUAAGCGUCAUGAAAAAGAGUAGGUCAAUAAAAACCACACUGUAAAAUUUUUGUUGCUGCCUUUUUAGCACUAAAGUGGCCUCUACAAGCUUGUUCAUGGCAAAAUGAGAUAACACUUUGAAUUUCAUUAUCGGGAACACAUCGCCUAAUAAUCUGAUCAGCACAAUAUUUAAAUAAAUAGGGAUCAUCCCAAAAGAAGUCCUUCACUUUAGUUAAGAACUUUGUUCUAUCUUGCUUAGUCCAGUGCUCUGGGAUUUGACCUGUAGCAAGGUAAUUAACUAUGUCAGCAAACCAUGGUACAACAUUUACACUCAUAAGUUGCUCAUCUGGGAAAGACUCAUUCAAAGGUAAAGAUUCUGGAAUAAAUUUAAGAUCAAGGCGAGAUAAAUGAUCUGCCAUAACAUUUUCAGAACCUUUUUUAUCUAUAAAUUCAAUGUAAAAUUCUUGUAAAAGCAACACCCAACGAAUCAAUCUUGCCUUAGCAUCUUUCUUAGUAAGCAAAUAUUUUAAAGCAGCAUGAUCAGUAAAAAUAAUCACUUUACAACCUAUAAGAUAAGAUCUGAAUUUAUCAAGUGCAAACACCACAGCUAGCAUUUCUUUUUCUGUAGUUGAAUAGUUCAAUUGUGCAUCAUUGAGUGUCAUACUAGCAUAAUAAAUCACAUAAGGCAUACGAUCUAAUCUUUGUCCUAAAACUGCUCCUACAGCAUAAUCAGAUGCAUCACACAUAAUUUCAAAAGGCAAAUCCCAAUUAGGUGGCUGAAUGAUAGGUGAAGAAGUCAACAAUUUCUUAAGCUUUGCAAAAGCAUCAAGACAAGAUUCAUCAAAGAUAAAAGGUGCAUCCUUAACAAGUAAAUUGCAUAAAGGUCUAGAAAUUUUACUAAAAUCUUUAAUGAAUCUUUUAUAAAAACCAGCACGUCCAAGGAAAGAUCUUACUUCUUUUACGGAUUUGGGAUAUGGAAGAUUAGAAAUUAAAUCCACCUUAGCUUUGUCGACUUCUAUACCUUUGCUGGAAAUUAUAUGACCAAGAACAAUACCUUGUUUUACCAUGAAGUGACACUUUUCCCAAUUUAGAACCAAGAUCUUUUCUUUACAUCUCUGCAAAACUAAUGUUAGGUGCUGCAAACAUUCAUCAAAAGAAUCUCCAUAAACAGAAAAAUCAUCCAUGAAUACUUCAAGAAAUCUCUCAACCAUAUCAGAAAAAAUACUAAGCAUGCAUCUUUGAAAGGUAGCAGGUGCAUUGCAUAAACCAAAUGGCAUUCUCCUAUAUGCAAAAGUUCCAAAUGGACAAGUAAAAGUAGUUUUCUCCUGGUCCUCUGGAGAUAUAGGGAUCUGAUUAUAACCUGAAUAUCCAUCUAGAAAACAAUAAAAAUCAUGACCUGCAAGUCUAUCAAGCAUUUGAUCAAUAAAUGGAAGAGGAAAAUGAUCUUUUCUUGUGAAUGAAUUCAAUUUUCUAUAAUCAAUGCAAACACGCCACCCUGUAGUUACUCUAGUGGGAAUUAAUUCAUUAUUAGCAUUAGUAACUACUGUAACACCAGAUUUCUUAGGAACAACUUGCACAGGGCUAACCCAAGAGCUAUCUGAAAUAGGAUAAAUAAUUCCUGCAUCUAAUAAUUUGAUUACUUCAGCUCUUACCACUUCUUUCAUGUUAGGAUUUAACCUACGUUGCAUCUCCCUAAUAGGUUUAGUAUUUUCUUCAAGAUGAAUACGAUGCAUGCAAUCUACUGGAUUAAUACCUUUAAUAUCAGCGAUGGUCCAUUCUAUUGCCUCCUUAUGCUCUUUUAGAAUGCCUAACAACUUACCUUUUUGCUCAAGAUCGAGGGAAGAAGAAAUAAUAACAGGUAGUUGUCAGAUUCUCCCAAGAAUGCAUAUUCCAGAGUGUCAGGCAGUGCUUUGAGUUCCAAUUUUGGUGGUGCCUCUGCAGAUGGGCCAAUUUUCUUCUCAGAAUGAGGCAGUAGUUCUGACUUUGUCUUCCAUUUAAUUGUGUCCGUAAUUAGAGGUGCAUCAAGUAAAGCGCUGACUUCUGCAAUUGCACUGUCAUUAUUAAAAGAUAAAUCAGAAUGAGUUAGACAUGCCUCUAAUGGAUCGUCAGUAUAGUUAGAAAUAAAUGAAUCUUCUACUAAUUCCUCUAUCAUAUUUGCUUCAACAAAUUCAUCUUCUUCUUGUGGCUGCUUGGUAACAUUAAAAAUAUUCAAUUCCAUGGUCAUAUUACCAAAAGAUAGCUGCAUGUUUCCAUUCCUGCAAUUAAUAAGAGCAUCAGCUGUAGCUAAGAAAGGACGACCUAGAAUAACUGGAGUGUGUUUCUUAGGAUCCUGUACAUGCUGAGUAUCAAUAACGAUAAAAUCAACAGGAUAAUAAAAUUUAUCAAUCUGUAUCAACACAUCCUCUAUAAUACCACGAGGUAUUUUCAUAGACCUAUCAGCGAGUUGCAAAAUAAUAUAAGUUGAUUUUAACUCACCUAGUCCAAGCUGCAUGUAAACAGAAUAAGGCAAGAGAUUAACACUAGCGCCUAAAUCCAAUAAUGCUUUAUCAAAACAUUGGUUCCCUAUAACACAUGAGAUAGUAGGAGAACCUGAAUCCUUAAAUUUUGGUGGCAUUUUACAUUGGAGUAAAUUGCUAGUUUGUUCAGUUAAAAAUGCCUUUUUGGUGACAUGCAAAUUUCUCUUUUUAGUGCAUAAAUCUUUCAAAAACUUGGCAUAGGAAGGAACUUGCUUAAUAGCAUCGAGUAAAGGGAUGUUUAUACUUACCUGUUUGAAGAUUUCCAUAAUCUCACCUGUUGAAGUCCCUUUCUUUACCUUUGUUAACCUUUGAGGAAAAGGAGCCUUGGGAAUGUAAGCUGGCAGACCACUCUCUUCUGGAUCAUUUGGUGAUGAGUCUUGUGAUGGAAUUGGAUCUGAAGAAGUAGGCUCAGAUGUCUUCCUUGUUUGAACCUCUACUUUGUUGUCAAAUAAUUUUCCUCUUCUCAAGGUCAUAACAGAUUUUGCUUGUUCAUGCUGAUGACUUGAACUCAAUCCAACUUCGUGCACUCCUUUGGGAUUAGGAACUGGUUGACUUGGAAAUUUUCCUUUUUCUCUCUCCGCUACAGUAGUCGCUAAUUGACCCAAUUGAUGUUCAAGCUUUAGAAUAGCUUGAGUGUUUGACUGAAAAGCUUGUUGGGUUGACUGAAUGAAACUUUGAAGUGUAUCCUCUAAAGAAGGCUUUCUUUGUUGGGGUGCAACAAAUUGAGACAUAGGUUGUUGGGCAGGAGGAUAUACUUGGUUAGGAGGGAUAAAUUGUUGAUUGGGCAUGUUAAAUUGUUGCCCUCCUUGAUUUGACAAAUGUUGAUUUUGUUUCCAAGAAAAAUUAGGGUGAUUCCUCCAAUUAGGAUUAUAUGUGGAUGAAUAUGGACUAUUGGAGGUUUUCUCAUAUGAUUGUAAGGCAUGUACCUGCUUAGAAUAAGCAUCUGGAUAGACUGGUAAUGAUGGACAAUUCUGUGCUGUAUGAGACAAGUUAGAACAAAUAGCACAAACUUCAUUAGCUACACUAGGAUGAUGAUUCAUUGAUUGGUUCAGAGCUAAGGCAUCUACUUUCCUAGAAAGUGUAGCUAGAGUGGAUUUCACAUCAAAAUCAUCCUUAACUUCAUAUAACCCCUUUCUAGAAACUUGAGAUGAUUUUUCCCUUUGAUUUGAAAAAUCCCAUUGUUGAGAGUUUUCAGAAAGUGAAUUAAAGAAAUCCCAUGCGGUCCAUUCAUGUAAGUUCAAAAAUCUCCCACCAUUCAUAGACUCUACCAUAUGACGAUUUGACAUGGUUAAACCGUUAUAAAAGCAUUGUAUAAGUCUCCAUUUUUCAAAACCAUGGUGGGGACACUUGAGGAGUAAAUCAUUGAAUCUUUCCCAACACUCGUAAAAUUGCUCACCCUCUCUUUGAUAAAAAUCACUUAUCUCUGUCCUAAGGGCAUUUGUUUUCGACAUAGGAAAAAACUUGGUGAGAAACUUAUUACUCAAUUCAUCCCAUGUACUAAUAGACCCAGCAGGAAGUGAAUUCAACCAAGCUUUUGCUUUGUCUUUUAAUGAGAAAGGGAACAUACGAAGCCUAAUUGACUCAUCAUUAAAAUUUUGAAAACGAAAUGUAGAGCAUAUGUCAAGAAAUUCCUUAAUGUGCAAAUAUGGAUCCUCUCUCUCUAACCCAUGGAAAGAUGGUAAAAGUUGAAUGACUGAGGGCUUAAGUUCAAAGUGUGUUGCUGUAGUUUGUGGCAACACAAUACAAGAUGGUUGGUUGGCUGCAAGUGGUGAAAAGUAUUCUCUGAGGGUUUUCUCUGCUUGCACUGGUGGAAGUAUUGGCAAUAGUCUAUUUGGGUCAUCCAUCACUUCUAAAGAACUAGUUUGACUACUAUCAAUUUUCGACUCUCUUUUAACCAAACGAUUUGUUGAAUCACGUUCCCAAACACUCAUAAACUAACUAGACAAGAAAAGAAAGAAAAAUAAAAUCAAAUAAACCAACAAUAAUGAGAAUAAAUGAAAUUUAAAAAUAAAAGAAAUCAAACAACCAAACAAUGAAUUUAAAGACAAAUAAAAGUUUUUUUGUGUUUUUUUUUAAUAAAAAAAAUAAAAGACAACCUAAGUUAAAACUAGUGGAAGAAUCAAAUCAACCUAGAUUAAACUGACUUUCUAGCACAAUCCCCGGCAACGGCGCCAAAAACUUGUGUUGAAAAUUUUAAUAUACUCGCAAGCGCACGAAUCUAGAAAUAGAAUAGUGGUAACGAGGUCGAUCCCACAGGGAUUGUUAUAAAUUGAAAAGUCUAAUUUAAAUAUAAAAUUAAUAUUAAUUCUAACCUAGUUGACCAAAUUGAGUUUUAAGAGAAAUUAAACUAAUUAAACUAAGGAAGCAAAAAAUAAAGGAGAAUUCAAUAAGAUAAGAAUUACCAAGGUUUUAGAAUCCACCACUAUUCAACUAGUAAUUAUCUAAUUAUUAAUUAAUCCCCAAUUUAGAGUGACAACUUGAAAUCAAUCUAUGUCAUCUCAUGGAUAUAACAAUUAAGCCCAAAUAAAAUUAAUCUUAUGUAGGUUCUUUUUCUGCUUGAUAAUAUGACAUCUAAGCAUCCCAUGUAAACAUAUUGAAUAACAAAGAAUCAAAGUUUUCCUAAGCACUCUAUGUAAACAAUUUAAUGAAAGACAUAAAAUCAAAGAUAGUCAUGUAUAAACUUUAUAAAUCCAAGCAUAGAUUUAAUCGAAUAUUAAUCCUAACAAUCAAUAAUGCAUGACAGAAUUGAUGAAAAGAUUUUAUUAACAUCCAAUUAAUCAUGUGAGAUAAAAACCAUAAUCAUCAAAGAACAUAUAUAGGGAAUUAAUUAAAUAAAAAGAGAUAAUUAUUUCAUUGAAUAGGGUUUCAUCUUUAACCUCAGUAUAAGAAAAUUAGCUAGACAUACUUGAAUUGAGAGCAACAAGAUAAAUAAAUUCAGCCAUGGGGAAGCCGAAUUGCUGCAGAUUUUCUUCUCUGUCUUGAAUCCUUGCGUCUCCAGUUCUCCCCUUCCUCUGGCGGCUCUCCCCCCUUUAUAUAAUGUUACUGGCUUGCUUAAUCCUUAUCGGAUUCUAAUUGCAUUAACUUAUCAUAAGUCACAAUCAUCCACCGACUUACAAAGCCCACUCACCAAGGCCUUUUUAAAUUAUUUCCUUAUUAAACUUUGAAAACUAGCCACACGUUUGACCACAAAAGCAAAAGACCAAUUAAUGACUUCUUCUUUUAAUGCCCAGCACAUGCACUCCAAAUUGCCAAAUCUUUGCUUUCCAAAUGCAUGCCCACCGUUCAUCUUUUGAAGGGAUUGACUUCCAAUUUUAAUCUUAUUGACUUCCAAAUUUGAACUUCCUCAUGCCCUUUUUAUCCUUAAUCUUCAAUUAAUUCCCUAUUCAACAAAAUAAUUCAAUUAAUUAAAAAUAACAAAUAAAAAUAACUAACAAUUAAAUAAUAAGAGUCAAAUAUGUAUAUAAAUUAUGCUCAUCAAAUACCCCCAAACUUAGAUUUUGCUAGUCCUCGAGCAAAACUAAAACUUAAAACAAAAGUAAAAACAAUGAAAAAAAAAAUAAAUCUUAACUAAACCACUUUCGCAGGUAAUCGCGAUUGCAUUUAGCGUAUGCAACAAGUCUUUAAACCCAUAGGCGGCCCUAGUGGACGAGUUAUAGUCUCGUGAGGGCUUCAGUGAUGUUACCCACAAACAUCAUUUUUCAAAGAAUUAAAAUAAAAAUAAAAUGAAAAGAACAACAAACUUUUAAACAAAACAUGAAGAUAGCCUCAAAGAUUGCAUAAAUUAUAUAGCUCAAAGAAAAUUUCAAAUAUUGGCAAAGUUCUAACUUUAAUUCAAUAGUCAAUCUCAUCUCUCUUUCGAUUCUUGUAGUGUGUGUGUGAAAUCAAUUCAAUCAAAUCCAUUCCCAAAACCCUCAAUAUCAACAGCCUUCGCCUCAAACAAAGAACAGAGUAGGUCAAACUAAUCUUAUCAUCUUGAUCUCCAAUUUUUUUUUUUCACAGGCUUUUAUGUGCAUUUUCUUUUGAAUUUUUUUUUUCAGCACAUGCACUUGAUUUGAUUUUUUUUUCUUUUUUUUUUUAACCAUAGUCAGGAGCUUUCACUCUACCCCUUAAGGUAGCCUUCUUCUCAUGGUAGAUUAUCCUCUACAUACUUGUGGUACAUAGGCCCAAAUUACUCAAGGAUAGCUUCACUCUUAAGGGUUAUAGGUAGCUAUUUCUGACUCUGGCGCCUGUGUAUGCUAUUUUGUAUUGUGGAGAUAAGAAUCAAGAUAAAUAGUCAUUUACUCUAUCUAAAAUUCUCAAUUCAGGCUGUGUCAAUCUCAAAUUUCAAGUCAAAAUCAUGAAAGAACUGAUAUUAGUGCUCAUGGUUUAAAGAAUCUCAAUCAAGAGGAACUAACACAAGAAUCAAGUAUAAACUAAGACAAUAUUCAAUCCUUUCUAAAAACCAUAUUUAUUGUCAAUCAAAUUCUUAUCAUUGGCUUUUCACAUAAAAACAAAAACAACACAAAUUUUUUUUUUGAAUUUUUGAAUUUUUUUAUUUUUUUAUUAUUUUUUUAAACAAACAAAGCACACACUAUUCCCACCCCCAAACUUAUUUGGAACAUUGUCCUCAAUGUUUCACAAACAAAAGAUAUGCAUGCAAACAAAUGAAAGAGAAAUAAUAAUAAUAAUAAAAACAUAAAUAAUAAAAAGAAAGUUGAAGAUAACACACCUGGAUGGGCUGUGAAAGCUUAAAAGAAAAUGCCAAAUGAAAAGAAAACAUUAGAAAAGAAAAACAAACAAAGAAAAGAAAACCUACUGUUAAAAUAAAACAAGAGUGCAAAGAUGAACUUAAUUAAUCCUGAUAAACAGGAUCAUCUAACAGUAUCUCCUCAACUUCUGGUGUUCUUAACUCUAAAAAUGGUUUUAAUCUUUGACCAUUGACCUUAAAUAAAUCACCAUUUUUAGGAUUUUCAAUCUCAAUUGCCCCAUAAGGGAAGACAGUACGAACUAUAAAAGGACCAGACCAUCGAGAACGUAACUUACCUGGAAAGAGAUGCAAUCGGGAAUUAUAUAAAAGUACUUUCUGACCUGGUGUAAAGACUUUUCUCAAAAUGUAUUUGUCAUGAAAGACUUUCAUUCGCUGUUUAUAAAUCUUGGCAUUCUCAUAUGCAUCAUUCCUGAUCUCUUCAAGUUCUGCUAGUUGUAAUCUUCUCUUAGACCCAGCCUGCUGCAUGUCAAAAUUGAAUUUCUUGAUAGCCCAAUACGCACGAUGCUCCAACUCUACUAGCAGAUGACAUGCUUUUCCAUACACAAGUCGAUAAGGUGACAUCCCAAUUGGUGUUUUAAAAGCCUUAAAAAAUGAAAAUUACAAUUUCACCUUAAAAAAUGCCAUUUUACCAUUUUAAGGUAAUUUUUAAGGUGAAAUUGUAAUUUUCGUUUUGGGGGUAAAAUGGUAAUUUUUUUAUGUUUCCGUUAGUUUUCUUAACGGAUUUCAAACGGAAGUGGAAAAGUGAAAUAAAAUGUAACUUUAGGUGGAUUCCAGCCAAAAAAUGAAGGAAUUGUGUAUUUUUGAAAAAUGUGUAAAAAACGGGUGGACGGUGGAUAUUUUCCCUUAAAAAUAUUCUAAUUUAUUUUCUCAAUUUAUCAUCAUAAAUUUACAUUAAUAAACUAAAUCCACAAAUUACCCUAAACCCUAAUUCAUAAAUGCCCAAUCAAUCUAAUAGUUUAAUUCGAUUUCAUAAUUAAAAAAAGCUAAAUUUAUUAUAUUAGUUAUGGUGCAAAGUCAAAAAUGCCCUUAAAGUCAAGGGUAAAAUAACAUUUUAUUUACAUUCUAUAAAUUAUUCUAACAAUGUUAACAUAUUGGUGGACGGUUAAUAUAAGUUACAAACUUAAAAUAGGAAAUCAAAUAAAUUUAAAAUUUCAAACUAUUUAGGGGAAAUUUAGGAUAUAUGGUUAAUAAUUUUCCCACGUCUUUUUACAUUGUUGAUAUAAGUUACAAACUUAAAAUAGAAAAUCAAAUAAAUUUAUAUUUUCAAACUAUUUAGGGCAAACUUAGGGUAUAUGGUUAAUAAUUUUCCUUUAUCUUUUUACGUUAAAUUGAGUUUUAAAGGUAAAAUGGUCAAUUUAUUAUAAUUCUGUUAAUUUUUUAGUGGAAGCAAACGAUAUAAUGGAUGAAUGAUAUAAAUUGUAAAAUUAAGGUGCACAAAUGCUACAACUUUAAAGUAUUAUAGUAAUUUUAAUAAUAGAACAAUUUAAGGGUAGAUUGGCAAUAAUUUAAACUUUAAUGAAGCAACUAAAUUUUUUUUUUUUACAAAAGAAAAAUAAUUGAAAUGCUUUAAGAAAAAUAAAGGCAAUUAAAUAUUUUUAUAAAAAAAAUAAUUGAGUAAAAUCAUUUUACAAAAUGCUCUUUCAAAUGCACAUUCCACAAGCCAGGGAGAACGGGUGGCUAACAAAAAUCUCACUUUUUAUGAGUUUAUAAAAUCUCACUUUUGCAGAAUCCAAAAAUAACCAAUACUAAUCGCACAAAAAAUAAAAAUUAUUGCUGUCACGACAUUACACGCUUUCUUCGCCGUCUAGAAAUGUAGAACAUUUUGAAGUUCCUCAAUACAAAAUGCCUGCUACUACUAAAUUGGCCCAAUUAAUGCCUAUCGAAAAGGCCAUCAAUUAAGCCAUCAAUUUUGUCAAAUUUUCAACAAUUGAAGAAACAACGAUCACAAACGGAACAGGUGAAUUUUGAAGUUGAAUAAAUCUUGAGAUACAUACAACAAAGCCUUGAAACUUUAUUCUUCACAAUUUGAGCACGCACUAAAUAUUAAACAAGUAUAGAACAAAGCUUAUUAUCUUCUUGUGCGAACUGAACACGCUGAAAUGUUUUUUUUUCCUUGGAUUUUUGGAAUUUUUUAAAAUCAUUUAUGUUCGCUGCCAUCUUUUUCUUCGCUGGCGUCUUCAUUGGCAUCCCUCUCUUGGCUGGCAUCUGCCUCGUCUGUAGUUUGCUGUGCCUAUAUAUCCAACCAAUAAAUUGGGCAUUAAAUACGAAUGAUGAAUAAAGUUAUUAAAAAAAAAACAAACAGAGAAAAUUAUAAUAUAACACAUAUAUAUUGAAAGAGAAAUUUUGAUUUUAGGAUAGAUCAAUUAGCUAUCAGAAACGAAAACAUGAACCAACUAUGUAGAGUCAAUUAACUAAAGUUCUCAAGACUUGACCUGUGCUCCAGAAUUCUUGGAAUCAUCUAUCUCCUUCUGAAUUUCCACGAAGCUUGGGACAAUUACGAACAUCUUCAUCGGAUGCAGAUGGAAAUGGGAUCUGAUAACCCGCAGGCCAAAAGUUGGUGAGGUUUGGUAAGUUUAUCAGUUCCAACUUCCGAAGUUCAUUCAUAACAAUUUCAUUGUAAUCCGUGACGUCUGCUCCAUCUUUAUGCCAGAAUACUUCUUCUAAUUCAUCAUUAGCUUCUAUGAAUAGGUACUUCAGUUUUUGAAGACUUGGAGCUACGCUGAUAUGAAAUAGAUGCUUUAGUUUGGGGCAAUAACUGACAGAGAUCUCUGUGAGUUUUGGGAAACAUAGGGGUUGGAGAUGAUCCUUAUCAAUGAUUUGCUCUAAUUCCAAGCAGUUAUCAAUAACCAGCUUCUCCAAUUGCAACAAAUUUCGAGCAAGUGUUGAUGAGAAGAGACGUCUCAGCAUAGUGCACCCGUCCACUCUUAAAUAGGUAAGAUUUUGCAGGCUAAAAUUAUGCGUGGGACCUACAGGUUGGAGAUGCUCCUCAUCCUCAUCCUCAGUAAUGAUUUGCUCUAAUUCCCGGCAAUUAUAAAUUUCCAACUUCUCCAAUUGCAACAGAUUUCGAGCAAGUGUUGAUGAGAAGAGACGUCUCAGCAUAGUGCACCCGUGCACUCUUAAACAGGUAAGACUUUGCAGGCUAAAAUUAUGCGUGGGACCUACAGGUUGGAGAUGCUCCUCAUCCUCAUCCUCAGCAAUGAUUUGCUCUAAUUCCCAGCAAUUAUAAAUUUCUAACUUCUCUAAUUGCAACAGAUUUCGAGCAAG